rnacentral:lncRNA from 1 species
UUUUUUUUUUUUUUUUUUUUUUGUUAAAUGGCCAUUUUAGUAUUUACAUGGUUGUACUUGUUUAGACUUUAGAUGAACAGAGGUAAUCGUGGCAUUAUCGAAGUAUUGGUUUUAUCCAUUCUAUAAUUCAUGUAAAUAUUAAAAACGAAACCCUUCAAAUUUGGAUUCGGUAGUGUCGGUUUUCGGGUGUGUUCCAAUAAUCCGAAAUUCCGAAACCGAUUUCCUACCCCUUCUACUCGUACAAAUCCAGGCCAGUCCAUGAUAGUUUUAUGGGCCUCAAAACAUUAUAUGUAUCUCAGUUAUGAGAAGAACAAAGUUACAGGACCAAUGUGCUUGAGAGUUGAGACACGUAUAAGUUCCAUAUUUGGGUAUGAACGUAAUCGUUUGUUGUUAACUGAGAAGAUCACCGGCCGGAAGAGGAAAGAAAGCAUAAUAAUCUACUUUUCUUCAGACUUUCAGCUACAGAUAUGUCGGUUGUACAACUCAAUUUCUUGUUCUUGUUCUUGUUCUUCUUCUUGUGGUGCUUUGGUUCAGUGAAGAAGAAAGAGAAAGAGAUAUCAAGAAGAUAAAUUGAAGGAAUUGGAAGUUGAAAUUUCGAGCUCAAAAUGAAGGGUUUUUUUUUUUGGCUGAUUGGUGAGUUGUUAUCAUUUUUAUUCUUGUUUUCUGUUCAUGAUUCAUUUCAUUUUGCAAAGACCUUUCGUCCUCUUGGUUCAUCUAUUUUUCUGUAAGAAAAAACUACAGUAACUUCUUGGCUUUUGAACAGUAACCGGCGCCAUAGAUAAAAAUUACAAUUUGUGAUAUUAUUAAUUAUCAUCAUGGAUGAUAGAGUUUGUGCUAUUAAAACUGUUUGUAUAGUAAUUAGCCUAGUUCUAUCUUUCGCUGUAUGGGUGUUCUACAAACAAUAUGAGAGUACAAAGACCAGCUUCGACAUUCCUUUUGGGACGUAUCCUUGUGUUGAAGCUCCCGCUCCCAUUCUGAAAGGUCAUUAGCUGUGGCAGCUCAGAGUUCCAGGUCUCUCUAGAUGUUGUUGAAUUCUUUCUUGUUUGAUUACUUAUGUUGUUGUUGUUGAUGAUGAUGUAAACUGUCAAUCUGUUGUGGUUUCUUAUUAGAGAUUAAUUUUGUUUAAUUUUGUUCAUUUCCAUAUAUUGUAUAGCUACUGGGUAGCAACUAGCAAGCAAUGGUUUGUUGAUUGAAUGAAAGACUUCAGUUUUAGUGCAUCCAGAAUGACCUAAAUACUCACUUUGACAAUAAACUUUGAUGUUGCUUGCAAAACUGACAACGUAAUACAAACUUAGCAACGAACGAACUUUAACAUAGCUUUCAUAACUAACAUUAGGAACAAUGCAUUGACUAGCGUGUCAAUUUUUUAAACACGUGGCGUUGACCAAUACACGGUAUCAUUAAUCAUUGCCACUGCACAAUAUCAAGUUGCACAUAUUUUCAUUAAAAGAAAAUAAAAACUAAUUUAAUCUUACAAACAACCCAACAACUUUAAUUAAAUAUUUGUUCUUUUAGACAAAACCUUAUGUAGUGCCUUGGUCAUCUAUUCUUUUCUCUUCUCUUCUUACUGUUAAAGCUUCAAUUCUUAUCCAAAUAGUGAAAAUUCAACAUGGUGGGACCGUAUGACAUUUUGAAGAAAGUUUGCAAGUAUUUUAAUCUAGGUUUUCAAUAAACUAGGGUUCUAUCUUUAUUUAUUUGCAAUCAUAUAAUAUUGGUAGAAUCUGUUUGUUUUAAAGUUUUCUAUUGUUUGAAAUUGAUUUAUUCUCUGCAAUUUGGGGGUUUCAAAAGUUGGGGAUUUUUAAAAAUUAGGGUUUUUUAAUUUGGGGGUUUUGUAAAAUUAUGUUAAUUUAAUGUUAUUUGGGGGUUAAUUUUUUUCAAUUACUUACGUGUCAUUUUUUAUUAAGACACGUCAUACAUAUUCUUCCACGUCAGCCAGUUCACUGGAGAAAACCGAAGACUUUCUCAUUGUUAGUCAAGAAAGUUGACUCAAAGUUCGUUGUCAGGUUUAUACUAUAUUGUUAGUUUUGCAACCAAAAUCAAAGUUUGUUGUCAAAGUGAGUAUUUAGGUCCAUCCAGACUCCAGAGUCAGGCAGACCUGCGCAAAUUCAGCUUGAUUCUGGAUUUGUAGCAUAUUUAAUGCAUUUUGCAGUUCUUUUCUCCUAAUUGUUGACGACAAAAUUUGAGUACAGUAACUGAGGUCAAUCCUGCACAGUAUUGCUGAUAAUAGGAGGGGGGGGGGGGGAUUAAUCAAUGAACAUAUAGUAGAGUAAACGUGAGAUGCUGCUUUCAGACCUUGUAUCCGAAUUUGAAGUUCUGCUAUCCCCGGGAAACUGGGGCUGCAACCCAAAAGUCCAAAACUGCAGCUAAAACUCCCAAAAUUAGAGAAUGUAGCUAGAGAAGUCCUGAUCAUCAAGGGAAUUAAUCCAUGGCUGUCUGGUGUAGGAAUUGUGUGACCUUCAGCUCUAGUGAUCUCGGAUAGAUGUCCUGCAUCUCAAACUCUCACCUGCUUUGCUGAAUACUGUAAAUUGGUGGUUGACCCAUACCACGACAAUAUAUUAUGGAGUGUCAUUAGACGGAAUCAUCAAACUUGGAGGCUCAACAACAUAAAGCAUCAAAACCGAAGGUUUCAACAGUAUGAAUGACAUUUGGCUUCAAGGGUUUGACAAUUUCUCGAUUUUCCUGACUUUUUUUUUUUUUGACAGAGAUAAUGAUGUUCUAAGCCCCCCUUCUUUAUGUGGUGAUACCUUCAUAAUUUAUCAUAAGCCCUGUUCAACCUGACCACAUACAUGAUACAUCCAUAGGAUUUUCUAAGUGAAUUUUAAAAUAUGAAAAGGCACUGAAAUAACUAUAAUACUGCCCAAUUCUAAAGUAAUGUAAACCUCAACAGAAUGCAGUGUGAUGCUGAUUUCAUAGACUUUGCUGAAAUAAAGAUUUGGCCAUCAACAGACUACCAGAGGUUUUUCAAGAGGUUGGUUCAAAGUUUUACUUGGAAAACAAAAGACGAUUUAUUUGCUAAAAGUAAAUGGAAAUGGAAUAAAGCUAAAACUUGCUUUAAGAAAAACAACACAAGGAAAACACGAAAGCACACAAGGACCUACAUUGUAUUUUUUUUGGUACUAAUCUAUUGUGAAAUGUGGAAAAUUACAUUCUGGAAUGACGAGUAUGUUGUAUGUUAAUUAAUGGCUAAAAUACACAUAUAAAGAAAACAAAAGUAACAAAAAACAGGAUUUAUCAUCCAAUGGACUACACUUCAUGUCCCAUUGGGUGCGUUCGGCGUUCCCACUUGGCCUACUACCAUCAUUACAAGGUCUGUUAACAAGUUCAUAUGAAGUUCCAGGUAUUCACAAUAAGAUUAUCUAUUCUGGUGGAAAAGUAACAGUUCAUUGUAUCUAGCAUCCAAUGAAGAAAGGUUUUGAUUGAAAAACCAAUUAAAAUAAAGAAAAGAGAAGAAAACUGGGCAAAGACAUCUUUAGCAAGGUAGUGAGCUUUCGGUUUUGCUUUUACUUUUGCUUCAUCAACUUCCACUUUGCUUUAAUCUUUAAUUUUGUUAACUUGCUUUUCUUCACAUUGCAUUUGUAUUACAUAGCAAUGCACUUAUGAAAACUUCAUAUAUGAAAAGCAAAACCUCAACUAGUUGUGUAUGGAUAUUAUUGUUGGCAAUUUUUUCCAGUAGGCAUGGAUUCAAAAAUACUGUAAUACUGUAAAGGUUUUCUUUCAAAGCUUAUUUUCGUGAAUCCUUUGAUUCAAAUCACUCUAGUCCUUGUGUGUAUGAUAUACAUAGCCUCUUCAACUUCAUCAAACAAAGGGCUACUCUUCCAGGUCCCAUUUACCAACUCUGCAACACAUGCUUAACUACGAACUUCAUGUAAUACACCUUCGCUGUCAGUCUGUAAAACAAAGGUUUCCAUAUGAAAGAAGGGACUCUGAACUCGAAAUAUUCCUCUCUUUAUCUUUUGCUUUCUCAAUAUUGUAUUAUCGUAUACCAUUGCUUAGGAAUCGAGCUUGGGAUUUCUUGCAGCAGGUACUUCCUUGCAGCUUCUCGCAGCAGAGAAGCGAAAAAAGAAGAUUAUGAAGCUGGUGGUUGAGGUGGUGGAUGCCCACAAUCUUAUGCCUAAAGACGGUGAGGGAUCAUCAAGUCCAUUUGUAGAAGUUGACUUCGUGAACCAGAGAAGCAGAAGCCGCACUGUCCAUAAGAAUCUGAACCCUGUUUGGAACCAGAAGCUUUUGUUGAAUCUUGAGGACCCAAACAGUCUCCAUCAUAACGAUAUUGAGGUCUGUGUCUACAACGAUCGCAGGUCAUUUCCUGGACGCAACUUUCUUGGAAAGGUAAAAAUUCACGGCUCCAAUAUAGUUAAGAAGGGAGAGGAAGCUUUGCAACGUUUCCAGCUAGAAAAGAAGUGGUUUUUCUCAUCUGUCAAAGGGGAGAUCGGUCUUAAAAUUUAUAUUUCCCCUGAAUCUGAACCUGAAUCUCCUCCCACGUUUAAUCAACCACCAUUAACACCAUCUCCAAUUGUUUCUUCAACUACAACAUCCACAGACAACCAAGCAGCUUCUAAUAUCGAAUCCAUUGCUAAUAAUAACAAUUCCCCAACUGUUUCUAUUGCUGAAGUAACUGCCAACACUUCAAAAGAGUUUCUCUCUGUGUCUAAAACUUCUUCUUCUGCUGCAGUUAAUGAUAGUUUGAAAGUCGAGGCUAAUACGUCAACUGCUACAACUACCACAAUCGAUAGUUGUCGUACAACUGCUGCUGAGAAAUCAGAGGAGCCCAAAGAAACUAUUGUCGAGACAAGACAAUACAUACAUAAACAUCAAGCUUCACAUCAGCCAGGAAUAUCCGUGGAGAGGCCAGUAAGUGUACCAUCAACAAUGCACCAGAUCAACCCGCAAGCCCAUGCUAACCGCCAAGAGGACUUCAAGUUGAAAGAUACUAGUCCCCGUCUCGGAGAACGAUGGCCAAAUGGAGGAGUUCGUGGAGGUGGUGGAGGAUGGAUGAGUGGAGAAAGACUCGCCAGCACAUAUGACCUUGUUGAACAGAUGUACUAUCUAUAUGUUCGAGUGGUCAAAGCUAAAGAACUUCCCACCAGUUCCAUCACUGGAAGUUGUGAUCCUUACAUUGAAGUGAAGCUCGGGAACUACAAAGGAACGACAAGGCAUUUUGAGAAAAAGAUUAAUCCCGAAUGGAACCAAGUUUUUGCAUUCUCUAAAGACAGAAUCCAGUCAUCGAUGGUCGAGGUUUUUGUCAAGGAUAAAGAUAUGGUGGGAAGAGAUGAUUACCUGGGCAAAGUGGUCUUCGACCUGAAUGAGGUACCAACAAGGGUGCCACCUGAUAGCCCCUUGGCACCACAGUGGUAUAGACUGGAGGAGAGGCGUGGGGAUGGAAAAGUGAGAGGUGAGAUCAUGCUCGCCGUCUGGAUGGGAACACAGGCUGAUGAAGCCUUCCCAGAGGCCUGGCACUCGGACGCUGCUUCUGUUCAUGGAGAGGGCGUAUUCAACAUCCGGUCUAAGGUGUAUGUCUCACCCAAACUGUGGUACCUAAGGGUUAAUGUAAUUGAAGCUCAGGAUGUCCAGCCAAACGACAGAAGCCGCCUGCCAGACGUUUUCGUGAAGUGUCAAGUCGGCAAUCAGCUUCUCAAAACAAAGGUAUUUCCACGAGCAAUAAAUCCAUUAUGGAAUGAAGACCUUCUCUUUGUAGCAGCUGAGCCUUUUGAAGAACACUUGGUCCUCACAGUUGAGGACCGUGUGCACCAAUCUAAAGAAGAGAUGGUCGGGAAAAUUAGUUUGCCACUUAACAUAUUUGAGAAGCGUUUGGAUCACAGACCAGUCCAUUCAAAAUGGUUCAACCUUGAGAAAUUUGGUUUCGGUGUGUUGGAAGGUGACAAGAGAAAGGAACUCAAGUUUUCAAGCAGGAUUCAUCUGAGAGUUUGCCUUGAGGGUGCUUACCAUGUUCUAGAUGAAUCCACCAUGUACAUAAGCGACCAGCGCCCAACUGCACGGCAGCUUUGGAAGCAACCAAUUGGCAUUCUGGAGGUAGGUAUCUUGAGUGCAAAUGGGUUGCUUCCAAUGAAGAUGAAGGAUGGACGAGGCACUACAGAUGCCUACUGCGUUGCGAAGUACGGACAGAAGUGGGUACGUACCAGGACAAUAAUAGACAGCCCCAGUCCUAAAUGGAAUGAGCAAUACACAUGGGAAGUCUAUGACCCCUGUACUGUGAUUACAUUAGGAGUUUUCGACAACUGUCACUUGGGUGGCAGUGAAAAACCUGCUGGUGGGGGGCUUGGAAAAGAUUCAAGAAUCGGAAAGGUGAGAAUUCGACUAUCAACUCUUGAAACAUAUAGAAUUUACACUCACUCAUACCCGCUUCUUGUUCUACAUCCAUCUGGUGUUAAGAAAAUGGGAGAGCUCCAGUUAGCUGUACGUUUCACUUGUUUGUCUCUUGCAAACAUGAUGUACCUAUAUAGUCAACCGUUACUACCAAAGAUGCAUUACAUACAUCCCUUCACAGUGAACCAACUAGACAGCCUGAGACACCAGGCAAUGAACAUAGUUGCAUUGAGACUCGCACGUGCUGAACCCCCGCUUAGGAAAGAGAUUGUUGAAUACAUGUUAGAUGUAGAUUCUCAUAUGUGGAGUAUGAGAAGAAGUAAAGCCAACUUCUUCAGGAUAAUGUCUCUAAUGUCGGGCAUGAUUACAAUUAAUAGAUGGUUUGAUGAUGUCUGUCACUGGAAGAACCCAAUCACAACGGUGUUAGUUCAUGUUCUGUUCCUUAUACUGAUAUGCUACCCAGAAUUGAUACUUCCAACCAUUUUCUUGUACAUGUUCCUCAUCGGCAUAUGGAACUACAGAUUCCGCCCUAGGCACCCACCGCACAUGGAUACCAAACUGUCAUGGGCAGAGGCUGUCCACCCAGAUGAGCUUGACGAGGAGUUCGACACUUUCCCAACAUCCAGACAGCCCGACUUGGUCAGACUGCGUUAUGAUAGGCUUAGAAGUGUAGCAGGGAGAAUACAGACAGUUGUUGGAGACAUGGCAACGCAGGGUGAAAGAUUCCACUCUCUUCUCAGUUGGAGAGACCCAAGAGCAACCAGCCUCUUCAUACUCUUCUGUCUCAUUGCAGCUAUAGUAUUGUAUGUGACUCCGUUCAGAGUACUAACUUUACUUAUAGGCCUUUACAUGCUCCGACACCCUAGAUUUCAAAGUAAAUUACCUUCUGUUCCUAGUAAUUUCUUCAAAAGAUUGACAGCUCGAAUAGACGGGAUGAUCUGAGAAUAUGUAUCAAGUGAAUUUUCUGCGCAAUCGUCAUGUAAUGUAAUACAAGUGAUUGACAUCCAGGGAAAAAUUAUAAAGUGAUUGUUUGUGAUUGAAUUGUCCUCUCCUUUUCCAGCCAUAACUUUAUGUGUGGUAAUCCAAGUGUGAGUCUUUAUGUAAAUGGCCAAAAUUUGCAGCAGUUUUCAUCCAAUCACAUUGUAACUUUAUUACCUGUGAUUUGCUACUCUCGCAAAUUUAGACACCAAGCUAGUUCGAGUUUAUGCUCGUGUAUGUUGGAGCUUGCUGAUGAGUUUGUGGUUUCCAUUCUAGUCACCAAGCUAGUUCGAGUUUAUGCUCGCUGAUGAGUUUGUGGUUUCCAUUCUAGUCACCAAGCUAGUUCGAUUUUAUGCUCGUGUGCGUUGGAGCUUGCUGAUGAGUUUGUGGUUUCCAUUCUAGUCACCAAGCUAGUUCGAGUUUAGGCUCGUGUGCGUUGGAGCUUGCUGAUGAGUUUGUGGUUUCCAUUCUCUUCCUCUUGUCUCAUUGGCCUUACUUCAGAAAUUUGACAAUAAAAGGGUACGUAAGCGAUUAUAACUAAUCUUUCAGCUUCUCAGCUUCUAACAUUUUUUGUUCUUCAAUAAUUCAUUUAUUGUUCUUCAAUAAUUUUAUCACAGCAUAUCACGUUCAGCAACAGGGCAGAGUGGAUGACAAUUUGUUGUUCAGUUCUAGGCACAUUGAGGCUUUUGCAGUGAAAGCAAUUUUUAAUAGAAUUUCUGUAUGGACACAUUUCAUGUUUCAAUCUGCGUGGAGAAACUUCCACCCAAACAUUCCUAACAGAUACACCUUCAACUUCAUCACAGUACACUUCUAGAAGAAAAUUAAUUAUCUUUAAAUUUAACUCCUAAGCAGCCCUCACUAAAUCUGUGCUUGAAGAAUUUUGGAACAAUGUAAAUUGUAGUGUUUUCUACCAGAAAGUUUUUAGUCAUUGCUAGACCAUAAACAUUAAAUGGAUGCAAACAGAGAUGAAGGUAUCCAAAUAUUCAAGGUCUGUCAGAAGCAGGCAGGAAAAAUACCACCAAGCCCUAGCAUGCUAACAUGGAUGCUGUUGUCUUUGCUAAAUGACACCAAUAACACAGGAAAAACAUUUUUGAAUUAUUCAAUUCCGUGCCCAGGAAGAGAAUGUUUACUAUCAAGUAUCAACAAGUGCAAUACAUAUUUCUAAUUGAUCCUAUUUUGUGGGUAUAAUGCCAAAACCUAACUUAGGGAAUCUCAAAUAAUAUGGCUUCAAAUAAUGAUGUUAACUCCACAGAUUCAAAUAAUUGAAAGAAAUCCCACAAUGUAUAAAAUGAUAAAUAUCUGAGUUUUUAAUACCAGUUACUGAAGUACAAACACAGAUAGAAGAAAAUUGGACAAACUCUAAGUAGCAAAACUCAGGUCUAACACCUUCCAUGAUGAAAAUUCUAAAAGACAAGCUCAUGAGGUUUCAUGCCUGACUUGAGAGAAAAUCUUGCAGCCAAGUAGGACUUCAGCUCAGGGACUGCUUCAAUCGACUUCAACAAAGCAGCAUCCACUGCUUUUUGGUCAUCUUUCUUCUCUUGGGGGAGCACAUUCUUCUCCUACAAAUUACCCAAAGAAAAAUUAAUUCGAUAGAUCAAAACUGACAAAUUUCUACAGCAAUGAAAGAAACAUGAAUGUCAGAGAAACAGAAGGAUCAACAAACCUCUUUCUCUGCUUCAAAAAACUCUCCCUCGCUCUUCUUCUUCUUCUUUUCUGCUUGUUUGGCAAAGUACUUGUCAUCAAACUUAUCUGCAUUUACCCCAGAGAUGUCGACCUUGGUAGAUGUUGCAAUAAGAUAAGCUUGGUUAACACGACGAAGGGGAACACCAUUGAUCUUGAAUGGCCCUACAACAAUAGGACGAGAGAUAUUAGUAGGUCUGGUCGAACAAGACAAUAAAAAUAAAUUGAAAUAUCAAGGAAAGCACAUAGUCUAGACACACGUGAAGUAAAUAAAGUUAACUCUGUGUAUAUGGGCAAAGUAGAUUGGCAUCAGCUUAAAUUUCAUUCAAACUUAAAAUUUGCAUUCUACAUUAUUUAUAUUACAGUCUCUACCACUUCUAACUCUGACUACUAAAAUAUCGAGGACAUGAAACAAACCCUAGUAGUUCACCAUUCAUACAAAGAAAUCUAGAUGCAAUAAUAUGCAACAAAAUUCAUAUUAACAAUGAUUCAAAAGAUUCCAUAUUAACUAUAAACACAAACUGCAAAUCAUUUCUUAUAGUGAAUCAUGAAGAGAAAGGUAUUGAUCAGACUGACGUGCAAAACAUUCAGCAUAGCACAAAAUUUGAGCCUCUGAUAAGAUGUUUGAGUCUAUCAUCACUUCCAUAACAUAUGUGAUGGAUAAACCACUUAAAAUGGCAUACCAAGUAGUCGAAUAAAGAAUAUCACCAGAUAAAAAAAUAUUAACCAGAAUGCAACUAUCAAAACAUGAAUGUUGCUAUCAAGCAAAAUGUUUAUGAACCCAAGCAAAUUGGGUCAAGUUACUAGCCAAGGAAGAUAUUGCGCAGAACAAAAUGACCAAUUGAAGGUAAAUAAAAUGUUACACAUCAAAGCUGUAGGCCUCUAUUCAACAGUCCAACCUUCAGAAUACAAGAGUACAUCAAUCAAAAUUAUUGAAUUGAUAAAUUGGGAUCAGACUGACGUGCAAUUAUUCAGCAUAGAACAAUAAAAUUGAACAUCUGAUAAUCGUAGAUUAUCUCAUCACAUCCCAAACAUACUAUUACAUUCAAAACAAGCAAAUCUACAAACAACAUUAAGUCAACAAAAUUACUUAUUCUAGAUAUAAAAUGAACAGAAAACUCACCAGUGACCAAGAGCAAUCCAGAUGCAAGUUGUUUAAGAAAAACAACUCUUUUCCCCUUAAACCUUCCAGCCAAAAUAAUCAAAACAGUUCCAGGAGUAAUACUUGCCCUAAAAUUUCAAUCAAAACAAAACCAAAACCCCAAAUCAAAACAAAAUGAAUCUUUUUCUAAAUUAAUUAAAAAUUAAAUAAAGAAUAAAUUAAAACCUGAGUUUGGUGGGUUUAGGUUUGCGUUUGUUAACCAAAGGCUUCUUAACAUCUUCAGCAGGAUAAAACUUAGGAGCUUUAACAAUAGGUUUUUGUUCAACUGGUUUAGCUUCAUGAUGAGGAAAAGUACCACCAUUCUUUUGCUUAAUAGCCCAAAGACCUCUCUUAUGAUACAUCUGAGAUCUUGAAUACUUACCCACUCCUCUAAUUAGUUCUGGGUUUCUAGUUACUCUUGCUUUCUUGGUCGUAGUCGGCGCCAUUGAUGAUCAAGAAAGGUUUCUCUGCAAACCCUAAUUUCUACUAAAAAAUGUGGCGUUAUGAGUGAGCAGAAGAAAAUGAAACCCUACUAGUUAUCUAUAUAUAUAAGUAGUGUCUGCUAAACUGUAGAUGCUUAUUACUGUCUAUAAGACUUUGCUUUAGGUUUUCUUUUCGUGGGUUGGGUUUAUGUUCAUUUGUGAUCCAAGCCCAUUGAAUGUAUUGGGCCUUUGGCCCAUAAUCAAGAAAAACAAUUACUGAGACCAUUUCCUAGUGUAUUACCCUAUGCCGUAGCGGCCGGAAGGGGGAGAUGCUAAAAAGCUGGCCUGAAAUGAAGACAAGGUGGAGUGACCCAUGCAGUCUGGGAAAUAUUGCCCUUUGCGAGUUUGCGGUAGUUUGGUGUAUAUGGAAAUAUCAAUAUCAAGCAAUCUUGAAUGAGGGUGGAAAUGUGGAAUGAUACAGAACAAGUUGCUUGGCCACAUAAAAGACAUUGUCUGUUUCUGGUUGAAUAUCAUUUCAAAGAUCUCCUAUUGGACUGGGGAUGGAGUCGAGGACUAUGGCUGAACACUGACAAAUUAGCAAGAUUGGACCCAACUUCUGACAAGAUUGCUAGGGGCUGCAGCUCUCUACAGGAUUUUUCCUGGGGCUGGACUGGGAAGCUAUAGUAGUAGCAACCGAGCAGUGACGACCUGGGGUAGCAGCAACAGUGUACUGAAGGAAGGAAUCAGUUUCAAAGUGAUCGAUCGAUGUCUGUAACUGUAACUGGAAACUUUCUGCAGUAAUGCUUUGGUCUCUUUUGUUUGCAGGUGUAAAUUGUUACAAUAUAUCUUUAGGCCAUGGAUCACAUUUGAAAUAUUGUACUGUCCCUUGAAUCAAAACUAGAACUAGCUACAUAAAUAAUUAUGAUGCGCACAAGCACAACCGCACUAUUUUCCGCUUACUUUCACAGAAAUUAGCAAAUUCCAUUCAAGAUGUAAAAGCAGUUCAGUUUUGUUGUCAAUAUUACAAUAAAAAUGCAAUGAUGGCAAACCUGUUUUGAGUGACAUUUUUGAUAUUCAAUCUCAAUAGCACCAACACAAAAUAAAAUUUUCUACAACAACAAAAGUUUAAAUCUUUAGACUCCAAUCAAUCAAACAUGUUAAUUUACCUCUCCCCUGUAUGAACAAACCAUUCAAAUAUACAGAUCUAAUAAACUUCAAAAAGGUCCUUCUUUGUAUAAAUUCUUCUAAAGCUUAUCUACUCGAUCAUCAUCUCUUCCAAUCCAUCUUUAUUAAUUAAGGUUCAAGAGGGGUUUGGUUAUGGUGAAGUGGGUCUGGACCUGUUGGAACUUUCCUUGCUGAAUCAUCUAACCCAAUGCCACCACUUAAAUCCCCAGCAACAUUCAUCAUCUCAACCUGAUGAAAUCAUAUAUAAAGCAAAAAUUAAUGAACAAAACCCAUUUCAUAUUUAAAGAUUUGAAAUUUUUUAUAAAAAAAUAAAAAAUGGGUUUUCUAAUUUCUAUUAAUACAUUGUGUUCAUUCAAAGUUGUUUCUUUUGUCACCAAUCUCUCUCCUUGAAAACCUGUUUACAACAUAAACACCCCCACAAGUUACUAUAUAUGUGAUUGUUUUUUAGAUAAAAGCUAGAGAAAGGAAAGAUAUAUAUAGAAAUACUUACUGAAUCGAGAAGCUUGAAUGAAUGUUAAUGGAGAAAGUAAAGUCAUUAAAAUGAGUACGGAAGUGAGAAUAAGUUUGCUGCUUGUUCUUCUUCUUCUGAUCGCCAUUAAAAGAGAAAGUAAAGUGUUGUGUUUUUUUCAAGAUAUUAUAUUUCUUUCAAUAAAGAAAGGGUUCAGGGUUUUAGAAGCUUUACUAUCGUAAAUCCAGUUCUUUUUUAACUUAUCUAACAUCAUAUCUAAACCUGCAGCCACGUCUUGAUCUGAAGGAUUUGGAUCUAAUCACACACUACAAUAAGCGUUGAUUUAGAAAAGGCGAAAGGUGAGGUAACAAACACCGGUUGUACUGGAUCAUCAAAAAGCAGACACGUGGAGAAGUAUGAUUUGAAGUUAAUGUGACCUCAUCAUAUCAAAUCCGACAGCAAUCAUUGAGUGGGUCCAGUAGUCUUUAGUUUCUAAGAGUUGUAUCUGUGCAACACUUAAAUAAGACGAAAAACGUUUGUCUUUUAUAGAGGGUUAAACGGUUUUCGAGCCAAACCAGAACCGACCCAUGAUAUAGGCCCAAAGGCCCACGAAUAUUUCUUCUCAUCAUAUAUAUAUAUAUAUAUAUAUAUAUAUAUAUAUAUAUAUAUAUAUGUGUGAAAGUGAAACUAUGAAAUAAAAGACUCCAAGAAACUUAAACAAUCUUUAAAGUAAGUAGAAAGAGAGAAUUAGGGUUUGGUAUCAUCAUUAUCAUGGCAACAGAAACCAAGAAGAUGAUUCGUUUGAUGACUUCUGAUGAACAAGUUAUUGAUGUUGAAGAAGUAGUUGCAUGUGAAUCUGAAACAAUCAAGAACAUGAUUAAAGAUAAUUGUUAUGAAGAUGGUAUUCCUCUACCAAAUGUGACUGGUAAUAUUCUUGCUAAGGUUAUUGAGUAUUGUAAGAAACAUGUUGAAGAAGGUGUUAGUGAUGAUGAUAAGAAAAAGUGGGAUGAUGAGUUUGUUAAGACGAUUGACCAAAAUAUGUUGUUUGAUCUUUUCUUGACUGCAAAUUAUCUGAAUAUCAAUAAGUUGAUGGAUUUAACAUCCCAAGCUGUUGCUGAUUCCAUUAAUAAUCUCAAGACUGAGGAAGUUCGCGAGAUGUUUGGCAUUGUCAAUGACUACACUCCAGAGGAAGAAGAGCAGAUUAGGAAGGAGAACCAGUGGGCAUUUGUGUGAUUGGAGGCGCUUUUUAUGGAAUUAGUUUUGUUAGCUUAGGAUCUUAUCAGUUUUUCUUCUCUUGUGCUUUUGGAAGCUAGAAUACCUAAUGGUAUAACUUUGGUCAUGUCUAGGGUAUUCGGUAUGUUUGGUGUCUUGGUGCUUUAGGUCAAAUACCCAAGGUUAUAAGUUCUUGUCGCGGUACUUCUGGAUUUGUUCAUAUGAAAAUUUUGCAAUUUUUUUUGUUUAUUAUUUGUGAAUGUGAAAUUUGAAAUGAAAAUAUAAUUUAUAAACAAGACUACCUUUAUUUAUUUUUUAAAUUUUAGAUGAAAAGUAGAUGGAAAAUGCUACUCUGUAGAUUGUAUAAGGCAUCCAACACCAGAAAAAACUUCUGAUGUUAGUGGGUUGCUUGUACUAAAUAACUAAAACAGGAACCAAGGCGAAAGAAAAUUAAGUGAAAAAUUAAAAGGCUCAGGCAAAAGUGGAAUUAAGGGAUAAAUGUUUUUUCUAAGAAAAUACAUAUACAUAGCAGUGAUAGUAUGGGAAGAUGAACACCUUCUUGUUUAUCCAUCUUGCCCUGCAUUCAAAAAGUAGGACAACAUCUUUAGAUCAAGUAGAAAAGUCAUCCUGAAUCCAUAAAUAAUUACUCUUUGGAGAGAAAGGGAAUGAUCUCGAAGAUGACAAGCUGAAGGAGAUUACAAGAAAAGGCGAAAACAUGACCGAAUAGAAUCUGUACGAGAGCUGUUUACUCUUCGUAUUCUUUGUAUAAUCUUCGAUUCAUAAAUGCAAAGCACUGCCCAUCCAAGAAGACACAAAAAUCCUAUUGCCACUGUUAAGUUUAACAACCACCUUAUUUUAUUAUGGCUCUCAGUCUCAGACAUACACAUGCAUAAGCUUAAGCUUGUCAAAAGUUUAUAGUGCACAACUUCAAUGGUAUAUCAGCCAUUUGCACACAAGUACAUCUACUGUCAAUGGAAUAGUUCAGGCAUCAACAUGAAAAACAUGUACAGUAGUAUUGUGAACCAGGUAAUGGAAUCUGGUAUAAUUAAUCAAUCUUCUGAAUUACAUAUAAAGGCUCCUCCAUUUGUUAAGUUUCUCAUUUUCUUCAAUAAGUAAAUAAUACAUCAGUUUGAUCCUACUUUAAAUAUAGAAACAAGCAUAUCCUCAUCAAUGGUAUAAAUUGGUAUCCCUUCGUUUUUAUAAUAAAUAUGUUCCUCUGGAACGCAAACCAAAGAACAUCACUGAGAUAUCUACCCUCUGUUAAUAACAAUGAGCAAACCCGAAUGACGUGUACUACUACUUCUUAUAUUCUCUGAUCUCUUUAAUUAUGCCAUCAGUCAGUGAAUCCACGUCAUGAUUCUUCCCAAAAAAUUUCACAUACUCCAUAUUAGGAUCCAUCAGAUACCUGCAAACAAUUACAGUAUAACAAGCUUUCAGAGGCAGAUAGAUUUGUUCAUUAGCAAACCGCAAAAUUAUAUUAAUAACGGAAAAAAGUGGAUCGCGUGAAAUGCAACAGAUUUUUGGCCAUGUGAAAAAUCAACAAACAUAAAUGGAACACAACAAAGAAAAUAGAGAGAGUACAUAUAUCUUUCCACUGUCUUUUCUGUUGGGAAAAAGGAGGGGGAGAUAGAUAUGUAUUAUAAAACAAAGCUAGAUAAGAAAAGGUGGUUCUUUUUAUCCUACUGAAACACGACACAUCAUACGCCCCAAGCAUGACCACCAUAGAUGCGCUUUAUAUAAUAAUCAAAACAGUAAAACACUAAAUAUUGGUGAAGAGAGUUUGUAAGUCAAGGUUUGCACAUCCCAAAUGGAUAAUUUGCACAUCCCAAAUGGAUCAUUAUACUUCACUAGGAAUCCAUUGCCAUAAUGUCCAUGUCUAUUAUAGCUCCAUUGCAAUUUCCAAGCUUUCCUAUCUAUCCUUAGUUUUCUAAGCUUGUUUAGUAAGAUUGUUUCUUUGCCUUUGCAGAUUUGUUUGGGUGGGUCAAAUUCUUUAUCGUCUUACAAUCUUUAUUCUAAAUGCUGCAUAGAAAGUAGAAGAUACAAUUUUAAAGUCCAGCGCAUGUGGCCUAUCAGGCUAUCUUAAUUUAAGCUACCAAAAGAAUGGUCUAAUCAUCAAUCACAUGGAGAAGUUAACAACUGUGCAACCUUAACGAACUCCAGUGUAACAGCAAGUAAGUUACAUGCUCAGGAUUCAGGAAUAUAGCAAUAUUUCAGAAAUGCUGCAUAGGAAGUAGAAGAUACUAUUUGGAAGUCAAGAUAUGUGUACGAGACAUAACAUAACAAAAUACAUGCUCAGGUAUAUUUUCAGAAGGGUUUAAAGAUAGUAAAUUUAUAGUUUCCUAGAGUAGGCAAAUGCAAAUGAGUUCCUUACUAGCAGUCCUCCCAAGAAUAACAGUACACAAAAAUAGUAUGUGGCAUACUGACAUAACAAUAUAACAUAUGCUCCAUAAUUCAAUGUAAAACAGUAAAAGAUAAUUAAGUAGAACAAGGGAGGGAGAGAUUCCAAACAUGAUAAUAGAGUGAUCAACGAGAUAAUCCGAUCCUUCCUCUUCAGUCUUCAUAUAGUAAACUCGAUAAGCGCGAGCAACUUUCUUUACUUCAUCCGCCGAACCAGUUAAACCAACUAAGUUUGGAUGAAAUUCUGCAACAAGAAUUUAACUAUUAACCUGAUUUGAGGAUAUAAUCACACCAAAAUGAUACUGGAAUAAGCUAAGUUAUAUAUUCCAACAUCAGUAGGCACCUUUAACAUAAUCGUGGACCUGCCCAACGGUAUCUCUCUCAGGAUCAACUGAUAUGAAUACAGGUACAAUUUCAAUCUUUGCCUUUUCCUCUGCAAUCCAGGAGACAACAACAAAUGUUGAGCCUGCUUAUAUAUCUAGUAUUGAUGAAACUAAUACUUCAACAUAAAAUGAGGUUCAAGUGACCAAAGAACUUGAAUUCAUGUGUCCAUCAAUCAGCACAAAGAAAGUAUACUUGGGAAGGUGAAGAACAAAGCAUUAAAUGGUCCAUUAGAUAAGUUACUUACUUAUCUUGUCGAUAGCAGCAGCCAACUUUAGUAGCUCAUCUGGACAAAUAUCAGGGCAAUGAGUAAAACCAAAAUAUACCAAAGUCCAUUUCCCCCGAAAAUCUUGCUCGGUAACAGAUUUUCCAUUGUGAUUAACAAGGUUGAAUGGACCACCAAUGGCUGCUUUUCCAACAGAUGGUCCUUGCUUUACUGCGGUUGCCGCAUUAUUUAUCUCUGCAGUGAAACCAAGUGUUAUAAACGGGGUUUUUGUUCAACUUGUGAACAAGAAAUUAGUCUGCACAAAGAUUAUGGUGGUGAGUUUUUCCCAGCAAUCAGUGGUCCUGAAAUAGUGGUCAAACCGCAAAAAAGGGGGGCUUGUAAACAGUAAAACCAGAUAAAAUAAACUGUUUCAGCGAUAGUUUUGUGGUUCCAGUUAUGCACUAGUUGCUAAACGCUAACACUGCAAACUCAUAAAAGAAUGCUGAGGCGUGAAAUUCAUGUUAGUUAAACCAUGAUAUUUUGAAUCCCUCCAUCCCACACUAAGCCAACUCACCAUAGUAAUCUACCUUCAAUAUGUUUUUUCUUCUCCUUGUCAUAAUAAUAAAGCAGUCCAGCUCCAGUUGUGAUCAGGAAGAGAAAGCUCAGCCAUGAAACAGGCUGCAAAGGGAAAAGCAAAACUUGAUAUGCUUACAGAAUAAACUCAAAAAGUUUAACUCUAAUAAAUAUAAAUUAAUAAACAAAGAAAGAGAAAGGAAAAAUGACAAUCCCUUUAGAAUGCAGUUUGAAUGAGUAGGUAUGUAGGUGAUGAAUUGUUCACAUUCUUAUUCAUACUUGUGAAGAGUUUCAAUAUCAUUAAAUCAUGCUAAAACUGUAAUGUGAUCAAUAUUAUCUAACUUUUAUAAACCUUCUCAUACUUGUACCCAUAAACUGUAAUGUGAUCAAUACUAGCAGACUUUCCGAAAUCAUGACUUUCAGCAAAAAGAAAGAUACUAAAUGAAAGUGAAACCAUUUUAAUGAUAAACAUAUUGAUACUGGCCUAGAAGGCUGUAGAAGACUACAAUUGUGCGUAAAAGGAAUCAAAAUCAGUUUAUAAUAAACAUUUUAAUCAUUGAUUCACAGUAAAAUAUAAGUUGAGCAAUUGAGGGUAGGGUUGUGUUAUAGACUUAUAUAGGUCUCUUCCCAAACCAGUAUUGGAUGUCUUGCUAGUGCAAUUGAUGGCCUGAUCUAAUUAUGGUGCUAGCUCAUUCUGGAAGUGAUGAGGUUAACAACUUCCCUGGGUACGGAAGUGAGACCAUCAUCUAUUUUAAACUACUUACAUGAUAAAAAAAAAUAUUCUACUUACGAACAAGUAGUUGAAAGUAAAAUUCACCAACAAUUCAUAUAUCUAGAAGACUCACAACGUGCAUAUCUAAUACAACAAAUUCAUAUCUUACAAUCUAGCAACAGACUAUUGCGCAAACUACAUAUAAAUUAGAAUGAAAUGAAAUAUUACCGCGCCUCGACUAGAUUUUCCAGCAUUUGAACUAGACUGUUUUGACGAUUCACUUGCCUUCUCCCCUCCCUCAGAACCAACUUCCAAUGGCUUCUUCGAUUCCUGAUUUUCAGAACUACUGGAUAGAAACCUAUGACUUAACAUAGAUGUUCCAUUUCCAAGACCUGAAGAAAAAACCUGCAAAAAAAAAAAGCAAAUUGCUCAGAAAAAUAAACAAUUGUAUGUAAAAUUAAAGAUGGGUUUUCAAAAAAACAAACCCAUUGUGAAGAUGGAGAUUGGAGAAGGUUGAACUGUUCAUUAAGAAGAUGAGUUGACAGAAAUGAUGGAUUUGAUUUCAUCAAAUGGUUGUGAUUGCGAGUGUAGGUUAAAAAGCUGCGACGGAUGCAGCGGAUACAAUUAUUUCUUGAUAUGGUAGAAAUCAUGGCUGCAAUCGAUUGAAGAGAAGAGAGAGAGAGAGAGAGAGAGAGAGAGAGAGAGAUUUGAAUGAAGAAAAACCCUGGUUUGGUUUUGGAAGAGGAGAGGUUUUACUCUGUUUGGGUUGGGUUGGGUUGGGUUGGGUAAAGACUAAAGAGUUGGACCAACGUGUGCUAAUUGAGUGAGUUGGAAGCCCAAUUGUUAAGCCCGCAAUCAAAAUUUACGGUAAAUCUCAAAUUCUCAAUUUCUUAUGUUUGAUUGGUAAAUUCUUUAAGUAAAAAUGUAGAGAAAUAUUGGAGCUUUUAAUGGUGAAUUGGUGAUAGACUUUCACUAAAAAUGUAGAGAAAAUAGCAUUAUAGUUAUUUUAUUAAAAUUUUAUUUUUCUAAUAUUUUUAACUAACAAAAUCAAAAAAAUUAUUUCCCAUAUGAAUCAAACACGUUGUAACCACAUUGAUGGUCAUAGUUGCAUGCAUAGUUUAAAAUUUCGAAUCCGGGCCAAAUUUCAAAUUUUGAAAAAAAACGGUGUAUUUUGACACUCCGACACUUAAAACAAAAAAGUAAUAUGAAAUAUUGGGAAUAUAUAAGAAGGAGCCGACUAUUGCUAAGGCAUAUUUUUCUGUUAGACUUAUUUGCCCUCUAGAUUUAAUCAGUUAAAUCUAAUCUAGAUAUUAUAUGUUAUAUUUUUUGGUGUAAGGUUUGUGGGAUAAAUAAAACACUACCACGUAUAGGUGCAAUGAACCCUAUUGGGAUUUGAACAAGUUACUAAACUAUUUUAUACUUUAGAUUUGUUGAAAAUUUUGAUCUAUGGGUGAAUAGAUUUUAAAAGAUAAUAAAACCUAAAUUGGAAGAAAUAUAAUAAUAUAUUAAAAGGUAAAUAAGUCUAAUAGAAAAAUACACCUUUAUAAUAACAUAUUAUUACAAACCAAUUUGUCAAGAUAUAUAACUUUAAUAUAUUAACAUAUAUAGUGCACAACUACACAUAGCCACUAAAAAUAUACACAACCAUCACAAUUGCGUCAAUGGUUGUGAGAGUUGACACAAACAAUUCACAAAAUCACUAAAAACAGACACAACCAUCACUUUCCCCUGUAAAUGAUCUGCCCAUGUUAACCACCUUUACACCACACGCAACCUUCACCUUAUGAGUGAAUUGCCUCAAUAAACUUGUUACCCGAAAUGUAUAAAUAAUUUAACUGUUGCAGAUGAAGAUGUAGUUUUUCCAUUGUAGUAAAAGUUUGUAAAUGGAACUUGAAUCAUAAUCAGGCUCUUGGGCUUCUGAUGGAUUUUUUUGAUGUUAUAGGAAGAUAUGAAAUUUUUGUUACGUUCUAAUGUAGCUACCAUGAAAUCAUAUUUAAGAACUCUAGCCGAUGUAUUCUCGAUAGCCCAAUACCAAUGAUUGACUUAUUCAUUGUAGCGGGAACAAUGGUAUGUCUUUUGUUUAUUUAUUUUGAAGCAUAUCGUAGAAGCAAACUAUGGUUGCCUUGUUGUUUUUUCUCACUCAAUUCCUUAAAUUUUACUCUUCUUGAAGUUUCUACUAACAUCCCAGUUAAUUUAACUAGUUCACAAGACCAGCUCUCAAAACUUUGGGAAACUGUAUUGAUAUGUAUUUCUAUGGGUUUCUUCCCCCAUUCCCUUGCUGAUAUGUCGGAUUCUGAAUUGUUUCCUAACAUCAUCUCCUUGACAAUUCUUGUGUUAAAGAUAAUAAAUUUUCAAUUGGUUGGUAUUAGUAAGUGAAUUCCAACAAAAUAUCUAAGUACUAAAUAUUUUGAAUUAAGUGAAUUCGAACAAAAUAUUUUAGUACAAAUAAAAUAAGUGAAUACAAACCUAAGAAUUAUUAUUACAAACCAAUUUGUAAUAUUAUUACAAACAUAAAAGAUAUUAUUACAAAGAUAAGAAAUAUUAUUAGUACUAAACAUAAUAACAUAAUAACAUAUUAUUGCAAACCAAGUUGUCAAGAUGUAUAUUAUUAUGAACAUAAAAGAUACUAUUACAAAAAUAAGAAAUAUUAUUAUUAUUAAAUAUAUUAACACAUACAUAUUAUUACAUAUUAUUGCAAUGGAUAUACGUGACCAAUUAUCUCACUUUAAAUUGUGGAACUAUACUUAAGUAGAGAGAUAAUGCAAGAGAAUCAUUUACCUGAGACUGUCAGUAUGUCUCACUUGGUUUUCUGGAUCCCCCUCGUAGAGCCUUACAUUUGUACCACUUUGAGGGCAAGGGAGAUGUCUCUUCCUGAUAGUUGCCACGUACACACGAAAUAUAUUUUUGAAAGGAGUCUCACGAUGCUCGACAGGUUUCACGAAUGACUUAUUCGAUGCCAAACACAGCUAAGUCAGCAAACCCCAAAACCAAUGGUGGGUAUAAAGAAUUGACCAAUGUUAUCAAAAACACCAAAAAAUCUUGGUGUUUUUUUCCCCAUACUAGCUUCAAUCCAAUGGAUAGGACUAUGAACGCAACCUUAGUUACAUAUUUUAGGAUAGCCAAUGCAAUAAGGUAUUCGUGCAACUGAACAAAUCUAAAGAUUUCGGUGUCAUUUCCAAAAACAAAUCUUACCACACUUGCCAAUAAAUAGCUUUUGUCUCUUUUAUUGGUGGCUCUUAUUUCUUUUUCCAAGGCAGUUGAUGAAUUCUUUAGGCUAAACUUUGCAAUCCCAGUAAAAUUCCAUGGGAAUACAAACAUAAGUGAAUAUAAACAUAAGAAUUAUAAUUACAAACCAAUUUGUAAUAUUAUUACAAACAUAAAGGAUAUUAUUACAAACAUAAGAAAUAUUAUUAGUACUAAACAUGUUAACAUAAUACCAUAUUAUUGCAAACCAAGUUGUCAAGAUGUAUAUUAUUACAAACAUAAGAAAUAUUAUUAUUAAACAUAUUAACACAAUAACAUAUUAUUACAAACAUAAAAGAUAUUUGGGAAAUUUCUCAAAAAACCACCACAUUUAGGUGCUUCUUCCCAAAUAGCCACUCAUGAGAGGUAAUCUUCCCAAACAGCCACCUUACCCCACCACUUUAUACUUUUCAGAUUUUUUCUUACCUAAACUACCCUUUGUACUUAUGACAAAACUUUUUGCUUUGAUUUGACCAAGUACAAACUGAUGUGACCCCUUCACAAUAACCUAUAUAAAAAUUACAACCAUUGAUUUUGCUAGAAAUGAGAGAUUAAAUCACAACCGUUUAUUAUUCAGAUGUAUUUACAAACUACCCUUAACAGUUGUUUCCAAACUAAAUGACGUGUACAGCUGAGAUUAAACAUGGAUUUGUGCAUACAACGAAAAGCUGACACGUGUUUAUAGCCGUUUGGAGGGUAAUUUUGGCGGGAAAUUUUUGAGAAGAUAAUCACUUCCAAACAAGAACGUUUUUGGCGGGAAAUUUUGGCGGGAAAUUUUCUUACCUGAAGUGUUUUCUGUUUUUUUUUUAUGUUGUUGAAGUUUUUUUUUUCUUGUCUUGGAUGGAUGUACAAACCCUUUUCCUUUCCCUUCCCUUAUGCAAAUUAUGAAAGUAUUAUUAUAUUACAUGUUCUGUUCGUCCAAUAUUUAGUAUAAGUUAGAGGAUACAGAAUUACUAUUUAGAGAUACUAAUCAUCACCAUUAGAGGAUACAGAUGUAAUAUCCGGAAGAUAAACAAAUAAACAUACAAAAUAAAAGGCAACCUACAAAAUGUGCCAUAUACAGGCAAACAUAGAACAAAAUGGUCAAAGUCUGGUACAACUUCCAAAACACUCCCAACACUUAAUAGGAAUCAGGUGGUCAAAAAAUAUUCAAAGUAUGGUACACCUUGAGCUUCUUCUCUCCUGUAAUGUUGGAUGUACAAAUCCUUUUCUUUAAUACAAAAAGUUAGUAUACAUUAGAUGGUAAAGUUUCACUAGUUAGAGGAUAUUAAUCUUUCAACUAGCGGAUACAUAUGUGCCAUAUAAAAGGCAAACAUAAAACAAAAUGGUCAAAAUCUGGUACACCUUCCAAAGGCAUAACUUAGAUAAAGUCUGGUACAUGCGUGGACUGUCAUUGACGACAGCUUGAAUUAAAAAAUUGUGUCUUUGUGUAUGAGUCAUAUCUUCAACCAUCUCCAUAAACUCUUCAUAUGGUGCCUUCAACUCCCAAACUGUUAUUUUUGUGUCACCAUUCUUGUAUGAUAACAAUCCAUCUGCAUUAGUCUCAACCUGACCACCAUAGCGAAACACAACAUUGAUAGUGCUACCUGAAACCACAAUUUCAUGCAAACUAUUAAAACAUAUCGGCUAAAAGUAACUAACAAGUCGGUUAGUAUACUUUUAUUUAACCUCUAAUAUAAUAUAAGUUAUAGUUUACUUUUAAAACAGAGUGACAUUGACCUCAGAUGUGCACCAGUAAACUGAUAAUGAACCACAAUCAAAAUCACAGCACCAUUUAUGUUAGCUUGUCUCUAAAUUAUGAGGAUGUGAGUUUGCUAAAGAUACAACUUUUAUGAGGUUGGGAUUUCAUAAACACACAAUCUUUAUCAAAGAUUCCAUCUUUAUGAAGGUUAGGGUUCAUAAAGAUGGUAUCUUUAUAAAGAUUCUAUCUUUUCAUGAGAUACCAUCUUUAAAUCGCCAACACCUUCACCACAUUUUUGUCAUAAAACAGAACAAAACGUAUGUUAAAAUGCUUACACAAAUCAACAACACCUACUACAUUCAAAGCCAAACAACAACACCUACUUUAUUGUCCAAACAUUAAAAUCUGCAAAUUUAAGAACAUUUAAAGCUUACUUACCUAAUUUACUGUUCAUCUGGACUUCAUUUGCAAUUAAAGCUUUCGAUUUUGCCUUUUUCUUUGGUGGCAUUUUGGGUGUGAAGAAGUACAAUGUUUGUGUGUUUAAGGUUGGGGAGAAGAAUAGUGUAGAAGAAAGUGAAGAACAAAGGGAGAACAAACAAUGUUAAGGUUCAGAGAAAAAGCGAAAAAGUAGAAGAAGAGAAGAGAUGAAGAUGACAUGGUGGUUGUAUGUGCAGUACAUUCAUUAGAAAAUCCAACGGUAGGGAUCUAUUGUUUUCAAUCCAACGGCUAAGUUUGAUUUAAUGUCCUUAUCUAAAACUUAAAUGCAAUAAAUGAAUCUUUUCUUUUCAACCAAAAAGUUGAUUUGAUGGAGACAAGAGCAACAGUUGUACAGAAGGGUAUAAUUGUAAACAAAAAGUAGGCAAGUGGGGUAAGGUGGCUAUUUGGGAAGAUUAGCUCUCAUUGGUGGCUAUAUGGGAAGAGACACCUAAAUGUGGUGGUUUUUUGAGAAAUUUCCCAAGAUAUUUUCAUCGGUUGAAAUUGACGAAGAGUAUGAUAAACACUAUCUUGAAGAGAAAAAUAUUGAGAAUGAUGAUUUUUUUUUUUUGCAAGUAGGGUUGAGGGGACCUUUACCCCUUUAAAAUACGUGUGGAAACUUAUAUCAACAAUCAGUUAUUGACGUGUUUCGAACCCACAACCUCUCCACUUUGUGAGAGGGGUGCUACCAUUGAGAAUGAUGACUUUCAUAUAGACUAUAGUGAACAUGUUUUGAAUGAUGAAGACUAUGGUAAAGAUGAUUGGUACGGUGUAGGAAAAGUUGAUCGGUACAGGAGGUGGCGCAAGAAUGAACAAGAAGACGAUGAUUGUGUACCUUUACAUAAAACAUCUAUAUUCCAAGACAUUAUAAGCUUCUCACAACUCUUUUUAUCUUCUCUAAAGUACUCUAAUUAAUGAACGUUGUACAUAAAAUAUCUUGUUGUUCACUUUUAUAUAAUAAAAUGAUAAAUGAACAACCUUGCUCAAGUAAUAAAUCUUUUCGAUCCUAGUUUAAGCAUUUGUAUUAAUUUGGUGUUCCAUAAUAUAAUAUGUAUGUUUUUCUUGGUCCCAAGAGUAUUCAUUUAUAGAGGCUCAUGCAGCAUGUCCGCUAAAAAUUCCAAAAAAGAAAAAGAAAAAAACAGACCACAAUUAAGCACUAUACUUUAUCAUACGGUGAUAAAUGAUCUGUGUGUUGAUUAUGUACAAGAGAAGAGGUAAUUUCAUCCUUAGCAUCACCAACUUUCUCUUGAGCUUCUUCUUUGGACUUCGACCACAAAUAUACGUAAAGGCCAACAACUAUCACAAUUGAUCCAAUAACACUGCAAAAAAAAAAAAAAAAAAAAAAAUUCAAUAUUUCAUUAAUUAAUAAAAUUCUCCGAUCAAUUACUUGUAGUAUUAAAACCCUUGAUAAUUUUACUAAGUUUAGUACUUUAUUCACCUUCCAGCAUUCAUUCCUUGCCCAAGAAAUAAGGUAUCGAGAAUUGUCGUAAAGAGAAGUCCUAGAGGACUGAAAGAGGCCACAAAUACUGGUCCUUUCAAUCCUGCACACCACGCAACAAAGAAGUUGGCGAGUCCACUGUUAAGUGCUCCCUGCACAAAAAACCAAAACAAAAAAUGCAGCAAAUAUCAGUGAUCAUCGCACGUCAACUAUGCAUCUCAGGAUCCUUUCCUACAAGAAGUUGCGCAAGUCACUUACACCAACUAAUAUGUUAAGUAGCUCUAGGUCCCAUUUAAGCUGCCACUGAGAAGUCUUGUGGUUCAGAAUCACAGCCACUACUCCUGUCUGUAACGUAGCAAAGAAGAACAUGAUACUUGUCAUGGACAACUCUGCUGGAUAUCUCUUUGUCAUGGGCUCCUGCAUACCAAAACACCAAUUAUGCCCAAAAUUUAUGCCCCAAAAAACUACUUAAGACCCAUGAAUUGGGGACUUACCAGCAUUAAGAUCCAUGUACUAAAAGCAACCACUCCAACAAUCACCAUGACCAAACCAAUUGCCCAAUUUUUGGAAUCUGUGACUGUUACAUUAACAGUUGAUUGGUGCCAAAACAUAAGAGUCAAUGCUCCUGAAACAGAUAAAAUGGUUCCAAACAGCUUGCCAUUUCCCCACCAGGUUUGAAGUUGAAGCUUUUCUUGUCUUGUGAUAAGAGAGAGUAUGUAUGUAAUGGCAGGAAUCAUGUUAAGAACUGAAGAUUCUAUUGUGCUAGAGAUGAAGUAUAGAGCUGUCGAUAACAUGAAUUGUGCAAACGUUACCCUGGCAGAAACAAAAAGAAGCUAGAAUUUGAGGCAAUCUAAAUAUAUAUAUAAGCACUUUUGGCUUAAUGUAUCAAUCACAGCAAAUAGUUUUUCAUUUGAUCAUGCGCAAUGGAAAAUAAAAAUUGCAAACAUAACAUAACGUACCCUACGAAAGCCAAGAGAAAUAUUCCCCAUAAGAUGUUCAUGGUUAGAGGAGGCAAAUUCUUUCUGCAGAAAAUAAAACGUUAAUUAAGCAUGCUGAUGAUUUAGUGAUUUACAUAAAACUCAGAGAUUCAAAGCUUGUAUGUAAGAGUAUUUGUGAAUAGAGCUAACCUUUCAAAGAUAUAUGCAAGAAGAGCCAUAAAGAGAGUAGCUAAUAUGAAUUGAUAAACAAGAAACACAGUUGCACUUAUUCCUUGAACCAAUAUCACCUUACUUAAAACUAUAUAACUUGCUGUAAUCACUUGCCCUAGUAUUAAGCUUCCAUGGGGAGCAAUUGUUCUUGCAACACUCUUUACUGAAACCAUCUCUCUUUCUCGAUGUGGAAAAUUUUUAAAAUUGUAUUGUGAUGUCUAUAGGCUAUAGGCAUUCUUUGAAAACUUUUGACAAACAACAAGCGUGAGAAAUGAAUCAAGGUUCCCACGUGCAUCUCGUGCUUUCAACUUGGACUUAGAAAGAUGUUAGAUUGGUCCCAAAGUUACUUUAGCAUUCCCCAAUCUUCAUUCAUGCUGCAUGUACAUAAUAGACAAAAACACACGAAUGCAAAGUUCACCAUCACAAAUUCACAAUUGUGCUCAAGAACUUCACCAUCACAUCAGAAAAUGGAUUCAAUUGGCGCUGCAUCCCCUAUAUAUAUACCUAUACCUGGCUGGCUUUGGUCGACUCAACAUACAGUAAAUGUAUUCAUUGAGCUCCCAGCCUGGAUGUGCCCAGACGAAGAAGAUGGCAGAAUCUACAUGGAAGAAAGACAUCCCAAAUUCCCAACUAGAUUUGACACCCAGCCUACUUGUGUUCACCAAGAACACCAUUAAAAGUUGAUUACAGGAAAAAUGUCCAGUGGUAACUUAACAGUUUACAAGUUGAAACUAUUAUAAAAUAGCAGUAUAACACUCAACGAAAAAGCUCAAGCUCAUUACUUUAAAACAUAAGAUUCAACUACUGAGUACAUUAAUUAUACAAGUGAGCCUAGGUUAAUCUAUAAUGGCAGAUGUGAAUAUCUACUCACUGCCUCUUAUGUAUUAGCUGGAAACAGGGUCGUUGCCACAGAAUACGGAUGACCAAGUGACCUUGAUAUUAUUCUGCGAUAGGAAAAUAAAGGAAGAUUUACAGCCAGAACUCCUGAUGAGCUUGACGACAUCACAUUAUACUUGCAACCUCAGUCACCCUGCAGGCAAUAGAGCUGACGAAUAUUUCCAGAAGCUGCACCAUGAAAUAGAGCUUCGUUAGUCAUCUUUCCCCUAUCUUAGUCUCAGACAUGGAAGCAACUGCAGUCAAGAACGAUGGCUAGGUGGUACAUCCUGAACUCAAUCGCUUUGAAUAAAUUCAAAGAGUGACUACAGGAACAUAUUCUUAACCUAUCAGGAAUCAGGAUACUAUAAGCUCAGGAAGUGGCUAAACUAUUACAUAAAACUUGAAAUACCUAUAGGUCAAUACUCAAUACUCAUGUACUCCUCUUGCCAGAUUACAAUAAUAGAGAUGUCGUAAAUGGAAAUGUCAAUUUUAGAAGCUAAAAUACAUGAUAUCCAAAAAAUUCUAUCAAGGGGAGUUAGUAAUGAUGCUUUCUUGUUUCAACAUCUCAUGGUUAAACCAGAUCAUAUCAAGGAGCCACAUGUCAACAAUAAAUAUGAAAUUGGUUAAUGCUCUUCCUGUAAGGGUUCAGGAGAUGUGAAGCUUUUGGCAUGAGACACUGAAUUACUUGAAGUUGAAAAGACUACUUUUCCUAAUAAUCUGGGGAACGACGUGAAACACUUUAAAAGUAAGCAAAUUCGAAUCAUAAGUAUUACCAUAUAGCCAUUCUUUGAAAUAUACAUGAAGGGCGGACGAUAACUCCCGUUUUUUGUUCUCAUCAAGUGGCAGAUCCCGCAAGGCUUGCUUGAUCUCCCCUAAACUCUGAUGCUGGAAAAGAACUAUGGUGUUAAAGUUUUCAGAACCAAGAAAAAGCUCAAAGAACAAAAGCAAAAUUCAAUACAGCAGUGAAUCAGCAUUUCAGUCAACGUACAUUUUUCUGCUGAGAUGCCAUAUAAAUCUCAGGCAAAGGGAAUGGAUUGUGUUUGGUGGAUUGUGCUGAUUCUUCUCCAAACCAAUUAGGAAUCUGAUCACCAAGGGAAGAAGAGCGUAUCAAUAACAAGGAUUACACUAUUUUAACAUGUCAACAUUUAUUCAAGAGAUUACAAUGUAGAAGAGGGCGCCUUCAAGACAGGUCUUUUUCGUCCCAGCAAAAAGACAGUUUUAUACCCAAAGGAAUACUGCAGCACUCUAAAAUUACACAAACUAGAGUUCAGUAGUCUCCAGAUCCCAUUAAAGACUCAAACUGCAGAACAUACCAUAAAGUUUGUGAACUGGUCAGGAUCAAGACAUGUUGCAGACUCUGCUUGAGUGUCUGAGACCCCUGCAGGAUGAGACAAAGCGUCAUGUGGAUCAACAGUCCCCAAAACCAGGGAUUCGUUCCAUCGGUUGGUAGUUGCAUCGACACCAACUUGAGCCAUAUGCUCCUCCAACUGCGAAUAAAAUGUAUUGUAUGGUGCUACCUGAUGUAGAAAUGACCAUAAGCUCUUAGAGUCCUAAAAAAUGUGAAGUGAGCAACUAAAUAAUCUGGUCUAAACAACAGUUUUCCUAGAUGGUCAGGAGAGUUUAGGAUGACCAUAGAGGUCAGCCAAAGGUCGAACAUGAUGGCAGUGUAAUCAAAGGUACAAAAUGGUAUGCCAACUUACCUGCAUUUUAUGAUUAUCCCCAAGAAUAAGUGGUCGCUGAUUUACGCCCAAAAAAAAGGUACACUCUCGACAAUUGGCUAUGCAGAUUCGUUUGGCUGCUGUUAGCACCUGCACUCGUUCACAGUGCUCCACUCGUAGAACCUGGCACAUGAAGGUGCAUUUACAUCUAAAUUUAAUGUCAUAGAUUAAGAGUCCACUUGUUGGUUCACAUGACAUAGUACAUACCAAUUGAGUAUAUACUGAAUUGUACCAAAUGCUUCGAUUGUCAGAGAAUUAACCUAUGGUAAGGGAAAUAUUACUGCCAUAAAAUAAGCAAAUAGAUGGUAAUCAUCAUCAUCAUCUAUUAGCAGUUGUAAAUGGAUAAUGGAAUGCAUUGCUUAUUUGUUUAGAAUGUCCCAAUCGAUCUAGGUGUAGACUUCUUUGAAAAUGGGUACAUGUUUCGACUAUAUAUUGAUCACCAGAUAUUGUGUUUUGCGUAAAAAUGGAACUGCAAUAAGAAAAACACUUAUUGAAUGGAACUGGUACACUAUUCCAUUUCAACAGCAACCUUGAAAAGAAGGAAAAAAUGUAAAUAUAUAGGGAUGAGUUGCACCAUAAUUUAUGUAUCAAUAAAAUAGAAUUGAUAUGGUCAAAACCCAAAAAUAGAAUCGAUAUGGUCAAAACCCAUCAAAUUUCCUGAUAUAAAUAUAUUGGACUCGCCAUAAACCUCAAAAGUAAAAUUUUCACAACGUACCUUUCCAACUGCUCCAAGAACUAUAGUUGCAUCUGAACAUCCAUAAAGAGUGGCAUAUCUUAAAGGUGCUAAAAUAUAAAUCACUGAAUCGUGACAAUUUAGAACCUGCUAGACAAAAAGGGAACAAAUUGUUAGGCUACAGGUUAUAAUAAACAUACACCUCACAUAAUUGAGCGCACACGACACCAUAGAUGUUAAACAUCCUAGCUUUUCUUUUUUGUAAUACCAGAAAUAAAAUCACAAAAUAUUGCACGAUGGAAAAGUAUAGCGAAAGCAAAAUAUAGACCAGAAUACACAAAAACUAAAAGGAACGAAAGUGAUCAUGAAUGUUCAGUACAUUAUCAUAGCCCCAACAUUCUAACAAUCACCUUUACUGAAGAGCCAAUAUCAGAUGCUUUCUUUGCAACUGAAGUUUUUGAGAUCCCCUCCACAAAACUCAGACUCCUGGCUGCACUUAAACCCUUGUCUGAACUUAUGCAAACAUCAGCCAUGGAAACAUCCUGAUCGCUACCAUUAGAUGGACCAUUUUCUUUUAAAUGACCUCUUUCAGCAGUUUGCUCCAAAGCAAGAGUUAUAUUCUGAUAAAUCCAGUCAUGAACUUGUACAGCAGAAACAUCUACUGCUGGCAUUUCUGGAUCUGAAUUCGCAAAAAAUGGAGAAGCCUGGCUCAAAGGAAUUCUGUCAGACCCCUUCUCCCCAAACUGGAUGAGGAACCCAAGGUGAUCAAGCCUUUCUGAGGUCAACACCUUCAUUUUAAAGUAAGUUACCAAUAAGUAAAUAAGGCUUCACCAUAUACACAUAUAAUAAGAGAAAAUAAUGGCAAUGCUUAUUCGCAUGAGGAAAAAUGGAAGAUACAAAGAGAUUUAGAUCUUUUUACAGAGGAAUAUUAAAUCCAAAAUUACUAUUUCUUGGAUUCCGUUUUGGAAAUAAAGUAACCAACCAUAGAUUCUUCAUCCUCGUCUUCCCUGGAUGUUGCAAGAAGAGAAAGUAAAUUAUCCAGGUGUUUUUGCAAAUAGGACAAUUGGUGGGCCUCUUCGUCGACCUGAGAUGGCAUAAACUUACGGCUGUUGCUUCGCACAAGCUGCAAGUCAAAUAAAUUUCACAUUAGUGAUAAGACAAAUUCAAAAGAGUUUGGACAGUUCAAGAAAUAAAUUAUAAGUGUUGAAAGGCACAAAUGCUUUUCGCAUUCAAAACUUAACAAGCCACCUGUAUUAUUUGUAAUUAGGUUCUAAUUAUUAGAUCUAUAUUUUUCCAAAUGUAUAUUCUCGAACCGAAAAUAUGUACAACUAAGACAAGGGACAACAUGUAGGUAGCAUAGGUAUGCAACACAGGUAAUAAACUGUCAGACACACCGACCCCAUAUUUUGAUACAUCAAUUCUAUCAUUACGCUUUGUCCACUCGAAUCAUAUAUUAUGCAGAACUGAAUAUUAUUAUCCUAUCGUACGACGCCCAUAAAUAAAACAGUCACAAUACCCUAUCAUAUUCAUACGAUAUACAAUACCCUUUAAGCUUGUCUAUGGAAACACAAUUCAUUUGCUUACAAAUACAGAAAGAUGAAGCAUGUGAGAAGCAGGAACUCUUUGUGAAAAUCAUAGUAGGCAUAUUCUGGGAUAUUUUGAUUGAGGCGUGAUAUUUUCUAGAGUUUGAAGCAAACAGGUUGUGUGAUUCUAUUUCCGGCCUAACAAUGUAAACUAUCCAUAAAAAAUCUCUAUUUUGCCUAACAGAUAACUUGCACAUUAAACGUUUUUAGACUAUUAGAGUAGUAGCAAGACCAAGUACAUUGUUACUAGAAUACUAGUAAAGUUGCUAUGGCGAUUAGAUCAAAACAAUCUAAUUUGAAGAACUUCAAACACAAUAACUCAAAUUAAAAACAAUAGCAUUCAAUAAUCCUCUAUCUUACUUACCUGCAAUGGUGAAAGCGCAGAAAGAUAACCAUCAAAAGCAGAAGUAGAAGGCCAAACAUCAGCAACAGAAGCAGAAUCUUUAUGAGAUCUAAAAACAAGUCUUUUAUAAGACUGAAUAUAAAGAAAAAGCAAUAAAUCAUAAACAUUAACACCAAAAGAAGAAAUCUCCUUGGGAUUCGCAUUAACAAUUGGAUCAGAAGAAUCAAAUGGAAGAACUGAAGCAAUUGUAUCAAUAAUAAGAUCAGAAUAUUCAAUUGAUAGUUGAAGAAUUUCUGAAAUUGAUUGUGAAUCAAUUCUUUCAAGAGAAUUAGAUCGUGAAAUUAAAAUUUGUUUUAGAGAUAAUAAAGUUGUAAUUCCAUCUGAGAAUAUUAUUUUGGAAAUUGGAAGUAAACCAUAUUCAAAUGGUUCACGACGGGCUCGAAGAAAGAUUUGUUGAUCUUUUAAGACUACUUUUGAAGUUUCGAUUUCUCCUUCUUCUUCCAUUUCUCUCUCUCUGGUAUUUUAUGUGAUGUGAAGAAGACGAGCAGGAAAAAAGUUCUGUUAUGUUUCCAUUUGUAGCUAAAAGUAGCUAACUGAACCAACCGGGUUUGGGUGCGAAAUGAGUUCAAACCCAAAAGCCCAAUCCAAGUUCAUUUUCCAAAAUGGUUUUAAUUUUGUAUGGAUCACACUGUUAAAAGUCUCUUUAAACUGAAUCAGUUCUUUUUUUUUUUUAUCACAUACAAUUUGUCCAUUUUUUUAUGAAAAAAAAUAUAAAAAUACAUUUUGUCCAUUCUUUGUAAAAAGAUAAAAACACACAAUUAGUGCAUUUGAUCUAUUUAAAUGAAUGAUUAAAAUAGCACUGAGAUCUAAUAAUUGACAAAAGUUUGUAGUUUUUUUUUUAAAGGUAAAAAGGAACAAUGAAGGAAAACUAAGGUUAUUGUGAUCCCAACUUUCUUGAUCUCAUUUCUGUAAAUUCGUCUUCCAAUACUAGAGUCACUUUUGAUUUUGAUCCCAAUAUUCCUUAAGCCCUUGUUAGCCCCUAGGAAUAUUUUCUUUUCAAUUUCAUCCAACAUCUCAAAAUUACAAGCAAUAUGACUUCGGAGAACUCAAAAUUAAAUUUAACCAUCAACAAUUUUCCCUAUCUUAAACCAUAAUAAUAAUAAGUGCCAAUACCAGGCCCCAUAUAUAGUGAACAUGCAUACAAGGCAUUUUGAAAUGUCACCAUAUACAGUCUGUCAGUGUUGAAAUGGCGAAGUCAUGAAAUGACAUGAUGAUAAUAAUGUACUGUAUGCAAGUAAUCCCAUUUGUUAUGGGCUUCGAUUGUAUAUGAACUUCAUACCUGGGUUGGGCAGUUGGGCUUCAUAAUCAGCCUAUCCACAAAUUAAUCACAAGUUAAGAAAAGAAAGUUUUUUAGUUAAUAAAUGACGACUCACAAUAAUCACAUGGAUAAGAAUCUGAAUAAGAAAUUAAGAAUGCAGUAGGAGAAAAAAGUAUCAACAUACACUGACACACACGUGUCAAAUCCGACCACAGUCAAUCCCAUCGUGCGAAACAGGUGCCAAUGUGCCAUGCUUGCUGCUUCUCUCUACUACUGUUCUCAAUGUUGUUGUUGUGUUUGUUGUGUUGUUCUCUCACUUCUCACUUUUCUCAAUAAACGUCAAACCAAACAAAUAAAAAAAAAAAAAUUACAAGAAAAAAAAAAGUAAAGUUAAUUAAAAGCAAAAGCACCUACUCACACCUACCAGAACCAAACAAGACAUAAUUGGUUCUUCUAGGUUCUCUUCUUGCUUUUCUCUUUCUCUACUUACAGAUUCUGGAUCUCUUCAUAAUCUUCUGCUCUUCACCUUUUUCAUCAUCAAGAAAGAAACAACUUCAACAAUAACUUUGAAGGUAUGUAAUACUAAUCUUUCAAACUUGUUUGUUUUCAUUACUUAUUACUAUUGUUCAGUGUUUACUUUAAUUUUCUUAGAUCUCACUCUUUGUUUUACAAGUUGUUAGUUUAGAUCUUUAAGUUGUAUUAUGUUUCUUGUUUGUAACUAUGUUUUUACUUUCAUUUAUAGGUGAUGUUGUUAUCAAGUUUUUCAUCUUAUGAUCUGACCGUUGGAUUUACUGAAGAUCUAUAUAUGGAUUCUCUUUAAUAACUUGCUACUUGCAAGUUUGAAAAGUUUCGAGUUUUUAGGGGAAAUAAACUUGCAGCUUUUUUCGGAAUAUUUGGAAUCUGGAUUUUGUUUGGUAUUUCCGAAAUUCUAGGGUUUUGGGGAAAUUUUGAAAUUUAAACGGUUUGAUACCGUAACGUUUGGAAGGUUUCUGUAAACUUUAGGAAAAAAUGCAGAGGCCUCAUCCACCUGAAGAUUUUUCCUUGAAGGAAACCUCCCCUCACCUUGGUGGGGGAGGGAUUAGUGGCGACAAGUUAACGAGUACUUAUGAUCUUGUUGAGCAAAUGCAAUAUUUAUAUAUUCGUGUUGUUAAAGCAAAAGAUUUGCCGGCGAAAGAUGUUACAGGAAGUUGUGACCCUUAUGUGGAAGUGAAACUUGGAAAUUAUAAAGGAACUACUCGACAUUUUGAGAAGAAGACUAAUCCGGAAUGGAAUCAGGUUUUUGCAUUUUCAAAAGAAAGGAUUCAGUCAUCAUUUAUUGAGGUUGUGGUGAAAGAUAAGGAUUUAGUGAAAGAUGAUUUUAUUGGUCGGGUUAUGUUUGACUUGAAUGAGAUUCCUAAGCGUGUUCCACCAGAUAGUCCUUUAGCCCCGCAGUGGUAUAGAUUGGAAGAUCGAAAAGGGGAUAAGAUUAAAGGAGAACUCAUGUUGGCAGUUUGGAUGGGAACACAAGCUGAUGAGGCUUUUCCUGAAGCAUGGCACUCAGAUGCUGCGGCAGUUAGCAGUGAUGGUGUGUCAAACAUUCGCUCCAAGGUUUAUCUCUCCCCCAAGCUCUGGUAUGUUAGAGUCAAUGUGAUUGAAGCUCAAGAUUGAUACCGACUGACAAGGGAAGAUACCCAGAAGUAUAUGUUAAAGCCAUACAUGGGAACCAGGCUUUGAGGACAAGAAUAUCUCAGAGCAGGAGCAUCAACCCAAUGUGGAACGAGGACUUAAUGUUUGUAGCUGCAGAGCCGUUUGAGGAGCACUUGGUUUUGAGUGUUGAAGAUAGAGUCGCACCAAACAAGGAUGAAGUCUUGGGGAGGUGUGUGAUUCCCCUGCAGAAUAUGAAUAGAAGGCUAGACCACAAAGCGGUCAAUACUAGGUGGUUCAACCUAGAGAAGCAUAUAGUUGUAGACGGGGAGAAGAAAAAAGACACUAAAUUUGCUAGUAGGAUACAUUUGAGAAUCUGUCUGGAUGGUGGAUAUCAUGUACUUGACGAAUCAACACACUACAGCAGUGAUCUUAGGCCAACAGCCAAGCAGUUGUGGAGGUCAAGCAUUGGGGUUUUGGAAUUGGGGGUUUUGAGUGCUCAAGGGUUGAUGCCGAUGAAGACGAAAGAUGGGCGGGGGACAACAGAUGCAUAUUGUGUAGCUAAAUAUGGGCAGAAGUGGGUCAGGACGAGGACAAUAAUUGAUAGCUUUGCGCCAAAAUGGAACGAACAAUACACUUGGGAGGUGUAUGAUCCGUGUACUGUCAUUACCAUUGGGGUGUUUGAUAACUGCCAUCUACAUGGUGCAGAUAAGAAUGGAGGUUCAAAGGAUGCAAGGAUAGGAAAGGUGAGAAUUCGGUUGUCGACACUGGAAACUGAUAGGGUUUAUACACAUUCGUAUCCGCUUCUGGUGUUACAUUCUUCAGGGGUGAAGAAGAUGGGUGAAAUACAGUUAGCUGUGCGCUUUACUUGCUCCUCUUUGAUUAAUAUGUUGCAUAUAUAUUCUCACCCACUGUUGCCUAAAAUGCACUACCUUCAUCCUUUGUCUGUAACUCAACUUGAUAGCUUGAGGCAUCAAGCCACUCAGAUUGUCUCAAUGAGGCUAAGCAGGGCUGAACCACCAUUGAGGAAAGAGGUUGUAGAAUACAUGUUAGAUGUGGAUUCUCAUAUGUGGAGUAUGAGGAGGAGCAAAGCAAAUUUUUUCAGGAUCAUGGGAGUCCUGAGUGGUAUGAUUGCUGUUUGCAAGUGGUUCGAUCAGAUAUGCCAUUGGAAAAACCCUCUUACAACAGUUUUGAUUCAUGUUUUGUUUUUAAUACUUGUGCUGUAUCCAGAGCUGAUAUUGCCGACAAUAUUUCUUUACCUUUUCUUGAUUGGAGUUUGGUACUAUCGGUGGAGGCCAAGGCACCCUCCUCACAUGGAUACUCAGCUGUCCCAUGCUGAUAAAGUACAUCCAGAUGAAUUGGAUGAAGAGUUUGAUACCUUUCCUACCUCUCGUCCAUCUGAUAUAGUGAGGAUGAGAUACGAUCGUCUCAGGAGUGUUGCAGGAAGGAUACAAACAGUGGUAGGUGACUUAGCUACACAAGGGGAGAGGUUGCAGUCUCUUUUGAGCUGGCGUGAUCCUAGGGCUACUGCUCUGUUUGUAAUCUUCUGUUUGAUUACUGCUAUUGUCCUGUAUGUUACACCAUUCCAAGUUGUGGCACUUCUAACUGGAUUUUAUGUGUUGAGGCAUCCAAGGUUCCGCCACAAACUCCCUUCGGUUCCACUAAAUUUCUUCAGGAGGCUGCCAGCAAGAACAGACAGCAUGUUGUAGGCAGAUAGUCUAGAGAAGGUUCAUCCGGGGAUUUCUAUGAGCACAAAAUAGCCUCUGUAAUCUAAUACCAAGAUCUCUUUACUCCCCCUGCAAAAAUACUGCUGUGCAAACAUUACAAAAGAGGGCGGAGCUUGUUUUAUUCUCUCAUGUUUUUAUUUUACCAUCUAUUGGUGGCUGAUGUUGGGUCCUGCUGUUCAGAUCUGCCUGCACAGGUAGAAAUUCUCAAUCCAUCGUAUCUCUUUAUUUCGGAAAUUUCUCUUCUAAAGUUUGGUUCCUACCAUCAAUUAUGUUUAAUUAAUGUAAGGUAAUUUCUUGGAUUUUUCUGUUUGCCUGUGUCUGCGACCUUAUCUUUAUUUAAUUAUACUAGUAAAUAGAUUACUUGUGAUUGUAAUUUGAUGAAGAGUGGGAACUUGGAUGUCCGUCUUGUGAAACAGAAUGUGUUUACAGAUCAAAAGACCUUUAAGCAGUCCUAGUUGCAAAUGCUUGCGAAUUGAAAUAAGAUCAUUAUCAAACUGUAAGUAGUAGGAAAGUUUUCCUAUCGUAUGUUGUUUGAACUUUAAAAUAUAUACUGUAAGAUUUUGUGUUUCCUCUUUUUUUUGCUGAUCAGUAAUCGCAUUCACCCUAAAGAAAGAAAAAAAAAAAUUUACAAUUUAAAUCAAUUGGUUAAGCAGACGAGACUUGGUCUUGGAAGUUGAAAUUGGUAACUUCACAAGUAAGAGUUUCGAUCACAUAGAAUUUGUACAGCCUUACUGUAUUUCAGAGAAUGGUUCUGGUGUUUGUCAAUGAGGAUAUUUUUUCCUUUCACAAGCAUGGAAUGGCCAAUAUGUAUUUUUAGAUCAAAUCCUGUUGAUUGUCUAGGUAGAAACUGGUCUUAUUGGAGAAGUGAGGACCAUUCAAUUCUCAUCUAUUUUCAAUGUCCUUUGCCAUAUGUGUUGUUGCAUGUUAUUAUAAUUUCAACUACUUAUGUCUAUUCAUUUAGUGAUGUAUGGUUGGUUUUAUGUUGGCAUCACUCAUAGUCUUCUUUUUAAAGGAAGUUGUACUUGUUGUGAAAAGAAGAUGGUGCGACUUGUAUCAUGUAAAUAGUUUUUCCUGACAAUUGAAUGUGAAUAUUUUCUUCAUUUAUAUAUCUGUGAUUGUAAGUUGUAACUAAUUUAUUUAGUGACAUAUCUCCAUGACAUAAUUUUGCCUAAAAGUUGAUGAAAUUUUUUUACGACAUCGUAUUGGAAUUUAUUUAUUUUUUCUUGAACAAACAAUAGUAAGAAUUGCAGUUGAAUCAUGUUUGCAUAAACAAUGUAUAGUGUGUGAAGCUUACCACCGUAGAGAACAAACAAUCUUAGCUCCCUUGCUGAGCCUGAAUGCUAAGCCAAUAGUUACAACAUUACUAGGGGUAAGAAACAAAAAAAGACUAGUGGUUCUGAAUUGUUUCUUGCUAGUUGCCUUGGUAUAAGGGAAAAUGCAGAUUGUUAUUCUUGGUGUACUUGAUAAGUCUACCUAUGGUUAUUCUUCUUUUUGAUAACCAUUCUUGACGAAGCUGGAAAGUGCAUUACAUAUGAUGUUUAUUUAAAUAGUUAAGACUUUUUCUUUUUUUUGGUUGGCAAGCGAGGUUGUGGGGACCCCAACCCCUUUUAAAUUACGUGUAGAAACUUAUAUCAACAAUCCGCUGUUGACGUGUUUCGAACCUACAACGUCUCCACUUUGUGAGAGGGGUGCUACCAUUGAGCCACAGGCUCAUUCGCAAUAGGUAAGACUACAUUACAAACAUAUGGUUCACUAGGUAUGUAAGACUUCCAAUUAUUUGUUAAGAAAGAAUAUUGGCUCAGGGAAUGAACAUGGGACAUAUUUAUGUUUGAUACAAAUGGCAUCAAUUCCACAUUUGCUUUUAAGUUAUUGUGAGAUGUUUAACUAGAAAAUGUAUAUGGUUGGUAUAUAAGUCUCCACCAAAUAAAUGCCAUCUAUUUCAGACCUGCACCAUGGUCCUAUGCAUCAAAAUGUUAGGAAUGCAAAGGUUAUUUUUUGUAUGGACCAUAUCAUAUAGUACAUAGAAAAUUCUGGUAUAUCAUGAAGACAUAAAAAAAUUCUGUAAAAAACUGUUGUGAAAAUUACAGUGUUCAAGGCAAUUUAAUAUAAUAGGGGUAUCAUACAUUUGAGAAAGAAGGUUUAUGAUUUAUACAAAAUCGAUUGGCAUGGCAUUAUGCCAAUCAAGACCCUCCUCCCAAAUCGGGUCGCACUAGGUGGAAGUUAUUAUAGCUAUCUAUGUACCACACACGUAUGAUGACAUGCUAUUCUCAUAAGCAAUGAAGGAAACAAGGAGCUCAAUUUGAGCCUCUAGCUUACCUAUAGAUGGGUAGAGCGUGGCAAGAUACUAAAGAAAAUUUGAGCCUCGACACUGGUCAAUGUGUCAUCCGGCUAGGUUGGCACCCUCAGAGAAAUCAAUUUGGAGAAGUCAAUUUGUGUAUGAAGUAUGAUCGAUAACAGCCUGUGUGUGGAUCUGUCAUGGUAAGUAAUGGAGGUGUAGAGUGCUCUAUAUCAUAGAUAACUUGACGCGACUAGUGUGACCCAGAAUACACACUUUUCAUGUUGUAAGCAAUCCCAAUGGGAGGGCAUUUGAGAAGGGCACUAGUAUGAAAUGCCCUAAUUCCUUCCCAAUGGAACGGUGGGUCAAAUAUUCAAAGGUGGUUAGAAGUUCCAAUGGCAUUUGAGAGGGGAAUAAAGUGUCAUCCAAAAUGCCAUGUUAAUAGCAUAAGACGGAACACGGUGUUCCGGUUCAACACUUUUUCGGAACUCACAAUUCCGUCUUAUACACUUUAUCUCAUAUGAAACUUGAAGUUCCGUCUUAUACACUUAAAAAAAAAAAAAAAAACGGAAUACAAAGUUCUGUCUUAUAUUUAGUAAAAUUACCAGAACUCAAAGUUCCGUCUUAUAAGCCAUUUAAUUUUCCUAACCUGACAUUUUCAAAAUUUUCCAUUGGCACCACUUCGCAGGGGGUUUUGGCUACCAUGGAUAGAGAGUGAUUUUGAAGGUGGUUUUGCUUAUGUGGCACCUACGUGGAGGGCACCAAACUGCCCUCCCAUUGGGAUUGCUCUAAGAAAUGUUCAUCCAGGCUCCAUGUGAUGAUGUGCCCUCAAGUCUGUCCCAGAUUGCCUAGGACACUCCAGUAGACUUGAUUUCAUAUAGGACUUUAUAGGAGGAUCCCCACAUCUAUGGCAUAUCGAGCCUAGCCAAGGAUGAAGGAUCCAAUAAUACCUAAACACAAGCCAACAGCAAGCAAACACAGUGACAGCUUCAAACUGCCUUGAUGGACAUUUUAUCCAUGUACAUUUUAUUGGUCUUUGAACAGUCUCAAUGCAUUGUUGUGGAAUUGAUGUUUCACCUAUGCUGGAUUGCUGGACCAUCAGAGUUUUGCUUUCUUUUUAUCUGUUUGCACGCGCGUUGCAUGUUGCUAAUUUUUUAUGUAAGUGCAACAAAAAAAAGUGGGGCUAUGAUAGAGAGAGAAAACCAAACCCAAUAAGGCAAUAAGGCCAGAGUGUAGACAACAGAGAGAGAGACUAUUCUACACUUCUACAGUUCUACUUCUACACCUCUCUCUCAUCACACUUUUGAGUUUGGGUCUUUUUGCAUUCUCAAUCUUCUUCUUCUUUCUCUAAAAAACACAAAGAAAACCAUCUUCUCUUCUCAUCUUAUCUCAACCAUCCAUCAAUGAGGAUCAGGAAACGAUGGUCUACUACAUCAUCAUCAUCAUCACUUCUGCCAUCAUCACAACAUCUUUCAUCUUCCUCUUCAACUCUCCAACCACCACCCCCACCACCACCACCAGGUCCACCAGCACAUGAAGAGUUGCACCACCAACACCAAAAAUAUCCACUUUGUGAUCCACCGAAUCAAUCUCUCUCAAAACAAGAGUCUACUAAACCUCGUUCAGAUCUACAACUCAUUAUUGUAAAAGGAACCAAUGGUUGGAUUUGGUCCAACGGCGCAGGAGGAGAGAAGAGAGAUGAUUGCAUGCACCCCAUUUCUUCUACUCAAGCUUUUCAGGUUCUAACUUCUAAGCUUGAUUAGUUCACACACCCAUACUUGUGAUCGAACUAGUUAUUAAAUGUUCAUGUCUAUAUUUUGCUCAUUCAAUUGCAAAAUUGCACCCACAUUAUUGAUAUAAUUUUAUCAUCAAUUAGUCCACUCAUGGUCUUAAUAUCUUGUUCUUAUUCUUUAGGACUCAAUACUCAUCGGUAAAGGAGCACUAUCAUCUUGUGUCGAGGAGGGUAAGGUAUCUGUCGCAACGACGAUUCAUAAGAGGUACUAAUAAGCUUCAUACAUUUCCUCCCUAGGGCUUGAUUACAUUGAUCCCCAUAAUGUUAUUAGAAGAAAUGAGACACGGGGUUCAUGACUCUUUGUAUGUAUUAUUUCUAAUGUUGUUAUUAUGGAUGUGGUUAGAAAUGAGAAGAUUUCUGGUGCAAAUGCAUGUGAUGGAAUGUCGGUUGUAUCACCAUUUUUUUCACAUCAAGGUAUGCAUUUAUAUAUGUUCCUGGUGGCAGAAAAUUGUUAUCUUGUUUGGGUUUACAAUUUGGUAAUAUAUGUUUGUUGUUGAUUAUCGUUUUUUCGACAUGGUGAGUAAGGUGGGAAGUGGUGCAAUGGAGUGAGAAGACAAAUUAAUAACAAGAGAACAUACAUUCACCUGGAAGAUGAAGAUCAAGUAGUACAGCAUGAGAAUGGGUUGGAGAAUAAUAGUAAUGAGAAGAUAAAGAAGCAGAGAAAGAAAGUAGAUAAAGUUAGUGCAAUGAUGGCAGGUUCAAGGUGCAGUCGUGUUAAUGGAAGAGGAUGGAGAUGUUGCCAAGAAACUCUUGUGGGUUACUCUCUAUGUGAACAUCACUUGGGUAAAGGAAGGCUGAGAAACAAAACUAAAACUGAAAAACAAGGCACUACAUCAUUAUCCCCAAAUGAGAUGCCAAUAACGAUAACAAAGGAGUCGAACAAGAUUGGAAUAGUGAAGGCUCGAUCGAUUAGAAGUCUACUUCGCCAAACUCAAACUCACCAUGCACCAAUUAUACUACCAGUAUUAGACUCUAUCAUCACCUUGUGAGCCUUUACAUGGGUAUAUAUAUGAUAUACUGUUUGAUAUCUUUUGUCGAUAUAACCAUAUUAGAGUUGAUGUUUUUGUGAUUGAUUUUCUUAAAAAAUCAUCUAAGUUGAAAGCUUGAGUUGAUGAAUGAUGAUGGAAUUGGAGUUGGAAUAAAAAAUUUUAAGCAAUUUUCUAUACAGUAACAGUGGAGUGAGCUACCUUCUCCAUUUUUUUGGGACAGGUGAAAAUGGUCUUGUUUGGUCUUUUAGAUAGAAGUGGAUAUCCACGUGCAAUGCACGCGUUUCGUAAUAGGAAGGUGAUGUAUUGGUGCAACCCUGAAUCCCCAGCCAGUGAGAAGAAAAAUGUAUAAAUUUGCUGGCAAUAUUUCUGCAUUUUCUUAUAGCUUAGGAUAAAUAUUGUAACACUGUAACAGCAUUAAGUGGCAGCAAGUUUGCGCAAAAUACGCGUUUCAUAUUGGCAUGUUUAGUAUGCCACCAUGUUUGUGAAAUUGGUGAUGGAUCAUGGUUUACAUUUGGAAUAUAGUACAUACCCACAUUAUGGUAAAUGGCUAUAGCUAAUUAGAAGUAACAUUAAACAAUGAGAGCAACAUUCAGCAUUAUGGAGAUAAACCAUAAAGGAAACAAUGAGGACAUAUGCAUCUCUGCAUCAGGUACCAGUCAUCUAUGUACAAAAGAGAUAUAUACAUAUUUGGUGACAAUUAUUAUGUGUAAAACAUUGCUGUAUAACACAUGUUAGAGAAGAAAAGUAUUCUUGGUAGGUAAUAAUAUAGUUAUAUAGAUAUGAAUGGAAGAAACAAGCACAUGGAUGGCAUUUGUAUGGUUGCCCACAAGGCCACAACUGCUAUAAAAUCCAAAGGUAGGACAUGAUUUAUACUUUCAUUUAGCUGCUAAUUUACAUGAAAGUCAUGCAGAUAAUUGCAAAGACUCCCAACACUCGGAGACUAAAACAUAGCCGUAUUUGAUAUGAAAAGUUAGGUAAGGCAGGCCCUCUUAAGUCCUAAGGGUGAGCCAUAUAAUCAUACAGCUCAUACUUGUAUAUAAUGAUGAAUUUGAUCAUUUAAUAUUAAAAACAAUUUUAUGAUCUGGAGUCUGGACCAUAUGAUUCAAGUGUACAGUGCCAAAAAAAAGUAUCGAUCACGAAUCAAAUUUAACAAAAAGGAAGGGAAACAAAACUUUAUUCUCAGUAUAGUACUACUUGUUUUUAUACCAUAAAAAUGGUCCGCUUUAUCCCCAAAACUAGAAAAGGUACAUAAUUUCACACUUCCAAAAUCAGGGUGGAGGUGGAUACAGACUUUAAUUCAUCUUCUUAGAGCAUGUAAAAGCAGUUGAAAAUGUAAACCAGCCUCUUAAUAUAGGUUACAACAGAUGGAGAAAACUGCACUCAAGACAGACCAAGAACCUUCCCGGUAGUAGUGUCUACGUCAAUGUCAAAGAAGCAUGGCCUUGUUGGAAGCCCAGGCAUUGUACUCAUGGUCCCCACUAGGGGAUAAAUGAACCCAGCUCCAAUGCUAGCCCUGAUAUCCCUGAUUGGUAACACAAAUCCACUUGGAGCCCCUUUCUUAGAAGGGAUGUCAGAGAAUGAAUACUGGGUUUUUGCCAUGCAGAUAGGUAGAGAAGAAAAUCCUUGCUUGGUGUACAUCUCUAUUUGUUUCUCAGCCUAGACGGAAAAAAAAGACCUUGUCAAAAGGAUGACCUAACCACAUAGAUUCUUUUUAUCAAUAAAAUAGUUUUUCUCAAAAAAAAAAAAAAAAAAAAAGAAUUGUGUGCCAUGGUGGAGUAGAACCCUUUUUUGGUCUGUGAAGCAUAUCAUAGUCAUUACUUGGAAACAUCACAACAUAAGUUGAAUGAUUUACCUGCUCCGAGUAUUCCACACCACUUGCGCCAUAGGACCUGGCUAUAGCUUCUAUUUUCUCUUUGAUGCUGAUGUCCAGAGGAUAUAAAAACUUCAAUGGCUCUGUAACAUUUUCACAUGCUUUCUGAACAGCAAUACCAAGGUCAACCUGCAAAAUAUAUGGAUCAUAUAUGAAUGUGAAAUCGGCCAUAUCUACCUUAAGCUUGUGGUUGCAGAAGGGAAGUCCCAUGAUGGAAAAGUUACUAGUCAAAUACCUCCUAAGAAUGAUCAACAUAAUGUAGAAAAUAUUGUUUCGUUUUAAUUUAUUAGAUUUUUCUUUUUUAUUCUGUCUAUAAAAGAAAUUGAUGUGUCCAAAACUGUCAGUGCACAAGUGUUGAUGAAGAGGAUUCUACUAACCGCUCCAUUUCCACCAUGGGCGUGAUGAGUACAAACAACAGCAUCAAAUGCACCAGCAGCCAACGCAGCAGAUUUAACUGCAUUCAACUCUGCUUCAGAAUCUGUUGAGAACAUAUUCACGGCGACCACCACAUUCACGCCAUAAGCCCUUGUGUUGGAAAUAUGCCUCGCCAGGUUUACACAACCAGCUUCAACCAGAGCUACAUUUUCACUUGUGUAGGCCUGAUCAAGAGGCUUCCCUGCCACCACUUCAGGUCCUCCACCAUGCAUCUUCAAAGCCCUUAUCGUUGCCACAAUAACAGCACAUUGAGGGUUUAAUCCACUAUAGCGGCAUUUAAUAUUCAUGAACUUUUCUGUGCCUAUAUCUGCACCAAAGCCAGCCUCUGUAACUACAAAACCGCCAGGACCCACCAGCUUCAGUGCAAUCUUAUCAGCAACAAUGGACGAAUUCCCGUGAGCAAUAUUAGCAAAGGGGCCUGCAUGAACAAGGACAGGUGUUCCUUCAAGAGUCUGCAUCAGUGUAGGAUUAAUGGCAUCCUUCAUUAGCACAGUUAAAGCACCUCCAACACCAAGAUCGUCCGCGGUAAUCGGAUUACCAGCCUUGCUGUUACCUAUUACCAUAUUUCCAAGCCUUUCUCUCAUGUCAGAAAGAGAAGUUGUGAGGGCCAACACUGCCAUAAUCUCACUAGCAACUGAGAUGUCAAAGCCUGUUUCUCUUACCAUUCCCUUUUCAUCGGGACCUUGCCCAAUGGUAAUCUUCCUCAAAAAGCGAUCAUUGACGUCCAUCACUCUCCUCCAGGUGAUUGUCUCUGGAUCAAUGUCAAGCCUAACAAACUUUGUGACUUCCUCAGGAGUAAACUCGUCAGGGUUGGUUUUGGAGAUUCCAAGUUUUUUUAGGCGCUUAAACAUGACAUCAGCAACACUCCUCUUCCCUUUUUUUAAUGGGCACAACCGGUUUAACAAAGCCUUGUCGGACUGAGAUGCUUCGUGGAAAAUACGGGUAUCAAUAGCAGCGGCUAGGAGGUUGUUUGCAGCUGUGAUUGCAUGAAUAUCACCAGUUAGAUGCAAAUUGAAUUCAUCCAUCGGGAUCACUUGACUGUAUCCACCACCUGCAGCACCCCCUUUGAUUCCAAAAGUUGGUCCUUGAGAUGGUUGGCGAAGGCAGGUGACAACCUACAAGUACAAGUGCAGACAUAAUAACUGGUAGAUAAUAUAGCAACAGAAGACCAUUUCAAUAGACAACAAGAACAAUACUUAUAAUAUAUGCAAGGUGUAAGCUCAGGAUAAUUGCACCGUUGGAAAAUGCACGAGUAUAAUACCGUUGCCGAAAGGUCCUUAAAAAUGUUUUAAGUAACUUGUCUUCGAUAUGUAGGCAAGCAUAAGCUAAAAAAAACUCUCAUUUAAUGGGACCGAUACAAUUGAAAAGGCCCACAAGAAAUUGUUUGAGAACAUACUUCAGUUAUUUUGAUUGAGCAUAUAAGGUCAAUCUUUUUUUGGUAAUCGUAUAAGGCCUUAGUCACUAACAAGUUAUUUAGAUGGUAGAGAAAGAAGUUUAUUUUGAUCAAACCCUCGGUUUAUGGAUUUAGGGCAAAAGAAAGUCAUCCAUAUAUAUUCAUUUCACAUCAAAUAUGUCAUAUGACACGUUAGUUCUAUAAUAUGUAUUGGCUGCAUAUUUUGCUUCAUUGGCUCCUCUGUUUUCGAAAGCUGGUAUUGGUACUUACUAUAGACUGAUUCUAAAUGUGAGCAGUACAUGCUAUAUAGUCACACAGUGUUCUUGAGAAAAGAAAUUCUUAGACCUGGGCACCUGGCUAUAUAAUAUUUGGUUGCAUAAGCUUGUGAUAUAAAGGACCGAAAAAUGAGUUCUAAAUUGGUGCAGAUAUUGCAAUGCUCUCAUCUGACAGUGUUCUAUCAAGUUCAUUUGUCUCUUACUCUCGUCCUUCACCAUCUAUUCGUAAAUAUUUAAAGCUCCAAAAUAGAAAACAUGAAAGAAAUUUCUUCUCUUCUUUGCCUACUCCAAACCAAGGUUGCUAGAUUUUGGUGAAAAAUAGAUCAAAUAAAUUUUAAACGCAGCUUAUUACAAUUGAUAUGCAUUCUUAGCUUGGAAACCAAUGUCGCAGAUCAGAAAAAAAGAAAAAAAAAUCUAUUCCAUAUGUAGUAAAUUCUCUAGAAAACUUCAACACAAUUGGAUAUCACUAAAAGCUUACAUUUGACAAAACAACUUCAAACCAUACAAAAAAAGAACUACCUUCUUGUCAAGAUAAGCACCCAAAGCUUGACAAAGACCAACAACAGUAGUAGAUUUGCCUUCACCAAGUGGGGUUGGAGUAAUUCCUCCAACAACAACAUAAUAACCAUUUUCACGGCUUUCAAGCUCUUCAAUCACAGAUAACAAAACCUGAAAAACAAAGCACCAUUAUCAAUCAAUCCAAUGAAUCAAUCAAUCUAAACAAAAGGGGUAUAGUAUAAAGUAAUAAUUUACCUUUGCUUUGUAUUUUCCAUAAAGAUCAUAGUGAUUUGAGCUAAGAUUGAGUUCUUUAGCAAUUUCAGAAAUAUGAAAAGGUUCAACAGAGUUGGCAAUAUCAAUAUCUGCUGGAACUGGAGUAACAACUUCCAAUUUCCUCAAUGUUUUCGAAGAUGAAGAUGAUAAACUCAUUGCUAUGUUAAUAGGUUUUCUUCUGUUUUUCAAUCUGUUGUUGUUGUUGUCGUCGUCGGUCAAGCUGUUUUCAAGAUUGAAAAUGGUGUAAAAAAAAUUGAGAGUUUUUUUUUAGGAUAAAAUAGAGGAGGAGAUUUAUUUUAAUUAAUUGGAUUUUGUGCCAUCAAUUAUUUCGGAACACGUGGCAAAAUCAUUUUUUUUAAAUUCCCACUAAAUCUUAAAAAUGAUUAAUUAUCUAUCUAUAGUUAAUUCGAUUGCAAGUUACAACUAAGUACCAUUCACAAAUACUGUAAAAUACUCUAAAUAAUAAUAAAAUACUGUAAAAUACUCACUAUAAAAUAUUCUAAUUUUUUAUUAUAAAAAAAUAAUGUGAUACCGGCGGUGAAUUUUAAUAAAUAUGUAUUUCGUAGAAUUGGUUUUGCUAUUGUUAUUUAAAGCUAUUGUUAUUUAAAAAGGGUUUGUAGCGCGUUUGUUUUCUUGUAUAAAUUUUUAAAUUUUUACCAAUAAAAUUUAUUUUGAAUUAAAAUUAAAGAUAAAUAAUAUACAACAUAAUUUUAAAUACCAUUUAUAUUUCACAUGAUUUUCACUCCCAUCCAACUUUAAACAAAGUUUGUAAAAUAGGUCGAAUAAUACUCAAAAGAUCAUCGAAAAAGAAAUACAAUUAUUUAAAUACAUAAGAUAAAAAUACUCAGUCAAAUUAGGUUUAGUACAUUAUUUGUAAAUUUGUAAUUAAGUUUAGAAAAAAAAAGCCCUAAUUAAUCUAAUAUAUAAGAACAAAAUUAAGCCCUAAUCUUAUUUACAUAAAAAUUGAAUAAUUAUAAGUAUAAAGUUAAUUUUCUGGGUUUAAAAACUUAAAUAAUGUAGUGUUUAUAGUUUCAUACCUUAGUAGAGGAGAUUGGAGGGAGGUCCGAGAAGAAGGAAGCAAAGUGGAGAUGCCAAUGACAGAAGUCAUCAUUCUUUCUUGAUUUAAUUAUUUUCUAAGUUUUUGUUUUUUUGAUAUUUAAUCUCCAGUAAUCCAGUUUGACAAAAAGGACUUGCUCGGUAUUUCUUUGUAUUUGCCAACUGGACAUAAAUAAAUUUAAUAAAGAUUCUUUAAUAAAUCUAAAAUUCUAAUUUUCCCCGAAAUUCCAGGGUUAUAUUCACACAUUUCAAUCUCAAACAAAUGAAAGAAUAUAUUAAUUUAAUUUUACAGAAAUACACAUACACAAAAAAAAAAAAUAUGAAUGAUCAUGAUUGGCGGCUCAUGAAUUUUUCAUCAUCAGUAUGGCUCAUAUGAUGAAGUCCUUGUAGGUCUAGGAGAUCUAGGAGAAGGUUCACCACCAAGUGGUAAAUCAGAAAUUGCAGCCAUAAUUCGACGAACACUAACAGAACGCGCAGUCUUGAAGCUAACAGAUCUCAUAUUAAUAUUAUUGCUGAAAACAUUAGAAGAACUUGUAAGGAUGAAGUAUACAAGAGCUUGAACUAGCAAGAACAUCCCUACUUUCAUCAACAUAUCACCUAAACCACUUUCCAGCAUCAUUUUUUCUUGAUAUAUAUAAAACUUGAUCGAUCAAUGAACAACAAGCUAAGAUCACAGCUUGCCCUGGCCCUUUGAAUAAUACAAUACAAUCUCUCUCAAAUUGAAGAUGAUGAUGAUGGAUGAAGAAGAAACCUGGUUAUAGAAUAAUUGUUUGAAUACAAGUGAUAGAAUGUUUGUUUGUUUAUAUAUAUAGGAGAUAAGCCGCCUAUUUGACUUAGACCACAAGAUGAUUUCUAGAGAGUUGAGUUGUUAUAGUUGAAUUGUGGAAGUUACAUGGAAGAGUCUUUUUGCCUAUCUUCUGGUUUCUAAAGCAACAAUAUAAUAUAUGAGUCAUCACAUGCAUGUAUUAUAUGGGUUUGUCUCAUUAAAAUAUUUAAAGUAUCCUUAUCCUUUACCUUACCACUUUCCGGCAUACUUGAUUGUGCAAAUUGGCUACCAUUUGAAUACAACUUCGUCAGAAAUGAUAUCAUUGUCAAGAAACAAAGGUCAUACUAUAGUGUGUUUAAUAUCAGUAGCAGCUAGUUAGAUUGUUUACAAUCAGAUAAAGGCUUUUUCAACUGUUACAUUAUAUUUGGAUUUUGGUUUUGGAGUAUUAGCUUAUAAAUUCUAGACUAGAAGUGCAUGGACCAUGGAAUGUAGGCAUCAAUGAAGACUGCACAUUUUGCAUGCAUUAUUGUCUUAUUGGUUGCUUUUACUUGCACAACGCAGCAACUUAUGUCCAGUUAAAAAAUGUGACUUGUACGAUUUCUAUUGCCAAAUACUCCCAUUCAAGUUAACGUUUAUUUGUAUUUUUUUUAAAAAAAAAAAUACCCCUUAUUCCUUCUUUAGACUUAACCCCUCGAAAAGAAGGAAAAGGUAUUUUUGGAAGAAAAAAUAUAUGGAAGAGGGUAAGUCCAAAUUUGGACAAAUAGGGGUUAUUCAAAACAUGGACAAAAUAAGAGGGGUUAAGUCUAAUUUUUCCUAUAUAAUUUGCACAAAUAUUUUCGAAAAAAAUCCUAAUCCCAGAUUUCCUAUCAAAAACAAAAUGUAUAUAAUGUGAAACAAAUUGAUCAGAGUACCUACAACAGUUAACAAUUAUAUUUAAAGUGUUUAGAUAUUUGACCGGCCUACUAAGCUAUAAUGGGCUCAAACAUAGAAAAUAUCCAACUAGAGUUUGGGCCAUUUCUAUUUAAAUUCAUGAAGAUGAAGAAGAAACGGCCAACCAAACAGUUGAGAGUUUGAGACUACAGGUGACAAAGUCUAAACAGACUUUACAGUAUCAUGAAGAUGAAGAAGAAGAAAACUCAACUGUUUAAACGGUCAACCAAACAGAAAAAACCCUCAAAACCCAAUACUGAAGUCUCAAUGAUUUUGAAUUCUGAUUCUACCAAACUCAUUCAAUCCCAAAAAAUUCCAAUUAACAUUUCUUUCAAAAAUUAUAAUAUCUUGACACAAUCUUUCUUUCAAAUUGAUGCUUUAGAUCUUGCGCCGCGCCUUUUGGGGAAGUUUUUACGUAGAGAUGAUGUUGUUCUUCAGAUCACUGAGGUAAUUUUGUUCCAAUAUGAUUGGUUAAUUUGUUAUUGAUUUUUAAUUUUACAUAUUAAAACCAAACUAUUUGACUUUUACAUUAAUUGUUUGGAAUUAUAUUUAUAUAUAUAUAUAUAUAUUUAGGUUGAAGCCUAUAGGCCUAAUGAUACUGCAUGUCAUGGUCGCUUCGGCAUUACACCAAGAACUGCCCCAGUUGUAAGUCUUAAAUCCCAAUUCAACAUUUUUGGGAUUUUUGUUUUUCAUUCAUGUAAUCAUAUCAUGUUGUUGAAAAUCGAAAUGUAAUGGAUUUUGUAAUUUUGAUUAGUUUGGACCUGGAGGGCAUGCUUAUGUCUACUUAUGUUAUGGUCUACAUACAAUGUUGAAUAUUGUUGCUGACAAACAAGGGGUGGGUGCUGCAGUGUUAGUACGUGCCUGUGUUCCUGUCUCGGGUAAUGUAUUUACUCAUGUUUUCACACACAAAACAUUAGUACACAUCUUGAUGUGAUUUGCAUAACAAAAAACGAAAUAUCAAGACAUUUUGUGAAUUUGCAGUUUUAGGAUUUAUAUUUGGUAGCAAGUUAGCAACCAAGGUGUGUCACUUAUGAAAGGUUGUUUCUUUGAUUACAUCAUGUCAAAUUGUAGGUCUAGAGACUAUUCAACAACGUCGCGGCCAAAUGACAGAGAAACCAGUCCUCCUUGCCGGGCCUGGGAAGGUAAGAUAUGUGUUCUGUUGUAUAAGUUACGAAAUGUGACAAAGGAUUGCAUUGAUUCUUCUAGUCAUUGUUUUUAAGAUUCUAGUAUAUAGUGAUAAAACAUGUUGCGUGUCAUUGGUAACUGAAAGAUGUUUAUGUGUUAAGUUUAGGUAAGGCAAUGUUGUAAGGCGACGGUGUUUAAAUGAUAUGGCUUCUAUUGCUAUAAAUGGAAGUCCUAUGAAUGAGAGACAGAUUCCUGACCUCUUCUACAAUGAUGCAUCAGUAUUUUGUCUUUCUUGAUUCAUGUUCCUCUUGCUUUACAUCUUUAGAGUUUAAGUCUCUUCUCAACCACUGGUCUGGUAAUCAUGAUAGGACCAUGCCAUCACCUUUAUUAGUUGCCUUCUUGUUCUCUAUAUCAACUGAAAACCUUAUCCAUACAAGGAUCAAUUUUUUGUUUUACCUUUAUGAUAUUCUUUUAUUUCCCGAAGGAUCAAUGCUUGUCAUUAUAUUGUUUUAGGACUGCCCCAGUGACAUGAUCUUCACUGGAUGGCUUUCGAUUGUCCAAUAUUUGUCAUUAACUCAAAACAUUAGAAAUGGUUUCUCUCCUUGAUAAGUAAUUUUCUGUUCUAUUAAUAUAGAUUGCUUGGUCCAACUUCCUUACGCUUUCCUUGUCUCCUGGAUAUCCUUGCUAGGUCGGUCAAGCACUUGGGAUUUCAACAGAAUGGUCUAAUCACCCUCUUUAUACUCCUGGUAAGCUUGCAUUUUGAACUUUGACUGAAUUACCAUUUUUUUUUCUGAAAAUCCUGUUGUGAUUGGAAUGUUUGUGAGCUUUGUCAGGUGGUUUAGAAGUGCUGGAUGGACCUGAACCAGAUAAGAUAUUGGUUGGUCCACGUGUUGGCAUUGAAUAUGCGUCACCCGAGGAUGUAAGUGCACUGUGGAGGUUUGCUAUUGAUGGUAGUCCGUGGAUAAGUGCUCCAAAAAACACUCUCCGACCACGGUAAUAUGACUUGAAAUCUAAGUGGACUACGCAUUGCAACUUUGGGAACAAAGGGGUUACAUAAGAGAAAAAGAGCUGUGGAACGUACAUUUUGUAUAGGGGUGGAUGUUUUGUUAAAAUAUUUUGUUGUAUAUCUCUAUCUUUUCUGCAACUUUAGUUUUGUAUAAGGACAAAAGUAAGGUUCUACUCAAAACAGAAUGUAGUUGUCAUCGCAAAAAGUAUUUUGUUGGAAAUUAUUUUGUUGAAGCCUAGUUAGAGUAUUCCAUAAAAAGUAUUUUUAUCGUACAUCCACUUGGUGUUCUACAAGCAAAGAAAGUCGCAAUGUUUGUGAGUUUGAUCCUGUUAUUAAAGACUUAUAAUGAGUACAUAAGGGUACUAACUUAACUGGGUGGUUUUUAAGGCUGUGGAUGUGAUCGAACAGGCACAACCUUGUGGUUGAAGGAGAGGUUAAUUUCCUGUUGUGAAUCUUUUGGUGAUGGUGGCGACUGUUAGUAAUAAAGUGUGAUCAUAUGGCAAUGCAGCCACAGCAGAAGAAGGAGAAUGCCGAGGCAUCUGUGCAGCACUCAGGGCAGCUCUAUCGCCAGGACUCAACCAGCAUGUAAGAGACUUAGUGCUGGAAACUGACAGUAAGAAUGCAGCUUCUUACCUGUCAGGAAACGACAUCAACCUUUCUUGGUCAGCUAGUAUUUUAUUGGAUCAAGCAUAGAGACUAUGUUUACAGUUUAAUUCAGUUUCUUUUCUUUUCUGUAAUAGAUCUGGGAACGCAUGUGCUCAUCUACUAGCCUCCAAGGCAGAUACGAGCAACAACAAUCCUUGCAUCUUUUAUUUUCCACCAGUCUGGAUACCAGCUGAAGAAAGAUCUGCUCUUUUGUAAUAUUGGAAACAGUUAAUUCUAUCAAUCUAUCUACUGAUUAUUUAAAAUAAAAUAAAAAAAUGACAAUUUACAAGCUUUUCGGUGUCCUGUUUCAUAUUUUUGUAAUAUACAGUUUGAAUUCCAUGUAUAUGUAUUCUUUUGACUAAUAUGGGAAUCGAAUAAAUUAUUAGUCCUGCGCGGAAACAUGUAAUCUCCUUCUAGGACCUCACUCCCCUUUAUCUGAAAAUAAUUUUGUUGAUCGUAAACUGGAUUCUUCAAUUAGUAGGUAACACUUGUUUGAUUCUACUAUUGCUUGACGAAAUUGACUAUCGAUAGUUUUCCAUACGAUCUUUUAGAAAAUCAUAGAUGAAUUGUUAAAAUUGAGGGAAAUUUAGACUUACAUCNNNNNNNNNNNNNNNNNNNNNNNNNNNNNNNNNNNNNNNNNNNNNNNNNNNNNNNNNNNNNNNNNNNNNNNNNNNNNNNNNNNNNNNNNNNNNNNNNNNNAAAACGCUGUGUCUGGAACUAAUAAAAGAACAAGGGGCAUUUGAGGAAGUAAGAAUAUAAUUUGGAUGAAAAACUGGACGGUGGGGUGCAAAGUCAAACUUUUCAUAUAUGUGGGGGUUUAAUAAAAAAAGAUUCAUUAUCUGGGGGGUUAAGUCUAAAUUUCCCUUAAAUUGAUCAUUAGAAACUGAUAGAGGUAUUUGGACCAUAGAAAUAGUUAUCACAAGAUCAAGAUAAUAGAGAUUAGGAAGUUUAGUGAAAAGCAGGGGUAUUGAACCUUUAAUUUGUGUCUACCUAAAUCAAUUGUAAGCUCUAUAAUGCCCUUGCUCCCACAGUAUUUGUUCAUAUAUCUUAAAUUGGUGGUCUUUCUUUAAUUUGUUCACAAUGUUUCUACUACUGAUCUGUCAUUUCAUUGUUAUUUUUCGUUUAUAUAUUGUUUUUACUUGUUACUGCUUAAACCUUAAAGGUUGUAUUCUUGAACAAAUAUCAAAGAUUUUGUUACUGGAUUAGUGCUCAAUAAUCUUCUUCUAAAUGCCACAAUUUUGAACACAACUCACCUAUAACAGGUUCCUAAAUGCCACAAUUUUGAACACAACUCACCUAUAACAGGUUCAUAUAUGAUACAGGAAAUUGCCUAGUAAGUAUUUAUACCCACCAGCAUAGGUGAAAAAAUCGUUUAGGGGCGGAUAUCCGAUCUGCCAAAAACCGGAUUAUUCCGCGGAUAUCCGACCUCCCGUGUCGGAUUUUUGAGGUUUGGUAAAUUCAAAUGUGCCGGAAUUUUUCGCGGAUAUUCGCGAAUAUUCGCGAAAAAUUCGGCAAAUUGAGAGGUUUUCUGCACUUUCCGUGUUUUUCUUCUGAUUUCGAUAUAUAAACUUAUAAUUAAAAGAAAAACAUACAUUACAAAUUAAACACACGACCAUCAUCAUCAUCGGAAAGUGAACGUGAACGUAGAACUGAUUUACUUCUGAACAGGUCACUACCAUCACCACGAAUAUUGGGAUGGUCCCCAACGGGGUCAUCAGGAGAAUCACGGACGUCAAACAUUGUGUGUCGUGGUUCUUCAGGCAAAAUAUUGUCUUCGACCCAAUUAUGUAUGAAAAACCAAUUCGAUACCAAUUAUUCAUUACACAAAAACAAACCUUGGAUACAAACAGUAUACUGGUUUGCCAAAAGUGUGAGAGAACUUCACUUUGGCAUGGGCGUGCUUUUUUUUUCGUUUCUUUCUGAUAUAUUGCUCUUGGAGGGCCAUGAAGUUCGUCGCGAAAGUUUCCAAAUGUCUAGUGCCUUUUGGACCUUUUUUUGAUAAUCUCAUCGAAAAUUCUAGUUCGGGGGGAUUAAAAAUAAAUGUGUUAAUUUUAUAAUCGAAAAUUUCAUAAAUUUCGAUAAAUAUCGGUUUUUACCGAAUAUUUCGUGAAUAUCCGAUAAAUGCCGACCGGCAUGGGGUGUUUUAAAUUCCGUUUAUAUGCCGUAUGUCGUACCGAUCCGAUCUCCAAAAAACCGGAAUAUUUCGCGAAUAUCCGGUCGGCAAAAACGAUUUUUUCACCUAUGCCCACCAGUAUAUCAAGGUUCAAAAACUCGAAAACUCGGCUCGCUCGAAAUUUUAUUGGGUCGGGUUAACUUGAAAACUCGGGAGUCAACUUGGCGGGUCAUUAUAUACGUAAUUGAAAUAAAAUAGUGUUUACAGACAAAAUUGUCUACUUCAACAAUGUUUUAACACUGAUUGAAAGGAUAUACUUGGGGCAUCGAGUCAUGGAUUGCUGAUAGUUAUAUGUUUUUCAAAUGUAAUUACUAUUUGGGAAAUUUUGACUUAACCCCCUCCCCCCUUUGUCCACGUUUUGAAUAAACCCCCCAUUUGUCCAAGUUUGGACUUUACCUCCCUUCCGUCAGUUUCUAUCCAAGUUAACACCUAUUUGGAUUUUUUCUUUCUAAAAUACCCCUCACUUUUUUAUUAGAUUUAACCCCUUUAAAAGAACAAGGGAGGGACAUUUUAGGAAGAAAAAAUGUAAAUAGGUGUUAACUUGGAUGGGAGUUGACGGAGAGAGGGUAAAGUUAAAACUUGGACAAAUAGGGGGGUUUAUUCAAAACGUGGACAAAAUAGGGGGGUUAAGUAAUUUUCCCUUACUAUUUUACCCAAAUUCAUGUUAAAUUAACCACCAAAUUCCUAAAUUAUGCAAUCUGACUCGGCCCAACUCGGUUCAACUCGGCCGAGUUACUCGCUCAACUAAUAGCUGGGUAAUAUCAACGAGUUUACCCAAAGUUCAAUAGAGUCGAGUCAACUCGGGCGAGUUCCGAGUCGACUCAACGAGUUUUUAAACUCCGCAGUAUAUUGCUACAUGCACGCUUUUCUUUUAGCCACUUAACAAAUAACAACUGUGCACGACGUAAGAUAAGAGUUCUUAACUUUAUAACCUUGAUAAGAUUGCAAUAUCAUUCAUUUUUGGGUUAAUUUGUAUUUGGUCCCUCUAGAAGAUGGGUAAUUAGUAUGUAGUCAAACUUUUAUCGUUUAUUAGUAUAUGGUCCUUUUUCUGUCACUUGACUGUCAGUCAACCCAGUUGACCAUAGUCAACACAUUCAUAUUUUUUUAAUGACCAGAUUACCCUUUCAUGUGACUAGCACGUGACUUAAAACUCGAAAACUAAAAAAUUAGUUUGUUUGUAGACAUGCAAAAUUAGUUUAUGAUCCUCCUUUCUCAUAUUUCGUUUCAAAUAUAGUCCCUGUAACCAGUAAUGAAUAUAACCAUGGAAGUUAUCUUACCGGAUUGAAAUUGAGCACGUAACCACCACCCAUGGAAUCUCUAGAAGUUUAUUUAAAUCAAUGCUCUUCACUUGAUUGUCAUCUUCACCUGUAAACACAAGAGAAUAAACUUUUGGAGGUUCCAUGAGUAGUGGUUACAUGUUCAAAUUCACUCCAACUAAGGUAAAAUAAUUUCCAUGCCUUCCACUACUGUUUACAGGGACUAUAUUUAAAACGAAAUAUGAGAAAGAGGGACUAUAAACUAAUUUUGCAUGUCUACAAACAACUAAUUUUUGGUUUUUGAGUUUUAAGUUCUGUCACGUGCUAGUCACGUGAAAGGGUAGUCUAGUCAUUAAAAAAAUAUGAAUGCUUUAACUCUGAUCAACUGGGUUGACUGACAGUCAAAUAACGAAAACAUGAUCAUUUACUAAUAAACGAUAAAGAUUGGACCAAAUGCUAAUUACCCAUCUUCUAGAGAGACCAAAUACAAAAUACCCCUUCAUUUUUCUCCUCUUUUAAUUACUGCAAACUUAAAAAGUUGUAAAGUAACAUUAUGAAAGAUUCUCACAAUUCAAAGGCUCAAAGCUCGGUGGUUAGACCAUGGUGUACCUCAGCUUAAACAGAGCGCUUAAAUAACAAACCGGCCCAUCCUGCUGGUUGAGAUGCCCGUUUGCUUUCUAAUACAGUAAAACCUCGAUAAGAUAAUACCCGAUAAAUUAAUUAUAUCUUUUAAAUAAUAUUUUUUGUUGGUCCCAACUUGGGCAUAGGUUGCUAAAUUUAUUAGAUAUAGAAAAAUCCUUGAACACCCAACUAAUAGAUAUAAAUUAAUAAUUUCUUGAUGCACAUAUAUUUUAUGUUGUUUUAAGAUAAGAGUCAAAUGUUGUUUGUUUCUUCUAGAAAAUGAAGUCGUAUCUCUAAAUUUGUAGUGAAUAGAUUUGGUGUUAUACUCUCGUACUACAAGAAGAAAUUAUUCAAUGUCGUUAUCGCUUUUAUUGUUACAAAGCUGGUUUUAUCGUAGAACUAUCAUCUUCAGCUUCAUGAUCUUGAUUUUCCAAUGACACUCUUAAUAAUCUCUUCAUUUGUUGGCAUUUUUGAAGUUGUGUCAUUUUUGUCUAGGUAGUUUAUAUAGUUAAUUACAUAAAUUCAGGGGCGUAGCCAGGGGGUGUAAGGGUACGCACGUGCGUACCCUGAACUUUUAAAAAAAAAAAUCAAGUAUAUAUAUGUAUUGUUCACUAACUGCAACUAUGUUUUAGUAAGAAAAUAUAUAUAUAGCUAAAUUUGAUUGGUAAUUCUAUCCAAAAUAUUAGCUAUGAAUAAGAUUUCCUAUUGAUUUUAUGAUAAAUAUCCCUAAAAAUCUGUAAUAUAGAUCUGAUUAUCUCAGUAUAUCUUACUUCCCGAUUACAACUAAACUCUUCCCAAAUAUGUGCUAAGAAUAUCCUAUAUCCUAUCAAAUAAUAAAAUCGGAAAAAAAAAGAAAUAGAAAUGGAGAUAAUAAUUUCUAGAAAUUUAAUUUAGAGCUCGUUUUAAGUCUUGAAUUUCACUUCUUCUUUUCGUUUUUUAUUAUAUUUUUAUUUUAAUAAUUAUUCAAAAUAUUCAUUAAGUAGUAGUCUUCAAUUUGUUAAAGCUUUCACUCGUAUUCCUUCAAUUUGUUAAGAUGCAUAUCUUCACAAUUGUCUAUUACGAGUUGAUUUGCAUGAUUGAAGAAAAUUGUGAUGUAAAUAUGUAAUUAGAAGAAGUAUUUUAUAAAUUAUAAUUCUCUGAAUGUUGUCAUUUUUAUUUUGGUGGAAACCGUGUAUACAUUUUUUAUUAAUAAAACUUUUGGGUGGUGAAAAAUUUACAUAUUCCUUUGGUGCGCACCCUCACCAAAAAUCCUGGCUAUGCCACUGCAUAAAUUAACAGUUUAUUAAUAUCUUAUUUAAUUAAUAAUUUUUUUUGGUCCCAAGGCUAUUAAUUUAUCGAUGUUUUACUAUAAUGUCUUUUAAAUCGCUCGUGUUGUAAGUUAUUUCCUUGACCGAUGCUUCUUCCUAUUGUUAGACUUAGCAGGAGCUUUCGUGAAGUUAUCACUGCUAAAACCCCAACUAUUUAAGUCAGUACUAUUUUUAUUUACUUGUGAGUUCAAUAGACGUAUUUAGCAAAAAAAAAAAAAAGUUUAGUAGAGAUGGAAAUGAUACUACCAUAUACUCGUGCAUUUUCCAACGUAUUAUACUCGUGCAUUUUCCAACGGUGUAAUUAUCCUGAGCUUACACCAUGCAUAUAUUAUAAGUAUUGUUCUUGUUGUCUAUUGAAAUGGUCUUCUGUUGCUAUAUUAUCUACCAGUUAUUAUGUCUGCACUUGUACUUGUAGGUUGUCACCUGCCUUCGCCAACCAUCUCAAGGACCAACUUUUGGAAUCAAAGGGGGUGCUGCAGGUGGUGGAUACAGUCAAGUGAUACCGAUGGAUGAAUUCAAUUUGCAUCUAACUGGUGAUAUUCAUGCAAUCACAGCUGCAAACAACCUCCUAGCCGCUGCUAUUGAUACCCGUAUUUUCCACGAAGCAUCUCAGUCCGACAAGGCUUUGUUAAACCGGUUGUGCCCAUUAAAAAAAGGGAAGAGGAGUGUUGCUAAUGUCAUGUUUAAGCGCCUAAAAAAACUUGGAAUCUCCAAAACCAACCCUGACGAGUUUACUCCUGAGGAAGUCACAAAGUUUGUUAGGCUUGACAUUGAUCCAAAGACAAUCACCUGGAGGAGAGUGAUGGACGUCAAUGAUCGCUUUUUGAGGAAGAUUACCAUUGGGCAAGGUCCCGAUGAAAAGGGAAUGGUAAGAGAAACAGGCUUUGACAUCUCAGUUGCUAGUGAGAUUAUAGCAGUGUUGGCCCUCACAACUUCUCUUUUUGACAUGAGAGAAAGGCUUGGAAAUAUGGUAAUAGGUAACGGCAAGGCUGGUAAUCCGAUUACCGCGGACGAUCUUGGUGUUGGAGAUGCUUUAACUGUGCUAAUGAAGGAUGCCAUUAAUCCUACACUGAUGCAGACUCUUGAAAAUCUAACCGAAGCUCUGAUACCACUUGUUGUGCGCAGCCGAAACUUAAUACACAACUAAAGAUGAUUGAACUAGUGUAUGAAAUAAAAUAAAACGACAAAAUCAAACAAGCAACCAUACAAGACACAAGAUAUAUGUGGUUCGGCAAUAUGCCUACGUCCACGGAGAGAAAGGAUGAUGUUUUUCUUAUAGAGACAAUUGUACAAGCCCUCACGAAGAAACCGAAGUCUUCUUCCUCACAAAAGUUCUCAAACUCUCUAAUGGCUUCUCACAAUCUCUCUCUCAUCUAGCUUAGGUUUUUUUCUCUUCUAAUUGGCUUUAUAACAUAACCUUACAAUAACACGCGAAAUGAGCUUAAACAUGGGCCAUAUGGCAGAAAGCAAUGAGGACGUACGUGCAUACGAACGUCCGUACGUACGUCCUACCGUCUGGGAGUAGUCUGUGAUGCAGAACGUACGUACGUACGUUCCUGAACGAACUACUUCUGAACGUACGUUCGUGAACAGCUGGAAGUUGUCUGUGAUGCAGGACGUACGUACGCCCUAACUACGUACGUACGUUCCUGAACCAAAAACUUUCCUCUCCUCUCCGCAUCCAAAAAAAAACCAACAAUCUUCACAUAAUCACAUCCAUCCAAGAGGAAAAGCAGAAAAUUCUUACAAAAUAAAGAGAUCUUUUCAAAGCAAAACUAGGGCAUAUUUUUUUCAAGGUUGUGGAAUUUACAUGGGGGUAUAUGAAAAAAUUCUAAUUAUUCGAAAGUAUUGACACUAUGGUUAUUAAAUGUAUUUGAUGGCCACAUAAAUAUUUGUUUUUUUGAAUUUUUUUUUUAUAUUAAUCAUGGCCCGAAGGCUUACAAGGACAGGGCCCAAAGGGCUCACAAAGACAAGGCCACAUAAAUAGAUAAACUAAACAUCUUCGGAAGAAUCAUAACCACUACCCCCAAUAUCAUUAAAUUCCUUACCCCAUUUGUUCUUAAUUUGGGUUUGCCUCAUUCUCAUUAGUUCACGUGCCCGUGGAUCAAGGAUUGUUAAAUCGGUCGCUAAGAUUUUGGAUUCGGUUUCUAAAAGCUUGAUUCUGUUUUUCUCAUCUUGGACCCUAGUCCUUUCCUUUUGCGCCUCAAGCUCUUGUUUCCUAAUAUCAAGCGAAGAAGCAAUGACCGCAUCAUCAACUUCAAACUUUCCUUCCAAACGUUGAAUAAACCCUUCCAUAAGCUUAAGCGAUUCUUGACUCUUUCUUUUCUUAUCCUUCUCCAAUUUCUUUCCUUCGGGACGUUCAAUGACAUUUGGUGAGUCAUUGAAUAUUGAACUUUGACCAAAAGUAGGAGGUGGACUUUCUUGCACAACAUUCUUUUUCUUCGUUUUCUUUGUUUCAAACGACGCAUUCCACUUUGGUGAAUGUUGUAAGAUUGCAUAUGCAUGAUCAAAACCAAAUGCUUUUCGAGUUUCAAGUUGAUAAGCACUUCUAGCCAUAUUAACCUAUAAUUUGAUCAUGAAAAAGAAAAAUUAUAGAAUUAAAAUAAGGUCAAAACACACUAAAAUUCUAACUUGGAAAAUAAAUAAAAUAUUUCAAACUCAAAAGAAUUUACUUACCCAAUCUUCGUGAUUUGAUCCACUUGGUGGAUUUGCUUCAAUACCUUCAAUAAAUCCAACAAAUUUGUUUAGAUGCUUUUGGAUAUGCUUAUAACGACAAGAUAGAGCAUCGGGAGUCCUCUCAUUACUAGAAGGUUGCAUCGAAACGAAUUCGUUUCGAAUUCGUGCCCAAAACCCACUAACGGGUUGAAAUCGCCCUUUGGAUGGAUCUUCGGAAAUUGUGACCCAAGCACGACACAAAGCUUCAUCUUCUUGCAUUGUCCAAGCAAUUUGUGCAGCUUUUUGUGAAGAAGUAGCCAUAUUUUUAGAGAAUAUGAUUUUUUGAAAUAAUAAGAGCACUUCAUAGUUCAUACAUGUAUGUCCAUAUAUAUAGUUUGGGCAGAAAAAUGAACCAGUAGUUUAUGACCGUUGCUGCAAAAUUUGAAUUUUAUAGCCGUUACAGUCCGGACGGCAUGUAACAUGCCGUCUGCUUGUUUUUAGAAUUCGGACGGCAUGUUACAUGCCGUCUCUAGGUUUUUUAAAUUCGGACGGCAUGUAACAUGCCGUCUGUAUGUUUUCCUAAUUAGGACGGCAUGUGACAUGUCGUCUGUUUGUUUUUAAUAUGCGGACGGCAUGUGACAUGCCGUCCGGUUGUAAUUUUUAGUAGGACGGCAUGUUACAUGUCGUCCGGUUCUACCACCCACAGGUGGAUNNNNNNNNNNNNNNNNNNNNNNNNNNNNNNNNNNNNNNNNNNNNNNNNNNNNNNNNNNNNNNNNNNNNNNNNNNNNNNNNNNNNNNNNNNNNNNNNNNNNCAUUGAUUGUCACAGAGAGAAUGUUGUGGAAGAAAAAAGAAACAGUAGUGCAUGGUGGCCGAUGCCGAAAUGCCAGUUUUUCUGCGUCACGCUUUCGCCGAGUUGUCAUAUGACUAGGGUAUGUUCUAGGAAGCACACAGUCCUUAUUAAGUUCGUCGUUAUCGUUAUGUAAUUCAUACGGCAAGUAUCAUACCGUUAGUACAUUUUCUUAAUUAGAUUGAUCUCAGAAACGUCUUCAAUUUGUUAUUCAUGCUGAUUGGCAGGUGAAUUGCCUAUCAAAUGUUGCUAUACUUUUUCCUCACAAAAACAUUCGUGCAGUUAGAGCAUUCACAAGUCAAGAUGAAUGUUGAUUUAUCCACCUUCAAAUCCACCUGUGGGAUCCCACUUUCUAAAAUCCACCUUCCCUUGGGACAUUAUUUUGAGUUUCAAGGUGGAUUUAUCCACCCCACCCCCAAAAUCCACCUUGCAUUGGGAAUGCUCUAACUGCAACUAUGUUUUAGUAAGAAAAUAUAUAUAGCUAAAUUUGAUUGGUAAUUCAUCCAAAAUAUUAGCUAUGAAUAAGAUUUCCUAUUGAUUUUGUGAUAAAUAUCCCUAAAAAUCUGUAAUAUAGAUCUGAUUAUCUCAGUAUAUCUUACUUCCCGAUUACAACUAAACUCUUCCCAAAUAUGUGCUAAAUAUCCUAUAUCCUAUCAAAUAAUAAAAUCGGAGAAAAAGAGAAAUAGAAAUGGAGAUAAUAAUUUCUAGAAAUUUAUAAUAAAAUCGGAGAAAAAGAGAAAUAGAAAUGGAGAUAAUAAUUUCUAGAAAUUUAAUUUAGAGCUCGUUCUAAGUCUUGAAUUUCACUUCUUCUUUUCGUUUUUUAUUAUAUUUUUAUUUUAAUAAUUAUUCAAAAUAUUCAUUAAGUAGUAGUCUUCAAUUUGUUAAAGCUCUCACUCUUAUUCCUUCAAUUUGUUAAGAUGCAUAUCUUCACAAUUGUCUAUUAAGAGUUGAUUUGCAUGAUUGAAGAAAAUUGUGAUGUAAAUAUGUAAUUAGAAGAAGUAUUUUGUAAAUUAUAAUUCUCUGAAUGUUGUCAUUUUUAUUUUGGUGGAAAUCGUGUAUACAUUUUUUAUUAAUAAAGCUUUUGGGUGGUGAAAAAUUUACAUAUUCCUUUGGUGCGCACCCUCACCAAAAAUCCUGGCUAUGCCACUGCAUAAAUUAACAGUUUAUUAAUAUCUUAUUUAAUUAAUAAUUUUUUCUGGUCCCAAGGCUAUUAAUUUAUCGAUGUUUUACUAUAAUAUCUUUUAAAUCGCUCGUGUUGUAAGUUAUUUCCUUGACCGAUGCUUCUUCCUAUUGUUAGACUUAGCAGGAGCUUUCGUGAAGUUAUCACUGCUAAAACCCCAACUAUUUAAGUCAGUACUAUUUUUAUUUACUUGUAAGUUCAAUAGACGUAUUUAGCAAAAAAAAAAAAAGUUUAGUAGAGAUGGAAAUGAUACUACCAUAUACUCGUGCAUUUUCCAACGUAUUAUACUCGUGCAUUUUCCAACGGUGUAAUUAUCCUGAGCUUACACCAUGCAUAUAUUAUAAGUAUUGUUCUUGUUGUCUAUAGGGGUGCUAUUCGAGCCGCUCGAGCCGAGCUAAGGUAUGCUCGAACUCGGCUCGUUACUAACCGAGCCGAGCUUAAAAUUAAGAUCGAGCUGAACUAUGAGCUCGAGCUCGGCUCGCGAGCCAACAGUAAAACUCGAGCUCGGCUCGUUUCGGCUCGCUGGCUCGUUUGGCUCGUUCGGCUCGUUAUAAAGGAAGAUUGCAAAGCAAAUGACUUCCGAUGGACACUCCGGUUGUACCACUGGGACAACCAAAUUAAAAUUCGAACGCUGAUGAAGAGAAUGAGGCUCCAGAUGAAGGCAUUGGACCAGAGCUUGAAAAUUCAGCUAGGUGGGAAGUGGCUAAGCCUAUACCUCAAGAAAAUGAAACAAUUAAAAACUAGUCAGAAGUUACACAUGGUGUGGCAAAUGAAACAAAGAGUGUGAAAGUGACUCGGGAAAAAGAUGAGCGAGAAGUUGCAAAGGGAGAUACUUACAAGAGUGUUGCUUCUGUUCAUGGAACUAAUGCAGACCCGAAUCGAAUAGUUGGAGGUUCAAAAAUUACAAAGAAGUCAGGAGUCACACAUAGUGCGGCAAAUGAACCAAAGAGUGUGACAGUGACUCCGGAGAAGGAUGAGUGAGAAAUUGUGAUGGGAGGUACUUGCAAUAGUGUUGCUACUGUCCAUGGAAUUAAUGCAGACCCUAAACAAAUAGUUGGAGGUUCAAGGCUUGUGAAGUCUGAACCUGCGUGGUUUAUAUUAUUGACUGGGCAUCGUCUACAAAGAAAGGAGUUCCAGCAAAAUAUAAAGUGGUUUAUAUUAUUCACUUGUUUGUUGAAUCUUGAAUGAGAUCUGAAAAGAAGUUUCUUUGUUGAAUACUUGAAUGAGAUCUCAGAUCUGUUUGGAUGGAAGAGAAGAUGAAGAAUUGAAGAGAGAAGAGAGAAGAGAUAUAAGCCCAACUGCCCAAGCCCAUAGUUAACAAGAGAUAUAAGCCCAACUGCCCAAGCCCAUAGUUAACAAGCUGCUCGGCUCUGCUCGUUUAGAGCUCGACCUCGGCUCGGGCUCGUGACGAGCUCAAAAACCAGCUCGAACUCGGCUCGUUUAGAUAAAUGAGCGAGCCGAGCCGAGCUUUUAUCGAGCCGAGCCCGAGCCGCUCGGCUCAGAUUGCAGCCCUAGUUGUCUAUUGAAAUGGUCUUCAGUUGCUAUAUUAUCUACCAGUUAUUAUGUCUGCACUUGUACUUGUAGGUUGUCACCUGCCUUCGCCAACCAUCUCAAGGACCAACUUUUGGAAUCAAAGGGGGUGCUGCAGGUGGUGGAUACAGUCAAGUGAUACCGAUGGAUGAAUUCAAUUUGCAUCUAACUGGUGAUAUUCAUGCAAUCACAGCUGCAAACAACCUCCUAGCCGCUGCUAUUGAUACCCGUAUUUUCCACGAAGCAUCUCAGUCCGACAAGGCUUUGUUAAACUGGUUGUGCCCAUUAAAAAAAGGGAAGAGGAGUGUCGCUGAUGUCAUGUUUAAGCGCCUAAAAAAACUUGGAAUCUCCAAAACCAACCCUGGCGAGUUUACUCCUGAGGAAGUCACAAAGUUUGUUAGGCUUGACAUUGAUCCAGAGACAAUCACCUGGAGGAGAGUGAUGGACGUCAAUGAUCGUUUUUUGAGGAAGAUUACCAUUGGGCAAGGUCCCGAUGAAAAGGGAAUGGUAAGAGAAACAGGCUUUGACAUCUCAGUUGCUAGUGAGAUUAUGGCAGUGUUGGCCCUCACAACUUCUCUUUUUGACAUGAGAGAAAGGCUUGGAAAUAUGGUAAUAGGUAACAGCAAGGCUGGUAAUCCGAUUACCGCGGACGAUCUUGGUGUUGGAGGUGCUUUAACUGUGCUAAUGAAGGAUGCCAUUAAUCCUACACUGAUGCAGACUCUUGAAAAUCUAAGCGAAACUCUGAUACCACUUGUUGUGCGCAGCCGAAACUUAAUACACAACUAACGAUGAUUGAACUAGUGUAUGAAAUAAAAUAAAACGACAAAAUCAAACAAGCAACCAUACAAGACACAAGAUAUACGUGGUUCGGCAAUAUGCCUACGUCCACGGGGAGAAAGGAUGAUGUUUUUUUAUAGAGACAAUUGUACAAGCCCUCACGAAGAAACCGAAGUCUUCUUCCUCACAAAAGUUCUCAAACUCUCUAAUAGCUUCUCACAAUCUCUUUCUCAUCUAGCUUAGGUUUUUUUCUCUUCUAAUUGGCUUUAUAACAUAGCCUUACAAUAGAACACGAAAUGGGCUUAAACAUUGGCCAUAUGGCAGAAAGCAAUGAGGACGUACGUGCAUACGAACGUCCGUACGUACGUCCUACCGUCUGGGAGUAGUCUGUGAUGCAGAACGUACGUACGCCCUAACUACGUACGUACGUUCCUGAACGAACUACUUCUGAACGUACGUUCGUGAACAGCUGGAAGUUGUCUGUGAUGCAGGACGUACGUACGCCCUAACUACGUACGUACGUUCCUGAACCAAAAACUUUCCUCUCCUCUCCUCUCCGCAUCCAAAAAAAAACCAACAAUCUUCACAUAAUCACAUCCAUCCAAGAGGAAAAGCAGAAAAUUCUCACAAAAUAAACAGAUCUUUUCAAAGCAAAACUAGGGCAUAUUUUUUUUAAGGUUGUGGAAUUUACAUGGGGGUAUAUGAAAAAAUUCUAAUUAUUCGAAAGUAUUAACAAUUUUUUGCUUUAUAUUAUAUGCAGAUACGAGCCACAUUUGAUAAAGAAUGCAAAAUCUGCAUAAGGCCAUUCACAGUAUGCAGGUGGAAACCUGGACAGAGCGCAAGGUAUAAACAAACGGAGAUUUGUCAGACAUGCAGCAAUCUUAAAAAUGUCUGCCAAGUAUGCCUCUUGGAUCUUGCAUAUAUAUGGGUUGCCAGUUCAAGUUCGUGACACAGGAAUGGCUAGCGGUUCUAAAGAGUUCAUGCCUAGAAGUGAUGUAAAUAGGGAGUACCUCAUAAAUGAGCAUGAACGGAGAAGUGAAUUUGGCGUAGAGUAUGAUUCAUCGUUUGGGAAGGCACACCCUAACGACACCAUGUUGAAACUUCAAAGGACAGCCCCGUACUACAAACGAAACAGUGCACAUGUUUGUAGUUUCUAUGUUAGAGAUGUAUGCAAAAGAGGAUCUGAAUGCCCUUAUCGGCAUGAAAUGCCCAUCACUGGGGAAGUAUCUAAGCAAAACAUAGAGGAUCGUUACUUUGGGAAUAAUGAUCCAGUUGCAUUAAAGCUUUUGAACAGGGCAAGUGAAAUGCCAUCUCUGAUUCCUACUGAAGAUGAGAACAUUAAGACCUUGUAUGUUAUAGGGAUUAGAGAUAAAAUAACUGAACAAGACUUGAGGGAUCUCUUCAAUGCUUAUGGUGAGGUCGAGUCUGUAAAGAUGGUGCUCAGAGGUUCAGCUGUGUUUGUUACAUACUCAAAUAGGCAGGUGCUGAGAAGGCAGCUGAAGAGCUCACAAAUAAACUCGUCAUAAAAGGUCGGAGGCUGAAGCUAUCAUGGAAGAAGUAGAGAAAGGCAAAUAGGCCGAGCACUUUGAAUUUGUAACAGCAGAAUCAACAUCCACAACUGUCAGGUACUCAGGAAUUGAACAGCAGCUACCCAUGAACUAUUACAACAAUUCUUCCCUGAUUCAAAACACCUCUUAUCCAUCUAUGGAUCCUCAAAGGAUGGGCACUAUUCCCCUGGCAGCAGCUUGGGUGUGAGCCGCGUCUCCCCAAAACUUACCAUUUACUAAAUAUUAAAGCUGUGUAUGUUUUGAUGUUCACGUUUAUGUCAUUGGCUCGUAGUCAAAUUAGAUAACAUGGUUCACUACUACUUAAAAGGCAAACCUGCGAAUGAGCACGUGGCUUAAUGGUAGCACCCCUCUCACAAAGUGGAGAGGUUGUGGGUUCAAAACAAAUCAACAGCUGAUUGUUGAUAUAAGUUUACACGCGUAAUUAAAAAGGGUAGGGUCCCCUCAACUUUGCUUGCCAAUCAAAAAAAAAAAAGGCAAACCUCCAUGGCAGAAGGUUGAUGGAACUUCCCGUGGUUUACUCCAACAUGAGGACAAUUACAGCUUAAGUUAACCUAAAUUGAUAAAACAAGGUUCCCUGAACCUUCAGAAAAAAGAAAAAAAAAGGUUCCCUGAACGUUCCCAGAUUCACUUCAAUCAAAAUGCCUAAAAUAAUUUGUCCCUAAAGUGAAAGUCACCUACGAUGUAGCAAAACCCUUCUCUUUUGUCUUCUCUUUUCUUUUUAUUUUGUGACCAUUUAUUUUAAAUAAUGCCCAUAUGAAAAGUAGAAGCAAGAUUUCUAAUUUGUGUACGUCAGCAAUAGCCAAAACAUUUAUGGCUGAAAAAUGCUACCAAGUAAUGUAUUUUGAAACAAAAAUGAAACGUCACGCGGUUGCUACACAUACAUUGCACUUUUUCUAUUAUCACCUGCUGCUUUCAAACAAUUAGAGCAUUCCCAAUGGUAAAAGGGUUUUAGGGGUGCUACAUAGGAGAGAGGGAAGGUUUUAGCAUAAAAUUAAUGUUAAAAGUGAUUAGUAGUUUUAGAGUUUCCAAUGGUGUAUUUUCAAUUAAGGGUUAAAACUUAAGUUUUACUUUUCUCAAAAAAAAAAAUGAUGUAUAUUAUGAUAAAAUUUAAUUUUUAAUUGAUUAAAAAAUCCUAUGUGGCACUUUUAACUCCUUGGCAAAUUUGCCAAGGAGUUAAAAGUGUUUAGCUUGGAAAGUGUGUUAAAAGCUACCAUUGGCAAAAGUAUUUUACUAAAAGUUUCUAAAAGUGUUUUAAAACCUACCAUUGGGAAUGCUCUUAACACAACAGUCAUUUCAGGUGUUUUAAUUAACCAUAUCAGAAAAUUCACGACCAAAUUUAUCCACCAAUCUAAAAUCUUCUUUAUAGAGAAAGCCAAGAAAAACAAAUGAGAGGGAUUUCGAAUUUUGAUAUUAAAUAGGAUGAAUUUCAAUAUUAAAUAGGACGUUUACACGUGUGGUGUUGCGCGUGUCUUUCGAGUCCGGUUUGGUGCCAAAUCUAAAUUUUUCUUCUAAAACAAUAAGAGCAUUCCCAAUAGUAAAAGGGUUUUAAGGGUGCCACAUAGGAGAGAGGGGAAAGCUUUUAGCAAAAAAUUUAUGUUAAAAAUGAUUAGUACUUUUAGAGUUACCAAUGGUUAGUUUUAAAAUAAGUGUUAAAACUUAGUUUCACUUUUCCCCAAAAAAAUAUAGUGUAGGUUGUGAUGACAUCUAAUUUUUAAUUAAUAAAAUGAUCCUAUGUGGCACUUUUAACUCCUUGGCAAAUUUGCCAAGGAGAUAAAAGUGUUUUGCUUGAAAAGUGUGUUAAAACCCACUAUUGGCAAGAGUUUUUUCUUAAAAGUUGCUAAAAGUGAUUUAAAACCUACCAUUGGGAAUGCUCUAAGAAGAGUAACCGUUCUCAUCUUCUUCCUUGUUCCUCUAGUCUGUUUUAUUUCGCUUAAGAGCAAUCCCAAAGGGAGGGGAGAAAAUUGCCGUCCACAUAGGUGCCACGUAAGAUAAACCAUCUUUGAAAUCACCUUUUGAAUAUGGUAGUCAAAACCCCCACUAAAGUUAUGCCAAUGAGAAAAUUUAGCAAUGUCAGUUUUCACAAGUAAAUGGCCUUAAAAGACGGAACUUUGAGAGUUCCGGUUUUAAAUUUUACGGAAAUCUAAGUUCCGUUUUAAAAACCCAACCCAUAUAUAUACUAUUAGACGAAAUUGUAGGUUUCGGUAAAAUUGAAGUUGGUAUUAGAAUAUUAGACGGAACUACCGCCAUAGUUGGGUUUAUAAGACGGAACUUAAGUUUCCAAAACAUAAAAAGUAAAUAAGACGGAAUUGGUAGUUCCGAAAAAUGCUUUAAACGAAAUAUUGUAUUCCGUCUUAUUCUAUUACCAUGUCAUUUGGGAUGGCACUUUCUCCCCCCUCUGAAAUGACAUUGGAGUUUCUACUGGCCGUUGAAUAUUUGACCCACAUUCUCAUUGGCAGAGGUUUUUUGGCUUGAAGGGCAUUUAGUACCUUCCCAAAUGACCCUCCCAUUGGGAUUGCUCUAAGAAUUGCUAAGCAUAAUGUGUUCAUUUGUUUUGUGCUCGUUUGGUAGAAUAUGUGAAGCAAGAUAUGUGUUUAAUUUAAGAAAAAAAAAAUUAUUUUUAUUAAGUAUAGCUAGAAGCCUAGAACUGUAGAAUGUGAAACAUAGAUAAUGUUUUAUUUAGGACUUUUGGACUUCGAGUGUACUGAUAUGCCAUUGCGGGGUAUAGUCUGCGGGUUUGAAUGUUGGUGGGAUUAAAAAUACAAUAACUGAGCAAGACUUGAGGGAUCAUUUCAAUGCUUAUGGUGAGGUUGAGUCUGUAAGGAUGGUGCUCUAACAUUCAUUUGCGUUUGUUACCUACUUAACUAGAGCAGGUGCUGACAAGGCAGCUGAAGAGCUCACACACAAACUCGUCAUAAAAAGGUCUGAGGCUGAAGCUAUUAUGGACGAAGUCGAAGUCGAGAAUGGAAAAAAGCAGAGCACUCUGUAUAUGCAAGUGGAAUCAACAUCUACAACUGUCAGGCACUCAGGAACAACAAGUGUCAACAACUACCCGGCCAUGAUCGAAUAGUUACAACAUUCCUCCCCUGAUUCAAAACACCUAUUACCCACCAUUGGAUCCUCAAAGGAUGCUGGGUGAUAUUGUUUCAGUUACAGAGGGGCAGGGAAUGCCCCUGGAAGCAGCUUGGGUGCGAAUAGGAAUGGUUCAGUGAGACAGCAGCAAAUAUCCUUACUGUAGAAAAGAAAUAAAGAAACGAAGGAACCCAACAGGCUGGGUGUGUCGGGUGGGGAUCUAUUGUGUCUAGCACAGCUUAAGCCAGUUUGUAACUUCAUUUCAAUUCAGUUUUGUGAGUCUCAGCUUGUAACUUCAUUUCAAUUUAGGAGAGGCAUCCUACGAAAACAUGUCUCAGCAGAGAAAUUCGUUAAAAAACAAAAAAAGGUGAUUUAACUGCCCAAGGGAUGAGUACAAAACUACAAAUAUUGAAAAAAAUCGUGAAACACCAGUUCAAAAUUUCUGCGAGAAGAGUAAAUGAUCAAAGAAUCUGUAAAGUUUCAACCAAAACUGUUUGUAAAGUACCUAUGAAAAUCAGCCGCACUUACACUAAAAGAGGCUCAUAUCAUCCAGAAGACCAGAACUGAUUGGUCCUGGAAUUACAAAUAAUAAUUAAAAAUAAAUAAAAUGAAAAAUAUUGCUAUAAGCCCAUGCUAUCUGCAAUCACAAGAACUUAGCCAACCACGGUAGUUCAGGACUGUCUUUCAGGGCAAAAGCCACAUCAUCACUGCAUGUAAAAACAACGGGUCAUAAAAUGAAAAUGUUCUGUGCUAAUUCUAAUACCUGAAUCACUAGUGCCUUCUCUGAAAUUUAUAUAAGUGAUGCUUUGUUAUCCCACAUUAGGAGAAAAAAAAAAUAGAUUCCUGAAUGUGUGAAAUUCACUUAAUUGAAUUUAUGGACUACUUUAAAUGAUCAAAAGGGCUCUUGUAAGAGUAAUAUGUUUAUAUGUUGCCUAUCAAAAUAUGUUAAUAUGUUCAAGUUGAUCAAACAACCUAGAAAUCAGAUUACAGUUUAGCUAAUUGGUGCUGAAAACUAACCUUGGAAAAUUGAGCUGUAACUUUUGCAACCUAUGCUUGGCUCCUGCUUCACAAAUAAUGAUUCUGCAUUCACCAAGCUUACACCUGCAGAAGUAGCAAUGAAUGUGACUAUUCCAAUUUAUUUGCUUGACCUGAAUUGGACAAUACAUUAUCAAGUAGCUAAAUCUCAUUUUACAUUUCACAAAGUUCUGAUCACCCCACAAAAUGUCAAACAAUUCUGCUUACCCCACUUUCAAGAGUGUGUCCCAUCCAGGGAAAGCUUCUCCAUUGCUUGCACAGAGCCGUGAUAGAGUAAUUGCUAACUGCAAACAAAAUUCGAAAUUGAACGAUAAAAGGUUUACUAGGAGAUAAUAAUGCCAAUAACCACAAUAAAAUCCUAUUAUUCAUAUGCAACUAGAAACUGUAUGAGAGAGGUAAAGAAGCUAACCUUUUCGAAGGUAGUUUCACCCAUGCCAGUCCUAUAAAGUUCAUGAACCAUAGCUGUUAGAAAGAUUUUACUUAGUCUUGAGCAACGUUUCAUGACCUGUGAGAAGAAAAUGAUCAUAAACCUUUGUAAGAAAGUAUGCCCUAUUGUUAGCAACUAUGGAAGAGCUAAACAACAUUCAAAUAAAGACAAUUGACUAAACGUGUACACAAUCAGAUUUUAACCUGAUUUUUGACAGUGUAUUGUACUCUUUUUGUUUCUUUUAGUAGUCACUAAUUCCUAAACCCAUUAAAACCAUGAAAUAUGAAUGCACACAAACAAAAACGAGAAGCAGCAUGCAAAGAAGAAUUCCACAGGAGAUGCUUUAUAAUAUAGAACAUCAAAUAUCUUACCUGAAUAUGAGGCGCUUGAAACAUUUCUUGUAUAGCUGCUUCCACGUCAGCCAUGCUAACAAGGAGUUUCCCUGCAAUAUAGAGGACACACAUUCACCGAGUAAGAAGUGCACAAAGACUACAUUUCCAAAUAAAAGUCCAAGUAGGAAAAAAAAUUUAUUGUGAUGACAAGGGUCUUCUUAAACUUGACCCAGCUUGAGGAAUUAGUCUCAUGUUUUUUGCAUUUUUUAAUGUCACUCGCCAAAAUAAAGGUUAUUAUCCAAACUUCACUUGUUUCUAUGACAGGUCCCAAGCUAUGGGAAAUUCAAAUGUAUUAAAAUAUGAAAUUGAGUCCAUUUACUCAACAAAAUCAACCUUUGACACACAAAGCAAACAUACCAAAUGCAUUUAGAUUUUUAUAUAUUGACCACAUAAGCAUUUUUUACUGAAAUUAUUAAGCACUAUGUCAAACAUGUUAUCUUUUUGCCUACCAAAAACAAAUGUCCUUAAUGCAGAGAAAAAAAUCAAGUAGUGAAGUGGAAGGGGCAAAUAAUUCUCCAGGUGUGACCAAAACUUUCAGAUGCAACCACAAAGGCACAAUAUCAAUUCAAGCAUGAAUGUAAAAAACCUAAAACCCAAACCAGACAAUAGAUCCAUGAGUAUGUUUAGAAAAGGCAAUUGCUCUAGCUCUCAGUUUCCACUUUUGCAUGUGAAAAGUUAUUAGUGUACCUGCUGAUGCAUAUUCUGGAAUUGAUGACAAUUUCUUUAGUCGAUAAUCGGCAACUUCUGCUGCACGCCUACAUAUUUCCAGAGCACGGCGUGCGUCUCCUGAUAUAGCUGCCACCUGAAGAGUAAUAAUAAGAAUGUUACUGUAAAUUUAUUGUCAGAUCAUGCACAUCAUGUAUACUUUCUAAAGACAAAUAAAGGAUGUUGAAUAAACAAUUAAACACCAUGACAAAGAAACAGGCAAUAAAGGACUCACCUUUCUUGAAGCGAAUUCUACAGCUUGUUUUUCGAAAGCAUCAAUGCCUUUAAGACGACUUGAUAUAAUUUCUUGAAGUUGUUGAUAAUUGUAAGGGCCAAAACAUAGCCGUUGUAUCCCCAUACGGCUUGAAAUUCGGGGAAGCAACUUUUCUGGAAGGUCCAUAGUAUUCGCAAUUCCUGCAAUAUGUUUUAUCAGAAAGCUGUAAUAUAUGAACCACAAGUAAUUGAAAAGAUGACAACGGAUCAGAGUAACUGCAGUGAACAUAAAAUGUACCUAUUACAACCAGUUUAGAAUGCGGCUUAGUAGGCCAGUCCAGAAUGUUGUAUAAAACCUGCAAUUUUGAGAAGUUUAACAUUGCAAGGCUUCUGAGGAUCUAAGAGAAAAAAAAAACAACUAAAACAAAGCUAACGCCAGCUAAUUUGUACACGAUGCAGAGCAACAGAUUACCGAUUGGUUCCUCGUUACAAGAAGAUCAAGCUCAUCAAUGAGUAAAAUACAAGGCUGGUUGUCCUCCUUUCCAAGCUUAUUAUCAUCGGAAAACCUCUCAUUCAGUAAUUGGAGAGCCUUUCUCCAACCAACUCGGUGUCCACUUAUUGCUUCAUAUAUAACCUGCAUGAUCCCCACCGUGCUUAAUUCUUGAAAGGAUAGCACAAAAUAAAUUUGAUAAUACAUUUUUUUUAUUAAAUGGAAAUGUUAACACUAAUAACUACAUUAGCGCUCCUCUACCUUAUAUAUAUUUUCAGGGGAACCCAAUCUUAGACCAUUAAUUUCAAUGAAACAGUAUGGUUUUAUACUCCCUGCAUCAACUUCAGACCUUAGAUUCCUCAUCACUGAUAGCACACUCAUGGUCUGCAAUAGAAAUCAGAUAGGAUGGAAAUCAGUAAAACAUUCAAAUUCUGGUCGGAUGCACAAGCAUUGAUUAUUUUGAAGGGAAAAAACAACCAGAAUAAAAUAAUUUUUAUAUUAAGCUUUAGAUAAUCAAAGCAAUGAUCAAUUUGGCAACAAUAUUAAGCAAAGAGAUGCAGCUAAAAGUGUUGACUCCAACCUUGCCAGUUCCAGGAACGCCAUGGAUGUAGAGGCAGCGCCCUAGACAUUGGUCAUCACAGAUAGCACCUUUGAUAAAAGAAGCUAUAUCAUCCAUUUCUCUGAAAUAUAAACAGAAGCUCAUUAUGAGACUUACAUGCGCCAAAAGAGCAACAUCAAAAAUCUAACACCUGGAACAUACUUAUUCCUGCAAGGAAGAUGUUUAGGUAGAGUAGCCAACAACAAUGUCGCUUGUGCCUUUUCGAGCACAGUUUGCUUUCGGCAUCUCACGUGGUCCGGGAUUUUCUUUGUCCCUAUCUUUUGGAGGCCAUAGAUUUGCCCCUUCCUUGAGUUCUGCAUGUAAAGCCUAGGUAGUAAGUAUAAACAUUUGGUUGCCAUCUAAAUACAAACCAAAAGCAUACUGUAAUGAGUAAUGACAAUAGAUUGAUGAACGCACUGCAGCCAACUGAUGAGUAGGAAGUUGCCCAUUAACUGGUCCCUUCCGGUUCUCUUCUUCAAGGUCCAAGUCUUCGUCCGUGUCAGAGCUUAAAUCCUUAUGACACUCCCAUUCUUCAUCACUGUCAGAGUCCUUAUCAUCCUAACAUAUUAGAGACUAUCAGUACAAUAUCUUUCAUAAUGUAAAUUCUAGAACACUGUAAAAAACGAUAUACAGAGAAGAUUUUAAGUGCUGAGAAAGAAUUCAAGCAAAGACGCAUUGAAAAAAAUCAAAACCUAAGGAUCUCUGAAACAAUAAUACUUGCUCUAAAGACAGUAUCCUCAAAAGUCAAAACAAUCCAGAUACUAAGAUUUAUGGCUCAGUCCCCAACCCUUCUAGUCCUCCCAGCUACAAACACUGAUUGCCUACCAUAAGUAUUUAACAUUUGUUCUCAGUAUCAAAGUGCAGGUAUACUACAAAGCAAAAUAUAUUAUGAAUUGUAACUAUAAAACAACAGUUUAGGUACCACUUUCAAAGAAACAAUAUGCACAAAAAGUAGAUUGCGCGAAUAUAUCCAAAUAGAAAGAUCUCACAGGUCAGUUCAUAUGAGUAUCUUAGCUUUUUGCCCUAAAGAAAUAAUACUUGGGAGACCAAUAAGUUUCACAUUAAAGACAGACAGGUCUGACAGUUACAUGAGUAAGAAGAGAGCCGGCUAAUAAGGGUGGUUUUUCCUGUUGGAGAGCUAUUGCUCUUGCAUAGAUACUUAGCUUUCAAUUCUUCUCCUACUUUGUCAGUGUACACUGUUUCUGUUCUGUUCUUUCUCUUUAAUAAAUACACCCUACAACAUUUUUUAUGCCAAGGUAAUGAACCUUCAGAAUCAAACAUGGCUUGUUAGCUUGCCAUACACAUUCCUCCCAUUCCCAGGACCACCUUAUAUACAAACCCAUAGAUUCACACACAAUCAGAUAAAAAAAUGUACAUUGGGCCACCAGUUUGUAAUUAUAAUUUUUUGGGAUUUUAAAUGAUUGAUCAUUUUUUUAAUAUUUGUUGGAAAAAAUCAUUCAAAACUUUAUCAUUCAUGAAUAACAAUCUUUGUACGAUAGUGCUAGGAAUAGCCGGCCGGUGUGUAGAUUGGUUGCUUUGUACAGUAUUAGUUUGUGUGAGUGUGCCAUUGAUACGUACUUAAAACUGAUUGAUAAAAAUCCUUUGUUGCACUAUAAAACCAAUCAUGCAACAGCAUUUUCAGAUGACAAGCCAUAUGAGCAUUGUUCAGAAAAAAAAAUUAACCUAGGGGAAAAGUGAGUUGUUAUAUAUAUCAAGGAUGCGCAAAAACGUAGGGGAGAACGUAUAUAAGAACUCAAAAUUAAUGGGCGACUAAACAAUUGAUUGACAUGUAAAUUUGCAUCUACAAUUUUAUAUUUCUAUAAUCUAAUUACUAUUCCCUUCUAAAGAUUUGCAGACUUGCAGCAACUUUCUUAUAGUUUAUAAGUCUAAUCGAUAUUGAUUCACUAUUUGACAGUGAAAGCAGGAAGAGGAAAUAGUCAAUAUCGUAAAAGUGGAUCUCCAUAAACAAUAAACACUACUUGCCCAAGUGUAUAUAAAUCACAAUAAUCAAAGCAUAGAAACAUAGAUUAAGACAAAAUAUAAGCAGAUAAAUUUAAAGAGACUCGAGAGAAAGAGUAUGUAAGAACAAACCCUGGCAUUUAAAAAAUAUUAUAUGAAAUUACGAAAUAACACCUAGUUUUUAAGAUAUACCUCUUUUUCGUUAUCAAUCUCUGCAAGACGCUUGAAACUGUGCCAAUGGACAUCAUAUUCAUACUCGCACAAAAAGACAUCAUCUCCCUCAUUUGUGGCUUUAGAAAAUUCUUUGGGGUUCAUAACAGAACAAUGCCUCAGGACAGAUUCCAUCUGCAAUUAGAGCAUACAAGGAGUGAGUAAAGACAGAAUUUGCAAGUUUGGAAUUCUGUACUGAAAUAGGAUAACAAACAAUAAGAACCACAGAAAAGGUAGUUUGGUCGCUAAAAAGUGUUAAUGAUGUAAUGCAUGGUUCAAAAAUCAAAUAUAUCAUGACAAAUUUAUAAACAUUCAUCAAUAAUACAGAUGUAUAGCAAUCUUGUCAUCUUAAAUCAAUCAUUUUACGUCAAUAAGGACUGGUUAUGAAUUAUGAUAGACUGACAUUUACCCGUACUGUUGGAUUGAACCUUGGAAGAAAUGUAUCUAAACCAUCUGUUGCCAAAAUGGAACUAAAUACUGCAAUGAACCUUUUAACAUUCAAUUUAUCUUUUAGUCCUACACCAUCAUGCCUGAGAACAUUCUUUUUGACAAAAAUCCUAAAACAUAGAACAAUACCAUUACUUACCUCCACAUCAGCAAAAUCAUUUGUGCGAUAAAGCUCCCUUCGCAGAUUAUGUGGCUGCCUUCCAGCUGCAGUCUCCUCAGGAAUGAUAUACCAUCGACCUCUAAACCAGUAAGUACCAUUUGGUUCUUUCCACAAACUGUCAAAACCCAUUAAACAAUAUAUCACAAUUCAAUUAAAUAAAUUAAAAAAUCUAACAUUAAAAAAAAAAAAUGGUUAUACCUUUCGAUACGCACAGCCCACAAAUCGCUUGAAAGAAGCUUCUCCUUUGCUGUUCUAAUCAAUUUUUUUCCUGGUGGCAUUGGGAGCUCAACCUUUUCCCCUAAUUUUCUCUCUUGACAAAACCCACAAAUCCAAUCUCCUUCUGGAACUUGUUUUAAUGGAGGUUUUAAACAUUUUAAAUGAAAUCCACCUAAACAAUCAUCACAUUCAAUCAUAAUAGUUUUUCCAACAUUAAAACAUAUUCUACAUUCUUCUACCUCGGGAUCUUCAUUAUCUGAACUUGAAUCUUCUCUUCUUUUAACAUAAACAUCAUCUCCUACUUCAAAUUCUCCUCCAUCAUAAACCACUUUCUUAUAAUAAACCCUCUUCACAUCUUUAGAUCUUUUUCUUCUCUUUGUUUCUGAAACAUCUGGUGAAAUCGGUCCAGAUAUCGGAGAUGUUUCAAUUGAAGAAGCUUUUCGGCGGCGGCGACUCGGGUUUUUAACCGAUUUAGGGGUUUUUGUAAAAGCAUCUUUAAUGAUAAAUUUAUCUUGAAUCGGUACUUUUUGUGGCGUUUCGGGAUUGAGAUUUGAAGCAAUUCGGCGAGAAGAUCGACGAACAGGAGUUGGGGUUUCGGGAGCGAAGAAGAAAGAAAGAACUGAAGAUGGUGAAGGUUUCGGAGUAAGAUUAGAUGAACGUUUCGGUUUCGGAGUAGAUUGUAGCGGUUUUUUUGGAGUUUCGGCCAUUGACAUUUUUUUACACAAGGUGAGCUCAAGUGGCUGUGUUGAGAAAUGAGUUGGUUUUCUAGACCUAAACUCACCUUUUGGCGGGAAAAUUUCCCUCCCAAAGGCGGAAACCAGGCGAAUCCGCCAUUACAAAACUUUGAAACUCGCCAGCCUUGCAGAAUUCAACUUGAACCGAUUUUACUACUAAUUUGGUUAAAGAAUCAGUAGAGUGACGAGUAGAGAAAUUAGUUGAAAUGGAAGAAGAAGAAGAAGAAGAAGAAACCAAGAGAGUAGAGAGAGAAAUUAGAAUGGUGAAGUGUUUUGACGAAUUAAUGGAAUGGAAUGGAAUGGAAUCUUUAUAAUAGAGGUUUUUUGAUUCAAGAAAACUUUCAAGGGAAGGGUUUUUACAGAGGCAGGUUUUUAAUUUCUGUUUUGGGGUAUUCAGUGUAUUCUAAUUUCUAAACUUUAUCGCUCUUCCAUAUUAUUUUGCAUUUUUUGCCCAUCAUUUGCACUUUUUGCCUAUUCUGUCCAAUUGACACUCUAUUUUUUAAGUACCAGUUGUACCACUACACUGGGACUGGAGGACAAUUCCAAUUUCCAACACAACACAACAUUGAUUAAUGCACAUAAUAUAAAUACACAAUAAGAUACAAACUUGAAUCACAUGGUAAACUCUGUAACAGCAAAUCAGCUCCAAUCUGUCCUGGUUAUCAUCAUCUAUGGACACUACUGAUAAGAAUUGAUGACACAUAUCAAAUGUCCAUUCAGUGGAAAAUUAUGUUUAGAGUGAUAGGGUGUCCAGUGUCGUAACACACUAGAGACCUAAUACAGUACAUACAAGGCCUCAAAUAUCAACCUUACUAAGACUUCAACUAGUACGAGCAUCUGAAGAUUUACUGUAAACCACGCAAGCGAAUUACGGUUAAGAUUAAGCAAAACAAUAACCCUUCAGUCAAAGAAAAAAAAAGCUUUAACAAUUUGACAGACAUAAAUAAUUGGGAAUAGGUGAAAAUGGGAAAUAGAUUUUAAAAGCCCAAAUAUUACAAAGAACAAUGCAAGACAAAAGGAGAAAACACAAUUACAUAACCAGCAUUAAACAUGGCGACAGGCAAGCCCACUACCAGACAGAACACUAUCCAUCCUUUGUAAUUAUCCAUAGAGAAUUACUACUAAAUAAAUUCCUAUUGGACAAAGGAAAAUAGCAAUUCCAUCACACUCAUCUGCACCAUUCCCCUGUUCCCUUGUUUCAUUCUGAUGUAGCCCCCAGUGAAUAGAUCUCACUUGGCCAUCAUUACUUUGACAAACUCCUCAUAGUUAAUCUGCCCGUCACCAUCAACAUCUGCUUCACGAAUCAUCUCGUCAACCUCCUCAUCGGUGAGUUUCUCUCCGAGGUUGGUCAUGACAUGGCGCAGCUCGGCUGCCCAAAUAAAACCAUUUUGGUCCUUAUCAAACACCCUGAAGGCCUCCUUCAGCUCCUCCUCAGAGUCAGUGUCCUUCAUCUUCCUGGCCAUAAGGGUAAGAAACUCAGGGAAGUCAAUGGUCCCAUUGUUAGGUUUUAUGUGCAAAUGUGCAAAUCAGAGACGAAGGGAAGUUUUUCACUCAGGAACGUACGUACGCAGUUAGGGCGUUCGUAUGUUCAAUGAGGCAGAUAACUUUGUGAAGCAGGAACGUACGUACGCAGUUAGGGCGUUCGUACGUCCCGUAUGCCAGAUAACGAUUACGUGUUGCAACGUACGUACGUGAUUUCGACGUACGUACGUCCUCCUCCUGUUUUGUGCAAUAUGGGCCUGUUUUGAGCCCAAUUCGUGGCUAUUGUAAGGCUAUGCUAUAAAGCCAAAUAGAAGUGAUACAAAACCUUAACUUUUCUAAGAGAGAGAUUGUGAGAAGCCAUUAGAGAGUUUGAGAACUUUUGUGAGGAAGAAGACUUAGGUUUUCUUUGUGAGGGCUUGUACAAUUGUCUUUGAUAAAAAAAGCAUCAUCCUUUCUCCUCGUGGACGUAGGCAUAUUGCCGAACCACGUAUAUCCUGUGUCUUGUGUGUGGUUGCUUGUUUAUUUUGUCGUUUUCGUUUUACUUUCAUAUAUUAGUUCAAUCAUCUUAUUUGUGCAUUAGUUUCCGCUGCGCACAACACCCAUUACCAUCAGCAUCCACCUCAUUGAUCAUGUCCUGGAGCUCUGCCUCUGUUGGGUUUUGCCCCAACGACCGCAUAACAGUUCCUUGGUUGUGAUGCAACCUGUCACGAGGUCCACAAAUAAUACAAAUCGUUACAACCAAAGAUUGGCAUUUACAAAACCCGACUAGACCAAGGCAAAGUACUAUUUUAACAGAAUAUAACAUGUUCCUUGGUUGUAACAGCAUCUUUAAUGAUAAAUUUAUCUUGAAUCAGUACUUUUUGUGGCGUUUCGGGAUUGAGAUUUGAAGCAAUUCGGCGAGAAGAUCGACGAACAGGAGUUGGGGUUUCGGGAGAAGAAGAAAGAAAGAACUGAAGAUGGUGAAGGUUUCGGAGUAAGAUUAGAUGAACGUUUCGGUUUCGGAGUAGAUUGUAGCGGUUUUUUUGGAGUUUCGGCCAUUGACAUUUUUUUACACAAGGUGAGCUCAAGUGGCUGUGUUGAGAAAUGAGUUGGUUUUCUAGACCUAAACUCACCUUUUGGCGGGAAAAUUUCCCUCCUGUUGUAGUUUGUUGUAUAUAUGGUUGUAGCAAAAUGUUGAUGUACCAUCCUGCUAAAGUUUACACUUGUCUGAGAGAAUAAUAAAUGAUUGAUCGUAAGAAAGCCCAUGUUAUGCAGUGCCCUAAUUUGACAAAGCCCAUGGACUCUAGCCUUGAAUCUGAGUCCCCAUUGGCCCAGAAACAGACUUAAUUACCACUUACAAGUUUGCCAGUUUCUGAAAUGAUCUGACAAAAAUCUUGAUAAAUUGAUUCAACAAAUAUAAUUUUUAUUUUAAAUUUUUUGGGGUAAAAUAUUUUAUUUUUGUUCUUGUCCACAGUCCACCUAUUCUCGCAUAAUAGCCAGUGCUUCGGCAAACCCUCAGAAUAUGAAGACGCGAGUUGAGCAUAACAAGACAUAGUACUGCACAAAUGCUAUCAUAAGAUGGUAAUGGUCUACACCAUUUAGACCUGCUAUACAAAUUGAGUACAACAAAAGAUUUCAUUGUGUAAAUACAACAAAACUAAGAUGGGCUUUAUUGCUUGAUAUUUCCAACACAUUACUUGUGAAAAUGCAGCCGCAUCGUCGAUCUCGUGCUAUUAGAAAUCUGAAUGAUAUAUACAAAUUAAACUUGAAUGGGUUACAGGAGUACGACACAGAGGACAUUCUGGUUUUUCGUUGCACCACUCCAUAAUGCAGUUCCUGAAAGUGUAGCAUGUGGCACUAAAUGAGAACAAAACUAAUAAUAAGACAUAAACAUCACGAAUUACGCUAGCAUCAUAGCUCAGAAAGAUAAUUUUGAAGGGACGGGAUAUACCAGCAGAAGACAUGACCACAAGUUGUAGCUGUUGGAUGUUGCCGUGUACUGAGACAAAGUGUACAUUUGCUGAUACCACCAACUCCUUGUGUCUGAAACCAAAAUAGAACAGUUGCAUGAAUGUUCUGUUUACAGGUAUGCAUCAUGCAUGCUUCCUAGACUCAACAUACCAUUAGGAAAACAAGUAGAAAGCAGAAGAUAACAAUGAGUAGGACUGAAAGUAAUACGUACCUCGGAAAGACUUGUUUGAUCAGAGGCCCAGUUCCCUCUGUCAAGACUAGUAUUGGUAGUAAUCAGAUUACCUUCCUCGUUCAAAACAGGCAAUCCUCGUGCUGCACACAAACAAAUGUAUGAGAGCAAAUGACUUAAAGAAAGAGUGCUAAUAGCCUUCAUUACUGCUCCAAUUGCAAUUUUGCAAACAAGGAAAAGAAUUUGGUUUUGAAAACUAUCAAAAAGCAAGGCGUCUAGACUCUGGGCUGUCAAAAUGAAACAGGACUUGCAUGCUAAUAAAAGAGGUUUUUGUAUCAACCCACUGUUAAUUUUGUUUUCUUUCCCAGAAUCAGGAAAACCAGUUAUUUCUGCUAAAACCGUUGCAUUACAUCCAUCAUAGAGAUUUUCAGAGCUGAACCUCUCUGCUCCAGCUCAUCUAAAUGUAAUGUCAAGAGAUAGACCUCAUUAUACCUUUAUUCUAUGUUUGUAGCGUAGAAUCUUAUUGGGAUUUCCUUCAAUAUGAAAAUUUACAUCAUUACAAAUGACAUAAUUUGCAUACAAGUUAAUUUAUCACCAAAGACUCUUUAGUCUUUACACAACAUCAGCACUUGUAUUUUCAUCUAUACUUCUGGACUGAAUCCAUGGUUAAAUGAAUGAUGAGAGCAAAUAAUUAAAAAGAGAGAUGCAAACAGCCUUCAUUACUGCUCCAAUUGCAAUUUACCAAACAGAGAAGCAAUUUGAUAUUCAAAACAAUCAAAUGAAAGGGGUCUAGGACUCUGAGCUUGCCAAAAUGAAAUAUGAAUUGCAGGCUAAAAAAAGAUUUUUUGUAUCAACAAAAAAACAUUAAUUUUGUUUUCUUUUCCAGAAUCAGGAAUACCAAAUAUUUCUGCCAAAACGUUGUAUUCCAUCUAUCACAGAUUUUCGAAACAGAAAUAAUGACAACCCCGUUACUCUCACUCCUCUCUACUCCAGCUCAUCUAAAUGUAAUUGAUGUCAAAAGAUAGACCUUAUUAUUACUCUACUCUAUGAUUGUAGCGUAGAGUCACAUUGGGAUUUGUAUCCUUCAAUAAGAGAAUUUAUCAUUAUAGAAGACACAAUUUGCAUAUACAAGUUUAGUUCUGGACUCUUUUUACAGCAUCAGCACUUCUAUUUUCAUCUAUACUUCUGGACUGCAUCCAUAGUUAAAUGUUCAAUGCUUUUUAAAGCCAAAGGUUAAUUGAAAACCCCAAAUAGAUGUAACAAGGGAGCAUAUUGAAAGCGGAGUUGAGGAAUUUUCACAUAUAGGCAUAAAACAUUGAUUUAUUUAUACCUCUUCUAUAUUGCAGUCAAUCUUUGUAAAUGAUUGAGUGAAGAAAAAGAUUUCUCCUAGCUAGUGCAGCAUUGAGAUAAAGCAAUGUUUGUGUAAUUACUUGCAGUUGUAUAUGAUGAAACCCAUUGUUGUACAAAAACAAAAACCAAAUAGGCUUGAAUAGGAUUAGGGCUUUUCUUUUGUGCACAUGCAAUGACACCCGUACACUUCGAUAAAACCUGUUUUGGCUCUUCUACUUCUAGGAGCUUAGGAUUUGGGCUAUGGUUCUUAUUAGUUAGGCUUUGUGUUGGAUUUGUUAAAGGGUCUUUGUUUAGGCCCAUAGUUGUAAAAGUCCUAAAGGAUAUCAAUUUGACACCUACUUGUAGUGAGGUAAGGCCCAGUCCCCCUCAGAGGUCCUUUUUUUGCAAAUUUAAUGACAGGUAGGGGUCUAGUCUGGGGUGUUUUCCAAAAAAAAAAAAAAAAGACACACGGACACUUGCAACUACAAACUCUAACAUCACCAAGAAGCCAUGCUCCCAGGCUUAGCAUGUACAAGUGUUAAAAGAGAAAUCAAUAUGCAAACAUAGUUGAGGAACGAGUUAAAGAUUUAGGACCUCCUGAUGCCUGGUGGGAUCCAAGCGAUGACUGAUGAACUGAACUUGCAAUGGAUGAUAAAUUGCUGCGUCUCAAACCUUCAGCGGUGAUGAUGCAUAAUUGGAUUAAAAGGAAAACUCCCAGUAAUUGAUAUCUGUGCCAAAAACAAAUUCUAAGAGUCAAUAUAUACUCGUCUAUAAACUCCAGAAUGGCCUAUAUAAUACCAUUUCAAUCAUUAGUCUUCUAAACGCACCUACAAAAACUUGCAACUACAAAGCAUCCAAUAACAUGCAGGGAAUUCAUCCACAAAUUGCAACAGCGACAGAAAGUGUUUUGGACGAUGAAGUGUUUUCUCAAAAGCUUCUAACAAGAGGAUGAGGUAGGUUUGGACCAUCUUUCUCCUGUGAUUAAUUGGCAUUAUUGAACCAUUAACUGAUUAUGGGAUCCCAUUAGCAAAGAUAAAAUAAGGUUUCGAAUGUGCAUUUGUUUUCCCUUUUUGAUAAAGAUUUAAAUACUUCAUGAGAAAAGGAAAAGGAACACGGUAACUGCUCCAGGUUUCAGACACAAACUAUCACAGAUAUACAAGCAAGACAUACAUAUCAUGCUGAAACAUGUCAAACGAAUCACCCAGCCUAACUAAAAAAUUUAAAGCUCAAAAAGUGUACCAAAUUAAGAUAAUAGGGUGUGAAUUUUGAACAAUGCAACAUCAGUCAAAAAGUGUAUAGUAAGUGUCAGUGUGCCUGGUUGUGUCCAGGAUCCGUAUCAACAACACUGUACCUGGGCCGUUGAUUCAAAGGCUUUCCGAUGAACAUAUAGCGAAUACCUGCAGCUCGUUUUGAUAUAUGAUAAUAUAGACCUGAAAUACACAAAACAUAAGAUUGUUACUCUAAAAGAUUGAGGAUUUAAACAGGUAAUGGCCAACACAUUGGUAUAAAAUGUAAGAAUAUUCCACAACGAUAUGACUCUGGCUUUCUCCUAGAUGCGUUUAAAAUAGUUCCUUGGGUCAUUACUCAUACCACUUUCUCACCCUUUCCCUCCAACUUGCAGACACAUAAGCACAAACAGAGCUUAAACACCAAAAACUCUACCUCGCAAGUACAACAAGUGCAUAUAACACAUCUUUGACGGAUAAAAAAAUGCUUAAAAUAAGGCCAAAAAUAAUAAGAAUUAUUACGUAAUAAAUCCAUGUCAUCGAGAUUGAAGUACAUAUGAGGGAUUCGGAAUAUUGGAGUGAGGGCUCACCUUCAAAGUAAAAAAACAUGAGGUUGGUACGAAGAACUAAUUGCAACAUCUCACGAGCAUAAGGAAGAAUCUAUACAGAAAAAACCAAGAUAAAUUAGCAAAGAGUUGAAACAAUCAUAAUAAUCAGUCUCUGUUCAUAGAAGAUGACAUGAGAGUAAUUCAGCUGUGCCAAAAUACUUGGUCACUAAUAUUUUUAAUUUGUGGCAGAAAUGAGAGAGUGCAAUAAGUCACAUACAUUUGGCCAUUUUUGCACUGCAAGCAACCACAUUCGGUAGAAUUUCUGCUUCAACCUUGUAAAAACUGAGAAUGAUCCACUUGAUGGAGACGAAGAUAACCUCCCAGUACUAACUAAAGAUUGAACUUGGUUUUCUCCAUCAGUAUCGUCACCAUAGAUCUCACUGGAGUGUGAAUCAGAAAGCAUGAUACCACGUGCAGCCACUCGAGAACUGAGAAAAUAAAUACAUUAAAUUUCUUCCACCACAAUCCCCACCAAUAAGUAAUAACCAGUUAAGUUGAGCAGCCAAGUGGACAUAAGAAGCAAAUCCAACAAUGUAACUAUGAAGAUAAGGACGUGCUUUGUGGUGUCCAAAUAUACUAAAUUGCUAAUUUCACACCAUAUUAUAAACCUAAUUAAAUUAAUCAGAAUGUGGGUGAGCUCUCUGGCAUGCUAGCUUGCCAGUCACUAGAGACCCUGUAUCAUAAUACCCAACAGACUGCCUGAGCUCAUGAUAAGUAUCAUUUAAAUAUGGAGUCCAGAUAAAGUGAUGCCCAUAGGAAACUCAUUCACACUCUCAAAUGUAAGAAUGCAACAGACAUAUAAGCAAAUUAACCUGAUUCUUUCUGCAAUAUAAGGAACAGCAGUUUGGUAUACAAUGAAGAGAGCACGUCUUGCUGGUGUAGGAGGAAGCCCAUAUGUACUGGCAACCUACAAAAACAAAUCCAAACGUCACUCAAAGUUGAAGUGCUGGAAUGAUCCAUUCCAUACAGAAAAUCUUCAAUUAUGCUUUCAUUCGUUCAAUCAAAAUGAAUAUUAACAGUGUAGAUGAAAUAGAAAAAUGCAUAGGUGUUGAAAAGCUAACAGAAGCAGAAGUUUGGUAUACAAUAUAGAAGAUCGGAAAAACAGGAAAAUUAUGGUAAUUACCUACUGCGAACCAUUUCUGCUAUAGUGGUAUUCAAUGAUUACUGAAAUAAGACAUGCAUGGCAUAAAAGUAAAGAUUGUGGACCUGAGUAAUAUCACAGUAUUCUUCUCCUAGUGUUUGCUGCCCUGACCCUGUUGUUAUUACGUAAUAAAGCAUCUGACCCAAUAAUUUUGUCUGCACCACAAAAGAGCAGAAUCAGCAGAUAGAGAAUCAAUACUUGCAUACAUGAAGUAAUUAACUACCACAUAUAACUUUCAAUGAGGGAUGGCGUAACAUAUAGGAUGUACUUGGCAAAGAGCUUAGAAAGUGAAUAUCGACAAAAUUUAUCUACUUUCAGGGAGGGUGGUCGUGUCUUUGUAUAUAUCCCAUUGAAAUCAUCGCUUAAAAUAGAAGACAAAUUCAACAAAACCUUCCCAGCUAAGUAGAAUGGAACUACUGUAGUGUAUUUGGUAGUCGGAUUAUUUUUCACGACAGUACCAAUAAAUAGUUCUGUGAAAUAGGCUAGAUAUUCACCAUGUAAUGAAACAGUUCGAAUACAUACUAACCUCACUCUGGUGAGCAACAGCAACUCUUGUACCUGAAAACAAAGCAAAUUUCAUUUAGAACUCAAUUUUCCAACUUAUUUUAAUAAUAAAAAAAAAAAAAUUGCAAUAGAGCACAAAUUCCAGCUCAAUCUCUAUUCCUAGCAUUGCAACUGUAACUCAAAUUCAAGUAAUUUUCAAUAAAAAAAAUUAAUUUCUCUAUAGCUCAAAUUCCAUCUAAAUUACACAACUUAUCAACAUUUUAAAACUACAAACAAAGGUGGUGGUUAUGACUUCUGAGUGAAGAAGAAAAAGAAGAAGAUUACAAACCAAAUAAAUGUCGAAAGGCGUCACGACAAGCUUCAGAGACGUAAGAGGCAUAUUGGUCAUCUUUCUCAGCAGCUCUCAUAACCUCUGGUUGUGCAGCUAAUGGAAAUCGUCUUCCCUCCGCCGGUGACGAGGCGGAGGUGGAGGUGGUGGUGGUGGCGGUGGUGCUACUGGACCCAACCUCUCCAUGACCAGAACCUCCCUCCAUGGCUACCUAGCUAGAACAGAAGUACAGAACUACUCUACUUUGUUUCAACUUUUUUCUAAACUAAACUAAAAUGGCCCAAUAAGGUAUUAUAGCCCAUGGACCAAUAAGGUAUUAUAGCCCAAUAUAUACGUUAACCUUCAUUGCCUAAUAUAAUUCUCCAUUUUUCUUUUUCUUUUUUUCUUUUUUUCUUUUCUUUUUAUCAAAAAAUACUAAAAGAAUUUUUAUUAAUAUGCCAAUAAUUCUCAAUUUCUAACCUUGCUUCAGCCAUAGCUUGGACCUUGGAGAGUUGGAGUUCUGGUGGAAGAAGGCAACAUCUAUUUUUUUUAUUUUAUUUUCAAUGAUUUUCCUAAAAAAUAAAUUGAACAAAAUUGUAUGUAUGCAUGUUGCAGGAUGUAUCAACUAUCAACAAUGGAUCUGUCACCAAGUCUACAACUCUAGCUGCACUUCGAAACCAAAUUAGGUGGAGCUUAAUUAAUAUAUACAGUAAAUAAAAAUAAGCUUGAUUACCUUCAUAAACAUAAAUUAUUAAUUAAAUAAUACCGUACUGGGUACCAUGUCAGCAUCAAAAAAAAAAAAGGCAAGGUUGGGACUUAGGAGACCUUCAGGUUUCAGCUGGUGCAGUAUUCAUUCAUUUUACAAGAAUAAUAAUCUAUAGUCUCUAUGAUUUGAACUACUUCCGAUUUCUGAUAGGUUGUCUCCUCAGAUUAAGUCACCAACCAAAACUACUCUUGAGUGACAAAAUAUUUAUUUUAUCAAACAUUGACAUUAUUGAUAUUACUUUACUUAAUAUAAGCUAUAAUACAAUUGUUUAGGAGGUCAUUUUCAUGCAUUCAAAAGUUCCAAACAUUGACAAUAUUGUCUUCAACAGAUCUCAAACAACAACUACUCCAUAAGCUAAGAAAAUGCAGAAUAUUGCAUUGUGUGUCCCUGAUGAUGAUAGCGCACGAUCGCAAUUAAUAUAAAGUUAGACCUAGAAUGUGUACUGCUUCUGAGUUCUGAAUUCUGAUGCAAAGCCAGGCAAGUGAUCAUUAAUAAAAUAAUCAGCCGGAUUCGAAGAGGGAAGUUAAUUGCCACAGGAUUAAUCUGAUAACAGGGAUUAUUAGGUUUGGAACUUGGUGAUAUCCUAGUACAUCCAGUUUAACCAUAUAUACAUAAUCGAAAAGGUCGUUAUUAGUCUAUCAAGUGUCAUUCAUGUAUGUCUAUUGUAGAGAUUCACCUUUCAACUGAUAUAGCUAGCUGCCUAGCUCUAGCUAAGUAUUGGCAAGCAAAGGGUUAGCUAAUAUUCAAGUCUAAAGACAGACGUGAUGGAGAUGGAGAAUGCGGUGGUACUCAGCUCAGAGUGCACUCCUCGAUAUGAAAAAUACACAAUACUAUAAAUUUAUGUAACUAAUAAAAUAUACGAGCAUCAUUUAAGUUUAGACUUUUAACAUCAGACCUGGUUUCACAUAUAAAGGCUGGCUUGGUCUUAGUAUCCAGAGCCCUUUUUUUUUUUUUUUUUCUAGAAAGGGUAAUUAAUUGAUAAGAAAAAAGGUUACUAGGGGUAGUAGAGGACCAUUAGUACAGAGCUAUUGAAAUCGAAAAUAGGUUAGAAAAGGCCAUUCCAUGUUUUUUAAGAAAGAGGGUCUUGAAUUCCACCAAAGAGUAGCUCCAUUGUUAAGUGAAGAGCCUUGCUGAGCACAACUGUCAGCACUGAAGUUGCAUAAUUGCAUUCUCUCCAAGUGUGUGUGAUAGAGAGCCAAACCUUUCCCAUUUUCUUCUGGCACUCCAAUGAACUUUGUCAUCUCUCUCAAAAGCUUGAACAGCAGCCAUAUAUUGAGUCACUUUGAAUCCAAAGAUUGGUCCAUCCUUUCUCACUGCAGAUUGAUAGAGACGUACCCAAAGGCCAAAGCUCAGUUAGCAAUAAAAAUAUUUUCCGGCCAACUGGUCGCAAACACAUUUAAUGUGUCUGAAAACCCACAGAAAUACAUGUACUGUAUAUCUAUAUGAUAUGGACCAGCACUUAAAUCAAUGAAUGAAUAAUCCCCACACCACAGUCGAUGUCACAGUGAGUGGAAGUCCCAAGCUUUCGAGUAGAUUUUUUUUUUUUUUUUUUUAUUAUAGGUUUUGAGUACAAACAUCAAAUUAUAUCCUCCUCGAUCAUCAUGUCAUUUCUCAAUUGUCUCGUUGAGAAGCUCAGUUAAACAGUGAAUAGUGAUAUAGACAUGCAUAUGCCGAUGUAUAUGCAUGAACACAAGCUAGGCAGCCUCGUAUGACAAGAAUGGAUGAAUCCAAUCCAUGAUGUGAUGAAGUCCCAAGAUCAGUGUAUCAAUAUAAACAUCAAAAUAAAAAAUUUGCGAAUGAGCUUGUGCCCUGUGGCUCAAUGGUAGCACCCCUCUCACAAAGUGGAGAGAUCGUGGGUUCGAAACACACCAACAGCUGAUUGAUGGUAUAAGUUUCUACAAAAAAAAUCAAAAACUUGAAUCAUUGUCAUUUGUCCAGCACAUGUAAUGCCUCUAACUUAUAAGCUCAGAGUCAGUACUGAAGUGAAAGCAUUGAAGAUGAUAUUUUCAUUUUUCGACUAGUCAAAAACAUAUUAAUGGCGUCGAAAACAAAUGGAUACAUGCAUGAAUGUGUGUGUGGGCAGUCACCAGUCACCAGUCACCAAUGAUAUAUGUUUUCCACAAAAAUCUAACAAUCUCCAUAGUCCAUACUGAUGAAAGUGAAGUCCCAAAAGACAAGAUCUUUAUUCUUGAGUGCAUAUCCAUCAUUCAUUUUUAAACACUUGAGAAAGUUUUACAUGUUUAGCCAGAUAAAAUGUUCAUUUUGGUCAUUGUACUUUACACAUUUUUAUAGUUUGGUCAUAAAAAUUAUUUUUCUGUCAGUUUGGUCAUAAAACUUACAUUUCAUUAUCAGUUCAGUCACAAGUUAAAUAGUCGUUAAGAGCAAUUAUGUUGACCAAACUGACUUAACUGAUAACGGAAUGUAACUUUCAUGACCAAACUGACAGAAAAAAAGUGUUGUGACCAAACUGCAAAAACGUGCAAAGUACAAUAACCAAAAUGAACAUUUUAUCUGUUUAGCCAUAAUAACAUUUGUAAAACUAAACUGUUUAACAAAAACAAACUCUUGUUACGUCUUUGGUGUCCCCUUUUUAGCAUAAGCAAGCAAGCCAACUCUUAUACACGUCAUUUUCAAUUCUUCAUCAAUCAUCAUUAUCAUACUAAUAAUUUAAUUUAAUAUAAUUUAAUCAAAACCCCCCAAAUUUAUUACUGUUUAAAAAUCACAAGAUUAAUAGAGAGGAGGCAGAGCAAGAGAAAGAGUAUCUCUUCAACAACUAUCUAUUUCUUUCAUAUAUAAAUAAACAACGAAACUGAGAUCACAGAGAGAGAAAGAGAGAGAGAAAGAGAAAGAGAGUUAGUUUUGGUAAGAUGGAGGAAGACUUGAAGAGGCCAUUGUUGGAAGAAAAGAAAGAGGUGGUGGUUUAUAUGAAUGGGAGGAAUUCAGUAAAUAAUCUUAGAGGUGAUUUUGUUUCUAAAUUGCCUCAAAAAGUUAAAUCUGGAUUUGAUCCUGAAAACCCCUUUUCAAUUGAUCUCUCUAAAACCCAUGGAUUGAUUGAAGGUAUAUUUCUUCUAUUCUUCUUCUCUGCUUUUAUUAAAAAGUUUUUUUAACUAUAGAGUUAAAAUGGGAUUCUUCAUGAUUCUUCAUGAUUCCUUGCUUUUUGUUCUUUUAUACAAAAGCAUCACUUUUCCAGUUUUGUUUUUUUGUUUUCUGAAUUGGGUCCAUUAAAAACUUUAGAAGAAGUGUUAGUAGCAACUUAAAGUUUUUUUUUUUCAUUUGAUUGGAAAUGCUAAUGAGCAACUGUUUAUUAUAGAGUUGUAGACAUAUCACUCCAAUAAAAGACAACCUUGGGGAAUCAAAUAAUGUUAUGGAAGAGAACAAAACCUUGUUGUUUGAUACAAUUUUUUUUUUUUUUUUUUCCGAUAAUUUAACUUCAAGGUAGGCUUUUUCCUUAAUUCCUUGAAAAGGGAAUGAAGUGAUACUCUUAUGCUGUGAUAAUCUGGAUGUAAUACGGAAUUGGUGUUUAUAGAUAUAGAUAAAAAUAGACUGCAGUCGUAUUGUUUGUUUGAUUGUAUUUGAAGUUUUCGGCAGUAUCAAUUUUAUAUACUCUUAUGUUUAAUUUAGAAAACACAUGCUCUUUUCAGGGGAAAAGGAAUACUAUGAAAGACAAUUUGCUACACUGAAAUCUUUUGAAGAGGUAGAUGCUCUAGUCAAAAUUUACGGGGAUGGUGAGGAGCGAGAACUUGAUCAACAAACACAGCUUGAACGUGCUGCAGAAAUAACCCAACUUGAAAAUGAAGAACAAGCCCAACAUGAACGAGCCAUGCAAAUCUCUAAUUAUGCAAAUGUUCUUUUGCUAGCAUUCAAGGUAAUUUAAUACCGCUUUUGUUCUAUCCUAAACUUACAAUUCUUAACUUCAUCUUUGGAAUUAAGCAUGCGUCAUUGGAUUGAAUCAUCAGCCAAAAGCCCAAAAUGUGUCACCCACUGAACUCAUGAAUUUUGUUAUUGGCUACAGAUCUAUGCUACUGUAAAGAGUGGAUCCUUAGCCAUUGCUGCUUCAACAUUAGAUUCUUUACUAGAUCUCAUGGCUGGUGGCAUUCUUUGGUUCACUCAUUUGUCAAUGAAAAAUAUAAAUAUCUACAAAUAUCCUAUUGGGAAGCUGCGGGUUCAGCCAGUCGGUAUCAUUAUCUUUGCUGCUGUUAUGGCUACUCUAGGUACGUACUCGUGAUGUUUGUUGUACUAGAAUUUGGAUAUAACCAAGUUGUCUUGCAAAAAAAUUUAACUUUAAAUAGAUGCUCCUACUGUAUGUUGUUAAGGUGGAUUAUAUCUUUGUCAUUGUAUGCAUUAAACUUUUCACCAAAUUUCGAAUUUGUCGACUACUAUUGAAUGUUGACGUAUAGAUAACAAAUCAAAACUUUCUCCAAUAACCCCCAAUUAAAGUAAAAUGUGGAUAUUCUUUGUUUUAGAGCUGACCAAGGAUGGGAGGCAGUCUAGUCAAAACCAAGAGAAGUGUUAUUUUCAUCAUUUGUUCUGACAAUUGUCUAUUUGAAGUAUUUGAAGAUAGGAGAUUACAUUUAGAGUAGAUUAACGCAGUCACUAUCUAUAGAAGCAGAACAAUUUUUUUUGCUUGAAACCUUGCUACUUUUAUCAUUUGUUCCGACAAUAUGAAGUUUUAAAAGCCUGAAAGAAUAUCUAGUUAUAAUUAUAAUUAUGAUACCUUAACAAUGUUGCAGGCAUGGUUAGGAUUUCAGGUGUUAAUCCAAGCUGUUUAUAUAGGAUUUCAGGUUUUAAUCCAAGCUGUCGAACAAUUGAUCAAGGACGAUCCUUCUGCAAAGAUGAACGUAGAGCAGUUGAUCUGGUUAUAUGCCAUUAUGUUGUCUGCCACUGCAGUAAAGCUCUGUCUUUGGUUAUACUGCCGAACUUCUGGAAACAAGAUUGUCCGUGCCUACUCAGAGGUUGUAUCUAUUAUUUGCAUUUGUUCACCUUUAACUACAUCAGCUGUAUUAAAAUCUUUUGCUUAAGGUUAAUAUACUCCAAUGAUUUUUUCCAGGAUCACUAUUUUGAUGUGGUAACAAACGUAGUAGGAUUAGUUGCUGCUGUGCUUGGUGAUAAAUUUUACUGGUGGAUUGACCCUGUUGGAGCCAUUGUCCUUGCUGUUUAUACAAUUUUAAAUUGGUCUGGAACUGUUUUGGAAAAUGCAGGUACUUGUUUUUCUCAUAAGUUGUAUCUAGUCUUUAAUGUCUUGGUCAAGAAGGCUAGCAAAUCAAUCACAAAAUGCUUAUUACACUGUAAUAUAACUUCCCUUGUAUAAGAUAUGCUUGUAGUACUUUAGACUUUCUCCCCUGGUUUAUUAUAUUUACAAUUUGGCCACUUUAAGGACAUGCCAACUAAAGGAAACAUUACUAUUUUCCAUCUUUUACUCUAUAAUGCUUUUCACAAAAAUAUAUAAGAAAUCGUCCAAAAAAACUGAAAUUUCCACAAAGUAAACUUCAGAAGUUUUCAAGCCAAAAGCCUAUAUUUCAUAAAACCAUUUGACACUAACCAAAGUCAUACCAAGUGGUACUCUCAUGCUCAUUUAAAUAUAUCACAUUUUUAUUUCUUGCCUUUAAGUGAGCUAGUUCUGAUCGAUAUGAAAUUUCAUCAGAAUCUGAUCUCUGUUUAUGAAUUUUUUGUUUAUUUCCAUAUUCCUCUUUGCUAUCCCAAGACUGACCUCUUUUACGUGCAGUUUCACUGGUGGGACAAUCAGCCCCUCCCGAAGUCUUGCAGAAAUUAACAUACCUUGUCAUAAAUCACCAUCCCCAAAUCAAGCGUGUUGAUACAGUACGGGCCUACACCUUUGGUGUUCUCUAUUUUGUGGAGGUUUGUGAAUUAAAGCUUCAUUGAUUACUAUAGAAGCAUGUUAAGUUGUUUUCUUUAGAAGCGACUAUGGUCUGGUUGUUAUCCCAAGUUCCCAACCUAAUGUCCUACCACUAAAUUUGUGGGUUAUUUUAAUCUUCUUUUUUUCCUUCCUUAUUUCACUCUAAUUGAUGUAAAGAAAUUAAUUUGACUCUUACUGAAACAGGUUGACAUUGAACUACCAGAGGAUUUACCCUUGAAAGAAGCUCAUGCAAUUGGUGAGUCUUUGCAGAUAAAAAUCGAAGAACUUCCAGAAGUUGAACGUGCAUUUGUUCAUCUUGACUUUGAAUGUGAUCAUAAGCCAGAGCAUUCUGUUCUUAGUAGGCUACCCAACUCUCCGUCAUAAUUUGGACUAGCCAGAAGGUGUUCAAACAAUAUGUUUCCAAUUUAGAGAACAAAUGAGUUGUGAAGCUAUAAAUAUUUCAGGUGAGCUUGUGAGGAGAAACAAUAUGUUUCCAAUUUAGAGGACAAAUGAGUUGUAAAGCUAGAAAUAUUUCAGGUGAGCUUGUGAGGAAGAAACGUCAAGGAUUUGAGUAAUCCAAAAAAUUAAUUUGAGUUUUCAUUUUCAUUAAUUCUCAAUACAUUUAGAGUCCAUCACAAAUUUAACAGAUUCUUUGUGGCAACUUAUGUACAUGUAAGUCCACAAAAAGUGCACCUCACUAUAUACAAAUCUACAUACUGCUCUGUAGGGUUAUGACAACAAUUACAAGUUUCUUGCAGCACUUUGAAGUAACCCUCCCUAGUAAAAAGUGGUGUACUCACAUCCGUGCUUGUGGUCCACACUCAUAGGCUUGAGAUACUGUUGUAUCUCCAGACACUGUUGUAGGUAUAAUAAAGCAAUAUGCAUGAACAUGUAGAUCAAGGAAGAAGUCUGAAUAAAGAUAUCACUGAUUGGCCAUUUUGUUUUCUUAAUGCUUUGGACAGUUCCAAGCAUCUAGCUUUCAACUGAUGCCAAUGUCAAUUUUGUUGAUGUAAUAUCUUGCUGAUAAUAAUAGAAUCCAUUGCGUAAAUUUUGCGUUGUACAAGGAAUGCAAAUUUUCAAAAUUGUAAUAUUUUGUUCUACAUUCACAAUCAAAUUAACCAAAAUUUUCUUAUAUUUUUUAUGACUAGGAUACAAUUAUAGUACAACAGAGGAUGUGAAACGAGGAAGUAAUUACUCUCACUGUCCCACACAUUCAUCAACAAAAGAACACUAUUAGCUUAUGAACCUGGUAACAGCCGGCCGUUGUACAUCUUAUCGAGCAAUUGCUUAGCAUCAGGCCUUCGUAAUAAACCUUUGUUAUUGGGUAAACCAGUCCCAAGGCAAACUGGACACACAAGUUUCCCUCGACCUGUAUCAGAGAAGAGACUAGAGAUCUCAGCGAAUAACCUUCACAUCAUGAUUCAUGUAGCAGUGCUUAACAUUAUCUAAAGAUUUAACAUCAUCAUGCAUAUACCUCUAUACCAAAAGUUAUUUAGAAGGAAAGAUGCCUAUAACUCUAGAAAGGAAAAUGACAUACCGUAACAAUUUGGGCACUCUGUAAACUCAUAAACAUCUUUUGCUCGUUUUCGAUUGAGAGCUUUCCAUUUUCCUGUGCCACCACACAUGUCACCUGAAUAGAGAGCAAACAAACAUGUUAUGAAGUAACUUACGGUUAAUGCUAAAUCUUAAGAGGGAAAAAGACUGUCUUCCCCCCACCAACAAAAGUUUGUAUAUUCUGUGAUAACAGUAUUUGAAAUUUACUUGCUUAGUCGCAAUGCUAUGGAUUUAUCAAAAGCAUUAGAUAAUUUGAUUUUCUAUGGAAGAGAUAAUACUACAUUAAACUCAAAACCUACAUUUUCCCAAAAUCCUAAAGAGAUGAAGUAGUUCAAUAUGAUUGAGUGAACCAGUGUAAUAAAUUGGAAAAGGGAAACAAAUUCCCAAUCUCUACACAAGGAAGUUGCAGAGUUGCCUAAUAGAUUAUGUUAUGUAAUGCAAGCAAAAACCAUGAGAAUGUGUACAUGAAUAUGUAGUAGGCUUUAUAGGCUUACAGAUUAUGGCACCACUACCACCACAAUUUCGACAUCCAGUUCUUUCUACUCCUUCCAGAGCUGUUGCUUUGGAUACAAAACCUGAACUGCCAGUAGUACUUAUCAAAGCCACCGAACUUAAACAUGUAAGACACCAACGACGGGAAACAGGUACUUGAGCUCCCUGUAAUAAGAAAGCAACAUUUACAUGAAGCAAUAUUGAAUGUGGACAGAUUAUACUUCCAAGGAAGACAAAGAUGGUAGUGGCAGAGAACAAUAAUAUGCAGACUUCAUUGAGUAGUACACAUGCGAACAAAAUGCUGAAAUUAAAGAAAUGUUGGAAAUUCAAAACCAACCUUCAUCUGUAAUGAUUGUUUUGGGGAAUCAUCUUGAGUGCAACUCUCUUCUUCCAAACUGGAUCGAACAUGAAACCCAACCGACUUUGAGUUGACUGUUAAGUACAAAUGCAAAAAGUAGGUGAGAACAUGUGGUAGCCAGACAAAGCUCCUAAUCUUACAUUGUAUUACAAUAGUGAGUCUUCUAAUUAUCGCAAAAUUCGUACCCUUCACUAAUAAAGGAUACAGUUACAUGUGCUUCAUAGAAAUGGAAAUUUUCAUUAGUUCAGCAUACCACUAGAAACUCAUAUAUUACAACAUGGAACUAUCCAUCAUGCAUUUAUGCCAAUUCUACAGAAAUGGCAUGUAUGAACUGAAGCAUGAAACCAAUUAUCUUCUCUUUUUGUGUGAUAUGUUGUUUGAGCAAUUGAGAAGAUUAGACUCCACAUAGGCAAAAUUUUCAGGAAUAUAUAAUGGGUGGUAAUACAGCAAAAUUGGUAGAGAAUUGAGAAUACUUUUAUUCUUUUGCUUUGUAAUUCAUUUGAAAAGAAUAAAGAAAACAAAGAAGAAAACCAAGACUUACAGUUACUUGUGGCUCUUUUUGUACUAGUAGUGAGAGUGAGGUUGCAAGAUAUGGAUGAAGAAGAAGCCAGAGAAGAGAGAUGAUGAGAAGCCAUUCUCUCUCUCUCUCUCUCUCUCAACUUUAUCUUCAACUUUAGAGAACAUUCAUAUGUGAUGGAGAUGAUGAUUCAUUGAUUCUGUUGGCAAGUUUUGGGUCCCAACUCCCAACAAUCCUAUCGUGGAACACAUUUCACUCACUGGACACUGAGAGUUGCUUUCAGUUGCAGCGUGCAACCCCAUUCAAAGUGUUUACCUGCAUGCCUCAUGCCUGCACUAAUCUAAUCUCUUUGACUGCAUUUCAACCAACCCAAAACAUCACAACAUUCAUUCAAUCUUGUGAGACUCCAUUAAUAUACAGCAUGUGUUCAACAAUAUAACGUGGAUUUACUUUUACUUUUUGGUUUGCUCCAUACACUAGAGAAGAAGAUAAUAAUAGGACCGCACGCACGCAACAAAAAAUUUACUGACAAGUUUGGAAUGGCUUAAAACUAGGACACUGAAUACCAACAAGUACUAUAUAUACAUUAGGAUCAACACGAAAACUCCAGGAAAAUGAGUUGGUUAACUAAUGCCUACUGAAUUAUCUGAACACAUCAAGAGGCAAUAAUCCAAAAUAAAAUACAUGGUACAUAUAACAUUAUAUCAUUACAUGGGAGAACGCUUCUUCAUCACUAAAUUACUCUGGUCUAACCAACUCUUCAUUGACAAUAUACAAAUAAACAUGUGAUAAAUAUAAAUAAAGGGGCAAAGCCCGCCUUUGAUUUUCUUUUAGCAUAUACAGCCAGCUUACAAUUGCUUGACUGCAGAUCAAUGGCCUCAACCACUCACACAAACUGAUGAUGAGAAAUUGGUUUACCAAACUCAAGAAACGGUGCGUCCAUAACAAACUGAAGCAAGAUAAAGAUUCUUUGCCCAUUUCUCCUGCAACAUUGAAAUCUUCAUCAGCAAAAUAUAGUGAACAUAGACAUACAUUUUUUUUUAUUGCUUAAUUUUUUCACAGAAUAUGAAAGUACAUAACAUCAGCAUGAAUUUUACAUCCCAAAUGGGAACUUAAGGUUGCAAUCUUAUUAGUACAUGGAAAAUUCACAAAGUUAUUAUCAACUUUGAAUGUAAAGAAAUCGAUCUUCAAAGGGACCUCAGCAAAUUUCAGCACAUUUUCUCUCAUUAACAUAAGACCAGUUUAGAUCAGGUGAUUUACCUUAACAUGGGUACUUGGAAAUGCGGAUGUACGCAAGGUCUCCUGAGUUUCAUCACCAGGUUUCCGCUUAGGUACACUCAAGAUAAGAGCAGAUUGAUCAUAAGUAGCAGCUGUGGAUGUUAUACGGUAACCAUUAUCCCAACGCUUAUGGAUUCCUUCGCUUGGAUAAAGAAAAUCGAGUUCAACAACCUGCAGAAAUCAAUGAUGUAAGACUACCUACCAAUACUAACAAAAAAAGAGUUCUAAAACAUAAUAAUCCUAUAUGUUGUGUUGCAGAAUAAGGAAAAUAAGACAAAGCAGAAAUAAAUAUUUUUUGGUGGCCCAGCAGCAAGGUAUAAAGCCAGAUGCUAUUUUUUUCUUUUUUCUUUUUUUAAUAUAUCAUCAUAAUGGGAAGUGGAAGUCAACCUGAUCACUAAAGCCUGCAUUUCGAGACAUAACAACACCCCACCGGCUUCCAGCUGUGGCCAUUGAAGUCACGUGAAAUCCUUCCCUCCAUUUCUUGUUAAUCCACUUGAAUGGAAAAGAGUCACUGACUUUGUAAGAUUGUUGUGUGUAUUGGGUGCCUGAAGAUAUUUCAAACGAGUUGAAACUUAGGAAAAGACAAUGCCGAUAACAAACAACAAAUAGGUAGUGUGCUCUGUAUAAGCUUUUGUAAACUUAUACAGGACUAUUCCUAAUGUAGAUUACAAUUAGCCCCUUCCCAUAUAUGAAACAUUCAAUAAAAUUAAGAACUGUGUUUCAAACUGGAAAGGAACGACAAAACAUGAACACUUUCUGACACCAACCAGAGUGCUACGGUUUACUUGUUUAUUUUAAGAAAGAGAAACAAUCAUUCUAUUCAUAAAUGGAAUAGGUAUAUAAGUAAAGUACAGCAAGACCGGGUAUGAGCUAUCCCUGGACAAAGCAAUACAAACUACACACAAAGCCUAGCAUACACAUAACCAUGGGGAAACCAAACAAUCACCCAGACAACCAGUCUCUAACAGAACUGAUUCCCAGGAGAACUAAAAUGAAACACGAGGCCACAGUUUAUAUUUCUCCUGAAGCAUAUUUUCGUCUCAAGCAAAAACAAAAUAUGCACCAUAUGUUUUUUUCUGGUUCCCAAUCAUUUCCUUUUUACAAAUUUACAAUUAUAUUGGACAUCAUUAAUAUCUGUUACAUUACUUGAAAGAAAAAAAAAAUGUGUUGCAUUAUUAUCAUGGAUUAGUUAAAAUGGGGACACCUAGCAUAGAAUAUAGAUAUAGAAAUAUUACAAGAAUGAAUCUAGUAAAGAUAGCAUACUAUAUAUAUAUAUAUAUAUAUAUAUAUAUAUAUAUAUAAAUAGGAAACCAAAGUUUGAAGAAUUACCUUUAGACAUCACUACAAGAGAGCUUCCAGUGUUAGAUCCAGCAAUAGAACUGAUGUAAUAGUUCUUCUCCCAUUGCUCCAUAAUCCAUUCCUAAGAAAUUUGCAUAAUGAACGGUGUUAACUAUUUACAUUAAAUUGAAUCCUAAGAUAAAAUUGAAGUCUAACAUAGUUGGAUGAAUUAAUUAAAAUAGUUGGUUGAACAACAAUUGACUCAAGCAAGACAUGUCCUUAAUUUAAGGCACUGAGGAAUUCGUCUCAUAUAAGCGUCAGUCCAAAAUCUCUCUCAUUUAUAACUAACUCAAGAUCAAAAUUAGAAAUUUUCCUUAUGAAUCUUAUACCUUAUGAAGGAAGUGUGGCGACAACUCAUAAACUUGAGAUGUGAAAUUGGUGCCAGCAUCCAUAAUAAGAGCCCAAAGGUUGGAACAAGAUGCCACACAACUUAUGAGCAAACCAUCUUCAUUUCCCCUCUCCACAUGUUGUGCCAAUCUUCCAUCAGCUACGUUAUAGUGGUACCUAAGUAAAAUAUAAGGGAACUUUAACAGACAAAUCAAAACAAGAAGAUACAUUUACAAGAAAACUUAUGGAGUUAUAGUCUUCCAAAUGGGGGAAAAAAAUCAAAAACCAUAGUCAAAUGUUAUGGACAAUAGAGCAACCAAUAACCUCUGCAAUGUGGAUAGAGAAAUAUAUAUACAAGAAUAACAUUUACCUCCUAAAUGGUUUCAUAGUACAAUUUCUAUUUGCCGAUAACAGAUAUAUUGAUAGGUUGGUGGAAAGGGAGGAAAAAGAUAGCUACUAAUAUACUACUUAAUAACAUUUUUACCAGUUCAUUGAUCCAUUGGUCCCUAGUAGUAGUUAAUUUCUAUCGUGGGUGCAUAGGUCCACAUGGUAUUAAACUAAUGAUAAUAAUAGCCUCAAUGGUGUAUCCUAAUAUGCAGAUCCUAUUGAAAGGAUGAGCAUGGCAUGAGAAAUGCCAAGACCCUACGAAAAGCAAAGAAAUGACAAGAAUAACUGUACCUCUGUUUCAUCGGUAAUCUGGCAUUAUAAACUGAUAUCCACUGGGUAGCAGGGACCCCUAGUCGGAUCUUUUUCUUAGCUUGUCCAUCAUCUUCUUCCUCAACUGUCAACCUACCCCGUUUUUGGCCAACUUGAUAGAUAAUCUGGCAAAUUUUUAUAUAAGUAUUGACUGCAAUUCAGGGUAAGGAAAAACAAAUUGGGAACUACAAACAUAAUAUAAUUAUAAACCUACCUUCUGAGCACCAUCAGUAUUAAUCGGUCUUAUAGCUGGAUUUGGUCCUAUCAGAGUCUCAAAUAGAGAUACCAGCUUGGAGUAGUUGGGCUCCUCAUCAAACUUCAUGUUGACCACAAUCUCAAGAAAUUGCUUAAAAGGCGGAGGGCAAAAGCAACACAGCAAAUCAGGAGCAGUCGCCAUCUUUUUCUUGCAAACAAGGAACGAUUUGUUGUCACCCUGGCAGAAAAAAAAAAAAGGUUGUAAAUUUAAUUGCAAUUUUUAUUACUAACAAAUUUAUCCUUGAUGAUUACCCCACCCCUCCUUCAAACACAAACAGACAUACAACUGUUUGCCAAUAUUAUAAAUACCUGGUACCCCUGCCAGGGUAACCUGCCCCGAUGAAGAAAUAUGAGUGUAUAUGCAAGAGACUCUAGAUCAUCUCGUCUACUGGCUGUUCUUCCCAAGUGAGCAUGGACACUAGCAUAUCGCACGGUUCCUCUACAACAAUUGAAUAAAGAUGGUUAAAUAAGAAAUUCUAAUCCGUUAAUCAAUCACCUCACAAAAAUGCCUAUUACCUGAACACAUCAGGGCGCUGAUCGUAUUCAACAUGUUGGCCAGUGGCACCAUCUCUCCAUUUUGUUGCUGUCAGAUCAUUCAUGCCCAAUAAAAAUCAAGCACAUAAAUAGAAAUGUUAAAAGAAUCCAGGAAUACACACACACACACACACACACACAUUUCCCCACCUAAUCCAAGGUCAACCAGGAACAACUUCUUUUCUUGUGCAGUACCCGGUUGACCGAGUAGAAAAUUUUCCGGCUUUACAUCUCCAUGGACGUACCUAGUUUUCAAGUUUCAACAGAUAUAGUGUGAGCAUCAAGCCAUCAGUUUCAAGGGAUAACAAUAUUAAAACAAUAACAUCAAUCGCAACAGUAAAAUGAAACAUUCGAUCGUAAAAAAAUACCAAAAAUGAAUCAAAUAAUUGUGAAUUUGUGAUUUAAAAGCAGUUACCCUCUUGAGUGCAUCUUCUCCAGGAUUGAUAUAGACUCAACUGCAAUACAAGCCACCAUUUCUGACGACAUCCUGCAAAACCACAGAACCAACCAAUCUCAGAGGAAAAACAGCAAAGAACAAACAAAGGGAAGUUACGAUUUGAAUUUUGCUAAAAGAAAAGAAGGGAAACGAAACAGCAGAAAAGGUCUAUUCCAGAAUUAUUAUACAAAUCUCUUUUCCAUAUAAGAAUGAAAAUUGCCAGAAUAAUUUCCAGGUCUGUGAGAAAUCUCAGAAUUGGAGACUAGUAUGAAAUGCCAUAUACCUGAACCUUACAAGAACAACUAAACUUAAUUUUGAUGUGAAUAAUUGCAAUGCUAAAGCCAUUCACUCAUUGGGGGUAUGCCAGGAUUCAAGAACAUGAAAUUACAAUAUCUGUAACUUAUCCUAAUGGAUACAAUAGAAUUCAUCACAAAAUUAUAGGCACAACAAAUCUGUAACAGUUGAGUUUGGAGUUUGAGGAUUUGGGUUUUCGAAUACUCUUCAUACUUUGUGUUCCUUGUAUUUUUAUUUUGAACUGAAGGCCAAAGUAGUUUGACUUAACAACCUUUCCCAAAAAAGGAACAAAUUUUCUCAGCAUUGAGAUGCUGCUUUUACCCCCGGUAGGCCUAAGAGCAGCACAGUUCCCUCUGUCAUGGACUUGUUUGCUUCCUUCCCAUGGGAAUGAACUGUGGCCUAUUGUGCAUGAUCUAUCAGAGAUAUCGAUGUGAAUCUCGCAACGCGGCAAUUUCUAGGAAGCUUAAGUGUUAGUGGAGACACAUGUUUAAGGAUGUAGUCAGCGACAAUUCACACGAAGAAAGAUUGAAAUGUGAAGGCAUCAUAUUUGACAACUUACCCAACCCAAGGGCUUCCUAGACUCGGAAUGGGGUUUCUAUUAUCGUAUUUCAGUUUUAUUGCUACACGUUGUCAUGUUAUAAGGAUUGUUUGUGCAUCCAGCAGUUUCUGUAGUACUACUAGUAACAUUAUAGAAAAGGCAAUUAGCAACAUUAGCAGCAAUUAGCAACAUAAAAAGGCAAGCCAGCACAACAGCAGAAGAAAAUAAUAAUAAUAAGAGAAUAAAAACAAAUGAAAUGGUUCUUACGCUUGGCCAGAGGAGUUCCAUGCAUCCCAUAAACUAGGCCCUAGCAUGUCCAUAACCUGCAUAUAUGUAAAAAUAAAAUAUGGUCAUAUGUAAUAUAUUCCAACCACCAAUUAAGUACUAUUCUUGAAGGGAGUGCAACAUGUAUAAAUCAGUGUACUGACAAUCAUACAUGGAGCCAUGGUAAACUUGAACAUAAAAUUAAGGACUGGCUAUUUUGGUAUGGUACGCAUUUCAUCAUAGAGAUCAUCCUAAAAGAACAUGUUUCACAUUGUUCAAAGAUGGUGGCAGAGUGUAAUUUGCGACGCUUGAAAUCAAAUGAGUUGGUCUUUUGUAAGGAUUAUAUUAAUAAUGGCAGCAUUAGCUUCCCAUAAAUUACCCAUAUUAAUUCAUAGUGCAGCUUCAUUAAUGGGGUUGUGAGUAAAUAUAGUGUGUUUCAUGCACAGGUAUGUAAGUGUGCACUGAGAGCAAUGGAGAAAAAUGCAACAAUCUGAAAUUUCAAAACAUACCAUUACAUAGUAGUCACCCUGCCUGCCUUUAUAAUGCACUUUGGGCACCCCAUGACUGCCACCAAGAGUGCUACUCAGAAAAAAAAAUAGCAAAGUUAGAAAAAAUUUAGAGAAGAUAUUAAGUGAUCAUUGCACAUAAAUUCCCAUUAUACAUACUUGUAAACUUGCCACUCGUAUGGAGGCCCAUAGUUACAGCCCUUGCUACUUCUAUGCUCAAAUUUCAAGGCCACCUGUUACAACAUGCAAAAAUCAAUGAGAACUACGUAUGCAGAAAUAAUUUUCAACAGUUAAAACUUAUCUUGGCAGACUAAAUUAUUUGGAUUCUAAAUAAACUGUGAAGGGGAAGAUCACCUCCAUAGCCCCUGCACCUGUCGCUCUCUCAUUUCCACCUGAAGCACGGCGACCAACAAAUACUUGGCCAAAACCGCCCUUACCCAACUUCCUCUCAACCUUGUAGACCGGUGAUCCUCCUACUUGAACCUGUAAAAAAAGGUAAGAGUUUAAAGACGUCAUAAAUGAAGCCAUAAAGUCUCAGAACGAUAUUGCUUACUUCUAAUUUUCAGACAUAAUGCCAUAAUGUACCUUCCUCUUCAGAACACAAUAUCUAAUCAAAUUCGUUUGCAGAUUCCAAUAUGUAUGUCAAUAUAUAACAUGUUAUUAAGAUUCUUCUACAAAAAGGGUUUACGUAAUGUUAACCAUUGCAAAAUAAAGGAAGUUAAGGAUUUAAGAGAAGCAACUGAGUAGAAGCAUUGCAAAGAAAUUUUUGACUUCAUUUUUUGUGAUUUAUGCCUCGAGUGUUUCCAGUCACCAAAUUAUGGAUGUCAAAUAGAAUGAAAGUUGUUGGAAGUAAAAAAAACACCCAUGUAACCAAGGUCAUUAGGAUUUUACAUGUGAACAAUAAAAACAAAAUUUGGGAUCAUAACUAUAUCAAACACGUUGCACACCCUAUAGCUAGUAAACUUGGUUUAAAAUGUUAAACCACUGUGGAAUUGCAAAACUCCAUAACAAGUAAGGGCUUAAUAAAAACGAAUUAUAUACUGUCCUUUGAUAAUUUACAAAACACAUUUCCUUUUGUAUGAGAGAAACCCCACGUACAUAAAUCUCAACUUAUACCUACAUAAUCGAAAGUAGAAAGUAAUAAUUAAAUUACCCUUUCAGGAAAAGGAGCAGUGUUGCCUUCUUCUUCUUGCCCAACAGCUUUAUUAGCACUUAAACCGCCACUAUCGUCAGCCACCAUUUCUACCUCCUUUUCAGGUAAAUUUUUAACGUCAAUCUUAUCAAGCCAACCCCACGAACUAAUCUCAGGGAUGUAAGUUAAAGGCUGCUUUGAACUAUCCUUCACAGCAACAGCAGCAGCAGUAGAAAGAGCUAAUCUAGUCCUCGGUUUGACUGCAGUGGUAGUGUUCUUCUUGUUCUUUUUCUUACUCUUCUGCUGCUUAACAACUGGUACCUUUGCAGCCUCAGCAGCAGCCGCAGCAGCCUUUGCAACAGCAGCUCUAGUUCUAACACGAUUACCAACUAAAAAUUGAGACUUUUUCUUAGUAGUAGUAGUAGUAGUGUUGUUGGCAACAGCAGCAGCAGCAACUCCUCCACCACCCCCAACUCUCGACCGCAACUUACGGCGAUGAUCUGCUACAAUUGGAGCACGAUCAGUACGUACUCCACUACGCAAUUCAGGCAUUCUUCAUCACCCAUACAAUCCAAAAUCCCUUUUUCAAAAUCAACAACCAUUAUCUUUCUCAACAACAACCACAAAUCUUUGAAAUCCCCAUCAUAAUCAACAUCAAUAACAAACCCUAAUUACCAAAAGCAUAGAAAUUCUUAAGAAGAAUUGAAAUUAUUGAAAAACAAUUAUAAAUAAAACAAAAUUGUAGAAAAAAAUAUACCUGGUUGGAACUUGGAAGAAGAGAAGAGAAGAGAGAAAGAAACCACCGACUGAUGAAGAAAGAAAGAAAGAAAGAAAGAAAGAAUAGAUCGUGGGAGAAAAUGACCAAACCACUAAAGAGUAAAGACUAUAAAAACAAGCUUAGAAGAGAAGAUAUUCUCAAUCUCAAUUUGUGUCAAAUAAUAAGCUAAUAGCACCUCUCUGUCACACUAGUUCUGGUUUAAAUUGACAAGUUGCUUCUUUGGUUAAAAAGAAAGAUCACUUUUAAUUUCUUACUACAUACACCCUCUAGCCUCUAGCCUCUAGCCUCUUUCUUGUGAUAUUUGCAUCCAUUAAAUUAAGUUCAUAAUCACAAUUAUUAUUAGUAAUUCAAAAUGUAAUUUUCAAAUUUGGUGGUAAAAGUAAAACUGUUUUUAAUGAGAUAAAUAAUUUUGUAAUUACUGGCGGGAAUCGAAUCCUAAUCUCUAAUAUUAUCACCUCAAGAUUUUACCAAUGCAUUUAUAUUAAUUUUUUUCUUAAAAAUAUAUAGAUUGAUAAUGGUUAUAAUGCCAUCUGUUUAUUAAUAAAAAUGAUUUUUUUUUGACAAGUAGUUAUAAUAGUUCCACAGUCUAAGAAAUUCAUAAUGUAUAUAUAUUAGAUAACAUGUGAACUUGAAAUUUAGUUUGCCGUAACCCUAACCCUAACCCUAACCCUAUCUGUACUAACUUACUCCAAAUGUACCCAACAUAGUAUACAUUUGACCUACCUUAGAGCAUGCAUUACCAUAGCACAUCUUAACUACGGGAGGAGGAAAAUGAAUUAAUGACACAACGAACAAAAAUAGGAGAUACUGAUCAUCCAAUUAAGCAGGACAACUAUGCAUUGCAUACACCUUUUUAAUCCAAUUAUUAGUGUUAUUUUAAUUUGCUCGUUCGGGAUUUUUUUUUUUUUUUAAUAAACUAAAACUUUAUUGAUAGAACAUAAAAGUUCAGUACAUUACAUUACAUAUUUACAAUUUACGUAAGUAAACAUGGUCAGGAUUGAGCACUUCUCUAUGCCUUUUUUUUUCUCUAGUAUUAAUUGAUAAUUUACUAGGUUAGACUAUUUAACCGAUAAGUGGGCCAAGAACAAUCCCUAUCCACAUUAUAUGGAUAUUUAUUCCAGAAAAUAAAAUUAGGAGGAAAACGGUGUUUUAUCUUGUAAGUUGAGGCCAUGAGGGCUUACAGCUCAAGACAAUCAACAAGCAAAAGGAACUAAAAUCCUUUGCUCUUCACAUUCCCUCAAUGACCAGUUUGUACCACCAAAUACUGUAGAAAAUGUCUUGGACCAAACAUGCUUCACAAUAAAGUCCAUCUGUCCACUUACACAUGAAUUGCCUAUUGGGUUUUAUCUUAAUCUGGGCCACGAUAGGAUCACUGAUCACACAUGUCUAGUUUAUCAACCUACAGCCCAAAACCGUUGCCCUCGGGCUUUCUGUUUCGCCGUCACUUCACGGUCCAAGAUCUGGCCCUUUAGUGAACAGAUAAGUGUGUGAGUCAGUUUGAGAUUUCACCACAGUAGAAUUUUGUGGUAAACAUGAAAUAAUUUUGAGCUUAUUCACCAUUUAACCCUAAGAAUCUAGAACAGAGAGAUCUAACAUUUGUGGCAAUAUGGUCAUUUUCCAGACAAAGUAACACAUUUAUGGUCCUAUCAAUGGAAUACCUUGUGCAAUCAUCUUUCAUCCAAAUGACAACACCUAUAACGACACUCUUAGCUAAUCUCAUUGAUAUCUUCUUUGUUUGUAGUAUAUCAUUCUUUUAAUAAAAAAUUAUAUUUCUGGAAAACUACUGUAUCAUGUAUAUUUUAUCAUAAUUCAUAUGAUUUAAUCAAAGGCUGACAAAUUAUUGAAGUUAGAUAUUAGAGUGAUGUUUGUUGUAUCAAAUCAAAAUCUAAGAAACUUUCUUGUUAAAAAUUACACACUUAUGGCAGCAGGAGCAGAUAUACCGGAAUCCCGAAUCCAUGCAACCAAACAACACUGUGAAGCACAGUGCACACUGCAUCGCCUAUUUGCCUGGCGCACGUUAGUACCUUUCUUAUCUCCUUUAUUACUCAAGGCGCCGUUAUUUUUCUUUACGAUGUUUUCACGUGUGUUUGACAUUUUUACCCUACUGUGAUGUAUUCAGCACCUUGUUACAUUUUAUUUUCACCGUGCAGCCACGAUAGGUCUCUCUCUCUCUCUCUCUCUACAAAUACACAGAAAAGCACCAAAUCUCAUCUCAACAACAAAAACCUCUCUCUUUCUCUCUCGCCACCAUUGUUUUCUUCAUCUCUCUAUUAUCUACAAAUCUUACCUAAAAUUUACGAAUUCUUCAAUCUAAUCGAAUCUUCGAUCUGGUUAAAUCGUGUAAAACUAUCCGAUUUACAUCUCGAUCAUUCAUUUUUCGAUCUAUAAAUUUCAGAUUUUAUUUUUUAUAUAUAAUCUAUUUUUUUACGAUCGAUUGAAAUCAAUUGAGAAUCAAAUCAUUGAGAUUUAUUGAUUCGUUGAUAUUGAUUUUUAAGGGUUUUUGAAUCGGAUUGAGUUGAAAAAUCAAAUAUGGAUAAACAAGGAUCUAGAACAAGAGUUUAAAAAGAAGAUGCCAGGUUUACCUCAAAGAAAUGUUCAAUUUACUAAUGCUUAUUCAUCAACAUGCCCCGCCGGAUCGAUUUCAACCAAUGGAAUCUGGUCUAAGCAUCGAGAUGAGAUUUCAUGUGAUCAGCUUCAGAAGGUACUGUUUAUUAUAUUUAUAUUACUAUUAGAUUCAAUUCAAUUCAUUACAAUACUAUUACGAUUUGAUUUAGUAGAAUUUAAUUCAGAUACAAUUAGGCUGCUAAUAAAAUUGUCAUUUUUAGGAUUUUGAUAGCGUGUUAAUUGUAUAAACAACUAGUAGUUUGCGCAUAAUUUUUAUAUAUCAGUUGUAGAUAAUUUAGUAGACUGGAGAAAGUAGAGAGUGAGAAUCUUAUGAUUGAAUUUAGCAAUACAUAAUCUCAAUUGACUAUUAUAAUUGAAUUGUUUUAUAGAAUUGAUAAUGUGAAUGUAUGAUAGGUAGUGCUAAUACAGAAAUGUCUUACAGUGGUUGCUUCUUUUCCUUUGUCGUGCCUUUGUGAUGUAGUUCUGGAGUGAGUUGCCAGCUCAUGCUCGGCAGGAACUACUAAGGAUUGAUAAACAGACGCUCUUGGAACAAGCUCGAAAGAAUCUUUACUGCUCUAGAUGUAAUGGAUUGCUACUUGAAGGUUUUUCUCAAAUUGUUAUAUAUGGGAAGUCUUUACAGCAAGAAGGUGGAACAACUGGUAUUAUUGCCCAUGGAAGAAUGGCAACCAUGAAUGAUCAGAGUGAUAAUGGGUCAGACAUGAAGACAUUAGCAUGUCAAGAUGAUACCCAAGAUCCAUCGGUUCACCCUUGGGGAGGUCUUGUAGCAACUCGAGAAGGAAUACUUACGCUCUUGGACUGCUUUUUAGAAGCAAAGUCACUCAAGGCCCUUCAGAAUGUAAGUCUUAUAUGCUUUGAUAGUUGUAUUAGACACAUGUCAUCUGAGUUUUUGUCAUUUCAUGUGUUGACAUUUGUUCUGUUAAAUUUAGGUAUUCAAUAGUGCUCGUGUGAGGGAACGAGAGCGUGAGCUUCUUUACCCUGAUGCUUGUGGUGGGGGUGGUCGGGGAUGGAUAAGCCAAGGAGCAGCUAACUAUGGCAGAGGGCAUGGAACUAGAGAAACUUGUGCUCUGCACACUGCUCGACUUUCUUGUGACACGUUGGUGGAUUUCUGGUCAGCUCUGGGUGAUGAGACUCGAAGAUCUCUCUUAAGAAUGAAGGAGGAGGAUUUUAUUGAGAGGCUUAUGUACAGGUGGGUUUAUCUUUUAGUUUUAGCAAUUGGGUUGAUAGAGGAUACCACAAUACUAGUAAGGUGCUAGAAGUAGCUAUGCUAGGAUUAGAUUAUCUAGUCAAAAAUUAUGUUCUCCAGACAAAUUGGUAACACAAAAUUAGGACUUUUAUUUCUAAUUUGGUUAUCCUAGUACUUCAGAGAAAGACAGUUACCUAUAAAUAACCCAUGGUUUGGAUCCAAGUACGUACAACUUUGUUCCGUACAUAUGCUUUAGGGAUUCAAAAGUGUUUAUAUGGUUGUGUUUUUGCAAGUCAAGGAUGUCUUGAUAUACUCCAUGAAUUGUCUAUUUGAACUAGUGGGCAAAUCAUAUAGAGUUUAGGUCUGGGGAUGGUGGAACUGUAUAGUGAUAAUAUUUGAUGUCUGAAAACAAUUAGUCAAAUUGAGUUACGGAUAUAAAUUUAGUUUCCUUUGAUUCUUAAGUAGAAAAUAAGUUUGAAGGGAAUCCUAUAUUUCUCGCAGAAGGGCAAGAUAUUCCUCCAUAGUCAUUAGUCUGCAUGUUGUUGUUGUUGUUGUUGUUUUUUUUUUUUUUUUUUUCCUUUCUUUCUUUCUGUGAAGUUAGCUUGUGUCACACAUUAGUCCAUUUAUUCCAUAUAGUUGUCAUGGAGGAUUUCUGCACCAAAGAUUGUGUUGGGCAAUUUGCACUUUGAGUGGAGAGUGUGAUUUUGUUAUGCUCCAAUCCAAGUCUCCAAAACUUAAUGCACGAGAUAACUGUCUGGUUUAGAAUGAGUCCUCCAAGUGGUUUAAACAGUCUUAAGUUGUUCCUAGGUUUGUAAGACUUGGAAUAUGUAAAAAACAUUGAAAAAAGGAUUUGGAGAGCUUGUGAAUUUAGUUGUCACUGAAGGAAGAAUUUUAGGAAAUUUAGUAUUUGACCUUCCAUAUAAGGACAUGGGAAUCUUGCUCUAUUAUUAAACCAUGUUUUUAAGGAGUAUUUCACCAAUCUUGUUCUACAAAACCAAAUAUGAAUUGCUCUAGCUGGGAUUUUAACAAAAGAAUCAUGGAAUAUAAGGUGAAAAGGGGUCUUAGCUGCAAAUUUUUUAUGAGUGUGGUCAUUAAUACAUACAUAAUGAAGAAAGAAAUAAAAAAUUUUCGUUCCUCAGAUUUAUGGAGCAUAGUUUGUCUCAGAGUUUGUUUGAGAUUCUACCGUUAGGUGUCAUUAUAUCCCACCUCUUGGUCUUAUGCUCUCUUUCUCUGCUAACAACCGUAAGUGAAUGGUGCAUUAGUUAAUAAAGCUGCAGUCAAAGUUGUAAUAAAUUGGAUCAGGCAAUUCUUCAUCUUUCACUAUAACAAUAAAGGUGAAGCUUCAGUUGAAUACAAUUUAUUGCGACUCUGAGCCCAAUUUGAUUGGAUGUUAUGACACAUUUGUUUAUUCUUGUUGCUGUUUGGUAUUUUUGAUGUCAUCUCACAUAUAGAAAAAAGUGAGUAGUAUAUGUUUUAGACAUUUUCGGGAGAUGUUCUACCUCUGGUCAUUGUUUUUGUUGUAGAGCUGUCAGUGUAUAAUUAUAUAAGAUUCGAAGUGCCCUAAUCGGUUGUACUUUGACUACUUCGGGUGGACAUUAAUUGUUCAUCUUUUUUUCCUCUUUAACACGUUGUUUUAACGAUCUUGAUUUUGUGUUACAGGUUUGACAGCAAGAGGUUUUGCAGAGAUUGCAGAAGAAAUGUUAUACGUGAGUUCAAGGAGCUGAAGGAGCUGAAGCGCAUGAGAAGAGAACCUCGCUGCACCAGUUGGUUUUGUGCUGCGGAUACAGCCUUCCAAUAUGAGGUGAGCUCUCACCUCUUAGCAACUGGAUUACCUCACCUAUAGCUCCAAAAUAUAUCUCAUGCUUUAAUCCUUCCAGGAUUUAGUUUCUUAUUAACUUGCAAUUAAAAUCAUUGAUGCGUGUAAGGAAAUUUAGAAGUGAUAAAUUGAAGAUCAAAUUUGAAGUUUUCUACCAGUUGAUCUCUGUUUUUUUGGGGUGCGCUCUCAGGUAUCCGAUGACAUGGUCCUCGCUGAUUGGCACCAAUCCUUCACUGAUACGUUUAGCACAUACCAUCACUUUGAAUGGGCAUUUGGAACGGGUGAAGGAAAAUCGGAUAUUCUAGAAUUUGAGGAUGUUGGCAUGAACGGAAGUGUUCAAGUGAAUGGCCUUGAUCUUGGUGAUUUGAAUGCAUGCUUUAUUACAUUGAGGGCCUGGAAGUUAGACGGUCGUUGCACUGAACUUUCUGUGAAGGCGCAUGCAAUGAAGGGUCAAGCGUGUGUCCAUCGUAGGCUUGUAGUUGGUGAUGGGUACGUUACAAUAACAAAAGGUGAAAGUAUACGAAGAUUUUUUGAGCAUGCUGAAGAAGCCGAAGAAGAAGAGGUAAUUUAAGAAUGUGAAGGUGUCCAUGUACUGUUUGUGUGAAUGACCUAUUGUAUCAUAUAUACGCUUUCUUAAAAAGAUAUUAAAGUUGUGUACCUCUGAUGCAUUUUUACUUGCCUUCCAAACAUUCAGGAUGACGAGUCUAUGGACAAGGAUGGGAAUGAGAUGGAUGGAGAAGGAUCCCGCCCCCAAAAGCAUGCAAAGAGUCCUGAACUUGCUCGAGAAUUUCUUCUGGAUGCAGCCACUGUUAUUUUUAAAGAACAGGUAUUCAUUCUUUAUUUGCAUUUACUAAAUCAUCAGUUAAGAAUUGGAAUCUUGAGGACUUAGCCAAAAACAAUCUUAACCCACAAACAUUGUACGCCUUCCUGAAAACAAAUUAUUUAAGAACAUCCUAUACCCAAGAAAUGUAAGAUAAUCUAUAAUCUUGACCGCUCCCUCUUCACAUGUAGAAGUGGGGGUUGGCGGUCAGGUUCAGAGAUGAGAGUGUUAAGCUCAACCAGAGACCCAUUGCUGAGGUGGUUGUGGGAGGGGUGACAGAGUGCGUAAGUAGGAUAUAUGCAUUUUUCUACUGUGUAGGGGUGUUGCUGGAGAUGGGGGUUAGAUGGUGAAGGGAGGAUGUUGCAGCUGAAUGGUGAUUUGGGUGGAGAGGAAGGAGAUGGCGUAGCUGUGUAGGGGAGAUCAGUGGUUUAGAUGGUGGGUACUGGCAGACUGAUUACGAUUGGAUUGAUUUUGUGGCUCACCUGCCUAUGUCCGUAAGAGGGAGAUUGCUCAGUCAAAGGAUUUUGACAGAUCUAAUAUGGAGGUCAUUGUGAUAGAUGCACUUCUGGGUACAGACUACAGAGUAGGAGGGAUAGGAUAGUACAAAGUAGAUUUUGAUAAUUUUGGUCUAGGCUGUAGAGGUGUAUGCUUGUUUCUUUCUGAAAACCCUGAUAUGGAAGACUGUUUGUUAAGCCUUGUCUGAAUUCAUUGGGGGAAUUGGUUAAUUAGGUAUACACAACCCUGAUAUGUUUUGUNNNNNNNNNNNNNNNNNNNNNNNNNNNNNNNNNNNNNNNNNNNNNNNNNNNNNNNNNNNNNNNNNNNNNNNNNNNNNNNNNNNNNNNNNNNNNNNNNNNNUAAUGCAACGGUGUAAAGGGAUACUCGUUAGGAUCUACCUAAUUUGUUGUUUUGUUGACUCUGGUUGCCUAUAGUAUGGUUUUAUAUCUUAGUUACAUUGUAUUUUGCUCACUUUGGAAGGUGCCAUUUCUUUCAGGUAGAAAAAGCUUUUAGAGAAGGGACUGCCCGUCAGAAUGCGCACUGUAUAUUUGUUUGUCUUGCGCUAAAAUUGCUGGAGGAGCGAAUUCAUGUUGCAUGCAAAGAAAUCAUUACGUUAGAAAAGCAGGUGCUUGCAAUACUUCAAAAAUUAUGUAUAUCAAUUUAAUUGUUGAUCAAGGUUUUGAGAGAAAAGACUAAUUAUUUAAAUUUUGUGAGAUCUUAUGCUCGAGUAUACUGUUGUUUCUACAGACCAAACUUCUAGAAGAAGAAGAGAGAGAAAAGCGCGACGAAGAAGAGCGCAAGGAGAGGAGAAGGACAAAAGAAAGAGAGAAAAAGCUGAGAAGAAAAGAGAGGUUAAAAGGGAAGGAGAGGCAGAGAGAGGAUGGUUCUGAAAUGAAGCAUGAUUUCAUGGGUUCUGAGAUGUCCAAAGAAGAAUCAUCACCAAGUGUUCAUGAGGAAUCAAAUAACAGUGUCAGCUCCGAAGAUUCAGUAAGUGAAACAGGAGAUACUGACCUGCAUAGGCCUCUGUCUCCCGAUACUCGAGAGGAGCAAUCCUCAAGUGGGUGUACCAAUUUGGAAAUGCAAAAUUUGAAGAGUGAUAGUCCACGACAUACAUGUAAUGUUUCUGAUGGAGAGGUUGGUACAAAGGGACAGUAGUGGNNNNNNNNNNNNNNNNNNNNNNNNNNNNNNNNNNNNNNNNNNNNNNNNNNNNNNNNNNNNNNNNNNNNNNNNNNNNNNNNNNNNNNNNNNNNNNNNNNNNNNNNNNNNNNNNNNNNNNNNNNNNNNNNNNNNNNNUGAGUAUGAGACAAGAUCACAUGCCGUGUGCAGGAAUCGAAGAUCCGUUGAAGGAGAGAACAGGCUAGAGAUAAACAAUUUUGUGAAGCCAAACAGAAGUCCUGCAGUUUUUAAUUUCCUGAACCAAUUCAUUAAACUGAUCCUAUGGAUCACACCUCAUAUAAGGUGUGGUCCUGCGCACGCAGCUUACGGAGAGAUUACCUAGAACAUAAUGAAAAAUGUAUUUCUGCAUUGAUUACAUGACAGGAGGAAUCUGCUUCGGAUGUGUCGAGGUCAUUUUAUCGUAAUAACAAGUAUAAUAAUGGAUGUUACAUGCCAGAUAGCUGUGGUGUUACCAAAAGCAAGCUCACCGGUGGGAACAUUCCUCCAAGUAGAGACAUGCUCUACGCUAAGAAAGUUUGGGAGCCUUUGGACUUGAGAAAGAAAUACCCUCGAAGCAACUCAGACUCUGAUGUUACUUUGAGGUCAUCUUCCUUAAAGACUGGUGAAUGCGAGGAAAGUAGAUGUAAUGGGGACGAUAUGGGCUCUCAACCUACUAGUAAUACCCAUAAGUCAGCAGUGGAGCCAUGUUUGUAUGAAAUUACUAGGGAUUUAGACAAGGUUGGUGAUAUGAGCAAUUAUGAGAAUCACGAAGGUGACUGCAUGAUAGAGUCCAGGAACCCCUGCUUGACUGCAGACAACACAUCCCAGAGGGGAUCUGGCUUUAAACCAAAUGAAUCGUAUAAUUCAAAGGAUGCUGGUAAUGAGGAACCAUACCCUGUUGCUUCUAGCUAUUUGAUCACUGGUACUGAUCCUAUUAGGAGUGGUACUUCUAGUUCAGAUAACUGCUCAUCAUGUCUUAGUGAGGGUGACAGCAGUACAGCCUCGUCAGGUACUCAAAAUGCAGAAUCUUGGCCAACAUCAGAUUCAGAAGAAUCCAGUCAACAAUUAGAAGUGAAGGAGGCUUCAACAUGUGAAAAUGGGUUUCAGAAUAUUCCUUAUGAUGAGUUGGAUGACAAGGACAAGACAAAUGGAGGGGAGUCGCUUCAAAGCACUGCAAGUACUGGAUUUUCAGUAGCUAGAGGUGCAGGAGAAACUCACAUACAAGGGGAUCCAUCUACCAACAGAGGCCAGAUGGAUGGUAGAAUUGUAGCUGAUGUUGGUUCCCAACAGCACCGCAUGAUUCCACCGAUGUUUAACCAAGGGUUACAUAUGCCAAUGAUCCCUGCACCUUCCACAAUGGCAUAUUACCAGCAAAGCCCAACCUCGUGGUCACCGGCUCCUGUAAAUGGGUUAACUGCGUAUCACCAGCCCAAUCGCUAUCUCUUCACCGCCCCUCUUAGGUAUGGUAUGUCUGCGAACCAGCCUUCACAUCUCUGUAUGCAGUACAAUGCUCUACAACCUCUACCAACUUCGAUUCUUAAUGUUGGCCAACAUCCUGUGUACCAAACAGUCAGCAGGACUACUGUUGUGAACACAGAAGAGCAAAACGGCAAUUCAAAAUUUGCCCCAGCUCCAAAAGCGGCAAAUGGAUUUGGUACCAUGGUGAGAGAAAUUCCUGCUGACAGGCCAGUUCUGAAUGGUCAGACUUCUCCACAAGAACCAUCGCAUGGAGAUAAUGGGAGCAUAAGCAUUUCUUCCAAUUUGCGAAGUGACAAUUCUAACUUUUCUUUGUUCCAUUUUGGUGGGCCAAUAGCAGUUGCAUCAGGAUCUGACAUGAAUUCAGCCUUUCCAAGAGAAGGUGCUGUUAAGGAUCAUUGUUCGUACCCGCCAGCUCACUGUACUCAGCCUGGUCUGUCUCCUUCAAAUAAGGACUCAACUGUUGAAGAAUACAGCUUGUUUGCAGCAAGCAAUGGAACAAGGUUUUCAUUCUUCUGAUAAGAUGUUGAGAAGAUGCAAAGAGAAGAGGGUUGAAGUGAAUUAUGCUCUACCCAUCUCCAGUUGUUAAAGUGUGGUACUUGUAUUUCCUAUAGACAAUAAUCUUCUUGGAGAAUCCCAAUUUUAGAAUAUAUUUUCUUGAGUUAAUCAUUUGUGUUUUAUUGUUUUUGACUUUAUGAGGAAAAAAGAGAAGAAAGAAUUGCGUGGUUGUCUGGUUGAUAGGGUUGAUGUUUUCCUUUCGUUAUUGGUUUGAGCUUUUUAGUAUUUUGAAGAGUUUGCUGAUUGACUACAUGAAUGGGCAUCCUGCUAACCUAGCUUGGAGGACAACUAACUUGUUGGAGGCGAAAUCAAUGUUUACGUUGUUUAAUUCAGUUGUUUUUAAAUUCUGCAAUUCGAUCAGGGAACAUUUGUGCACAUAUAUUGGCCAAGCAUGUUGAUAUCAGUUCACAAAAUUCUGAUUGUAUCUAUUAGUCAACCCCUUAUUGCUUCUAAGUCAGCUGGAGAGGAUCCCAUGUAAUAGUGUGAACUCUUAGUUUCUCACGACUGUUUAAAACAAAUGGUAAAAGAAAAAAUACAACCAGAAUGAAGUUGGUCCUUCCAAGUUCCAUCCUUUCCCUAUGGUAUGAUAAUAAAAUGCAGGCCCCUAGAUAGAAAUUGAGUAAGGCGACUCUCAAGAAUUGAAGAAUCGAAGUUUAUAAAUUGAGUAAAAAUGAAAAGUAAAAAAACGUAAAUAUAGAAUUGAGUAAGAUAAGUUUAUAAAUCGAGUGAAAAAUAGAAAAUGAAAAAUAAAAAACAAAGAUCUAGAAAUUGAGUAAGAUGAGUUAUGUAUAGCAAAUUAGCAAUGCAUGAUUGAAGCUAUUCUCAUUUCUUAGGCAAUUAAUAUUAUAUAAAUCGACUGGGGUGGUUAAACGGAGAUUAAACAGCUUGGCGAUAGUCAUUUUUUUUAAAAAUAAAUAUAUUUAUUUUUAUAUACAUAAAAAGUUAUCACAUCACGUAAUUGCUAAUAUUUGAACCUAAAUAAACAAAUUUUAUGACAAAUCACAAUUCAUAAAAUUAUAAAUAAACAAGAAAUACCCCCCGAGAGGCAGAGAUUAGAACAGAAAGAUCAUUCGAUUCGAACCCCCCCCCCCCCUCUUUCAGCUAAACCCUAAAGACCCCCCCUCUUUUCAGCUUAAGACGUCGCCUAGGAUGGUUAAUUACCGUAUAGGUGGCUAGAUCGAUUUUGCAACUAUUAUAAGCCACCUAAACAGCUAGGCAGUGCUACAUCGACUUGACUAGGUCUAUAAUCGUUGCAAAAUCGGUCUAGUGCCUAGGACAAUUUAUCGCCAUUUAAUCGGCUAGACCGAUUUUUCAAACAAUUAUAGAGCUAGCCUUCUAAUCGUGACCUAGGCUGAUUUUUGGAACCCUAGUAAAUGGAAUACUAAAAAAAGCAAAGCCCAAUAGAAUGUCCCAAGCCCAAUACUAAAAAGAAUCUCGUGAAAGUUUGUUUGUUUCCCUCGCUUUCUUUGUUUGUGGAAUUUGUUUGAUUAUUCGAUUGUUACCCCAAUUUCCUGAAUUAGCAGCAGCAGAAGAAGAAAAAGAAAUCCCCCAAUUAUUCAAUCUAAUCCAUCAAUCUAUCUAUCCAAAUGAAAUCUUAUUGUUGUUCUCUAAACUUCGCCUCAAAUCUAUCUAUUAUAACUUUAUAUCUCUUCCAUCUUUCCAUUAUAUAUUAAUUGUUUUCAGAGAAGUGAAACAGAAAACAUGGAGAUCGAUCUGCAACAUUACUUUAUCUCAAUUCUCUUGGUCUGAGGCACAUCGAAGAAGAAUGCAAAAGUAGCUAGCUUAGCUUUUGAUGUUAGGUAAUUAUAUUGUUGUCUCUGUUCUGUUUUAAAACAACUUGAGGCAAAUCAGUCGAGUUUCAUUUCUCGAAGUUCAAAUUUUUUUAUUAAUUCUACUAUGUUUUAUGUCUAUUUAUAAAAGAAUUAGUAAAAAUAUAAAGAAUCGCACCCCCCAAAAUUUUGGUAUAUAGAUUUCAUGUAACUUUGCACCCCCCAACUCAGAUUCCUGGAUCCGUCCCUGUUUCUCCUCCUUCUUCUUCAAUUGGUUAAGUGCUUAUUUGAUUCUUCUGGUAACCUCUCUCUCUCUAGCCUUCAAUUAGAACUAGGUGGUAAUUAGGUUUAUUUUUGCUUGAUUUUGGUAGAAAAGUUUAAGUCUUUCUUGAGUACAUGCAUUUGAUGUUUUAUAGACAUGGGUUUUUGUUUAUUCAGUCAUACCAGCUUAGUAAUUUCAGGUCCAUUCAGCUUAACUGUAUCCAUAUAUAGCAAAAAUGUAGAAAUAAUAAAGUAGGCUUGCGCCAGAGUCCUCCCCAUUCUGUUAAAAUUAUGGAAAAAUUGGCGAUAACCCCCCACAUUAUGGUCACUCUUGGCAAAAACCCCUUAAUUCUGCCAUUUUUGGCGUAAACCCCCCAACCCCCCAAAACUAUACCAUGUAUUACCCAGUUUACCCCUGGUUUAAAUUAUUUGUCUAAACCCCCAAAUAUAACUUAACAGAAGUUGACUACAAUUAACAAAAUCUAUAUUUAUAUUUGCCUUUCACAUAGAAAAUCAAUUUGAAAACCCCCAAAUUCUUAAUGUGUUUCUUCCUCUUUUUCUUAAUCUUACACUAAAUAGUGAUAGCCUUAUUUGGAAUUGUCACAAAUUGACAACAAAAUUCUAAUCUUUAUAAACAAAUCCGANNNNNNNNNNNNNNNNNNNNNNNNNNNNNNNNNNNNNNNNNNNNNNNNNNNNNNNNNNNNNNNNNNNNNNNNNNNNNNNNNNNNNNNNNNNNNNNNNNNNNNNNNNNNNNNNNNNNNNNNNNNNNNNNNNNNNNNNNNNNNNNNNNNNNNNNNNNNNNNNNNNNNNNNNNNNNNNNNNNNNNNNNNNNNNNNNNNNNNNNNNNNNNNNNNNNNNNNNNNNNNNNNNNNNNNNNNNNNNNNNNNNNNNNNNNNNNNNNNNNNNNNNNNNNNNNNNNNNNNNNNNNNNNNNNNNNNNNNNNNNNNNNNNNNNNNNNNNNNNNNNNNNNNNNNNNNNNNNNNNNNNNNNNNNNNNNNNNNNNNNNNNNNNNNNNNNNNNNNNNNNNNNNNNNNNNNNNNNNNNNNNNNNNNNNNNNNNNNNNNNNNNNNNNNNNNNNNNNNNNNNNNNNNNNNNNNNNNNNNNNNNNNNNNNNNNNNNNNNNNNNNNNNNNNNNNNNNNNNNNNNNNNNNNNNNNNNNNNNNNNNNNNNNNNNNNNNNNNNNNNNNNNNNNNNNNNNNNNNNNNNNNNNNNNNNNNNNNNNNNNNNNNNNNNNNNNNNNNNNNNNNNNNNNNNNNNNNNNNNNNNNNNNNNNNNNNNNNNNNNNNNNNNNNNNNNNNNNNNNNNNNNNNNNNNNNNNNNNNNNNNNNNNNNNNNNNNNNNNNNNNNNNNNNNNNNNNNNNNNNNNNNNNNNNNNNNNNNNNNNNNNNNNNNNNNNNNNNNNNNNNNNNNNNNNNNNNNNNNNNNNNNNNNNNNNNNNNNNNNNNNNNNNNNNNNNNNNNNNNNNNNNNNNNNNNNNNNNNNNNNNNNNNNNNNNNNNNNNNNNNNNNNNNNNNNNNNNNNNNNNNNNNNNNNNNNNNNNNNNNNNNNNNNNNNNNNNNNNNNNNNNNNNNNNNNNNNNNNNNNNNNNNNNNNNNNNNNNNNNNNNNNNNNNNNNNNNNNNNNNNNNNNNNNNNNNNNNNNNNNNNNNNNNNNNNNNNNNNNNNNNNNNNNNNNNNNNNNNNNNNNNNNNNNNNNNNNNNNNNNNNNNNNNNNNNNNNNNNNNNNNNNNNNNNNNNNNNNNNNNNNNNNNNNNNNNNNNNNNNNNNNNNNNNNNNNNNNNNNNNNNNNNNNNNNNNNNNNNNNNNNNNNNNNNNNNNNNNNNNNNNNNNNNNNNNNNNNNNNNNNNNNNNNNNNNNNNNNNNNNNNNNNNNNNNNNNNNNNNNNNNNNNNNNNNNNNNNNNNNNNNNNNNNNNNNNNNNNNNNNNNNNNNNNNNNNNNNNNNNNNNNNNNNNNNNNNNNNNNNNNNNNNNNNNNNNNNNNNNNNNNNNNNNNNNNNNNNNNNNNNNNNNNNNNNNNNNNNNNNNNNNNNNNNNNNNNNNNNNNNNNNNNNNNNNNNNNNNNNNNNNNNNNNNNNNNNNNNNNNNNNNNNNNNNNNNNNNNNNNNNNNNNNNNNNNNNNNNNNNNNNNNNNNNNNNNNNNNNNNNNNNNNNNNNNNNNNNNNNNNNNNNNNNNNNNNNNNNNNNNNNNNNNNNNNNNNNNNNNNNNNNNNNNNNNNNNNNNNNNNNNNNNNNNNNNNNNNNNNNNNNNNNNNNNNNNNNNNNNNNNNNNNNNNNNNNNNNNNNNNNNNNNNNNNNNNNNNNNNNNNNNNNNNNNNNNNNNNNNNNNNNNNNNNNNNNNNNNNNNNNNNNNNNNNNNNNNNNNNNNNNNNNNNNNNNNNNNNNNNNNNNNNNNNNNNNNNNNNNNNNNNNNNNNNNNNNNNNNNNNNNNNNNNNNNNNNNNNNNNNNNNNNNNNNNNNNNNNNNNNNNNNNNNNNNNNNNNNNNNNNNNNNNNNNNNNNNNNNNNNNNNNNNNNNNNNNNNNNNNNNNNNNNNNNNNNNNNNNNNNNNNNNNNNNNNNNNNNNNNNNNNNNNNNNNNNNNNNNNNNNNNNNNNNNNNNNNNNNNNNNNNNNNNNNNNNNNNNNNNNNNNNNNNNNNNNNNNNNNNNNNNNNNNNNNNNNNNNNNNNNNNNNNNNNNNNNNNNNNNNNNNNNNNNNNNNNNNNNNNNNNNNNNNNNNNNNNNNNNNNNNNNNNNNNNNNNNNNNNNNNNNNNNNNNNNNNNNNNNNNNNNNNNNNNNNNNNNNNNNNNNNNNNNNNNNNNNNNNNNNNNNNNNNNNNNNNNNNNNNNNNNNNNNNNNNNNNNNNNNNNNNNNNNNNNNNNNNNNNNNNNNNNNNNNNNNNNNNNNNNNNNNNNNNNNNNNNNNNNNNNNNNNNNNNNNNNNNNNNNNNNNNNNNNNNNNNNNNNNNNNNNNNNNNNNNNNNNNNNNNNNNNNNNNNNNNNNNNNNNNNNNNNNNNNNNNNNNNNNNNNNNNNNNNNNNNNNNNNNNNNNNNNNNNNNNNNNNNNNNNNNNNNNNNNNNNNNNNNNNNNNNNNNNNNNNNNNNNNNNNNNNNNNNNNNNNNNNNNNNNNNNNNNNNNNNNNNNNNNNNNNNNNNNNNNNNNNNNNNNNNNNNNNNNNNNNNNNNNNNNNNNNNNNNNNNNNNNNNNNNNNNNNNNNNNNNNNNNNNNNNNNNNNNNNNNNNNNNNNNNNNNNNNNNNNNNNNNNNNNNNNNNNNNNNNNNNNNNNNNNNNNNNNNNNNNNNNNNNNNNNNNNNNNNNNNNNNNNNNNNNNNNNNNNNNNNNNNNNNNNNNNNNNNNNNNNNNNNNNNNNNNNNNNNNNNNNNNNNNNNNNNNNNNNNNNNNNNNNNNNNNNNNNNNNNNNNNNNNNNNNNNNNNNNNNNNNNNNNNNNNNNNNNNNNNNNNNNNNNNNNNNNNNNNNNNNNNNNNNNNNNNNNNNNNNNNNNNNNNNNNNNNNNNNNNNNNNNNNNNNNNNNNNNNNNNNNNNNNNNNNNNNNNUAACUUAACAGAAGUUGACUACAAUUAACAAAAUCUAUAUUUAUAUUUGCCUUUCACAUAGAAAAUCAAUUUGAAAACCCCCAAAUUCUUAAUGUGUUUCUUCCUCUUUUUCUUAAUCUUACACUAAAUAGUGAUAGCCUUAUUUGGAAUUGUCAAAAUUGACAACAAAAUUCUAAUCUUUAUAAACAAAUCGAAGAUAAAUACACCUAACAAGUGGAGAUGAAGAAUUUGGAUAAGAUUGUAAGUAAAUUGAGCCUGAAUUUGCUGCUCGUUGUUGUUUAAUUUGUUGGCUUUUGUUUGGUGGAGAGAAGAAACCAACAAGAAGAGAAAGAAGAGAUGUGUGUUGGUGAUGUGUUUAAUUUGUUGCUCCUUGGUGAUGUGUGUUGCUCAUUGUUGUUUAAUUUGCUAGUCAUUGUGAUGUGUGUUGGUGAAUGGUGAAUGGUGAUGGAGAAAAGAAGAUAUGGUGGGUUUAGAAUGUUUGGUGGUGGUGGGGAAGAAAAGAAAAGUUUAGGGAUUAAGGGUGUUUUGGAAAUAAAGGUGAAGAGAAAGAGUGAAAAAGAUGAUGAUGUUGUUGGGGGUGAUGAGGAAUAGAAAAUAUUGGUAGUGCAGAUUGCUCAAAUUUCUUGCAAAUUGGGUGGAGAGCAACGUUGAUUAGUUCAUGAACUGAUUUUUUUUUCAAAAAAAAACUACAUGUUCGGUUAACGGAGUUACUCGGAGUUUGUUAACUUUGUUAAUUCAAACUUGGGGGUUUAGACAAAUAAUUUAAACCAGGGGUAAACUGGGUAAUACAUGGUAUAGUUUUGGGGGUUGGGGGGUUUACGCCAAAAUGGCAGAAUUAAGGGGUUUUUGCCAAGAGUGACCAUAAUAUGGGGGGUUAUCGCCAAUUUUCCCUAAAAUUAUCUAGAGUUAAGGUUCUUCCCAGCAUCAAAGUCCACACAAAGAGUUUAAUGUUGAGAGGGAUUGCCAUUGAUCUGUUCCACACUAUUUUAUAACAAAAUUAUUGCAGUUGAGUGCCAGGUCGGAUAUAAAAUAUAAAUUUAAUUUCUUUUUCUUAGAAGUGCCAAGAGAAAUGUGAAGCUAUGAAAAUUUAUUUUGUCGAGGUUGAUUGUUUCGGCGAGUUUAAAAGCCUGAGCAAUUAUUUUUGAAGGAUUAUACUAUUUUAUAGGUAAAGCUUCUUUAGAUCAACAAUUCACUGGGCUGAAUUAGAGAAAUUUUUAUUGGAAUGUGUGGGAAUUAUGCCUAGAUGGAAUAAGUAUAAUAUGUUUCUCACUUGUUCCUACCAGUUCGCCAUAAAGAUGAAGUUUUAUGCAUGUUUGUUUUGUUCAGAUUGAAUUUUUGCGAGUUUUAUGAUGUGAAAAAUAAUUAACAAAGCACUUUUUUUUUUUUUAUGUUCGAACAACUGUACACUUUACUUCAUUUCAGUAAUUUCAACUUUUGGGUGUAGUGUAGUUACAACUUACAACUUUAUUAUACCUACAUAAGAGGUCAGAGGACACUAGAAGGACAUGACUAGGGAUCCUGGUUUGAGAGUUUAGGCGUGGUUAGGAUGCAUUUGAUGGACAAUUAAUGAGUUGUAAUAUUAUGUACCGAGCGCGCAGACCUGGCAUUUCAAAUAACCUAACAACCCGCAACUUGGCAACUCAUAAUUUAACAGUAGAAAUGAGGUUGAUAUUCAAAGUGGACUCAAAACAGUACAAGUUCUCCAUUCGAGUAUGUUAAUUUUUGUCAAAUGUACAUAUAUUGUUUGUUGUUCCUUAACUAUAGAAGAUAUUUUGUCUGUAGAUAUGGACAUAGAGGCCGCACCAGCCACGGCACCAGCCACUGCCUCGCCCAGUGUUUUCAGACGUCAUUGGAGGAUGUGUUGCACACUGGGGAUACUGCUUCUAGUGAUGAUCAUCAUCUAUGCUUAUGUGAAUCUGUCUUUCUCCAAAUACAAGCCAAAGAUUGAAUUGGACAGCAUCCGUACAAAUGGGUCAUCCUCUGACCACUUCGGGCCUUCAACUGUCGUAUUGGCCUCCUUAUCCAUCGAGAAUACAGCAGCUCGAUUUUUGGAAUACGACUUCAUGGUGGCCACUUUAGAAUAUAACAACUAUGUCAUAUCUUCCUUUAGCAUGCAGAAAUUACAUCAAAAGCCCAAGACUUUGAUAAUGAUUCGAGCUUCAUUUACAGAGUUCGACUACAUUGGAAACGUUACAUCUUUGUCUGCAACUGUUAAGUUAUUUUUACAUUUUCGGGUAAAAGGUUUAUCGAUGGAGUUCACUCGUGUGGUGAAGAUUUCGUGUGGUGUCAAGGUGGCUAGCUGGGGAGGAUCAUUUACGGGGGGAAUUGACGAUUGUGUUUAUUUUUAGUGGCAAUGAUCAUAUUCUUGGGGAGUUGUUGUGGAAGGACUUGGUUCAUUCAUAUGGUGUUUGCAUUGGGUGUGGAGUAUCUUGUUUAUUAGGUUUAUUGGUGACCUGAUUUGUGUUGUUUUCUAUCUCUCUGGCGCAAUCCCUGCCUCUUGGCCAGAUUUCCCUCUCGGAGGUAGGAUUUCUUCCAUUUUGUUGGGUACGUGGUGCUUCAUGUGUGUCAGGUCUUGUCUUGUCUGAGUGGGAGUAUGUGUAAAGGUAAGAUUGUAUUCUCAACAAGGCUACAUAACCCAAGUUCUCUAUUGUAAACAUUAUUAGUAUUUAACCUUUCUCUCAUUCUCUGAUGUAUGAUGUAUCUAAAUAAAUUCUAGUAAUGGAUCAUGAGCCCUUAUUAGCUCCACUUUGUCUACUGUAUCUAACUAUCUAUCUUUCCUUAUUCUACAAAACCUACAAUUAUUAUCAAUGCAUGUUAUCAGACUAGGAAUUUGCAAAAUUUGAGUUUGUCAAGUUUGGGAUGGUUCCAUUUUGAAAGCAAACUAGCUUUUCUCAAUUAGGUAUUUCACCCAAGUUUGGAUCAAUGUUGUUGUUGUGUUUCCAAUGAUAAAACAAAUCUCAGUUGAUUUGAUUUGCUCGAUAGUGGCAGCUGUUUGAUCUUGCUCAGAUGCUGUUUCCUUCCACUCCUCUUUAGUAGUUACUUGCUUGGGUUGGGCCAAUUUCAACUUUCAAAGGUAUGGAUGGUACUGAUUUAUGUUUGGAGUGAGCUCUUAUUUAUGACUAACUAGUAACUACUGUACCAACAACAUAUAUCUGAUGAAUAUUUCUACCAAGUAUACUAGUAUAGGCAUUCACUUUUUAUAGGUAAAAGUUCUUUCAGAAGAUGAGAGUGAAAGUGAUGCAGUGGGAGUGGGAGAGCUUUGUUUAGUUGCCCUUCAUUAUUCAAGUUGCCCUUUAUUUCUUUCCUAUAUUGAUAAUAGUUUAUAUUACAGUUAAUUAUAUGACAUAUGCUCUUAAUCUGGAGUCUGGACCUGCACAACUAGGUAAUACUGUAUUGAGUUUUUUUUAGGAUUGUCAAAAUAAUGGAGGACACUCGUAGGCUGGCUAUGGAGAGCAAAACUAGUAGACUAGAUGGUACUAAAAUGAUAAAAAUGUCGACUUUACCAACUGAUAAGAGUUGCCUAAUUGAUAAAUUUGGAGACUGCUUCGUAUGCAACCCAAUAUCAGUCUGGUUGUCUUUUUUAGGCAUGUCUUUCAGCUAAUAUACAGAAUGGACACACCAUGGACACAGCAUUUUCAGUUAAAUAUGGUGUCUCUUACAGGAGUGCGCUUCCAUUUUGAAAUACCUAGCAAUAGGAUGCGCUCUUCGAUAUGCAUUCAUUGAGUUUGCUAGUUACAGACUUACAGCCUACAUAUUUCGUAUCAGAUCUAAGAAUUGGGUUAUUAACAGUAUAAUGAGUAAGAUUUACUUGGUAGUAAACUCUGAUCAAUGCACACAAAUUUAAGAUCUUCUGGAAUUCUGUUAACUUUCUAUAUUUAGUGAGUAGAAACUAUUGUUAAAUUAACAGACUGGUUAUGUAGGGGCAGGUUAUUAUUAAGGCAUGCAUCUUCUUACACCCAUUCAUGCAUGGACAUGAUUUUAGUGCUGAUACAAUAAUCUAUUUGGCUUGAAAAGCAUCGUCACCAAAAAAGACAUGUUUACAGAUAUUGUCAUGAGCUACACUUAAGAACAGUUGCUACAGUGAAAAUGAUUUUAAUGACAGGGAGAUCAUCUGCAUGCCCUAAAGAUCACCCUCAAGGAACUCCAUGUAGACCCAAUGGGAGGGUAUUGAAAAAGUACAUGUCAAAAUAAAUGGCAUCCUAUCAUAUCUAGUCAUCUAGGCAUAUAAACUCGAAAGUGUUGCUAGGGUAUUCGGUUCACUGAAUUAUGGAUUCGUAUUGUCGAGACAGGUUGUGAAUUUUUGUAAAAUUUUAAAACUUAAACUCUCAUUAUGAAAGUCAACAAGUUUGUUGGUUGUUGUUUGCUAAAUGCCUAUCUACAAUUUUCCACUAAUUACAUGGUGGAGGAAUGUAAUGUAUGGAUUGCUGCAACUAUAGAGCAUCAAAUGAUGACUACACCUUUCCAGCUUUCCUUUAUCAUUUCAUGAACUUUUAUUUAUUUAUUUUUGGUUUCUUAGAUCACAAAGGAAUCAUUAAUUGAUGGCGGAUUCUUCAAAACUGGAGAUACUGUCAGAGUGGAUGAGGAUGGAUACUUCGUUAUUUUGGGACGUAAGUAACUUUCACUUUAUAUGAUAUCACUGUGUAAUGAAUGUUUUCCGAUUUAUAUGUAUGUAUAGAGUAUAAUGUUUCAAAUAUAUAACGGGAUUCACUGCGACACCACCCUGUAAAUUAUAUCAAAGUGGUGAAUCAUGAAUUUACAAAUCAUGAAUUUAUCAGCUAUAAGACCAUGCGACUGGUGGAGCUCUGACAUGGGGAUCUGCCCUGUCAAGCAUCGCAGAAAAAAUCUUUGAUAUGGAAGAAAUGUACGAGUUUACUAUUGUUUAAAGCAUCUAUAACUAGGUAAACAUCAGCUCAUAACAAUUGAGAGUUCUGAAGCAAACACUAGUUUGGCAGAUGCUUAUGGUAAGUGAGUUAUCAAAUGCUACAAUUGAGCUACAAUCAGUUCAGUACAAGACGAAAGAAGGGCCUAAUACAAGAUGUAUGACUCUUUUAAUGUCGUUUCUUUCGUGAAUGAUAGAAUAGGACAACCAUGGAGCUCUGAAUCAUACACUAGCUAGAAAUAAAACAAUGGUGGUCAAGUUAGAUGAAUUUACACUAAAACAUGCAUAUACCAACUCAUUUGUUUAUUGACAAUGUUCCCAAUGUUUUGUUGAUUAUUGGUAAACAAUACCUAAUAGUUUAACUGGCAUUAUAUUUAUUAUUAAUGAAUUGUGGUACGGACUUCAAUAUUAACCUUGCUUACCUACCCGAAUACUAGCAGAAACAUGUUCUAAUGUGAUGAGUUCAAUCGUGAUAGAGAUGUUAGUGUAUUUAAAAUUGCACUACCAAAUCUGUUUAUUCAUUCGUAUCUAUUUCGAUUCAUACUACUUGCUACACAUCUGAUGUGUUGUGCCUCUCCGGCCAUGUAAGGUAACAUUAUUGGAUUUUGGAAUAAGGAUCAUUGUAAGACAGUCAGGGAGUUUUAUUGGUAGGUUUCACUCCAUUUGAUACAUCUCACUAACACAGAUAUUAUUGACCUGCUAAGGAACUUUUCCAAAUAAACAUUGUGAGUCAAGAACAUACAAAGUUGGAAAAAAAAAAUUAGCAAUCAACAACAAUAAUUUGGACCGGUUUCAAAUGUUCUGCGCACAAUUCCAUUUAAGCUGGAUGGAGGAGCUUCAUCAACCCCUGGCUAUAUUGCUUGCCUACAUAUAUAUCAAAACGUUUUCUUUCUGAUGUGUAGUUAAUAUUUGAUAAGGAAGCAGCCUAACUACUUCCUGCGUGUCUUUGCUUGAGACCAUAAUAUGUGACAAGUUUGUAUAUAUUAGCAGAUUUUAAGAUUUAAAAUCUUCUUAAUUAUAAUUCUUUUUUUUUUCUAAGUCAAGAGGAGGGGAUUAGGGAGGACUAGCCCGAUACGUUGGUUUGGGACCCUCCACAUCCCGACUAAUAUUAAGUUUUUCAUAUCUCACGUGGAGUCUUUGUCAGGAUCGAGUGUUGACUAUGCAUGCAUAUUCCUAACGAAUGUGAAAUGUAAGGAAAAUUCCGCACAUGUAUUUUGCGUUGUAGGGUAGUGAAAGGUGUGGUAAAGCUUGAUCAGCUACAACAACAUAGCAGUAGACAGAGUUGGAGGCAGUAGCAGAUGGUGAGCUUUUAAGGUGGUUCGAUCAGCAAGCAAAGAACUGGCAGAGAAGAUCUGGGCGUUAGCACCAUACACUGAUGUGGGAAAAUCUACAAGAUUCAGAUGCUACUAUGGCAUAAAUAUAAGUUUUUAGAGGCAUGGACAGAGACCCAACAACUGCAGCAUCGCUGGAUACUGAUGAGGGAAGGCACAUCCUACGAAGAAAGGAGCAGUGAACAGUUGUUGGGUGCAGCAACAACAACAACGUUAGAUAGUAGCACCAAUGUUAUGGCUCCUCAAGUAUUAUAGCAAUAACAUCAACAACAAAUCUCACUUGUAGAGGACUGCAGAAGCAUGGAAGAAAUGUGAAAUAGUGUGGGAUUGGUUCAAUACAACACAACAGUGGUGCAGAGUUUAUGUUAUGAGUUCAGGUUCAUAACUGGCGAGUUUUAUGGUUUUAAUGUAAGGGUUUUAUUUAUUCUUUUAGUCUUUGGUUUUAAAGUUGCCUUCACCUGACGUGGUUCAUUAACACCGUUAAUCAGACAAGACACGGAUAAAAAUGAUUACCAGACUCUUUCUUUGGUUUGCUUAUUAUUGAAUCCAUUUUUUUUUUUAUCUCAAAGUAACUUGAAAUGCAACAUUGAGCACAAAGGUUGUCAGAGCUUAAGCAACCAUGAAUUGAAGCAACGCAUUUCUAAGUUGGAUAUGCUUAUUUUGGUAAUAAAUUUAUGCAGCAGUUAAGCUCAGCUUUAUAAUGGAAGAAUAGAAGAUUUCCCUACUGUAAUUGUUUCUUUUUAGUCCACUGCUUUCUUCAAAAUCAAAUUAAGUAACAAGUUUUUUGGUUAACUUUAUUGAAAUUUUAUUUUUCUAUUCAAAUGUCAUUACAACAUUAGGUAUCUGGAGAAGAAAAAAAACAGGUAUCAAAUAUUAUUUUCUUAAACUUUUGGUAUACACCAACAAACCCCUUUCCUGCAGGCCGGAUUAUCGUUAGAACCGCAAUAGUCGCCUUUGACACAAUCCCUAACAGUCGCACAUGAAGUACCGCGGAUCGGUGUAUCUGCAUUCACUUUGCUCGCCAUUCUAUCACCUGCAUAAAUAUUAUAAUGAUAAUUGCAAUAUUAGAGCAAGGGAUAUUUCUACAGAUAAAAUGACGUGGUUGCAAAACAAAAACAAGGUAUUACAAAAAAAAAAUGUACCUAAAACGAAAAAAAGGAGAACAAGGAAAAAGCACAAGGCUCGCGAAAACUUUGGCAUCAUUUCACUUAUUUCACUUUAGUACCCCAAAGCUAAUUGAGUUUUAUAAUGUACAAAUUUAAUUUGAUUUCCUUAAUUUAUACCUUAGUUUGAUCUCAUCAGCAAUAUAUUGUAAUUAAUGUCUGAAAAUUAAAAUAGUUUAGUGGCAUGCAAACAAACUUAAUAUUCUGAUGUGAAACAAUAUUUUUAUACUUGACGAUUACAAUGAUUUAUGAUAAUGAUAUCAUUUUGUACCUAACACUUUAUUAGAUUAAUCUUUGCAUUAAAUUACUGGAGGAAAGGAAACAAAAAUAAGUACAGUAGAACCUCUUUAAAUUAAUACCCGAUGGUUAAUAAUCUCUCUAAGUUAAUAAAAUUCUCUAGUCCUGAUGUACAUGGCAAAUAGCUAAAUCAACACUCGGUAAAUUAAUAAUCUCUUUUUUUAUAAGAAAAUUAAUAAUCUUUUUAAGUUAAUAAAUUUUAAUAAAAUUAAUCUCUUUAAAUUAAUAAAUUUUAAUAAAAUUGCAUAGAUCCGACGCUAUUAAUUUAAAGAGGUUCUAUUGUACUAGGAUGAUGAAUUGAUAAUCCCUACUCCCGAGUGUAUGUUAUGAGCAGUGACAUAUUUCCUUCAACAAGGUGAAAACAUAGUUUUAAGAAUCGGUUUUUUCAAUCGAAUCGGAGUAGAGCGAUCCCGGUUCUACUCAUUGAAUCAAUCAAAAAUCGACCGAUUCUUUGUUAAACUAAAUAUUAAUUUUUAAUAUUAAAAUAUAUUAAAAUUUAAUUUAAUUUUUUAUGUGAAAAAAUGGUAAUUUUUUAAAAUUAUGUGGAAAUGGAGCCCUCUAGAGAUUUACUUUAAUGUUUGGGCCGGGUUUCUCUAAUUACCGGCCCAUCUCAUCUCGAUUGGAUUUAUGAUGGGUGUUAUUCUUCCCACCCAAGAUAGUUGUCAAAAAACCCAAACCAAAAAAUUUGUCAAAAAACCCAACAAUUUAAUGAUGUUAUUUACUUAGUUACCCUUCUUCCCAAACCCACUUGAAAACCCAACACCUUAUUAAUGAUGUUUUCUUUGUUAGUAAAAAAACAAUUUUUCUUUGACCUAAAUUAAGCCUUUAAUCAUUGUAAGAUCAAAUAAUAUCAAUCUGGUUCUAUAUUUUUAUAUAGAAUAUUAAUUUUUAAAUCUAACGGUGUUUUCGAAUCAUGGGAUUUUGAAAUUCAUUAUGGUAAAUUAGGAACUGAAGUAAAACUAAUUUUUUUUCAAAAGGACAAUAAUCAACUGAUGUUAAGAUGUUACAACUUCAUUGAAUGUUCAUGGGAAAACAUAACAAAAGCAUUUGAGAUUAUGGUCUACGUUAAAAUCACUUUAUCAAAGAGUGAAGUUAGUGAUCUAGUACUUAUAUUUUUUUAACAUAAUUAAAAGAAAUAAAAAUGGAAGGAUCUGAAAUGGAUUAUUAAGCUAUGAAAGCCUUCAAUACUUGAGUUUAAUCCACAAAAUAAAAGUAAAAAAGAAAAUUAAAAAGAAAAAUGAAGAACAGAGAAAAAAAAAAUGGCUUCCUAAAAUGGUUGGGAAUUAAAAAAAGGUAAAAAAAUAAAUGACAUGAUUAGGAGAUUGGGUUUUAUGACGAGUUUUUUAAGUAUGGGUUUUUUUACAACUAUUAUGAAUAACACCCUUUAUGAUUUGAUUUUAGCAAUGCAGAACUUAUUCACAACAAAAAAAAAAAAAAAAAAAAAAAAAAGUUCAAUGAGUUCCCUCCUUUUCUCUUCUUCUUCUUCUCUUCUCAUCCCAACACCAUUAUUAUCAUCACUUCGUCAAUCUUCUCUUCACACCCAAAUAUCCCUAUUACCUAAUUAUUAUUAUAAUAAUUCCAAUAAUGCCCAUACUCUCUAUUCUUCAUUUCGUUCUCUCUGUAGUUCUACUGAUGGACAAGUUUCUGUUGUAAAUUUCCAAGAUUUACUUGAAAAAGAUUGGUCUUUUCUUGAAUCUGAUCACUUAAAUUCACCUAAACAACAAACCCAAAAGACCAAUUUGAUUAUUUCUGAAGCAGAAAUUGAUUCUAAUUCUAGGGUUUUAGUUUCAAUUCCAAGUGAAGAUUUUGUUGAUAGAUUAGUUGAUUCGACUAAAUGUGAAGUUAUUCUUGUUGUUCAUGAUUCCUUAUUUGUUCUUGCUGGUAUUAAAGAGAAACAUGAUUUGGUUAAGUGUUGGCAAGGAGAGCUUAUUUAUGUUCCUGAGAAAUGGGGACCUUUCGAUGUCGUGUUUCUUUGUUAUUUACCUGCUUUGCCAUUUGAUCUUCAACAAAUUUUCGAUACUAUCGCUAAGCGUUGUUCGCCAGGUAAUUUCUUUACUUAGAAAACGGAUUUCUUAUACCAAUGUAGUUGUUAAUGUUGAACUGUGCAUUUUAACUGAAUAUUGAUUUCAGAUCAAGUAAGCAACGUUGUUGAAAGUUAAUAUAACUAUUGAAUGACUCAAACAUUUCUGAGUGACAAGUGUUCAAUAAACUACAUAAUUUGUUAAGCAAAUGGGUCUUUUUCGCUUGUGCUCAGACAUUUAUCUUAUGAGUAGAUUUUACUAUCAGUGAUUCUAAAACUGGCAUCUUGUUUAUGUUUACCUUCGGACAAUUGAAUAUGUUAGAUAGAUGUCCUCCUUCCUUAAGUGUACCUCUGUCAAUGCAAUUGCAUACUGUAGUUUUCUUAUUUAUGGGCUGUAUCAAGUUGUAAUGAGUUCAAUGAGCAAUAGAACCUAUGUAUCUAUAUGUUCAUAUGUUUCAUGAUGGGUGGAUCUUCUAGUGAAAGUCUCUCUUUAUGGUCUGGUUACUUUUGGAGAUAUACGUAAGCAUUUGUUAGAGUAUAUAGGCCUCCUUCCAUCUGUGUACUUCUCACUGGAAUUGCGAAGUUUUCAUUUCUAUGUGCUGUAUCAAGUAUGCAUUAUGAAUUUUGUGAGCAAUAGAACCUAUGUAUAUGUUCAUGUGUUUCGUGAUUGCUGGAUCUUCUGCAUGUGGUCUAGUGAAAGUCUGUCUCCUUGGUUUGAUUAUUUUGAAGUUGUACAGGAGCAUUUGUGAAGAAUUGGGAUCUCAUUUCCCUCACAACAUUUUACUUUUACGUUAGUCAUUUUCCCUUCUUACAUGGCCUUAAUAUUCGACUUAAAAUGUGUGUAGGUGCAAGACUAGUUAUCAGCUUUUCACAAGGAAGGGAAGUUGUCGAUCAACAACAAAAAGAAUAUCCCGAUGUGGUAUUAUCAGAUUUGCCUCAUAAACAGAAUUUGGAGAGAGUUGCAGCUGAUCAUUCGUUCGAGAUAACUAAAUUCGUAGAUGAGCCUGGGUUUUACCUUGCUGUAUUGAAGUUUAGUGGUGCGGUAUGUUGAUUAAGUAAAGUUUUAAUGCUGUUUGUUUUUGUUCUGUUGCUGCUCCUUAGAAUUAUAACUUGUAACUGACUAUGUCUUGAGGUUAUAAGGUGUUGGUGUCUGUAACCUGAUUUCAUCUCAAUUUUGACAUGUUUAGUUUCACCACCGUUGCAGUCUGGUUAAGUUGUUGAAUGUUGAGAGUCUCCACUAAUGUUGUAUUAAACUUGCUGUAUUUGAAAGUUUGAGGGUAUCUUCGAGCUUUCCUUUCCACUGCCAAUGCGGCUGCUGAGAUAUGCCCAUAUUUGGUGAACCGUCUAUUCGCAUGUAUUUGGUUAAUGUUGUAGCCCUUUAUGUCUAUCUUAAAAAUGUUCCAGCAACAAGCUGUGCUGUACUAUGAUGUAUUAAAUGAAUGAGAUUAGGAGAUUUUCAAAAUCUUUUGUUGUUGCAUCAUUUGUGGGAGCUUAAAGAUUUCUGAAUUGGAUAAAACAAAUUGAACUACAAUCCUUCCAAUAUUUUGUUAUCCUUUGUUUUUAUGGACCAUAGAGAAUCAGCAUGUAGAGUGGAACUUCCGAAAUAUGAAUGGAUACAUCCGAUAAUCACGAAUACGGAUCCCCUAUUAAUGGUAUGGUAUAGUGUUGACAGUUCCUAAGCAGAAGGUGGUCGCUUUGCUUGGUUAUAGUGAUGCUGAUGCAUAACCUUUGUCCCUUCACAGUUCACACUGACCAAAAUGAUCCAGGAGGAAUAGGAAAACCUAUAAUAUAAGCCCAACAAGAUCCAGCCCGUUAGCCCAUUGCCUAGGUUUAUGGAAAAUACAAUAGUCCCGGCUCCACAUAAUCAUUCUGUCAUUGAAAUAAAGGCUAAACUAUCGAGUUAUGCUACGAAGUAGGGUCGAAUUCCCAACUUAUGCAACCAACUAAAUUAGGUUUAAAAUAAUCAGCAAACUUUUAAGUUUUUGCAAUUUAUGCAAUGCCGUUAACAAUCCUUAACAGAUGUUAGGUUUUGUUGACUGUAUUCUAUUUUUAAAUUUUUCUAUUGCUGACUGUGUAAUAAUUUAUAGUUGACUAUAUAUAUAUAUUUUUUUAUUUAGAUUUUAAGUUCGAUUUGAUGAAUCCAAUAGAUUGAGAAUUAUGAAAUUGAAAAUUGGGGUUUAGAAACCCAAGACCAUAGUACAAAAUAUCGCGAUAUAUCGCGAUAUAUCGCGAUAUAUAUCGGUUUUCAAAGAAAACGAUACGAUAUAUUUCUGAAAUUUUCGCCUUAAAGUAUCUGUAAAAUAUCGGCCGAUAUUUUCCGAUAUAUUUCGAUAUAUUCGAUAUUUUCCGAUAUUUUCUGGAAAUAUUAUUUUUUUUCAAAUUUUUUUUUUUUGAAAUAAUUUGUUUAUUCUACUUUUAGUAGAUAUGAUGUUUUUUAGGUAAAUACUAUGAAAAUAUACUUCCAAAUUUGAUUUUAUAUAUAUUUUGUAUAACAAAUUAAUAUAUUAGUCGAUAUAUUCCAUGUAAAAUAUCCACCGAUAGAUUUCGAUAUAUCCCGAUAUAUCUAUUUUUUGGAGAUCGAUACAUUAGUCGAUAACGAUAUUUUGUACUAUGCCCAAGACUUACCUUCUUUUGAGAUAAACCAAUUUUAUUUUUAUUUUUAUUUUUAUUUUUAUUUUUAUUUUUAUUUUAAAUUUUUUUUUUUUUUUAAUAUAAUAAGCUCAACGAAUUACACAAAAGUAGAGGACAAACGCGCUACAAACUGCGCCGCAAGUCCUUUCUGGAUAGCAAACCCGAUUCUCCUAAAUACAUAUUCGUUCGAACCUGCAGUCAUCACGUUGCUAUCCAUUAUCUUCUGCACUCUCCUGAGGAGCUCAACUGCUUCGGAGCCUAGCAAUCCAAAUGUGUCAAAUGCAAAAGGGAUGAAACUAUGUUGGUUAGCCCUACAAGCUCCGUCAUGUUUCUCCACUUUUGCCGCUGCUGCAUUGCUAGCUGCUAGCCCCACCUCAAAAAUCCCAGCACUCAGCCCUUUUAUUUUUAUUUUUAUUUUUAUUUUUAUUUUUAUUUUUAUUUUUAUUUUUAUAUUUAUAUUUUUUUGAAAAAAAUAUAUAUUGUUUAAUAUUAAAAAUUAUCCGGUCAGUAAAAAAACUAACGUCUGUUAGAUUUCAGUUGACGGCGUUGCAUAAAUUGGGAAAACAUAAAAGUUUGCUGAUGAUUUUAAACCUAAUUUAGUUUGUUGCAUAAGUUGGGAAUUCGACCCUACUUUGCUGCAUAACUCAACAGUUUUGCCUUGAAAUAAACCUUCCCGCCCAGAGAAGACAAAUCCAAAGUUAAAAAUUGACCGUAGUUGCAUAAAAUUGACUGUAGUUAAUGUCAAUUUCAUUUCAGCUUCAUUUCAUUCCAUUUAUAUAGCUUCAAGACCGCCAUGUUCCUGUUUGAAAUUCAAAUUUCGUUGUUUGUUUGAAGAAAAGAAGUUUUAUUUGCUUCAAGAAGAAGAAGAUGCCCCAAUCAAGAGAUCGAUUGAUUAGAGAAAAACCAUUGACAUCGAUCUUCACUCGAAGAUCAUUGUCUAGUGUUAUUAAUAGAGAAGAAGAAGAAAGGCGUAGUAGUGUUGAAUUAAUUAGGGUUGCACUAACAGGAAGAAUUCAGUAUAAUACAAUUCCAUGGGAAAUUCAGACAUUGUUUGAACUUGCUCAAUCUUUCUACAUGCUAAAAAUUGGGUGGAGCACCUCCUCAUUUGAGGUGCGUUGAGGCAAGAAAAAUCUUGCCAAUGUGAGGGUGCUUGAAGAAAUUCAAAGUGCAAUGAUCUUGUUUUUUGGUCGAUGGCUCGCCAAGAUGGAGAUUGUUGUAUAUUGACUCGCAGUAGUUGGGUGCACAUGAUCAUACAUAAGAGGUGUGAUUCAUAAGAUCAGUUCCUAUAUUGGUUAAGGAAAUCAUAUAUGUGCAGGAGUUCUAUAUGGAUUUAGUUUCUAUCCAUGGGCUAUAAAUACCCAAGUAACUUGGUAUUUGCAAGACAGGACAAGAGAGUAUAUCUUGGUCUUAUUGUUCUUUAUUGUUUUAUUUGUCUUAUACUAUUGUUUAUUGUUUGGUAAUCUUUGACAUCAUUGACAAACAUAUCAUGUAUUGCAAAGGAGAUGUUCUCACGAAUAUCUAGGUUGCGGGUUGUUGGCGUUGUUAGGAUUUAAUUAAUCACUGCAUAUAGUUCAACAAUUUUAACAUAUAAGAAAACAUCUGAUCAGAGGUUUGAUCAUACAUGAUUUCACCCAACAUAUGAUUAAAGCUUUUAUCGUACAUGAUUUCACGUUGAUCAUAUUAAUAUCUUAGAAUAAAACAUAUAUGAUUUUAACUUAGAACAAAACAUAUAUCAUAGGUUUGAUCAUAAACGAUGUACAAUCAUAAUAAUAUCUUAUAACAAAACAUAUGAUCAGAAGUUUGAUAACACAUCCAACAAUAGAUGAAACAACAUAAUUUGAUGAAAAUACCUCUUUAGAGUUCAAAUCCGUUGUUGAUGUUGAAUUAACUGUUUCUUUCUCUUCUUUUCUCAUCCAUCUUUUGCAACAUCAUUAAAUUGUGAAACUUAUCUUCCAACAAAUUGAUUAUAAUUAAAACUCUAGAAAUAAUAAAAAUGAAAAAAUGAAAAAAAUUGAAAUUUUAACUAAACAAACCCUCAAUUUCCCAUCAAAUUGAAAAUUUACCUGUGUUUUUUUUUUUUUUUCCAAACCUCCUUCUUGGUCACGAGGUUCUUUAUUAUUUUUUUUUUUUUAUGGGUUCAAAUGUUCUAUAAUUAAUGCUGCAAUUUUCUUAUGAUUGUGAAUGAUGCAUUGAUUUGAUCCUUUCUAAUUAGAUGAUUUGAUAUGUUGAUUUUGAUGAUUGUUGUUGUUGAAUUCUCCUUUUGAGUUUUAUUUUACUCAUUUUGAUGAAAUAUAUCAGUGAAAUUGAGAGUGAGGAUGAAGAAGUAAAAGAUACAUUCAUCAGGGAUGAAGAUUGGUAUAAAUGAGAUUUAAAAAAAAAAAUUAUAUAUAUAUAUAUAUAUAAUAAGAUCAAGUUGAUUGUUCUUGAACCAUAAAAUCUUUUCUGUUCUUCUAAUAAGAUCUGUCGGUUAUCCUUUUGGGUAAUAAAUUUUGUCCGAUGUCCUUUUAGCCUAAUAAAGUUAGAAUAAGGCCUUACAGAAUAAUAUUUUUUUUUUUUUGUCAAUUAGUUGGGAAUGGUUCCUCUCGUCACAUUAUUCUCCGGUAGAUUGGCCCAAUCAGAAAGGCCCGGCCCAAACAUUAAAGAGGUAAGUGAAGGGAAUUGGUUGGAUCGAUUAUGUGCUGGCGAUCUAAGGGUUUAAAAUAAAUCCUUUGUCUUCGAUCUAAGGGGUUAGAAUCAAUCUUAUUUCUAUAUAAACGCUAAGACCUAAUACAUUUUAGGGUUAUAGCAGCGGCGAGUUGUGUUGUGUUGUGUUGUAUUGUAUUAGAGAGAAUCUGAAUUGCAAAGAAUUCUGACGAGAUGUCGGUGGGUUAAUUCACUUAUUCUUUUUCUUCCGAUCUAGUCAAUCUCAUUAGUUUAGUUUCAUUUAUUUUUCUUUUGAUGCUUGAAUGACUUGUUUUUAUUUGUUUUGUGUUAGCUUUAUAUGGAAAAAAUGCAAGCUUUAUCUGCUGGGAAAAAGAGUUCCGGGCUGAGCGGUCACAAAAUUGAGUGCAUUGUAAGCUCUCUCUCUCUCUCUCUCUCUCUCUCUCUCUCUCUCUCUCUCUCUCUCUCUCUCUCUCUCUCUCUCGUUUUACAUCUUACUGUUGCUAAAGAAAGUUAUUUUGCUUCUUUUUCAGUUUUCUAAAACUUACUGUUCUUGCUCCAGUUCUAACAAGAAGUAAGUUAUUUUUAAAGAAUAAAAAUAAAUUUUCAAUUCUUUUAUGAACGUAAGUUCUUUGUUUUGCUGAUUCUUUUUAUUGUGUGUUUUCUUUCAGGGACUCUUAUGAUACCGCGCCAUUUUUUCAGGCUAGAAAUCCUAUAGAGGGUUCUUUUUGCAUCGUGAAGACUGGUUUUUAAUUAAGUGUGAGAGGGGUUUGGAGAUAAUAUGGUGUUAACUUCUUUUAUUAUGAACCUUGGUUAAUAUUUUAUAUGUUGAAUUAGUGUUUGUUGGAUGUUAUGUUUUUAUAUUGGGUUAUGUAAUUGGUAUCUGUUGGAUGUUUAUUUGCUAAAUUUAUUAUUGCUGUGGUUUAUCUUCCCUGUGAUUAUUAUUAUACUAUUAUUACUCCAUCUUAGAUUUGACUCUGCCUGUUAAUCAAUCCACUAUAUAGUACUAGACUACUAGUGUAUUUCGGUAAAACAUCUAACAAUAUAAAAUGUAAUUAUUCUUUAACCUUGGCCCUAAUAACCUUAAACUUAGACUAUGAUUUCACAACGUUAAUCUUAGUCUCGAAGUGAGUAAUUAAGUUCUGCUUCAGUAGCUAAGUGUGUAUUCUUACCUGCACAGAGCUGCUUUUUGAUGCUGUAUUGGCUUAUAUUUGUUACAUUGGGUCCCUAAUGUUGUGUUAAAACUUUCUUCAAAAUAAUAGGUGGCUGAUUUUAAUAUGUUGAAAACUUUUUGUUUGUGUCAAAGUGUGGCUUGGCAGUCUGCAAUCAAUAUACAGUAGAUGAUGUUUGUUUGAUGUGUGGAGGUUUAAAAUUGGUAAUGGUAAUCUGUUGGUAUAAAUGAUAGAUGAAAGUCAAGGAUUUAAAGCUGCUUGUGCUUUAAAUUUUGACUGGUAAUCUUUAUGAGAAAACACAGUUGCAAUGCUAAUAUAAUCUUGUUAUAUAUGUCAUGUCAGUAGCAUCAAGAAAAAGCAUGAAACCCUAGGACCAUGGGUUUCAAUGCAUAGCUUCUCUAAAAAGAGCUUUAGAAAUGACAGUUGCUUGUGUAAUACAGAGCUGAGUUAGUUUCUAUGGGGCAAUUUGGUUUUUCUUUGAGGGGGUAGCUACAUCCUGGGAUAUUAUGUUUUAUCAGAAAUUGGAUUUUCCCAUAGAGUUAGCAUAGCCAGCCUAGAGUGCUAAUUUUUCCAGAGAUCAGAACUCCAUUUUAUGUUAUACUGUAUCUACUGGAUCUGUAGUUGGGUAUUUUCUGCUAUACAUACUCAGAUUUAUCUUUGUUUUAUAGGGUUAAGUUAUAAGUUCAUUGAUUUUAUAGUUGGCUAUUAUCAUAUAAAGUAACUAAAAGAAUUAACCUCAGAAGAUAUUCCCCAAAAGAAUUAACCUGAGAAGGUAUUCCCCCAUGGUCAAAAUGACAGCAAACAAAACAAUAAAAAUCAUAGCAAGCAAUAUCCUCCCAAGAUAAAAAUAACCAAAGCUCUGCUCUGAACUACUUGUUGAUCUUAGUAAAUCCAUUUGUACCCUGUAGAGAAAAUAGUUCUCUUCACGGUUAACUCUCUCUUAGGCCAUCUCUCUCCUAGGCCGAGAGAUGUCUAGAUCCUUGCCCGGGGGAGUGCAAGUGAGGUAAACGAUUGGGUUUAGUGACUAGCCCCCGUUGAUUUUUCAAUAUAAUAAGGGAGAUCUUAGUCACACCACACAAAUCUCUCAUGUACUAUAUUUUUGGAUAAAUUUUAAAUAAUUAUGUUUUUACGAAUUUAUUCAUAUUAUUCUAUUUGGCACACCACGCAUUACAUAUAUUUUUUUUUUUCAAAAAUUUUACUUGCCAAAUAAAAUCUAGCAAAUAAGGAAACAUUGUUAAAUUAGUAAAUAAAGAUAUCUUUAUUUUUUUACUAAAAAUAUUUACUAAAAAAAAUCAACUAAUUUCUUCUUCUUUUUCUUCUUCUAAAACUUCAUUAUAAAAUUUUCUAUGAAAAGAAAAUAUACAACGUUAUGACCUUAAUAAAGAGAAUAAUAAUCAAAAUCCAAUUGAUUUGAAUGUUUUUUUAUGAUUCCAAUUGUGGAUGAAAGUAAACUCUCUUAUCUAGAAAUAUUGUUGUUAUUUAGAUUUAUUUUCAUCUUCUAGAUUCUUUAGAUUUAAUUAUAUAUAUAUUUUACUACUAAAAAAAUAAAUUAAAAUGUGGUGUACUAAGAGGUUUGUUUUUUAAUUUUAUUUGUGGUGUGGCUAAAGAAUCUUAAGAAUAUUUGUGGUAAGCUAAACAAAUGUGGUGUAUGGGAUAUUUGUGUGGUGUGACUAAGAUCUCCCUAUAAUAAUGGACAUUCCAUUCUGUCCCCUCGCCUCCCGUCUGCGCCAGUGUUUAGCUGGUUCAAGCACACUCCAAUACAUUGUAACAGAUCUGGAUUAUACACGUAAGCUAAGCAGAAUCAAUACAAUAAACUUGCAUUGCACUAUUUAUUUUUUAUUUUAUUGAUAAUGUAAAAAUAUAUUCAGGCACCAAGAGAAUAACUUACAUUCCUGAUCAGCUACAUCGUCAGGUAAAUUCACUCUUAACCCAUGGUUGUUAAAGCAACACAAACUGUACAAUCAGGAAAUAGACAGACAUCAUAGCUACUUCCUUGGAAUGUUGCAUCACUUUGAGAUCGCCAAAUAACCCAUAGAAAUGCAUAAGGUACUAGUUUUCAGAUUCUGACUCCCUGUCCAUUCAGUGAUGGACACCACUCACACCGGUUCAUAAAUUGUUGAGGGGUUCCAACUUCCAACUCUGUCAAAUCCAGCAUUUGCUUGUGUGCACACAUGUAUCAAAUUUUGCCAAACCUCACUAGUACUUUGACAUGAGAUAAAGAGGUGAUUGGAAGUCCCUACGUUGCAUUUGCAAACCUCACACCCAAUGGUGAUAAUCAUUGCCCCUUCUUUGCAACUUGUCAAUUGUCAACCUUUUAUCCCACAUUAAGCCCCAUAAGAAAGAACUUUACGUUCAUAGGUACCUUCGGCUCCCAUACCACUUAAUAGGGAAAAUGUGAGGUUUAGAAGACCGCCUUCGACCUUGAUUUGCCAAAUUCAAGUAACAUGACUUGACCGUAUUUUUUAUUAAUCAUUGCAAUGCAAAUCAAGCUUAUGUUCCCACAACAAUUGUAAGCCUCCCCCCCUUCCCCCCCCCCCUUUUGGUAAUUUUCUUACCGUUUCUUACCGGUGGCUCCCCCACCUAUGUUCUCACCCACCUUUCUUUACCAUUCCUGGUAACUAUGGUGGCGCCACCAGAUCCAUCCAAGGCGCAUGUAGUCUUGGUUGGAUCACCCCAACCCCCAGCUGCUCCUUCCUUUGCAUCCCUGUUCACAAAACCUUCCACCAAGACUGUUGAUUUCCCUCCUGCUACCUAUAGUUCCUUCCGUAAAGAAGGCAAGAUUGUAAUUCGUUUUAAGAAAGAGGAUAUCGAAAGGGGACAACAUCUGAUAGCUUCUAAAGCAGUGGUCCUAAAAUUCUCAGCUCAACGCCCUCCCCUCAACAUCAUUAGAGGAACCAUCUACAAAGACUGGAAUAUAGAAGGCGAUUUUACUCUUGGUUUAAUUGAUCCCAGGCAUGUGUUGGUGACUUUCGACUCUGAAUCUGAAAUCCUCAAAGCGCUAUCAAGGUACAAUGUGCAAGUAAUGGGUCAUAGAUUUAAAGUUUUCAGAUGGCACCCUGGUUUCUCCCUAAAAAAGGAUCCUACAUUUGCUCUUGUAUGGGUUGAUCUGCCUCAGCUCCCCUUGGAAUUCUUCCAUGUUGCUCUCCUCAAGCCUAUUGGUGAUGGCAUAAGUGCCUUUAUCUCUGUCGAUAGAGAAACUCUAUCCUUCUCCAGAUCUGAAGUGGCCAGAAUCUGCAUAGAGAUGAAUGUCCAAGAAGAAUUUCUAGACAGGAUCUGGCUGGAAAGCCCCAACUUUGGAGAGUUCUGGCAACCCCUUUACUACCCUUGCUUCCUCUACUGCUCUCACUGCUCGAAAAUUGGACAUUCAUUUGAAAACUGCAGAAAAAAACAGACUGAAUCUUUGAACAAGAACAAGGAGAAAGCCAUGGUUGUGGCUACUGAUAAGGGUAAACAUCCUCAAGCAGCCACUAGAAACAACACUAAGAGACAGGAACCCCCUCCAAGGCAUACCAAAGAUAAACAUUACAGGCCUACAAGACUCACAUUCACAAUGACUCCUAACAUACCAAACCUGGAACCAGGAGAUUCUAGCAAAUCUGACUUGGGGGUCUCCAUUGCCCAGCCAGCUAUGAAGGUAAACACUCAUUCCGAGCCUCCUGUGCAUAUUUCCAACACUUUUGCUAUCAUUGGAUCAGAAGAAGAGGAUGUUGCCACACCUGGAAAUUUACCACCUACUGUCAACCAUCCUCCCUCACACUCUCAUAACACUCAGAAUAUCAAUCCCCCUUGGAGAUGCCUAGUCCAGCUCAGACCCCAGCUCACAUUGUGACCUCUCCUCCUCCUAAGCCAAAUGCCACCCCUUCCACCCACCCAACCCCUUAUCAAGUUCACUCUGCUGAACAUUCACCUUCAGCUAAAGACCCUACCAUCUCAAGCCCUACCAAUAUUCCCACCCCCACUCCUGGAACCCUGCAAUAAUCUAAAUCCCCAUGUCUCCCUUUCCCCUAGUUUUUUGAAUAAAACCCCCCACACCUUCUAAAACCACCCCCAUCACCCAAAGAUGCUCAGCUAUCCCCUAUCUUUAUCCCCUCUACCCCUACCAGCCAACCUACCCAAGCUCCCAUUGAGGAAGAGCCCUUGCAAAACCCUCACUCUACCCCUGAUGUGGUCACAACUAUCUUCGAUGGGGAGGAAGCCCAAAACCCUGAACCUGAACUCCCCACAUAUGGCUCAAAUUUUGAACCUCAGAUCAAGAGAACCAAACACACUGACAUCAACAACAACAUCCUAGCUAGAGCUCAGGCUUCUGCCUUUGAAGAGUACUCUCUGUACCCCCCCCCCCCCCCUUAAAUAAUGGUUACCUCCCUCAUAUGGAAUGCCCAAGGAGCUGGCAAUAACUCCCCCCCAAACAGGAUCUCUCAAUUAAUUAAAAACCCCCAAGCUGACCUUGCUGUCAUCUUGGAACCUUUUGUUCCCCCCCCAGGAUGCUUUCCGUUGCUACCUCUACCUCCCUCCCCAACUACCACACUAACGACCACAUGGGGGGGGGGGGGAGUCUGGGUGUUCUGGAAUAAUAACCUUCAAGUGACCUCUAUUUCAAAUACCAACCAAGUUUGCAACUUUAUGAUCACCAUAAUUGCUCUCAACAAAACUUUCCUUGUUUCCUUUGUCUAUACUAAAUGUCCUGUGGUAAAUAGAAGAGCCAUCUGGCAAGACCUGUUUAACUUUGGCUCCAGCUCAGCCUUACCUUGGAUGUUGGGAUGGGAGUUCAAUGUUGUGCUUAAUACUGAUGAGAGAUUGGGAUUGAUCCCUGCCCCCCUAAGAUAAACCCAAGACUUCAAUGAUUUUCUCCUUUCUUCUGGCCUUAUAGACUGUGGUUAUAUUGGUAACAAAUUCACCUGGUGCAACAAUCAACAAGGCAAUAGGAGGAGAUGGGCUAGACUUGACAGAGUUUUGGUAAAUGCUCACUGGGCAUCUCUCUUCCCUAUGCUUUCUGUCCUUCACCAACCUAGAGCCAACUCUGACCAUCUCCCCUUGGUGGUGACUUGUGGUGAGGAGAUCAAGAGACAGGGUCCUCAUCCCUUCAGAUUCAUGAAAAUGUGGACAACUCAUGAUAAUUACAAAGAUUUCAUAAGAGCUAACUGGGAUCAAGCAGGUUUCCCUCCUCUCCCCCUUGUCAGUCUAGAACUCAAGAUAAGACAUAUUAGGUCUAGACUCAAGUGGUGGAACCAGUCCAUUUUUGGCAAUGUCCAUCAAAACCUGAGGACCUUGGAAGACAUGCUUCACAGAAUGAGAUUAACCUGAUGCAGAACUGGAACCUUACAUAUCACAUUGAGCUCAAAAGACUACAGUCCAAAUACCAACUAGCCCUAAACCAAGAAGAAUAAUUUUGGCAAGAAAAAUCUGGUAUCAAAUGGCUUUGGGAGGGGGAUAGAAACACAAGCUUCUUCCAUGCAAGCCUGGAAGCAAAGAGAAGACACACUAAUGUCAGAAUCCCUCUACCUUCCAACCCUAAUGUCAUAUGUGAAGACCAGGAUCAGAUCCACAACCAUGCUGUUACUUUCUUUGAGAACCAGCUCUCUUCCCAAGGUUGCUCCAUUGAGCCUGCCCUUUUGGCUUUCAUCCCCACCUUGGUCUCUCAGGAGGACAACACCUUCCUCAUGGCACCCCCUACUUUGGAAGAACUCAAACAUGUGGUCUUUAGCAUUAACCCUAACAGUGCCCCUGGUCCUGAUGGCCUGUCAGGCCAUUUCUAUCAGUCUUGCUGAGAGUUAGUGGCUGAGGACCUCUUCAAAGUUGCCAUAACCUCCUUGGAAGGAUAUCAUAUCCCUGACUCAUUUCUGGCCAACUACAUCUGUAUGAUACCUGAAAAAGACCAACCCUCCUCCCUUGCUUACUUUAGGCCUAUUAGCCUCAGCAAUGUCUCCUACAAAAUCUUUUCCAAGCUGUUUAUUACUAGACUCUCCAAUAUCAUCCCAGACUGAUAUCCUUUGAGCAAGGAGCCUUUGUGCAAGGCAGGCUCAUUACUGAAAAUAUUGUCCUAACCCAAGAACUCAUGCAAGCUAUCAACUCUAAGACCAUGGGAGGUAAUCUUAUACUCAAGCUGGACAUGGAGAAGGCCUUUGAUAGAGUGGAAUGGGAAUAUCUUAGACAAGUACUCCCCAGGUUUGGCUUCUCAGUUCCUUGGAUUAAUUUAAUCAUGUCAUGUAUCACAGAGUGCCAGUUUUCUAUUUUAUUCCAAGGUGUUUAUAAAGGUAACUUUAAAACUACCAAAGGAAUCAGACAAGGGGACCCUAUUUCGGCCUUCCUGUUUAUAUCCUGGCUGCCGAGAUUCUAAACAGAGAUCUCACUAAUGCUUUCAUCACUGGAAAUAUUAGGCACUACACCACACCUAGAUCCAGCACACCUAUCACACACCUUCUUUAUGCAGAUGAUACACUGAUCUUUCUAAAUGGCAGAAAAAGUUCUAUUUCAAGUUGCAUGAAAUUCCUCUCCAGCUAUUGCUCAUGCCCAAGACAAAAGUUCAACCCUCACAAAAGCUUAUUUACCCUCUCAGACAGCUCUACUCUUGGACAAAUCCUGGCUGUAAAGAAGGCUACAAGAUUCAAAUACAUAUCUGGUCCUCUUGAUUAUCUUGGAGUUCCCGUAUUCCAAGGAAGAGUCAAGCCCAUCUACUUUGAGAGCUUGAUUAACAGAAUAAGGAAGAGAAUAGAGGGAUGGAGUGGAAAGCUUCUGACCCAAGGAGGGAAACUUAUCCUCCUUAGACAUGUUCUCAACUGAAUGCCAGUAUACCUGUUCUCAGCCUUCUCUGUCCCUAAAAAGGUUCUCAAGCUCCUGGACUCCACCUUCUCCACUUUCCUUUAGGGAGAACAACAAGGGAAAAAAGAAAAGGAAAUGGGUCUCUUGGGCCAGGAUCACUCAACCUCUUGCACAAGGGGAUUGGGGAUUAGGCUUCUUGCCUCAGUAAUCAAAGCCUUCAGAAUGAAGUUAGCCUGUAAGGUGCUCACUACUUCUACCCUUUGGGCUACAUUCGUGCAAGGAAAAUAUAUAAAAGGGCAAAUCUCCAAAACUGAUCAAUCUACUAACAAGAGCUUCUAAAACCUGGAGGAAAAUCUAGGCAUGCCUAGAUGAGCUCAUAGAUCUAUCUACCUAGGAAUUUGGGCCUGGAGACUUCAGUUUGGGGAAUGAAAAUUGGCUAGGGCUGGGAUGUCUAACCCCCAUUUUGGUGCCUAUGGAAGAGACUUCAGUUUGAGGGAGGCUGCUACUCUGGAAUUCCAACUUCCUUAUUUGUCUCUUGAAAACCAAACCAACCUCAAAGAAGCCCAUGAUCUACUCAAAGUAAACACACCUGAGGAUUCCAGUAUUUGGCCUCAUGAUAGAUCUGGCACAUUCACCAUCAAGGCUUUUCUGAUAAUUCAAGACAACCAACCCACUAGACCUAUUUUCAAUGGAAUUCGGAAACCUUACAUACCUACUAAAAUGUCCUUCUUUCUAUGGAAGGUCAUCCAUAAUGCCAUCCCUGUGGACUCCUCCAUUCAAGCCUGACACAUUGCCCUAGAUUCUAAAUGUUCAUGUUGCCUCAAUCCUGAGACUGAGUCACCUAACCACCUCUUUUUCAAUAGUGAGCUAGCAUCUUAUGUCUGGAACCAUUUCAUGAGUCUCAUGAACCUUCAAUGGUCUAGAUUCAGAACCCACCUAACUAUCCUCACUCUUUGGCUGGCUAAGGACAUAAAGAAUUCUUUUGAGCAAUUUCUCCACACAACCAUUGUCACUUCUAUCCUUUCGGAGCUUUGGAAGGAAAGAUGCAAAAGAAGAUAUGAGGAGAGGUAUGCAGUGAAACAUAACCAACCUCAGCCCUAGUCUUAAAAUCAGGUAUUGGUGCCUUAAGCUCACCCCCCCCCCCCCUCUUCAAACCUACAGUCAGGGCUAGUCUGGAAACAACCUACGUUGCUAACCAGCUGUGAAUUCAUUUCCACAACCCCCCUCAAAAACCUCCCACACUGGUUUAUUGGACUAGGCAUCCUGACACUCACAUUGCCCUAAACACUGAUGGGGCUGCAAUAAAGGAAGAUACAGCAGGAGGGGGAAUUGUUAGGUCUCCACAUUGCUAACUACUUCUCCUACUAUGGAGAAAGGUCCCACAACUCAGCUGAGUGCAGGGCAGUACUUGAUGGCCUUAUUCUAUGCAAGGAGUUAGGCUACACUAGCAUCCUAAUCAUUACUGAUUCUAUGUAUGUCAAGCAUUGGUAUUCAAAGCAAAUCUCUAUACCUUGGCACCUGAAAAUCUGGUGGAGAAAAAUUUGGGAAUGUAGCAGACACCAUGAACAUUCAGAUCAUUCACAUAUUCAGAGAAGGAAAUAAAAUAACAGAUUAUCUUGCAAACCUAGGCAUGACAUUACAUUCUAAUGGUGUUGAUAAUCCUUCUACAGACAAAGUUUUCAAACAACACAUCACAGGUGAUUAUCUAAACAUUCCUCACCUUAGAUAUCACUCUUAAUUCAUCACAUUUGUUUUACUUACCUCCCUCCUAGCUCCAACUUCAGUUUGUGCUCCCAUCACUAGACAUGUCUUGCUCCUCUGCAUCACCAUCAUCAUAUCCUUCAUCAGCAGCAUCACUGUCUGUCUCACCUCCUAUUGGAGGACACACCUCUGUAUGCUCACUAUCUGUGUGCACACUCUCACUUGUGCUAAAAUUCUCUGCAAGAGUCAAGUUAUUUUCUUCCACCUCCCCACUUUCACUUUCAUCAUUAUCACCAUUAUCUUCUUCAUCCACCACUUCAAUACCCUCAUCUUUCUCAUCACUGAUCACUAUCACCUCAUUGUUGGGAGGCAAAGGCACAUAGGUGGAUGCUGCCUUGCAGUCAAUGCACCCUUUAAUUCGAGCCAACGCAUAGUCCACCCAUGGAUUACAUAACGCUCUCACCUUCCCACCCAUUCCAUAAUCCAACCAACUCCCAAAAUUGAUCCAAUGUUUCUUGCUCACCUUGAAGGGAGAAGGAGGAAAGUAGGCCAUUAAGUGAGCAUGCAACCCCUCCCAUUCAUUGUCCAUCUUCUCCCUAAACUCUUGGAUUCCCCCAUGCAAGCACUGAAGCCCCUGGUAGUGCAGCCCACACAUUGAUCUCUUCUUUUUUUUUGGUAAAGAUAUUGCAUUUAUUAUUUAUAUAUUUACAUAGCGAGUUACAUACAAGCCUUGUACAUCUGCAAGUAAUAAACUAGAUAAGAAAGUAGGAGGUGUCUCCCACCAGAUAGAAGUCCAAGGUGGGCGAAGCGGCUGUAGAAGGGGUUGGGUAUCAACUUGAUAGGGGAUGAAAGGACGACCAUGGAAAAUUCCUUGACCAUGAACUAUAGCAUCCUUUGGAUGGCAGCUCUCACACUCUCGGAUAUUGGUAUCAUUUGAGGCUGCUCAUCACCUCUGGAAGAAGAACUGGAUCUGGUCGCCAUGAUUAACAGCUAGAGUUGAAAUGGAGAGUUGAAGGCUAGAACAAUUUACUAGACAGUGUGUUGGCAUUUUAGCUUCUUGUGUUUCGAUCCUUCAGCAACCUGUCAGAUGCCACUCCUGUCAUUAAAAGCCACUUAGGCCUAAGUAGGUUUAACUCACCUUGGGCCUUUUUAGGCUGAGUUUACAUUAGGCCUUAGGCCAGCAUCUUUGUAUCAGCGGUAAAGCUUAAGUCCCCCCAUCCCCUUCUUUAUAAUGUCCAUGCCAAACCCCUUUUCUUAAAAAAUGAAAAUAAAAAGGGAGGGGUUCAAAGGACUCAGAAAAUGUUUGACUCAAUUUUGACUCAAUCCUAUUUAGGGUACUUUUAUAUAUUGGAUUGGCAUGAUUUUUGGUAGAUAUGAUCUCCUUACUAUAAAGAUCUACUACAUAAAAAAUCAGCUCAUUUGAAUAUAUUUUGACCCAUCAAAUGUAAUAUUAAAUUCAACGGUAAAAAUGAACGUUCCACAAUAUAUUAACUUGUAAUAUGAUUUUUCUAGGGUUAGAAAAUUCAGAUUAUGAUUAAUUUUGGUGAAGAUGUCGUACAUAAUGAGAACAUUCAUCCUACAAAAAAUCAUGCCAAUCCAACAUAUACAACUAGCAUAAAUAGGAUUGAGUCAAAAUUGAGUCAAACAUUUCCCGAGUCCCUGUAACCCCUCCCAAAUAAAAAUAAUAAGUGGGUGGUUGUGAAAAGUUUUCAAUACAUUGUGAAUGUCUACUGCCUCCUCCACUCUUUCACAUUUUAAGAGUGACCUUUCAGUUUAAGAGUGUAUUCUAAGUGGGUGGUUGUGAAAAGUUUUCAAUAGAUAUAUAUGAAAACCACAUUCUACUUUAACUUCUCCGUUGGCAUCUUUAUUACUUUAUACCUUUCAAUGGAUAUGAAAACCACUACCAACCGGAUGAAGGCCAAGCAAUGUGAAGCUGCCCCAUAUGAAUCGUCUCAUUGAUAAACAACUAGCUUUAAUUGAUCCUAGUAACAUUCUUAAGUCUCAACAGUGAACACCAUUAUCAUCACAAUAGCUGUAUCAGUUCAACAAUUAAUAUCAUCACAAUGGCAGUAUCAGUUCAACAAAUUAAUUGGAACAUUCACUCAAAAAUCCCAUAACUUGUAUGUUAGAGUAGCUGCACUAUUGAAUUUUUAACACUAAUAACAACCAAAAGCCGGAAUCAAUUCAGCAUAGACAAUGAUCCAUAUAACAUAUCAAGUAUCUAAAUGUAAAAGUAUCAGAACUUGCAAGUAUCUGCAAUAUUUUUCCACCAUAUUCUAGGAGAAAUGAAAGGUAGCCAUUUUUCAGUUAACUCAUCAAGUUAAUCAGCUUCUGCUUCUGCUUCUGCUUCUGCUUCUGAGUCUUCUGCUGAGUCUUCUUCUGCAGGUAUCAAACAGAAAUUUUAAAAUACAAAAAACAAAAAAAAAUGAUAGGAAUUAUAGUCAAGUCACAAAAUCUAAAAUGUACAAACCCGGCUCCAAAAUGUGCACCACAUAGUUGCUAUUGCAAGGAAGAUGGAACAUCCUUCGAAUUGCACUAUUCAUGCUACUUUUAUCAGCAUAACCUUCAUGACGAGAAGCUACUUCCAUCAAAAAAGCUGCAUCCAAAUCUAUGGUUGGAAAAGACUGGUAAUAUCGCGAAAGAAACUGCAACCACCAUAUGGUCUGCAAAAAUGUAAAGCAACUCUUAUUAUAUCCUUUUUGAAAUACAAACUAACAAGAACCUUGUAAACCCAAAUAUAAUUACCUUGAAGGUGUUCUCCUUAUCGUCUUUUUGCUGACAUUGACAAAUGCAUUGUACCUCUUCAUCAGUAAAACCUUCAUUUUGAAGACGAACAAAUUCAUCCACAACAAGAUUGAUCUGUAUACAUAAGUAGAUUUCGAACAUGGUGGCGAUCAGUUUCGUUGGGUUCAAUGUAAGUGAAAGAAAUGGGGCAGCUAAAAAUUUAUUACAAAAACAAAGGAGUUACAAUAGCAGUACCAGCAAGUCAUAAUCGCUUGGAAAACAAGCAAACAUCACAAUUAUCUCCCCGCGCACAUCUUCUGUACUUGAAGGCUUUUGACGACUAUAAGAUUGAAAUACGUCCAGUUUGUAGACCUGAACCAUAAAUGAAAUGUCCAUGAAUAUAGAGAUCACCACAAAUUCCACUCAAUUCUUGUACGUAAGUACUGAAUGAACUGAAUAAUACCUUCCCUUGUUCAUGUCGUAGACAGUUGAAGAAGAUUGAAUUCAAUAGCCCCGUUGCACAUUUAAGAAAAUAGGAAUCUUUUACCUUCCAUCCAUUUUGACACAUAGAAAACAAAAACUCAAUACGAUUGACCAAGUUCAAUAUCUACAGAAUCGAAGUAGCUUUGCAUAACUAAUAGUUAAAAGUAACUAUCGUACCUGAGAUUCGAUUUUUGAAGUGAAUGGAAAUAUAACAUCUACUCUGCAGCAGUCACCUUUCAAAGGAACUUGAAAUAUAUCUCUGAAAGAAAAAACAAAAAACAAAAGAAGAACCUUUUUUAUAUGGGUUAUACAGUUACAUGCAUCUAAUAGUAGUAUGAGUUGUAUGACUGAGUUGUAUGACUGAGUUGUAUGACUGAGUUGUAUGACUGAGUUGUAAACAUGUAUGUACCUUCUUAGAGCAGAAGGAAACUGCACUGGUACUUCUUUAAGCAUUUUAGGAUCAUAAUGAAAGACAGGCUCAGAAGGUCUUUCGAUCCCACCCUAAUUUAUUAGACAAGAAUAAGUCAAACGGGAUAGUCUAUCAUAGCACCCAAUGAGCCUUUAAUAAAUAUUGGUCUUACCAAAUACUGUAAAAUAAGCGGCAAUGCAACUUCAUAUUCCAAAUUUGAGACAAUGAGAACAUGAAAGGCUGACGGAUCCUUAAAGCAACGAUUCAAAUACUCACAAGCCACUUUCAAAUCAAUUGCCCUAAUGUCUUCACAUUUGGCUUCCUGAAAAAGAAUAAUCACUCACAAAUAAACAGAAAAAGGCCAAUUAAACACAGUAGCAAAUUGAUUUAUGAUAUCUACAUAUAUACCCGGCAAAAACUGUUUCCAUACAAGAAAUCGCAAAGGAUUGCUUUAACUGCCUUCUCCAUAUUCCUGUCACGUGCAUUCGUAUUCAGUAGUGUCUCCAACUCUUCUUCAAAUUCCUCUCGGCUACAUGUUUUAUUUGAUGAGAAGAGCUGGUAGACCAUCUGAAAGCACACACCAAGAAUUAUUAAGGAAAUUUUGACAUGCAUCUCAGCCUUUAAUUUGUAACAAAACCAUUAAUAGUAGAAAGAUGCACUCAUGUCUACCUUACAAUGUAAAACAGUUUUUUUUAAUAUGGCCAUUGUAUAUAGGAGAAAGACAAUAUGCACAAUACCAUAAUAGUACACAUCUUUUUUUUUCUUUUUUUUUUUCAGAAAACUGUUUAGAACCUUAAACAAGCAUUCAAGUUACGUGAUAUCUAUCUGGUGAUCUUGAUAGUUUCUUGAAAUUGGUAUAACACUACCUCAGGGGUUUGCAGUGAUAUAGUUUGCAUGCAUACUUCUACACAAUUUUCAUGCAUAGCUACAGAAUGACCAUGGACAAUAAAAUAAGUAUAUUUUAUAAUCACCAUGCAUUUCAGCCAAUAGAAUUUUCAACGGAGAGAACUAUUAAGAACUAGUGACCUUGAUAGUAUCUUAAAAUAUGUAUAAAAUAGAGUUCUGCCCCCAAGAAUGCCUUAAUAGUUUCAACUAGGAAUUUCUCAAAACCAGACAAAUGGACAUUAACUUUACCAAGAAAAAGAAAAGGCAAGUGGACAUGAAGAAAGACAUUAAAGAAACAGCCUAGUUAAACAAGUCCAAUGAAAUCAUAAAAUUUCUGAAUAAACAUAUAUACAGUAACUGCACUUUGCACUAAAGAAUCUAAUAAAAAUUCCAAACAGAGAAGCACGUCAUGAGCAGAAGCAUUAACAUAAUAAAAACAGCCAUUCUCCCUCGUUAUAAGAGGCUACUCAAAUGAAAGGUCUCAACGUACAGCCAAACAUAUGUUUAAGAUCCUAAAGACGAAGAGAUCAAUCAAAACCUCAAAUGACUAUCCAAUACGCGUCUAUGUCAUUCACAAUGUUGAACAGAAAACUUCAUUAAACAGUUUCAGCCGGAAAGAACAAACCUAUAUAAGAAUCUGCAGACUACACUUCUAUAUAAACAACAUAAAAACCCCAUUUCAUCUCCAACAACAUGACCCUAAGGACUAGGGUAUUAAUUAGACUACAGCAUUAUAAUAAAAAAAAGAAGCACAUUUAACUUCAAAGAUGCAGAAAUAUAGCAAUCGUGAUAAGAAAAAGCAUUAGCAUAAUAUCCAUAUAACAUUCGUCCCCGUUAUAAAAGAGAUAUAUUCAAAUAAAAGGUCUUAAAACAUAAAUACAACUAAAGAAAUGAACCAACCUGCAUGGAAGUCUCUAAAUCAACUAGAGAACCGCAUUCGCCAAAAAACAUUCUUUCAUAGAUAUCGUGAACAAUCCCUACAGAGGCAUCUCUUUCCCUAACCAAGCUCUUGAAAACUCUGGGCUUGUGGCCAAAUAAACCAAUUUUGCUACCAAGAGGAAAGCUCAAUUUGCAUGAAUAGUACUGUGGUUCAGGAACUUCAGAUAAACCACCAUAGGCAAAGCCCCUGUAGGUGGUCUGACACAAACAAUGUUCUACUGUUAACAUGCUCCCAAGUCCUAGUUUUAUAAAAUUAGUAAAAUUAGUAAACACUACCAACUCCAAGUGAACGAAUUGAGUACCUGAUCCACUUCACUGUCGAUUUGCUUGUACGAAAUUAUCAUGCCAUUUGAUAAAUGAAGUUCAUGUACUCCAGCAGCAUCAAAGAAUUUAUUUUGUGUAAUGGUUCUGCAGUUCAGAAAUUAUGUAAUGUUGAACAAUUUUGCUUCCAAGCACAUUAUUGUAAAUAUGAAAAAUCAUUGAGAAAAGAAUUAAAUAUUACCCUGGCUUUGGUAGGGUAGAAACAAUUGUUGCACAAGGAGUGUCUUCUUCAACCCAUGGAACGAUAUUUCCCGCCUCCUCCAAACAAUUAACACAAUCAACAGCAUUUCUUAAAUCGAGAACUGGCAGAUGACCCCGAGAAGUGGCAAUAAUGGAACAGCUACAAGAAGUUUUCAACUUUUCAGCAAAAGUUGACAACUCUGUAGCUGUUAUACCUGUUGGAGGAAGAAAAAAUCAGACAAAACAUAAGUAAUUAAUAAAACUAAUACAAACAACUUAAAAGCCUAGUAAGGUUUUAAACUCACAAGGCAGAUAUUCUUCCACACACUUUCGAUAAGCAUUAUCAUCUUCUUGUAAUGCUUCAUUUUUAAAAAAUUUCUGAAGAGCAAAUUUAUAUCAUUUAAUUAGUGCAAUCUACCUUUGGAUCCUCUUAAUCCAACAGCCUAAAAAAUUGAUUGAGAUUGGAGACAUAUUUGGUGGAAUCACUAUAACUAAUACAAACAAAUAUACUAUUAUAUUGAUAGGAACUUACCUUUAAAAGCAUGUCUCUAAACUUCGUGGACUUAUCUACUUGACCUUUAAUUGAUGUGCUACGUGUAAGCCAUACUGUCUUAAUUUGAUCAGUUUCAUUUUCAUUAAUCCCGUGUAAACGAAUCCUCCCCAGCUGAAAACCCAAAACCAAACUUUAAGACAAAACAAAAUAUAUUAACAUAUCUAGAAAAGUGGCUAAAAAUAUAUUAUACCUCAGUUAGAAUGGUAGUUAAACCUUGGAUAUGUUGUUUUCCUUUGAAUUUAGCUUUUAAGUAAAGCAAAUCCACUGGGACUGAAAAAUCAUCAAAUACUUGGGAGAAGCUCAUAUCAUUUGAAUCUACUCGAAAUGACAAUCUUCGACAUCUCCAAAUCAAAGCUUCUACGAAUAUAGAUCUUAGAAUUUUGGAUUUGUAAUCACAGUUUCUAUCCAGCUUAAAUGUAACCCAUACUUCAUCCUAUACAAUUACAUAACAACAAUGGAAUUCAUAACAAUUAUAUAAUUUCUCAUUAUUGAAUGUACUAUUAAUCAUUUUAUUUACCAACCUUCUUGAUUUCUGAGUCAACAAAGCAGUGGAAUCUGACAUUGUUGUGGAAUGGAAUUUCAAAAUUGGGAAUAGUUGGAACAGGAUCAAGUAUGGGUAUAGCUGCAAAGUGGUCUUUAACUAGGCCAACCACAUCCUGAACAAAAAUCCACCAAUUAGUAAUAAAUACAUAGAAAGGGUUUGUACUGAAAAUAAAAAGGGAUAAUGAGGAUAAGAAAGUAACAGAGUAACAAGCAUUUAGUACAGUAAAAGAUUGACAGGCACAUGUUACCAUUUCAUCUAAAUCACCAGUUGCUACUACUGCCAUUUGGUUUGGAUGAUACCACUCCUUAAAGAAGUUAUUAAUUCUCUCAACGGAAAGAGUUUUAAGUAUGUGUUCCAAGCCUCCCGGGUUAUGGGACGCAUACUGCAGUAAACAAACAAAAAUAUCAAAUUAAUUCAUAAACAAAUCAAAGGUCCACUAAUAGGUCUGAAUUUUAAUUCAUAAGCAAAAUGUACCUCUGAACCCUCAAACAUGACUUUCGCAAUUUCAUGUUCUCUGCGUAAUUUAACAUUACUCUUCCAAUAAUGCAGUUCUUGUAUCACUACUCCCAUCUCUCUCCGCAGAUCUUUGGGCGAAAUCUCAAACUACAGAAAAAAGUAAAUUAUAAAACAGGACUCGUUUUCAAUGUUAAUCCAAUACUGGACAAUGAAUACUAAAGCAAAGAAAUUACUCAAUACCACAAGCAAAGGAACUCCUUAUCUUUCUUUUCUCUUUCUGUCUGUCUGUUUUUUUUGUUUUUUUUUUUUUUGAACUUCUUAAAAGGCUCAAUAUUAUGUGCAGUAGGCUUCUCUUUUCUUUUCUCAUUGUUAAAUCUUCUUCUUCUUUUAAGCACUAAAAGCAACAACCAUGAACUCUCAAAAAGAAAACAACCCACUUCAUGUCAUUGUCGAAAAACAUGCAUAAUUAUGAAUACCCACUUUAUGAAAUUAGCAAUGAAUGCCACAAAGCAAGAACAAUGAAGCAAGAUCUUUGUCAAAAACAUAAUCCCCAAUAGCAAAACGUGAUGACGACAUGUUAAAUAGAAAUUCAACAAACAAAUUGAUCAAGUGUUUUCCUCUCAAUAUGAAGCAUAUAAAUCAAUACUUCUUGUAUUAAAAACAUUUAACUUACUUUGAUGUAGCUGGCUAGGACUUGCAUAGCUUCCUCGAGUGUUUGUUUUGAAGCAGUCAGAUAAAACACAGUUCUAUCUUUACCGGUCAAGCCAUUGUGGCAUUUUCCUGCUUCUACCACCAUCUUAUAUUGUUUAGAAAUUGAGAGGUGCUCAAUUAAAUGAGCAACACCCGAUUCCUCAUACUUCUCUACUAUAGCACUGUAACAGAAAAUAAAUUCCAAAGUCAAAGUUCCUAAAGCCAAUUGAACUGUCCUUAAAAAAAAAAAAGGAAAAAAAAUUAUUUACCAGGUUCCACCCUUACUUACCCAACUUUUAUUCCCAGUGCUAAUUCCACAACGUCACUGGGAUGUUGGUUCUUUCUAACAAAAUACUUGAGACCGUUGGGUAAUAUCCCCUGAACCAUGGUCUUUGUUUGCUAAAUAAAAAAGAAAGAAAAUAAGAAUGAAAAUAUGAACAUCUCAUGUAAGGGAAAGGGCCAAAAAUCAAACAAACCUAACUCUACUACAGUAUUAAAUACUGAUACCAAAGAGUAGAUCUAUUCAAAAUGACCAAAAACAUUUCAGAAGAGAGACUGUAGAUAGAUUCAAAGUGGACUUUAUGAAAAACAAAAAAACAAGAAAUUCUUAAAAAGACACACACACACACACACAAAAAAAAACCAUAGAAUUAAUUGUAUAUAACAAAAAUGAAUUGAAAUUUCACAUUUAGCUAAAACCCUAAUUUAUUCUUGAUUUCAAGUGAACUAUGAACAAGUAAAUUUAAAAUGAAGGAACGAACAGGUAAGACACAUGAACACAGAUGUAUGUUGAGCUAAUCUUUUCAAAAUGACGAUGAUCUGCUACUUGAUGGAAAAAAAAAGGUUUAAUCAUGAGUGAGUAACACUAAUGAACUUGGCCAGUAGUCUAACAUACUGUAGCUCAAAACCGCUUUACAACAACAAACAAAACAGAUCAAAAAAACUUCAUCAUCACUUUGAUUUACAAGGUAUUUCAAACUAAAUGAAGUACACAGAUCACAACUAUAUCGAGGGAUUCAAGCGUAUACCAGUGUAUGUUGAGCUAAUCUUUUCAAAAUGACGAUGAUCUGCUACUUGAUGAAAGGUAGAUGAGUAAGAACUAUGAGGCGCUGCACUAAGAAAACACCAUGCUGUAUGAUGGAAAAAACAUGGAAAAUGGGAAAUGGGGCUUGAUAGCUUUUGGGGUUUGAGUGUGUUUAGGGGAGUUGUAACUUGUGUGUGUGUGUGAGAGAGAAAGAGAGGAGAGAGAGAGAGAGAGGGGGUGGGUUGUAACUUGUAACUUGUAAGAAAGUCGGUUGGUGAGAACUGAUAAAACCGGUUUCAGGUUUUAGGUCUAGGUUUAUUAGGGCUAAGCUAUUUUCCCGCCUUUGCUGCUCUUUAUGUCUCGGGAUUAGUGUAGCAAAAUUAGAUUAGUCUUUGAACGACCAUUCGUUAUCUGACGCGUGUUACUACGUUUUGUUUGAUUUUUUGAAAGUUAGAACCGAUCAAGUGCGUGCAGACGCAGAGGAAGAAUCGUGUAAGUAUGUCUCGAGAUUAGUGUAGAAAAAUUGGGAUUAGUCUUUGGACGACCAUUCUUUAUCUGACGCGUGUUACUACGUUUUGUUUGUAUUCUUGAAAGUUCUUUAGAACCGAUCAAGUGUGUGCAGACGCAGAGAAAGAAGCGUGUUGUAUGUCUCGGGAUUGGUGUAGCAAAAUUAGAUUGGUCGUCCGUAUCUGACGCGUGUUACUACACGUUUUGUUUGGUUUUUUGAAUGUUCUUUACAACCGAUCAUAUAGCUGAAUAUUUUGGUUGAAAGAAUUUCAAAAAAAUAGUUCAGGAGAAGUACAGUAUUCUGGUGCAAAAUUUGACCAGUUUUCAUUACAAAACAAAGAUUACUUCUCUUGUGUAUAUCCGUUCAUUAUUUCUACGUAAGCAUUAAGCAGUUGCACACAAGUAGAAACAACAGAAAGAUUAUGUGGAGCCAGGACUAUUGUAUUUUACAUAAACCUAUGCAAUGGGCUAACGGGCUGGGCUUCUUGGGCUUAUAUUCUUAUUCCUCCUGGAUCAUUUUUUGUCAGUGUGAAGGGACAAAGGUUUUGCAUGCAGCAAUUCAGCAUGUGUAACCAAGCAACCACUCCUAAGAACCUGUCAACUAUCGCCUGUUGUUGAUCCCAGCUGCACCUUUCCUAGUAUUCCAUUAUUGCUUAUCGGAUAUACCCAAUUCGUAACUCGUAAGUUCCACUAUACAUGCUGGUUCUCUAGGGUCCAUAAAAACAAACAAAGGAUAUCAAAAUCUUUAAAGGAUUGUAGUUCCAUUUGAUUUAUCCAAAUCAGGAAUCUUUAAGGUCCCUCAAACGUAGCCACCAUAACGCAACAACAAAAGAUUUUGAAAAUCCACCAAUCUCAUUCUGUUAACAAAGAACUCGGCUAAAAGGCCAAAUUCCGAGCCCAUUUGGUUAAAAUGACAUUUCUUAAAAAGUGGCUAUCAAAAGGACAAACUAGACAUACCCAUAAUAUCUGCCCGACAUAUGAUCCAACAAUAUUUUAUAAUGAUCUUGUUACCCCUACAUAGAUAUAGUAAUUAAAUCAUCAAAUUUGAAAAGUUCAAUUUGUUUGAAACUUUAUUUUCUUUUUUAUCUCUUUGUUUCUAGAUCUCUUGGAGAUUUUUUUCAUUUUUGUUUAUCAUCUCUCUCUAUUCGUUUGAAAAAUCGAAAAAGUUUGAUUUUACUAAAUUCUUCAAAUUUGAUUUUUCGAAUUGAAGAAUUACAUUUGAAAUCUCUUUAGAAGUUUGAAUUCAUUUAGUUGUUCGAUGUACAAAACUAAUUAUUAAUGGAGAACAAUUUGUUGGUAUUGAAAAAAACACAUAUAUGUAUUAAAGAAAUGGUUACUAAUGGAGAACUAUUGUAGUUUUAAGGGUUAUUUUGUAUUUGGUCCCUCUAAAAAAUAGGUAAUUAGUAUUUGGUCCUAUCUUUAUUGUUUAUUAGAAAAUUGUUCAUUUUUCGUCAGUUGACCAGAGUCAAGGCAUCCAUAUUUUCUUAAUGACCAAACUACCCUUUCACGUGACUAACACAUGGCAAAACUUAAAACUCAAAAAACACAAUUUAGUUGUUUGUAAAUAUGAAAAAUUAGUUUAUAGUCUUCAUUUUUCAUAUUUCGUUUUAAAUAUAGUCCCUGUAAACAGUAAUGGAAAUAAGCAUGGAAGUUAUCUUGUCGGAUUGAACCUGAACAUGUAACCACGACCCAUGGAAUGUCUAGAAUUUUUCUUCACUUGAUUAUCAUCUUCACUUGUAAACACAAAAGAAUAAACUUCUAAAGAUUCCAUGGGUAGUGGUUACAUGUUCUACUUCACUCCAACUAAGGUAAGAUAACUUCCAUGGUUAUUUCCAUUAUUUUUUACAGGGAUUAUAUUUGAAACGAAAUAUGAAAAUUGAGUACCAUAAACUAAUUUUGCAUGUUUACAAACAACUAAAUUGUGUUUCCUACUCACGUGAAAGGGUAGUUUAGUCAUUAAGAAAAUAUGGAUGCCUUGACUUUGGUCAAAUAGGUUGACUGGCACCCAAGUGACGGAAAAUAGACCAUUUAUUAAUAAACGAUAAAAAUUGGACCAAAUGUUAAUUACCCAUCUUCUAGAGGGACCAAAUACAAAGUACUCAUAGUUUUAAUUGUGAUCAAUUGUGAUUGUGACUAAUCAUGAACUAUUGUAAUUAUUAAUGGUGACUAAUGGAGAAAUAUUUUAAUUAUUAAUUGUGAUUGAAACUUUUCAAUUGUCGACAAGGUACGAAUUUUACAGUUUUCUCAUAGAGAAGAAAAUUGAGUCAACUCAGUUUCUUAAGUCAACUCGGUUAUCUUGUGAUUACAUCAUGUUAUCACGGUAGUUUUCUUUGAAAAUUAAACAUGUGUGAUAAUAUGAUGUUCUUAGGAGCAUUUAUUUGUAAACAUGCAAAAUUAAAUGAAUGAGAUUAGGAGAUUUUCAAAAUCUUUUGUUGUUGCAUCAUUUGUGGGAGCUUAAAGAUUUCUGAAUUGGAUAAAACAAAUUGAACUACAAUCCUUCAAAUAUUUUGUUAUCCUUUGUUUUUAUGGACCAUAGAGAACCAGCAUGUAGAGCGGAACUUCCGAAAUAUGAAUGGAUACAUCCGAUAAUCACGUAUUCGGAUCCUCUAUUAAUGGUAUGGUUUAGUGUUGACAGGUCCUAAGCAGAAGGUGGUUGCUUUGCUUGGUUAUAGUGAUGCUGAUGCAUAACCUUUGUCCCUUCACAGUUCACACUGAGCAAAAUGAUCCAGGAGGAUUAGGAAAACCCGUAAUAUAAGCCCAACAAGAUCCAGCCCGUUAGCCCAUUGCAUAGGUUUAUGGAAAAUACAAUAGUCCCGGCUCCACAUAAUCAUUCUGUCGUAAUAAACCUUCCCGCCCAGAGAAGACAAAACCAUAGUUAAAAAUUGACCGUAGUUGGGUUUGAUUUAGUUAAUUUCAAUUUCAUUUCAGCUUCAUUUCAUUCCAUUUACAGUAUAUAGUUUCAAGACCGCCAUGUUCCCAUUUGAAAUUCACAUUUCGUUGUUUGUUUGAAGAAAAGAAAAAAGCUUUCUAAGUUUCUUUGGUUCAAGAAGAAAAAAAAUGCCGGAAUCAAGAGAUCGAUUGAUUAGAGAAGAACCAUUGACACCGAUCUUCACUCGAAGAUCAUUGUCUGGUGUUAUUAAUAGAGAAGAAGAAGAAGAAGAAGAAAGGCGUAGUAGUGUUGAAUCAAUUAGCGCAACACCAACAGGAAGAAUUCAGUAUAAUACAACUCCAUGGGAAUUUACUGUUAACAGAAAAAGAAGAAGAACAACAACAACAAGCCGUGAUGCUAAUAGAAAUACUUCAUCUUUGUUACCAUCGUGGUAUCCACGACGGCCUCUUCAAGACAUUACAGCUGUUAUGGAUGUGAGUAUAACAGAAAAAACUUAUCUUUUCAGUUCAUAUUUCGAUCUUCGUUGAUGGGUGUUUCUUGAAAUUUGAUUCAAACCAUAGUUUAAACUGGAUUUGGGGAUUUAGAAAAUUAGGGUUUAUUUUAUGCCCAAAUAAAUUGUUUUUUGUGGAUUGGCCGGUUUGGGGAUUUUGUGGGUUUUAAUUUUAUCUGGGGAGUUAAUUUUAUCUGUGAAUUCUAGAUUUCCAGGGUAUGGUUUUGUUUUUUGGUCAAAAUGCAUAUGGGCAGUACUCUAGCGAUUCCGUAAAAGUUGUUAAAUCCAUAUGGGCGGUAGACUUGCAAUUUGCACAUACUGUAGGUGUAAAUCAAAAUAAAUUAUAGGUUUAAACAUUUUUAAUGAGAACAAAUUCAAUUUAUUCAUUGGUUUUUAGUAAUUGGUUGGUUGGUCUGUGAUCAUAAUGUUUAACUUGUUCAUUUGUACAAAAUGUCAAUAUUCUGAUCUAAUGACUAACUCAAUAACUUUGCUUUCAACUUCAAAAAAUUAUAGACUCAUUCCUUUCUUAUGAGAAGCUUCAGUACAGAUUCAUUGGGUGGUUUCUUAUUCUAUUUGCUGACUGUGUUGUUUGUGAUUUUGUUAGUGUUUAAUAUUGCACGUGUCAUUAGGUGUUGAAGUGGUCAAUUAGUCAGUUGUUGAACUAGUCUAAAAGAGUCCUAGUUUAUUAUCUCUAGUUUAUUGUCUAAGUGUCAAUUGUGGUUUAGUGCUAAGGUACAGUAUGUGUUAGUGGGCAGUUAGUUUCCACUUGUUUAGGCAUUUUGUUAUGUAAUUCUCUAUUUAAACUGAGUUCAGUAUUCAAUAAAUAUACAACUUUUAGAGUAUUAUUUGCUUUCUUCAUAGUUCAACAAUGGUAUCCGAGCUAGGUUAGUUAUUUGAGUGAGAUAGAAAUUCUCCACAGAGCAGUAGCUCUUAGAGUGAGUGAGAUAGAAAUUCUCCACAGAGCAGUACCUCUUAGAGUGAGUGAGAUAUACAUAGCAGCAGCUUUACUCACAGGUAAAUGGCAAAUCCUAAUGGUGUGGCCAUAGAAGGUUUUGUGCAACAUGCUAUACCAAAGUUUGAUGGUCAUUAUGAUCAUUGGAGUAUGCUUAUGGAGAAUUUUCUGAGAUCCAAGGAGUAUUGGCAUCUCGUUGAAAUUGGAAUUUCCGAACCAGCAAGUGAAGCAGCACUACGGGCUUUGACAAAUGCUCAGAAGAAGUUAUUGGAUGAACAACGAUUAAAGGAUCUAAAGGUGAAGAAUUAUCUUUUCCAAGCAAUUGAUCGCUCGAUUUUGGAAACGAUUCUCACCAAAGAUUCCUCAAAGCAAAUCUGGGAUGCAAUGAAGCAGAAGUACCAAGGGUCAGCGAAAGUGAAGCGAGCGCAUCUUCGAACACUUCGUGUUGAAUUUGAGACUCUUCGUAUGCAAUCGACGGAGUCUGUUAUUGAAUAUUUCUCAAGAACGAUGGGUAUUGUGAAUAAGAUGCGUGUUUAUGGUGAAAAGAUAGAAGACGUAUCGAUCAUUGAGAAAAAUUUUCGCUCAAUGACAUCUAAAUUCGAUUACGUCGUCUGUUCGAUUGAAGAGUCAAAAGAUAUUGAUGCUCUUUCAAUGAUUCACAGAAUGUGGUUGUAGAGCAAGCCUUGCAGUCUCAACUCUCUAUCCACAAUUCAUCAUCAAGUUCACGAGGAAAAAGGCGUCGUAAUUUUAGAGGAAGAGGCAGAGGUCGUAAUUCUUAUCAUCGAGGAAGUCAUGAAUCAAAGUCCUUCGACAAAUCUAAGGUGAAAUGCUUCAAAUGUCAAAGGUAUGGACAUUAUCGUUCUGAAUGUGAUAGCACUAAUAGUAUUGAAGAAAAAUCAAAUUUUGUUCAAAAAGAAACUGAGAUUUCUCUUCUUAUGGUUUGCAAUACCAAAAAUGAGACUCAACCAAACAUGUGGUACUUAGAUACUGGAGCAAGUAACCAUAUGUCUGGAGAUAAGUCUAUGUUUUCUGAAUUGGACGAUUCUUUUCGCGAAAUCGUAAAAUUUGGAAAUCAUUCCACUAUAUCUGUUAUGGGAAUGAGUCAUAUUCAGAUUCGUCCGGAUCAGUCCAUUUCUGAUGUGUUUUAUGUUCCUGGUCUCAAGAAUAACUUAAUUAGUGCUGGUCAGCUUCAAGAGAAGGGAUAUGAAAUUACUAUCAAGAAUGAAAUAUGUCGUAUUGUAGAUCCAAAGAAAGGUUUAAUUGCUGAAGUUAAAAUGACUGCAAAUCGUAUGUUUCCAUUACAUAUUGAUAGUCCAGUGUUCUCAUGUUUUUCUACUAUGGUGAAAGAUAAUGCUUGGUUAUGGCAUCUCCGGUAUGGACAUCUGAAUUUUAGCGGUCUGCGCACACUUUACCAAAAGAAUAUGGUAAAGGGACUUCCAUGUAUUGAUCAUCCUCAACAAGUUUGUGAAGGUUGUGCAAUUGGAAAGCAUCAUCGUGAUGCAUUUCCAAAAGGGAAGACUUGGCGAGCCAAAAAGGUGUUGGAGUUGAUUCAUACUGACAUCUGUGGGCCUAUUAAUCCGCGCUCCAAUGGUUUUUUAUUACUUUCAUUGACGAUUUUAACCGAAAAACUUGGGUUUACUUCUUACAGGAAAAAUCAGAAGCUUUUUCUGUAUUCCAGCAAUUUAAAGUCCUUGUUGAGAAAGAAGUUGGGUUAUCUAUUAAAGUUCUUCGGUCUGAUCGUGGUGGUGAAUAUACUUCUCAUGCCUUCACUCAUUUUUGUGCCACCAAUGGCAUCAAAAAGCAACUCACAGCAGCUUAUUCUCCGCAGCAAAACGGUGUGGCAGAGAGAAAGAAUCGCACUAUUUUAAACAUGGUGCGGAGCAUGUUAAAUACCACUAAUGUUUUAAAGUGUUUCUGGCCUGAGGCAGUUCACUGGAGUGUUCACAUUCUUAAUCAGAGUCCGACAAAAUCUGUUCGAGAUAUGACACCUUCAGAAGCUUGGAGUGGGCUCAAACCAAGUGUUGAUCACCUGCGCAUCUUUGGUUGUGUAGCAUAUGCACAUGUUCCAGAUGAAAAAAGAAAGAAGCUAGAUGAUAAAUCAGAGAAAUGCAUCUUCCUUGGGGUUAGUGAGCAUUCCAAAGCUUACAAACUCUAUAAUCCUAUCACUAAGAAGAUCAUUAUCAGUUGAGAUGUUCAGUUUGACGAAGAAAAGACAUGGAGCUGGUCUAUUUCAGGAGCAGAGCAGCAAAUUCCAGUAUAUUUUGGAGAUGAUAUUGGUGUUGAAAAUAAUUCUGAACCGGUUAUUGAUGUUGCACACUCAUCACCAGUCACUUCUCCAAGCUUACCAAGUCAUUCAAGAGUCAUUUCAAGCAACCAGCAACAGCUGCCUACAUCUCCAACAUCUCAUAGCAAUCCUAUAACUCAAGAAGCGCAAUCUGAAAGUCCAACAACUACAAAGGAAACUCGCAUCAAGAGGCGUCCAGCAUGGAUGCAAGAUUACGAGGUACGUGGAAUCAAUCAAUCUGAUGAUCCAGAGAUGCAUUUUGCACUAUUUGCAGAUUGUGAUCCUGUCACCUUUCAAGAUGCGGCUAAAGAACCAAAGUGGCAGCAAGCUAUGGACACAGAGAUGGAAGCUAUUGAGAAAAAUAAGACUUGGGAGUUGAUAGAUCUUCCAAAGGGACAUAAGUCAAUUGGUGUCAAAUGGGUUUUCAAAACUAAAUUGAAUUCAGAUGGUAGUAUUGACAAAUACAAAGCGCGCUUGGUGGCUCAAGGCUAUACACAAGAAUAUGGAAUUGAUUACGAAGAAGUAUUUGCUCCAGUUGCACGACAUGAUACUAUUCGCAUGGUUCUUGCACUAGCAGCUCAACAUUCGUGGUCUAUCUUGCAAUUGGAUGUCAAAUCAGCAUUUCUCCAUGGCUAUUUGAAUGAAGAUAUUUAUGUUUAGCAACCUCCUGGUUAUGCUGAUGCUAACAAUGCCCAUAAGGUGUACAAGUUGCGAAAGGCUCUUUACGGACUAAAACAAGCACCUAGAGCUUGGUAUAGUUGUUUAGAGGCGUAUUUUCUGAAAGCUGGUUUUCAUAUGUGCCCUUAUGAGCCUACACUCUUUGUGAAGUUUGGAGAUAAUGCGGAAGUUCUGAUUGUAUGCUUGUAUAUAGAUGACUUGAUCUACGCCGGGAAUGGUCGUUCCAUGUUUGUUGAAUUCAAACAAUCCAUGAUUGCGGAGUUUGAUAUGACUGAUCUUGGGAUGAUGCAUUAUUUUCUUGGCAUCGAAGUUGUCCAAUUCUCAGAUGGUAUCUUUAUUUCUCAAAAGAAAUAUGUUCGUGAGAUUUUGGACAGGUUUCAAAUGCAGAAUUGCAAUUCUGUUAAUAAUCCAUUAGAAGUUGGCUCCAAGCUUGUCAAAAAUCUGAAGGGGAAUGAUGUUGAUAGCACUCUCUACAAGCAAAUUGUUGGAAGUCUCAUGUAUUUAACAGCGACCAGGCCUGAUAUAAUGUACGCAGUCAGUCUCAUUAGCAGGUACAUGGAACAUCCCAAGGAUAUACAUCUUCUUGCUGCUAAACGUAUCUUGCGAUACUUGAAGGGAACUACUGACUUGGGCAUUCUCUACAAGAAAGGUAUCAAGGCUGAACUUAUUGGUUUUACAGAUAGUGACUAUGCUGGUGAUCUUGAUGAUAGGAAAAGUACGUCAGGUUAUGCAUUCUUUCUUGGUUCUGGCGCAAUAUCAUGGUCUUCCAAGAAGCAAGACAUAGUCACUUUAUCAAGUACUGAAGCUGAAUAUGUUGCUGCUGUCUCUUGUGCUUGUCAAGCUAAGUGGAUAAGAAAUGUUCUUUCUGAGUUACAUUAUUCCCAGGUUGGUCCAACUUCAAUCUUUUGUGACAAUAGCUCCACCAUAAAGUUAUCCAAAAAUCCAGUACUACAUGGGAGGAGUAAGCAUAUCGACGUGCGGUAUCAUUUCUUACGUGAUUUGGUCCGAGAUGAAGUUAUUGAAGUAUUCCAUUGCAGGAGUGAAGAUCAAGUUGCUGAUAUCUUCACCAAAUCCCUCAAGCUAAGGUAAUUGUGGUUUAGUGCUAAGGUACAGUAUGUGUUAGUGGGCAGUUAGUUUUCACUUGUUUAGGCAUUUUGUUAUGUAAUUCUCUAUUUAAACCGAGUUCAGUAUUCAAUAAAUAUACAACUUUUAGAGUAUUAUUUGCUUUCUUCAUAGUUCAACAGAUUUACGGCCACAUUAUCUGGCAGGAGAUGUAAUAAAUCCCAUCACACUGACAUGCCUUGACAUUAGUAUUUGUUUAGAUAUAAAUCAUUGGUAUAGACAUGCCUUGAUACUUGUGAUACGGAAUAUGCAUUGUGAUUUAAAUGCUUACUACUUAAAUUGCAUUAUCCACUGAGACAAUUGAGAUAAUAUAUGAGGGCUCUCUUGUAAAAAAAAACCAUUUAUAAUUUAAUCAUUUUUAUAAUUAGGUAUGGUUAACCUAAACUUACUGAAUAUUCAUGUAAUUUUAGGCGAUUGAGAGGAGGAGAGCUUGCCUCAGAGAUCUUCAGAAACUGGAAGAUGUGAGUCCGUUGCAGCAGGCUCCAGUAGCUCCACUUGAGCACAACAUCUCCCUGGCCACCCCCAAGCUUCCACUUGAGCACAGCAUCUCCCUGGCCACCCUUAAGCUUGGUGAAGGCUCUGAGUUCGUAACUCCGCAGAAGAAACUUAUUAACUCAAUCGACGUAGUUGAGAAGGCCUUUAAAGAAGAGUUGAAGAAAAUGAAGAACACUCCUGCUGCAAAGAGGGCAGAGAGAGAAAAGAAAGUACGUGUGGUGAUGGCAAUGCGAUGACCCUUAGCCUUCAUUUGCCGAGAGUCUCUGUGUGGGACUAGUAAGCAUCCUUGAUUUUUGGGUUUCUGCAUUGAUGUGUUGUCCAUAAUGAGGACCUCCCUCAUUCUUGGUAAUCCUUAGUUCUUAAUCCUGGUGCUGACCCAGAUGAUAACUCUUGCGUAGUUUCCCAUGGUGCCCUGAGGGAUUAUCAUGUGGGGAGUACACCAACAUUGGCAUAAAUCUGUUCAUGUACAUAAUUAGAAUUUAGCUUGCAUUCAUAUAGUUAGGGAUUAGGAUGUAUCUUGCAUUCAUAUAGUAACUAGGUUUGCAUGUUGUUGUAUAGAACUAUAGAUCAUUCUUGAGGGGUAAGGUUGAAAUGUCCCCCCUGUCUAGGUGUAAAUUUUGUAUUGAAUUAAUAAACUGGUAGGGGUAUGCCAAACCCCCCUCUCUACUGGAGGUUUUUUUUAGAGGAAAAAAAGAAUCACAUUCUUCUUACUUUUACUUAACAAGUGUAGGCCUAUGGCUCAGUACUACACGUCUGAAGGAAUUACUUGUGCCAGGACUAGAACCAAGAGAUUAUCACGUGUUCCCAAUUUUGUAGACAGGAUUUCUCGGCCAAUAAAUGUAAUAUUGCUUAUCUGACAAAGCUUGAUCAGCGGCCUUUGCUGGGGGAUGUAUGGUAUAGUUUAUCAGAAUUUUGUUUUUUAUCAACAUUGAAGUUAUCAAUAUUAUAUUUUCUUGGCAGGUACAAGAACUUCACAUGGUCAUUUCGAUCCUUACUACUGGUUUGGCCUAUCUAAGACAUGCCCCUGGUAGGCUGGUAGACACCAUAGUAUUAGUGUCCAGGUAGAUUGUUGUUUUUUUUUUUUUGUCUUGUAGCUUAUAUAAGCUACUUAUAGCUUAUAAACUACUAGCUAUAAGCUUGGGAUGGAGUUUAUAGUACCGCCAAUUUUUUAGCCAAUAUAUAUUAGAAAAGCUUAUAAGAUCAUAAUUAGAAGUAAAAACAAACAUACAUUUGGUAGAUAACAAAUAUGAACAUAAUACAUAUAGGGCUUAUACGCUACUAGCUAUAAGCUUGGGAUGGAGCUUAUAGUAAUUAGUAACCGCCACUCUUUUUUUAGCCAAUUUCUACUAGAAAAGCUUAUAAGAUCAUAAUUAGAAGUAAAAACAAACAUUUGGUAGAUAAUACAUACGGGAGAGGACGGCAAAGUCUUACCAUAUCCAUGAGCAGGUUUGGAUGACAUUGAUCAGUUGAUGAGCGCAACAAUUACUUCUGGGAGGCACCAUGAUAAAGCACUUUAAUCUAAUUUAGGGACCUGGUAUAUCAAUGUGAAAUGGUUUAUUUAUACUUUGUUGCCAGUUGCCGGCUGUUGUAAUCACUUUGACAGGGUAAUCAUCUCUUUUACCCUGCUCAGUUUGUUAAAUAAUAAAGCUAUAUCUCUUUAACAGUAAUAAAAAGUGCAUUUAACCCAAAUAUAAAAAAAAGGCAACUUCUAAUUUCCAUUGUUUCAAGAAGAGUGAACAAGUUUGUAAAUAAUAAAAUAUUAUGUACACUGACUGACUGAUGAAGGAUACAAAAAUUACUUGUGGAAGCUAGCUUACUCUUGUCUUUACUUCCUUCAGCCAGAAGAGUAGCUUAGACUUAGAAUAUACAAAGAUUGCCUUAGAAUGUAAUGUACACUAACAUGAUAUCAUCUGCUAAGCCUAGGAAACCAAAGCUCAUGGAAAGAUGAUUGAUAUGAGAUCAUGAACAUAAGGACAACUAGAAGAAUUCCAACACCCCAAGGAGAUCCUCCAGCCAUGUGAAACGCUUCUUUCUCCGGCAAUGGAAUAAGAAGCAAGGGUACUUGUUGUCUAUCACUUCUUGAAUACCAUUGAACCACAAGUAACAGAACUAGAGGUGACACUAUCAAUCCUAGCUUAAGCUUAUCAAUUAAGCUCUCUAACAUGGACUCAUAGUUAAUAUAAAAUGUGAAACUCAUAAAGAAAAACAAUAUAGCAAGAAAGAAACACAAGUGUUGAGGUAAUGAAGGAAGAAAACCAGUAGAAGAGUAAUAAGAGGAAUUUGCCAUUUCUAUGAAGAAAGACAAGUUUCAAGAACUGCUAUAAAAAUGUUGUGAUGGAAUGAAUGAACUGGUGGUGAAUACUUCAUGAUUGUUUUUUAUAUAGAGGUGUGACUUUGUUUACUUGAAGUAUAAUGAUUCUCUUACCCUUUAUCCACGUGGAGAUUCUCCAAAGCCCAAGGAGUCAAGGACGGUGGGAAGGGUGUGGACGGUGCAAUACAGGGUAAAGAUACACUUUGAAUGAACCAAUGAGAUAUUGCCACGAUGCACCGACCAGAGGACUAGAUUCUCCACGUUUUGUGUAAACCAGGCCGUGCUUAUUCUACGGGAAAAAGACCGGAAUACAAAACACGUCAGGUAAUUUAGUUUUGUAGGUCCCACUGGAAAAAAAUUUAAUAAAAGUUGUGCUUGUUUGCCGGUAAAAUUUGGAAAAGAAUCUUUUCCUCAUAUUUAUUCAGAUGGCAAAUUCUAUAGGCAGACCCCAUUUUCUAAAAGCAGACCCCAUUUUGAAAAAACCGAUUUUUUCAAAAAAACCCGGUUUUUUAAAAUACACCUCCCCAAAUGUUACCUGUUGGUAACCUUCCAUAGCCCUUCAUUUUUUUUUGUCUUUUUCUUUACACACUUUUUCUUAUUUCCCUCCAAAUCAAUUGUUUGGAAAAAUGGAUGAUAAUGAACAUAUAGAUUUUAGAAAAGUAAUAGAUUUUGAAGAAGAAAUGUAUUUUGAAGAAGAAGACUCAACAAUUCCUAGAGAUAUGAGUGAUGUGGAAGAAAUGGAUUAUGUAGAAGAAGUAAAUAUUGAAGAAGAAGAAGACCCAACAAAUCCCAAGUCUCCGAAAAACUCAAACUUUUCCAACUUUGAGGUAAAAAACUUAGCCAUUUUUAAUGUUAUUGAGAAGUAGCAUUCAAAUAACUACAAUGGAACAAAAAUGGUCUUUAAAACUCGACAUUAUACUCUCAAAUUUAUUAAAAUAAAUUCGGCCUGGUUCUACCGAUAAUAAACAUAUCUUCGGUACAAUUCUGUCGAAUAUACAUAUUAUUUCGGCAGAAAUAUACCGAUAAUAAAAAUCUAACCACUUUCGGUAGAUUAACACCAAUAGAAUGAAUAUUUUCGGCGUUGUUCCACCGAUAUUUUUAAAGAUAUUGGUAUAUUUCUGCCGUAAUUAAAAAAUAAAAUUUAUUAAAAUAAAUUCGGCCUGGUUCUACCGAUAAUAAACAUAUCUUCGGUACAAUUCUGUCGAAUAUACAUAUUAUUUCGGCAGAAAUAUACCGAUAAUAAAAAUCUAACCACUUUCGGUAGAUUAACACCAAUAGAAUGAAUAUUUUCGGCGUUGUUCCACCGAUAUUUUUAAAGAUAUUGGUAUAUUUCUGCCGUAAUUAAAAAAUAAAAAAUAAAAAAUAGAAACCGGAAUGUGCAAGUAAGAUAUGGGGUCUGCCUUUAGAAAACCAUAUACGGUUUAAUAUCAUAUAAACCCGGUUUUUUGGGGUCUGCUGUUAGAAAACCGGGAGGUGCUUAUAGCAUCACCCUAUUCAGAUUUAUUUAAAUUUGUUUUACCGGGAAAAAAAAAAAUGGACCCAUAAGAGUCCGAAAAUCACAAUUAGUCCAGCUAAGGAACCAUUUGCAAAAAUGGCCCCAACGCUAAUUCCGGCUUUUUCUACCUAUUAUACCCUUUUCUCUUUGGUCAUAUUCUUUCUUAUCUCUCUCUUUCUUUCUCGAUCUAAUCUUAUCUCUUUCUUCAGAAAAAUAAACUCUCCACCGCCAUCUCCACCACAAUUUCCGGCGCUAUAACAACCACCUUCGAAUUAGUAACAAGGUUUUAAUCAAGUUAGCAAAGUCCAACCUUUUAGAUUUCAAAUAGUAAAACUUCGAUUUAUCGUUGAAUCAAGGAAUGAUAUCCAACCAUUAUAAAAAGAAUAAAAAAAAUUUAAGCACAAUCUAAUGGAAGUGGAUGUGUACUACAAUUUUUGUUUGCAGAAAAAGUAUGGAAGAAGAAAUUUGAUUUUGUCCAUCUCUGUGAAUUUUAUGACAACUUGAUUUUGUUUUAAAAUUUAAAACCAAUGUUAUCAUCAAUGUUCUGGUUUUUAAAAAAAAUGAUGUUCCAUAUUUGUGGGGUUUCAAUUUGGAGAAAAGAACAUGAGAGGAAGAAAAGUUUUAUUUUGGGUUUCUUUUCUUACUUCAAUCUCAAUUUCAAUUGUGUACAAUGAUAUGCCUCCCGAACCACAAUUUGUCGCUAACUUUAACCCUUUCUCUAGCAAUCUGGUAUGGACAAUCCGAAUGCCUUAUAGAGUUAAUUUUUUUUCUUUUGGUAUGCUUUACAAGGACAGAUACAAACACUGGAACAUCUGAACAGCAAUGGAAUGAACUUGUCAGCUGAAUGAUAUGUGUCACUGCAAACAACAUUUUGAAAUUUCUGCAUUGUGGUGGAUUGAACUGACAGACUUAUCUAUUGAUGGGGUGGACCUUCUUAAUCAGUCACAGACAGUUGAAUACUUGUUGCAGCUAAGGUCACACAGUAACUCUGUUGAUAUGGGUGCAAACCUAUGGAACCUACUCCAUUACGCUAUGAGUAGGUCUCUUUACGCUGCGCAAUAACUUUAUUUUCAGAGGUACUGAGUUGCGCGCAGUCCCCGGCUUGAGCAAAGUGUGCAGAGAUACCAAGUCUCUUCUACGAAGAGCACUUGCAUAAAAAAAAAUAUAAAAACUCUCAAUUGUAAUCAACCAAUCACAAUGUUAGGUGGUCUUUGCACAUCGUGCAAAGAAAUCUAAAUAUCUAGGGAAACAUUUACGUUGAUCUCACUAUGCCAAUAGUUGAUUGCAUUUAUAGCAAAGAACUCUUUGGAUACCUUGACAGGACAUCAGAGCCGAGUCUUCCAAUAAAUCAUGGCAUAAUUUUAAGUGCUUUGAUGAAUAAAAAAUGCUAUGAGCUUUUUGCACACUUUGCAAACACAUCUUGGCACAUUAUUCACAAUGUAAAGAGCUUAUUGCAUACCUUGCCAACACUAUUGUGUAUAGUUUUCCAAUAAGUUGUGGCAUAGUUAAAGUGUCUUAAUGAAUGAAAAAAAUGUCAUGAGCUCUUUACACACCUUGUAAUAACAUCAUUGCACAACAUUCACAAUUCAAAGAGCUCAUUGCAUACCUUGCCAACACAACAAUGAAUAACAUUCCAACAAGUCUUAACAUACUUUCAUGUCUCUUGAUGAAUUAAACAUAUGCUUUAAAAGAUCUUUUAUUAUAGUUUGUUAUCUACAGUUAACACACCCAUAAUCACUCUUCUCAAAUAAAUUAAUAGACAAAAAAAGCUAAUCAGUAAAUUUUACCAAAAUACAUUUCAUAAUAUGACAUUCUCUACAAUAAGUCUUUGCCACAUAGUUUGAGUGUAAUUCCAAUGCAUAAAAUGGUGGGAAGGUGUUUCUUAUUGUUAUUUACAGCUUAAUAGAAAGAUCUGACGGUAAAAAUCUCAGUUGAAAUUCUACACAAUGCAAUUAUCUUGUAGGUAUUUAAAAAAAAAAAAAAAUUAUCUUGGAGUUCUGUUAUGGCAUUUUGUGGGGGUAGAGGUAUAUCAUUGUACGCAGUAGUCCAGAAUUCUAUCAUAGCAUUUUGUUCAAAUAUUUUUUUCCCAAUAAUUUUCACAUCAUUUGUAUUUGAUGUCCUUGCCUCUACAACGGAUCCUUAUUUUAGACUGUAAUAGACCUUCACACCCUCCAACGGUAAUCUAAACAAUGUGUCAUAGUAGAUUGAACCCUCAUUGUUGAUGAUCGUUAGCAAGGUGAAUGACCAGAUGAGCCUGAGUGCAAACACAAUUGUCAGUCGCCAGAAGAAGUUAUUUGGUUUUGGUGGUUUGGGUUGUGAAACAGAGAAGGUGCUUAAUUUGAUAAACACAUAUAUUAGUAUAUAAUCUAUGGUUGAGGCCGAGGUUGUUAUGUAGUUUGAUGGUUUGAGGGAGAAACCAAGUGCUUCUAGUCAAAAGGCUUUCUAUUCAAUGUAUAUAAUAGUUCAUGGUGACAAGUAAAAUGGAGUUGGGUGGCUUAACAUGCCAAGGACCUGAUCUAAAGAAAGACAAGAGAAUUAAGACUAAUUUUGGUUGCAAGCUGAUGCUUCUCAAAGCAUUGGAUGCUCACAACAUUUGCUAAUCACCACUUUCACAUCGCAAUUUGAAAAUAGAUGAUAAUCUAACAAAAUUUGUUUAAAAUUAAACAAAUUUACAAAAAUAAUUUUUAAAACCCAAAUGAAUUACUUUAAAAAUCAAUAACAUACCUAUUGUUGCACCCUACCACAUAAAACAAAACCUAAAUUGAUUCAUUUAGCUCUAGACUUUAUUUGCUUGAAGACAAAUUGUUUCCCCAAUUCACCAAGAACAACAAGACGAACAACAGUAUAAUUCUCAAACACUUUCCUUAAAAUUCUAAUAUCAUGGUGAGUUUGUUUUACACCUUGAAAAUGUGAAACUUAUAUGUUUCAACAUUCUUAUCAAUUUCUAUUUCUGUUCAACGGUCGGCAACGACGUUGCCAAGUAAGGGAGUUUGGUUCGUUUGAAACCAUAUACAGAGAUGAUUUGGUUUAGAGAAGAAGAAGAAAGGGCAAAGUCGGAAUAAAAAAAUAACUUAAAAUAGGGUCGGGGCCUUUUUUACAAUUUUUACGCUAAUUUGUUGUUUUUUUAGCCGACAAAUGCUUAAAUAGGGCCUUUUGUACAGACCGGGUCUUAGCUGGGCCAUUUUUGAUUUGUGGACCCUUAAUGAGGUCCUAGAACCAUUUCCAUGUUGUUUUAUGGAGUUUUCAAUUUAAUUCAGAUAACUCUGCUUGUGUACGAGAAAGAGGAGAGAGAAAGGGAGAGAUCCUUAGAGAGAGACGAGAUUUCGUAGUGAUAUAUUGAUAUUACUUCAAGUAACACUUUUAAUUAUAAUGGCAAUUACAUUAUCCUUUCAUUUGCUGGUUUGAAAAUUCAAGAAGAAGGAGACCAUGAGAGUAUUAGAUUAAUUUUAGGGAUUUUUAUAAAUUCAUUAAUACUUUAUUUUUCUCUCUUAAAUAUCGCCAUUAAAACCUCCUAGUUUUUUUCUCCAAGAUUUUCUCUCUUGUAGUUAUAUAGCUUCUUGCCACAUGUCAUGGUGUUAUUAGGUAAUGAGCCAAGAAGCAAAUAUUACCAGGAGCAAAAAAUUUCUCGUAAAACACGUAAGCAAUUACUCUGGUUUUGAUAAACCCGGAAAGAAAGGUAAAAGAACUAUCACAGCUAUUUCAGUGGUCUCCAUCAUCUCUUUCUCUCUCCUCUCGUUGUAUGUUUUUUGUUAUUAUUGUUGUUCGGUUAACAAGCAACCAUACUCUAUUAUCGAUAAAAUAAUUAAAAAGAAUUUUCAAGCAAAACUUACGAAAAUAUUUCUGAAUAACAAGCACAAAAUACUGCUCGUGGUAGCCAUGAGCUUAUGAGCUAAAUCAUAAUUCAUAAACAAAUAAAAAGGUAAGAAAAACCCAAAGGCUUUAUAAUAUACCCAAUAACAAGGCUUGUACCCUAUAUUAACCCAACCCAAAAGUUUAAUCUGAGUUAGCCAGUCCAAGGUAAUUUUACUAAUUGUAUGCAAGUCCGUGGAUUAUUUGUUACUUUAAAAAAAUCAAAUUUCUAUUUAAUUUUAAUCUUAUAAAAAAGAUAUUUAGUAGAAAAAUAAAAAUGGUUUAUAGAAAUCAUAGGACCUAUAUAGAAACGCACAUUAUUUUUUAGUUUCGCCUAAACAAUGAUUUAUUAUAAAUUAAAAAAAAAAUCACCCCAUUUAUUCUAAACAAAUAAAUAUCCAUAAACUUCAAAGUUUUAUUUUGUCACAACUAGCUAAAAACAACUCAUAUAAAAAUAUACUUAUGAACUCUGCGCUGAAAAUGUAAUCAAAGUUGAAAGGGCAUAUACGCUUAUUGUAACUUCUGCAAAAUCCUUCUUUGAAGUUGUUGUAAUUUUAUUUACACUUUUCAGUGUAGAGUUCAUGAGUACAAUUUGGUAGAUUAUUCUCCGAACAACAACCGUAAGUCGUAGCGGUUCGAUGUAUGAAAUCUAUAGUCUUAACCAUAGUAGUGUACUUAAAAAAAAAAAAAAAAAAACUCAUUUCUUUUGCUUUUGACACUUUUGGGUUUCUAGCACCAGAAGCAGUUGAACUUUUCAGGAGGGUACAAAAAGUGAUAAAUAGCAAUGUGAUGACGGCGAGUUCUAAUGAAUAUGUAUUUCGUAGGAUUGGUUUUGUUAUUCAAAAAGAGCUUGCAGCGCAGUUUGUAGAGCGCUUGUCUUCUAACUUUGUAUAAUUCCUCAAAUUUUUAUCAAUAAAUUUUGUUUUGGAUUAACAAAAAAAAAAAAAAAAAAAAAAAACCGCUAAUUGGUUUAGUUGUAUAUAACAAAUCUUGUACUAUUAUGAAAAAUAAUAGAGAUGUUUGCGAGAUGUGGAUUUUUCCCUUUGUUUGAUGUUUAAUGUUUUUAUAUUAACCUUGAAAAAAAAAACUAUUUCACUUGUUACCUCCGUAGGUUUUAAACCACUUUUAGAAAGCUUUUAAUGAAAAAAAUUAUUGCCAAUGGUGGUUUUAACAUAUUUUUCAAAGUGAUUCACUUUUAAGAGGUCUUUAGAAAAUUUUCAUCAGUGAAAAAUCUCACCUAAGAUUAUUUGAAUAAUUUAUAAUUAAACUUUAUCAUAUUGUGGGCUAUAUAUGGUUGUUUUAGCAUUACUUAAUUAAAUUAGACUUUAAAUAAAACCAACCGCUGCCCGCUGGUAACUCAUAAAACCUUAAAUUACUUUUAGCAAUCAUUUUAUUCUAAAACUCUCUCUCUCUCGUACGUGGCACCACUAAAACCCUAUUGCUAUUGGGAAUCCUCUAAUACUACAUACAAUAAUUAUAUAAUUGUUAUUAAUGUAAUUGUUGUUAUGUAAUGCAACAUUAUGAAAUAUGGAUCACAUUCAAACUGCGAAGGAGUAAUAUCUGCGACUAUAGAGCAAGAAUUUUGAGGUAUAUGUUUUUUGACACUUUUAUUUGGAGGUGUAAAAGACUAUCAAAUGGAGAAGAUUCUAUUUAAAAACCAAUUUUCUACACUUUAUAAUAUAUUUUGUGUUUCUUACGAAUGGUUUUUGUUUUCAGUUGGGAAGAAUUUGUCUCCAUGGUUUUAACGAGGAUGAAUUUUCUCAAACUAGGACAACAUGGUUUUCACAUAUCAAAUCCAUUGAAAGUGAACCAGAUGAGUCAACAGAGUUUCGAGAUAUGUUUUUAGAGGUAAAUUCUCAUCAAUGUUUUGUUGUUGGUAGAUUUUGUUUGUAUGAUUCAAUGAUAUAUAUUUGUUUAAUUUUUAGCAUUUUUUUAAGAAUAAAGCCAUUGAGGAAGAUGACGCUUAUUUAAAAUAGGUGCAGGAAAUUGUUCCUUGCGAGUUGUUGUUUUUCUUACCUUGCAAGGCUUUUAAGUUGUAAUUAAAUUUUAUUUAUUAGUUAUGUUUUUAACCUUAACCUUGCGAGUUAUGUUUUCAACUUUUCAACAAAAGUUUUCAACUGCAGUGCAUUUUUAAGAAGAAAAUCAUAGCAUCUCGUCAUGCCGCAUGAACACGGCGGUACUAAGUAAUACCUACAUAUAUGAAAUGUUGAAAAUUUGAAGAAAAUUUGAAAAUAGAAACACAAGUGUUGAAGUUGAAGUAAAUACUGGAUAUGUGUAGAACAUCGAUCCAACAUUAUUUUUUUAAGCAUUAUAAGUGCUCAGAGCUCAUCGAUUGUUUAAAUCAACAUACCUCAGUGCAAAAUCCCACAUUGAGCAUAUAUAAGUGUAUUUCAUGUUUGAAAAAAUUAAUAGAUAUAAAUGCGGUGUAUUUUUAGGAGGAAAAUCGUGGUAUCUUUUCUAUCAACAUUUUAGGGAAAGAUUUUUAUUUUUUAUUUUGGGAUAAAAAAACUGAGCUUUUUUUUUUUUGUUAAAUGUUCUUUAAAUUUUUUAUACCAAUUAUGGGCAUCCUUAAUGGUCCAUCAAACAUGGUAUCAGACUUAAAUUUGGUGAAAAGAUGAAAAAUACAUUUCUAAUGGAUUAUCAAAUUUGAUACUAUAAAUUUGAUGAAAAAACAAACUUUUGGUGUUGAGUGGAGCAUUCGUGUGAGUGCCCCAAGAUCGAAACCAAAUACAGCCAAAAACUCGUUUUUUAAAGGUUUUUUUAAAUAAAAUCAAUUUUGUAGCCAUAAAAUAUAGGUUCAAACACCAAAAGUCUAAAAGACAAACCCCAAAAGUCUAAAAGAAAAAGUUAAGACUAGACCAAUCUAACCACCAAGAAAUCUUUGUUAUAAAUAAGUAUAAUAUAUUAUUCAAGUGAGCGGGUCUUCUAUAACUGCUUAAAUAUAAGCGAACUUUUAUUGUCCGCUUAGAGAAAAAAAUAUUGUUUAUAACUAAAGCGGUUUUGUAUUGCCGCUCAGUUUGAUAAAUCACAAAAAACCAUUAGAGAUGAAUGAGGUACCAAAUAACAUACAUGGACCAACAAAUUAAAAAAACCAUUAGGGAUGCCCUAAGUUGGUAACAAAAGAACAUAAAAAACACCAAACCAACCAUCAAAUUUGACCCUAGGUAGGGCGGGCAAUAGAGGCUUGCUGAAAUAUGGACGUGGAAGAAAGUAUGAUGAAGUAACGUUCGGCCCGUUAUGAUGCAAAAUAAAGUCCAGCGCAUUAUACCCUAUGAACUGGACCCACUAUGGCCCAUGUAUGAUCCAGCAGAGGGUCCAAACAAAAAGUCCAGUCCAUCAGAUGUCGCGUGCCCCGUAGAAAAUUGAAAAUUCUUCUUAAGGUUUAAAUAAGGGUGAGGAGAAAAAUAAUAAAAUUAAAAUAAAGAAAAUCUAACCAUGUUGAUAGCUCAUUUAUCAACACCUUCAACUUUCUCUCGAACCGCCAUUCUUCCCCUUGCAUUCUUUUCUUUUUCUCUUUCUCGUUCUCGUUCUCUCUCUUCACCACCACUUUCAACGACAACAACAUCUCAUAGCUUUAGUAUUCAUUCUAUUUCUCAUUCGAAAUUAUAUUUCCUUCAACCCAAUACUCUCAGAAAAAACAGAGUUUCAAUGGAUAGGAACUUGUCGGUAGAAUCAGUAACUACUGAUCUGAAAAAUCAAAGCUUAGAGACUGGUGGGAAACAUGGUUUGAAGAAGAAUAAGCUUCAAGAUCUCAAUUGGGAUCAUUCUUUUGUUCAAGAGUUACCUGGAGAUCCUAAAACCAACAAUACUAAUCCCAGAGAGGUAAAUUAAUAUUUUCUCAAUUUCUUUCGAAUUGGAAUUUUGUAUAUUUCAUAGUUUUUAAUGAAUUCAGAAAAAGAAGAAGAAGAAGAAGUGUGACUUAUUUCUCUUUCGUUACAACUGAAACUGAUUUUGAACUAAUUACAGUUCUGUUAACAACUGUUUAACAAAUUAAUACAACCCUAACUAAAGAUUGAGCAAUUGUAGAUUGUGUUCGACAACUUGAGUAACCACCACUCCACCAGUGGAUUUUCAUGAAAUGAAUUCCAUAGCCAACAGUUCCCUUUAAAUACCAUAAAAAUAUGCUUGACAGUUAUCAAAUGAGGAUUCUUUGGACAAUGCAUAAAUUGACAUACAGAAUAAGCCAAGUCUGGUCGAGUCCAAGUGAGAUAUUGCAACCUCCCAACAAGAGACCUGUAAUUGGUUAUAUCCAAUAAAGAAUCACCAUAGAAGGAUCAAGUCAGCACUUAGAUGCACAUGGUGUCUAUGCAGGCUUGCAAUCAAUCAUAGAAGCUUUCUUUAAGAGAUCCAUAGUAUACUUUGAUUAAGAGUUGAGACAGAAACAACCCAUGAGAUUUUCGAGUAACUUCGAGCCCUAAAAAAUAAUGAAGGGAACCAAGGUCCUUCAAAGAGAACUUGCUGCAUAAAUCAUUGAUGAUAGACUGACAAUGAGAUGCAGAACCUCCAGUGACUAAGAUAUAAUCAACAUAAACCAGAAUAAUGAUGAGAACAUUGUCUACUUUGUAAGUGAAGAGAGACUUGUUAGAAAACUGAAAACCCAUCUGAAGAAGAGCAUGCUUCAAUUCAUCAUACCAAGCACAAGGGGCUUGCCGUAGGCCACAUAAAGAUUUAUGAAGCUUGCAUACGUGCGUAGGAUAAGAAGGAUCAACAAAUAUAGGGGGUUGGAUCAUAUAAACAACUUCAUUUAAGUGACCAUGAAGAAAUGCAUUGUUGACAUCUAGUUGUUUAAUAGGCCAGUUGAAAUGAUCUGCAAGAGAGAGAAGAGAACUAUUCGGAUUGUUGCAGGUUUAACCACUGGACUGAAGGUGUCAUUGAAAUCAAUGCCAGGAUGUUGAUGGUAGCCCUUGGCUGCUAGCCGAGCCUUGAAUCUUUCAAUUGACCCAUUAGCCUGUUGCUUGAUCUUAAAAACCCAUUUGGACCCUACAACAUUCAUUGAUGGACUAAAAGGAACCAAAGACCAUGUUCCUGUCCUCUGUAGAGCAUUAUAUUCGUCACUCAUUGUUUUGCGCCAGUUGGCAUCCUUCAAAGCUUGAGUCGUGCAAGUAGGAGUAGGAGGCAGAGAGGAUAGUUUUGCGUUUAAACAGAACUUCAUUGGAUGCUUUGAUGAAAUAAAGCUCUUAGGUUUAGGGAUUCCAGACUUAGAUCUUGUAACCAUUGGAUGUUGGUUGGACACAGUAGCGGAAGGUUGUGAAACAGGUGGGAUAAUGAGAGAUGUAGUUAUAGGUUGAACAUGUGAGGCGGAAGUAACAUUAGAAACAUGACUAGGUGUUGUCAAUGGUAUAGCAGUAGAAAGAGGACAAAGAUUUAACAAGGUUGGAGAUGUACUAGUAGGACUGUAGGAGUAGUGUUUGUACAGCAGGUGGAGGUUGUGAUGGCUGGGAAAUUGUAACAGGUUGUAUUGAGUGGGGUUGUGCAGAUUGUAUAUGAGAUGGAGGUUGUGUGGGGUGUACAGUAGCAGUAGGUAAAUUGUUGUUAAGGUGGUCAUAUGGCCUUGUCAGAAAAGGUAUUAACCUAUUAAUGGUAAAGUAUUUGUCGUAGUAGAGGAAGAAGGGUGUGUAACAGAUUUAUGAGAUUUAAAGGGAAAAAUGAGACUCGUUAAAAAUAACAUGUCUAGAAACUAUUGUAGUAGGCAGCACCUGCACCCUGCUCUGGAAGCUAUUCUGAAGCUGCACUUUACUCUAUACACUCUUCUACCUCGCUUUGAACUUCUUCACUAGGUCACAUUCUUUCUAUUUUCUUAUGAGUAAUCCUCCAUCUUAUGGAAGAAAGUCUCAACCUUUAGUGAGGCUGGUAGAGGAAUUCGAUCUCACUUUGGAGCAAUCCUGGGAUUCUGAGCAUGGUGCAACAAGUAACAUAUCUCAAUAGUUGUUGGAGGUCAAGACUUGUGUACUUGUGUUGUUCAAAAUUGGAGCCUCCCAUCCUUAACACCCUUCCACUAUCUGCUGGGCUUAAGUGACUUUUUACAUUUAUUAGUUGGUAUUUUUUUCUUAACUCUCUAAAGGUUUAUCAUUGUCAAAAUGUCACACACUCACACAUGUAACUCACUAAAACAAUACCAAUCCCAGAGACAUAAAUAAUUUUCUCACUUUCUUUCGAAUUGGAACCUUGAGUUAUGAUUGAAGUUUGACUUUUGAUUAAAAUCUGGUUUUGAUUUACUAUUAAGUUCUUAGAAUAAGGUACUUUGAAGUUUGAAAACUUUGUAUUUUCAGUAGAUAAGGAAUUUAGGAGUUUUAGGCUGCUGCUGUUUGUAUUUAUCAUCUUCCUUACCCACCAAUCUCUCUAAGGGAUAAACCGGUUUAAGAAAAAUAAGAAAGGUAGAGAGAGAAAAAAAUAGGAGAACAUAUUCCUCUGAGUUCUUUGAGUUCUCUCUACUCUUCAAACUGUCUAUCUAUUCUCUUCAGCUCUCUUCAUUCUUCAACCCAAUCUCGUUUUGCCUUCCUCUUCUCCUCACGAGUCAGAACUUAUAUACCUGAUAUAGUAUUAUGAAUAUGCUUUUAAUAGUAAUGGGUUUCUUUGAUUAAAUGUUUUCUUUUUUUUUGGAAGCAUGGAAAAUCAGGACUUAUAUGCAUAAAGGAAUAGAGUUGAGAAAAAUAUUAUUUGAUCAAAAGGUUUAGUUGGUGGAGAUUAUUAAGUAAUGAAAAAGAAUGAUUUGAUAGAAGCAAUUGAUGGAAACGGAUUGUAAAUCGCAGUUGUAAUGGAAGAGAAAGAGAAGUAGAUGAGAAGAUUACAAAAAAAUAACAGGUUUUGAGUUGGGAUGACAAUUUAGGGAAAUAAGUCAUAUCUUGCUGGAAUUCAAUUUCAAUAUUGCCUCGCUUUUGUUUCUUUCUCUGAAUUCUGUCAAUCAACAUAUUUUUCUGAAACUUUGUGAAACUUCACUGAAAAUAUGAUCUGAAUUCAUUUCAUUGACUUAAGAAGAUAUGUUCUACAUGAGUACCUAUUUAUAUGGUAUAUACAAGAAUAAUUACAGACUUACAGCUGCUAAUACACCCUUUAAGUUUAAGGGGUGUAAACCACUGCAAGCUUGAUCCUAAAGACAUGAAAUUUCUGUGAUGAAAGAUCAUCGGUGAAGAAUUGACACGUUAUCUUUUCCUUGUUAUUGGAGGAAAAAAAUGAACAAGAGAGAGUCAUCUGUUUCAUUUUAAUCUCUUCUAAACCGGCUGUUUCCUUACCCUUUUCUCUUUUGUAAACGUGUCAAUUUCUGAUGAGGCAACCUUUAAUUUGUUACUGUCGUAGUGAUGCUAGCAUUACUCAUUACUGGAUCUGUCUCUUGAGAUGCUUCUGUUUAUUGACAAUUUGACAUACUCUUGUAACUUGUGAAAGGUUAAUUGUGUAUGUACUUAUUAAAAGCAACUUCAUAAAUGAAAAGGGUUUGAGUUGCUUCAGUUUCAAGAAUAAGGAUGAACUUCCCAAUGCCCAAUUGAUUAUUUUCUUUUGCAGGUUCUUCAUGCUUGUUAUACUAAAGUAUCUCCCUCUGUUGAAGUGGAGAACCCUCAGCUUGUUGCCUGGUCGGAGUCUGUAGCGGAGCUCCUCGAUUUGGAUCCUAAAGAGUAAGUAUUUUUAGUUUCUAAGUAUCAUUCAACUGCUGGAAGUUUGUGUGAAUGAUAACAUUUUGUUACCUCAAAUUUGAUUUGGAUGUGUCUUGUGGGUUUCAUUUACAUAGGCACAAUACUCUUGAAUAAAAAUAGCCAUACUCACAGAUCAAGUAUGCCACUGGCAACUAUUAGAAGGUUUCAGUUUGAAACAUUAGAAGCCAGAUUGUUAUUUUAAUUGUUGCUUAGUGCUGACGUUGAGUAGCGUGCUAUUUCAUGUUUUAAAAUGCCCGUACUGGGUUGAUACUUGAUACUGUUGACAUCUUUCCAAGUAUUUGCUAAGGGCCCGUUCGGUAAGGGCCCAGAAAUGCAUUUCUUGUCUUUCUGGAAGUAGGAAAGUGAUAAGCUCGUUCGGUAACCAACAAUUAAAAAUAAAAAAGGAAUUCCCAGAAAGCUGAAAAAUGCAUUUUCGUUGAAGUUUUAUUUCCUUGCUUUCUACUUCCGUCUUUCUUCUUUAUCAGAAAUCUACUGUUUCCGAAAUUCCUUCUCGGUUUCUCAAAGAUUGCCGAACGAGCCCUAAGUUUGAUAGUUGGAUUUAAAAAGAAAAGUUGCAUCUAUGUCAGAAACUUUAAUAUGAAGUAUGAACUAUAAGCUAGUGAAUUAUGUUCUUGGGUUUUUGUAAUUUUUGAGCUGAACAUGGGCUAAUAACAAAUUAGUUCGUUUUAACUCCGGAGCUAACAACAUUUUAUGUUUUUGGAGCUUCAGAUUUGAAAGGCCAGACUUCCCACUCAUAUUCUCAGGUGCAUCUCCUUUGGUUGGAGGGUAUGUGUUGGUAACUCUUAAAACACCAUUUCUUAUAUAUUAAUCCAUUUCUACAAUUGUUUCAUUCUCUACCCAAUAAAUUAAUUUGUAGGUUGUCCUAUGCUCAAUGUUAUGGUGGUCAUCAGUUUGGAAUGUGGGCCGGUCAGUUGGGUGAUGGUCGUGCUAUAACUCUUGGCGAGCUUCUGAACUCUCGAGCUGAAAGGUGGGAACUGCAGCUCAAAGGUGCUGGUAAGACUCCUUACAGCCGGUUUGCCGACGGUCUUGCAGUUUUGCGUAGUAGCAUUCGGGAGUUCCUUUGCAGUGAAGCGAUGCAUGGCCUGGGCGUCCCAACAACCCGUGCACUCUCUCUUGUCACAACUGGGAAAUAUGUCACCAGGGACAUGUUCUAUGAGUAUGUUCUGAGAUGCUUUGGUUAUCAACUCCUUUUCUCUUAGUGCUGUUCACCUUUAUGACUAAGACCCAUGACAUAAUGUAUUUCUAAUGCAGUGGAAAUCCAAAGGAAGAACCUGGUGCAGUUGUUUGCAGAGUUGCUCAAUCCUUUCUGCGUUUUGGUUCAUUCCAAAUACAUGCCUCUAGAGCCAAAGAAGAUUUGAAUAUUGUUCGGGCUUUGGCUGAUUACACAAUUCGACAUCAUUUUCCUCAUAUUGAAAAUAUAAAUAAGAGCGAUAGCUUAUCUUUCAAGACAGGGGAGGAGAGCUCAUCAGGCGUAGAUUUGACGUCUAACAAAUAUGCAGGUAACUUUCUAUUUUGAGGGUCUUUUGAUGCAUGUAACCAUGUUGUCAUAUGACACAAUGCAUAUAUGGCUGUACAUGAUCAUGUAACUCCAAGAGUCAUAUAUUUGAUAAAUAUAAUUAACUCGUCCAGUCAUUUAACUUCCAGCCAGAGAUAUAUUAGGCUGUGAGAAUUUCAAUCUUUCUAUCAUUCUAUGUCCAGCAUCAACGAUUGACUAAAAGACAAGUUUACUACACGAUUCUCUGACAUCAUCUCUCACUUCCCUCACACUCAAUUUAUAAGUCUCUUUACUCCAAUAUCUGGCCUUGGCAUAUAUUGCCAACUACAGGCAUGAAGGAAAAAAGGGAAAAAGUACAAUGCAUGCAAAAAAAUACAUUUGCAUUAUUGUAUCUUUAUGCGUCAUUUUAGGUUGCUGAAUACACAUCUAUGUUUUCUAUUGUGGGUUAUAUCAGCUUGGGCCGUUGAAGUUGCUGAACGUACCGCCUCUUUGGUUGCAAGCUGGCAAGGUGUUGGAUUCACUCAUGGUGUGCUAAACACUGACAACAUGAGUGUGCUAGGUCUCACAAUUGAUUAUGGCCCUUUUGGCUUCUUGGAUGCUUUUGAUCCAAGUUAUACACCGAAUACUACAGAUCUUCCCGGUAGAAGGUAUUGUUUCGGAAACCAGCCAGAUAUUGGCUUAUGGAAUAUUGCACAAUUCACCUCAACCUUAUCUGCGGCCCACUUGAUCAACACUGAGGAGGCAAAUUAUGCCAUGGAAAGGUAUCUUUACUCUUAUUUUUUAGCUUUCCAGUUUCAUAUGAAAGCACUCAAAGUUCGUUCCCAAACUAAUGAUUGGGCCCACACUUGACAUGUAACAGGUAUGGAACCAAGUUUAUGGAUGAUUACAAGUCUAUAAUGACCAGAAAGCUUGGUUUGUCAAAGUACAAUAAACAGUUGAUCAGUGAACUUCUCAACAACAUGUCUGUUGACAAAGUUGACUACACAAAUUUCUUCCGCUCACUAUCUAAUAUUAAAACAGACUCCAGCAUUUCAGAAGGCGAGCUGCUUGUUCCACUCAAAGCGGUUUUACUAGAUAUUGGCAAGGAGCGCAAGGAGGCAUGGACUAGCUGGGUGCAAACCUAUAUACAAGAGGUAGUAUCCGUGGACUGGCUAAUAUAUAUCGUACUUUUUAGUUUCUACGUGAUCUGUUUUUUGUUGGUUGACUACAAAUCUGAUGGUCUGGUCUUCUUACACGAUAAUCUUUCUGGUAUUAUUAUAGUUGGCUGCUAGUGGAAUUUCUGACGAGGAGAGGAAGGUUGAGAUGAAUUCCAUAAAUCCUAAAUAUAUUCUGCGGAACUACUUAUGUCAGAGUGCCAUAGAUACAGCAGAACAAGGAGACUUUGAAGAGGUCCGCAGGCUUCUGAAAGUCAUGGAACGGCCGUAUGAUGAGCAACCAGGAAUGGAAAAGUAUGCUCGGUUGCCACCUGCAUGGGCAUAUCGGCCUGGUGUGUGCAUGCUGUCUUGUUCUUCUUAAAGAAACUUCAAGCUUGGAUCUUAUAUCUCAAAGGCCGAUGUAACUUUAGUUGUACAUAACACUAAAAUUCUGUUACAACUUCCACAACACGUAUACAAAUUCUGUAUCUUAUUUUUUCUUCAUUUUCAUUUUAAUUUCUUCUUACUAUUUAUAUGGUAUGUACGCUUUUCAGAUGAUAACCGGUUGGUUGAGGAUGUUUUGAAUGUAGUAUACAGUGUUGAAAAUGUUUCGACUUGUUUCUUGAUGAUGUUUUGAUGGAAAUGCUAAUUUAGAACAGCGACAGUAUACAUAAAAUGUGCAUGUAACAGAAGCCAUGCCUGUCCUCUGAUCAUAAAUUUGCCCAACACAACCAUCACAUAGUACUACUAAUAAUGAAACAACUUAUCUAUCAUGAGUACUCGCAAUAAGUUUCUAGAUGUAGAACUUAAGGAUUAAGAUUACACCUUAAGAUAAGUAUUUGAGAAAGUGUAAUUUGGGUUGCAGGUUGCUCACUCUCCUAUAAAUACGCCCUCAUAUCUUUUACCGCCCUAUUUCUAUCUCGCACCAUUAAAUAAUACACUCUCAUAUCUUUUUCAAAAUACCCAUCGUGUCCUUCUCUACAUAUUUUUCCUCUCAAAGCUGUGAAUGAAAAGCAUCGAAAACCAACUAUCCUUCUCUUCUCCUUGACGAAACAACAAAUUAGAUCUAUAUAGAACCAAACGAAAGAAGAAGAAUCUUCAAUCUCAUCGUCAUCAUUUGACCUUUGUUCUUCUUCAGAUCUUAAAAGAAAGGCAAACACUCAAGAAGUUUGUUUCUAUCUGUGAUUUCAUUUUGUGUUUUGAGAUCUUAAGAUCUAAUCAUUUCUCUCAUUUUUUUUUCUCGUAGAAUUUAAACAUCUAAGUUCGAAUUUCCUUCUGCAGAGAUCGAUCUUUCAAGCUGCAGCGUUUCUUGUACAAUACGUUGUUCAGAUCUUUCAGGUAUAAGAUUUCAUUCUAGAUAACUUCACAAAAAAGUAAUAAUUUUCGAGAUCUAUAAUAAUUCAAUUAAAAGAUUUGUUUGAAAUAUGAAUUCUAAGUUGUUCAAUUCAAUGGUGAUUUAAGUAAUAGAUAGCAAAUUUAUUUUAAAGAUCUUAUCAAGGAUAUAGUUUCAGAUCUUUUAUUGAAGCUGUAAUGAUCAGUUUUUAUUAAACAAAACAAUAGAUUGUGAACUGAACUCUGAAGCAAACAAGAGAUUGAUUGUAAAGAUAGUUAAAUAAAUUGAUGAAUGUGAACACUGUAGUGUCCAACAUUCAUUUUCAAUUUGAUGGAAAUCAUCAUUCAAAAUCUAUUCAUUGUGAAAAAUGUUUUAAGCCUUGUAAACAUUGGUUAAAGGUUUUUCCUUUGUUUGCAAGUAAAUUAUUCAGUGAAAUUUGUGUAGUAAGUGUGGUUGAGUUAAGUUUUCUGAGUGUACCCUAUAUCUGGAUUUGGAUGACAUAGAAAAACUCAUCUACGAAAAAUUUAGAACUUGGAUAAGGCAUAUUUAGAACUAGGACAGGUGCAUGUGCUUGAUAUAUAUGACAUUUUGACGUUCUGGUGUCAAGCCAUGUUAGAUGCUAGAAUUACUUGGAAUAAAUAUGUUUGCAUCGGUGAGAAGUCUAAUGAGUUUAGUUUAACUUCAAGCAUAUAGAAAUUUGGUUUUCUGGAUAAUUAGUUACUUCAUUGCUAUUGCAGAUAUUGUUUUCAUAAUUUUAACCAUGUGGAGGUUCAAACCUUUCAUGCCAAAAGAACAAGCAGGGCUUGAGGGACGUACAAUUGAUGUUGGCAAUUUAAAAGUUCAUGUCCGUAAUGUGAUUGCCGAAGGAGGUUUCUCCUGUGUUUACCUUGCUCGUGAUGCUAUGCACGCUUCAAAGCAGUAUGCAUUGAAGCACAUUGUAUGCAGUGACGAAGAAUCAUUGGAUCUUGUGAUGAAGGAGAUAUCUGUGAUGAAAAAGCUUACUGGGCACCCAAACGUUGUUGCCCUUCACGCUCAUACUAUAAUGGACAUGGGUCGGACAAAAGAAGCACUGCUUGUGAUGGAGUUUUGUGAGAAGUCACUAGUUACUGUGCUGGAGGGAAGGGGAUCUGGCUAUUUCGACGAGAAACAGAUUCUUCUAAUUUUCAGAGAUGUUUGCAAUGCAGUGUUCGCAAUGCACUGCCUGAACCCACCCAUUGCUCACAGGUAAGGGUAAUAAAUGCCUGGGUAUUUUACAAACUAGUUCUUAAUAAUAGGGUAAUAUAUUCUUUAUCUUUCCUCUAUUUACUCCAAUGUGCAAACCAUUUUGUUGCUUGCUAAUAUGUAAUAGAGUAGCUGCUCUGUCCUUUGAGUUUCUCUACAAAGUUAUGCGCAUUAUUUUGAUAUAUAAGAAGUAUCUCAGAGUGUUCUUCACCGUAUUUAUGUGUGGAUUGAUGCCUGUGUUCUUUUCCUGUCUAAAUACUGGGUUUUUCUCGUUUUAUAUUUUAAGGGACUUGAAAGCCGAGAAUGUUCUUUUAGGGCCUGAUGGGAUGUGGAAACUGUGUGAUUUUGGUAGUACUUCAACCAAUCACAAACGGUUUGAAAGGCCUGAGGAAAUGGGUAUUGAAGAAGACAAUAUCAGGAAAUACACAACACCUGCCUAUAGAGCUCCUGAGGUAUGAAUAGUUUUUGUACUUUUAAGCUAUAACUAUGAUUUACAUCUGUUGAAGGACGACUCUGUAGAAGAGAUGAUUCAUAUAUUUAUUUUUAUUUCUACAUUUCCCCCCUCCAGAUGUGGGAUCUGUUUCGGAGGGAACUUAUCAACGAGAAGGUAGACAUAUGGGUAAGUUCAAUGAUUUGAUUUCUUUUACCUUUUUGUAACCGAUGUUCAAAUUGAGCAAAUUGUAACAUACUUGAACAGUAUUUUUUUCCCCCACAUAAAUUGCACUAUAGUUUUGUGGAGAGCUGAUUCCAUUCUAUAAUCGUUAUGCAGGCACUUGGGUGCCUCCUCUACCGCAUUUGCUAUUUCAAAUCUGCAUUUGAUGGCGAAUCAAAACUACAAAUCUUAAAUGGAAAUUACCGCAUACCGGAGUUGCCUAAGUAUAAUUCUUUGGUUCCAGAGUUAAUCAGGGACAUGCUUCAAGCUGCUCCAGAUGCCAGACCAGAUAUCACUCAGGCAAGCGCUUUGCUUGAUUGGACAUUCUACAUGAACCUAGGUUAGUUAGAGAUUGACCAUGUCCGUGUAGACUUGGACUGAAAUAUAUGUAUUCUGCUUAUUGAUGUUUACACUUCUUGUGCCAGGUGUGGUUUCGCGUAAAUGAACAUUUGCCUGAAGCUCUGCAGAAGUCUUUACCUGACACACCAACCGGUGUGCAUGCUGCUGAACUUCCUGAUGGAGGUGAUGGUGCUUUUCUAAAUUAAAAAUCAUUCCUUCUUAAUUAAUCUUUCUAAUACGUGUGUGUAUGAUGUUCAUAGGCAUUCAGAAUUCUGCAAAGAGGUCUUCUGCAAUGCCUCGUAGGAGUCCUCCACCACCUCCUUCAUCGAAAGAGCCCGCUGGGACCGUGUCACGGCCAUCAGUUAUGUCCAAGGCAGAUGGAGGUGGGAGCUCUAUGGGGGCUUUCUGGUCUACCCAGCAUGCCAAUGAAUCUCAUGUCCCAUUAGACAAGGAUGGCCCUCUGUACGAUGAACCUAGUAGCCAAAGCUUGACAAAGCUUGAUAAAUUAGGGAUCCCAGAGAACCGUCAUCAGCCUGAGAAGGCUGGCCCUAAAAUAGAGCAAAAAGACCGAGCUCGUCCUCUCACAAGUUCACACAGACCGAAGUUCGAUGACAGCCCUUCAGGGGAUUUUGAAUUGAGUUUUUUCCCUGAGCAUGUGAAUCCUAGCUUGGAUACAAGUAAAGUGUCAGAAUCAAAAAUGGCAGUUACUUUCCAGAAUGAGACAUUCAACUCUUUUGUUGCCAACUUUGAUACCAGUAAACUUGAUUCCUCGUCAACAAAGGAACAAGCGUUAGAAGCCGAAGUGAAUAGGCUCAAGGAGCAGCUGGCUGAAACACACUUGGAAAAGGAUGAAGUAAUCUCCAAAUAUGAAAAGCUUUCAGCAAUUUGCCGUUCACAGAGGCAGGAGAUUCAAGAGCUGAAGCAUGCCCUUGCUAAAACUCCUUCACCAAACAAAGAUGAUUCCAAUGUCCAAAACAGCUCUAGCACAGCUCAGGUGACCUUGUCUCUCAAACCUUCACUUUCUCUCUAUUUCAAAUUUUGAUUGUGUAUUCCUUUAUAUUUCGCCUAUGGUUGAGCUUAUGUUCGGCUUUGUAAUCAAAUAUUCAAAUCUCUGUUCUAAUGGUAUAGUAUGUUUCGUCCUUACAGCAGAGAGAGAAGAUUGAAGGAACUGUCUUGGAGCUCCAGCAAGGGAUGUUUGAUAACUUAUCCCCGAAUCCCAACUCUAAGCAGUGGCAGGCAUUCUCAGACGAGUCCAAGUUGCAGUCCAAAUCAGUUCGAACAACGAAUGGGCGACAGAAUAAAAACACAAGUGCCACAAGUACUGGUUUAGAUAGCUGGGGUUUUGGCACUGAUAAUUUCACGGCAGUUCCUGCUACAUCUAACAUAGGAAGAAGCUUACAACACAUGAGCGACUCAAAGACAAUUGAAAGCAAACGGGCAUCUCAACCAGCAGGAUGGGCUGGUUUCUAAUUUAAGCAAUCUGUUUAAGCUGAGGUACACCAUGUUCUGAAAGCGGAGCUUUGACUUGGUGAGAAUUACUCCCAUAAUGUUACUUUACGACUGCUCUAGAUUUGCAGUGAGGGGAGAAGAAGGAACGAUAUUGCAAUAUUCUGACGUUGUCUCUCUGGUUGUGUAUCUUAGCAAGGGUAAAAAAGUACAUGGUGCAAAAUUUGAACAAUGAAAGUUCAUGGUUGUGUAUGUUAACAACAUUUUUCUUUUCUCAAGUAUCAAAAUUUGAACAAUGAAAAUAUAUUGCAGUCAUUGCCUGCCUCAAAGACUAAUGGAAAAUGUGGUGGGCUCUUGGCAGAAGCCUCUUUGUUAAGCAAGGUCAGGAAUCAUUACAUUACGGAAAAGAGUUACUGGUAUUAAUUUUACUGAGCUUGAUCUGUAUUUAAGCUAAUAGUGUUAGAUAGGCCGAAAAAAUAUUGCAGUCAUUGCCAUGAAGACUGUUUGCGCAAGGAAGACAUUGUAAAUCAACAAAAAUUGGAGAGAUCAUGACUGAAGAGGUAGUAAUUGAGUUACAUGCAUGGGACAUUAUAUAAUGUACCACCUAUUCUUGUUAAUCUGACUCAAUAUGUUCCAUACAUUAUGUACACAGUGACUUCCUAUACAAAUACUUUACAACUAGCAAUGCAGCUUAUGACAGGUAAGAAGAUUGGUAAGUAUCAUGUUACUCGCUCAAGAUCUUGUAAGAACUAAUUGUAUAGUUCAUGGUGUUCACAGAAAAUUAUAGAGCACUUCAAUAACAUUAGCAUACAAAAUCAGCAAAUAAACACAUUCCAUGCAUGUGAGCAUGUCUAUGUCUAGCCAUGAGUUAAAACUUAAAAGUUUAAUUCAUAAUAACAAUACUUAAAAGCUCAUCUCCAGCUAUUAGCCCACCUUUGUAUCAAGUAAUCAAACAGACCCUUUAUGUAAAGCUUGAAGCAAAACCAAGAAAAGUGAAAUAUUCAUAAUUGAUAAAAUCCAAUUAUUACCAAAGUGGGUUGGAUACCGAUUUGACAAAGAUCCACAUACCUAACUACUUUACUGCCCGAAUGCAAGCCCAACAAGAUCUAAAAUUGGGUCCAAAUCCGUAACAAAAGCCCGAAUAUGGUAUUUCCAAGAAAUUGCAAUACUGGAUUAAUUUUCUCGCAUCCAAACAGCUCCUAAUGCUCUUUUCGAAAUCCGUUCGUUUUUUUCCUUGCUUUCUUCCCUCUCUCUCUUUCUCUCUUUCUCUUCAAUUACGAAUUACAGAAGAAUUUCUGCACUUCACUUCCAAACCUUUGAUUAAAAACCUUCACUCGAAAGCUCUUGUAACAAGUGUUCUUCUCAAUUCGAUAGAAUUUGUUAAAAAGUUUCAUUCUUUAUCGACCAAAACUUCAAAUUUCCGUUAAAAAGUAUUUCGUUUCAUUCAAAGUGUUUGGAGAGGAGUUUUUUUUUUUAUUCUUUUUCGUUGAUGUGAAGAAAUUCUGGUAGAAUUCUUGGUUUUUGAUGGAAUAUGAACACCCCGACAGUAGUGGUAUGUUUUCUUUUCUUUUGUUUUUGCAUAAAGUUCUGAUCUUUUAUUCAUUUCAAGGUUUUUGUUUGCUCUUGGUUUAUUUGUUAAGUUGCAGAUAGAGUUUGGGGGUUUGGAGGUAGUUUAUCUGUUCUUUGUUAUUAAUUUAACUAGCCAAUUGUUUGCUAUUUGGGUUGUGAAGUCGAGAAGAUGAAUUAGGGUUUUAACUCAAUCUAUAUAGAGAUUAAAUGUAGGAUUUUGAACUGAAUUAGUGAUUUUAUGAUAUGGUUUUGGGUAAUUGAGAGCAAUUGGUUUUCAAUAACUGAGCUGGGGUUUACCCAAAAGCAUGAACAUAAAGUUAGGGUUUGUGAAUAGAUUACAUGUUCUGAAAAGAAAGAACUUCUUAUCUAUAUUUUUGCGAGUUCAGUAUAUGGAGAAGUAGAAAUCUUCAUUAACAGUAUCAAGUUCUAUAAUUAAUUCAGUAUUCUAUGUGUAAACGAAUCUAUUAUAUAUAUUGAAACCUAAUAAAAUGGGAAAAAAAAAAAGAUUAGAUUAGAAAAGAAGCUUUAGAAUGGGAAAAUUAGAAUUGAACCUUGUUAAAAGUUGACCCAAUCACCCAACACAUUGGUUACUAACCCAUGUUCUGACUAAUGUGCCUCUUCUUCUUUUGGAAUAUAAACUCAAAAUGUUUACCAAGCAAGAAUAACACUAAGAAGAGGUCAUAUUAGCUCCAACGUCAACCUCUCAAAUCAUGGAGUGAUUUAUGUAUUCUUUUAAUGCAUAAUAGUGAGUGAACAAGAUAGCAGGGGAUACAGAGAGCCUUUAGCAUAGAGGUACAGUUGCAAAGUUGGAUAGAGAGAAGAACUAGUAUAGAAGGCUUUAUUAAAAUUUGUACUUCUGUAGUGAGACAUACAAACCCCUUGCUACAGACAACUAGUAUUAGAUUUGUAUGUCUGUAGUGAGGCAUACAAGCGAGCAACCUACUGUUAAUCCCCACUGUAUAACUUUCUGGCUCACCUACUUUCAACAAUUGACCAUAUAUGUGAGGCAUCAUUUAAUAUAAACAUAAAAUCAUAUCAUGUAAUCGAUGUAUAUCUGACGUAAUUCAAGAUUCAGCGGCAUGAAAGACCAAAUGAUUAGCUAGAGAAGUACCUUAAAAAUGUUAAGUGGAAUUGUACUACCUGUCUAUAAUUUGCAGCUUGUUUUCAAUAAUUAUAGAUCUUUCAACACCUGAACUUUCCUGGACUAGAAAAAAAUUUGAAGCAUCGCAAAGGGCUACUUAGAAUGCUGAAAUUGUAUUAGAACAUAAAUAUAGUAAAUUUCUGCUGUCGCUUUACACCUUCAAAGAUGUUAAGAUAUAUAUAUAUAUAUAUAUAUAUAUGUGCAUACUUUUAAGUGUGUUCUGUAUAUAAAUUAGUGGGCACUGGUUCACAUUGCGCACAGGAUCUAGGAGGAUUGGAGGGUAGUCUGAUGAAUAUUUAAGGAGGGACUUUCUCCACACAUGAUGAUUUAUGUUUGUGUUUUUUUCAUUGAAAUAUGAAUGUUCAGCGAAAUGAUCUUUCCAUUCUUUGUUGGCUAGGUAAACUACAGUCAAAUGUUAUAUUGUAGAUUGUAUAAAUGCUAUUCAAGUUGAUGAGUACAAGUGAACAAUGUUAAUGGGACUACGUAUGCCAGAGGCUGUUAUUGGUUUUCUUUUGUAGGUUUAUGUUUUAGGUAUUUAUCUUCUCAUUUGCUUUAUUUGAUCCAAAUGAAUUUUUUAUGCUUCAACUAGGAGAACUGUAAGUGUUUCAGGACAUGAUUUUUUAUUUUAUUGCGCAGCGAAGCUUUGCCUGGUAGAUAUUGCUUCAUGUACUAGGUUAGUUGUUGGUAGUUGUAGUUUCAUUUUAUGAACACGUAUACAAGUGUAUAAUUAUAGUAGAAAAGAUAAGGCACAAAUUCCAACAUCAUCUCUUCAUUCUUAAUAUGUUUAUCUCUCAUCGUUGUGAACAACUUCAAUAUGUAACACUUGCAGGAACUGACGACGACCUUCCUCCAUCACAUCAAAAUAGAGUUCAACGAGGAUCACGUGUAAGUGGAACUGGAAGAUCUGCUGUUUUGGGUUCCGUACCCUACCCUAGGUUGCAUACUGAUAUGGAGGCUCAGAUUUAUCAUCUCGAACAAGAAGCAUACCGAUCAGUCCUUCUUGCCUUUAAAGCUCAAUCUGACACCACAAUUACCUGGGUAAUGGAUUUGACAUUUAUCAGCAUGCCAAUAUGAGGUAUUAUAUCUUGUUCACAAGGCUCAACUGUCUGCUUCAUACUUUUCAGGAAAAAACAAGUUUGAUGGCAGAACUUAGGAAGGAACUAAAUAUAUCAGAGGAUGAACACAAAGCACUUUUAGGCAGGGUUGAUGCAGAUGACAACCUCCGUAGGAUAAGGUCUAACAAAAUCACAAGAAGAGCUUUACUGGUUUUUUUUGUUUUUUUUUUCUCUCUGAGACCAGUCUAUAUCAGCUUUGCAAUUUGCCUUACAACCAAAAGUGUUGUUGCAAAAUUUCUCUAGGGAAUGGCGACAAUCUGGCGGGCUUCGACCUGGAUUGCAGAGUACCUCUCAACCUUUUCAUGAUUCACUAUCCAGUCCCACUUUCUCAGCUUCUCGCAAGAAACAAAAGACGUCACAUUCAGUGCCUUCUCUCUCACUGCGAGCACCAUCCUCUGUUUUGCAUCCGCAAACAGUAGUACCAUCAAUUUCAGCUGCAAAACGAGGAUCUCUGCCAGUAGCCAGGGGCAGGAAACCUAAAUCGGUGAGUUAAUUAUAACCACAAAAGUUUCUUGCUAUGCACAACGCAUGCACACAUGUGCAUUCUGAAAUAGAACAGGAGAAUCCUAGUUAACAUGUGUUUUGUCCACUUCAUGAAGUCAAUACAGUACCCAUCGUCAGUUUCAACUGGCAGGGUCCAAGUUUCCUCUGGUCCUCUUCUGGCAAAUGUCCAAGUUUCCUCUGGUCCUCUUCUGGCAAAUGAACCAAUUGAAGCAGUAGCCUAUGGUGCAUCAUUAAUUGGGCGAAAAGUGCGGAUUAGGUGGCCUGAUGAUAACUGCUUCUACAAGGCUGUUGUAACUGACUUUAAAGAGGUAUAUAUAUUCUUAAUGUCAGUCAUCUUUAGAUUGUUUUAGUAACUGUACAACUGUACCUUACAAUUGGUUGAACAUUGUCAGGGACGACAUGCUCUCGUAUAUGAUUUGAAUUCUCCGAAUGCGAUGUUGGAAUGGGUUAAUUUUAACGAGGUAAAGAUUAUUCGUUGAUUGAUAACCUAUACUGUUCUUCCCCGAGUUUUCACUUGUUAACCUUUAAAUGAGUCAUUGUACAUGUGUUUUACAGAUUAAUAAGUUAUCCAAAUGCAUAGGUUGUAGAGUAAUAGUUGAAUCAACGCGUUCAUGUAACAUGCAAAAUGCGAACUCUGUAAUAUGGGUGAUUGUUACAUGAUCUUUAUUUGAAAUCCUUAAAAAAUUAUUGCUGUGUGCUUUUUUUCUUAAUUUUUCUAGUAAAAAGUUUUGAUAUUAUAUUUCAUUUCAUAUAAUUAAUGUCAGAUCUCUCCUCAAGAUAUUCGAUGGGAUGGUGAGACCCCUGGGAACUCUCGUGGACUCGGUCAUGAGAUUAACAAGUCUGUGGUCGUGGCUGCUGCUGCUCUUCCUGAUGUGGGGAGAGGAAGGGGUGCCUAUACAAAUAAUCCAAAGGGACAUAUUCCACCCUUACAGAAUGGUAUUGCUAAGAAGGCUUCUGGUGACAUCGAAAUACUUCGCACAGAUAAACUAAUCAAGGAGGUACGAGUGAGCAGUUUUUAUAUAGUGUUUGAACUACAAACUAGAUAAUUGGUAUUCCUUUUUUUAUUAGUUUUCUCCUUGUUAUCAAAUGAAUCAGGUGGAGAAGAUUUUUGGAACAAACCACCCUGAUCCUCUUGAGCUUGAGAAGGCAAAGAAGGCUCUGAAAGUAAGAUUGGCUUUGGAUCUGUUAUUUUGAUGUAUUUUUCAUUUGUUUAGCAAAACAAACUUGAUGUAACUGUAUUUACAGGAACAUGAACAAACACUGGUUGAUGCGAUUGCAAGGCUUGCGGAUGCGUAUGAUGGUAAAACUGGUAAUCUCUAUCUAUUAAACCUCCCAUUGUACAUUGUUUUACAUCUUCUAAUGUGCUGGGUUAUCCUGCAAAUUAAUCAUAGGUUUGUUUGCUUAGGUCUAUACUCGAAUUAUGAUGGUCGCAUGGCUGUUGUUACUUGGUAGAUUCCACCACCAAAAUCUCCAUUGUAAUUGCCGCAAAUGCCUUUUUUUCAGGGUUUUGUUGGUUUUGCAGCUCCCCUGAUGGAGAUUAAGGGGUGGUGAAAUAAUAUACUAUGGCUAUGGGAUCACCAUAAAUGAGGACAAAUAAGCCGAAAAUUCAACCAAGAUGCUUAAAAUCAUACAGGCUAUCUUAUUAUAUGUUCUCGUAUGCCUUUGACAUGGUAAAUACAUCUUUACCACACAAAAAACAUGGUAAAAAUGUCAACAUAUUCUUAUUAAAGCAUAACAUGAUAGCUUGGGGAUACUUUUCGCUCAACCAUGAUGCUUAAAGUCACAGUCAAUAGGACAUUUCUUUGUAUUCCCCAUCUCAUUGUAUAACAUGGACAGGUCCAUCCUUGUAUGAUGUUAAGUUAACCACAUUACUUGCUAGCUGGGGUGCAACUCCCUUGAGGGCCACCUCUUAGGAGAAUGUGUAAACAUAAUAGUGUGCUGUCAGGUAAUUACAUUUAGAAAGAUGUGAGCUUUGAGGUUUUUACUUGCAUUAACACCUAGUUUUAUACCUGCAACUCCUAAAGAACUUGCAUCUGAAGUAAGCUCCCAAAUCACUUUUCAAUUGACGAACUAUGGAUUUCAAAGGCUUCCAUUACUAGAUUGGUAAUCAUAGGUAGCCUUGCUGAAUUAUUUGUAUAUAUUCUGACAAGGUAUUCAAGUUUCCCAGUCAUAUCACAUGUUAGGACAUUAAGAAGAAACACUAAAUUUGUGUUUACCUUUUUGCUUUGGAGCAGAUGGGGGUGAAAAUAAAGCGGCACAUGGGCAAUCAGUAGAUGGAGAGGGGUUGAAAAAUCAGCAGUACAAUGGAAACCAGUACCCUGCUGAUAUCCAUAAUAAUGGCUUAGAUGGCGAUCAAAUGACCAAAGGGGGUAGUCUUGCAUCCAAUUACCAGCAAGAAGAUGACCUAUGACAGUGUUGAUAUUAAAAACUUUCCCGCCAAAGGCCUCAUGUAUGCUAAUAUCAUGACCUACCCAAUCUGAUGAGAGGGAAGCAGGUUGCAGCAGAGUCGGUACUCCGAUUAUUCUGUAAAUUUAUUUAGUAAAAUAUGUUGUGACAUAAUUUCCUAGAUGUUGCAUGCAACAGAGACCUGAACAUGUUAGUGGAAAUAAUGUCUUAAUUUCUGUAUCAUUUAUCACAAGAGUUCCACAAGUUAAGUGAAUAUUUUGGCAUACUAUUUCACAAAAUAACAAAUAAUAACUUAAAUAAGACAAGUUUCUCCUAUCUCUAUUAUUAUUCAUGACCAAUUGACCAUGACUAGCAAACUCUUCAAAAACCAACACUAUCCUUGAUAUAAAACAAAUCAUAAAUAAACAAUCUCCCAUUUUACAUUGCUGAUAUUACUGAUGAAGCUUUCUUGGCCUCAAUAUCCAUAAAAUUUCCAAUAUCUGAUGCCUUUCUUUCGCUGUUGCUGUAAUCACCCACACUCUUGCCUGACUUUCCAAUGCCAAUUUCCGACUUAAGCUCAUCAACUGCUCUCCUCAACAGCCCAUUCUCAGCAUGAAGAACAUCUAACUGACGCUUCACAUCUAUGCAUACUUCCUCUGCCUCCUUUUCCAUAUCAGCAUGUUUCUUCUUGUUUUUUCCAUUGUCAAUCUUCAAACCAUCUCCUGCCACGUGUUCAAUAGAAAUUUUGUUCAUCACGAGGAAAGGAAUCUUACUCAAAGAAAUCCCACCCGUAGAAUUUCUAAACCCAAGACCAUCGAUGACGUCAGCCUUCAACUCUUCUGGAAACCGAACUCCCCAAUUGAACUUCAACACAGCUUUGUUCCUAAUAGGCAACAACGUCUUUGCACUCAUCUCUACGCCGUUAAAAACUCCGUCAAUCAUGUUACUAACAGCGUUACUCCCUCCGUUAACUCUAGCCAAGAAACCAUUGUUAUCAAGUUUAAUAAACCCUCCGUUUUCUAACGGUUUAUCUCCACCUCCCCCGCCACCGUUUUGUAACGCCUUCUCUCCACCAAGAAUAAAAUUCUUAGCAGAUUGCGAACCAGAAGAUUUUUUGAUCGAAAAGUCGCCAAAUUGUGGAUUAAAUCGAAGAAAAAAACUAGGGUUUCCACGAGAAAGAAGAUUGAAUUCAGCACUCAUAGAUAAAGGAGCGGAGAUUGGUGAACCAAAAGGACCAAUUCCAGUUUUAACAACAAGACUGAAUGGAUUCCAUGAAUCAUUUGGUUUAUAAACGAGUUUAAGAGAAGGACCUGAUUCGAAAAAAGUGGUGAGAUUCAAAGAAAGAUCUUUGGAAUCUCCACAAGCUGAAACACCAGAUUGAAAUGGAAAACCUAAUAUGUUUAAUGGAACUUUUACUCUUAAAAGUGGUGGUUUUUCUUCUUCUCUGAAUUUCAAAGAAGCUUUCAUCUUUCUCUCGAAAAGCAAAGCAAAGCUACACUCUUAUUAAUAAUAAAAAGUGUGUUCAGUGAGGUUUUUGGUUUUACUUUUUUUUUUUUUUUCUCUCUCUUGUUUAUAAAUCAAAAGAGCAAAAUGUGAUUGAAAUUCAAUUUCAGCUAAAAUUUCAACGAAGAUUCCGCCUAAUUUAGUAAUUUUGGCUUGAUUGAGGGUAUUGUGGUAAUUUGAACACUUAAUACAAGGAAAUGAAAAUUGAAAAUUUGAAUUUGAAAUAUUCAAUAAACAAAUAUGUAAAGAAUCAAUUAUUUUGUUUUUGUCUUUUAUGAUGUCCAGCCCUGUUUUGAUACCUUGUGUGGCUUGUACUGUAAUCGGUAAUCCUAUUAAGGUAUGUCCCAUUUUUGUAUCUUUUGCAACUGCAAUGGUUAAAAGGAGGAGUUGGCUUCAAGCACACUGAUUAGAGUAUUUACUGUAUUAGACCGUUUUUUAACUCCUUUGGAUUUAUUGCGCUACGUUUUGGCACAUAACUAAAUAGGAUUUACACACUUACAAUACACAUGAAAUGAAGGAGCAAGUUUAACCAAAACUGUCUCAUAUAAUUCUAAAAGCACCAGCAGAAACAUCAAGAAAGUGUUUUAUGUCAUACAACAUCAACUAGGAUCAUUUCAAUGAAAUGUAGUAUUCAACUAAAGGACAACUGAAUUCAACUGACAUACUGCAAAACAGAAAAUUUACCAGCUGACUAAUUUUACCUAAAACCAUUGGAAACAAAUUUAGACUAGAUACUCUGCUACCCGUAUUGCUACUUGGAUUCACAAAGAUGAGUUUCCACAACAAGAACAUACAACUAGAAUAGAAUUUAAAAACCACUUCCCUUCCAAAGGAAAACAUCAACACAGAAACAGCAUCACAUUCCAGACUUACGCAGUUCACUAGCACCAUGGGCAAAAUGGCAUCUGUCUCCAAACGUGCAAGAACCUUUGUUGAAAUUCUCACAGAGCUUAGUUUUGAAGUUGUUUGCUGCAGGAGCAUGAUGUGUUGCAGGAGUGUGGCUAGGAGGAGGGCCCAUGGCAGAACCAAUGUUGACAAUUAGCUCACGAACCAUAGCACUGGCUUGUUUUAUCUGAUCAAAGGUACCCUCAAGUUCAAUGUUCUUCAGGUUAGGAUCCGAUUCAUGCUCUCUUAUCGAAAGCUUCGCCCCUGUGACCCGACAUAUCUGCUUUGAAUUCACACCACCUUUCCCAAUGAUUGCUCCUGCAAGGGAGGCAUCUACACUUAUCUUGGCAGUAGCAGAGGCACCAAAACUUGCUGCUGCUGCCAUGCCUGGUGGGGGUGGCUCAUGCCUACCUGGAAACCGGCCUGACAUCGGACCACUCAUAACACGAGGAUCUUCAUGUGAAGGACCCGUGGACUUGCCGAGUUCCCUCUCAUUGUGGGCAAAGUGACAUUUAUCUCCAAACUUGCACCCUUCUGGACUGUUUAGCUUGUUGCACAUGCGGGUCUUGACUGCAGGGGAAGCACCGUUGUGACUGGAUGGUGGACCCAUCGUGUUUCUGGAAGAUGGAGGAUGAGAAUGAUUGCCACCUAAGUUUGUCAUAUGAGCCACCGCAUUGAUCCCACCAGGAACAUAGUGCAGGAAGUGACAGCUCUCACCAAAGGGACAACCAGCGGUACUGCAUCAAAAUCAUAAAUAAUAUCGAAUCAGAACAAAUAGUUUGCUACUGCAAUAAGAAAAAAAAAAUAGAACUAAAAAUCUACGGUAAUCCUAACAAUGAUGAAAAACAAAAUAUUAAUACUACUAAUAAGAAGAAUCAUAAAAUGGCUGGUCAGACUCUGAGUCUCUGACUCAGCCGCCUUACGAAUAUUUAAAGAUAAUCUUCUAAAGAUAAAAGUAGGCAACAUGCGAUAUUAUAAAUAUUAGCAUGUUUAUCCACCAUUCCAACAAAACAACCUUCAAAGCAAUUUUAAUUGAAAUUAAUACGUAAGUAACACGAGCUACGCACAGCAUUGCAGUUUGGAGAGAGCAUUGGCCUUUUCAAACAUGGUUCAAGUGGAGGGAGUUGGGUAAUAGGAGACAGGAAAAACUACACUUGACAAUGAAUGUACUCAUCGCAUCAUUCACCCAGGCCUGCGAGCUAACGGAGAGGAAGGGAAACUAAUCUCUCAGUCGUUGAAUUAAUUUUUAAAACUAACUCACAAAAUCCAACCCCACAAUUUAAAUGGUAUAUAAUUGAAUACAUCUGCUCCAAAUUUACAAGACAAUUAAGGAUGGAUAAUCUCAAUAAAACAAAUGUAAAUUCAUGUGUGUUUGCUAGAACAUGGAAAUAGCAUCCUACCAUGAAUUACUUACUAUGUUCCAUCAAAAUUAUGAUUACAAAUAGAACUGCAAUCAGAGUAUAUAUACAUCUCAAGAUAAUAGUAUUGUGUAUCAAUACUUGAUAGGGCUGCCAGUGGACUACUUUAUUAGUAUAUCAUUGAACCAGGCUUACUGGCCUAUAGUGUAGUAAUGAAUAGGCUCUACUCUCUCAGAUUCACACCCUUAGUAUGUAGGCUUAGCGUGGAUGUCUUAUGAAAUACUUCUAAUAUAAUCACCAGAAACAAAUUCUGAAGUUUGUGACUGUUCAUCACAUCUCUCUCAUUAAACACAGUAACACACACAUGACAAACUUAUUUGAAAAAUCAAAAGGCAGUAGUAGUUUUUAAUCACAAUAUGCUUCAUCGGCAACAAGAUAAUAACAAUAUCUCAUCAUCAACUAUUUCGCAAAAAAAAAUUGGAGAAAAGAAAAAACAAAACAUAGCUAGUCAACAUAAGUAAUUUCAGGCAUAUUUGUAUGUCUUAUUAUAAAAUUAAAAAACUGUCUUUCUUCCUCUUUUGGAAGUCAGAAAUUAAAUAUAUAUGUUUAAUUCAUGAAGGGGAUCUCAAAUCUCAAUAUGGGUGGUGAUAUUUCAGAAUAGUCAGCAAGGCUCUACUUUUCAAUUACUCCUAAGACUCAAAUAUUUACUAAACAAAAAAAAAGAAAUAAUUUCUUAAGACAAAACAAAAAACAAAAGAACACUCCUAGAAACACAAGGUAGAGAAGCAUUUAAGAGGCAAUUUUGUUUUGGAGAUCACUGGAGGCUUGUGUUAGAAUAAAUUUUAGAGGUUGGGUUUCUUCUUGGAGUUUGAAAACAUCAUCUAUGCAAAGUAAAAAUUAUUACAUAAACCGUUUGGUUAAGAAGAAUAUUUACCCAUGGUGAUCACAACUUGAGUAAUUGUUGGUCUUCUAUUUUUCCUUUUUUUUUGGCAGUGGGUAGUGUGCACGUUUGUCUGGAGGGAAUUAAGCCCCAAGUGUACAAUACAUUAUACAAAUACGUGGUCAUUUUUUAAGUUAUGCAAAACUACAAUGCAAUAUGUCAAGAAGUUUUCAACAAACAGCAAUUCUGUACAAUCAACUGUUAUCUUUGAUAAAAGAUUGCCUUAGAUUGCACAAGUGUGAUGGGCCCGUUGUAUCACAAUUCACAACUUAGAUGCUCAUUUCAAUAGUUCUGACAACAUUAUUCUGUUGCAAAAGCUGGAGGCCAAUUGAUAUUAUACAAUCAAAAGAGUUUUCAGGAUAUAUGAAUGGCUUGAUUAGCAGAAUAUAUGCUAAGAACCUGUAUCAUAAAUUUAGACAUCCAAUUCACAAGUCUUGCUAACAGUUAUCUCUUGCAAUAAAACAUUAUAAACCACAAUUUAUUAGAUAAUUAUGAGAAUUGGCAGAAUAUAUAAUAUUUUCAUUAGAUGAGUUAAGAUUAGACCUGAAAAACUUCGUACAUGGCUUUGAUUUGCUUCCUAUACCAGUUGGAAAGUUCUCCAUUUCUGUUGCAAAACAUUAAUUACGCUUUCUCAGUUAUAAUCUAACCAAGUUAUUAAUCUGAGUAGCUUCAAAACCCAUUGCUUAGACUACCAUUAAGAACACAGUUGAAAACAUUGUUUUUAAAUGACAAAAUCUCAUCAAAAAUUAUUUUCAAGUAAAAGUCUUUAGUACAUAUUGUGGAAUAAAAAGUGCUUAUAACAAGAUUUUAAACUGGUUUAGUGUGGGGGGUUGUUUUAUUGGGGUAAAAUACAACCAGACUUUAAACCAGCAAUUAAAACGCAAGAAUUGUCAAAAAGGAAAAUUCCUUAAAAGGGUAUUUCAAUACUUGCAUAUCAGAACUUGAUAUAUAAUGACAAUGAAGGACAAUUUUAUCUUAACUAUAACUUGGGGAAUUAGGGUUGGUGUCGCAAAAAUGAAAAGAUAACAGAUCUGAAUCUGUGCAUAAAAUAUGUUUGGGCAGCUAUGAACAUAAAAAGAACAAACUUUAUAAAAAACAAGAACAUAUAAACCCUAAGUAUCCCCAAAAAUUACAAAUCACUACUCUAUACAAAUAGAAAAGAUUUCACUCUAAGAAAUUCUAGUUUUCAAGAAACCCUAAAACAACUUCAAAGUAAUACAAAACAGCUAAAAGGAGAAGAAGAAACGAACCUUGCUUAUUUCUCUUGAAACCACCAUUGCCAUUCAAAAACCCAUCUGAUCUCCCUCUUUUACGAGCUUCCAUGGAGAGAAAUUUAUUGAAAAUUAAUCGAACAAUAGUUCGAUAAAUUGAACUUGAAAAUAAAAAAUAAAAACCCUAAUAUAUGAUUUGUUUAGAAAAAAAAAAAAAAAAAGUUAAACCCUAGAAGAAAAAGGGAAAAACCCUAGGGUUUGACACGGUGAGUUAGGAGGGUUGGGUUGGAGAAAACGAGAGGAGAGAGAAAAACAGAGAACACGAGAAGAAAAAGGGAUAUUAAUAGAGGAGAGUAGGAAGUAGGAAAGCAGAAGAGGAGGUGGAGAGAGAUGGAUUUUAGGAAAAGUUCAUCACGUGCGCUUUCCUCUUAUGCCUCUCUGUAUUCACGUGAUGAAUACGUAUGUAUGUUAUGUACGUGCGGCGUACUUUUAAAGUGUCAGAAUGAGAUGCGUCAUGCGUGUGUAGUUUAGGUCGUAUUGGGCUAUAUUAUGGGCUUGAGCCUUACCCCAUUGGUUGGCCUUUGGGAAUGUCUAUUACUCGAUUAAAUUACACAUAAAAAAGUAGUAUUUUAGGCGAAUGAGCCGAGUUUUGGUAUGUUCGAGCUAGGAUCAUUUAAAAACGAGUCGAGCCCAAAUUUUAUACUCCCUCUGUCCCAAAUUAUAAGUACCUUAUUCCAUUUUAGAUUGUCCCAAAAUAUAUGUUGCUUUUGAUUUUUGAACACAUUAAUUAAGUGAAAUGGUUCUUUUGUCUAUAUUACCUUUGCUUUAAGAUUAGAGUAAUUAUUUUAAUAAAAAAAUUAGGCAUUGUAAUUAUUAAUUAGUAUUAAAUAGGGGUAAAUUAGAAAGUAUAGUUAGUAGACAAACAAUAAAUGAUGUUUCCUUAAUAAGUAGAAUAUUCCAAAAGGUACUUAUGAUUUGGGGCGGAGGGAGUAAGAGUUUUGUUUGGUGUUCAAACUCGGCUCAUUUAGCUCCUCAAACAGCUAAUUGAUGAUGGUGUAAGCGGUCUUUUCGCCAACAUCUUGAGAUCAAUGAGCCCAGUGAAGAAUGGUUUAGCUCCUUCGCCAUCAUCUCUGUUACCUGCAAAAUACGUCGGGGUUGUUCCCGACGUUAGCACUAGGACUGGCAAUGGACCGGGUUAGACCCGAAAUCCGAUCCGAGCUGAACCGAUAAGAGCGGGCUCGGUACUAUAGUUUUAUGUUUUGGUUCGGGUCCGGUUCCUAAAAAUAAAACCCGGUUCUUAUUGGUUCGGGUAUGGAAUUAAUGGAUACAGAAUCGAUAUGGACCCGACAUGAAUUCUUUAGUAAUUUUGAAAAUUUUAAAUUUACUAACACUACAAAUAUGUCAUAAAAAUUAUAUAUUUAAGAAACUUGACUUUUGGAAAUAUAAUUUAUAAUACUAACUAUCUUCCAAAUAUAUAUCAAUUACCUUAAAAACACACAAAUCAAUACAAACAUUUACCAUAUUUACUAAAUAUAUCUAGAUUAUAAAAAAGUAAAAUAUUGUUUCUAAGUUGGUGUACAUAAAUUUAACAAAUCAAUUGUUAGACAAAAGAUCCGGAUCCAACCCGGAUCCGAUCCGUUAAGGUUUGGUAUGGGUAUGGUUUUUUACUUUUGGACCCAAUAGGGUCUGGAUCUGGGUCCGGAUCUAUUAGGUUUCUUAAUGGUUCGGGUCUGUUAUUUCUAAUACCCGGUCCGAACCGGUCCAUUGCCAGCCCUAGUUAGCACUCCAACGCUCAAGUCAGAUAGUGUAGAUGAAGAAAAGAAGAAAGAGAAACGGUAGAGAGAAGUGACAACUCAUCCCUUGUGUUUAGGGUUUUGCUCCUUAUAUUCAUAUCGGGUAUGUAAUGUAGGUCGUGAGAUCUUAGAAGAUUUGACGGUUGUGAUGUAGAGACGUGGACCUCUGUCUUCCAAGUAUUCUCUGUCAUGACUGAUCUCACGUGUUUGCCACCUGAACCGUACAGUCUGUCUUAUCUGAGUGAUAAUCUGCAUCGCAAGCUAUUUUACUAGGUUGAUUCGUUAGAACCGUGGAGUCUAGUAUAAUUAUGUACUCACAGAUGGAGUUUCUUCACGUAAUUUAAUUUUUUUAAAAGGGUAGCAUCCCUUUGUCUGAUACAUAAAAUAAAAACCCAAAAAUAAACCUCACCACACUGUAAUCACUUAUUCAUACUUGAUAGAGCAGUCCAAUUGGUAGGUGAAGCAAGCGAAGUGGCAUGAUUUGGUUGUGCAUUGAUGUCAUUCUUAAACCAAGGUGUUAGGUGGCCUCAUAGACGUAUAGUCAUGGGCAGGCAAGCAAGCAAGCAAUGUUCCAGGUUUGGUCCCAAAUUCAUAACAACCCAAGCAACUAUGGUAGUGUAGUAGCUAAAAUAUAUUGGAUCUUGCUUAUUAGGCGACAUUUCCGAAGUGGUUAAUCACUCACAUUGGUUUCAUCGAACUCCUACUGAUUACAACGAGGCAAAAAACACCAAAACUCUCUUCUAUUUCUACUCUCUUCUUCCCCUUCCUUCACUAGUCACUACUACUGCCCACAUUUCCACUUCCAUUACAGGUACACACUUCUAUCUUCUCUCUUCUUCUUCUUGGAUAUGAUUUGAAAUUUCUGCAAGAUUUACACCUUGGGUUUUUUUUUUUUUUUUUUUGUUAUAUUGCAGAUUGAUUGAGUUUUGAUUUUGUUUAAGAUGGCUGUUGCAACUACUACGGCCUCAGGCCUACAAAUCAAGACAUCAAAGCCUUGUUUUUCUUCUUCUUCUUCUUCGUCAUCAUCUUCUUCAAUGAUGGUUUUGAAGGCAAGUGUUGAUUCUAAACCUACUAAGCUCAGUAGCUCUUCCAACAUCUCUUCGGCACCAUCAUCGAUGCAGCCUUUGUUCAGAACCUCUUCGUCGUCGCGAUCAUCUUUAAAAUUUGUCACAAAGGCAAUGUCUGAAGGUGUUCUUCCUGGAUUGCCAAUUGACCUUAGAGGUUAGAAACCAUCCUUCUUUGUUUCAGAAUUUGAAAUAAAUGUGAUUAAUUUAUUUGGUAAUGUUUUGAAGAGAAUUAUGAAAUUAUGGCUUCUUAAAUAAAUUUGCUUAGAUUGACUAUAUUGGGAUACUUGAAUCAAUAAGAUCAAGUUAGGAUGUGGAAAGACUUCUAGAAAACCACUUUUGCGAAAUUCGGGUUUAAGGUGUCAGACUCUAAUUAAGGUUUAAGAUUCAUCUUCCUCUCAAGUAAUGCCAUGGUUGCCAAAGCCAAAAAUUUUAGUGGGAGUGGAUUAGUGGAAUCCAAAAUUUUAUUGAAUUUACAAUAAACAUCAUCCUAUAUAAAGCUUUUGGUAGAGAGAUCGUCAUCAUCAUCCUUUACUUAAUUACUUUCAACACGACCACCAUCUUUUGCUAUAUACCAAGAGAAGCCACAGUAAAAAAAAUUAUCUUUGGUUUGAUUGGAAUAACUAUUUCCUAUUAUCAGCCCCUUGACUAUAAAUCCUCCCCCUUCCCUGGGGAAGGUGGGAAUUGAUUUUAGACCUUGAACUCUUGAAGCGCAACCCCUGAUCAAAGAAAUGCAAUAGCACACACAAAUAGAGAAACAAUAUACCAGUAGAAUAAAAAACCAAAUGUUUUGGCAAGUUUCCUACUCGAUGAGAAUAAAUUUCACAUUGUAGCCCAACCCUUGAAGGUUUGAUCAAAGAAAUGCAAUAACACACACUAACAGAGAAACAGUACUGUUUGUUCAUAUGUGUGCGCGCGUGUGUGUGUGCGCGUGUGUGUGUGUGUCCUUGAGUGCAGUACUGUAUGUUUUGGCAAGUUUCCUACUUGAUGAGAAUAAAUUCACCACCUUGCAGGUUUGACAUAUCCUUGAGCGUAGUAGUGUAUUUUCAUGUGUGUGUGUGUUUACCUGUUAUCAUGCAGCUGAUAUCAUGUAUCUUAUUUGAAGGUAAAAGAGCAUUUAUCGCUGGUGUGGCUGAUGACAAUGGAUAUGGUUGGGCAAUAGCAAAAUCUCUUGCUGCUGCCGGUGCUGAAAUCCUUGUUGGUACAUGGGUGCCUGUAUGUAAAAUAUCCUAACAUCCAAAAUUGUUGCUUAUACUUAAGAUCUGCUUAAACCACAAAAAAGCUUACACCUUACAUUCAUUGCUUCUCUAGGCCCUCAAUAUUUUCGAAAACAGUCUCCGACGCGGGAAAUUUGACGAGUCACGUGUGUAAGGAUUUUUAUCUGGUUCUUUCUUUUCUUCUUCAGUAGAUUGAUGUCUGUAUAUCAACUAAUAAUGGAAUUUGAUGUUUCACAGCUUACCUGAUGGUUCAUUGAUGGAAAUAACCAAAACUUAUCCAUUGGAUGCUGUUUACGACAGUCUUGAGGAUGUGCCUGAAGAUGUAAGCCCAUGAAAAGCUUUCUUGAAAUUUCAAAUUGAUGCUUUGUAAGUAAAAUAAAUUUUUAGUAUUUGUUUGUAAACUCUUUGAUGUGAUUUUCUGCAGGUCAAAACAAAUAAACGUUAUGCAGGAUCAUCUAAGUGGACUGUUAAGGUAUCAUAUACAUCUUCUUUACACAGUGAAAUAUGUUUGUAAAAGGGGUAUAAAAUAAUAUAAGCAGGUGUGGGCUAGCUUGAUUGAUAAGAUCUGUGGAGUUGUAAUCACAAAUAAACUUUCAAAAUCUCCCUUCAUCAUUAUAGUGUUACCCUUAAGGUAGUUUAUUAUACACCAAUGGAAAUUGUUCUCAAGUUAGUCUAUUGUGGACCCGAGUAAAUGAUGCGAGCACAAAGUGUUUCUAGAUGAAAUCAUAUAAGGAUAUCAACAUGUUAUCAAAUCUAGGGCCGGUAGUCGAUCCAAACCAGAACUUAGUAUUUGACUAUUUUCAAACUUGGCUUGUUCACCAAAACUUGAAAAUUUGCUUAGGUUUGACUUGUUUAUCUAAACGAAUGACUUUGAGGGAGCUCGAAACAAGCUGUACUUGAGCUGAGCUCGAGUAACUCGGUCCAUUUCUUCGUAGUCGAGCCUAGCUAGUCAAGCUUAGUAUGUUCAAACCUGGCUUGUUUAGCUAAAAAACAGCUUGAGUGAGCCAAAAACUGAGCAGUUGUUUAACAGUGUUAUUCAUAACAUCCAAGAAGUUACAAAGUGAAGUGUCAAAUCACGAAAUCCCAUUGGCACAUUCACAUUAUCUGAUGGUACAAGGUAAUGCAUGAGUUAAGAUCAAUCUUGGGAAAUUGUGUCUAUUUUUAGGUUCAACAUCAGCAUGCUCAUGCAGAAGUACCUUGAUACUGAAAAUCAAAAAAUAUUGUUAGAAAUCAAAAAAAUAAUCGAAACUAUAAUAUAGUCCAGACUCCAGAAAUAGCUUUGAACAAUAUCCAGACGGUCUAUUUGAUGCUCAAAUUAGAUGGUGUGCGUAUUUGGAGGUCCCAUAGCAAAAAGGUUUUCACAAGCCUGCUCCGAUGAGAAAGGAAUCCUCAAAUUUAACUUGUCUGAAAAAUAAAAUAAUAAAUGAAUAUAAUCAAUAUAGCAUCAAAAAGGAAUAGUUUGCAGUUUACAUGGUCUGGUUUGCCUAUCCCCAGAGUUAGGGGAAUCUUGAAGAAUGUAGAGUUGGUCAAUAUUUAUUAUAUGGCUAUUUUACUUGGUAUUAACCUUCUUGCAGGAAGUAGCUGAAUCUGUGAAGCAGGAUUUUGGGACCAUUGACAUCCUUGUGCACUCACUUGCCAAUGGGCCUGAGGUAUAGUCCGAUUUUAUUUUUGUGUAUUUUGUAUGAAAUGUAUGGUGUUAUUAAACAUUACCCUUGUACAGGUGAGUAAACCCCUAUUGGAGACUUCCAGGAGUGGCUAUCUUGCAGCAAUCUCUGCAUCAAGUUACUCAUAUGUUUCUUUGCUCAAGCAUUUCAUCCCAAUCAUGAAUCCAGGCACAUUUCUUACUCCAACAACGAAAUUGAGUUUCACUCCAAUUUUUUGGUUUUCAUUUUACUUUGCUUUUCUUCAAAUUAAUGAGGCGUAUAGUACCACGUAGAAUUCACAUUAUAAUGACAAUACUACAGGAGGUGCUGCGAUCUCUCUCACAUAUAUUGCUUCUGAAAGGAUCAUUCCAGGGUAUGUACAGCCUCUCUCAGUUUCUCACUUAUGUUAUGGAGAAAUGAUACAAUAUAGUCCCAGUGUAACUUGAAUAUUUAAUAGUUUCAACUGAAGUGUCCAACAUGGAUAUGAGUAUAUGACAUCCAACUAAAGUAGCUAGGUUCAUUGUUCUCACUCGAUAUGUUUCAUCUAUUUCUUGUAACUUGGAUAUGAAAAAUCUUAUUUGAAGUGUGUGUUUCGUAUAGGUAUGGUGGUGGAAUGAGCUCAGCAAAAGCUGCUCUAGAGAGUGACACUCGUGUGAGUUAGUCUGGCCUAUCUGUAUCUGAAAAUUGGCACGUUAUCUCUUUAUUUUCUAAUUGAAUGGGGCAUUUCUCACUGUCUGUAUGAUUCAGGUGCUUGCAUUUGAAGCAGGAAGACGCAGCAAAAUUAGAGUCAAUACAAUAUCUGCUGGUACGUAUUUUGUUUCCUUUGUGAUUUCAUAGAGCAUCGAAUAUGACAUCUAGUCUGACGACUGUCUACCAGCAUACCAUAACUAUUCACAUAGAUGAGGAGAGCAAUUCUCAAAGAUAGAACCAUCAAACUUAGUAACCUUCUCUUAUGUGAACUCUAUGUUGACAUGAGGUAAAAUGUAAUAAAAUGGAUGGAUGAUCAACUUGUGUUAGUCCUGUCUCGUAAAACUGCAUGUAUCUUCUAAGGACCUGGGAUUCAAAUCUGAACAUAAUAUUCUAUAGAUUGGAUGCUGAGUCUGACUGCCAUCAUUGGGUGGUUGUAAACUGAUCCUUUCUGAUAGCUGUAGCUAAGCUAAGGUCCGAAUUUAGCGAAUCUAAUCAAGUUGGGCAUAUCCCAAAUAAACUCACAGGUCAUGCUCAAGUCUUAGCUGAUCUGUGUCGCCAGUGUGUUUGUAAUUGUGCUACAAACUUGUUAUGUUCUAAAUUUCUGAUGUUGGACUCUGUGCUGCCUGAAAAGUUAAUGCGCCUUUGUUAUAUUUUUAUUUUCUCCAAUUUUUCCUUCACAUUAAUUGAGAAUUUAAAAAGACCCUUCUUUACAUUUGUUGAACUCUACAUAGCAUUACAAACUUGUUCUGCAAUCCUUAUAUGAGCUGUGGUAAACCUUUAAUGAAUGUUGACUGGUGUGUCUUUAAUACAAAAAGAUUAUCAUGUUACAUAUGUACAUUUUACUGAUGACGUUUGUAAACAUCUUCUUGCCCUUAAUUCUUUUCAGGUCCAUUAGGAAGCCGAGCUGCAAAAGCCAUUGGAUUUAUCGACAAAAUGAUAAAUUACUCACUAGAAAAUGCGCCCAUCCAGAAAGAACUAUCUGCAGGUGAGUCAUUGUGAACUUCCAAGGCAUCUAAUAUGAUCUUUUUAUUCAUUGUAUCCCCCACUUCUAGAAAAUGCACCUUUAUCCAUGUUUUUCUGUGCUUUACAUUCCUGUUCUCUUUCUAAUUUCUUCUUUCUGAAUCUGAAAUCUGCCUUGAACAGAUGAGGUUGGGAAUGCUGCCGCCUUUUUAGUAUCACCAUUGGCUUCUGCCAUCACAGGGACAGUCAUCUAUGUGGACAAUGGUUUGAAUGCAAUGGGUGUGGCAGUUGAUAGCCCAGUAUUUGGAGAUCUUGGUAUUCCCAAGGACAACUAGAGCUUGAGCCGCCGUUUUUCAUUAGCUAGGACUAUGCUUUCUUAUACUCCAUUAGUUUGGUGGUCCAUUUCUUGAGGAUAGCUUAGUUUAGUAUUCCCAUUUUGGUAUGAGAGCUUUUGAAUUCAUCUUUGUAGGACUAUGCACUGUUAUUGUAAGGAAUUACCGUUUACAAAUAUUAUGGUGGGGAGUAUAGACUUUUAAAGACUUUUAGCUCAUGAACAUCAGAUAGUGUAUUAGAGAUACCACACCAAGGAAUAAGAAAUGAAGACACCAUAAGAUGAAUUGCAGAGUCUGUGUAGUGUGUAUACUCUUCAUUCCGACUAUGAAGAGCUAGUGAGCUACAUUACUGAUUACUGACUAGCUUAGUCCCUUUUUGUUAUUAAAAUGUGAUUUACCUUUUAUUAGCUAUUUUUGAAAUUGAAUUGAAAGGUAGGUUAAGAACAUCUUUAAGACAAGCACUUUCAAUCGGCAUCACAUGCUUUGGCUGGAUCACAGACCUACCUGACUUCACUUCAGUGUUCAUAGGUCCUUGAAGAGUUGCGAUCAGUCCAUUGGACUGGACUUGAAUUAUGUCCGUUUGAAGCAUAGGUUUUUGUUCUAGCCUAAUGUAUGCACAAGAAACUCCAUGAUGGUCCUCCCUGAGGCAAUUGCUUGUCAGAGUAUGAGCAACAACAUCUACAAAAUGAGUAGUAUUAACUAUUCUCUCUCAUUGAUAUCUUCAUUUAUCUUGACUCUUACACACCAGUUAUAAGUUGUAACAAAUUACUGAAGUUUUAUGUUCUGGUUUCAGUUCUCAUUUCAAACAGUCCUAGAAUUAAAAACUGUUGGUCCAGUUCUAAUGUAGAAUUUAUAUAUACCCUAUACAUACAAGCAUACAGACUACGUACAUAAAUAAAGUCAUCAACUGAUCAAAGUGUAUGCAAUUGCAAUGCAUGGUAUAUUGGUAUCUUUUAUGUUGGCACGACUGCACUGCACGACUUGAAAAUCAUUCUAACUAAGGUCUCUGUGAUACUCUGAUUUGAUGAGCUGGGGGUGGUUUUGGUGUACGUACGUAGGUACGUGCAACCCAAAACCCAAACCAAAUUGCCUAAACUCGAGUGAAUGUGGAUCCCACACGUCAUCUUGUUGUGUGCAGUAUGUAGUAGUUGGCUCCCGCUAAGGAAACGGUCGAAGGGUAGGGGGGAUUACUCAUAGGAAGAUUGCAUUCGAUUUUGCCACGUGGAGAUCAUAUAUUGUCAGAAGAAUCUUGUCCCUGUAGGCCGGCACAGCCGGCACAAUUCUCGUGUGCUUUUGGAGUGAUGUUAACACAAAACCGAAUCAAAACUCCAAAUCUCUCUCUCUCUCUCUCUCGUCAGAUUUUCUGCCAAUCUUCACGUGCAUAUCACACGGUCCUUAUUCGUACCUACAGGCUACAGCAAACAAUUUUUAUUUUUUUUUCAUAUAUUAUUGAAAGAGAAAAUUAUUUUUUGAUUAAUAUAAUAAAAAUGAAUUUUGGCUCUUUGUUGAAGAUUGUGAUUGUUAGUUUGAGAAGUGGGGAGUUUUUGGUGAGUUCUACAAGCGGCAAAUCAAGGUGAUAUUCUUACAGACAAUCAAAUAGGGACAUAGGGACAAGUAGAUAAAAUAUAAAUAGAAUUCCAUUCAAGUGAUGAAGUGAGAUACAUGUUCAUAUAUUAAAUUCAUGCUUUACCUACUGCGAAAGGCUAUCUUUGGAUAUGAAUACCCUCACAUUAUUCUCUUCUGUUCCAAUUAAUAAAUAAAAAAAAGUUGAUUAGUGAUUCUGGAUAAGUAAUAACCAUUUCAUGACAUGACAACAGUGGAGCAAUUCACUUACUUUUAAGUUUUAAUUUUAGUAUGGUGAUUUCCCAAUCUCUUGUGAAAUUUCAAUGUUUCAAUGUUAUGAGAGAAGUAUACUGGUUUCAAUUAUUUUCCAGGACCAUGUGUUGUUCUAUAUACUUCUAAAUAAGGUUGAAAUGAGGUCACACUGGUCAAGAAUCUCUCUUCCCCCCACAUGCAGUGAGAAAUUAGGAAUUCUUACUUUUGACUACUCAUCUCUCAUCUCUGCCCCUUUGUCAGACCAGGAUUCGUUCAUCCCAUUCUUGCUCCCUAACACAACAGACAUCUUGAUAUUUUUACCUUGAUAUUCCUUCCCUCACAUUUUAACAAAUUUGUUACAACUCCCUGUAUCAUUGACCUUGACCGAUUUUGUAUGUGUUCUUCUUCCCUAUUCAGCCCAUGUUUUUAUUGGCAAAUUGAGACUAAAAUAUGAUAGGCACUAGGUAAGCAGAUAUAUAGUGGGAAAAAAAAAAACUUUGGUUAAUAAGUAUAUACUGUACUACUACUUGUAUGCAUUUAAUUAGUAGUAUACAUGAAGGAGGCAAUUCCAAAUACCAAUAAGUGGUUUCAUUCUUAUUCUCCUUCACCUAUGACCUAUUUAAGUACCAUUUCAUUUCUUCUCAUUUCCCAAAGUCCAAACAAAUAUCAAUUCCUUUUCUUUCUUUCUUCUCUGUCUUUUUCUUUUGAGUUCUGUGUUUGUGUGUGCAAAUUCAGGUUUUAGUUCUGUUGUUCUCAUGGUCAUGGAUGGAAUGAUGAAAACACGCAAGUGUGAGUCUACAACAACAACAACAACAACUCCCUCAUCAACAAUAACCAUGCACAAGGAUUCUCAUGUAAUAUCAAAGUUCAAGCCCAAAAUCCGCAUAGUUCAUAUAUUUGCACCAGAGAUCAUCAAGACUGACGUCGAAAAUUUUCGAGAGCUAGUACAAAGACUUACUGGAAAACCAAGUAUUGAAGAAAAAACUAGUAAGAAGAGAGCAAGGAGCAUGAUCAAGAAGAAUCAAGAAUCAAGAACAGUUUAUAAUUGUAAACCCGCCGUGACAACAGUACUUGAACCCCAGUAUGGAUAUGAUCAAAGUAAUUCUUGGAGCUGUGAAGAUAGUAUAAAGAGUGAAGAACAAGAUGUAAUGUGGGGAGGAGGUGAUAAUAAUUCAAGUAUUGGUUUCUAUAAUGGUUUUGGAGAUUUGGAUGGUUUCAUUCAAGGUCUUACUGAGUUUCCUUUGCUUCCUUUUACUACUAGUUCUGUUUCUUCUCAAACUCAAAUGGAUAUGUUUGGAGAAACAUGUCUUUCACAAUAAAAUAAUUUCUCUUUAAUUUGAUGGAUUGAUCAUUACUAGUUUCAAAAUGUUUGAUUUGGUUAUUGUAUCUGUUUUCUGACUCAAUUGAUUUCAAUUCAUUUGUUACCCAUCUAAUUUCUAUUUCUGUAUUAGUAAAAAGACAUUUUUCUUUGGAAAUUAUUUAGGUGUUCAUUUUGUUUCAUCCUUUUAUGUUUUCCUUUUGGUUAUUAUAAAGAGAUUUUAGUUUGCUUCUGUCUUUUGAUGUGGUUCAUUUUCUUCUCUGCCAUCUUAUUUGGCAGACUAGAUGGACAUUUGCAAAUUGGAGAUAGUUGUCAAGUAAAUGGUUACUUUUCUUGCAAGUAUACUUUUAUAUACACUUAAAUAUCCUUUAAUUAGGGCAAGUCUUCUCACAGAAUUCAAGUUGGUACAUAUAUCCCUAAUUUAUAUCUCAAUGCAGCUACCAUGUUUUAUUUUAUUGUUUAGUAUGUACCUUGUCUUCCCUUUAAAAAAUGAAAGAACAAAAUUUUUAACACACCACCCUCUUUGUCAUUUGGAGAGAGAGAAGAGGCAGUGAGAGAAUGACAUGUUUAUAUAAUUCUGGAUAUAUCAACCAUAAAUAAACAUACAUACAUGCAUUUGAGAACAGAGAUGAGCUGGAAGUUCUUUUUUUUUUAGAUUAUAUGAAUCAAAAUUUUGAUUUAGGUUUGGGAAACCGGCCAAAGUCAAUAAACUGGCCAACUCAUCAAAAAACUUAUAUGAAAAGUAAGAAGUUAGAAGCAACUACAUCACAAGGGCAAGGAAUUCUCUAGGCCAGCCAAUCCAACUUGUUGGAAAAAAAAAAAAAAUUGAGUUGCAGUGGCCAGUGGGUGAGUUCAAACCUGACAACUGAUCAUCUUCUAGAGCCCAAUUUUGGCAACUUAGAUAAUUUUUCUGAAUUCUGAUAUACCAUUUAGUAAGGGGUUGGGGUGGGGGUAAACUGAAGAAUCCAAAAUUCCAAAUGAUAUCAAGAUCAAAUGUGGACCAAUUCACAUGGGUGCAGAGCAGGUCCAGUUUUAUGCUGAACCAGCCCACUAUUUGAAUUUUGAAGAGUAUAACAAACACAGCAACAACUACAGAAGGAAUAACCUCCACCGAGGAACACUGCAACCCCAAAUUAAAAAUUAUGCAUAAACACAAUGUGUGAGCUUUCUUAUCAUGCCUACUUAAAUGUUUAUUGAAUUCCAUCAGGUCAAAUAGAGUGAAGAGGCAACGUCCCAACAUAUAGUACAGCAACAAAGUCGUGGUUGACCGAACAGUGUUCUCCCAACAUACAUUACAUCAACAAAGUUGUGGUCAAUUACAGUGAAAAUAUCCAAAGAUAUAACAAUUACAACAAGAUGGGGACCCUGGGCAAAUAAAGGGUAAACAAUAACAACUGAACUAAGCCAUGGGUUAAAGCACAUUUGAUGGAUUAGAAAUGAUACAGGUAACUGUAGCUUACAGUAUAAUAGGAUAUAUAUUUGAGAAGAACUUAAAUACUCUUCCAAAAAUAAAAAAAUUUAUAUAGACUUGAUUCCGUGAUUAGCUUUCAUAUUCUACAAUUUGUUCAACCCCUUCAGGAUCAGAGAUGGCUUCCAACCUUGUAAGAACCUCUGGCACUCCAGAAGUGUCCCUUAGUAUCUGCAAUAAUAUUAACAGCCAAGAGAGAGAUGGGAAUUUAUCGAAUUUCGUUUCUUGUAGCACUAUCAAACUACCUAGCACACUUAGAUUUUUUAGCAUCUUGACACAGAUCCAGAUACCUUCAAUUAUGUACCAGCGUCAACCUUUGGUUCUUUCCCUUAAACAAUCAUAUAAACAAAUAGAGGAAAUACGAAGAUGGUCUGUCAUAUACUCUCCAUGGCAAUAGACAUUUUUCCUGGCACUCUAAUUUGGACAGGAAAAUGGAUUUUGUUCCGGUGCCAUUGUGGCGAAGAUGCAUUAGCAUCAAUGUCCCCAAUUGUACACAAGGUCCAUCUCUCUCUUGGGUCUUAGUCUCACAUUACUCUUAAGUAUAGGCUACUAUUAGUAGAUAAUAUCUCAAGCUGCACCACAGGAUAAGACUAAGAUAUGAUCACAGGUCAGUGACAAGUUCAAUUGUACAAAAUGACACUGUGAGACGCAUACAUGGUAGACAUGAUGUGCGAUUCACUAGCACAACAACAAACAGACCUAGGAAGAAUAUAGUACGGUGGAGGGAUGAGUGACUGAGUGACAAAGUAGGAUCAGAAAGCCUGAUGGGAAAAAACUGAUAUUUUCAAUUUUUAGUCCAUCAACAUUUCGGAUAAAGUUGCACACUUAAAUGCUGAAAUGUCUAUAUUUCUACAUGCAAAUAGAAAUGUGUACCCAUCCAGGACGCAACGAAUACCCUAAAUGCUUUUAGACUUGUGAUCAUACUGUACCCUUCCCUCAAUGCAAUGGAUACUUAAGUGCAAAAUCAAAAUAUGAAAUGAGUCCCCAUGUAGACCCAAAAAUAUGAAUAUUCUUGCAAAUAAAUCCAUGCAAUUUAGGUAAGAUAUGAAACUCACAAGUAUUUCUUCAUCAAGAUACGAAAUCAUAUAUAGUCUCUCAUAAAGCCCACCUGCAAAGCACACAAAAUUACAAAUUAGGCCUAAGAUGAUGAUGAUGAUGAUAACAACAACAAUAAAAAUAAUGAUAAAAAUCAUAAAUCAGAUUCUCUCUUUGGCACAAAUGUUUGGGCUCUCCCUUUAACUAAUCUAAAACAAAAGUAUCAUCUAAUAGUGUUAAGGGAGAAAUAAAUCCCGACAUCAAUCGUUAAUGUACAUUUAGUGUCUGCGAAUUAAUCUUAAGCCCUCUUUGUCUAGCCUCAUUCAUUCACUCUUUGUCUAAUGAGCAGUCAAUGAGUAAUGUACUGAACAAUAAUGAACAAUGCAGAAAGGAACAACUAUUGGAUUAAAAGGCUCACAAUGAUAAUGUUAGUUAUAUGCUAUAUAUAUUAGUAACCGCAUUAGAGUUCUUACCAAGUGGAAUUUUCAAUCCGCUGGUCAUUAAAUCAGUAGGCAGAGGAAGUUGCUGCAGAGUGCCAACUGCUUGGCCCAAUGCACCUUUUAGCUGCUCUGGUAUUGCUUCUUCAUUAACUUUUGGUGUUUCAAAUACCCCUUCAACAGAUUCUUCUUUCAUUCUAAGUGGCCCCUCAACAGAUAACUUGGUGGUCAAAAUAAACUUGCUCUCUAUCUGCAUUUCAUCAAGAGAGAGUUUCAGAAAUGCCUCACAUGUUAAGCAUGAGACAGUUCGAAACAAAAUGCAAAGGCAAAGUACCAAAAAGCUGUAUGCUUGAAGUUUACGAUUAGAAUACAAAAAUUGUAAGAACUGAAAUUAAUGUCAAAAUUGUGACACAAACACCAUCCAGGUUGGCCCUGCUUGGUUGUCCCGCAAAAAUUUGCAUGAAAUUUGGCCUAAUUUAAUAUGCUCGAAACUCUUGAUAAUUGGGUUUAUGAACAAAUUUUAUGCAAAAAUUUGGUGCUAUUUCAAAAGUGCAAAGAUUUCACACCUUUUUCUAAUAAACUCAGUAGGGGACCAUCUAUGAUUAUCUCAUACUUACCUAAGGUUUAGGUGGGGGACCAAUAUAGUUUAAGCUAGAUUAGUUGGGGGAUCAUUUAAAUCAAAGGGUAAAUAGGGGAGGGACCACUCUAAUCAUAGAUGGGUAAAGAUUUGCCUUUUUUGCAGCCCAAACAAGCAGGGCCGUUAUGUAAUUACUUAAACUAAGAUGAAUUAUAAUCAUUUUUUGCAUGAGGAAAACCUUUGGAGUUUAAAAAUAUGGGUGCUUCACUUGCAAAUUAUGAUAAGCUCAUACUCCUUUCCUUGUUCGAAUAAUUGCUUCAAUGUAUAUUGAGAGUGGGAAACCUUGAACCAUUGAUAAAAUUUGUUUUGCCUCUCCGCAGUUUUGCCAAUAAAUAACAUGAGGUGAUUGGUCAUAGCAGAAAAGGCAAUUGUGCUGAUAGUGGUUUUCAGCUUACAAUGAGAAUUCAUUCUGACAUUACCAAUACCUUAAAAACAAUAAAAGCAGUUCAUACAUUAUGGACCUUACUCCCUGACCUCUAAGUUGAACACAAAAUAAUUACUGUCAUAAAUUUUCUUAGAUUUGUUUUUCGUGUAUUCACAAAUAGCCAUGAGAGUUCAAUAUUAUUGUUUCUAUACCGGCCUCAAAUGUUAUAGUUUCAUAUCAUGACAUCGUACAAAUGAUUUAAUUUGAAACUGACUAUGAGAAUUUAAGUACAAAUUGGUGUUGAAAAAAUUCAUAAAAGUCCACAAUAGCGUGUUUAGGGUAGAAGACACAAUUGUCAUAAUGGCUACUGAGUACUCAGCCACUCUAUUAACAUACAGACAAAAAAUUUAGGAGAACUAGAUCAUAGAAAGGAGAUUACCGAAUUCAAAAACUUUGUAUUUGCAGUAACAAUUGCAUAUCCAUCCUUUAUCGCAACAUCAACCCCUAAUAAACUUACUAAGGUUGACGGAAAUCGCCUGAAGAGAUAAUCAUGGUUUCACACAAUAAGAGAACAAAUCAACUUUAAGAUUCUCUAAAUCAGAUUGAAAUGAAGUUGAAAUAAGUUAUAAUCAAUCCGUUUACAAAGAGAGCUACUUAAGAGAUUCAUACAGAAAAUGACUUACUCAAAAAUUAAUUUUGUAACAAACAAAAUCGGGCUACUGGUCCCAAGCCACUCGCAAUUCCAUCGGCCUUCCAAAAAUGGUGAUCUGGUUGAAAGUACUAUACAUGAAUAAAAGAUAACAUUUAUGAGGAGUAUGUAAACAGGAAAUGAAACUAAAUGAAAGCGUACGUUGUGGGCCGUGGAGUGGGAUUGAGCCUCUCAAGACCAGUGAUUCUCUCAUUGACAUCAAUCCGUUGCAUAUCCACUGUCUUUCCAGUAAUCAUUGAUUCAAAUCCUCCCGAAUCCUUCAACUGAAAUAAUGGUUUCAUAAACAAUUAUUGACCCGUUCGAAGAAUGACUUUGAACCAGAUACAGAACAUGACACCUCAAAAAUAGCAUAGGAUGCAUGGCAAUAUCGAUGUUGUUGUAUACUAGCAAGGCAAUUCUAUAGGACAGCGGACAGUGGUGAUGUACCAAGAAAGGAUUAUGCAAAUGGGAAAACAUUUGAAGGGAUAGAAAAUUGCAGAUGCCAGCUGAGCUCAGUAGGUAAUACCUCUGGGCGAUGAUGCCAGAGGUCUGGGGUUCGAACCCAGGCAGUGCAUCUUUGAGUUACCGAUCUCGUUAAAAAACAGGCUUCCCAAUAAUAAUAGUACAAAAAAAAGGAUAGAAAUAAUUGGUCGUUUCUCAUCUCAGUUCAUGUGACCUGUGACCAUGAGUCCAUGACUCUUAAGUAGUUUAGUUAGUAUUGAUGUGAUAUUUUCAACAUAUUGCCUUCCCUUUGCCAGCAUUAUCAAACCAUUGAGUCCUGCAGUGGCAAGAAAAUAUGGUCUACGCCAAGCCGAAGAAGGACUUUCUUUUUUCUGGUGUAGAUAGAAACUUGGUGUAGGGUCUACCCCCACUCUCUAUCCUCUUGCCCCUAUCUUGAAAGAGUGUGUUCUUGGGCACAGUUAUUCUUUUCUUAACACUUCAGUUUCUAUUGUUUUAAGUACAAUUUGCAUUUUACGAUCUUUCAUUUGUAAGUGAUAUCUUCCAUUCUUGUAUGACAAGUGUUGCAGUGAAUCUUCUUGAAUCCCAGUACCACCUACAUAUCUAUGCUUCAUUUACUCCAAUGGUAGGCACGAAGGAUAGGAGGUAGGUGAAGUUAAUUUAGGUCUGUUAGAUAGUUUUAAUGGAACUCUUUGAUAAAUUAUCUACUAAUAAACUAGUCAAAAAAGUAACGUCAGCUCCCAAAUGUACUGUGCCCAAGUUAUUUUGGGAAUACUGUGUAACCUGUGUUUGAUAUGAACAUAACUUUCAUAAGGUGGUUGUUUGACAAUUAUUGCAGUGAUUUGAUUCGGUGAGGAUGAAACAAUAUUCUCUUCAAAUGUGUUUCGAAACGUUCAACAAUUGGUAAGCGUUAGAGGUAAAUUUGGGAUUCUUGGCUUGCCCUCGCAAAGUGGAUGAAAAUCUACACCAAGUCCAAGAAGGAUCUCCUUUUCUGGUUCAUCCCUUUACAGUUCCCAUACAAAGCAUUAGAAUUUAAUUGCAAGUUUGCAACAACUACAUCAUUCCGCAUGUGUUUUGUUGUGGUUAUAAAAAAAUCCUCCCAAGGUCUCCUUCACCCUUAAAUCACAUCUCAUAAUUGUGGUCGCUUGUGUCUUAUGGACAUUCACACGAUACAUAUAUGCUUCUAUUCUUCUGCUUUCACUCUGAGUUUCCUGUAAAGGUUACGCCAAAUUCAAAUCUACAUUUAAUUAUGGAGAUGCUUAUUCUGUUGAUGUCAUGAGGGACAUUAAUUUUGUUGAUAUAAGCAGCUGUUUCUCGACAAUACUAGACAGAGACCAACAUAAUUUGUACUGAUUCAGCAAAGUUCAAAAGAAAAAUUCAAACUAUAAAGUUUUUACAGUUUGCACCUUGCAGGUUUGUAGUGGUACUGGUGGAAACUGAGCUAAAUUGACUUAAAUUAAGGAAACCAAAAAUCUUUAAAAUAAGAAAUUUCCAUGAAAAUGGAAUUCCUUGAAUCCCUGUAACUAAACUUCCUCAGAGUUUAGACAAACCACAGAAAAUAUUCCAUGGAAAAUGAAGAAAUAAAGCUUAUACAGUAAGUAUUACUCACAGCAAGAAGAAGUGAUUCCUUAGCAGAAAGCCUCUCCAUUUCCUUGGCGUAAUUUGCUGAAGCUCCUUGAUAUGUUUGCUGAACCAUAGCUCUACAAACUCCAACUUUCCUUUUAUUAUUCACUAAUUUCCCGCCAUUUUUAUGAAAUUGAAACACAGAAGAGAAAGACAAAGAACCAAUUGAAGAAGAAGAAGAUGAUGAUGAUGAAGAAGGUGUUAAAGCACGAAGACCUGUAAAAGCAUAAAUUAGGUCUGUAGAAGUAGCCAUGGAAGCAGCAGCAGAAGAAGAAGAUGAUGAUUUGGGAAAUUUUAUUUUAAUGGAAAAACAGAGACCGGUGGAGAUUUUUAAUAGAAAAUUUUCCAACAGAAAAUUUUGUAAUUUUCUUAAAGGAAGAAUGUUUUUUCCGUUCACAGUGUACUUCGAAUUGGAUGUUGGGUCUGAAAGAGUGAUAAAAUGGACAGCGGAAGCUGUAUCCAAGGACAAGGAUUGCUUGAUUAAUUAUGAUCACACAUCACAAGGACUAUCAAGAGACUAUAUUAAUUGCCCUCAACUUCAAUGCAUGUGAGUGUAACAAACCAACAUAUGCCUUGGUCCCCUGAGAGUGACGAUGAGAUAGUUUUUUUUUCUGCUGGGCAUGGUUCGGUUUGGUUUUGGAUAAAACUGGCAACCAAACACCUAGGAGGGUUUGGUUUUAUUUUUAAAAUCGAACCGAACUAAAUUUUUUUUACUUAAACCAAAAUAUGAUCGAACAUGUUAUUCUGUUCGAUUAACCGAAUAAAAUCGAAUCAAACCAAAAAUCUGAAAAUCACUGAUUAACUAUUUAACUGUUAACAACCGAUCACACACACUUAGCAGAAUAGCAGUUCAAAACACACAAAUAAGUAACAACAUAGUCUUACACUCAUAGUCAUAUUACAUAUAUCAGAAUAAUACAAAUAAUGAAAUAAAUUUCAGUUUUGAAAUGGGCUGGAUUGUAUACAUUAUACAGAAUUACAUGUUCAGUUCGGUUUUGGAUGUUUGAAAAUUUUCGAAAAUGCAACCGAACACCCAAAACAGGUGUUUUACAAAAACAAAAACUACAACCGAACAUGAAAACAUGCAAACACCUUAUUUUUGGUUCGGAUCGAUUCAAUUCGCAUGUUUCGGAUCGGUUUUGCCCAGCCCUAAUCACAAAAGCUGAAAGCAUAGAUUUACCGCUUACAUGGAUGAACAUCUAUACCACCAAUUCACACUAGUUAACGAGAUUGUCAGAUUAUCUAUUCCCUCAAUUGAGUGUAAGUUGCACUCAAUAUCAUUCAAGGCAGGCAGCACAAGAUCAAGAUAGUUUUGUGUAGGCUUGAGUUUUAAGUUGCAGUAAGGCUAAAUGACGCCGCAACAUUUUCUUUUUAUGUUAUUGUAUCACAAACUCCCAUUGAGUUGAGUAUCACAUUGUUGCAUGAGUACAUGACUAUUGUGGAUGACUUUAGCAGUUAGCUUUGCAAUGCAACAUCUUUUAUUUUUCUGAAACAGUUAAGCUGGAGUUAAGGCAGGCUUGCAGGCUGCAACCUCUUUUGUAUACUAUAAGUCUAGUCUAGAACCCCAUGACGUGGGCUGAAGUGAGCAGAACAUGUUUGUCUUCAUGCUUUAUCGCCUUGGAGUCCAAAAUGAAUAUGAAUUAAGGUCCCAUUUGUAGGGGUACUGUAUACAACAUACAUGUGGCACUAUCUCUACCGUCCAUCAUAGUGCCACGUGUCAACAUCUAAUGGGCUCUCUCUUGACGACACAAGUUACAAAGUUAAAACCAAUUACUACAAAGAUAUUCUCUCAUCAUUACCUCAUUAAAUGCUAGGAAUGAAGUUACAUUGUAAGCCUAUAAAUAUGAAGGCAAAACACUCAUUCCUCUCAUCUUCUCAUAGUCUAAUGCUCUCAACACUAUCUCAUGGUGAGGUCUCAUGAUCAACGACCUCCCCAAUCUCUCAUGAUGAGACCUCACCUCUCAGGUCUCAUCUCUCUCUCGAGCUCUCCUCAUAAUCGAGCUCCCAUUUUGUAUCACCACCACUACUAUAAUAAACUUCUUUCUCUCUCUCCGUGGAUGUAGGCACAAUUGCCGAACCACGUAUACAAUGGUGUUCAUGUCUUUACUUUAUUUCUUAUCAUGUCAUUACAUAUUUACAUUAUUCAUUAAUGUAUUGACCAACCUCACAAAUAUGGUUAAUACACCAUUUAUCUCAAACAGUAUCAUUAGGUCUAUGUCAACGUUAGUAGCGGCUCUACAGUUUAGCAAAAAAAGGCAGGUGCCUAAGGCCCCCAAUAUAUCUCGGGGCCACAUUUUGUACUUCCUUUACGUAUUUUUUGCUAUUUUUUCUGAUUUUUAAGAUUUUUCCCUUUUUUUAAUGUGUUUUUCCCUAACUUUCAGAUAUUUUCUCUAAUUUUUAGGUGUUUAUCUAUAUCUCAUUUAUUCAUCUAAUUUUUUGUAAUUAAAUAAAAAUUUUAUAUUAGUAUUACAAACUACCUAAAUUUUUUUUAUGCAUGAGGCCCCCAUUUGCUUGAGCCGUCCCUGGUCAACGUGGACUGUUAUCCCUAUUCACUGAUACUCCGUAUCUCCUUUUCAACGUAGCUCCGGAGGUUUCUCUUGAUCGAAAAUGAUUCUCUUGAAUGAUCAAACCAAAAAUCUUCCAGACUUAGUAGAGUUGACUGCUUACCACUCCUUGAAAAAAUGACUGCCAAAAUCAAUUCGUGGACCUCAAGGGCACUCUCCUAUGCUGGCCGACUUCAACUAAUCAAUUCUGUCAUCACAAGUAUGCAAGUUUAUUGGAGUAGUAUCUUUAUGUUGCCAAAAGAAGUCAUCAACGAUAUAAACCGACUCUGCAGCAGAUUUCUAUGGGCUGGGAACUGUACCUCAUCAAAACAUCAUAGAAUCAGCUGGAACAAGAUAUGUACUCCGAAGAAAGAAGGUGGGCUGGGGUGAAAGACUUGACGACCUGGAACCUUGCUGCAGUCAUGAAGCUCACAUUUAGAGUGGCACAAGGUGGACAGUCACUUUGGUGUCAAUGGAUACAACAUCACCUGAUUAAGAACCAAUACUUCUGGACUAUGGAGGUUCCAAGGGACUGUUCUUGGGCAUGGAGAGGGAUCCUCAAAGCAAGACAAAGAGCCAUUGAGUUCACAGAGCAUAUUAUCAGAGAAGGUAACAGCUCAUUUUGGUAUGACCCUUGGUCAUCACUUGGUGUGUUGAGGGAAGUUUACUGCAGAGAUACAAGAAAUGCCUCUCUCAUAAGAGACAAUGCCAAGGUCUGCUCACUUAUACAAAACAAUCACUGGAUUGUUCCUUCUCAUGGACCUGCUGGAAUGCAAAACCUAUGGACACUCUUGAAGGAAAAAGCUAUAGGAAACAGGGAUGCAAAAGACAAAAUCAUCUGGAAGCCACAUCCUAAGGGAAUCUUCACUAUCAAAACUGCUUACGAAGUCUUAAGACCACUAAGUUCUGUAAAGCCGUGGGCCAAAACCAUUUGGGGCAAACACAUCAUCCCUAGACAUUCUUUCAUUCUAUGGCAAGUAGUCCAGGACGCGCUCCCGACUCAAGAUAAGCUGGUUGAUUGGCAAAAGCUAAGUAUUUCAAACUGUUGUCUGUGUAGCCAAGGCCCCUUUGCUUUUGAUCAAACCAACACACUUCGGGCUCCACCUAGACUACCAAGACCAAAAACAAGAACCAACCUAUACCCUUCUAUAUGCAGUGAACCCCUUCACAGGUAUGUUCAAAGAAGUGACUCGCCUUCUCUACUCAAUUGGACUGCUCUUCCUGCAGCUCCUAGCAGGCUUCCCACCAUCGAACACUUGUUUCACCUCUUCUUUAGCUGCUCUGUAUCUAAAGAGUUGUGGAGUAAUGUUCUCAAAUGGUGUGGCUUUCAGAGAUUGGAAGUAGAACCAUACCAAGAAUGGAUCUGGCUCUUCCAUGUACUGGCUGGCAAAUCUCUGAAAAAGCUCAUGGCACAAUCUGCACUGGCUGCAACUGUCUCUUGGAUAUGGUAUGAACGUAACAGGCUCAUGUAUGAAGACUCUACUACUAAUGGUACCCCCCUAUUCAGACUCAUCACUAGUGAUGUCAAGCUAAGGUUCUCUGGUCUUAAAUAUCACUUCAAAAACACUACUACAAAUAGAGAAGCUGCUAACACCUUGGGAAGGAGGGACCUGAUUAAGCACACACAAAUAAAGGCAUUCAGAUGGAGAGCUCCAUCGGAAGGUUGGGUUGUACUGAACGCAGAUGGCUCAUUGACGGAUAACAGGGCUGGAUAUGGAGGCAUACUCAGAGAUAGCUCAGGAAAUCCUAUGAUAGCUUUUACAGCAGGGUCUGGUACAAGGUCAGUUUUAUACCUGGAACUCAAAGGCAUUGAACAAGGCAUUAACUUGGCUGUGGAGCUGGGAAUAAAGAAAUUGCUUAUCCAUUCUGACUCACUACAAGCCAUAAGAAUUAUUCAGAGAAAAGCAUUGCCCACAUGGAGAACCAGCAUACUUGUUGAUGUGAUAAAGGAAACCUUGAGCAAUUUAGAGGAGUUUAGAAUUGAACAUGUUGUCAGACAAUUAAACAAUCCUGCUGACUGGUUGGCGAACUUGAGUGAAGCAAAUGAAUCUAUUGUAUUUUUCAGGCCUCCAUUCCAAAAGGAAUUGCUUGACCUUGUAACACAGGAUGUAUCUGGUACCUUAUUUUUUAGAAAUUCUUGAUAAUAAACUGGUAGGGGUCUAAGCCAAACCCCAGCUUGACAUUUGCAAAAAAAAAAAAAAAAAAAAAAAAAACCAAAAGGACAUCAUCACACGUAUAUCGUAGCAUUUCUUUGUUUAUUUCCGCUUUCCCACCACGUGUCAACGUAUUAUGCGCGCUUAGGCCUUAGUGUAACGAAAAGAAAUGAAAAUUUGGAAAAGUCAAGCCGCCACAAAACACUAUUAUAAGAAGAGAAGAGGGGUAGGGAACGUGGCGUUGUUCCGUGAUUCAUUUUCCUUGAUUUGCCCUUUCGUACUAGUCUUUCGCUUACUGUCUCUUUCUCUCUCUUCUUCCUUCUUCUUCUUCUUCUUCUUCCUCGCUUUUAGGUAUUUCUUCUUCUUCGUCUUCUAUCCCCUAAUAUAACUAACGAAGAUUGAAUUCGAAAUCGACUUUCGAUCUUGAUUUCUCACAUAUUUGAUUUUGUUUAUACAGUUAGAUUUAAGAAGAAAUGGUGUUCUUUCGAAGCGUUUCUGCACUUUCAAAACUUCGUUCUCGCAUUGUAAGUGAAAUCGAUCUUGUUAGUUAUUAUUACUGUCUUUAGAUUCUUCAUUUCGAUUUAUUAACGAUCAUUAUUUCAUCGCGAGUGUUUUUUUUUUCUUCUUUCUUUUUGACAUUUUGAGAGUUUGAUCGCUGUUGAAGAAGUCCUGUUUCCUUUUUAGUUUAUUAUUAUUAUUAUUAUUCAUUUCCACAAAAAUCGAUAAUGUUGAAAGACAUAGAUAGUAAGGCGGUUUUGAAUUCUUGGUGCAAUACAAUCCCUAAUCUCAAUGCACAACAAUCAAAUGACCUUUACUUUUUAUUUAGAUCUGAGUUGUGUUAGCAUUGAAAGUGUUGUUUUGUAAAAAUAUGCUUUUAGGUAAACAAAUGUAGUUCAGUUAGAUGUUUUCGUUUUGAUAGAUGAUAGUAGAGAUUAUAUUAAAUCAAAAGCAAAGUAGGUUGAGCCGAGGUUACUGACAAAUACAUAUAGAAAACAAUCAAUCAAGAAUCCGGGAUGCCGGUAUAACAAAUUCCUCCAUCUAGUAGCAAAAUAUUAAAAAGUAUACUCCCUACUUCCUAACUGUACAAAUAAUUUGAACCCUUAAACGCAAGGUUUUACUUAAAAGAAAAAGGGCAUAAUAUUAGUUUUUAUAUCAUUUAAUUAGAUAGUUGCUACUAGUAUCGAUUAUGUCAUGUGAUUGCAUAUUUCUGUUGUCUACUUCUUAUUACAGGCUCAACAGCCUCAUAUUAACACCUCUGUGCGAUGGCUACAAAUGCAGAGUUCUACUGGCCAGGUAACUCUCUCUCUGAUAUCGACCUACUUGUAUUAAUUAUUUUAAUUAUUUUCUUAUGCAAAAAUUGUCUUGCCUGUUGUCCGCUUGCGGCCUGACACCUCGUUGAUAAGUUUUAACGAAUCACAUUUGUUAGGAAUAAAUUAUUCAAAGCUUACAUACAUGAUUGAUGAUACAUGCAAUCUUAUGAAUUUUCUUCUAUAUUGGUAUCAGAUUCUCUGGCAAAUGUCUGGUUUAUGAAUUUUCUUACUUUCUGAAUUCUUGUGCAUUUUUUUUAUUUAUUUUUUUUUAAAUAUUUUGCUUUCAAGGAUAAAAUGUUUUUAUUUGCUGAGUGUGUUAUUAUUUUAUCUAUGCAAAUGAAAUACCUAUGCAAAUACAUAAUUCACUAUGCUUAAAGAUCAAGGAGGAUGUUGCCCAUGAGUUGGAAGGAAAUACCCUCUAAGUAAACCUUUUUAUUAUCCUGGUUGUAUAAUUUACCGUACUUAAAGGUCAACGAGGAUGUUCCCCAUGAGAGUUGGGGUUUGCUGGAGUGGUAUGUGACUGACACACAUAUAUCAAAAACAGAUUAAAAAAAUGAAAGCUUCAAUAAGAUCAUGAUACUUUACCAAAAGUAAAGAUGAUAUGAUGAUAUUUUAAAUUUUAAUAUACUCUGUGAGUGUAAAGUACAACAUUUAAGGAUUAAGUUGGUCACAAGCUCAUUUAGCAAAGAUUAGGCUUCAAGGGAUGGUAAGAUUUAGUUAGAGAUAACAUCUGAUGUUUUGAUUAUGAAAGUAGUGCUUGUGCAUUUGAAAAGAAGAAGAAUGUCCACAAGCAGGUAAUACUAGUAAUACCCGCGUCCAUAAUUAAAAGCAAUACACAUGGUGAGGUUGUAGGCUUGAGAGUAAGACUAAUGGGGAUGUACAUUGAGGUAAUAAGAGCUCAUCAAAAGCAUUUUGUGUCUUGAUUGCUAAAUGAUAAGGUUUAGCUGCUGUGAAUGUUCAUUCUCAGUUGUCGUUGAUAUCCCAGCUAGCUUCUUGUUGUUUAUAUGAAAUUUAAAGAUGUACUUUUAUAUAUAUAUUCCCCCCCUCCCCCUGAUUUCUAACCUCAGUGAAUGUGAUUUCUAUGCUGGUUAUGAUGUAUAUAUUCAGAUUCUUGUUGUAAUCUUCUUGUAGCACAUGGUGUAUGGGUUUGCCGAUCUAUUCUUAUAGUCGAUACUGACCCCACUUGACUCCUUUCGUGGAGGUAUGGGUGUUUUGACAUCUUUUCUAAUGAAAAAUUGAUCAUUUUUUAUAAACCCCAGAUCUUGGAUGGAACCUAAUGAUUUCAGACUAAUUGUGUUUAGGAUAGCCUAGUAUGAUUUUGCCAUAGAUUGCAAAUUUUAAUCAAUUUUAAGUAGACUUACAUCACUUUAUUGUUAAGUUUUUUCUUCUCUCUUUUAGUAAGUUUACUAAUUGGAGUCCAUAUGAUGCAGGAUCUUAGAUCUCAAUUGGAGGAAAUGAUUCCCGAGCAGCAGGUUUUUUUUAUUAUUUUCUGAGCUCUUAUUCUACAUGUGGGGUAUUAACAUCAUAUUGGUACUUAUGAUUUAUUGAUAUAUCUUUUGGUAUUUGUUGUUUUUUUCAAGAGAUGUGCAAAUAUUGUUUGACAUUUCUAUGAAACAUCAGCUUCCCCACAACUUCUUUUAUGUAGCCUAGGUGUUGGGUUAUAAUCCACUACAUACUGACGUGGAAGCUUUUACUCUUUUGAAAUUGUAAAGCAUGGAUAAAGUUUACUGCUGCUUGGCUUUUCAUCAAGCCAUCCCCUUGAUUUGCUUCACCUUGUUUGUUCUAUUGCAGGAGCGUUUGAAAAAACUGAAAUCUGAACAUGGAAAGGUUCAACUUGGAAACAUCACUGUUGAUAUGGUAAUAUACUCGUGCUUGCUAUCUACUUCGAAUCAAAUUCAAUUGGAUUGGGAUUGGUUAUACUGGUUACAGAUCAUUGCAUAUUUCUAAUAUCAGAUACCUUAACCUUGAAAUCCAUGUAACAUGCAGAUAUUUUUUUCUUAAUUUUCUUACAAGUUUUCUUUAUUCUUUUAUGAAAGGUGAUUGGUGGGAUGAGAGGGAUGACUGGAUUGUUGUGGGAAACUUCUUUGCUUGAUCCUGAUGAGGUAUUUUUUUGAUUAGUCAUUCAUUAAAUGUUUGGGAAGUAGGAUGGAGGUGAUUGUCGUUAUGAUAUAGAUCAAUUUGUUGAUGUUCUUAUUGUUCAUUUAGACCAAAACUGAAUUAGAUUUACUGCUUUUUCAGGGAAUUCGUUUUAGAGGUCUAUCCAUUCCCGAAUGUCAAAAAGUACUACCAGCAGCUAAGCCUGGAGGUGAACCGUUACCUGAGGGCCUUCUAUGGCUUCUUCUAACUGGGAAGGUGAUCAUUAUGUUUGAUUCUAUGUUUUUAAUAAGUUUACAAAUCCUACUCCGUAUGCAAUAGUUCAUUAGUUCUAAUAUUAGCUUUCAAACCUCAAUUUCUUACAAGCCCGUUUUAGUAUGUCAUUUUUCUGAAGUUAGCGGAAAUUUGCUUAUAUAGCCUUUUGUUUUUGCAACUGCAUCUCUAUCUUCCCCCGUUGGCGUCUCCUGGAAAUGUUUCUGUCUAUGUCUUUUCUUGUACAAUCGUCUUUAGCGUUUGUUCUUUUUGUUGGGGUCAAAACCUCUAAAUCAUCUUCAUGAGCAUCUAACUUCUGUCCCAAAUAUUGUGUUCGAGAACGUGAAUCCUCAUAUAGUUCGAGGGCUUAUGAUAGCAUAUCUGUCUUUCUUUUACAUUAAGUACUAAGCAUGCUUUUGUAUUUUUACAUAGGUGCCUAGCAAAGAGCAGGUGGACUCUUUAUCUAACGACUUGCAAAACCGUGCUUCUAUUCCAGGUUUUGUAGCUUGCUACUUCUUUCUUGAUUUUUCUAUAUGUUGAAUAGUUUGAUUCUUGUUGAUGAAACUGCCAAUGAGUAGUCUUAAAUGUAGUGUUUGUCAGACUGAUCCUUGAUACAUGAUUACAAACAUGUAGACAUAGACUUAUUUUGGGGAUGUCGCAGAAUCUUAGUAAAUAAGAGAGCUUCAUGGUUAGGUGUCAGAUACCUCGUGGUGUGUGGUGAACAGAAACAGUGACCAGUGUCAAUGUACAUAGAUGCCGAGUUAAAAACCGUGGAGUCUCAUAUUAAUCUACGACAGAUACCAUGUCACCUCAAAGUUCUAAGUUUUGCAUUUUUUUGACCAUUUUUCAGAGUUUUUUUUUCUUUUAAUGUAGCCUCAUUUACUUAAUUUUGGUUGCAGAUUACGUGUAUAAAGCAAUCAAUGCUCUCCCAGUAACAGCUCAUCCAAUGACUCAAUUUACGACUGGUGUUAUGGCACUUCAGGUUGUGAACAAGUCUUCAAACUAUGUUGCUUAUAUGUGACUAUGUGUCUCUACUCUGUAGUGAGUUUGUAUGGGAUAAAAACUUUUCGCUGCAUAAGUUAUGUUCUUUUCGGUGUUGCUUGGCUAAUUGCUAAAGUUUUCCUGUUCACUUCAGGUUCAAAGUGAAUUCCAGAAGGCAUAUGACAAAGGAAUUUCAAAAUCCAAGUAUGUUCUUUUGAAUAUUGUAAAAGCGUCUUCAGAUGAUCUAUAUAUUAUCUUUAUGUAAUUUUAUUUAUUUUUUAGGUACUGGGAACCCACUUAUGAAGAUUCUCUCAACUUGAUUGCCAAAGUUCCAGCUGUAGCCUCCUAUGUUUACCGAAGGUAACUAAAGCAAAUUCUUAUUUUGGACAGGCAGUAAUGCAGCAUUUUGGACAUGCUUUGUUGAAUUUUUUGCAGCCACGUGAUCAUCUUAAUGUUUAAAGUGCGCAUGUUUUGUGCAAGUGUUUCCAAUUGAUAGAGUGGGCCUGCAUUUUGAUUAUAUCUGCUUUACAGGGUUUUUAAAGAUGGAAAGAUUAUACCUGUAGACGAGUCUCUGGAUUAUGGUGCUAAUUUUUCUCACAUGCUGGGAUUUGAUGAUCCCAAGAUGCUAGAGCUGAUGAGACUGUAUGUCACCAUUCACAGGUGGGUGCUGUUUUUUUAUCAAAUUUUUAGUCUCAUUUAACCUUGUCUUUUGCUUCAUGCAAUUUCGAGAUUGUGCAACCCAAUUUUAUAAACAUUUAUGAAUCAUAUUGAUGAAUUGCAGUGAUCAUGAAGGUGGAAAUGUUAGUGCUCAUACUGGCCAUCUUGUAAGUGUGACCUAGACUUGUUAUUCUUUCUUAAUAAUAUAUUAUAUAUAUGUUUAUGUUGUUUUCUCAGAUUCCCAUUUAAAGAAUCAUGGUAGAAGCUAGGCUAAUGGCUUAGCUCUAUACCAUUUUAAGUACUUAGUUUCAGGCAUAAUAGAUACACAAUAUUCAUGACUAUAACCUGCUUCUACCAAUUGCUUAUUAGAGUUGCAAAUCUAAACGACUUAGAUAAGAUGGAGCCAGACAACUCACUAUUAUUAUUAUUAUCAAAUAUCAAGUAAUAAAUAUACUAAGUUUUACUAAAUGGGGGGGGGGGGGGUACCAAAUUGAUCGACACUUAAAGAUUCCAUGGUACCGUAAAUCUUCAAGUUACAUAACAAAUUUCUCUGAACGUGUAAUUAUUUCUUGUUUAUCAUGUGUUAUCUUUUUACAUGUUAACUUGUUUGCGAAUCUUUUCUAAUAUUUUUUAUUGUUAGGUUUCUUCAAAGAAAUCAUCCAAGCUUAUCAAUAUUAUUAUUAUUAUUAUUAUUUUUUUAUUUUUUGCAGCAAUUGUUUUUUAUUGUUACCAUCAUCAUUAUUAUUAUUUUUUUAGUAGGCAAGCAGGGUUUUAUCUAGGGUCCCUCACCCUGUUUCAUUAAUAAUAAAAAGCUUGUUAUAAUCUUUCAUAUACUCUCCCAUGAGCAUCAUCAUAGACUAUCUUCCUAAUGUCCUCAGAGAAGGACCAUCAUUAUUAUUGUAUUUUAUGUAUUUAUAUAUUUUGGCUGGUUAGACUUAGACCUGGACCAAAUGAAUUAUCAACUCCAAACUCUUACUGUGACAACAGUAACUGCUCAUCACUCAACACCGUAGCCAUUUGAGGUGCUGCCAUAGCGCUCUCACAUCCAAGAGAGUGGGAACCUGAGAAGUGCGAGUUAAGUGCACUGAUGACUGAUCAACCCCCAAAAUUCCAGUAUCUUUAAAGACAUGAGCCAAUACUCAUAAGUGGACCCUCAAAAUAUCCAUUUCUUAACUUCCUAAUAGUAGCCACGGUGGUGCCCUAAGCAACAUAAACUUAGAGCUAUUCACAUCUUACCACCUUUACUCUUUCUCCUCGGCCCUACCCUUCCUGAAUCAUUCUCUCAUGUCAAUCAAUAUGAAGUCUUGAACCAUGGGGAUUAGUCAAAAGAAUGGUAAUUACUGUGAACUCGUCAAUUUUUGUUUCACAAUCAAGACCUAACUUAUGCAAUUACAUCUAUAAGCAGUAUGGAUGAGUACCUAUGCAACCUUUUAUUUACGCAUCUUCUUUCUUAAAUAAGUAGUGGUGUACUGGUCAAGGCUUGGGAGGUUGAGCCCAUGGUCUGGGAGAAAGGGAAUAAGAGAUUCAGGGGGGAAUAAUUGCAAUUAAAAAAAAAAUUAGAAAAAGAAAAAGGAAUGAGUACCCACACUAGCCUGUAUACAUGUGUAUGGAAUACACUGGCUUAUAUAGCUGUAAUGUAGAGUUGGAGAGCUUAAAGAAUCUAGGCCAAAUGUGGCAUUUUUUUUUUUUUUUGAUUGGCAAGCGGGGUUGAGGGGACUCCUACCCCUUUUAAAUUACGUGUGGAAACUUAUAUCAACAAUCAACUGUUGACGUGUUUCGAACCCACGACCUCUCCACUUUGUGAGAGGGAUGCAAUUGUUGAGCCACAGGCUCGGGUGCAAUGUGGCAUUACUCAUCUUAAAAGCUGCUUUUAUUUGAUGGGUUUCUAUUGUAUGCUAGUAUGAAUUGCUUUCAUCCUUUGACAUCUAUUUGAUGAAUUUUUUAUUGGCUAGGUUGGUUAAGAUUUGUGUUUUUAACCAUCUACUUUUUGCUUGCUGUCUGUUGCAUAUUGCCAAUGAAGUUCUGAUUUUCUCUUACCUUGAUUAAUCCUCAGGUUGCUAGUGCUCUUUCAGAUCCCUAUCUUUCAUUUGCUGCUGCCUUAAAUGGGUUAGCUGGGCCUCUUCAUGGUUUGGCUAAUCAGGUAAUUAUAUCUCAUGAGCACUUUUUUAAUUUACUUUGUGAUAAAAUAUCCUAAAAUCAAACUGGACUCUAUUAGAAAGUGGUUUAUACAAUUUUACAGUACUCCAUCUUACAUUGGGUAACGGAAAAGAUACAACAUUGGUACCCAUGGACUUGACAUUUUCAUUUAGAAAAUGAAGGUGGUAUUGAUCAAAGUCAUCAAACUUUGUUUACGUGUACACGAAAAGUAGGAUCAUGGUGCUAUAUGACAAUAACAAUUCGCUGGAUUGCAAAAUGCACAAUGACAAGGACAUUUCACUGGAUCGCAAAAUGCACGAAUUGUGAAGGACCAAAGAAGACCAUUAUGACAACGCAAUGUUUAGUGGUUGUACUGUUAUGUUUAUCUUAAAUAGAAUUGGGAAAAAGGGAACCUAGGUCGUUAAUUGGGAAAACAAUUUACCAGUAUAUUAUUUUAUAGGGCUAGAAUGGUAGUUUUUAGAGAAAGUGAGAAGAAACUAAAAUACUGUCAUCUUUGCUUCUUCUUCUUUGAUGAGAUAUUUCUCCAUCGUCCUAUUUCUCCGCUAAAUCAGUUUUCCUGUCCUAAUUGAUCAGACCCUCUUUGUUAUCGUGGAAAAUGAGAAAAAUAAGUGGAAUGGUUUUUAAUAGAUAACCAGAAUGCCAUGAUAAUGGACUUUUCUCACACACUGACCGGUAUUUAUCCUUGGAAAGGAUUGUAUUAAUACUGUAACUACAACUACAUUGAAUGACCUGAGGGAAAUUUUUGUGAGUUCCAAUGAAUGACCUCAGUUCAAAAAGGAACCUCUGUGAUAUUUCAGUUAUUUUCUUGGGCGUCUUGUGUUACCCUAUUUCUGAGUAUAGCCACUGAUUUGAGUUAAAAAAAAAAUAAAAAAUAUGCUUAUAUACAAUUGGGAACCACUUGGGAAGUAAUAUACAAUUGGGAGACCAGUUGGUGUUAUAAAGUAGCUAUACGAUAUUUAAGGUUAGAGCUGCUAUAAUUGUGGGCUUGUAUGCGAUAUUGGUGGCUACGAUAUGGGAACCUGAAAAACUGUUAUAUAAUUAUUUAUUUAUAUCAUCAUGAAAUGUGUUUAUGAGUAUAUACACUGUUGGAAAGUUGAACAUACAGACCUUUGAUUUGCUUCUAGUAAGGUGCUUGACUGAAUAGCUGUAACCUAUAAGUUCACAGGAGCUAUGGAUCAACCCUUAUUACUCUCUUAGUUACAAUUUGAAAAUGCUGGAGUUGGGGUUGGCUCUAUUUUUCUUCAAAACUUCGUUUCAUAUAAGUGGGAAGUUGGAGCACUGUAAAUAUAGUUUGUUUUGUGAAGAUCCAAAAUUUGUCUUAUAAAGUACAAUAAGUGCAUUGUUCUUUUCUUUCCAAGAUUAUAAAUCUCGAGGAGUUCGUAUAGUACUAUAGUAGUACUAAAUUUAUGAUCUUAUUUUAUUGAAGAUAGUAGAGAGCAAACCUUGAUACAGUCUUUGUACAGGUUGCAUAUGCAACCUGGGUAUCUAUCCUAGUUUCACUACAAAAUAAUGCAUUUUUAUCAGCAUCACACGUCUUUGCUUGCAGAGUGAUUUGAAAGAUGAUUUUAUUAGUAUAUUGUUUUUUGGAUUCUGUAAAACUGCUUGUUGCUUUUUGGAUUUUAUGGCACACUCUCUCUCUCUUGAGCUAUGUUACUUGUUUUUUUACUCAGUUUUUAAUUGAUUAUGCAUAUCUGUCUGCAUCUGUGCUUUAUAUGUGACUUUACUUUGCUGUAUCUUUCUUUUUUUGGUUGUAUCUGUACUUACUUAUAUUGUUGGUACAGGAAGUUUUGCUAUGGAUCAAAUCGAUAGUAGAUGAGUGCGGAGAGAACAUAACAACAGAACAGUUGAAAGAUUAUGUGUGGAAGACAUUGAAAAGUGGCAAGGUAUGAUUCAUCAGGGAUAUUGUGAUCUUUUAAUUUAAACAGGCCUUAUAACUUCAUUUGAUUCUGAAUUGUGUUUAUAGUCCACAUACUCUCGGCCUUCUAUAUUCUGCAAACUAAGAGAUGAAAUUUCUGCUGAGUGAAAAAUAUACCUAAGUAUAGCAUUUAUUCUUUUGUUGGAAUAAUUGAAAAUUCUUUAUGCUUUAACCCUCAGAAUGGUAUAAUCCCCCAUAUAAAUUGAAAAAUGAAAAUAGUAUCGAUAUGUUGUGUUUUUGUUAUCAUACUGUAAAAUGUUUGAAGAAUGUUUUUUGAACACGUAAUCAAGAGAAUUUUCUUAUCAGAUCAUCACGAUUGAGAAAAAGUUAUAACCGCUUUUUAAGCUCUUUUGCGGCGGCUUCCAAGAAGCCUGGGAAGAGUUAGGGAGACAGUUACCUGAUGCUUUAUAGUUUGUCCUACAAUUUUAAACAUUACAAGUUGAUUUCUUCUUGAGUUUGAUGUUAUAGCUUUUUCCAAUGUGCCUAGUGGAAUUUUGUAUACUGUCAAUGUUCUGCUUUUUAUCUCUUUCCUCAUCGUGUUAUCCGCCAAAUAAGCAGGUUGUUCCUGGAUUUGGUCAUGGAGUUUUGCGGAAAACAGAUCCAAGAUACACAUGCCAAAGGGAAUUUGCUUUGAAGCAUUUACCUGAAGAUCCACUUUUUCAGCUGGUUAGCUUCUAUGACUGACCAUCUUUUUACUUUAUUGUCUACAUUUUCAGCUCAUUAGCUUCUAUAUAAAAUGGCUGUUCUUCUAUAAUCCAAAUUAGUUUAACAUAUUUUCAUAACUUCACAGGUCUCAAAGCUUUAUGAAGUUGUGCCUCCAAUUCUGUUGGAACUCGGCAAGGUAAUAUGACUAUGUUCAGAUUUUAAGUUGUGAGUGGAGAGCGGAGUUGUAAUCAUCCACCAACCCAUGUCUCAUAAUCAUCAUAACUUGAGAUAUCGUCAUACACUGGUUUUGGAUUCGUAGAAAUUAAAAGUCCGUCUACCAUUGCCAACGAAAACAAUAAAAUAAGAUGAAAAAUAAGUUUGACCACCCUCAUAUUCAUUAAUCCACUGCUUCAAUUGAGUAUCAUGAUAUAGCCACUUGCUUCAUUUUCGAUGUAUUUUUUAUUUGAUCUUACAGAAGAUGUGUGGCAGAAUAUGAUUAUUGUUGACUGGUAUAGCAUGUAUCACUUAACCACUAUGGGUCUGUCCAGUAUUAAUCAGGAAAACUUAUAAUGAAUGCAUUCUGAAAGAAUUUUGUUUUACAUUCUUCUAGGCAAGCUUUGCAUGCACAAAUUCUGAUUCUUAACUUCAUUGCUUCAUAUAUCUGUUUAUGUGAUGAAUGUAUUGGAUAUUAUAUUUUCACCAGUUUUAAUCGUUCCCAUUGUUUUCUAUCAUUUGUAGGUCAAGAAUCCCUGGCCCAAUGUUGAUGCACACAGUGGUGUGUUGCUAAACUAUUUUGGUUUGACUGAAGCGAGGUAAAGAUGCAUGUUGUAUUUGUUGAGUUUGGAUCCAUACAUUGAUAAACGAAAGUUAGAAAUGCAAACAGAGAUGAACAAAAUCUGAGACCUGUGUUUGGAAGGGUUGACUAUUGUGUGUCAAGGAAUGCCUUCUGCCUUGAUAUAGACUAUUAGAUAUAAUAACGAAGAUCUGCGAUGUCGUGAAUUGUAACAAAUUCUAUGUCUUUUUAUGUCACUAAUAGUACAUAGCUAAGUACAUAUUUACUACCUUGAGAGUUGAGAAAGCUUCUGACAAAAUGCAUUUCUUUGGGCAGGUAUUUCACCGUCCUUUUUGGUGUCUCAAGGAGCAUAGGCAUAUGCUCACAGGUACUCUUCAAUCUGUCUUCUUCAUUCCUUUGCUGACAGUUAUAUACUUCCAUGGUUUUGUCUAACUUGGGCUUUUAUGUUUGUACAGCUGAUAUGGGACCGCGCUCUUGGAUUAGCACUCGAAAGACCGAAAAGUGUUACGAUGGAAUGGCUAGAGAACUACUGCAAGAAUGCAAAGUGAUGAAAGAGGUUUGAAGCCUCUAUGCGGAUUUAUACAUUUUCUUAAAACAACAAUAGAGGAUGAUAUAUAUCACUUUUCCUGUGAGAGAGUUUGUCUUUUCUCGUUGCUGCCAUUUUCAUGCGAGCUAAAACGGGGUUUUUCAAUGUUGAUCUGCAUGUGUCAGAUGAUUGGAUCAGGGAUGCUAUGUUAUGUGUAUUAAAGUCGUUAAUAUAGGAAAAAAUAGAAUAAUAAGUGGUAUCAAAGUUGAAAACAAAACUAUAUAGCAUCCAACUUUUUUUCCCAAAUGGCAUAACAGAAAUGAUAUUCUUGAACCUUUGUUGAUAUUUCCACACACACAAAAAAAAAGAUUGAUUUUAUUUUCUUGAGAAGAGAACUACUCUGUAAUCUGCAACUACUAUGGUGGGGUUAAAAAGAAAAUGGAAACAGAAGACAAUAUUCCAGUUUGAAUUGUCUUUUAGGAUUGCAAAGUUUCAUAAUUCUAUUGACCAAGUGUUGUAGUGUCAAAGUGUAGUACAAAAGUACUAUGAUCUGCUAAGUUGAACUUUUAGUUUGUGAGCUAUUAGUUUUUGCCCUUUGCUUAUCCCAGUCUCUUUUGUUGUUUUGUUUUUGUUUAACAUUGAAGAUGGCUUUUGAACGCUUUAUCAUAAAAUUGAAGAAACAAUACAUUUUAUGUUGGUAUUGAGGCCGGUGCUUUAAGCACUUAGUUUACAAAACACAGUUGUGGUUUAGUGGUUGUACACUUGUACUUAGUUUAUUAUCCUGGCAAAGGAAUAUAUUAUACUGGUUUAGGUCUCCAUUGCUUUAUAAGGACCCCCAUUAUCUCAUAUAUUCUCGUGGCGCUGGCGCAGGAGUAGUAGGGAUGUCACCUUGCAUAAGCUAUUUUACAGCAUUACUGAAACGAGUUUGAGCGCUCAAACAAUUUACCCAUUUUUCCUAUAAAAUUGUUGCUAUGUUACAGGUGGAUUAAAGAGUUGAGCCCAAGUUUGUGAUAAAACGGGCUUAGACGUGGGCUUGUUUCUUUAUGGAAAUAAAGUUUCAAACCUGCAAUUUGUUGGUUAAAGGAAAAACCAUUGUAUGUUUUGGGAAGAAAACUUUCGAAUGACUCUUUCUCUUUCUCUCAAAUACUGUAUGCAUUUUAUCUCUUAAAAUUCUUUGAAAUAUAUACCUAAACUGGUUAGCAUAUAUGUAGAUAAAGUAAUAUUCAUUCUCAUAUGAUACAUGGAUACGGAUAGAUUUUUUGGUAAAGAAUGAUACGUCAAUCCUUGUAUGCAAAUACAUUGAACCAUGCAACACAAAAGUCAAAUGGAAUCUUUAUUUGAGAUUGUGAUUUCACUAUAUAUACUUCCAAUAACAUGAGUCUCAAACAUCCAAAACUUUUUACUCCAAUAUUAACACACAGAAGAAGAGAUGAACUUGAGAAUGAGUAAUGCUGUUUUUCUUAUAGUGUUUCUUAUGGUUUCAGCAGGUUAGCAAAAUAAAAUGCACUGUAUAUGUAUGUCUCUCUUUCUCUUGAUUUUUGUUUUUUGUGUUAUUUUGGUUUUAUGCAAACAUGUAUCAUUUUGUGUUUAGGAACCAUCAUAGACCUAAAGCAGCUUCAGCUCCUUAUAGGAGCUGCAAAGGUCAUCUGGGUGUUUAACAUAUUUAGGAACUAACUUCUCCUUUGAAAGAGAGUUUUUCUUUUAAUUAUGGCACUGGUCGAAAAGUACUAACACUUGUUGCAAUGUUCAAAUUUAUCAUGUAAUCAUGUUCAUCUCAUUUUUAUUUUGUUGUUUUUUAUUGCAGAAUAUACAAAUGCGAUUGAGAUUACAAAUUUCUCAGACGCAACAAUUGGGGUUAAUCAAGUGCCUUGUUGUGCCGAUUAUCACCAACAAGACUGUUACCCUGGUAGGGGGAGUGGUGAAAGGGCCUGCAAUUCUAUAUGUCGACAGGGCUGCAAGGGAGGGUAUUGCGUGCAAAAAGGCGAUGAUUUCUUUUGUCAUUGCAGAUGUAAAUAGUAAUAUCGAUUUGGGUUGCUUGAAGUGAUAGUGAUCACUGUCAUGAAAUAAAACUUUAGAAGUUUGACUUUGAGAUUUAUUUGUUUGGACUUUGGCAUGAAUCUGGAAAUUUAUAUUAUUUGGUCACAUAACAUAAGGCAUGACUGUAUGAUUCUAAAGAAAACGUAUUAAUUUUAGCUCAUUCUAUAUAUCCUGACAAGGAUUGAGUACAUUCAUUAUAUAUAGGCAAUUGUCUAGUAAUUUAUGUUGUUUUAUCUAUUUGGGCGCAUGCCUGGCAGCCUGGAUUUAGGGCUGAAAAUUGGGUUGGGUGUACCGAAACCCAAACUGACCCAAAUCUGAAUAUGGCAUGUUUGGGUGAAAAAGUAGAUUGUCAAAAAAUGGUUUGGAUUUGGAUUUAAAACGAGACCCAGUGGGUUCAAGUUUGGAUUGGGCCCAGUUUUUGAGUAAAAGGUCAAAUUUGGGCUAGAAAUGUACAGAUUGGCCAGCAAGGGGCAAUUGACAUUGUGGGUCUCGGUUUCAAUGAAACCACAACCCAAACCUAGCCCAUUUUUAACCCUUCGUGAGUGAAUUGUCCGGGUGAAGUGAGGUGAGAAAUGCCCAUGUGUUUUUAUUUUUUAGUUAAAAUUAUAAAAUACAUUAUGUCUAUUAGAUCUUAAAGAAAAUGAUGGACAAGAAACGUUGUUAAGAUGGAUGUCACUCUAAGGAUGGCAAUGUUAGACUUAUACUAUGUGUCUAAGAGGAUCGACAACUAGCCCCCGUGAGGUGACCAGUUAGGUAUCCCUAACAUUAGAUUACAUAAUUUUUACUCUUAAGUUUUUUAGCUUACACAGUUCCUACUUUUACACAGUUUAGCCUUGCUAAAAACAGAAAAAAAAAAAAAAAAAAAACCCAUUUUCCAUUCUAUUUCAUCAUUACAAAAUGUUGUUACAUGUUCAAGCUGGUAUUCCCAAACCCUGGCCCUAUCAAGCUUUACACCCAAGAUCAAUUUUCACCUAGUCCCAUCAUCAUUCUCACAACUGGAUCACAAUACAUGGGGUCUCCCCCCACACCUUGCUGCUGAUGCCCAUCAUUCCCUGCACCUGAUGUACUCCCUAUCUCAGUUAUGCUGCCCUGAAACCUUACCAACAUCCCUGCUGGUGCUACUGGCGCAACCUUUGCCUUCACAUUUACCCCCUCGCCACCCUCCGCCGCUUUGGCUGCUGCUCUCUCCUCUGCUGCUGACAUUGCUGCAAUGGUCAUGUCAUCAUCCCUAUACAUACACUCUGGUCUGUUACCUAUGUACCAAAGUCUAUACAGCCCAAACACUUCAUUCACCUCUCUCUUCUUGGGCUUUCGUGCUGCUGCUCGGCAUCCAGCAUAUUCCCUCAAGCAUGCUUGGGCCAGCUACACCCACUCCAUACAUAGCUCUGCAAAGUGCAUUCAUGUCCCUUUAGUCAGCCAAGACUCAAACUGCUUCCACCCAGUGCGAGUAACCUUAUAUGGAUACCUGGGGAAGAAAUCAUCAAACAUCUCCCUAGACACAAACCCUGCAUCAUCAACCACAUCUGCAAACCUCAACCUCCUCCCUUCUGAUGUCACCACCUCCUGGGCCUGUAAAUACUCCACAACCUUACCACCAUGCUCUUUAUGCCUCUCUGUGCAAAGUGACCUCAAAAUGACGGAAGACACCCUUUCUGAUAAAUGAGGGGAGACCAUGACCAAGCUGACGGCUAGAAGAGAAAGUUUGGUUUAGAGAAGAUGGAAAAAAAAAAAGGGUUUGGUUAUCUAAACCUACCCCCCAGGCUUUAUACAAGCUCAAACAAAUAUUGUUGAGUCCCUAGGAGUUGACUCUCUCGCUUGCCAACCACUACCAUAAAUGGAAAGUUAAGAGAUUGAGAGAUUGAGCAAACGAGGUUACCUUUUUUGGAACCCUUGAUGACCCAUUUGUGAGCACUCUGUUAUUUUCAUGUAAUGUACCUUUUGCUUCGAAAUAAAUAAAAUCCAAAAAAAUUCCCCCCAAAAAAACUAGCCUCCGUGUAAAACCUCUAUGAUUCAAGAUAUAUAUAACAUCAUAUCCACUUAUACACAUUUAUAUGCGCCACAAUUCAUGGGCAUUUGUUAUUGAAUAAAUCAAUUAACAACAUAAAAAGUUUGAGGAGUUAGGUCUGAUGAUUGAAGAGUGAAGAUUUUAAUUUGUAUUCUUUGUAUUUUACAUGAUGGAAUGCAUGGUCUUGUGGUGUUCUUUUGAGGGAAGUUCGAUUACAAACAAAUCUCAUACCCUUAAAUUUAGUUUACCAGAACAAUGUACAUCUACAAACCACUAGCCUCAAACAAUCAUAUAUAUAUCAUAAACAUUGCCAAACUAGUCACCAAAUAUUUAUUCAUGGAUCAGAUUUCUUUAGUCUAUUAUGGUUGAGAAUAAUAUUAGAUUUAGCGAGGCUUGUGGGGCUAGUACUAAACAUUACCGGACAAUACCUAGUAAAUGAACAAAAAAAUAAAAUAUGUCCUACAUUUAAUUUAUUUAAAUAUUUAAGGUUAAAUAGUUUUUCACUUAAAUAUAAUAAUUAAUAUUAUUAAUUUUUACGUUGAUCCUUUCUAAAGAAAAUAUGCUUUUUUAGCAGAUAAUUAUAAAAAAAAAUCAAUUUUUUUUUCAUUAACAUAACUGUAAACCAUUAGUUGUAAAAUAAGAUAUCCUACACGAGAGGUUAGGUUUAGAAUCGUGCGCCUGUGUAUUACAAAUGCAUCGUUUAACAAGUGUCUAAAAUUUCAACUAAAACUUACUAUCGUGUUAGAGUUUAUCUUUCUACCUUACAUCCUAGCAUACACGUACGAUAGUUAAGACUACAUUUGUAAUAUACAAAUAUGAUAGGAUAAAUAAGGCAACAUCUGUCUCACUGAAAUGGCGAGAGUUGAAAUCUUGCCGGUUUUGUUCCAAAUGUCCAAAAAAAAGUUAUGAGAUAAAUGUUUAUAUAAAGGUCGUGGAAUAAGAUAAGGAGAGACUUAUUCAAAAGGACAAAAACAUAUGGUUUCUUAUUGAAAAGGGCUUUGAAGUCAACAAAUUCUGGAUUAAAAUACCCACCCUAAUCAUAGUAUGAUUUUAGGUCAAAUCAUAUAUAAGAAUUUUUUUUUUUUUGCACAAAACACUAUAACCUAGGUAGGGAGUGAUUAACCCUAGUGGAAAAGGGCAAAGUCGGAAUUGCACAAAAUUUUGACACUAUGAUUCUACCUAAAAUCAUAAGUCUUUGUGCUUUUCAACAAGUCAACAAAAACUGCAUAUCCUUUUCUACCAUGACUUUUAAAGAGAUUGUCCUUAUGGAGGGUUGACUCAAAAGAGAUUGUCCUUCUCACCAAGAAAAACAUGAUUGGUGUCCUUCUCAAAAGUUACUUAUAAGGGAAUGGCCUUAAUACUUUCGUAACUCUCUUUCCCCAAUGAAGCAAGCCCCCACUCCCUCUAAAAAGACCUAUUUUAAAACAAGAGCUACUUCUAUCAACUUAACAAAAAAACUAAAUAAAAUUAAUUAAAAACAUAUAUUUAAAAUAACUGUGACGAAAUCACGGGUUAUCACUAUUAUAAAAAAAGAAUUCAAUUUUUUUUUCAUUAACAUAACUGUAAACCAUUAAUCGUAAAAUAAGAUAUCCUACACAAGAGGGUAGGUUUAGAAUCGUGCGCCUGUGUAUUACAAAUGCAUCGUUUAACAAGUGUAAAAUUUCAACUAAAACUUACUACCGUGUUAGAGUUUAUCCUUCUACCUUACAUCAUAGCGUACACGUACGAUAGUUAAGACUACAUUUGUAAUAUACAAAUAUGAUAGGAUAAAUAAGGCAACAUCUGUCUCACUGAAAUGGCGAGAGUUGAAAUCUUGCCGGUUUUGUUCCAAAUGUCCAAAAAAAAAUUGUGAGAUAAAUGUUUAUAUAAAUUUUGUGGAGUAAGAGAAUGGCCUUAAUACUUUCGUAACUCUCUUUCCCCAACGAAGCAAGCCCCCACUCCCUCAUGGAGAACGAACUAGGAUUUGCUCCUACCACAAUUAAUGAGAUCGUGCCACCCAAUUCAAGGGGCAUUUUUCGUUUUGCCCACCAACCUGCUUUGGAUGGGGGCCAAUCUCGGCGUUUUAGCCCCUACUCAUAUUCAAGAAGAGCCGGAGCAAUUACAACAUCUCGACGUUCUCAGGGAUUUGAAAGAUAUCCAAGGAGACAAUAUAGGAGGAGAUCGACAACAUUUACUGAUCAGAGACCACAGGUUCACUCAACACAUCAAUCUGUUACUGUAUCUUCCAUUCGAAACAUCUCCAACACCAUGCUCGAGUCCAGAAUUAUGACAGAUUACUAUUUUAAUGUUAUGCAACUGGUAGCUCAUGUAGUCCACAAUGGACUUGAUAUGCUAGCGUAUAUGUGUCUCCAUGGAACAAAUGGCAUGGAGCCUACACAUAUGUGUCACUACUUUCAUGAGAUGUUGAUCAUGCAAGAGGCUACCAUGGCUGGGGUAAAUUACAAUAUGUCAAUCUAUCAGAAUGCCCUUGGUAGGUAUAUGUCUCUAUAUCCGCGGGUAGCCCUUACUACCCAAAGGAUUUUGGAACUGGGAUAUCCUUGGGGGAUGACUUCUCCAAACAUGGAGCCAGAACGCUCUCCACCCGCACUUCUUACCAGUAUGGUACAUGAGCAACAACACCCUCCUGCUUCUACCCGUGCCAGUAAUUUCAUUGACAACAUAUCCGUAAGGACCACAGGGGAAGAAUUGGCUCAUGUUCCUGGCCCCGCUAAUUUUUUCACCGACAACAGAUCUGCAGGGACCACAAGGGAGGAAUUGGAUUUGACUUUGAGGCUUUGAUUUCAAGUCAAAAUCAUGUUAUUGUUUUGAUGUUUGCCUUUGGUAGCUUUUUGGGUUUUUUUUUUUUUUUUUUAAUUAAAAAAUUAUGUAUUUUGACAUUUGACAUCAUAGUCAAAUUUUAAUUAAAGAUUAGUUAAAUAAAAUUCUGAUUGUCGUCCUUUAGCAUUCAAAUCUAUCAGGUGUCCCAGAGCAAUUUUUUUUUUUUUUUCAUCUUGGGAAUGGAUUUUGGAUUAAAACUUACUAAUUUAAUUACUGUUUUUAUAACCGGAUCGAACACGGUUGCGAAUUUCCCAACCUUCUUAUGGCUUUUGUAAAUUGUGAGUUAAACAUUCUUAUGGCCUACCGUGAUUGAAAUCAUCUUUUUAUCAUCCGAACAGGUGAACAGAAAAUUUCCCUUAAGACUACAUAAUCAAAUGGUGUCACGUCUGUUCUUGUCCGGUUAACCUAAAACAAGAAACAGAAAGUCCAGCAUUUAUUAUCUCUAAUUAAAACAUUUUGAUUUGGAUGGCCCACAGUCAGAUUAGAAAGUUUUGCUGUAAUUUUUGGAUAAAAUGGAACCACAUAGUUAAAAAAAAAAAAAAAAAAAAAAAAAAAAAAAUUGAGUUGUUUCUUUAGGGCAUUAGGCUACUUAAGGGUCAAACACUUGGCACUUUCCAGUUUCAACCAGAUAUAAAAACUGGGCUUUAAUUCAAGAGCCUUCAUAAUGUGGAUAAAGAUUUGAAAUUUCAAAUAAAAGCCCGGUCCUUCAAGUUCUGAAUACCAGCCCAUGUUACUAGGAAAAGUACAUUAAACUGUUACAAGCCCUAUAUUUGAGCCCAAUAUACCAAGAAGCCCAUCAUCGCAAAUUCGCAGUCUCAACUCAUACUCUCAUUGCAGAACCCCAAAGAUUUGGGACUAGGGUUACUUUUAAUAAGAAAUUUCAUGUGUACAGUGAAACCUGGUUAAAUGCACACCUUAUAUACUUUACGAACGCACACGACACACCCUCUAAAUCGCACAAAAAAUAUUGGUCACAUCGUAGCAAUAAUAUAUAUAUUUUUACUUUAUAAACGAACAUUCUACAUAAACGCACAUAUUUUCUUAGUCCCAAGGGUGUGCAUUUAGGUAGGUUUCACCAUAUAGACUAUGGUCUAUGGAUGAAGAAACAAUCCCAAAUUCCUCACUACUGUUGUGGUUUUAAUUUAUUGGUUCACAAAAGGUCUAAAAUUGACCAGUAAGGUGGGCACAUGGACAUUGUUUGGGCCUAAUAAAGAUUUGUUUCUUGAAGAGAAUGAUUGCUAUCAUUGGAUGUUCCCUAACUUUUUGAAUGAAACAUAUAGAUAUACAGAUUGAGAUUAAACACUAAUUAAUCUGUUUAAUUAGCUUCACGCAAUUAUGUCAUAAUGCAAAUUUUCCCUCAAUCCUCAACACCUGUAUCUUUUUCUAUUGAUGUUCAGAACUUACAGAAUUACCUGCCCCAUCACUUUGCAUUGUACCUAAGUUUUGCAGGACCAAAGUAAAUUUUUUUUAGGCUAGAACAACGUACAGUACUAUUGACUUGUAGUCUGAAACUAAACUGACAAAACCCAUAUUCAGAAUUUACAGAUUUUUCAGUUCAGUUCCUUCCAUAGGCAUGAAAUAUAUUGAAAUACUCAGUUACAAACACCUCUAAAAAGUAUUACAAAUCUUUUAAAUUGUUGUAUUAGGUUUCCAAAUCAACUUUGGUUGUUGUUAAAGUUGAGAAAAAGAAAGAAAUCUUGUAAUAAAAGUGGGAAACUAAGUCUUACACUACUCUUACUUGAUAUCAAGCUAGAAUUUUGCAGGACAAUAAUAAUAUAUCCAGCAAUCAAUAAAAAAUAAAGAAGAAAGUUACUAAGAUGUUCUUCAUUCUUUUUUAUUAAAAAUAUGGUUACUGGACUAACUUAUUAGUGAAAAUAUUGUUCAUCAUAUAUAUGAAUCGAACUUCUAGGAGAAGAAGAAGAUGAAGAAGAUAAUUAUCAUGUUCAUCCAUGAACAAAAACCAUGUUUUGAAAUUGAGAGUAAUGGUUUUUCUUAGAAUUACCUCAUAUGCAGUAGCAUGUAGCCUAUUAGUUAGGCAAAACAGAAGAUGUGUUUGAUUUAUAGGAAAAAAAAAUGCCCACUUAUUAAUAUUAAAAAUAAACUAAAUUUACAGAUGUAGAUCCAGACUCACAUGUUCUUGUAUGUUACCCUUGGGCUCAUGUAUGUGUCGGCCGCGUGAACUAGAGCUUUCGGGUAGUACUAGUUUAGAAUGAUGAUCAUGACCACCUAUAAAAGGCGAAGACGAGGAUGAUGGCAAUGGCAGUAACAAGCGGUCAUGAUGAGUAUAACUGUGUGUGUUUUGCACUGAUGGAAUUCUCCACAUAGCCAAAGGAUUUCCAUUAAUUGUUGUUGGAGAUAAUGUGCCUUGAUUUCGAUAAAAUUGGUGGUGAUGACUGCUGGUAAUGUUGUUGCUGCUAUUGUUAGUAGUACUCCAAGAAGGAUAAGAAGAAAGAGGUGGUGUAGUCGAACCAAUCCGAUAAUUCACAAGCCCAUACAUAUGACCUUCAUGUAUAUUAUUAUGUGCCAUGGUAGACUGAAGGUGUGCACGUUUGGCAUGUUGACGUUCACGUUUGUGUGCAUUUUGGUGACCACCCAAAGCUUGAGACGUAGGGAAAGUUCUGCAGCAGUAAUGACACUCAAAUUUUCGAACACUUUCAGCAUUCUCAAUAUCUUUGGCAUCUUCAAAAACUUUAGUUGCACAUGACUCUGAGUCUUCGGUUGCUUCUCCGGUGAAUUCAAUACCGAAGAGACGAAUGCCUUUCUCUUUAAUUGGUGCAGCUGGACGUUUGAAAGGAAGUUGAGAAAAAGAGUCAACAUUCAUGAAGUCAUGAGUCUCUUUUUCAUUCUUGUCCAUUGAAUAAGGAUAUAUGUUAAUAUGUAUGAAAGGAUGUGUAAGAUUUGUUAGCAAGAAUUGGAUGUGAAGAGGAAGAGGAGGCCGAGCAGUGUGCCACCUUAUUAAAAGGUGUGGAGAAGAAAUGAUAGAUAAAAAACUAAGGGGGAUAGGAAAUGGAAGAAGGGAGAAAAAGGGCAGAGAAGAUUAGCUCCUUUUUUCAGUUUUUUUCUUUUUUAAGGGUAGAGAUAGAGGAAGAUGUGGUAGGGUCAAUGAAAUGGGUCUUAUAAAUGAAUAAUAUAUGGUGACCCCAUUUGAAAGUGAACACCUGACAGGCUGACAACAAGACCAUAGAUGGUUUAGGGUUUUGGCUUUCUCAAGUACCACCAAUGCUUCCACCAUUCUUGUAUAUAUUUGGUUUAUAUCCAUGGAUAAUUUGGCAAUUUAGAAAAAAAAAAUGUUACUAUACUUCCUUAUAUAUAUGAUGAUAUUGCAGCUGAACCCUUUGACCUUUGAAAAAUUUCUCUUUCUCUUUCUCCUUCUCUUUGAUGUUUAAUUUAUAUCAUAUUGGCCAGUUCCAUUUUUCGCAACAAUAAUAAAAUUUAGGGGGUCAUAUAUUCAGUUCCCACAUUUGUGUUUAUGUCUAAUAGGAGAAUGACAGUUAGUUAAGAAGUCCUUGUUUGAAAUAAACCUCAAGUAAUACUCAAAAUGGUAUUUGUUAAUAAGCUUAAUGGAGAUAUAGCUGAUCUUAAUAAUUGAUUACUUGUAUGGUUGUCUUAUAAACUAUGAUUGUGAAAGAUAACAAUGUAACAAAAACCAAAAGAGAAAACUUGAGGUCUUUUAAUUACAAUUUGUUGAAUGUCACACAUGGAACUUUUGCUCCGCCGUUCAUGAUGUUGGUUGACAUUUAAUUUACACUUUAAUUUACAAAAUACAUACCAUUGAUAAUAAAUAACAAAUAGGUAUGUAAUUCAUACACUUUUGAUCCACUUUUAGCAUAUAUAAUUUGUUAACAAACAUUAUGAUAUAUUGAAGCAAAUUAUUGGGAAUUAUAUUAAAGUAUACCUACAUAUAUAUCUUAAUCAUUCAUCAAUUACUUGUAAUAUAUGUGAUUAUGUGUAUUAGCUCUCACCCUCAAGUCUGUCUGUGAUAGAACUUGAUUUGUGGGGUAAUAUCAUAUUAGAUUCACAUAUUAAUUAUAAAACUGGAUACAUUAGCAAAAGAGGUAACAUGUCAUACUGUAUCUAAUAUACUUUAAUUAGUAUAUAUCAUGUUAACAAUAGAAACAUUGGCUCCUUUACUUUCCACCAUUUAAAUCAUAUCUGCCCGAGAAAUGCAUCUCCCAGCUGCGGAAUGACUUAAACAUUUAAUGCAGAAAAUUAAAAAAGAUCGAUCGACUUGAAUCAAACAUAAUGAAUAACGACUGUUUAAGGGUAUUAUAUUAAUUAGUUACUUAAAAAUGGUGGUGGUGGUGGUGGUGGUGGUGCACCACUAGAUAAGAAAGGUACAAGGCAUUCUCUCAUCACCCCUUCAUAAACGUAAGUGUAUCCAUCAGUCAAAACCAACUUGUUAGUAUGUGAGAAAGAAAUGACAUCCCUUGUUGGUGGGUCUCUCUCUCUCUCUCUCAGCUCUUUCCUGAUCAGAGUACUUGUAGUUGUUGUUGCUUCAUUAUAGCUGUGUUGGUUACCUGUUCAAUUCAUUAUGUAAUUUCUUUUAUUUAUAUAUAUCCGUUUGCAGUGAUUCUGCAGCAAAGUGGUCCUAAAAUAUGGUUACCACUUACCACAUUACUUGCACGAAUACAUACAUGCAUUGAGAACAUAUUCUAGAGCUAUAGCAAUUCAACUGUAAAAAAUCUACUACUGGUAACUAUAUAUUAAAACUUUUCUAUUCCUUCUUCCUUUAUGAUCUUUUCAUACAUCUUGGCAUCUUACCAAAGAGAAUAUGAUAUUGUUGUGUUGUGUGUAUGAGGUAAUUUUGGCAAAACAAAGGUAGCUAGCUAAGUGUUGCUUUUUAGUUUUGAUGGAUUGAUAUGUAGUAGUAGCUAGAGUCUGUGGAACUGCAACACACACACACACACCAGACUGCUUUAUUCGUGCAUGCUUGACCUGGUUUUGCAAUUAUUCCCGCACUCAAACAGUUCCCAUCUUCAUAAUUCUACUCUUAUACUUUCCAGUUUCCUCUUUCAAGACUAGUCGCUAUCCUCCUGGCCUUGUAAAAAUUUUAACUAUUUAUUAUUUGGGCUUUUUAUACACUUUACCAUGGCCAUUUUUUAAUCAACAACUUCAGUAAUAAGAACAUUUACAACAAAACCUAAAAAUAUCUCUUCACUGGCUCACUGCCAUGGGAAAAACAUGGAGAAAUACAUAUAGAAAUAUAUCUGAUACUUAAUUAUACAACUGGGGAAGACUGGGGGCUGUUUGUUUUUUUUGGGUCCCUCUUAUAAGAGGAUGCCUCUUUUAAGAGGUAUGUCUUGUAAGAGGUUGCCUCUUAUAAGAGGUACAUGAAAAUCGUUUGUUUUUGCCUCUUGCAAGAGCUUAUAAGAUGUAAGGUGUUUGUUUGUAAAACCUCUUAUAAGAGGUAAACUUUACCAUUAUAUCCUCUUCUAAGAAAAUAUUUUUUUAAUUCCAUAAAUGUAUAAAAAAAUUUAAAAAAAAAUAAUUUUUUAACUUAAGAAAAAAAAAAUUCCAUAAAUAUAAGAGAGAUAGAAAAAUAUGUGAAAGAGAGAGAAAUUAAAAAAGGAUUUAAGGUAUUUUAUAUUUAAGGACUAGGGGUAGGAAAAAGUUAUAAAGAUCAUGGGUAGGGUAGGUAUUUUGAAAAUGUCUACCUCUUAUAAGAGGCUAAUAGCAAGGUCAUUGCCACUACCAAAAAUCAGCCUCUUAUAAGAGGCAAACCUCUAGUAACCUCUUAUAAGAGGUGAAAAACAAACACUUCAUUUUAGUGGUCCACCUCUUAAGGCAAAUUCUAUAGGCAGACCCCAUUUUCUAAAAGCAGACCCCAUUUUGAAAAAACCGAUUUUUUCAAAAAAACCCGGUUUUUUAAAAUACAUCUCCCCAAAUGUUACCUGUUGGUAACCUUCUAUAGCCCUUCAUUUUUUUUUUUUUUGUCUUUUUCUUUACACACUUUUUCUUAUUUCCCUCCAAAUCAAUUGUUUGGAAAAAUGGAUGAUAAUGAACAUAUAGAUUUUAGAAAAGUAAUAGAUUUUGAAGAAGAAAUGUAUUUUGAAGAAGAAGACUCAACAAUUCCUAGAGAUAUGAGUGAUGUGGAAGAAAUGGAUUAUGUAGAAGAAGUAAAUAUUGAAGAAGAAGAAGACCCAACAAAUCCCAAGUCUCCGAAAAACUCAAACUUUUCCAACUUUGAGGUAAAAAACUUAGCCAUUUUUAAUGUUAUUGAGAAGUAGCAUUCAAAUAACUACAAUGGAACAAAAAUGGUCUUUAAAACUCGACAUUAUACUCUCAAAUUUAUUAAAAUAAAUUCGGCCUGGUUCUACCGAUAAUAAACAUAUCUUCGGUACAAUUCUGUCGAAUAUACAUAUUAUUUCGGCAGAAAUAUACCGAGAGUAUUAAAGUUUUUCAAUAAAAAUUUGAUUUAUUUUGUUAACAUUAUAUUAAUUGAAGCAUCAAAAAAAUAGAUGUAGUUAAACAAAAUAGAUUUUUAAACUCAGAUUGCUAUUGGCGAAACUAUUUAAUUAUAUCAGUUGUGCUUUACCAAUAAAUUACACAGUUUCGGUGGAAUUCUGUUGAAUAUACUGUAAUAUUUCGGCUAAACUGAACUGAGUUAAUAAAAAUCUAACCACUUUCGGUAGAUUAACACCAAUAGAAUGAAUAUUUUCGGCGUUGUUCCACCGAUAUUUUUAAAGAUAUUGGUAUAUUUCUGCCGUAAUUAAAAAAAAAAAAAUUAAAAAUAGAAACCGGAAUGUGCAAGUAAGAUAUGGGGUCUGCCUUUAGAAAACCAUAUACGGUUUAAUAUCAUAUAAACCCGGUUUUUUGGGGUCUGCUGUUAGAAAACCGGGAGGUGCUUAUAGCAUCACCCCCUCUUAAUAGAGGCUCUAGUAAAUCCAACCUCUUAUAAGAGGUAAAAACAAACACCACCUGAGCCUUCAAGUUGGCCGAUAUUAAACAGUCCAAACUCAAGUAUUCAGGCCAUGUGGGAUUAUUUUAUCUACCAACAAUACGCUUUGGACCUUAGCACCUAUGACCAAAUUAUCUCACCGAGAGACACCCAGGUGUACCGCCAGUCGCCAGACACUGCAUCCUCGGUCUACUGUGAUAUGUAUGUAUAUAGUUUCGAACUCAGUAGCUUCGAUCUCCAUUGGAUCCACACAUACCAUUUGACUAUUACUUGGUAGCGUAUGUGGAAGCUAAGUCUAUCAGGUCAGGUCGACCAAAAAAAAACAACCGAGAUCAGACCCGGUCCUAGAGGUACAAGGUUUGCAUUCUUGUUUUUAUAGAAAUGCAUUUCGGAGGUUGCACCGAAAAAAGGUCCACCACCAACAUGCCUUACAAACACCCACAUCAAUCUCAUAACGCUAACAACAACAACCCUUCAUUCACAUACAUGAUAGAUGAUACAACCCCUCUUUGUCAUUAAAGUCUCAAUCAAUGUAAGGGGAGGAGCUAGAACAGGGGACCAUUUAUGUAUAAUGGAGUUCAAAUGAUCGAAUUGAUUUUUUUGAAACACUUUUGGCACUAUUAUUGCUACUAAAUGAAUGUCUUUGUUCUCACCCACCUAAGAGUCACCAUCUUUAGAAACCCUAAUUCUCUAGGAUAUGUGUGUUUGAUCAACUUCUGCAACAUUGGCUCUUUCUCCUCUCUAGCAAACAAGUCCUUUUCACAUCUUUAUUAAUCUCUCUUCCCAUUAGGUGGUUCGAGUGUGACUUUGUCUCUUAAAACUUCAUGUUGAGUGGGGCUAUAGAUUUGAAUGCAACAUGAGUUUUGAUGUGUGGAUGAUAUGUGUAGAUGUGGUUGCUGCAGAUAACAGGCCAGGAUCUUAGAAAUUAGACGAAUGCUUUCUUGUUGGAUUCUUUAGCUAGCACAUGACAAUUUAUUGUCAAAUGUAGAUAUUUAUGGGAAAGAAAGAAAUAUAUGUAUAUAUGAAGUUGAGGAAACUAUUCAAGUAGUGGUUAUAGACUAUAGUAUGAGUUAUGAUUUUGUGUCUUGUGAGACAACAAUAUUGUGGACCAUGGAACUAUUGGAAUAACACAAGAGAAACUCAGCUACUUCAAUUAUAUAUAUUCCUUCCCUCCUUAAAUCUAUCUAAAAAAUCUUCUUCAUUUUUAUCAGUUCUUGCUAGCUGGACAUACACAUAUGAAACUUCAAUUAUAUAUAUGAUUAUUUUCGUCGAAAAAGAAAUGCUAAAUCGUAGUCAUAUAUAGUAUAGAAAAACUCUAGCUAUUGCACCUGUCGAUCUGGACAUUUUAUACAUUGUACGUACACAUUUUGAUAUCACAAUGUAUAUAUUUUCUUUCACUGAGGUUUCUCAUUAACUGGGGCGACAUGAUGAAAGUAUAAUUCAUGAAUUAGCUUAGAUCGAAUUAAGUUCCCAAUUGCAAGACAUUGACAUCAAUAUGCUUAGCUAACCCAUAAAGAUGUUGGGCUCUACAUGUAAGUGUCAAUAGGGAUGGGUCUUUCAACUCUUAAAAGCUACAUAAUGGUUGGUCUUUUGUAAGGUAAAUGAAGGUAAAUGGUCGGAAAGCCAAACCAAGGACCACAAGAGCAUCAGAAAAAAAGUAAGAAAACAAUGAGAAAAAGAAUAAUGUAACCCUCUAUGUUUUUAGGUGUUUUUGAAUGUUCUUCACUUCUUCCCCGAUAUUAUUAACUCAAGCUGGUCUGACAUGAUUCAAUUGUGUUCAUUUGAAUGAGUCAACGAUGUUUGACCAUGACUAGAGGAGACAUAAGAAUUGGUAGAUUUAAUUAAUGUUAAAGAAAAUAAAUUAAAUUAACAUAUAUAUAAAGGAAACAAAAAUAAGCACAUACAUAUAUACAUUGGAGGUCAACUACUUUAAAUUACUCCCACAAAAAUUGGGAAGAAAAGGCCAGGGGUGGUGAAGGUGAACUGGUGAUAUGUUGUUUUCAGAUGUUGAAGGGUAAUGUGGAGGCAUCUUUCAACAUGUGUUGUGCCACAUAAAUUCUCCACUCAACUGUUUUGAUUAAAAUGUGGAGAACAACUCAAGUACUUCUACUAGUCACAACCAUUACAUCUCUUUCUUCAUCCACAAGAGUUUAAUUGAGUGAACAUUGUAUUAUAAUAUGUGAGAAUAAGAAUUCUCCUCCUAUAUAUAGAUAUCUGAAAUCUGAAUGAAUGUGUGGUUGAGCAAGAAAAAACAAUUCACCACAUAUAAUAGUGUUGGAAGGAAGCUAAAACUAUCACCUUUAUCUGAUGAGGGUGUGUGUUCAUUUUAAGUAUUUUCCAGUAGAUUGAUUGAAGUUAGCUAGGAACCACUAUUUCCUAAAAAAAUUAUACUUGGUUGAUAUAAUACAUCCAGAGUGUAUAGAUUUGUUUCAUGCAGCAUAAGUAAGAUGACAUCUAAGUAUCUAAAUAGCUACUUAAUGAUGCCAUGUCAUAGAAAGGAGAAUAUGUUGUAAGAAAAUCGAUUCAAUAUAUACAUAUAUAUCUCCAGUUAUAUGUGUACACAAUUAAAACACAUUCACUUUCUUUCUCAUAUCUACAGAGAAAAAGACUGCUCCAUUGAUGAAUGAGCUAAUUAAGUUCAAUGUCAAAUCACUUUCUCUAGUUGGCUGGUUUUGUGUAUAGGUUUAUGCAUUCAUUUCGGUUUGUACCCGGAACAUUUGGUUCAGAUCCGAGUAUAAAUGAUGUUUAAAACUCCAUGGAAUUUCUUUAAAUUGUUCUUUAACCACAAUCAUCGUGGUAGUUCGCUGUAGGGACACUGAAAUUGUUUACCAUGGACUGUUAUGAUUAUAUAAGCCGUAUUUUAAUUUACCCAACAAAAAGCCGAUCAAACCUGCAGAACGUACUGAAACUCGCGCGACUACCAUCUCUACUGAUAAUUAAACAAAAAACAGGCCGGCCUCAGCUGACUCAAUCAGGCAUGCAUGCUGAAUAAAUUCAACAGAUCAAUGGGAAGCUCUAUAUUGGUUCUGUUCAACUGCAGCCAGGCCAGUACCUCAGUUCUCAGGCCUCACACCAAUAUAUAGUAAAGAAUAAUAAUCUAUCUUGUGGUAUCAUUUGAUCAUACUAUAAAGUUGUGUAGCUCACUUAGAUUUUACUGUCCAUAUACCCAUGUAACAUGAAUGAUGUGAUGUUUAUUUAAUGUUGCAGAUGUUCUUCAAUGUUACUAGUUGUACUAGAGCCCACAAGAAAGUUGUUUGCACUCAAAAUGGGCCAUGGUACUUCCUUUCAUAGUAGAUGCUGCUUGGCAUAUAUUAUCAUCAUCAUCAUAAAAAUAAAAUGGUCCCAAAAACAAAGUAAUCUAUCAUGUUCAUGUCUGUCUGGUGUUUUUAUCAUUUUUUUUCUCCUACAUUCUUCAUUUACUAACUUCUUGACUUUUUCUUCCAAUGUGUAUGAAGUUCAUGUAGGUCCAUAUAUAAUGGACCACUUGAUCAAAAAAAGAAUUGCAUGAUGAGAUACCCACCAUAUAUUACUGAGAACAAAAACUUAAAAUAGAACACAACUACUUCUGCAAAUGUUUUCCUUAUAGAUAGCCUUUCUAUGUUUCAAAAAAUGAGCAAAGGUAUUAAUUUUUUUGCUUUAUUAAGUUAGAACAAAGGUGCCGAUCGAUCUACUGAAAUCAUAGGACAUAUAUAUAUAUGUGAUAGAUUUAGUCUUUGAUAGGGAUACUUUAUCAACUUUCCAGUUAUUAAUUUGUAUGCAGUAUACUUAGUUUAAUCACAGGAACUAUGCAAUUAAAAUUAAGAACAACAGUUUGAGUUGAAAUAAAGAACUAUUACUGACUUACUGUAUGAAAAUUUGAGCUCCUGGUUCGAUCUUUUUUCUUGAUAAUCUUAGGACCACAAUCAUGUCAGAAUAUAGUGAAUUUGCGCCUUUGGGGAGCAAGGUGCCACGGUGCAGAAUUUCCACUGUCAUCUAUAAAAUUAACACCACCAGGUAGAAAGGGCAUUUACAUUUUAGUCACUAGAUUGUAGUAGAAACCAUAGUUCAAAAUAUCGGGGAUAUCCUCGGAUGCCGAUUUUUGUGGAAUCGGAUACACGAAUAUUCAUGAAUAAUCGGUCUUCACAUUGGUUUCUAGUGUCUAAAUCUCGGCAAAAUCUGUUUUUUCAGAAUUCAAAGUUCGAAAUUUCGCUCGAAAUCGACAUUUUGAACCACGGUAGAAACUAGACAAUAAGAUGGGCCUUGUCUGUGAGUGAAGGAAGGAAGACUGAUGACAGAAGAUGGGCCUUGUAAUCAUUUGGGCCAGUUAUUCACUUUCCAGAAAUCAUUUGGGCCAGAUAUGUAUUGCUUGUUGGGUUGGAUCUAUAUCAAACUGGUAUCCAACCCACCAAAGUCUUUCUGUCAAAGUUUCAUUCAAUACAACCUCGCUUAAACCCUCUUCAAAAACUCAGCAGCAACACAGCAAUGGCAGUACUCGAAACUACUUCUUCUUCUUCUCAACAACAACUUACUACGGAAAAAAAAUCCAAUAUUUGUGAAGAAUGUGGCUUAAAUCCAUCGAAAUACACAUGCCCAUGUUGUUCAAUUCGUUCUUGCAGUCUUCCUUGUGUUAAAUCUCACAAAAAGCGAACCUCAUGUACAGGAAAGAGGCAUCGAACUCAUUUCGUCCCUCUUUCUCAAUUCGAUGACAAUCUACUUAUAUCUGGUAUGUUUAUGUAUUUAUUACUUUGAAUCUUAGAUACCCUUUUCGUAAAUUUGUCUGAUUUUUUUGUUUUUGUUUGUAAAGAUUACAAUUUGCUUGAAGAAGCAAAGAGGGUAGCUGAAUCUGCUAAGAGGAGAAUGCAAGAUGGGAAAUUUGGGCGUUUUCAAUUCAAGUUACCAUAUAAGUUACAGAGUUUGAAGAAUGCCGCAGCUCGUCGAAAGACACAUAUUCUUUUUCUUCCUGUUGGAAUGUCAAGGAGAGAGAAGAACCAAAGUCGAUAUGACCAAAGGUAGGUUAAUUUUCUCUUAAUUUUGUCUUUGGUAUAUUUAUGCUUUGAAACUUUAUUUUUCAUAUUAUGUGUGUGGAAAUAUGACAAUAGCUAGCAUCACAAUUAAAAUUGUUACAAUUCAAUUCCAUCCGAGUAGCAUUAUCAAAUGUAUGUAUUUCACAAAAACCACAACCACUCAUAAUUAAUAACAUGAGGUCUUCAUCAUAAGUGUGAAACCAUAUGUUCAGUUUUCUUUCUGGAACUAAUUUUUCUUAAGGUUAGCUAUAAUUGACUGAUCCUUCACUUUUCGUUCCACGGUUCCACCAACCAACACCAAGUCCCCGAUAUGAUAUCCAGUAUUUCGUAUUUCAUUGAUUUAGAUUCUGACAGCAUACAUAUCAUCAUGAUGUAAGAAUCUGUUGUUCGUUUUAGAUGCUCCGGUAGCUGUGUCGUGGUAAUAACCAUGUAGGUUGUACGAUUUUCAACUGGGAUAGCGAGCAUUGAUUAUUGUUGAGGGGACAGAGGUGAACACGGUUGAAUGUUGGAUGCAGAUUAGAACAUGUUAUUGUUGGUCAAUAAAGGGAGCAAUAAUAUCAUUGGGCUUGUCUUUCAAAAUAUUGUACAAUGCGAGUCCCAGAUACUUAAGAAGUUUAAAAUGAAAGUUGCAAAUAGUAAACUUAGAAAUACAAAGAAAUUAUUGUAUGAAAUAUUUGGCUAUCCAAGGACUAGUUUCUGCAUAUUCGGCCGAUAAAGUGCUAACCGUCCCUCAAUCACCGAAAAUGGUCAAAAAAAAAAAAGGCAGCAGUGAUGUUCUGGACUUAAUUUUUAAGAAAUACCACAACAGUAAAUUCAAACUUAGAUUAGUUGUUUUGUUUGGGGUUGUAGUGGACAUAGCUUUGGUGAUCUCAGGUUUCAUGUUGUCAGAUAAAUGACUAUUUAACAAAAUUUUCACAUGCAUCAAUUUUUCCUUCUGACCAAACCAAAAGUUCUUGACAGUGGGGUCAGGGGAUUGCAGUUUAUUUCAAUCCAAUUGUUCUGUCUUUCUCAUGUUUGUAACGGGUAGACAAAAACUGUGGUAAUGACUGAUGGAAGCCCUCAACAAGAAAACUAAUAGAAAUUGUGUGAUCAAAGGUGUUUAUGGUCAAACAUACAGUAGGGAAAAGGAAGGGUAUCCCAACUUCUGUUCAUCUACAAAGUGAACUAACCAACUAUCUACACGUUGCAUGUUUUUACUAUGUAUGAAUUGUUUUGGAAUAUAGGCUUUCACAAGUUCCAUUAUAAGUGGGAGAUUGAGGAUAUAUUUCUUUCUCAUCAGAAAGACUGGGUGCUAUUUCUUCUGAGAGAUAGGUCAAUGAUAGACAGAUCUAAUCCAUGAGCAAGUACCAAAGAUUUUUUUUCUUUUCUCACUCUAAACCUUUUGAUGAUGGGAUUGUAAUCCUCAUCAUACUCCUCUCCUUCCUAACUUUUAGCCAGUGGAAAUGUGGGAUCAUGUGCUCCAUCUUCCAACAAUUUUUUAUUUUGUUUUAUCGUAGUUUGCCUCCACAGGUCAACCAUAUUCCUAUUCUACCAUUUUCUAAAGAAUAUUAGCAUUUUUACCACAAAAAUAUUAUCUUAGUAAGAACUUUCAUUUACUAGUGGAAUAAGUGAAUUACACCUGCAUACUGUUUCAUUAUCUUGUAGUCGUGGUAAAUCGAAAUUUUGAAGUCAUAUUCAGACACAAGUUAUUUUCUUUCACUCACAGGUUAUUGUAUCUUAAAUUACUGCCUAUGUGAGCUUCUUCUUGUUCUCCAUUUUACAGGAAGAAUUCCAUUUCUUGGACAAUUGAGUGGCGAUUUCAUUCUACAGAUGUGGUUCUAAUUGAUAAGUGGUGAGCUAUAAGCCUGUAUUAAAUUAUGAAAGCUGUCCUCAUGUUAAUAUUACCUACCCCACCCUCCUCCUCCCCACACAAACACACACACCAGAGUCUUUUUUCGCUUGAUGGGCAAGUAAUGAGCACAGCAUUUUUAACGUUGCUGUUAGUCCGAGAACUAAUACAAGGAAUCUGUGUGUUUGAUUUUGAUGCAGGGUAGACGAAAACCAGAGCCUCUGCUCAGUAAUAGAGAAGCAUCUCAAGCCUGGUCCAUGGAGUAAUCAACUUAAACCAUUUCUUAAGCAGCAGUUAGAUUCUCUCAAAUUCUUUAUCCGCAAAAAUGCAAAGGUAUGGUGUUUUGGAUUUGAUACUUUUCUCAAUAUUAAUUGAUCCCAAGGUUCUCUCAAGUUCUUUAUCAUCAAUAUUCUCCUAGAUAAUAUUAUUGGGCACAUGAUUAGGUUACCCAUGGCAUCGCUCCUAGGGAAGUGGUUUAAAGAUAGGUUUGUGGUGUUUUAAAGGGUUUCUGUUGUUGCCUCUCAAUAUUAAAAAAAAUUGCUGCCCAUCUUUUCUCCCCCCUUCUCUCUCCCUCCUUUCUGUGCAUUACAUAUAAAAUUGUGCCCUUCUAUGUAUGAUAGUUGAGUAUUGUUGUAAUUCUUUGGGUCAACUAGGCAUUUCAGCAUUUGAUAUUGAAAGUGCUACUACUAUAUUACUUGCCCAAACUUGUUAUGUAAACCGAUUUAAUGUUGCCAAUUUCUUGGGUGGACACAUUCCAUUAGCAUUGCAUGUGCUUUAAAUUCCAAUGCAAAAUAUGAUUUAGUAUUCCUUUUAUAGGGCACUAAAUCACCUUUCCGCGAGUUGGACUUGAAGACCCCCUUAAUACAACAGUUGGCCAAUACAAUUAUCCUGGAGUAUCCUGUCAUUCAUGUUUUCCCCCCCUCAGCAAGUCAUGAUUUUGAGAUCGUUAAAGACAUGGAUCAAUUAUCCGAGAAGUCUGAGCCUAAGGAGCCUGUCAGUGAUGAUCUGCCAAGCCCGAAAGGUGUUCUAUUCAGAGAGGAGGAAGCAGAAGAUGACAUCUCAGAUCCACAUAUCAUAGAUCUUUUGAAGUGUGUGAACCCAGAACUUGCUGAUAAAUCUAGAUUUGCCAAUGCCUUGAAACCCUCAGCGAAGGAGUUGCAGGAGCCAAACAACGAUGAUUAUGAAGGAUUUGAUUGGACCGAACUAGAAGUUGCUGAAGGUCUUAAUUUCAAUUUUGAGCAAGACCUGAGAGAUGCCUUCUCAGGUUUUAUUGAUGAAUUCAACCCAGACGAAUUUCUUGACUUUGGUGGGUUUGUAGACGAAGAGUUAACAAUAGCCGAAGAAUUAGAAGAAGGAGAGAUUCCAGCAUUAUAAAGCUUCCUUUUGAAUUCAGAGGACAUGCUUUCUGCGGUCAAUAGGGAAAAUGAGAUGCUCCUCUGCAUGGGGAGCAUGGUUGUUUCACAGCAUAUUUAUUCUUGUGAAUGUUUUCCACCCCUUUUCUCUAUAACCUGAAAGGUUGAGAACCCAGUUUUGAUCUUUGAUUCAUCCAGCAAUUAAGCUGACCAUCUCAUAAUCUAACUAAAGUUAGAUGAGUGUUUAAAUUUUAUGAUUUGUUGUUUCAGUUUUGGUGGUGCAAAACCUAAUAUUUACUGUUGGAAGUACAUUAUAUGAAUGAAAAUAAAGGAUGAUUGUUCUGACGCAUCAUCUGCUAGAAGCGUUGUAUAGAUUCAGAUAACUACAGCAAGCAUAUAUACUGUUGGAAGUACAUUAAGCCAUUUGCAGCUAAACAGCAACUACAUUAGUCCAAAUAACUACAGACAGAUAAAACCAACCACACGCAAUAUGCCAAUACCUAGAGAAUAUGGAUAUGCUUAGCGGUAGAUUCAGAUUGCUCGUAGUGUGUACCGCAGUCCGCAGGUAAUCCUUGAGAGUAACUGAACUGUCAAUAAUACUAGAGAGUUCAUACACCAUUCCGAAAGUAACAACCCUAUACACUUUGAUCGUGCACUCCAUUCAAUUAGGUGUAGUGAAAGUUGAUAUUUCACCACUCACCACAGGUCGAACAACUGUUAAUCUCCAAAGUCCGUCGAAAGUACAAGAAUCAAAUUUUUGAAUGAGAAAAAACAAAUGCACCUAACAAUUUUACAAAUUUGGAAUGAUGUGUGAUUUACACUUCGAAACUAGUUCUAUCAAUUCCGGUAAAUCUAAUCUGAAUCUGAGAGUAAGUGGUCACUUUAAGACUUCUUUUGACACGUACAGUAAUAAUACAUUGGAGCACCAUCAAAGUGGCAUUCACACUGGCAUCCAUGUAACGCCUCAGCCAUCUUAUUACCUAUAUACAUCUACACUUGUUCACCUUUCUUCCACAGCUCAAUGUCUGCAACCAUGUCAAUUCCUACUCUAUUCCUCUUUCGCUUCUUGUUAACAUCUUUCUUAACCAUUUCCAUCUCCGAUUGUGCAUCUACUUCUUCUCAUUGUCAUCCCCAAGACUACAAUGCCCUCUUGCAAAUCAAGAAAGCUUUCAAUAAUCCUAAAAACUUGACAUCAUGGGAACCCAACACUGAUUGUUGUCAAUGGCAUCACAUACAUUGUGACCUCAAAACAAACAGAGUCGACACAGUCGAAAUCACAACUGGCAUACGCCAUUCCAAGUAUGGCUACCUUUCUGGUGUGAUUUCACCUUCUUUUGGCGAUUUGUCAUAUCUAAAAGUAUUAUACUUGGAAAGUCUCAAUAUCACAGGUGAAAUACCUAUAUCCAUCACUAAGCUCAAGAACCUUGAAUACCUUUUACUGAAGAACCUUAACCUCCAAGGUCCAAUACCCACUUUUCUCGUUCAACUUUCUAAACUCUACUACCUUGACCUAGCUUACAACCAUUUCACUGGCUCCAUCCCACCAAUAUUUUCUAAAUUCACCAAACUUCAAGGGCUCGAACUAAGCUUCAACAAGUUGACAGGAAACAUCCCUGAAUCCUUCGGGCAUUUUGUCGGAGUUGUACCAAAUCUCCAUUUUACUAACAAUCAACUCACAGGGUCCAUUCCUAAAUCAUUUGCCAAAAUGAAUUUUGAGAUGAUUGAAUUUGGUGGAAACAACCUAGUUGGUGAUGCAUCAAUGUUGUUCAAAACAAAUGGGUAUUCUGAGUAUGGUUAUGAUAUAGAUUUGUCUAGGAACAUGUUUGAAUUCGAUUUUUCAAAUAUAAAGUUCCACAAAGACUUGAACUCGUUGGAUUUGAGCCAUAACAACAUAUAUGGGAGUGUGCCGAAAGAUCUAGCUAUGGUCAAGGACUUGCAGUUUUUCAAUGUGAGCUACAACAGGUUAUGUGGAGAAAUUCCUACUGGAGGUCAAAUGAGCAAGUACAAUUCCUCUAGUUAUAUUGGCAACAAGUGCUUGUGCGGUUCGCCAUUGCCAGUGUGUUAAUUGAUCGAUCCAGGGUCUGUCUGUUGUUAAAGUUUAUGUGACUUGGCUUGCUGUGUUGUUUGAAUAAGUGUAAAAAAAAAAAAAAAAAAGCCAGUGUGUGUUUGUUCUUGACUAGGAGUCCUAGCUAGUGAUCAGUAUGUGGUGUAUGCUGAUUUACUAGUCCUAGUGGUCAAUUGAUCGUCGUGUAUCCAUGCAGUUUAGUUGGCACUGGCAGUAAUGCAGUAUGUUAUGUUUAUCUAUGUGAUCUUGUUUAAACAUUUGAAUGAAGUAGAUGUUUCAAGUGAUUAUUGGCGUGUUUUUCUCGCAAAUUAACUUCUUUAAUUUUAUCUACUGGUUUGAAGAAAUGUGUUACAGCAUACUGCACAUAUCAAUUACCUUCUUCUCUCUAUAUUAUAUGUGUAGCUUACUUGCAUGUGGGUGUGUACACCCAAUCACAAAAUGCCAUGUGGCAAUAAUAAUAUAACCUAGUAUGAGUUUAGUUAUAACCCUAGUGGACUUGAUCAGUUUUCCAACCACUUUAUAGACACGUGGCAUCAUAUGAUUGGGUGUACACACCCACAUAACUUUAUAGACACGUGGCAUCAUAUGAUUGGGUGUACACACCCACAUAGAAGUUGGCUACACAUAUAAAAAUUUUUGCUUGUUCCAUUAUUGCAGAGAGCUCGCAUGGCCCAAUAAAAUGUGUCUAAUAGGCCCAUGGAAAUGUUUACAGUUGGCCCAUAUCUUGUUGUGCGCAGCGGAAGCUUAUGCACCAAUACCAAAAUUGAAAUAGUGUGUGAAUCAAACAAAGCAAAAACAAAACAAAACAAAACACAAGAUUUACGUGGUUCGGCUAAUAUUGCCUACGUCCACGGACAAAACAACAAUCUUCCAAAUAGAGACGAUUAUACAAGCCCUCACGAAGAAACCAAAGUGUUCUUCCUCACAAGAGUUCUCUCAAACUCACCAAUGGCUUCUCACAAUCUCUCUCUCACAUGAAGAUUAGGUUUUCCAACCUUCUCAAUUGGCUUUAUAACAUAGCCAUACAAACAUACACGAAAUGGGCUUAAACAGGCCCAUAUGCACAAAUCAAAGGAGGACGUACGUACGUCGAAUACACGUUCGUACGUUCAGCAAAAAACCAAACAUCUGUGAUACGGGACGUACGUACGUCCUAACUACGUACGUACGUUCAGCAAAAAAACCAAAAAUCUGUGAUACGGGACGUACGUACGUUCCCAGCAAAAAACUUCUCUUCGUCCAAAAAAUCCAACAUUUAUUGCUCUUGGUUCAAACCACCAGAAGGUUUUGUGAAGGUUAACUCAGAUGGCUCGGUUACAAAAUCUAGAAAUGGAUAUGGCGGUGUGAUUCGAGACAAUGGGGGAGAUGUUUUACUGGCAUAUGCAGGGGCAAGCAAUCAACAAUCAGUAAUUACUCAAGAAUUGAAGGCCAUCUUGGUAGGUCUCAAAGGCUGCAAAAUGAUUCAUAAGGAGAAAGUAAUAGUUGUUGUAGACUCAUUACAAGCAAUUCAUGCUGCAAGGGAAAUUAGAGCCUCCUUGGUACUGUCAGAAUCUGGUUGGUGAAAUUAGACACUACCAAAACUCAUUGGAUACUGUUUUGUAUAAACAUGUCUACAGAGAGUCCAACGGAGUUGCUGAUUUUUUGGCUGGAUUAGAUGUUGAUAUAGGAGAGUACUACUUUAUUAACCCUAUGUGUAAACAAUUGGCUGAUCUUGUAAAGGAAGAUACUGAUGAUAUCAUUUUGAUUAGAUAUUAAUACAGGUGGGGUCUGCCUAACCCUAUUAUAUGGUUCAAAAAAAAAAAUGUUUUUAUAUGUUGCUCUAUAAUGAAACAGACUAGUGUGUUAGCCACUUAGCCGGAGCUACGUGUCGGUUAAUUGUAAUUUAACAAUGUGUGAUUACCAUUCUAGUUUUAAGUUAUUAAUUUUAUUUAUAAGUCGGUAAAAAUUAUAAAUUAUACUAAUUUAUUAACUCUUAUGGAAUAAUUAUUUCUAAAACAAAUUUGGGUAUUUUUUUUAAUAUUUUAUUCAUUAUUAUUAAUUCUUAUAAUUUUUUAUUUUUUAUAAAAAAAUUUAAAAUUAAUAUUCUUAUAAUAUUUUGUUAACUUAAUUGUCUUUUUAAUUAUUGGGCUUUUUACUCAUAAAUAAAAAAAUCUAUCCCAUAAAUAAAAAUAUGUUAAAUUACAAUAAGACCAUUAUUUAAAAAGUAUUAUAUAAAUUUGCCAGAAAAAAAAAACAUGACUAAGAGAGUAUUUUAGUCAGAAUUAUGUGACAAAAUUCUUAAGCUCAAUUCUUAUUAACCGGGACUUACCCCUGACUUUUAUUCAUGUUGAAUUUUGAGAUAAUUAAUUUUUGUGGAUACAAGCUAGUUGGUGAUGCGUCAAUGUUUUUCAAAACGAAUGAGAAACAUGUUUGAAUUCAAUUUUUCAAAUAUAAAGUUCCACGAAGACUUGAACUCGUUGGAUUUAAGUCAUAACAACAUACAUGGGAGUGUGCCGAAAGAUCUAGCUAUGGUGAAGGACUUGCCAUAUUUAAAAUUUUCAAUGUGAGCUACAAGCCUACAACAGGUUAUGUGGAGAAAUUCCUACUGGAGGUCAAAUGAGCAAGUUUAUAAUUUAACCAUGUGUGAUUACCAUUCUAGUUUUAAGUUAUUAAUUUUAUUUGUAAAUCAGUAAAAAUUAUAAAUUAGACUAAUUUAUUAAAUCUUAUGGAAUAAUUAUUUUUAAGACAAAUUUAGGUAGUUUCUUCUAAUAUUUUAUUUAUUAUUAUUAAUUCUCAUAAUUUUUUAAUAUAUUUUAUAAAAAAUUAUUAAAAUUAAUAUUCUCAUAAUAUUUUGCUAAUUUAAUUGUCUUUUUAAUUAUUGGGCCUUUUGUUCAUAAAUAAAAAAAUUCAUCCUAUAAAUAAAAAUAUGUUAAAUUACGAUAAAACCAUUACUUAAAAGAGUAUUAUGUAAAUUUACCAAAAAAAACUAUAACUAAAAAGGAUAUUUUACUCAAAAUUAGGUGACAAUUCUAGAGCUCAAUUCACAAAUAACGGAGACUUACUCUUGAAUUUUAUUCAGGUUUAUAAUAAUAUUUUUUUUAGAUAAGUUCAUAAUUUAUUGAUAUCUAAAAAGAGUUACAAGCCUGAUCAGCACAUAAUCAGUAUGUCGUCAGGUUGGUGGAACACUGGUGAAACAGAAUUUCACCUAAAAAAUAAUAGAUAGAGUAAUAUGAUACACGAAUAAUUAAUAAUCCCUCUUAAUUAAUAGAAUUUGUCAGUCCCAAUUUGGGCUAAUGUAUUAAAUUAAUAAAUUCGUUAAAUUUAUAAAUUAAUAAUGUAUCAAAAGGUACAUAAUUUUGUACGGUGUUUUCUUGAGAAAUGAUCUAUUAUUAAUUGUUUUGUGUUGAAUGUCUCAAAUCUAAUUAUACGAGAACUCGAGAAGUCCUAGUGUUGUCUUUUCAUAUCAUAAGCUCGUUAGUGUAGUUGUCGUUGUUAGUGCUUCUUUACGUGAAAAAUAUAUGCAUUAGAUACAUUGUACGUGUAUUAUGGUUGUACAACCAACCAUCAAUUGUUUAAGCUAAAACUUUAAGCUAAAACUAAUGUAUAUAAAUUAGAACUUAAAAAAUAUAGAUAAUUCGAUAAAUUAAUUUAUAGUUUAAUUAAUAUUACACUAAAUUAAUAGAUUUUAUCGGUCCCAAGCCUAUUAAUUUAUAUGGGUUAUAUUGUAGUAGUAUAAAUAUAAAUGUGAUUAUGUGAAUGAAAGAGAUGAAAGAAAACCCGACAUGAUUCUGCCAAAGCUAUAUUUAUCCACAGUAAAAGCAGCAAAAGAAGCUUGGAAUAAAGAGAGAGAGAGAGAGAUGCCAUAGUUCAUGGUUGAUGUCCCAAAGUACUUUUCGGAGUCUUAAGAACAUCCAAAAACAAAAGCAUGACUAUAUGUCCUACACUAUUGGGACACCUUAGUCCUUAGUAGCUAAGGAAAAUGACUUGGCCUUGAAGAGGAAGGGUUAAUGCAUGUAGUAGUCUAGUAGACAAGACAAGUAGUACACAAUGUAUUUGAACUUUUCAGAUUGUUCUUAGAUCAUUGUUUUUGUUUCUAACUGCUGUACCAUUUGAAGUUGUCAGACACUCAGACCAUACAUAUAAGCAGGCAAAUGAUCUACUGAGUUUGGACUAAAAUUAACUUUCUGACAUUUUAAUUUUAAUCUACUGUGGCCUAAUAAUUAUUCAAACGACUUCAUCAGAUAUUGUGUACAUACUACACAUAGGUUGGCAUUGAUUUCAUGUUCAUAACUACGCAACACAACCAGUCGAAAAAGUUGGGAACCAUGCAUCAUAUCGUAAUGCUUUGUUUUAAUACAGUUGUUAUGUUGUACGUCAAAGGAAUCGGUCAUCAGUUCUUCUAUGGUAUAGAUCGAUUCAUCCUUUUUGUGCUUGAACCAUGACCCAAGAGCUAGUCUAUGAGCAAUAGUUGUCCUUAGAAAUUUUGCUCAUGCAUUGCGUAAACUUACUAUUGUACUUUGAACAUGGUAUGAAAUGUUGAUGUGGGUGAUGUACUGUGGAUCCAUGAAAAAUUGAAAAUAUACAUAUCCGGCCAUGACGCAAUUUCCAAAUGCAGAUUAUAACCUUCAGUCUAUCACCACUUCGAUUUUGGAGUUUGGACUAUAAUCAUUAUCCUAUUAAGCUUAAGUGCACCUCUUGUUUACUAAUGAAACUGAUCGACUCCUCCAGCAGUUGAUAAACUUUAAUUCAGCAAUUUGAUGACAUUUUGAGAAGACUCGGCAAAUAAAAUUUCUGGCAUUUGGUCAUCUCGUGUGAAACGAUUGAAAUACAGUUACGAUCAAUGGGAGCAGUUAGUAUGAUAUGCAGUCAGUAGGUGUGUCAUUAGGCAUUUAGCUAGCAAGGGUGAUGCGUGUCUGUUUUGGUCAUGUCAUGUGUUUGUGGAACUGGAACGUACAGCGGAUUCAGCUUGCUUUAUCUUUCAUUAGAAUUAUUCUAGUUUCUUAUUAUCCUCACUAUAAGGAUAAUUCAGUGACUCACUUUUCUUUUUAUUUUUCAGAAUCUAAUUGCUUUUAUGUUUGGUUAAUUAUGUAUUUCAUAUGGAAUUGAAUAAACAAAAUCCCAUAUACUAUGAAUAUUACUGUGAUGUUCAUAUAUAUGGAAAUAUAGGCUAUACGAUCACUUGGAAGAAAAUCUAAUAAGAACAGAGAAGUAAAAGAAACAUGAAAAUUUAUGAGAUUAAAAUUGAACCAUUUCCUUCAACUCCCACAUACAAGAAAGUACGUAUUUCAAUCAGUAAACCUUAACCGCCUCUAGCUAGGUUAAUCACUCCUGACCCUUCCAAUGAAACACAAUACUAAAAUCAGAAAGCCUCUUAUUACAUGCUCCUCGCCAGCAUUUCUUGGUAUCUCCGAUAAGACUCUUGCUUCUCCAACCUGAAUUUUUCAUGACAACUUGCAAUGAACUUGUCGGCAAGCUUAUCAAUCUCAUCCACAUCUUCAGUACAAUUCUCAGGAACCUUUUCUUCAAGCCAUUGGAGGUAUCCAGAUAGUUGUGGACCUAAUCCAUCUUGACCAUAAUCCUCACCCUCGAGGGUUGCAUUCCAUGUCGAAUCAUAGUAGUCAUGUAUAGAAUGACAGUCAUCGACAACCACCUCUGGCUGAGGCAUGGGAAUAACAGAGUUAGAGCACCAAUUGUAGUGCAUUGUGAUUGUACUAAAAAACUUCUUCUUCUUCUUCCUUGUCUUCAUUUUCUUGAUUGUGUCCAAGUAUGUACUGGUGUCAUUGUUGCUUUCCUUGUCCUUGUUAAGAAGUUGCAUGACCAUAGACUUCAUUUUGGUCACUGCUCUUAGAACUUGCCACAUAUGUUGAAAGAUGUGAGAGUGAAGUAUAGUUUUGAUUUUCAUGGAAUUUGUUGAUGGAAAAACAUGCAGAGAUUGUAAGGAUUUCAAAUGGAAUUGGCCAACCAUUUUUAGGUUGGGGACUUCAUGGCUUUGUUCAACUUCUCUUUAUAAAGGGGUCCAAUUAUGUUAUUGCCAUAAGUUUUGAUCAAAAUAUCAUGAUUGCCCUCAAUUUAAAUUUUAAACAUUAGGUUAUUGCCUCUUUUCCUUUUCUUUUCUUUUGUCUUUUGUUUUGGUAGCGACCUAAGAUAAGGUAAAGAAACAUGAGAAAACAGAAUUUUUGGGGCAUUUGGAUGUAGGGCCAUUCAUCUUUGACCUGCUCAAGAUCUAACUAGGACUACAUUAUCUUAAAUCAGUUGGUUUAGUAUAAUUAAAUACCAAUGUAUUAUUAAAUUCAGAUUAGAUACUUCUAAUAAAUUUUAAAUUAUAUAUCAAAUUCCUAAUGGCCGAAAUAUUUUUCAACGAUCUAACAACUCCCACCCUUUUAUUUUCAUGCUAAUCCGUAAAUUUUAUAAAUAAUCUAACAACUCCCAGCCAGAAGAUAAUUUUUAAACUUAUUUAGAACAAUUAACAUAUGUUAUAUGUAGUAUGGUACUUGGUAAUACCUCAGUUCAAUUGCAAUCAAAUCGUGCCAAAUAUCUUUCAUAUCAUUUUACUAGUAAAAUGUUGAUCACCAACUUAAAGACUUGGUUAUGUUUGGAGUUGAUUCAAUCAAAUCUCCCAAGUAAAUGUCAUGAACAAAUGCAUGAUCCACAAGGAAGAAAUAAUGGAAUGUUGGAGAUGCUUCUAACUGACAUGAGCACCACUUUAAUGUGUGGACUAGAGAUAUGUUCAAUCACUGUGAAGAUUGGAAUACAUCACUUUUCUCUUUUAAUAUUCUCUUGGACUUGAUUGUCAUUAUCAGAGAAACCAACCUGAUCCAAACUGAAAUAUUGAACAGCAGAUUGAGAUUCGAGAUCUACCAAGCAAGGAUUAAAUACCAAACUUCCAGGCCUUUCUAAAUAUUGAUCUUAUAAUGUAUAUAUGUUAUGAUAUGAUUGAUUCAUUCAAAAUGUUACAUUCCUCACCUAAAUGCUGUUAGUUAAGGAAGCAAGCAAGGCCUUGCACAGGUGAAGCAAAGCUACACAUCCUGCCAGCAAUAGACAUACCAGGAACACAUGGGCAACAAAGGAGGUCAAGAUCGCCAACAAAUUUAUAACAAAUUCUGACAUUAAACUUACAUUCUCCCAAGGUACAUGUCAUGCAAUCUUGAUGCAUACAGGCAGAUCCUGUGAAAAAUGAGUUUUACGACUCAAAAAAGGUGGUAGAAGUUUUACAGCUCAGGCCUCAGGGUAUCCCUGAAUUAUCGAGAAUAGCCUGAAGUUGACUUUUCAAAUAAUUAUGGCCAGUUCAUAAUAUUUAUUAGCAAAAUUUCAAACUGCAAUCGAACAAAAAUAUAUACUAAUGGAAAAGUACCGCAAAACUAAGCAUGGUCCGUUGGGCAUCGGGUUAAAAAUUCCAGCAAGUACUUUUGAGGCAAUAAAUGCAGGCCAAACCAUUAGUAAUCAUUUCCGAGGUUCUCUGCAUCACUAACACACAAUCUCAAAUCAAAGGUAUCAUUUCAGAAACAGCAAUAUUCUCAUACCCUAACAUCGAUACCCAUCAGCCGAUACACCACAUAUCAUCCAACUUUUCUGACCAAUGUAUACAGGAGAAGUCUCUUCUUCUCAGACCACUUGUUCCUUCCUUACGUGGAUUUCAGCUUUUCUUCUGAAAUAAGCAAUCCAAAAUUUAUAAACUCCGAUAAUCUAUGACAGUGACUUCGUCUUCAGGGGCAUCAAGGUCUUGAUAACUGCAGCAACAAUGGAAAGGCAUUCAGUAAGUCUAACCUAUAUUUGACACACAUUUGCAGGAACACACAUAUGCACGAAAACACAAGCGCAGACGUUAUAGUUUCCUUAUCAAGAGUAGUAGAUAUUUGAGGAUAUAAAAGAGUUCUCGACUAUCAUAAUAGAGGGAUGUAACCUGUUGUUAGAUUGGUCAACCACUUAACAUCCAUGUAAUGGUGUUUACUGUUUACCUUCUUAUGCGUCGAGGAUCCUGUCGGAACGCUGGAGAUACACCAAGCAUUGGCCCAGGCCCACUCACCUGAGGGCCAUUCCUCCCUUUCCUGCCAUUACCUUCGAAAGGGGAAGGACCACCUUGCUCCCUCAGCAUUCUCAUUGCAACUUCAGGUGGGGCAGGAACAAAUGGUCCCAAUGGACUGCAGAAUUUACCAAACACAAGGUUUCAGCAAACAGGAAUAAACACCAUACCCAAAGUCUUAAAAUACAAUGCACAUAAAGACCUACCCAGCACCAGGUACUGGCAUCAAAACUGGUGGAGGAGGAGGUAUAUCAGAAGGAAAUGGGGGAGCAGCACGCAUGCCUUGCCCAGCAAAAUUAUCAUACAUGGGAUCAUCCGGCUUACGUCCUUCAGGAUCAUCUUUCUUGGUUGGAAAAUCUCGGGAUGGUGAAUUCUCAUUCCUAUCAUACCUUUCAUCACCAUCAACUCUAUCAGCCCUUUCAUGCUCUCUUCGAUUACCACGGUCAUCCCUCAACCGAUUCUCUAAUACAGGCCUACGUCUCUGUGGUUUUUCUUUCUGCCAAAGGAUAAAAUAACCAAAACUUAGUAUUUUGGUAUCCAUCUAAAUAAAAUCUAACGAAUAAAACAUGCAUAUUCAACAAAUGAUAUAGAAAAGGUCAAGUAGAACAAUACAAAAACAGAUUGCACAGAAGCAAAGCAGGGUUGUUUAAAGAUAAUUUAUCUCAGACAGAUGGAUUGAUAGUGAUGUGGUGAUUGAAGUCACGUUACAUACUUACUGUGCCUCGUUUCUACAAUUUUAUGGUGCUGAUACUAGCUUUAUCAAUUUUUCACCCCAACCCCCAUUAAAUCCAAUAUAUAUAAAAUAAUGGACUCGUGCAGGUGGGUAUGUUUUCUCCCUCUUUCUCCAUUUAUCUGUUUCAACAUAUUUUUUCAGUGUUGGUGUGUGUGAUGGAAGAACUAGCAAGCAUGAGCAUCAAAGUGGGUAUUUAUUUACACAUGAGAACUAAAGCAACUCAUGAGCUUAUUUUGUUGUAGCUUUACUUGUCAGUAUGUGCAUGUUUGCAUGUAUUUUAUUGGUCAGGUGAAUUAUACCGGAAGAGGUUGCUGCAUGAUUGGUGUCCCACCUGGUGCAUCUGCAUCACUGCAAUUAAAACAAGUCCAAAAAUUAACGCACAUAGACAGGCACAAGAAAAUACGUAACCGAUAAAAUAAGAAAUAAGAAUACAACACUUCUACAUACUUCAUGUAGUUCUGGAAAUAGAGAUCUUCACGAAGUUUCAAUGUCAGCUCCAUCACAAGCUCUGGAUGUUUCAAUCUCAAAUGCUUAUGCACAAACUCAGAAGCAUGGAAUAGCUUUGUGCAACCCUUGGCUCCACAACCAUACUUCCAACCAUACUUCUCAUCCCUAAUUUUCCUAACAUAAGGAUCCAACACUUCACCAGCAGCAGUUUCUAUCUUCUCCUUGGCUGUCAUUAUUUCCAACGGAUCCCGACCUUGCAACCUCCCUUGCAAAAAUGAAUCAAGCUUCUUCUCCCAGUCAGCCCCAGCAGUAUUUGUAUCGUCAUAAUUCUUGCCCUCCAUCCUCACAUGCCGAAGGCCUUUAGCUUCAUUUGUCUCGAUCAUGCCAUAGUAAUCCACACCAUGAAUGCGCCAAAGAUAAGUAAUAAGUGUAUCCAAUAGUUCAAUGCCUUCCAGGCCCUUGACAGAGGUCAGACCUUGUACAAUAACAAUAGGACCCAUGGAACCACCAUGAGAUUUCUCAUUGUUAUGUUUCAUAUUCCAUAACAUGUUAUCCUCCACCCCUUUUUCUUUGUCAAGUUUACAUAAAAGGGCAUGAGCUUGUUCAAUGUCAUCUUGGGAUACGUCUUGGUUCAGAGCUGAUGGGGUGGAGCCUUAGGAGCGGCUGAAGAGAUCAUUUUCUUUUUGUCGGGCCCCUCCCAUGNNNNNNNNNNNNNNNNNNNNNNNNNNNNNNNNNNNNNNNNNNNNNNNNNNNNNNNNNNNNNNNNNNNNNNNNNNNNNNNNNNNNNNNNNNNNNNNNNNNNUCUUCUGAGUUAGGAUCACUUGCCUGUCCAGAUUUCCCUGAUGCUAUAGCAUUAAUACCUGGACCUCUGCAGUGCAAAAAAAUAGAAUGAGCUUUCACACGCUGCAAGAAUGUAGACAGAUAAAAGGCUAAAGAAUAGAACUUACAAAUCCAAAGUUCCACUCUGCAAAUCAAGCAAGAAGUCCUUUGCAAUCUUUCUAGCAUGCUCAUUCCUCCUAUAAUGUUACACACAGACAGAAGAGGUAGAAACUUAAAGCUAGAUAAACAUUCACCAAUCAAACACUUCACAUAUUUAUUGAACAUGCAGGUAAGCAGACCUCACCUUUCUAUGACUGUUAGUAAAUUGGUAGGAUGAUACUUGUCUCUCAGCCUACAUUCAUUAGAGCACUAUGUUACAUAUAAAGUUAUAAACCAUACCAAUGAAAGAUAUUUAGAACUUAAAACAAAGAAAAAUACUUACCAGUCCUCAUCUUUAUGGGCAUCGAAAUAAGCACGCUUUUGAGUGGAGAUGUACUCUGAUCUGUACUCUUGAUAUCUACAUGAAGUUUAACAUAUGUCAAACCACGAUAUACACAACUAGACUAUACAACCAACUGCGAUGCUCAUACGCACUAUAUUGUUGCUAAAUUAACAACGGCUCAGUGCAUUGAGUACCUGCGCUCAGCCUCAGCUGGUAGGAUGUCAUCUUCCAGCUCCUGAAUGAAUUGCUUGUAUGACAUCAAGCCUUCCCUGAAAGAAUUCACUUACCAUGUCAUUUUUCUAUCUUCAGAAUUAAAAGCCGAUAAACAUCACAUAUUAAAAGAGAUACAACACUAAUUAAUACCAUUCAAGCAACAGAAGUCAAACCACAAAAGUUUACCUGCACACUCAUGUUAUAUUUCUAGAGGCGUCUAAUAUUUUAAUAGCUAGAACUACUUGCUACACCCUAGGUAUUCAUAAACAAACAUAGUCUCCCAGGCAAGUAUCAUGGAAAAUGUCAUUGAAAUGAUAUAAGCAUAUACACAGAAGCGAAUGUGAGCAUAGCUGAACUGUAAAGAAACCUAUAUCUUAAUCCUGAUUUAUUCCCAGAUCUGAACUCCCAUGGGAUGUCAUAUGUUUCACUGAGAAAAGGAAAUCAACCUUGUGGGGGCAAGCAAGUAGUUGAGCUUGCCACUUUACUUUCACAAAGAAUUGAGGAAGGAAUUCUAGCUGGCUUAGUAGCUGAUGAAAACUAACCGUUCUAUACAUGCUUAUUAUAAUAUAAUCCAAAAAAUAGGGAAAAUAUAUUGGGAUAAGGAAAAUAGUGAGGUUAUAUGUGUUUACUAUUUCACAUUCGUUUUAAUAUAGUGUAAACUAAGCUAAAAGAAGCUUGGCGUGAAGCCUAAAAUAAUCUCUAAAAGCCUUGCCGCAAGGAAUCCACUGAUCCACAUAAGCCUCAAGCUGUAGGUCUCCGUGAAUUUGGGAUAUUCUUCCCAUUCAUUGCUGGCAUUUUAAUGAUAUUGAAGCCAAAAUAUGAAAAAUAUAAACCAUACAAUGACCACACCACGGUGAAGCAAAAACUGAAGGUCAAUAGAAAAAAUCUGAUAUUUUGUUAAUUGAAAUAACCAUACAUGUUUUUGGUCAGCAUAAUUAGUAUAAUUAAUAAAUAUAACCAUUGUGUUAGAGAGACACACAACAAUCUAUCUUACAAAUUUGUUAUACUAAGGUAAGAAAAUUUGUCUCUAUCAUCCAACCGAACCCCCCAGCAAUUGCCUCAUGCAAGACUGUAUAACAACUCUAGACUAAAGAUUAACUUUAACACGUUCAAAUGCUACUAAAUUGAGAUGUCUCUAACCUUUGCGAACUCCCCGCUACAUUUGACACAUCAUUGAAAGCCACACGCCCUGAAUCCCAAUCUGUAAAAAAAAGACAACACAAAUACAGUAUGUUAGCCAAACCGUAAAAACGGUUAAAACUCUGUACAUUAUCCAUACACAUGUAACUGUUGUGCAAAAGGAAAUUUAUGUUAAGUGCUUUCUAAAUCGCAGACUCAAUUGUACAAUACUUUCAAACCAUGCCAGUGAAUGAUUUAGUCACAUCUUCUCAAGUCAACUUUAUCAUAUGACAGAAAUUCAACUCUAAAACUAAAUCAGAGUCCCAAACUAUGAGUAUCCAUCUUUUAAGGAGAAUAAGCAUUAAGAAAAGCUCCCCGGGAUUGUUAUGUAGCUUAUUUUUGAAUAUGUUACAAGUUAUUUCACCCAAAUGUUCCAACACAGGCAUGAAGUAUCUUCAAAAAAAGCUUCCACUUAAAAGAUUUGAACAUGCUCAAGUAUAGAUGGUAUCCUUAGUAACUCCUUAAGCAUUGCUGGCUGAAAACAUCUUCAAAGUAGCUCUAAAGACAGUGCCGACAAGUCAUAACAUGAUUUAGGAGUGAACAUCAUGUUCUUGUUGACCCAAUCCCUUUUAACAUUCACCUCCCACAAGAAGACAUGAGAAAAUCCAUGAAUCUGUUCAACCAGAAACUAAAUCUCAACCAUUCCUUCUAGAUGUGUGUCUCAUCAGUCUAACCAUCUUCUCAUAAUUUAAAUCAGGAAACAAAAUAUGAAAAUUAGAGCCCCACCGAAACACCGUUCCACAUAUAACCUUAACUCCAUUAUCUAUGUAACACUCUAUUUGUUUAAGAAUCACCUCGUAAUAGGUUACUAAUUAUUCAUAUCGACAUCCUUACAAUCUUAUGACCUGGAGACCACAUCAGGUUCACUCGAUACCAAAGGCUAUUCAAACCACAUAAAAUAGGUUGUGAUAGUCAAAAUGCCUUUUUGACUCCCGAAUAUAGGUGUGGCAUCAGUAAAGUCGUGGAACAGGAACAAGGAAACUUUCAUGUCCAAACUGGUUGGGACAUGGGAAUUUAUCGCCAUAAAAGAAAGAAAACCGGGCAGUUCAGACGUGUAACGUGUUUUAUCCAGUUCCUCUACCGUAGACACAAUCCUGUCCUUAUAAGAACACAGUCAAUUUCACAGUCAUGUGAUAUAGCAGGGAUGAUUGAAUUUCCAUCACAACGCAACUUCUCUCAAAAAGUUGCCAACCGCAAAGAGUAGCAGCUUAAUAGUUCAGACAUGAUUUAUCCAGCUUAAAAAUAUAGACAUGUGUUUUAUCCAGCUCUUCCAUCUAAGACUCACGUCCAUCCUUUCAAGCACAGAAUCAAUUUAGAAAAGUCUUUUACACAUCAAUGCAGGAUGAUUGCUUCCAACACAAAGCCAAUUCUCUCUCAAAAAAAAAAAUGCAAACUACCAAAAGUAGCAACUUAAUACAAGUUGAAAUGAGGAGGAAGGGGGGGGGGGUGUUUACCAUUAUCAACUUGCAAAAGUUGCCGGAAUGGUUUUUCAAAUGCCUCCAAUAUAUAACUAAUAGGUUUUAAAUCAUUAACAGAUGUCCCGGAUAGAGGAUAUAAAAUCCAAUCGAAAAAGGGCCAUUCCUUGACCACUGUCAUCUUCAUAAGUCCCAACAGUUAAAAAUGAUUUUAGGGAACUCCUUGGGAUUCGGUGCAUUUGUCCCUUUCCAUAUUAAGUAACUUGCUAAAUUCUAUCUCCCCAAAGUGGAUUUCCAAGUUGCAUGUCCUUCACCCCAAUGGACUCAAAAUCAAAACCUUCCAAAUUAGGUCUACAUUCAAAUAAUCUCCAUGAUUACAUAUUAACACACAGAAACUCAAAUCAAACAUCUUUUUCAUUGGAGCAGGAAUUAUAAGAAAGAAAAACGGGAGAGAAUAUUCCAGAGUAAUACAUGUCAAGUGAGAAAUUACCAGAAGGGCCACUCUGAUAACCCCCAGAUGAGCGAUUCAUGUAACGACCAUGUGGCCUAUCCUCGGCAUAACCAGGUCUGCCCCCUGCACCACCACGGUCGUAACCUCCAGCAUAAUCGUAACCAAACCUAUAGUAAGUAAUAAGAAAGUUAGAUCUCCAAAAUAAAGUGCCUGUAUAAAAACAAUAGAACUAGAGUCCAAAGAAUGAAGCUAAACACACAUUCUCACAUUAUUGUCCAAGUGAUGAAGAAAAGGAAGGAAACUAAAACUGAGAGACGCACAGCUAGAGAUGGAUAGAAGCAAAUCAAAGAAUAUGUAAGGAUUCUUCUGUCUAAAUCAUUCAAGCAGUAUGUAUGAUCAACAAAAAUAUGUAAGGAUUCUUUUUUUUUCUUCUUCUUCUUCUUUUGUUGUUAAAUCAAUAUUAUAAUUAUUUCUUGCAUCUACAAAUAAGGCCUCUUAUAAUUGUGCAUAUUCUUGUUUUGUCUCUCUUGGGGUCCAUAUUCAUCCUCAGUGGCUUUGUAUCCACCUUGUCUACCUCGCUGCACCUUCAAUUUAAAAUCUCGCAUGCAUGCAUUUGAUGUUCAUCACUUUCUAAGUUUUAUCAGGACUAGAAUAGUUCUCGUCAAAGAUCCCCCAGAAGAUUAACCAUUUCAUGUUGAAAUUGUUAAAAUGUGAAGAUCCUAAGACUUACCUAGAGAGGAACAACAUGAACAUUGGCAAGGACACAAACUACCAAGAGAUUUAAAUAUAAAUGGUUCCCAUAAUGUCUAUACUGAUCAAAAAAAUAUACGCUAAACCCUUAAAUUCAUCUCUAACUACCCUCUCGGAUCUCCUCUAAAUUCCUGGACCAAAGGAACAGACUAAACUGUUUCUAUUAGUGUACUUACUAAUUAACCCAAGUUCAAGCACCUGAGACGAAAGCUCUGUUCAAACUUCAGAGUUUGUGCUUACAAUGAGAUAGAAAAUGUCCUAAAACUAAUCAAUAUGACAAAGAGCGGAAAUUUAAUGUGGUAUUCUAAAAAACUAGUACAUACAGCAUUAGAAAUCCAGUAUCUUCGCGACUUUAUCCAUAAAACACAUUAAACAAAUUAAGGAAACCUAGAUAAACAAGCUGACCUUCUAUCAUCAGGUCCAAAACCUCCUCUAGGGCUCCUCCUCCGACCAUCAUAACCAUCAUCUCUACGAGAACGCUUAAAAGGCGGUGGAGAAUGUCGACGGUCACGAUAAGGAGGAGGACUAGGGCUAAGUCUUCUUUUAUAAUCUCUCUCUCUUUCUCUUGGAGGUGGAGGAGGAGAUCGAUUUCGAUCAUGAAAAUCACCACCACCACCACCACCACCACCACGAUUACCACGAAUAGGAGGAGGAAGACGAUCAAUAUCAAUAUCUCUCUCUUCUCUUCUCUCUCUUGAAUCUCUAUCUCUUCUUCUAGAAGAUGCAGGUGGUGGUGGUGGAAGAUCGUUAUCAACAGAUUUCUCUUUUCUUUCUGAUUGUCUUUCACGACGUCGAUCUAAUGUUUCAGCUGGCAUGUUCAUCACUUCUGCCAUCAAUUUAAAAAUCAAAAUGAACCCUAGAAAGAAAUUGAAUCGAAACUAAAACGAAUUCAAAACCCUAUGAAUUAGGGUUUUGAAAUAAUUUCGAAUGUGAAUUAAGAAGAUAAUGAACUUUUUCUUAUAACUCGCGAACUCGCUCGACCAGUCGUCUGACACAACGGGAUGAGUGAGAAAACCUAGUUGGUUACUUGGAAGAAAGCUGAAGAAGAUACCUAAAAGUUUUCUUUACUCUUACUGGAUAUUUUUUAGAUUAAUAUCUGCAACCAAGCCCACGAAUGCUGGGCUUCGUACAAACUCAUUUGGAUGGUUUUUAUCUUGGGCUUUAUCCUUUUACUUUUUCUUAUUGGAUAAGUAAAUAUUUAUUGAUGAGAAGAGAGAGGGAAAAAAAACAAGCACCAGUGGUCUGGUGGUAGAAUAGUACCCUGCCACGGUACAGACCUGGGUUCGAUUCCCGGCUGGUGCACUUUAUUUUAUUUUUUGUUAUUUAAAUUUUAUUUUUUGCUAUUUAAAAAAGACUUGCACCACCAUUUGUAUUCAUAAAAGCAUAUGGCCUUUAUUUACCUUCUAUCACACUACUAGCACAUUUCGACGUUCUCAACGAAUGUUGUUGUUGUUUAUUCAAACCUUCAAAACCAGGACGACAAUCACUUUCUAGAAUGAGUUGUAUAUAAUUUUUCUCCGUCAUCGUCUUCUUACUAUCAAUCCCAUCAUCUAGUGUGACAUUGUCUGAUUUCUCUUAAUUCAAGUUCGUUAGCAUUUUCUUGAACCUUUGAGCAACUUGAGUUAUGAGAGCUUUCAGGCAAUGUUACUUCUUGAUUUGUUCUUUGUCCAACUUUUUUGUUGAUCAUUUCCUCCUUCUUGAUAAGAAAAUCCAGUUUCAUUCACAUCUUGAAUAACAUUAAAUCUGUUAAUAUUUUGGAUCACAUCCUCGCUGGCUAUAUUGUUGUUUUUUUUCUCUUUGGUUUUUGUUCGAGUGUUUUUUAGGUUCCAGCCAUAUAUAUUCUUGGCCACAAGACUGAAAGUCUCCUAGUCUAAUGUUUGGAACUUUGGAUGGUGCAAACUAAGGAUUUCAGAUCGAGUUUUAGUUUUGCUUGAGAAUUAGGGAUGCAGAUUCAAGUGCACAUUUUCCAAUGACAUGGCCAAAAACUUGGCAAAUGGUCUAUAAAAAAGGUUUUUAAAUAUAUUCAAAAUUUACAAAUUGCAUACUAUAAUAUUACCACACAACUUUCAAAAUCCACAAAUGAGUCCUAUUAAUUUUGAUUGUGCGACUAUCGAUAUUUUUUAUUUAAAAAAAAAAAGUUCAAUGUCUUAAAGGACUAAUUAUUAUGGAUUUCGUUUAAUGUAUUGCAAAAGCGUUAUCAACUAAAUGCAUAAUCUUCGUCAUAUUUAAAAUGAUUUGAGCACAAAUGUACAACGCUUAAUUUAAAAACUUAAAUAAGAGGUCAAUUUUUGCAUGAUGAAACAGUGGUGUGGUUGGUGGUCUAGGUCGUUGAAAAUCACAUAACUAAAAUUGAGAGUAUAUAUAUUAUGAAGCUUAUUUUUCAUAUAUCACGUGAUUAAAUUCAAUGACUUUUUUAUAAAUAAUUAAUGUAUAUAUAAAAACCUAAAAAUAACCACUAUCAUCUCUACCGAGAGGGGCUUAUGUUGUAUUAGUUGAAAACAUGGUCAAAUAAAUAGCUUUUAAUAUAAUAUGUACAUAUCAUAUUAUUUUUUGGGGUAGGCAUGUAUUUUUUUAUAUGGCAUUUGUGUAUUUUUUUUGUAAAAUUUAAAAUUAGCAAGUACGUAUUACACUUCUUAUGUUGUCCCAUUAUGUGACACUUUUUCAACGUUCCCACUUGGCCUCUACAUUUACAUAUCCAUUAUUGCAAGGUUUGUUAAUUAGCUUAGUACUAACAAACUCAUCGUAUAUGAAGUUUCUAAUAUUCAUUUUAAUUGUGGUGGAAAAAGUAGCAGUUCAUUAUCAACUAGGCAUCCAAUUAAGAAAAGAGCAAAAAACUAGGUAAAUGCAUCUUCCGCAAGCUAGGUAGUGAGUUUUUUUAUUUUACAUUUACUUUUGCUACAUUAUCAACUUCCACUUAUUUGCCAUUUGUAUCUAUUUUAAAAAACAGUAAAAAAUAAUAUUUAUGACACGUAACAUAACAAUGCAUUUUUUCUGAUAACUUCAAAUAUGAAAGCAAAGCAAACUACUGCAGUGUCUUUGUAAUCAAUGUGUGUAUUAUAUAUGGAUGUUUGAUGCAAAGUGUUAGAAAGAAUACUUGUCUAUUACAUGUGAAAAUUAAGUCAUUUUGAUUGAUUAUAUAAUAGAUACAUACAUAUGAUUAAUAAUUUUGUGUGUUACUGGUUCAUACAUCUCUUCUGCGUGUUACUACUACUAAAAAAAAACAAAAGCAACAACUUGAUCACUGUUUACAUGUUUUAGUUCAUCUAAUAUAUAAACAAUGACCAAGUUAUUGCUUCUAAAGAGUUAAAAAUUAAUCAAAGUAAAUGUGCGCAUAUAUUACAAAUUACAAAUAUUUUGAUAGUGCUUGUAUUAUUAGAUGCUUACAUGUGAUGAUUUAUCAAAAUUUUAAAAUAAUUCAUUAGUAAUUAAAAGCACGAAAUAAAUUAUCAUAAAAAAUAUUUUGAUACGAAAGAUAUAGGUAGGAGAUGAUUUAACUUAUUGUCCCCAUCCAUAUAUUCUUAUUAUUCUUAUUGAUCAAUAUAUUUUUUGUUUGAUGAUAGUAGUGUUACGAUACAAUAUUUAUGUGUACGUGUUUAUAUAUAUAUUCAUGAUUAUUUAUUUUCCUUUUCUUAUAUGUUGCUCUUAUUCUUCCCACAACUUUUCAUCUUCCCUAUUUCGUUUAUUGAUCCCCAAAGAAUAUUCUUUAAUUUUUGUGGUAUCAGUGUCAACAAGGUAUGUUUGUACUAGGCAUCAUGAUGAUUGAUGUUUUUAGUCAACCUCUUAUUUCUCUACUAGCACAAAAUUAUGUGCUACGCAGGGCCGGAUUUGGGGCUAGGCGAGCUAGGCGGUUGCCUAGGGCCUCCAAAUCUCGGGGGGCCUCCUGCUCACCAAGCCCAUACAUAUGUUAUAUUGCUUUGGAUUUUUUUCGUAGUUUAACUAUAAUAAAGCCUACUGCCCAAGCCCAAUACAAUUAAUAAACCAAAUGGGAGGAGAUUCUUUCUUUCAAUUGAAGUCGAGUUCAAUUCAUUAGGCCUCUUGACAUAUUGUAAUAGCUUUCUUUCUCACUUCCAUAGCUCUAUAUCUCCUAGAACAAAAACCUAAAUUCACUUUCUCUGUUUCCCCUUCUCUCAAUUGAUCAAACAAAAAUCUCAAUCUAAUAUAACUUCAAAUAUAUUCUUCAAAUUCAUCGAUAUGUGUAUAUUAUUAUUUAAUUUUUUUUGUUAUUUUAAAUAAAUUUAGGGGUCUUAGGUAUCUUGAUGUUCUUAAGAAAAAAAAAACUAGGGCCCCCAAAAUCUCAGGUACGGCACUGGUGCUACGCAUGGUUUAGGCAUUUGAAUAAACAUGUUCUCUACCUUCGUGUAAUUCAUCUGUUUAUGAAUAAAAUUUUAUUUAUGUAUAAAAAAAAUAGAAAAAAAAGAGAGAGAGUCAAAUAUGUGAAUAUAUUUGAGAAUGUUUUUGGGCCUGAUCAAAUCUGCAUUUGUAGCCUUAAUUUUUUUUUCUUCUUCCAAUGAGUGGCCUUCAUGUGUAGCUGAUCAAAUCUAUAGGGGACAUAAACCGUUGGUAGGCCUUGGGCUUGGUCUUGAUAAAGCCCACAAUCGGAAUGUUUGACCUGGCACAGUUAGGAAACAUACCCAUUACCCAAUCCAAAAAACCAAUUCACACGCACUUGACCACGGAGAUACUAUCCUACAUCUCUUUUAUCUACCAACAAUAGUAUCUCGCGAUCUAUUAUUUUAUGAACAACUGUACAUAUCGAGAUCGUUUAACGGUAGAUAAAGAAUUACAGUGUUAUGUUGUCUGUAACCGGGUGCAGAAGAUAUGUAUUACAACAAAACAGCUUGCACGGAGCAGGUGAACAACUCUGUAACAAUGGAAGAUUCAAAAUAAACCCUAGAGCAGAAAGGGAAGAGAGAGAGAGAGAGAGAGAGAGAGAGAGAGAAAGAGAAGGAGUGAUGGAGAUUCUGAAUAAAUUAAGGAAUCUCGAUGCAUAUCCAAAGAUCAAUGAAGAUUUCUAUAGUAGAACUCUUUCUGGAGGUCUUAUUACUAUUGUUUCUUCCAUCACAAUUCUUCUUCUUUUCAUCUCCGAGCUCAGUAAGUCUUUCAAUCUUAAUUUCGAAUUUCAUUUACAAUUCAUUUCGUUAUUGUUUUUCAUGUUAAUCAGCUAUGUUCAAAACGUUGACUUAUUCCGUAAAUUUGUUCAUUAUUUGAGCCAAAUUGUGAUGAGAAAUGUUCAGAAUCGUCGAAUUCAUGUAAAGAUUUGAAAAUUUGAUUUUCUGAGUGUUGUGUUAAUAUCGCAAUGAUGAUGCAAAUAUGAUCAAGCUUUUUAUUUAAAUUAAAGCAUAAUGGUAAAUUAGAUAACUAGUUUUUACAUGUUGCUACUUGCUACAUUAAUGGUAUUGACGUUCAUUUCCUUUUUACUGACAGGGCUGUAUCUUUAUGCUGCUACUGAAACUAAGUUGACUGUAGAUACCGCAAGAGGAGAAACUCUUCGUGUUAAUGUUAGUCAGAACUCUUUUAACCUUGAGAAACUCUUUGUGUUAAUGUACUGAAGUAUUUGUGUCUACGAGUCAAGUAAAUUUGUUUUAAAUGAUUUUGCAGUUUGACGUGACUUUCCCACAUCUAGCGUGUUCCAUUCUUAGCAUUGAUGCCAUGGAUAUCAGUGGAGAGCAACACUACGAUAUUGUAUGUGAGAAUGACCUUUUACCUAAUAUUCUUUCUGUUUAUUCUUAGGUUGUUUAUUUAGGUAAAAGUGUUUCUUAUUUAUUGUUGCAGAGACAUGAUAUAAUGAAGAGAAGGUUAGAUCAUCUUGGUAAUGUAAUUGAAUCAAGAUCAGAUGGAAUUGGUGGACCCAAGGUCAGUUUCCUCUCUUACCUCUGACAUACAGGUUGUCUAGCGAUCAUGUGUUGGUUUGUUAAGUACAAUCUAGUCGACUGUUCUCUUAAAUAAAUAACUACCCUGUACAUUGUUGCCUCUAUUCUCUUGACAUUUAUAUUUGAUUGACAUCUAAUCUCAGUCUUCUGAGAGUUUGUAACAAUACAUAUUGAUCUCCUCGAGGACAAUUUAUAAAAACGUAAUGGAACUUAUGCUACUUUUUUCUAGGAAAAUAAAGUGUUUAAAGUGUGGAACUAUGAUACCAAUUGAAUAGACGUGGUGUGAAUUCAUGAGGCUUUUAAUCCUUCUGUUUUCUUUACAAAUAUGUUCUUAUCAGGCCUGUAUGUUCUUGAUCACUGUUUAAUUGACAACCUCAAAUGAGGCGUGGGAUUUUAUUUUGGGUCAGAUUAACCAACAAAAGGCCCAAUGAUAUUGUUCCUAACUUUAUCACCAUCAGAUAAAAAAUCAUAAAAUUGACACAGUUUCAUGUUUUCUUUUUGUUCCAAUUUUUAUGCCAUUUAUGUUGUUUCAGAUUGACAGACCUCUACAGAGGCAUGGAGGAAGGCUUGAUCACAAUGAAACUUAUUGUGGCUCUUGUUAUGGAGCAGAAAUGGUAACAUUUUAUUGUUCAAUAAUAGCAUUAGUGCUAUGCAUUAAGUAUGUUUUCUUACAUCCCCAAAAUUUUAUUUAAUUGAUCAUGCGCUCAUCCUACAUUAUUAGAUAGUAGUUGCACAAAUAAGUAAUACUCUUUAGAGUUCCUUAUGAAAUUAGUCUUGAGUGUUUAUUCCUAGAAUCUUCUGUUGUUUGAGUAUAUUUGCUAUUUGGGAUGUGUCAGUUGGUGAAUUCAUUUGCCAGGGCUGGUAAGUAAUGUAGCAGCCUGUGCUUUUUUAGCUUGAUAGUAUGAUCAAGAACGAAAAACCAAUGGGAACCUUCACAAGAUCAGAAGAAAGUGAUUUUAAACUUAACCCUACGAUAUCCAAACUUAAGAUGAAACUCAUCUAGCACUUACCUAGGAAAUUAUAUGCAGUUGCUUCAGUUUACUAUUAAGAUUCUUGUUAGAAUUAUCUCUUUUAUAAGGGAAUUUUUGUCAGAGCAUGAUAUAAUGGGCAGUUUUCUCUGACAAGAGCUGAUAAUAUCAAGACGUGAUUUUUGAGAUAAUUUCAUAACUGAAUGACUUGGCGGUUGCAUUUUGUUUAUAUUUUAAUCAACCUUCAUAUCAGUUUGUUAAAGUUGACUGAAAAGUGUCAAACCCUAGAAAAAAAAUCGGAAUAUCUAUUUGUUUAGUUAACUUGUAUUUCUGGAUCUCAAAUUUACUUCCGUCUGUCGCAAACUUAACAAGCAACGGAUGAGCGCCUGACGCGCGAAAGCUGUUGCUUGUUGCUUCAGUUAACUUGUGUUCUUCAGGAUGGUAAUUUUCCUGGAUCUCAGAUUUACUUCUGUAGAACUAUCUUGGGCUCAUACCAAAGUUUGAUCUUCAACAUAUGCAAGUUUUGGUGUUUAUAGUUAUCAUUAUGGAAUACUUUUUUCGCAGUCAGAUGAUGAAUGCUGCAACUCCUGCGAAGAAGUUCGUGAAGCAUACCGAAAGAAAGGAUGGGCACUGACAAAUCCUGAAAUGAUUGAUCAGGUCUACACACAUUCUUGUGGUUACAUGUUAAACCUUUCUUCAUCGUACUUUUUUCUUCUUAUUUGGUGACAUUAAAAUGUUUGCUUUGUUUCAGUGCAAAAGAGAGGGAUUCAUUGAAAAAGUUAAAGAGGAAGCUGGUGAAGGAUGCAACAUGGAAGGGUUUUUGGAAGUCAAUAAAGUGGCUGGCAGCUUUCAUUUUGCUCCUGCAAAAAGCUUUUACCAGUCAAAUAUUCAUCUGUUUGAUUUGAUGGCAUUUCAAACGGAAAAUUCUAAUGUGAGGAGCUGGGCUAAUAAGAAUAUUUUUCUUCCUCCAGUCUUAUAUAUUUGCAUUAACACGUGAAUGAUCUUCUGCAUUUAUUUUUAGGUUUUACAAUGGUGUAGUAGAGUGUAAACUAAUUUUUAUUCUUUUUUGUGCAGAUAAGCCACAGAAUAAACAAAUUAUCGUUUGGUCAAAAGUUCCCUGGUGUAGUAAAUCCCCUUGAUGGGUAAGAUAAUGGAUUGUCAAUUAUCUUAUUUUAUCGCUGUCCGAAUAUAAGUUUGUACUGGUGAAAUCUGUAACUUUUGAUUCACCUCAAAACUUACAGAUUAUUGAAACCAAAGCUCUAACAUCCUUUACUCUUUGGAAAAAAAACAGUGUAGAGUGGACGCAACAAACAUCUUCCGGAAUGUACCAAUAUUUCAUUAAGGUGAGUACUUUUUGAGUCUAGUUUCCAAGUAAUGUGGAUACUAUUGUUGGUGUGAUCUCUCUGUCCUAGAAACUACAUUUUUUUAGGUCUAUGGCUUGGCCACUAAGUGCCCAACCCUUUUUGUGAGCACAUCAGUGAAGCUCGAUACAUCAUUAUCAUUACUGUUAUUAUGAUUAUUUUAUUAUCUUGCCAACUCUAUGCAAGAUUUAUCUAGAGUAUAUGUAAUAUAUUUGUUUUAUACAGAAGCGUACGACCUCUCUUUUUUGGCUUCUUACUUUUGAUGAUGCAGACCUCUUGAUCUUGAGAUUUCAUUUACACUUGUACUGAAAAUUUUAAUUGGUUCAGGUUGUUCCAACGAUCUACAAGGACAUAAGAGGUCGCAAAAUAAAUUCCAACCAGGUAUAGAUAUAUGAUUUGAUAAGCCAGUUUCAUGUUCGUUACCUUUAUAUGUCAAGGUGAACUAAGCUUAUUUCUCCAUGCAGUUUUCCGUGACUGAACAUUUUAGAAGUGCGGAUGGUUUUACUCAGUCUCUUCCUGGAGUUUUCUUCUUUUAUGAUUUCUCUCCAAUCAAGGUGAGUGAAUGUUAUAGUUGUUUCAAAAUCAAGCCAAGCGAUAAGCAUGGUUGUUAGAAAUGAAUCAGUUUUAAAAUAUAAUGUUUUGUUAUUAUUUAGACAAUUAUUUUAUUUUGGUAUCAUAGAGUUUAAAAGUGGUUCACGCCCAGAUGUGCCACUCAGAAGCCAAGCCAGAAACAACCAACAUGCGGAUAGAUUAUUCCAAAGCUUAAUAGUUCUUGUUGCAUUUAGUUAUUUUCUUCUUAAGUUUCUGGACCUGACAGGCCUUUUUGUAUCCAUCGUUUAGUUUGUUAGCAUCUAUUCAUUGGCUUGGAGGAUCCUGCACAUUGUAUUGAAUGGAUAGAUGCGUGUGUUCAGUUGAUUUUAUGUUGUCGUUGUUAAUUAAAGUUAAAUUAAUGAUGAAAUUGCAGGUGAGCUUCACUGAGGAAAAUGUAUCGCUGCUACACUUCAUGACAAAUAUCUGUGCCAUUGUUGGAGGUAAGGCUAGGGUCACUUACCCUUUUGCAUUGGCUUUUAAGUUGAAUUCAAUGGCCAACAUAUAUUGUAGAAAAGAGUUUCUGAGACCUGUCUAAAUUGCCUGAGAAGAGUAGCUAUGAUAACUAGAGUUAGACACCUACUUGAGCCUCUCUGCCCAUAAGCGACCUUAAAGACUAAAAUGAACCCUGUUGUUGAUUUAAACUUUCUUCAUGAUUUUAGCUUGGACUAUCAGAAAACUGUUAUAGGGACACAAUCAGUUGUAGAUCGUAGGUUUGUAUUCAUUUUUUAUCUCAGAUGUAGGACCUUCGGUUGGUGUUAUUCAUCAAAUGGAGCCUGGUCUUGGUCCCUUAUGCUACAUACAAGGGGCAGCGAAAGCAGACGACUCCUUUUAGUAUUUGCAUAAUGGAACACACUGCAACAGAAACAUGACUGUAACUCUUGCAUGUUCUCUUAUUUUUGGGUCUUCAGGUAUUUUCACAGUUUCUGGGAUUAUCGAUGCUUUCAUAUAUCAUGGUCAACGUGCAAUUAAGAAGAAGAUGGAAAUUGGAAAGUUCGGGUAAUCCAGUUGGUACAUCCCAUUUUGUAUCUCUGGAUCAAGAUGGACAAGUGAUGUCCUCUCAAGGAGAGCAGUUCAGAUAGAUGAGAUGCAGUUGGUGAUGAGGGUGGUAACUGUAUCAUCAUUUGACCGGUUAGCUAUCAAAGCUGGGGAGAAACUUCUGCUAAUUUUAUAACCAUUGCUGAUAAUUUAUACUCUUAAAAUAUUCCUUGUAAAAUUGCACGAUAAAGAUUAUAAUCAGGAGGGAGAAGAGCAUAUUUUUGACUGUUAUGUUUGCAUCAAUGUCUCUUAACUGAAAUAGCAACUGCUUUCUUUACUUUUCAGAUUGGGAUGUUUUUUCUUCUCUUCAUUGUAUCUGACCGAUACCCGCAAACACCAAUACACCAUUGAAAAAGACUUUGCAGUUUGUCACACAAGUGGACUUUGUAAUUGUAUCCUCUUUGGACUGGCCAGCUACCAAAACAUAAGGGAGGAUUUACUGCUGUUUUGUAAUAAUCUCUGUUAUCUUUGGAGAAUAUGAAAUUUAAAAUUGGAAAAUCCAAAAUAUCACAGAUUAAAUAUCUCACCCACAACUAAACUCUUUAUUUAUUUAUUUUGUAAAUAUUUGAUAAUCAAUUUCAUUUUAAAGUAAGCGAAUUUUUGACAUCAACCAUAUUAUAAAACCAAAUGCAAAUUUUAGCGAUUCAUUUUGCUCACAGAGGUCAAACUUGUAGAAAUGGCGAGUCCGAGUCCGUGGGAUAAGAAAAGCCCAAAUAAAACCAGUAGUAGUAGGAUUAGGGUGAUAAGCAGUCAUUUGCAUUCUUCUACAACUUCCCUUUCCAUGGCUUCUGAGAAAGAAGCUGCUCUUUCUGCUGCUGCUGUUCCCCCUUCUGAUUCUCCCACUAUGUAUGUGAAACUCUUCUUUGUUUCGAUUUGUUCUUCUUUCUUCUUGUGAUUAUUUACUUGAUUUUAAUGUUAGAUCAUUCAUAACUCUUAGGUAUUUGUUGUACUUUUAUAAAUUGAAGCGUUGUGUGUGUAAAAUUCUGAAAUUCAUGAUAAUUGAAAGAAAAGGGGUUGUUGGUGUCAAAAAACAAGUUUUAAUUCAAUCUGAUAGCAUCUAUUAGUAAAUGAAGCUCACAAAUAUUUGAUAAGGUGUUUGAUUACUAGAGAAUAACAUUUUCUACUUAAUCAAAAAAGGAGUUUUAGAGAAAGGGAAAUAAUAAUAAGAAAUUGAAGGGAAGAGAAGAGAAACCCACCCUGACAUGGACAGGCAAACAAAAUGUAUACUGGGUUUUUGGACAAAUUCGCCCAAAUGACUCUCUUCACUUGUGGAUUAGACUGAUGAGAUUAGCCAAAUAGGAUGUAUAGGAUUCAUUAAACAUGCUUCAUACCAUUGUGGGGAUUGUUUACGAAAUUUAACACCAACCACUUUGGGAUCGCUGAAUGAAUCAUGUUCUAUAUCUUAUUCUAUUCAGUGCCAAAUUUCUAACUAGUUUUUACAUCUACUUCUGAUCUUGAUGAAUUAUAUAUGUGAUACAUGUAAUGAAUGCUACUAAUAAAUAAUGGAGUGACUUUUUCCCUUUUCACUAUCUUCUUGACAGAUUUGACAAGAUUAUAAAUAAAGAGAUACCUUCCAAAGUGGUUUUUGAGGAUGAUAAGGUAUCGUUUAUUUUACACUUGAAAUGGUCUCUUAUUAAAGGUUUUAUUUGGACUUUCCUGUGCGCUAUGGGUAGCAGUAGAUGCAUAUAUACAUUGUGUUUUUGAUUAAAUUUUUUGUGUAUUCCCACGCUUCACAACUUUUUUGAAGUCUCGUUGGAAACAAAUAUGAAAAUUUUCCACUCUACUGAUGCAUAUAAACAUUGUGCCCAUACAACUUUAUCGAUAGAUGUCCUGAUAUAGUAUUGAAAGUUUCAUCCCUAGUGGACUUCUUUGGUUUUGGUGAUAAUUUAAUUAUCUCAAAGGAUCCUUUUUUUUUGGAUAGGAAUGAAUUCUUAUACAAAGUUGGAUAUGUCUCAACUCUCAAUACUUCUCCUCAUCAACAGGGCACUAGAAGCUUACACAAAUCUAACAGACCGUAAAGGGUUAAAAAGAGAAUGAUAUUUGGCAAAAUUCCCAUUUAGUGACUCUAUGUUUCCAAAUUAGAAAAUAUACUUUAGGUUCAUGCUAGCAUGACCGUGUAUGAAAUUUGAUAAAUGAACUCGUGUUAGUACUUGUUCAGUUUUUGAUGACUUUGUUAUAUGAACUGAGAAGUGUAUGCUGUGCCUUUUCAAUCUCCUUUUGAAUUCUUUUUUAUAUAAAAACUUUUUUUUCAAUGAUUUUUUCCAUUUUUUUGCAACAGAUUGUAAGUGAUGAGAUGCUUAUGUUUCUUAUUCAUAAUAUAUCUGUGAAAAUUUUGCAUUUGGUCGCUUGCUUUUCUAAGUGAUGUUUUUCAACAGGUGUUGGCAUUCAGGGAUAUAGCCCCCCAAGCUCCCACUCAUAUUAUAAUCAUCCCCAAAGUUAAGGAUGGAUUAACUGGUCUCUCAAAGGUAUUACGCUUGUAGACUUUUUCAUAAUACAUCUCAGUAUCUCACAUGUAUAUGGAUUACUUACAGAAUGAUCCUGCUCUUCAACAAUUUGCUUUGGUAUGUACUGAAAGUAUGUAAUUUUAUAAAUUCAGGCAGAGGAGAGGCACACUGAGAUUCUUGGCCACUUAUUAUAUACAGCUAAGCUCAUUGCUAAGCAGGAAGGACUUGCAGAUGGGUUCAGAAUUGUCAUCAAUGAUGGGCCCAGUGGAUGUAUGCAUAUCCCUUAUAUUCACUCACACUUCUUUUCCUAUGUUUUCUUAUUGUCACUUUUACAUCUUCUGCGUGUUUUUGUUUGCUGAUCGUAAUGUAUGUUGCAGGUCAAUCUGUCUAUCAUAUCCAUGUCCACCUUCUUGGUGGGCGGCAAAUGAACUGGCCUCCUGGUUAAACCGUUUGCUAACAAGUUCUGCUAUUAGGAUGGAUGAUGAUCUAGUAUGGUUGGCACUCUGCCACUGGUAUUGAGAGAUUGAAAUAACUACUCUUGGAUGAACUUUUUGACAUUCUGUUAUGUGAAAUGUUUGCAAGACUUGGUGACUUUUAAAUAUCUUAUGAUUAUGGCUCCACUAAUUGUGAUGAGAGUACAUUCUAAAAUAAGUACUAUCAAUAUAGAUAGCAUCCUUUUUGUAGCCCAAGUAGUAUUUGCCUCACACUGUCAAGACUUUCAGUGCUCGUAGAACAUAAAUUUUAAGUAUCAUGCUUGGAUCUGCUAAGACAUUCUACUUUAGAGGAGGAAAGAUUUGAGAUCCACUUUAGCCUUCUGCCACACUGUGGAAAAAGAAUGUUUUCUACCAUGUCAAUGUGGAUAAUUGGAGACUAUGGAUUGCACCAGAAGAUAUAUAGCAAGGUAGUCCAAUGACUUGCUUUGGAAAAAACACUUAAACACGAGGAUGAACUGAUCUUUUUCUGAGUAAGGUAGUUGUAAAGAUACACGUAUAAAUGUGACUGACAUGCUAUACUAUGGGUGGAAGGGGUGAUAAAGAUACAUGUACUAUAAAUGUGAUUCAUGUGGAGGGGUGUUAUGUAAUGCUGCCAGUUUGUUGACCUUGGAUUAUUGCCCUCCCUACACUGGAAAAAAGCACUGAAUUAUAUACAGGGUUGCACUAUAGGCAUAUGUUACAGUUACAGUAGCCUGCACUGUAUUUUACUAACCACAGACUCUCUCUGUCUUCUUUUUUCAUCAUCCUGGUGAAGAUCAGAAAAUAUCAUUACCCUAUGUUAUUACACCACUGCAACCAUUAAGUUCAGUAGUUCACUAAGUUGUGUCAUCUAACUUGUUUUGCUUUUGUCAUGGAAGAUAAAAUUGAAACAAAAAACAAAAAAAGAACUGCAGAAUGCAUGCAAAGGCUAUUCCAAAUCCCAGGAGCAAAAAAAGUACUGUUCUUAACUGCUAAUUGUAUGAGGAGAUAAUGUCAUCUAUGCCUUACAUAUUUUUUCCUCUACAUUCUUUUGCAAAUAAGGAUGCAAACACUGUAGGGAAAUGUAAAACCCUCACAAAAUAAAUAAAAUAAAAAAAUAUCAAGAUGGCCAGAGGUAGAGAGCAGCAGCAACAGCAACACAUGGUACCUCUAACAUCCCACGAUUGCAUAGAAAUCUUACCGACUAGCUUUAAGUAGCUGAAAAAUCUCUCAUCAUGGUUCCAUCUCAAAACUCUCUCAAGAAUUAUAGUUAUAUGAUUGGUAUAUAGUAACACUAAAGCCGCUGCAAGAAAACAAAUACUCUUCGCCUGGGUGUAGUGUCAUUGUGCUAAAUUCCAGGAAUACUGGAAUCCAUUUCAUAGUUAUGCAGUAGCUAACUAGUAACCAUCUCAAAAGUUUCAGUCAACUGCAAUAUGUUGUCAUUAUACAACCUCAACUACCUAAUCCACAGUUUUCUUGUUUCUGAAGCUCUCCUUCAGCAAAGCAAACUUCUUCUUGCACUGGUUUACAGUCUUCCCAGGAACUGAAGCAGCAACACGUUCCCAACGCUGACUUGCUUCCUUAGGAAACGUUUUCAGAGCCUGAAUCAGUGCUCUUUCUUGAACAGCAGACCAUACAUCUGGAUCAGAAACUCCAUUUGCAGUUGUAUUUUCCGGAUUCUGGUCAGUCCCAGCACUGCUUGAUGGUUGCUUGGUAUCAACCUUUUCAGGAGAAUUAGCUUCAGGUUGAUCUACAGGGGGCAUUGUACCUUCAGUUUCCUGUCUGGUUGUAAGUGGUGAUGCAAUGGUAGGUGCAGGUUUUCUCUUUUCAAGAAAUGAGUCAAAAGCUUUGGCAGAGUCGGGCUUCUGAAGAAGAACCGUCUUAGUUGCCUUUAGUAUUUCUUCUACAGAUCUCCCCGUACCAAUGAACUCUGAGAUAACCUCCCAUCUCCGAGAAGUCCCUUUGGGAUACUUCAGCAUCCCUUUUCUCAACAGCUCAAUCUCUUCUUUAUUCCAAGGUUUAUCUUUCUUUUCAUAAUUGGAAAAUGGAUUUUCUGACUUAGAAUGCAGACCAGCUCCACUUCCAUUAGCAUCUAUAGAACCAUUCUGACUUGGAAUGUUAUUUUCCUCUUUCUUGACCCCAUUGGCGCUAAUAUUACCACCCAAUGCUUGCUUGAGAAGUUCAGCCCUCUCAGUCCCUGCUUUGUGCUCAAUCUCAUCACACAGACUCCUCAUUCGAUCAAUGUCAAGAGACAUGCAUAAACUCUCCACAUCAUCUUCCUUAAGCUCAAGCAAACGUUUAACUACAACGGGUGCUGACAGUGUCCUUAAUCGAGUUCGCUCCUUGCGCAAGAGCUUCUUCUCUUUCUCCUUUACCUUUUUCAUUUUUGCAGCAGCUUCAGCAGCUAGCCUGUCCUCUUCCUCUUUUCGUCGCCUUUCCUCUUCAGCAGCCCUUGCAGCCUCUUCCUCUUGCAACCUUUUUGCAAGGUACUUUGAUUCUUUCCUCCUCUUUUUCUCUGCCUUCUCCUCCUCUUUUCUCCUCAAAAUUCGUGGAUCCCUCUUAUAUGCAUUGUCAACAAGAGAACGUACGCGCGCAUAUUCUUCCUUCCUUGCCUUCUCUCUAAGCUUGGCAUUUUGCCUCUCCAUCCAUCUCUUGUGAUCACGAGACUCAGCUUGCUCCAGAUCAAAGUCAUCUGCAUGGGGGAAUUCUCUCCAGCUUUUAAAACUAUACCAAAAAUUAUAGAAACUAUCAACAUCUUCCAACGGACUAUUCUCUUCUCCUAAUGAAGGGAUAGGUUGGCUGACCGACCACCGCCCAUUCCUCAUAAAAGCUGGUCCGAAGACCUUGAAGAAGUCCUGUGGAGCACAGUCAGUUGGUAUUUCAUCAUCAAAUUCAUCAGUAGAAUCAUAGAUCCUUCUCUUCACAGGAUCUAUAAGGACCUCAUAAGCUUCUUGAAUGGAUUUGAAAUUGUUCUCUAUCUCUUCCUUCUUUGCUUGCUUUGCAGCUUCACCUUCUUCAGAGAGAAGAAGGGCAGCCUGUUUGUCAGGGUGAUGCUUCAAGGCAGUCUCUCGGUAGCUCUUACGAAUCUGAUCUUCAGUAGCAAGAAAUCGUAAAUGCCCUAGACCCAACAAUGCAUAAUGGUCUUGUUGCUGGCCUUCGCCACCAGAUUUCUUUUUACCUUUGCUGCUAUAUGAAUCUGAAGAUGCCAUAUAAGACUGACCCUUGUCACUAGGCACAUUCUGAUCAUCAGUCUUCACAACUUCCUCUUUGAAAUAGCCAGAAAGUUUGAGUGCCACUGAAUGGAACAUGUGUCCAGCAGGUUCUAAUUUGGUGGCCUUUACUGGAAAACAAUUUGAUGAUACAUAAACUGGCUGUCCAUCCACAAGAUCCUUCGAAUAAGAUAUACGACGCAGUCUUAGUUGGGGAGCCAUUACUCUAGGCUUCACAAAUUUCGGCACCAGAGUGGUUCAGCUCCAAUUUAGUGUCCCAACUAUAUUCAACAACCUGCAUUUUGUAAUAAAUUUGAAUAAAUUUGAUGGUGCUUGAUUAGUGAAAAAUAAUGAAACAGAGAUCGGAAAUCUUUCCUUUCUAAAGUCAUAUUAAUAAUUUUGUCCAAUUUUAAAAAACUUUGGUCAAUUAGCUACCCCUUUUAGAUGGUACAAAUGAACUUACUAUACACAUCUUGCUGCAAUAAUUAUCUACAAAUAAGGCCCUUUGGUGAGGACAAGCAAAGGUUCACCAGGCACAAACUUUACACAUCGUCUCUUUUUUCGGAGAAUAUGGUAGACUUUAACUUAUUAAAUUCUUUUACUUAAAAUGAGUGUACCAGCAACAAAAAUUUUUAAUACUUAUUUACUUGAUAAAUUCUAUUGAUAUUGCUGGAAGAUGAAUAUAACUGCAUAUGCAAGUCAGAUUUCACACAUCCUCUUUUCUCUUGUUAUGGCUAUAAGGUUUUUCAUUCCAUGAAGAAAAGAAAUUACAACCCCUUACAAUUUGCCUAUGAGUUCUUUGCAAGAUAGUACUAAACAGACAGUCCAUCCUCCACAAAGAAAUCAGCCACAACAUGAUGAACACAAAAUAGAGUACAACUUAAAACCACAGACGAAGCAACUAACUAUAACUGAGUAUAUUUUACAAAUGUAGCCAUCUGGGUAUUGUAUUUUGAAACAAUAUUUUAUCCUUCCUAAAGCAAACUCCUUCGCAUUUAUUCAAUUAUAAUGAAUAAUGGCUUUAUUCAAAGUUCCCUACCAGUAGGCAUUAUCCCUAUAAUGAUCAUUCAAAUGACAGUAACAUUUCUGGGGUACAUAUUUGCUAAGCUGUUUGCUAAUAGUGGAAACAGUGACAAGAAACAGUAUGCAACUAGUAAUGCAAGUCACUGCUUAUAAGAUUCAGAUUUCACAAACAGAGCGCAUAGAAAAUUUAGGAUCAAUUCUUAUGACCUCAAGAUUAGCAAUAUAAAGAUUUCAAACUAGACAUAAAAAUAACAUACCAAAACUGAAGGCCCAAAAGAAAAGGAGCUAAACAAAAAGAGGAUUAAUAUUGGAGACUAACAUAUACUCAAACCCAGAGAACCUAGCAAGAUAAAACAUAACUUCCAAACAUAAAACCAGAAAUUUUAACAAAACACUCAGAAGGGAAACUAAAAACAUACAAGUUUAAAUUCCCAAAUCCCCAAUCAGUACAAAAUCAUUGCAACACACACAAACACCAAAACAGAAAUCAAUCAAAUUCAUUCACAUAAAUCUUACAAAAAGCAAACAUAGAUUUUUAGCUUCAAUUUCCAAUAAAUCAGCAGAAAUAACCAUCAAAGAAGCUGAAAAUGGAGAACCCCAAUCUCAAAAUCCAGCUAAAUCAGUAAAAUAAACAACAUCCAAACAACUAAUCAAAAAAAUAAAAAUCCAAUCUUCAUCAAAAGUACUAAAUAACUAAACAAACAAACACUAACCCAAUAAAAAAAAUCCUAAACCCAAUCAAAUAAACUUAUUAACAUGUUCAACAACUUAAAUCACUAAAAAAAACUAAUUACUGGCAUGAUUUAGCUCGAAAAAAAAUUGGAAAAAAAAAAGCUUGAAUCGAACUUACCUGAUGAAGAGAGAUAGAAGACGAAGAUGUUGAUCAGGUGAGAAACCCUAAUGAAAGCGAGAGAGAGAGAGAGAGAGAGAGAGAGAGAGAGAGUUGGGAUUCCUUUGAAUCCUGUAUUUAGGGUUUCUGGGUCUGCGAGGGCGGAAAAUGGAUUUUUAUUGCUACCUCAACCUCUAAUUUAGGGCGUGUUUGGGUGAUACGACUUUGAUGUCACAAUGUAUAUACCAAAUGUAGAUGUCGCAUUAUUGUCUAACCACCACGUUUUCGUUUGACUAAAGUCAAAAAAAUACAAUGUCACGUGGAUUAUCUCACGUGAGGAUUAGUGUUUUUGAUUGGGUGGGAUUAUGCAAUGUCACGUGAUGAUUAGGUAUGAAAGAAUAUCCCAUUAAAAAAGUAUCCUUCAAAGGUUGAGAAAAUAACUAUAAUUACAGUAGUAGUAGACUAGUAGUAGUACCAUCUUUGGGUGAUGAUACCAGCAGAAGGUUAGGGUUCAAAUUCCACAAAUAUUUUAGCGAGCAUUAUCGAAUUACUGAUCUCAUUAAAAGCAUAUUUACCUAGCUAAUGUGCAUACAUUAUUGCUCAGAAAAAUUCUUAAUAAUCCAUAAAAAUACAUUCACGCGCGACGGAUAGAAUGAUAAUGUAUGUAACAUAUGGUAGAGACUGGAGACAGUACAUGUCACAAAGACCCAAGAUAAUAUAUGGUGGCAUUCUUCUGAUUAUCUUAAGAAAGGAAAUGACAGAGAGAAAAGAAAUUUCCUCUAUAAGGGGCCAUUUGUAGGGCUGGCAAAACAACCAGCAACCCGUAACCCGUUAACCUGACACGAAUCCGACCCAAGAUAAACAGAUUUGGGUUUAACUUUAUCGGGUUUUUGGGUUAUUUUGACCCGAACUUGUUAACCUGUUUAAUAUACAGGUCAGAUUCAGGUCUGACCAUUAACAGGUCGGGUCAAACCCGAAACCCGUCAAAAAGUAAGGACCAUUUGCCAAAUCCAUCAAAUUUGAACCAAGUCCAUUCAAAAUAACCCAAUACAAACCUGGUAGGUACAUAUUAAAAUUAUAAGGGUUUGUGCAAACAGGGGAUGGUGGAAGUCGGUCUGUAGAGAUGGUUUAUAGCUAUUAGUGAUUCAAUCUCAAUUUCCCUUUAACUAAAAAAUAAUAAUUUUCAAUCUCUCUUUUGGUUUUGUUUCUCUCUCUUUGUUAUCUUCUUUUGACAACUCGUUUUGAGAAAAUUUGCAUCUUGAAUGCUAUUCUUUCAUCUUCUCUUCUUUAAUGGGGUUUUUUUUGUUUUGUUUGUACAAGUUGUUAGAAGUUGAAUAGUAGGAAAAAAUUGCUACUUCAACUAAAAAUCGAGUGGGUUUUUUUUUUUUUUUUUUUUAAUUGUUUCAGUUGUUUGCAACAUAUAAUGGCCACAGACUUUCUUCAUAGAUGAAGUUCAUCUCUAUCUUUCUCUUCUAUCAAUUCGGUUUAAUGAAAAGAUGUCGCAAUUGAAUUCAAUUUAGUUGUAUGUUGAAUUUGGAUUUUGGGGUUUUGAUUUGGAAUUGUUGAAGAUCUGUAAUAUCAUCUAUAAUUAUUUAAAGUUAAUGAAGUUUAUGCUAAUGGGUAUACUGUUUUUUCUUUAAUUUGAUGAUUUAUUAUAAUUUUUAUGAUUAAUUAUGUUUGAACUAAACAGAUCGACCUGAAUCAGACCUGAACCCGACCUGUUUAAUUAGCAGGUCAGGUUCGGGUUUUGAAAAUAUAUCUAUACAGGUUAACAGGUCAGGUUCGGGUUGAGGUAUAAAACACAUCAACCCGUUAAAACCCGACACGAUUGCCACCCCUAGCCAUUUGGUGUUGUGGCACAUAUAACACUGUCUUGCACGUGCAAACUGCAAACUAGGGGUGUUAAACGAGCCGAGCUUUGUAUGUUCAAGCUCGGUUCGAGCCCAAAUUUUAUACGAACUUUAUUUUAUGUUCAAGCUCAGCUCGUUUAGCUAUACGAACGAGCUCAAGCCGAGCUUUUAACGAGUCGAGCCCAAGCCGAACUCGAGCUACUCGAUUAAAUUACACAUAAAAAUAGGAUUUCAUCUAAAUGAGCCGAGCUUUGGUAUGUUCGAGCUCGUUUCGUUUAUAAACGAGUCGAGCUCGAGCCGAGCCCAAAUUUUAUACGAGUUUUACUUUAUGUUCAAGCUCGGCUUGUUUAGCUAUACAAACGAGCUCGAGCUGUUCAGUUCGUUUAACAGCCCUGUGCAAACUAUCUCUAGGCUAUUUUCCAAUUCCCAACAGGAUUGAGGUACAAUUGGUUGCGUGGCGCUUCUUUUCGUCCCAAGGAUUUUUCUGAGAAGAACAAAAAUAUAGGCACAAGAUUGUUCAUUUGGAAUUACACAUUCCCAGGCAACUUUGAUGUUGCUGUAUGCAUUCAUUGCAUUGAGCUAUAGCAAGCCUAGGCAACUUUUCUUCUUAGAAAAAAAAAGAGAAAAAAACCAGAAAGAACAGAGAGGAAUAAAGCAGAAGAAAGAGUAUUAAUAUCCAUACUUGCAAUCAUGAAAAGCUGUGGAUGAAUGACAUUAUAACUGACUGAUAUAAUAAGGGACAACCAUUUUACCUAGCUCAAUGUGCAUACAGCAUUCAAGUUAUAGCUAUACAAAUAUUCUUAACAUUGCUGGUCGCCUGGACGCCUGGUACUACCAUUUAACACAACUAGUUACCUGUAAAUCACCCCUCUAUAGACUAUAGACCAUCUUCACAUUGAAUCUCACUUGUUAACUUCUGUGUAGAUAAAUUCCCACCUUCACAACAAUUAACCUAUGAAAUGCUUCCAUCCUAUUCCCUUUUAUUCUUAUUCCAAUAUACAACCCAACCGUUCCAUAUGAAUAUACUUCAUUAUUUCUGCUCAACCCCCUUUAGGUUAUAACCUAUUAACAAAAUGACUGCUGCCAAACUCCCUCUUUCACGUUUUUGUUUACUUUCUUUUUACAAUUGGAAUAACAAGAACAGGAUUUCAACAUGCUGCGUGCUUUUCCCUUUCCCUUUCCUUGGCUUUUUCAAUGGCAUUCUCAAGCUCUCUAUACAUAUUCAUGGAGAACGACGCAAAACUGUUCAAACGCUCAAGAAAAUUCAACAAGCUUGUUUGAAAGCGAUCAAAACCUGAAUUCCAGUCCUCAAGUGCUCCUUCUCUAGGUGUACUGGCUGCCACUUCACUUUGAUUGGUAGCCAUCCAUGUUGAAGAGAAUGAAAGGUUCAUGCUCCCAUGUUUCUUCUCCUGCCUUGGUAAGAAAUGGGUUGUCAUAAUUGCUAAUGCUUUAAUAGAUUCUGUUACUUCCUUAGAUGGCAAGGCUUCGAGUUUAUCCAACCAAUCACCACAAGUGACAUAUAUCGGUGGCCCUAAAUUUCUCAGGGGGUUGUCUGGCACUCUCCUUUUUCUUCUUGAUGAUUUCUGUUGAAGAGAGACACACUUGUGGAGCCAACCAUUUAUUGAUUGCACAUAGGACUUCUGUGCAAUUAUCCAUUUUGUAAAGCUUGACGAAAAAGACUUCAAUUCAUAUUCAAGAUGGAUAGUAGCCUGCCGAUGUGAUUCUGACUGGAUAGAAAUCUUGGUGCUCCCAUUGCUAUAUGCUACUUUGAUUAUGUUGAACUGAAGUUUGUGACACUCAAACAUCUUUUCCCACAUUCGACUCAAACUGUGUUCAAUAAAAUCGAGAACAUAUUACUACUUGAAAGAGAAGAAAAAUAAUAUCUAUUAAUAAGAUGCUUAAUCCUCCCUGCUGCAUUUGACACAUGUAAGAAUGAUAUGUAUGCAGACUUAUCAGUAUAGCACUAAAAGAUUACGAGCACAUAGCACCAAUAUACGGGCUUAAACCACCAUGCACCUUUUCAACAAAUUAUAAUGAGUAUAGUUUAAGGACCUCUACAGGCUCUUUGGAUGUGCAUAUUUUAUCCUGUCAAGGUUAUUUGAACCAGGAUAAAAUGUGAUUAUUUGCUUUGGUCAAGUUCACUUCCCGACGUGUUAAAUUUUGCAUGUUGUAAUGCUCUUGGCAUGUUGCCUAUGCACUACAUACUAUUCAAAAGGGCUAAAUGAGCAUACCUUUCAAUCAGCUCCUCAAGUUGUGGUUGAAGCUCUUUGUCUCUUAUUUCUUCAAUCCUCUUUGAUAUAGAGUCAAUUCUAUGUAUUGCGACUCUUACUCUCGAGUACAGGUCCUUGACAAUUGCACGGGUUUUGCCGAUCCUUUCAGGACUUUCUGCUCUGGACUCUUGUUCUCUUAGAAGUCUGCACUUCAUGUCGUAAUCUUUUCUGAUAAUUGCACUGUCCUGAAAAAAAGGAGACCUUAUAAUGUGAUAUAAGUAUAACCAACAAAUAUGUAUUCAAUGUAUAGAAAACAUGUAUCCAAACUUUAUCCAAAAGAAUGUUUGACAUUUUGAAUAAAUCAGAUGUCACGUCAGUCAUCUUUCGUAUGCAUCCAUACACAGAGGAUAGAAAAACUACUACAUCCCUCGUAUUUGUUCUGCUAUAUUUAUAUCUCAAGUUGCAACUUUUUGGUCGAAAAAUAUGACAAAGAUCAUUCUAUCCAAAAAUGUUCUAAGUAUUAACAGAUCAAUAGAAAACACUAGUAUAUCCCUAGUAUUUCUUCUGCUUAAUUGGUGUCUCAUAUUGUCAUUUUCUUGCUCGAAAAAUGUGACAGAAAUCAUGGUGUAUUAAUGUUUUAUCAUAAACGUUCUACAAAAGAAGAGAUCAAUAGUGAAGCUGUCUUCCUAAGUUAAGGGAGAGGAAAAAUUCUCCCUUGUUUUGGUUCCUUUGAACUUGACUCGGGUUUGGAUAUCUCGUUCUCAUAUAUUUCAUUGAAUAUAUUGCUUCAUUUAUCAAUAUUCAAAUGAAUAAAAUGUAAGGCGACAUACCAAAUUACUAACAUACAGGUUUGUCAUGACUUUUAAAAUCUUAGCUACAAGCUUAAAAUAACGUUAUAUUGGAAAAGAUACAGUUUAAUCAUUUCACCUGAGAGAAAAAUAUGCUAGUGCAACCAGUCUUAAAUUCUCAUACACGCCCAUAUUUUUCGUGAAAAUUUUACUAAUCAAGAUUUCUGCAGAAUAAUUUAAUGGCAAAUAUAUGACAGUUUAAUUACCUUGACUUCAUCAUAAAGCUUUCUCUCCCAUGCAUAUAAGCGAUCUAAGGUUGAGGCAUGACUGCCCGAGUUCAUACAGAAACUUUCGAAGAUAUUACUGCUAAUGUCCUCCAUAUCAUCUUUUGGAGUGGGGCCAAGAAAAUUCCUGGAUGAGGAAGACCGAGAUGAUGCAGUCCUAUGCCAAGUUAAGUACUUAAUUUCGGUUGGAGAAGGCUCUAAGUAAAGUAAACCAAGAUUAGUUGAUUUUUGAAAACUCCAAGAUACUAAUGAACAAAAAAUGGGAGAAAAAUGUAUUUUGAAAUUUCAAUGUGAAUAUACAAAAUGAUAGAAGAAGCAUGAAAAAUUUAUUUGUGGUCAUUCAAUUCACACCAUGUACAAUGUAGACAUAGAAAUCACCUAACCAUGAUUUCUGACCCAUGCAUUCAAGAGUUCAUGGACUAAAAGCAAUUACUCAGGCACAAGUACAUAUGAAUUAAUGAAUGAUCAUAGAUCACAUCUAUUAUACUAAAAUCAUUCUUUUUUUACUCAAAAUAGAGGUCCGAUUUAUCGUUUUUUUGAACAUUUUGUGAACGUUAGAUAAUUUCCAAAGUCCAAACUAUGGAAUAAAAAGGAAUUACACAGGCACAAGUAUCCAAUCUUUUGUGAACCAUAUAGAAUUUCAUGCAAAUGGAAAUAUUUGACAUGUGGCAAAAGUUACUAUCAAUUUUAUAACGACUCGGUAUGCAUUUCAAUUUUGUAACAUGGUGUAGCAUCUGCAUCCGUCUUUUAGACGGAACUUUUAAUCUUGGCCUAAUCAAUUAACUUCAGAACAAGAAUAAUAGUUACCUUUCAAGCAUGAAUACCAUUUACAUCGAUCAAGGGAUAUGUUUAAAAGCGUAAAACAACAAUGGUUUAAAUACCAGGGGUUUCCCUCCAAGACACGUGAGAGGGGUAUGACCUAAGACACGUGAUAUACAAUGAUUACCUGCUGAUAUACAUGGAUUUCACAUCAUGUUCAAAAUGCUUAAUCAACUAAAAUGUAUUUGCUUAUCCUGACAAUUAGGUAGCCUAGGCCAUAUGCUCCUAGGAUAGUUCGAAUGUGUGUGUGCUUACAGGUACACGUUAUCCACUAUAAUAGUACCAUAUUCUUGUCCUGGAUUUGGUGUCUAAGGAACUGAGAGGGAAGACCUACCUUCAGGAACAUGACUUGGAUCUUCCCCACAUGAAAAACAUGCUUUAAAAUAUGUCGAUGCCACUGCAUCCCCUGUAACAGAAGAGUUGCUCUAAUUAGAAGAACUGUCAAAAGUUGUCAGAAGCAUGGUAUGGGGGAUACUCAUAAAACAAAUCUGCAGGAAAUUAAAAUAGCAUGAACAAUUUACUAAUCAUCACUCAAUACAAUAUUUUAACUACAAAAUCAUGGCUUAUCAGGCUGAUAUGAGUAUAUUCUAUCUGCUGGUCCAAUUUCGACAAUACCCAAGUUACUUCUCAGGAAGCCAUCGGACAUAUGCAAAGAUUUUACUAAAUCCAAGAUUACUCCUCUAUGCAUGCAUAUGACGUAGAAGGAUAAAGCUGGAGUUGGCCUUCACAUUUCUAACAUGAUUAGAAUGUGACUUCAACAGUCAAAGCUUCAUCCAGUCUAUCAAGUCAGACCACGAAUCUCUUUAGUAUACAACAUUACCACCUCUCUAUCUUAGAUAACAGCCAACAGGUGGUUACCCACUUUAUGCAUCAUACAGGCUUAAUACUGUUCAUUUGAGCAAUAAAAACUUGUUAAAGUUGGGGGUGAUCAGUGAUCUCCAUGGUUCAUACUUCAUACCAUCCAACUUGAACAGCCCUAUGCAAGAAAUUACUUGGCCCAAACCUCAACUAUGACACGGGCUAGCUCUUAAAAUUGUCUUAUGGCAUGAUAAUUAUCAAACUGGUUUUAUGGGCAGAACGACGGAGUCCCAUGCUUGGGUGAAAAUGAAUUUUCAGGUCAAUGCUCACCACAGGAUGAUAGGAACAUGCCUGGAUUUCUAAACAUUGCUGAGCACUUCACAUCCUUAAAUUUCUAUUUGAGUUGGGAUUUAGGCUAGAAGACGUGGAAACACAGACAUAACAAUAUUUUUCUGAAUGGAAAGCAGGAACAAUCAAAUAAGACAAGUAACUAACCUUCUUUCCCAGGUAAUAUUGGCCGAAAAUGCAUUUUAUUUGCUUCAAGCAUCCUUGGAACUUCUUUGCCACAAUCAGAGGCUUUCAGAAAGAGCUGUUCAAUCUCUUUUAUGCUUGAUAAGAGGUCCUUUGGCGCAACAUUAUUUGGAGAAUCAGGUUCCUUGUCAGGUGUUUCCUUUUCAUGAGUAGGUGUAGCUCCUGAACCUAUAAUGAAUGGUGUCACAAGGGAGUUGUUUUUCCCUCCAUCAAAAGCCUUGGUUUCGGAAGAUAUAUCUCUUGCAGAUGGCACAGAAGAAGGUGUACUACUAGAGUUUAGAUCUGACAUCCUGCGGUUCUCAAAUUUCUGAACAAGUUUAUCUGUUGUAGGCUCCUCAAACUCGUCUUCAGAAUCAGACUCUGCUUCUCCAAUAAAAGAAACUUUCUCGUCUUCUAACUCAGGAAUUCCCUCCUCUUGUCGAAGCCUACUUAUAUCAUCAACAUUUUCGAAUCCAUGACUUGGCCCAUUCACUUCUUGAAAUGAAAACUGCCUGUCUAUCGGAUGAAGACCGAAAUAAUCCCAAGGUGAAUUCUCUGACGCAAGGUGAUCAUCUUCAGAUUGUGGAGUUUGAGGCCUCUCAGUGGAUUGAGGUGUUCCAUAAUGGGGAGUACUUGAGCUGGACCUUAAAGUCCUAAUCGAAUGAAUAGGCCUCUCUUCGACAGUAGUGGAAGAACUCACACCGGUUUUCAUAUAGUUUGCAUGAAAUCGGGCAGAGUUUGGAGGAGAAGGAGUAAAUGGAAGAGUUUCAGUUGCAUCAACAUGUUGUGAUAAAGAGGUAGAAGAGAGGGAGAAAUGAGAAAGAGAUUUGUCAGUCGUGGGAGGUGGCUCAGAUGCCGCGGUUGUGGAAGUAUAUAGAGAAGACUCAGAUGUAACUUCUGGUUGAGCAAACUUCCUAAGUGCACUUCCAAUAUUUCUCAAAGAUUGAAUGUAAGUAAAAUGAGCAGAUGCGAGCGAGCAUCGUCCAUUAAGUGCCUGUUUCACAAAUUUCUUCCUCUCACGGCAUAGUUGUAAAGCUUUAUCAUCUUCUGGUCUAGAGCUUGAGGCCCCCAUCUCUAAGAAACUGUUUGAGAUUCCUGGCUGAUAUUUUUCCUGAUAAUAAAUGAAGCUUCAAAAAGUAAUUAACUGGAACAAAACAUUAGUAGACAAAUUUCCAAACAAUUUUUUUUCAGAAAAUUAGUAAAAAGUAGCUGACAUUUUAUCAAGUUAAAAUAAAACAGUAGCUCAAUUAAUUUUUACAGAGAAGAAUCUGCACCACUUUCCUCCAAAGAGAAAUUCCAAUGAAAAAAAGGGAUUGAGAUACCCUAGGGUAUGCGGGAAGGGCACCUAGCCUAAAGAGGUGAACUUGCCAUAGGUUCAGUCCAAGACAAGGUGUUCUUUAGUGAAAUCCAUAUUGAGGUCUUGGGCUCGAGCUUUUAUGAUAGUGGCAACGAGAACAAGUCAUCCUAAAUGUAGGGGAAUUGUGAUACCACUAUUAUCAGUAUGCUGAAAGGGUGCCUGAGUUAAAGAGACGAAAGUUUUGUCAUAAGCUUCCCUCGAAGACCUGACGUUAAUUGGUGGCAAUCUAUUUCUAUUUAGUCAUAACACUUUUUCAGCAACAAAAGGAAAACCAAUAGAUUACCUUUCUGGCUUACUUCAUGAUUCAAAACAAACCAACAAUCCCUUUUCAGAAAUCCGGACCACAGUCAGAUAUAUGAACCUCCAUCUUAGUUUCUGGACGACCUGCAAUUAGAGAACCUCAUUAAGCAUCAACUCAAGCAAAAAACUCCUGUACUACUCAAUGCAAAUCGAGGAACAAUUAUAAUUCUUCCUAGAGGAUAUUAUGUAUUCAAAUGCAAAUUAAAUUUGUAUUACAGCAUAAAGAGAAUCAAUAGAGGAUAUUAUGUAUUCAAAUGCAAACUUCAAUCUCAGAAACUCGUUAUAAGCAAUAACUAUUCCAACUACAGGCUCAACUAGCAACCAACAUAUUGAAGGAAAUAUAAAAAAACAACUUGAACAACCUUGAAACUCUCUACCAAAUGAAUAUCGUGCAUAUACAGAAAAUUAAAGAAAGAAGAAAACUUUAUCGAAAAUAUGUCUAAACUCUGAUUAGAACAACAAUGUCUACACAACGGAAAAUUAAGAUCCAAAUAAAAAAUAUGACGAUUGUUUGAUUUUUCGAGAGACCUUACAACAAAUUUCUAGUAGUUUGCCGUGUUUACAUUAUGGUUUCAGACAACAGAACUCUUAAACUUCAAAAAAAAUUCCAAGAUUGAAUGUAAUCUAACCUUAGUGGCGAAAAAUGCUAAAACCCAAGUCUAUGAUGAAUAUAGAAAAGAGCAAAUCUGAACUAAACCAACCAAGCCAUCCCCAAUUGAAAUAAAAAAAAAAGUAGUUCUUAAAAGAUGAACUCAAUUGUCCUAUUGAAUUGAAUAUACCAACAAAUCAAAGCCUCAGAAGGCUUUGGGUUUCUUCAGAAUUGAGCACAAAUCAUGAAGUUUUUACUCUGGAACCUCACGAAAAAAAAACAGAGAUUAAAUCUGAAUUAACCAGGAAUUCAACUUCAAACAAAAAGUAACUAAGAAAUCCAUAAAACUUACAAUCAAAAGUCUCAAACUUUAGCUUGUUCACUCAAUUCUGAAGAAAAGAAAUGGAAAAAACCAUCUAUCUGUGCAUUUCAAAGAGAUUGAAUCUAAACUAAAAAAAAAAAACCAAAACCAAUCCCAUGUCUCAAAACAUGAAAAAGAAGUAGAAUUAUGAAGAAUUAAAACAAUCCCAAUAAAGAUAAAAGCAAAAGAAGAAAUGGGUAUUAUUAGUUUUUCAUUGCAAUUACCUGAUUGAUGAGUUUGAUAGAAUAAAAAGUUUGUACGAAAGCAAUCAAUUUCACUUUAGAAACAGAGAGAGAGAAACAGAAUUGGACAAAUGAAGUGGAAUAAGAAGAAGAAAAACUUUACACUAGAUAGAUAGAUAGAUAGACUUGUGUCUAGUAGACUAGCAAGUAGCAACUGUAGUUUGAUGUGAUGAUGAUGAAGGUAGGAAAAUAUUCUCUUUCUUCUUCUUCUUUCUUUCUUUCUUUCUUUCUAGUGUUAGCUAGUUUAUCGGCUUCUCUGUGCUGUCUUUUGGCAGUUUCAUUCCAUGCACUUCAAUAAUUUAUUAUUUACUAGUGCUUUGUUUGGAUGUCAAAGCUACUUUUUCGCCUACCUUUCCAAGUGCUUUGUCUUUCCAAAAUACAAAUUACAUGGAAAUGAUGUUUAUUUUCAUAUUGAUAAAUUACCACUUUUAUUUUUUACAAAUAUAUAAGUAGGUGGUGACAAGGAUGGAUCAAUGGGGCUAUUGGCCCUUCAAACAAAAAUAAAAAUAAAUUAUUUCUAAGACUUGGGUCUUAGAAAUAUUGUUUAAAUUAUGGUGUGAUUUGGAGAUGUUGUAAUCAGAUUUUAUAUAAUAAAGAAAAAAUUAUCCAUGAGAUUAGGACAAUGACAAAGCAAAAAUAUCUACAUUAAGCAACAAUAUGUUCAUGUGGUGCAACACUUAAAAAGACACCUACAACUUUUUUUUUUUUUUUUUAUUUCUUUUUAGCUUUACUUUAUUUCAGAAAAGAAAAAAAAAGUUUAUGAAGGUGGCAAAGAACAAUAGAAGUAUUGGUUAUGGUGAUCACAAGUCACAAACUAUGGAUGAGAUGUUUCUUCUUUAUUCUCUAGAAUAUGUAGUUUUGUUCUUUCUAGUAAUCAUGCAUUAAGGGAUUAUUAUCAAACAAAACAAAACUAAAUCAUGCAUUAAAGAUAUUAUGCUUUAGAAUUAAAAGCCCAUGAAUGAGUUUUUAUGUGCUAGGCUUUGAUCGAUAAUAUCCAUUGGGCUUCAUCUUUUCAUAGUUGAAGAUUGGGCUUGUUUUGAGAUGUCUUUGAAGUCCAAUUGUGCUGAAAAGAACAUUUUCAGAUUUUUUAGCCUCUCAUUUCCUUCACAGGUUCACUCUUCAUAGUUCACAGUUCACACGACCAAUAUGGCGUGUUGUUCUUCUACUCUUCUACUUCCUUUCAAACUCCCUCUUCAAUCUCAAACCUCAAAUUCUUCAUCCAUCCAUCUUUCUUCCACACCUCUACACCUCACAAACUACUCAAAUAAACUCCAUAUUCGUUUAAUAUACCGAUUUUCAAGACGAGAUUACCUUGAACAAGAAGACGAAGACGAAGAUGGAACUGAAAACUGCACCUUUAAUGAGGCAGUAUUCCUCUUCAAUACAAGAGACUACCAUAGGUGUCAUGACUUUCUUGAAACUCUUUGGAAUAAAGCUGAAGAACCUAAAAGAACACUAAUCCAUGGGAUUCUGCAAUGUGCAGUCGGGUUUCAUCACCUCUUUGGAAAGAAUCAUCAUGGAGCAAUGAUGGAACUUGGGGAAGGGUUAUGUAAACUGAAAAAGAUGAAUUUUGAUACUGGGCCAUUUUAUGAUUUUCAGAAAGAGAUUUCUGUUUCUUUGGAUUUUAUCUAUGAAACUCAAGUGGAACUUGCUGCCUGUGAGUUUACCAUUUCAAAUCUUUUUAGUUUUCAACUCUUCUAAUGGUUUGAUGUUGUUAGAUCAAAAUCUACCUUUUAUGGUUGACAGGUACUGAUGAUUUAUGCCUUAUGAUGGACGGAUCAGAAAGAUCAUACCAACUACUUGGAACCUUUGCUGCUGGGCAGCAAUUAUAUCAUCUAGAAACCGAUUCUGAUGGCAUUUCUUACAUAGUUUUCAGUGCUGAAGGAUUAUACAGCACCACUGAACCCAAAAGAGUCAAGGUCCCCAGUUUACGUGCUACAAAAGAACAUCUCAUGGCCUGUGAUUAUAACUGAUCUCGCAUGCAUUGUGUAGCUUAUUGGAAAAAAUAGAAACUAGUAAGUCUUUUUGAGUUUGAAUAGCUUACCAAAGAUGUAGUAUACAUUUUAUUUAUUUGUUGAAAAUACUUGUGUAUUAUGAGUAUCUGCAAUGGAGCUACUCAGUUAGUUCAGAAUCAGCAGAACAUCAUGGCCCAAGUUGCAAGUGAGAGGUCUGGGUUCUUAUCUACAGAGACUGAUACCAUAUGGUUUGAUUUGGAGUAUCUUGAGUUCUGGACCAUGUAACAUGAGGUGAUCUUUCAGGAAGCAAACUUUUCCACCGAGGCAGCAGUUACAAGGGUCAAAGCUUCUUUGUAGGCGGGGAAUUGGCUGGCAAUACAACAGGAAAGCUUGAAGGAAAGGAACAAACACCACUUCACAGUUUUACUCAGAAGCUGGCCUGCAGUUUUAGGCCUGGGUUGAUCUUCUUUGUUGUUUGUGUAUACUAUAUCAUUAAGGGUAUGGGAGCGUUUAUAUUUCAGAGUCUUAAUCUCACCUGAUGGAGUUUUACUCGCUGAUCAGGAUUGUACCCCUUUUACUGUGAUUAAUAAUAUUUCUACCUUCCCCCCCCCCCCCCCAAAAAAAAAAAAAAAAAAAAACUCAGAUUAGUGACCUAAGCCUCAUUCCAAUCCAAAAUUCCAAACCCAGCAAUCUCAUUCCAAACCACAUUUUUUGUAAUAAAACAUAAAAAGGGUAAUACAAGAACGACUACAUAGUUAGGUUAACAAAGGUGACAGUGUGACUGUUUGCUUUCUAAUACAGAAAAAAUGUGUUCCAAAAUAAACACAAAUGAACGUCUUUUCUUUUCAUUACAAUAAGAGGGAUUAUGAAAUGUGCAACAAGAUUAAUAAUUUUUACCAGAAAGGGUACCACAAAAAGUCAAAAGUCAUGAGGUUGAUCAAAUUCUCAAGAAAAAGGACAUCCAAGAUAUACACUUCAUUGCUCAAACCGUAUGAGUGGGAAAGAAUAAUCUCUUGAAAUGCCUUCUCUUUAGAUUCAUUGAGAAUAAUACACAAUUUAGUUAAUUACAAUUGCAACAUUAACAAACGAUGGGAAACAAUAAAUACUCACAUCCCAAUCAACUUUCUGUUCAGGUUCCCUCCAAAGGCAAUGUUAUGACCAUCACUAUCAUGAUCAUGAUCGUGAAAGAGCAAUGUCAACACUCCAACCAGGCAUAACACUGAGCCUACAAGAAGUUUAUCGUUCCGCUCCACCCAGUGGAAUUUGAGCUGGCUUGCUCCGUAGAAUGAGAGAGCAACCAGGGAGGUCAUCACAGUUAUAGUGCUGCAGACAAUAUUAUACCAUUGUUAACUAUUAUUUAAACAAGAGGAAACAAGAGCUGAGACAAUUCUGAUAAUCACAAUAAGCAACAGUAAAUCUGUGAAAUUAUUGAAGACACCUUUGUUCUCACUCUUCUUCGUUUCAAAGAAUUCAAACAAAACCUACUUUUUCAUGAUCCUCGCAGUAUUUUUAUUUUAUAAGAUAUAGGCUCUUUACCAAGUUAGUGAGGAACUACGUAGGGUCAAGCUAUGGGAUUUAUAUUCAUCCUUUACUCUUUUAACAGCUUCUGCAUGCAUGUAUACCGUUUCUCUUUUUAUCAAUCCAGAAGCAAUAUAUCAAAGUGGGAUGAGGAGUCUCUACAGACUAGGGAAUAGGACUUGAAAAGUUGAAACAAAACAAAUCUCAUACGAAAAACAACAGUGCUAGACUCGUAACUGAAUACAGCAAUUCUUAAAAAGACCUCCAAUGACCCUCCAUUUCUUAAAGCAAAGAUGUAAACUCAUUUAAGAUAGUCUAUCAUUAGCUUUAAGCAUGCACUUUAAAGUCCCCUUGUUUACAUUGCAACCGGAUAUAGCUACAAAAUUGUAUAGGUAAUGAUGCUCUUUGAAAAAGGCCAGAAGGAGGACCAUGAAGACAAAACAACCUGCGAAGAGCCUGAGCAGGGCGACACCAACCUACCGGACACGAUACAUUUUUUAGCCUGAGCAGGUUUACAAAAUUCUUUAAUGUUCUGGGCAAUACCUUACCGAACUUUUCACAUCGAACUACAUGAUUUAGUUUGGGUUCACAUUAAUCUUUAGUCAGACAGAAUUAUAGAUACUGGUAAGAAACACAGAAAUUAUUCAUCACAGAAUGUUUGAGUUCUUGUCACAACACGUACUUUAUAAAUACAUUUAAACAAACCAUUUCAGACAUAAAAGACAGGCCAAUUUUGAAAAGAUGUACCUGAACAGGAGAACAAUAAUUGCAAGCACCAUCAUAGAAGAAGAGUUGCCAACAGCAAGAAACACUGGAAGCGUAGUUGCACAAGGAGAUAAUGCAGGAACAAGAACAAGUCCAGCAACAGCCAUUUUCUCCAUAGGAUGGUUAUGAGAAUGACUAUGUCCACCCUUUCCAAACAUAUACAAUAUAAUAUAGCCACCACCAAGUAUUAUAAGCAACAAAGACGCAAGUUUAUGAACAGUUUCUUCGCCAGCAAUGGUAUUUGUAAUUGUAAUUGCAGCUAUACCCAGAAGUGAAGUUGAAAUUACAUGCAAAACCGCCCCAAAUGCAGCUGUAGAUAUGAAAUGCCCCAAUUGUAAACUCGUAAAAAAAAUCUAAUUUUUUAAUUGGAAUAAAUUAAACAAGACUGAUUUGCAAAUCAAAUGUUUAAUAGAAAAUAAAAACACCCCUUUAUAAAAAAAAAAAAAUGCAAAUUGGUUGAAUUAGUAUUGUAGAUCUAAAUUGGUAAAGAGAGAGAAAGAGAGAAAAUGCUUACUGACGAGAAGAGUUCUAGAAAGAGUCCAUUUCUGAGCACGACCAACAAUGGAAAAAGGUAACCAAUGGGUUGGAAUAAAAGAGUGUAGAAGCGAUACUGUUGCAAUUCCUCCUAUUGUUGAAACAUCUUUUGCACUGAAACUCUCCAUUAUACUAGUGUGAUUCUUUAGAGAAGAAGAGAAAAGAGUGAGAAAGAAUUAGAUAGGUUAUUAGAAGAAUUUUUAUUAGGGUUUAAUGAGAGAUCGAAUACUUUUCGUUUGAAGAAGAAUGAAGAAUUGAAGAUGAUUGAUGACUGUAAUCAAAUCAAGACGACAAACUCUAUUACUUGAAACUAACCAGAAAAGCUGAUACUGUUGUUACAACUUACAACAUGAUGAGUCUUGAUAUGAUGAUGAAUAUGCCCACAAAUCCACAAUGAAAACAAGGCCCAAGGCCCAAGGCCCUUUUAUAAGCCCAGUGAAACACCUGCUACAAACCCCACAAAACUAGUGUAAAUCACACAACACACCUUCUUUCAUUCAGGCAAAUGCAAAUCUGAUUGAAGAUUAGAAGAUCUUCCUAGCUAGUAGCUAGUUAGCUACAACUACAACAUGAACUAGAUCAAUGAGAUUGCCAAACUCUCUAGUUCAUGUUGUAGCUAACUAGCUACUAGCAAUGUGAAAAAGUUGCCAUGUCACGCAUUUUUCUUUGACAUGCUUAAGCUUCUUCCUUGAGAAAAUGACAGGCAGGAACCGAUCAAAGAGUUGUGUCGCAUAUGAAUACAUGAGUGAGUCGUUUCACAGCUAAUGUUGGGUGUUGCGAGAGGGACACAUUGCUUGUUAAUUGGGUUCAAAAUCAUAUAAGUCAUGGAAUAGUAUCGCUCUAGAGUAGCAAGUAAGAUGCUAUUAGAAGAUCCCACAACAUGAACCAUAUGAUGAUCCACAAAACUAAGUGAUUCAUCAAGAGAAAAAGCAACAUCAAUCAAACUAGUUGCCUCGUCACCUGCAUCAUACCUUUUUCUUUUCUUCAACACACUUAAACUUAAGCUUCUUCCUUGUGAACCGAACAGGCUCUUCGCCUUUGGUUUCUGUCAUUUUGCUAGAGAAAAAACCCAUCAAGAAAUGGCAUCCUCUGAGAGUAGGUCUGUUGGAAAGACUUGUUAUGACACUUAUGAGAGAUAAAAUUAAAGCAUGCACCUUUUUUUUAUAAGUAUGUACACUUGGCAAUUGAUUUUGGGGGAAGAUGGAGUAGUAUCUCUUGUAUAAUGUCGUCCAUCAUCUUAAUUGGAAGAACAAUAUAUCUGCAGUUAUAACUUAUAUGACUUGCCACUUCAAACUUGCAAUAGCUUAAGUCAUGAUCAAAGUGACCAAGAAGAAGAAAAAAACUGAAUUUCCCCGUUUGAUUGAAAUUACAUUUAUAUCCCUACUAAAUAUUUACUACUGGAAAAUUUGUUUCCCAAACAGGCAAAAAAAACUUAAAAACCCCAAUCAUUUACAACCCCGGUGAAAAUUAUUCACUCGAAAAGACCAUUAAAGGUGAGAGAAAUUAGAAAGACCGUUGAACUCUAAUCUCGAGAAAAAGAGAGAGAGAGAGGGGGAGAAGAGAGAGAGAGAGAUCGAGCUAAAACCUUCGAUCUUUUAUUUUAAAUUCCCUUUUUCUUUCAAUCUCUAAUUGAAACAAAUCACAAAAUUUUGGGGGGAAAUUGUUUGAAUUUCAUAAUUCUAGGGUUUAAUCAUUAAAAACUCUUUCAAAGUUUUUGAAUUUUUUCGUUAUUUUGAAGAUGAGUAGUAGAAAAGAAGAAGAGAGGAAUGAAAAGAUCAUUCGAGGUCUUAUGAAACUUCCUCCCAAUCGUAGAUGCAUCAAUUGUAAUAGUCUGGUAUGAAUUUUGCUCUAUUUCAUAUAUAUAUUUUUUGUGUAAAGAUUGAAUUUGUUUUGAUCAAAUUGCUAGUAAUAUUAAUUUUCUUUGAUUGCAGGGUCCACAAUAUGUGUGUACGAAUUUCUGGACAUUUGUUUGUACAACAUGCAGUGGAAUUCAGUGAGUAGUUCUUCUGAUUCAACAUUCUCUAAUUAGUGUGUAGAUUAUCUCAAUUUGACCUCUUUGUGGCUAAGCUAAAGUUACACAAUUAUCUGUUUUUAGAAAUGUGGAAACAUGCAUUUUUUUAUUGUACUGCCGUUGGCGAGAACCCUUCGAAGUUAUAACACAAGUAAUCCAACUUAUAAUACAGUACUCAAAUGGUAACCAUAUUGCACCAUAUGAUACAAAUGUAGUUUUGUCAAUGUGAAUGUUUCAUGUUUAGCCCUUAAGAACACGUUGUUUCAUCCUAGAGGUUCAAGAUAAAUAAUGCAUUCUAUAUUACAUUACUCAAAUGGUUACCAUAUUGCGGCAUAUGAUACAAAUGCACCUUUGUCAAUGUGAAGGUUUGAACCCUUGAGAACAUGUUUUUUUCAUCCUAGAGGCUCAAAAUAAAUACCAUUUCACGCUAUCGGAUAGAUAUGCUGAAAUCCUGUCACUGUUCUAAAAUCACCCUUGUACUUGGUGACCAUUCCUACUAAGUGCAUCAAUACGAUAUUUGAAACUUGAGAAGCUUGUCCUUUACACAUCCUUUAUUGAUGUGCCAUAUGCUUGAUGAAGCUUUAUGCUUUUUAUUAGGAGCAAUGUGUCAUAAAGAUCUUGUCAUGAGGCACAAGCCUCAAAUCUUUAUAAUGCAGUGGUGUUUUCAUUUGUAAGUCGGUUGAUUGUGUUUUACAAAUUUCACGUUUUGAAAAUAGUCAUCACUCAUCACAAGUUUAUAUUUAUUUUUAUGUGCUACACAGUCGCGAAUUCACUCAUCGGGUGAAGUCUGUGUCUAUGGCAAAGUUCACUUCUCAAGAGGUUGAAGCUCUUCAAAGAGGUGGUAAUCAGGUAUGUGUACUGACUGAAAUUCAAAGUUCUUUGGUUCUAGAAGGUUUUGUUUAAUCGCUUGCUUACGUGACAUUUAUGAUGCUCAGCGUGCAAGGGAAAUAUUUUUGAAAGAUUGGGAUCUACAAAGGCAGAGAUUGCCUGAUAGCAGGUAAGGGUAUGCUACUGGAGUAUUUGUUAGUCCAGUUGUUAAUAAUUCAGAAAUUGCAAAAACAACAUGUACGUUGUUAGUUAUCAUACAUCAUUUUUGCAGCAAUGUUGAUAGGGUGCGCGAGUUCCUAAAAAAUGUCUACGAAGAUAGGAAAUAUGCUGGAGGAAAGGUUUUGGACAAGCCUCCAAGAGAUAUGCAGGUAAUGCAGUCUUAAACUAAUAUGUAGUUUAUUUGGUGUUACUUUUUUUCGGAAAUACUAUUAUUGCAUCUUCGUAUUCAUUUGUUUGUUUUAUAUGAAUAAUUAAGCAGAAGAAAGAUUGCAGACUAACGUAAUGUGUCUGAUCUGUCAGAACCUAAGAAACCAUGAAGAUGAAACCAGACGAGCCAGUUCAUAUCACUCAUAUUCGCAAAGUCCACCAUAUGAAUAUCAAUAUGAAGAUCGGAAGUAUGGUAAACAAGUUGGUGUGCUUAGUAGAAAGCCUGGUUCAGAUCGAGGUUAUUAUGAAGGGAAGACCUCUAGCUUAGCAUAUAGCCCAGGACGUUUAGCAGAGCAAAUGUACGAGGAUAGAUUUGCUAAUGAGGGAUCAAAUUCCAGAGCUUCAGAUUACUCUGUUUCUAGUUUAGGGGAUCCAUUCAGGUCUGAUAACCAAUCUCCAAAUCUUCAGCGCAAGUUGAGCAGCCCUUCUAUGCAUCCCUUAAAGGAUCUCCUAGUUGAAGGUUCACAAGUAAUUGGUGCAACAGAACCAAAUGCCAAAAAAGGUUCAGGCGGGAUCACACGUACACAGGUGAAGUUGCUCUGCCAUAACCUUUUGAUUUAUCCUAUAUAAAUAUUCGCUGAUUGUUGGAAGACAUCCUUUUCGUUGUUACCCCCUUUUUAUACCGAUAUAAGAAGAGAAAGAGAUGGCUUGUAUUACUUUGGUUUCUGAAACUAGAGAAGAUCUGAUUUUACUGCAAUAGUGUACAAAUACCACAUGGAGUCCCUUUUUGCUUCUUUACUUCUUUUAAACUAUUACAAAAGCUUAGUUGGUUCUACUUUAUGCGGUAGAGGUUCCUAUUUGAUUGGGGAGUCUACUUCAUUGCAUGUGCUCCAUUUUAUAUGCUUACUAAGCUAAAUACUUGAUGUCAUUUAGUAUUAUGUGCUCCAUUAUGUCAUUUUAUAUUUGCCCAAUCACGUUUUUCUUAUUCUUUACGCUGAUAUAUGACAUUUCCCCCCCAGAGGACCACAUCUUCAGGCAGCUUUGGAUCCUUUGAUAGUAACUCGGUGAACUCAGGUAGUUUAAUUGAUGUUGUCUCAGAACCUGAGCAAUCUGCUGGGACUCAGCUGGGUGGAAGGGCUCCUGUCCUCUCUGUGCAAAAGUCAUCUGUUUCCGUUAAUUCUGUUGGGAUGGAUCUCUUCAGUGCGCAAGUUGUGCAACAAUCUAUAGGGUUGUCAUCCCCAUCAAUAGAUUUGUUUGAGAAACCAGCAAGUUCCAUUGCUCCAUCUCAAGAUCUGUUUAAACCAUCAGAUACGAAGUUGGCUCCAGCUAUAGAUUUAUUUGCGGGCAUCACUCAUCAGAGUUCGGUUGCCUCCUCAUCAGAACAAAAGCCAGCCGUGGCCUCGUUUCAGCAAGAUGAUGGCUGGGCAACAUUUGACGUACCCCAGCAUGAGCCAUCAACCUUUGGAAUUAAAUAUGUACCUCAGGCUAGUAUUGCUCAUGGGGAUCAAGCUUCUUCCAUGAAUUCGAGCAUGCAAUGGCCAUCAGUCAGUUAUGAGUCUCAUGGGCCUUUUCCAUUAGUUGAAAAUCAAUGGCAUGGUGGUGGGCAUGAAGUUCAUCCUUUUGGUGUUCCUACGAGUACUAAAGUAAGCAAUUUUGCACAUUCAGUACGAAAACUUUCUGUUUAUUUUGAAUGGUACAAUAGGCAAUUCAUUUUUUAUGUGCGAGACUGACGUAAUAUAACCAGUGAAGGUGCUGAAAUGUUCUAUGAAUGUAUAGAUAAUAAAAACUACGUGUCUGUCAUUAGAAAGUGUUUAUGGAGGAAAGUUUUGUAGGAGAGAAAUGACAUUAUACUUACAAGUUACAACAAAAACACAAACAAAAAAGGAAAGAAGAAAGGUUAAUCCUUUCGGAAACAAAUUUCAUUCUGAUUUUAUCUUUUCCCUAGUUCACAAUCUAUGUUGAAAUGAUUAUAUACUUUAAACUGUUUACUUUAGUUUCCUUCAUUCAAACUGAUUUUGGGUGCCAUGUAACAAAUAUAUCUUAGUUGUACAUUAGUAUGAGCUCUCAAGGAGGGCUUUAGCACUAACCAUACUCUUUGAUGUUUUGCUUUAGAUUCGUUCGACGUGCCACUGGAACAAGUUGUAGGCCAUCCUUUAAGUUGUGUUUGUAAUAUCCUUUAAAUUGUCAAGUGAUAUUUGAUCCCUGUAGCUUCAGAGGUUUUAGGUGUCUUGUUUCUGUUUAGUUUUUACUUGUUUCUCUUGAUAAAAGUACAUCUGGUUGUAGUUGUAAUUUUGACUUUGCACAACCUUUGAACAAUUAUCCUUUCUGUUCUCAUGGUAAAGUAAAUCCUUGCAUACAGGGUGGACAAUUGACAAUUCCUGCUGAUCAGAAAUCCACAAAUCCAUUUGAUCUUCCAUACGAUUCAAAUUUGGAGGUGAGCAGUGUGGUAUGUUGCAAAUAUGGUUCUUUUUUACUUUUUUGAAAACUGGAUUAUAUUCUACUGUAACGCACUUUACUCACACAUUCGAAUGCCAUGUUUGAUGAGGUUAAGAAUUGGUCAAAUGGUAGUUUUCUAUGUGACAAAGCGAUAAUGGAACAAGGAUCUGAUGUACUAAAGUUUUGUUAUCAAGGAAAAUCUUAGUUUCUCCAUUUCCUUUCUUUAAAUUUUGGCUUUUAUUCGUGGGGGGUGGAGGUGGUGGGGUGGAGUGUUAUAAAUGAAGCAAAUAUUAAAUGAAGUUAAGGCAUGUAGUGAAAAGAGUUAAUAAAUGAAGAUUGUUUCUGCUAUGUAUUUGAUAUCUCUAUAUAGUCUUCUGUUACUGCUAGUGGUAAGCCUGCCUUUUGUCAGAGAUUUGGAACCAAAAGCACCCUUUCUUUUGCUUUCCAAAUCCAUUGAAGGAAGGUUUUAGUCUAUAGAUUAAAAAAUUUAGUGAAAGCAAUAUUUGCCAUUAUACUUUGUUUAGUAAUAUUUUCAGUAAUGAAAGACAAGCUACCCGGAUCUUUUGUUGUUUAGUUUCGGUAGUACAGUGGCCAUUAUACUUUGUUUCUUUCUUAUUUAGUUUUCUUGGCAGCUCUUAAACAUGAGUUCUCUGCAAGCAGCUCUCCCAGAUUCCCAGUUGCCACCUUCUUAUGCAGAAGGCUUUAGUCAGCCAUGGUUUCCUUCAGAUACAAUGACAUCUUAUAUCCCAGCUGCACCACAAGGUCAGUUGUGCAAUGUUCUUACUGGUAGAAGUUUCGGCACUGUUUAACUUGUUUCACUCAUCAUUUUCUCAUCCUGUUUCAUUUUGGUGUAAUAUUUUUCAGGAGGCUUGGCAUACAUAACAGGGGAAGCACCAAACCCUCAAUUCCCGUACGUAGCCAUCUUAUACAUCACUUUUAUAGUUUUUUUGCUAGAAAAUAUGUGAGUACAAUGUUUUGGCAUGCCACUGUAAAGAAUAAAUAGACCGGUUCCUAUGUGUACCACUUCAGCCCAAUGGUUUGAGCCUGAUGUGGUAAACCUUUUUGUUGACAUGGUAAACAGGGGAGGAAUUUUAACCUGCUUGCUGGAAUAAUAAUAGUGUCUUAAAAAAAUAUCAAGAGUUGACACAUAACCUAAUAUAUGAAUUAUGUCUAAUCAUACUCAUCACGUAAAGCUUUGUUGUGAUGCCCGUGGAUAAGUUCUUUUCUGAUUAUGUAUUGUUGUUUGCCUAAGCUGUACCCUAAUGUUGUAUGUGCCUGUUGAAUUGUAUUACACAUGUAUAUAGUCAAAAUUUUAUUGCUGAAAUGUUUUUCUACACCCAAAUCAUUGAUGUACUGUAUUAUGGUCGUUUGUAUGGUAGCCUUUGCCAAUAAAUACUAAUUCCUUUGUAGUGGUUUUUAUGUUAAAUUAUAAUUGCAUCCCAGAAAAUAGUGUUGCAUGCUGAAGUACUAUGGUUGGAGAGAUAUGCCCCUUUUGACUGUGCUCUCGUUGCAUAUAUUAUACUCUAGUGUUUGUUGACAUUCAUUGCUCCACAAAUCAAAAUCAGAUUGUGAAUUAUUCCUUUUUGUAUUUCAUCCACUCAGUUUGAGUCUUAAUGAUUCAGGUGGCAACUCUCUAGCAAGUGCUUCUAUUUAUGAACUUUUUAAGAGUUGGAUGUAACCUGAUAUAGUGUUUAAACUUUCUGAUGAUUUGUUGGCAGGAACAUCCCUCCACAAGCUUCUGUUGCAUCUCUUAGUGGCAAUCCGUUUGCCUAAGUUUUCAGCAAGCAGAAGCAUAAACUUAUUCUUCCUUGGUAGUCAAAGCUGACCGUGACAGGCUGCAACCCUUAAUGUGCUGAAAGUGAAGGAUUCAAGGCUUCAUUCUUCUAUAUUCGUUGUGCAGGAAAAUGGUUGCAGCAAGCAGGUUUUCCGAUCUAUGCUAAAGAUGCAUUCAGUUGCUCCAAAUAUGAUCGGUAGCCAUGUGUAUUUUAUUUAGUUAAUCAGUAGGUAAGUUAAACGUUAUUGUUUAGCUUUUGUGGGUAUGAUCGUAUUCGUGAUGAUGUUUUCCAGUAUUUUGUAUUGGCUCAACUUGGUGUGGAGUACUUGUUUACCCUUAAUUUUGCAGGGUGUUUUUUUUUUUUUUUUUAAAGUUCUGUAUAUUGAAAUUAGAUUGAAGUUCAGCUGCUACUCUAUACACUCCCACUCAAUCUUGAAGCAGUUAGAAUCUGAAAGGUAUGUGAAUUGUACCACCUAGGUGCCUACAGAAGAGUGUCAGAGGCAUAUACUCACCCCAUACCAACUGUUUUGAAACUUUCCUUUUGCUGUUAAAUCUAUUAUGCCCAACUCGAGAUGAAGUAAAAGGAUCCAAACUUACCGUGGCUAUAUAACACUCACUCUUAAGUCCUAAUUGUUGUGGAGGCUGACACUGCAAUCAAAAUCAUCUUGUACUUGCAUGAAACUCAAUCAUUACCCAGUUCAUUUCGAUACAUGCAAGUACAUGAUAAUUGAAAUUCAAACCUUCUCAGAAGUACAUGAAAAUCUAUCAUUAGUUGAAAUGCAACUACAAGCUGAUCUUUUUGUGUCUGAACUCUGAACACUAGAAAUGCCAAUAUUAUGCCAAACGUGGAAGGUCUUUACUGGAUAAUGUGUGCUAUUAAAGUGAAGAAAAGGAAUGGGAAUCAUGCAGGCCACAUUUAUUAACCAAAUCAAUUUGCACAUAAUGUGACAAAAUAAAUGUUCUAGAUAACUGAUAAGCUCUCCAAUCAAAGACAGACAAACUCAACCGCCAAAAAAACUACUCGCGUGGAUGCUAUUCUUUCACUUGUCAGACCAAAAACAGAAUCUCUCUUCCUAGUUCUUCUUACUUCUUAAUCAAACUCAACUCAACUCGAGUUUCUUCUUUCUCUGAAGCAAACCAACAAACACUCUUGUCUUCAACAACACUAAAACCUACCUUCUCUAUGCCUUCUUAAGUAAAAUCUUCUACAUCAAAGAAGAAAUUUAAUUGAAGGUUCAGAUGGAAAUCUGCAAAUCAUCUUAUGGUCAUUUCUUUUUCACCCAAACCAAGCAUGGCAUCAACAACAACAACAGAGAAACUUCCUUGUUUGCCAAAACUCAUCAUCUUUCAUCAAAUCAGCUCAAUAAACUAUCCCCCUUUCUUCAUUUCUCUACUGCUACUCCAAUCUCUAAAAAGUCAUUUACCAUUUUAAUGCGAAGUGGCAGAAGUGGAAGUGACAAUGGAAUUGCGUCGACUUCCAAGUCAUCAAGUGCAAUGGAACAGCUUGAUAUUGAGCGUGGCGUUUGCAUACCCUUUCGAAAGUAUUCACCAGAAAUGGUAACCAAUUAUUUUGUCUAUUUGAUAUCUUGAAAUAUGAAUAUUACAGUUAUGUACAAAUUGAUGUGAUGGUGUUGUUGAUUUUAUUAGGUUAGAAGUAAGGUGUUGGAUUCAAGAGGUUCUAUAUUGUCGUUGUUUGGUCGAGGUAUUGAGAUUGUUUGGAAAUUGGGGUUUUAUUGGUCUGUUCUUGUGUAUGAUUUCUUAAUUGGACGGGAUGAAGAAGUUGUUCCUUAUCGUGCGCGGCAACUCAGGAAUCUAUUGUGUGAUCUGGGACCAUCUUUCAUCAAAGCUGGGCAGGUAUUGAACUUUAAUUUGUCAUCCCAUGUUGUUCUAUUCUGUUGAAAAAAACAUGUGCUUAAUUUCAAUGCUAUACUUAGUUUUCAGUUCGUAGUGUUAUUAUCUUAUCGCUAAACUCUGGUGUUGGUUUGAAUUUGGAACAAGUUAUGAGAUACCAAAGGCGCCUAUUGGCCCUGACUUAUUUUACAUGUCCUUAUGGACAAACAUCACAAUGACAUUCUUAUUUUCGUGGUAGAUAACAAGAUGUACCUUUCCUUGGUCAUGGACAUGCAUGCAACCUAGUAUACUAUCAUUAAUAACCUUGUCUGUCAUGAUUUAAUUUGUAAAGGUUAUUAAACGGUAAUUAUUGCCACAUGUGACAUGUUUAUAGAAAUUAUUACUUCCUCGUGAAAGUGACGUUUUGCUCCAUUACAAACAGGUUCUAGCAAAUAGGCCUGACAUUAUCAGGGAAGAUUAUAUGAGUGAGCUCUGCAUUCUUCAAGAUGAUGUUCCUCCAUUCCCUAAUCAGGUGAGAGUUGUAUAUGAGGGAAGCAUUACUAGCAAUGAUUUAAUGUAAAAGUGCAUUUUCCAUUUAACUUGCUCAAAAGGAACAAUUUUCAUUGUGGAAUCUUAUGGAUUUUUUUGUCAAUAUUGUGUAGGUUGCCUUUAAUAUCAUAGAAGAGGAUUUGGGGAAGCCUCUUGAAGCGGUUUUCAGUAAAAUUACAUCACAGACAAUAGCAGCUGCAAGUUUAGGUCAAGUUUAUCGUGCUACCCUGAGUGACACUGGAGAGGAUGUUGCUAUAAAGGUUGACUGAAUUAUAUGUAUUGGUAGUGGUACCUUUAUUAAAUUCUAUGAUAAAUGAUCAAUUGAACAAAUAAAAAUUUAAAGAAAAUUUCCAUAUUUUAAAUGACAUGAUAGAUAGCAUAUUACCCACUGUUGUUUCUCAAUGCUAGAAUAAGAUUCUAUGCAUAUGGUCGAUUAUGUUGUAAAUCCAGUUAAUUUCACUAAAUAGUCUUGGUCAAAUUUAAAUAUUGGUUUCAUGGAUGUUUAUAAAACUCUAAUAUGGACACACCUUUUUGUUGCUUUAGGUGCUAAGGCCUCAGAUAGAACCUAUAAUCUAUCGGGAUCUUUUCCUGUUUCGAAUGCUUGCUUCAUUCUUGAAUGGAAUCAGUCUACAGAAAUUGGGAUGCAAUGCAGAACUCAUAGUUGAUGAGUUUGGGGAAAAGCUUCUGGAAGAGCUCGAUUACACUCUGGUAGUUUGAAAACUUCUCUAUAUUUUGAAGUUAGUAGGCAUUCUACAGACUGAUAAGAAGUAAUAAUAUAAUUGGAGUCAGAAUGGCCUAGAUCUUUGACUCCUGAACUUUGUAGUAUUCAGGCACAUUACAUAUUUAUACUCAUUUUGCAAUCUACUUGUUAUGAUUAAAUCAAGUUUCCAUAUUUAUAUAUCUUCAUAUAUAUUUUUUUAUUGGUUUGUCUUUUUGAUACUCAGGAGGCUAGGAAUAUUGAAGAUUUUCUGGAAAACUUCAAAAAUGAUCCCACGGUUAAAAUUCCUCGAGUUUAUAAAAAGCUUUCAGGUUCACGUGUGUUAGUAAUGGAAUGGAUUGAUGGCAUUCGGUGCACUAAUCCACAGGUUGGAAGACCUAAAUAGAUGAUUCCAUAUAUACACUUGAAUUAGUUGUUUCAGAGUGUUUCUCCUAAUUGUGUUCUAAUAUAUAUUGAACUUCGACUUGCUUCACUACAAUUUCCAAUUCUUUUGCAUGUACGUCAGGCUAUAAAAGAAGCAGGCAUAGAUGUGAAUGGGUUUUUGACAGUUGGAGUCAGUGCUGCUUUGAGACAAUUGCUAGAGUUUGGACUAUUUCAUGGUGACCCACAUCCUGGAAAUAUUUUUGCGAUGCAAGAUGGACGUAUUGCAUAUGUUGAUUUCGGAAAUGUUGCAGUGUUAAGCCAGGUAUUCAUUCCAACCUUUCGGAUAUGUGAUUAAAAAUAUCCAGUUCAAAGGUAGAGAGGAAUCCCUGUUUUAGUUGAUCAUGAGCACUUAAUCGCAUAACAAACCUACAUACACACACACACACACACACAAUCUGUGAAGAGAUGCAGAAAACUAUUUAAUUUUGGUACACUUAGUUAAAUAGAAUAUUUUCUUGUAUGUCCAUACUUAAGCGUACCUGGUGUUUCCAAGUGUGUACCAUUCUUGACAUUAGUCUCAGAGUAUUUUUGGAUUGGAGAGUUCGUUACGUUCUAUACUUCUAUAUUCUAUAGUAUGCAUUUUAAAGAAGAAGAAAAUAAAUUAAAAAAUACGCCUUCUAUCUGAAGGUUGCUACACUACAACAAUAAAGCCAUUAAAUGAAGAAAAAGGGCAGCAACAAAAUGACUGGUAAAUCAUGCCAAAAGCUCAUUGCAAUUUCAUUUUCCCGUCUUCCAAUUUAUUUUCAUCCCAAAAGUCCAUUGCAAUUAUCACCCUUCUUUUGCUCUUUCACCCCCUUUUUGCACAUUUAUUAGAAAAAGUAACUGCUUUUCAUCUCGUUUGGGUUUUACUAGUUUCUUUCAUUCCCGUAUUUGCAUGACUUUUCACACGAAGGGAGAUGUUAUGUAUAUGAGCUAUUCACAACUUAUUGAGCUUUUUUUUAAAGAUCAAUUUUUUAUAAUGAUGUUAUUAUAGAAAAGAUAUUUUUGCUUCAGAGGCGCAUAAAAGGACAAGCAGCUGUCUAUGAGAUUAGAAAACAAAGAUAGACUGGAUUAAGCUUUAACAUUAUGUGGUCUGUCCACUUCUCAUUCAUGUAGAAACUAACACCACUUCUAUCGAGUAAUGUUUGUGAACUGUUCUUUUGUUAUUUUGUUUUUGUAGCAAAAUAAACAGAUUUUGAUAGAUGCUGUUGUUCAUGCUGUAAAUGAAGACUAUGUUGAGAUGGCAAACGAUUUCACCAGGCUUGGUUUCCUUGCUAGUGGAACAGAUGUGUCUCCCAUUGUUCCGGCUUUAGAGGCAAUCUGGCAGAACUCGUCUGGAAAAGGACUAGCUGAUUUUAAUUUUAGGAGUGUUACUGGUAAGCUGUGUGCCCUUCUUUUACUUUUCAUCCAGAUGAAUAAUACUCUCUUUCAGUUUUUUUUUUGUCAAAAGUUUGUAUGUUUGUACAGGAGAUCAGCCCUCCAAUAAAUAAUAUGACUUGCUCCAAAUCUGAGAGGCAUCUUUAGUUAGAGCUAUGCCAUAUUUGAAUAUUCUUGACUUGUUAUCCUUGACUGUUAACUCUCACAACAUGGAUUAUUGUAAAGUGAUUUAAAAGAGAACUUCUAUCAGAAUCAUAAUGACCUAUAUCCUCCCCCCCUGAAUAUAUCUAUAUGCUUAAUUUUUAUUUGUUGAGUUUACUUUACUUAAUUGCCAUAUGUCAGCAAUUUCUGUGAAUAAAUGGAAGAACUCUUUGCGGCCUUCAGCUUUUCAAGCAUUUGUUUGCUGUGUAAAUGCAAAGGUGGAUUGUGAAGCAGAAUCUUCUGAAGAUCUGAUUUUGUUUGUCAGUAAUUAGUAGUAUUCUUCUAUCAGUUAAGUGAGAUGUGUAACAUGAUCUAUUUGAAUUGAUUGGCCCAGAUCGUUAUGAAUUCGUGCACAGAGGCAGUCUCUUGUUUACUUUUGUCUAAUGUCCUAUGAUUCUACAACAUGACAGUGUCUUCUUUCAGUAUGUGUAUGUGUGGAAUUUGAUUUUCUUGUAAUUCAUGUGCGAUUUUUUAUUAUAUAUUUUUUUGUGCUAUUCAUACUACAGGAAAGUUCAAUCAAUUGGUUUAUCAGUACCCAAUCCGUAUACCAGAGAGGUUUUCGCUGGUUAUCCGUUCUUUAUUGACCCAAGAAGGCAUCUGCUUCACACUUAAGCCGGAAUUCAAAUUUCUUGAGGUGAGAGAAUAAUCGUUGGGUCGGUGUUGUUUUCUGAUUCACUAUUGGAAUCCAUUUUAGUAAAAGAAAGAGACUACAAAAGAUAGUGCAGCUAGAGACCAGCACAAUAAAAAUUAGUUUUCCUAUAUUGUAGAAUUCUCCCUCUUUUUUUUUAUUUUUUAUUUUUAUUUUUUAAUAAAAACAAAUCUUAUUGAUAAAAGAUGAAUUACACAAAGCUAGAGGACAAGCGCGCUACAAACUGCGCUGCAAGCCCUUUUUGAAUAGCAAAAUUGCUUAUGUAUCACACAAAAACACUGACCAUUGGAUUUAGAACAUGAAAAAAAAUAUUUCUCUUAAGUACUGCGAAAAGCCAAACUCCCCAUAUCACCAAAUAUAAGGUGCGUCAUACAAUACACACAAUGCAAUACAAGUUGGUGGAUUUCUAGGGCAGUUCGAAGAUAUUUCAAUCCAUGGUUACUGGACAUACAUUAGAAGUUGUUGUGGACAUGACACUAACAGUUGUUAUAUACUGAGUAUAAAAUUUUGAUAUGUUAUGUAAACUAAUAGAUAACAGCUCAUUUCUAUAUCAAUGAAACGGAGUUCUGUUCUUUUUAUUACUGGUCAUUUUAGCCAUCUUGUAGACUACCAUUAUUCGUCAUCUCUGAAGUUUCUCCUAAAACUGACAUCGAAGAGUCGGUGUUGGUUUCUAACGUGUUCAAUCAAUCCUGACUCUUUUCGUAAUUGUUAAUUCAUUGCAACUAACUUUUGUAGGUUGCCUACCCAUAUAUUGCAAAGCGUCUUCUAACAGACCCCAACCCUGCUCUGCGCGAGCGUCUAAUACAGGUCAGCUUCAAGGCCAUCGUCAUCUGAAAUUGUUUUUACAUUUUAGUACUGUCUCUUAUAUAUAAGAGUGUAUUGGUAUUACUGGAGUGCACUGCUCUUUUAAGUUCUAUUUGUCGCUUGUACAAGAAAUCUACACUGAAAGUGUUAUUUUGAUGUGUUAGUUCGUGCGAAUACACCCUUCAUGUGUCAAUUAUCUUUUUAAAGCGGUCCACGACACUUCAUUUAGAUUUAAAAUGAUACCUGGACCCGGCACCGUAAUGUAGUGUAAUACACCGCCAGGUUAGUAACAAAAUAUGACAUUGCUGCGUCUUAUAUAGCCAAACUCAUGUACACUUAAACGAAAAUCAAUAAAUGUGCAUAGGCUUCUUGGAUCCAUUAAUGCACAGAUUCAGUGAGAAACAUGGAGUCAUGUGCAUGCCUAGUUCGUAACGUAGCUCUCUGAUUUGUGCAUUGAUUACUUGAGUUAUUUAUCAAUUGUUUGUUCAAAGAUGGACACAUACACAUCCUUCUGAAAGUCGUGUCUAUGUUUUAGGUUCUUUUCAAAGAUGGAGUCUUUCAGUGGAAACGUCUUGAAAACCUCAUUGUUCUAGCCAAGGAAAAUGUCGCAAAGAUGAGUAGCAAUCCUGCAUUCCAAGAGAAGAACACGUCAGUGCCAUAGACCAUCCUGCUUAAAUAUGGUGUUACAUUUUGUAUCAGGUUUCUGAACAAAUAUUUCUUUUAAUUUUACUCUUGUCAGGCAAAAGUCGAGAGAGAUGCAGAUUGAGAGGAAACUAGACCUCACUGACACUAUCAAGGAUGGAGCCCGUCUUUUCAUAGUUGAUGAAGGGAUUCGAAGACAGCUUCUUUUAGCUUUCACGGAAGACUCCAAGCUUCACAUUCAAGAGGUUGGUGUUAUAAGAACUGAAUUCUUUGCCACCUUAAACUUCUUGGUUGCUGAAUUUGCUAAGAUGUCCUUUCUCUUUUGUAGCUUGUGGAUGUAUAUCGACUUGUUCAAGAUGAAAUAGAUGUGCCCUCAGUAGCUUUGGGGAUGGCACGCGGUAAUAACUCUGUAUUGUCAUCUGUUCAUUAUUUUCUCUCGUAUUGACACACACACAACACAACACAUGGAAUGUAUUCCAGGAUCUUGUUUUUUAUAUGGUAUGCUCCAUUUUGCAGACUUGCCAGCAGUUACACGAGACAUCAUGCUUUCAUGGAGUGAUUCUAUUCUAGCAGAGAGGUAAUUGAAGCUUCAGAGACAACCAUUUACGGAGCUGAACUACCUAUGCGGCCCACAAAGGUGUAUAAAACCAUUUUUUUGUGUGUAUAAUAGUCCUGUUGUUAUAACCAGUUGCCACGAACCUAGAAAAUGUUGUAACACUGACCUCACUUAUAGUGCUGGCUCUGUAAAGCAUAGUUGUGAAAUAAUACAUAAGUAUAAGAGAGAGAAAAAAAAAAAAUCCUUGGUGAACUUUACCAAUUUCAAGCUGUGUCUUUGUUUUAGUAAGAUUUAUGCAACUGAAAAUGAACAUUUAUUGAUUUUGAUGCACAAAUGGUUUACAUAGAUACUGUUAAUCAGUAAACAUGAGUUGGAUUACAAGUUCACAAGGCAUUCUUUAGAAUCUUGAAGGGGCUUGCCUUAGACAAUAUUUCACUAAAAACCCUCUCUAGUUACUCAGCAGCAGUCUCAUUAUUCAAGGAACUACUACUGCAUUCCCCAUUUCAACAAUGUUUCAACAAAAUCAUCCAAAGCUCUCAACGACGACCCUUUCCCAUUUGAAUCAACUUCGACAGCUUUCUUCAUCUCCCCACCUAAAGCUUCAGCUUUCUUACGCAUUUGCUUCCCCUUCUCACCAUCUAACACUUCCUCCACCUUCAGCGCCACUUCCCCACCAAUGAUGUUCGCAUCAAAGCCCCUUGCCACUUCAACACACACCCCUAACUCUUCCUCCAACAGUUUUGCAUUGUAAUAUUGCUCUGACCCCAAUGGCCAUGCAAUGAUGGGCACUCCUCUACUUAAGCUCUCCAACACUGAAUUCCAACCACAAUGACUCAAAAACGCACCGAUCGCCUUAUGUGAAAGAAUUUGAAUCUGUGGCGCCCAAUUGCGCACUAUUAGCCCUUUUCCACUCUCCCUCAUUCGCUGCUCAAACCCUUCAGGCAACCAUUCUGGCUUAAACUCCUCACUCACAGCGACUCCAGUUGGGUUCCGAAGCAUCCAAAUGAAAGGCUUCCCACUCUGUUCCAAUCCUUUGGCCAACUCCAUCAUCUGCGCAAAAGGAAUACUAUUCUGAGAACCGAAUGACACGUAAAUAACCGAAUUGGGUGACUGCAGAUUAAGCCAAUGAGUACACAUUUGAGGCGAAAUCUCAGGUUCUUUCCCUCCUCUUUCAUAUUCUUGAACUGAACUAGGUAGCAUUGGUCCAAUUGCCCAAACACAUUUACCACUCGAUUUCGCCCAAUCAUCUAAACUUUUCUUCUCCAAUACCUCAACUGUAUUCCAUAAACUACCAUCAGCUCUACUACAAUACUCAGCCUGUCCCUUGGCGAAAGUCGAAGACGGGUUUUUCACUGGAUCAGCUGCUUUCAUGUUAUUCGAAAGCUGAUUUCGACGAAUUGUGAUGUGGGGAAGCCCAGGUAGGGGAAUAAUAUCAUCAUCACCAUCGCCGGCAACACUAAAAUGGGGCAAAUGAGUCCAAAUACAAUUGUAGAUGGACAUAGCAUAAGGUCCAGAUGUGUAAAAGGGAACAUGAUGAGACCCAAAGGUAUGAGCAACAUCAACAGUAAACCCCAAGAACAUAUCAGAAAUUAUACAGAUGGGGGGUUUUCCACCAUUAGAUUGAGUAAUUUCUGAGAUCAAACGAUGAAAAGGAUCUCUGAGAAAGGAUUCAGAAGUUCUGUAGAAUUGAGAUAUAGAAGUUAAAGAAGAGAGAGAAUCAGUGUUUUCAACUGUGUUUUGAAAAGAGAGUUCAGCAAAGUGGAUUGUAGGGUAUGAACUAGAGAAGCGUGGGCGUAGGUUAAGGAUGUUAGCAGGAGUGCUUACAAUAGUGAUGAUUAGUGAUGGUGGAAGAUGUGUUGAGAGAAGACGAGCUAGAUCAAGAAAUGGGUUUAGAUGACCUUGUGCCAUGAAAGGGAAGAGUACCACAUUUCCACUAAUCAUCAGAUUCUUCUUCUCCAUUGGUAAGAACAAGUGUGACUGUAGAGACUUGAGAAUGGUUGUGCUGUGCUUUGAAGAUAUUCGUUUCUGUUUUAACUUUUAAUGACGAUUAUGUGGGUAUGUGGCACAGUGGCAGUAGUAGAGAAAUGGGGUAUGUGUGGGUUAUAUAGGCCCGCCCAUAUCAUUAGUUUUAUCAGUUGGGCCUAGUUCUAUCAUGGGCUUGGUAUAAUAAUUUAUACUUCUCAAAGUCAACAUUGAUGGGCUAAUGAAGUAAAAAAACAAAAAAAAAAUUAGAUUUAAUGAUAAUACUCGAUAAAUUAAUUAUCUCUUUUAAAUAAUAUUUUUGGUUGGUCCUAACUUGGGCAUAGGUCGAUAAAUUAAUAUUUCACUAAAUUUAUUAGAUAAUACAUUUUAGAAAAAUCUUUGAGGCCCAACUAAUAUAUAAAUUAAUAUUUUUUCGAUAUACAAAAAUAUUUUAUAUUUUUAUAAUAAAAGUCAACUGUUGCUUGUUUUUUCUCAAAAUUAAUUUUGGUUUGAACCUCAUCUCUAAAUUUUUGUAGUGUGAUAAGUUGAUCUGCUGUUGUAUUUUGUAUUGCAAGAAGAAAUUAUUCCAAUAUCAUUAUCGAUUUUAGUGUUAAUCAUAAGUAACAAUUAACUUAUAGGUAGUAAACCAAAUUAUUUAUAAGUAACCCCAAAAAUUAAUAUUGUCAUUAUCUCAUUUAAUUAAUAAUUUUCUCUAGUCCCAAAGCUAUUAAUUUAUCGAGGUUUUACUGUAUUUUCUUCUACUUGGGAUUGGGUAUACUUUUAAUAAAAUGAUUGUCCAAUUUCAUCAUGUUAGCCCUCCAAAAAGAAAAAUAUACAUAAAAAUAUACUGUUUAUGUAAAUUAAUAGUUUAUUAAUUAAUUGAUGAAUUAAUAUCUCAUUUGAUUAAUAAUUUUUUUUAGUCCCAAAGCUAUUAAUAUCGAGGUUCUACUGUAUUUUAUUCUACUUGGGAUUAGGUAUACUUUUAAUAAAAUGAUUGUCCAGUUUCAUCAUGUUAGCCCCCCAAAAAGAAAGAUAUACAUGAAAAUAUAUUAUUUAUGUAAAUUAAUAGUUUAUUAAUUAAUCGAUGAAUUAAUAUCUCAUUUAAUUAAUAAUUUUCUCUAGUCCCAAGGCUAUUAAUUUAUCGAGGUUUUACUAUAUUUUAUUCUACUUGGGAUUGAGUAUAUUUUAAUUUUUUUCAUUGGACUUAAUUAUGCUUAUGAUUUGGUCCAACUGGGUACGGACUGGACUUGAUUAUACUUGGUAUUGGGUACAAAUAUACCCAAACUUAAUGAAAAUUCUCUUCAAUAAGACUAUCAAUUUCAAUCUAAUUGAUAGCCUAAUUGAAGAGAUAUUUUCUUAGGGGUAUUUUCUGCUUUAAUAUAGUAUAAUAGAAUAGAUAAUAGAAGUGCGGAAUGGGACCAAUUAUUUUCUGAAUUGGUGGAAAAUGUUUUUACCUUGGUCCCACGUACAAUCAGACGAUGAGAAAUCUUUUUCUUUUACUUUUGUAAGAAAUUUAUUUUCUUUCAGAAAAAAUGCUCCAUUUUCCCAACAAAUCCCAAAUAACCAAGAAAAGCUCAGUUCCAGUUCCGUAUCGUCUUCAUUACUUUUCACAACAACGAAUCCAGCAUUUUAUCUCCAGGUACAUUCUAAUCUCUCUUUGUUUCUCCAAUUCUUCUUGUUCUGAAUCAAUUUCACGAUGAAGAUAUAGAACUUAAAAACCCUGAUUUCUCAUGAAUUUACAUUUCUAAAUCAAUCCACGAAAAACCUAAAUCAUAGUCUUCCAAUUCUUCUAGAAAUUUCUUGGAUUUUGUUAUUUUGGUUUAUGUUUGAGUUUACGAUCUGUUUCUUUACCUUAUUUUUCAAUUAUAAUUCAGUGCUAUCUAGUGUUGUGAACUAAUUAAUAAUAGCUUUGAGACUCAUCUGAUUCAGGUUUUGAUCUUGAUUUCAUCAAAUUGGGUUUUAAUUUGAGAGCAAACCAACUGAAAUUUAUAAUAAUCCCAGAGUUGAGCUGUUUUCAACAUUAUAGAAUGAAAUGAAUAGGUUGAGCGGUAGCGAAAUUUUACAUUCUUUGUCAUCAAAGUUUCCAUAUCAGGCUAUGAUUUUGAAAUCAGUUAAGUUUUUUUCAUAUAUUGAAACUAAAUUAUAUGUACCAAUGAUUACUGUUUAAUAUCUAGACCAGGAUAUACAGUAAAUUCAAUAUAUAGUCAAAUAUGGUUAACGUCCAUACAUGAUAGUUUCUGAGUCCGUCAGGUAUUGGCUGGUUUGGCGUUUGAUCGUUGAACUAACACAUUUUGUUACCUGAGGUCUGAAAUGCAAAUUCUUCAAACUGGUUUAUACUCGUAGUAUCAAUUGGUUAAAUAAUGUACUUAGGUCUGGAGUAAAAUUGUAGAAUCACAUUUUGUUGUAUUUCAGUUAAAUACCCAAUAUAUAAACUUGGAUUCAACACUAGCGAAAGUUGCUUUAGUCUAUUGGUUGCUACCACAAACUCUCAAAACUGGUCAUACGAUAAUAAAAGUAUAAAACCAUCUACGAAACGAGUAUACUUAUCGACUGUGUUUUUAUGCUUAAUAUAUUUUCUUAAAAUAUGGUGCUGGCAAAUCAUGAACACAGAUCUGUGGUCUGCUUCGUAAAUUUUAUUAAUUAUGUAUGUCAGAUUUCUGAAUGGCAUGGCUAGCUGGUUAAAAAAUUUCUUCAUGAUGUUGAUAUGGCUAUAAUUUGAUUAAUCUCCAGUUAUACAACAACUAUGGAGCGUUCAGAACAAAGGUAUUUGGAGGAUGACGAAACACCAAUCAUGAAAACCAUCAAGGGUGCUACUACAGGUUUGGUUGCAGGGACUAUCUGGGGGACAGUUGUUGCGACUUGGCAUGAUGUGCCUCGUGUUGAGAGAAGUGUCGCUCUUCCAGGUCUUAUAAGGACCUUGAAGCUGAUGGGUAACCACGGAUUAACAUUCGCUGCACUUGGUGGGGUUUAUAUAGGGGUUGAACAGCUGGUGCAGAACUAUAGGGGGAAGAGAGACUUUGUUAAUGGUGCAGUUGGUGGUUUUGUUGCUGGGGCAUCUGUUAUAGGUUUCAAAGGUAUGGAUUUUUUUUUCCUGCUUUGUUUUCAUGCUUCAUAUUGUUAUUAAUCUGGUCCUUCAAUGGUGUUUCUUUGAUCUUUCUGUAAGAGUGGAAAGGCCAUUUGUACUUGUACAUUCCAACGCACUAAAUAAAUGCCUGUGUAACCCAUUCAUAUCCUUGCAUGGUCAUAGUAGAAACUUGCUACAAUAUGGAAUUUGAUGAGUAGCAAACUGCAACAGAUAGCACUAAGCACUUUACUGAUUCUAUCUUUUGAAAAACAAUUCUGGUAAUGUUGUGUUUGGGCUCUCUUUUUUCUAUGUUUAUAUCCCCCCCUCCCCCGGCUGGGAGAUGCUUAUUAGCUGAGAAUUAAGAAUAUCGAAAAAAGAGCUGAUAAGUUGAUUUAAAGAAAUUAUAUAUAGAUAUAAACACAGAAACUGUUUCAAUGUUUCUUAUUCUCGCAGGAAGAGAUACAGUCAAAAUUGAAACUACCUUUAAUGAAGGCCUUAUCACCUUAGCGAACACAACACAGCCCUGUUACAUUUUCUUCUUUCUCCCUUUUCAACAUCUCUUCAUGGACAAGACCAAUCCCCUCUUUCCUAUGCCUCUCACUUCAUUCGGAAAGUGUUUGGGUUAUCUAAAGUCCAUUUUGGUUGUUGAUAGUGUUUUAAGUUUUAUCAUUAUGUUGGGUUUAAUCAUGAUGAGAUCAUGCAAUUGAUGCAGAUGAGCUUGGGAUGUUAAUCUUUUUGAUGGAUUGGGUAGGGGUAGGGUAGUGGAUUAUUAGAAGUUUUGAUUUUUGGGGAGGAUGAUCUUGAUGUUCAGAGAUAUCAUCAUACUGUAGCAAGCUGUUAAAAUUUAUCUCUCUUCAUUCUUUUGGAGAAGCGUUAACACAAAAUUGACAGCAAAAACUUGAUCAUCUAUUGAACUGUUGGGAAAAUAUUUGUGUUGGAAUCUCGAUCUGUGUUGAGUCCUCCCUCAACAUAAUCUAUGUCAUUUGAGCGACAUAUGCUAGUGUUAGACACUUUGUGUCUUACUAGGUUGGAUGCUAGAAACUUAUGCAACCAACUUUGCCACUUUUCCCAAAUCAAGCAACAUUCUUCUUUUUUUUUUUUUUGGCAAAUGAUGCAACCAACUUGUAAAUUUUACUAAUUUAUGCAAUUCCGUCAACAAAUCGUUAACGGAGUGCUGACGUGGCUAAAUUAUUUACAUUUUACUUUAUUAUUAAUUGUUGAAAAUUGACAACACAUCAUCUUUCCCAAAUGAAAUAACACAUUUCCCCAAAUAAAAACCCUAGUUCCUCCAAUCUUUUUCAUUGAAGUUUGUUUUAAAAAUUGAAGUAUAAUUUUUGUUGUGGGGAAUGUUUCAGGCAAAUUUUGCUUAGUAAAUGUUGAGCUUCCUGAUUGGUAUUCUUUGCGUGGUUACAAACAAUUUGAAGAGCUCAAUUUAACAGCUCCCUCUGGUUGCACAAAUUUAUCCAGUCAAUCUUGAUACUCAUGCUAUGAUUAUAUAUCAUGCCUCUUACACACUAAGAAUGUGACCAUUGAUUCUUCUAAGUUUGGAUACCGUCAAAUUUUACAGGGAGGAGCAUUCCAACGGCACUUUCUGCUGGAGCUGCGUUGGCCUUCACUUCUGCUGUUUUGGAUGUAGGUGGUCAGCAAACUAAAGUUGACGUUGGCAAAGAAUACUCUGCUUAUACCACAGAGAAGAGGCCAUCCUCUAUCAAUUGAUUUUCUUUUUAGUCUGAUAGGAAGGUUCAUAAUUUGAAAAGAGCAAAAGAAAAUUGUGGGUGAGGGAGACCUCUUGGAGCUAUUGUGUUUUUGAACUAGUGUGUAGUUCUUGUAUUCAGACCUUAUACUUUUGUGUUGGUUCUCUUCCAUUUCUUUUCCAAGAGCCUGAAAAUAACUAAAUAAAAGUACAUGUUUCAAUUCUUCAUGUCAUCUACUACUAUGAUGUGUUUUAUUUUAUUAAUCUGGUGUGUUCGUAAAUGUCCACUUGUGCUCCAAUAUAUGGUCUCUUUUGGUUGUUUGGUGUUUUGCAUGAGAAGGUGCAUUCAAAAUUGAGCCUCUUCCUUACAAAAUGCAGGGAUGCUUUAAAGAAAGGUGAGCCUGUUUUAGGAAACAUGGGUCAGUCUAGUCCGAUGGCUCUUAGCGAAAAUAUAUCAGUGGUGCACCUUGUUGAUAUAAGGGAUCAUCCAACAUUCCAACCCCUUGAUAUUGUUAGUUGUUACAGUAAUGAGUAAACUAGAAAAAUUUUCAUCAAUAUACAACAGUUCGAGUAAAUGGUAGAAGUAAGAAAAAUGUUGUAUCAUCCACAAAAUUAAGUACUAUGUUCCAGAUGUCAGGAUGUGGUUGGUCAGACAAUAUUUGUGUCCAACCUCAGUUGGACACUAGCUUUAAAGAUUCAAUGUGAGUAUCAUCACACGGUAGGUUGCGCUCUUCCUCAAUUGCUCUUUUACAAGAAAAUGGACCGUUGCUUCUCAGCCUUCAGAACGGUUAACAAAUUCAAAAAACCGUUAUAUUCAAAUAACCAACUGCUUACAUUACUGGAUACUUGCAAAGCCAUUACUCAAAUCAAGCAGAUUCAUGCUCAACUUAUCACCACAAGCCUUAUCUUACAUCCAAUUCCAACAACAAAGCUCUUAAAACUUCUCACAGAAUCAAGUUUCUCGUCUCUCACUUAUGCCCACCUUGUGUUUGAACAAUUUCCUUCACCAGAUAUUUUUAUAUACAACACUAUGAUCAAAGCUUAUAUACCUACAGCUCAAUUCUCUUCGAAUUCAAUUGUUCUUUUUAAAUCGAUGGUACGAGACUCUGCAGUUGUUCCUAACCAAUAUACAUUUGUUUUUGUUCUAAAAGCUUGUUCAUGUGGAUUGAGGAUUUCGGAAGGUGAGCAAAUUUGUGUUCAUGCAAUCAAACUUGGGUUGGAUGGUAAUGUGUAUGUUAUGAAUGUUAUAAUAAAAAUGUACGCGGAUUUGGGAUUGAUUACGUUAGCUAGGAAAGUGUUUGAUGGGAGCACUAGUCGUGAUUUGUAUUCGUGGAAUUCAAUGAUCAGCGGGUAUGUGGGAGCCGGUGAUAUGUGUGGGGCUAGAGAAUUGUUUGAUGAAAUGCCUGAAAGGGAUGUUGUCUCUUGGAGUACAAUGGUUGCUGGAUACACUCAGGUAAAACUACUGUAUAAUUAAUUUGUUCUAUUUUUAACUUUAAAUUGCAAGAUUUGAUUUAGUGAUGAUUGUAAUCAACGCUUUGAAACUUCACUAGUGUUCUUCAGGUGAGUUGCUUCAUGGAGUCUAUUGAGCUCUUCCACGAAAUGUUGCAGAAGGGUCCUCCUCCUAAUGAGUUCACCCUGGUGAGUGCUCUCGCAGCAUGUGCUAAUCUGUUGGCACUGGAUCAAGGAAAAUGGAUCCAUGUGUACAUUAAGAAGGAAGGAUUCAAAAUUAAGGAUAGAUUGCUUGCUGGUCUCAUAGACAUGUAUGCUAAGUGUGGGGAGAUAGAAUUUGCUCAUACAAUUUUCAAAAGCUUAGACAGUUCUAAGCAAACAAUCUGGCCUUGGAAUUCAAUGAUUGGUGGUUUUGCUAUUCAUGGAAGAUCCCAGGAAGCAAUUAAUGCCUUUGAACAGAUGAGGAUGACAACAUGCAUAGCUCCAAACAAAGUAACAUUUAUUUCUCUAUUAACUGCUUGCAGCCAUGGAAAAUUGGUUGCAGAGGGAAGACAGUAUUUUGAAUCAAUGGCGAGCUCUUAUGGGGUUGACCCAGAAAUAGAACAUUAUGGUUGCAUGGUGGAUCUUCUGGGUCGUGCUGGGUUUUUGAAGGAAGCAGAAGAUAUUAUAGUAGCUAUGCCUGUACCUCCAGACACAAUUAUAUGGGGAGCAUUACUUGGGGCUUGUCGUAUUCAUCGAGAUACAGAGAUGGCAGAAAGAAUUGGAAAAGUCAUUAGAGAAUCAAAUCCGAACAAUGUAGGUUGUAGUGUCCUACUAGCUAACAUGUAUUCUUCCAGAGGGAGAUGGACUGAAGCAAACCUAGUCAGAGAGAAAGUUGAUCUAAGUGGCAUGAAGAAGACCCCAGGUUGCACCUCCAUCGAAUUAAAUGGAAUGGUCCAUCAGUUUCUCGUUGGAGACCGUUCCCAUCCACAAACAGAGCAGAUUUAUUCUUUUUUGGAUGAGAUGACUGCCAAGUUGCGGAUCGCAGGAUAUGUACCGGAAAUAGGAGAAGUCUUACUUGACAUCUAUGAUGAGGAAGAUAAAGAGACAGCAUUAGCAAGGCACAGUGAGAAGUUAGCGAUUGCAUUUGGAUUAAUCAACACAGCACCCAAAACACCAAUCCGUAUAAUGAAGAACUUGCGUGUUUGCGGUGAUUGCCAUGAAGCAACUAAGUUCAUCUCCAAAGUGUAUGACCGAGAGAUUAUUGUUAGGGACCGCCUUAGGUUUCACCAUUUCAGAGAUGGAAUUUGUUCUUGUAAAGACUACUGGUAGGCAGACCGUGACAACUCAUUCGAAGAUGGUAAUUAAUCACCUUCAAUCUCCCACUGUGCCAAUGUCUAUUUCUCAAGUGGCCUGUGCUCUACAAGCAUAUGCUGAUAAAAAGGAGAUUCUGGAUGGCUCAUUUGGUUAGUACUAACUUCAUUCAUACAGUCCUUGAACCCACCUUUAUAUUCUGAAGGAGUAAAAACUCAGUGCAUUCGUUCAGUUGUAAAAUUUCAUUGCUAUAUUUAUCUUCAGCCCUUUGGUUAUAUUUGUUUGGUUGUAAAGUCAGGUACCAUAGCACUCAAGAUACUGUACAAUAUAUAUAUGCACUUGACAAAUAAUGGAACUGACAAUAUGUUCUUCAGAUAGUAUAAUAAGAAUUGAUGCAAACCUACUUUCUAGCUGGUUCCUGCAAUUUCAUAUAAUAACUUUGUAAGAAUGUCUACGCUACAAUACUGCACCAGUUAUUAUGGAGGAACAGUGUCUUUUUGUACAUUUGAUACUACGUCUGAGUGAAAUAACAAACUUCCUCGUUGUUUUGAUGAACAAUGGUACUGGAAAUCUGGAAUAUUAACAAAAUAGGACAGACUGAAUCUCUUUUUGUUAUGAUCAUUUAUAUUCUUUAAGAAAUGAAGUUCAAGGAUCAAACUUCAAAAUACAACAAAUAGAAGACAAACUAGAAUCCUCUCAAGCGAAUACACUCUCAUAAUAAUUAGCUUAACAAAAUCUCUCUCGGUGCAAUUGAGAGAGUCAGGUCAGUAUCCAAAUUUGGUGCCCAAAAGCCGUGUGUUUGACAGAUGCCCUCUCUGACUCUGUGAAGCAUAUUAUACAAGGCACCUUCUCUAUUCACUUCAUCAACAUACAUGUUCCUCUAGAUCCAUACAUCUUGCACUGACUAUACAUUCAACAGGAUAACCAAUAUAACAGUUAAUCCAGCCAGCGCAGCUACAGCUUGUUGUCUUAGCAUUAUCAUACCAAACAUAUAUGUCAACGUCAGCCAGAACACCAUGUCUAACCAGUAUAUAUACUUGAGCACAUGACUUAUCUGUGUGCCUCAAGAAGACUGCCUGGUCUCUAGGAUAGGAAUGGCUUCUUUAGAAGUCUCAGGCCAGAAAGGUGAGAGUGCUAUAACUUUCCCAAUAAUGAUUAGUGUUGGCGAUACCAGCCCUGCAGAUGUAACUUCAUCCAUUAGAUCCUUCAGUUCAGCAAAUACCUACAGAAAACACAACAACAAUCAGUUAACUGGUACUGGCAACUUUGAAGCUGAUAAUAAGCAAGCAUUUUUCCAGUAGUUCAUGAUAGGAGAUAUCAAGCACUCAAGAAAAUCAUAGUUUUUUUUUUUGCUCACCAUCCGUUGCUGAGGGGUAGUCCCUCGCUCCACAGCAACAGCUGGGAUAUUAGAUGGCAGACCAUUAAGCAUCAACUUCCGAGCAAGAGCUGGAAGGGUAGACAAACCCAUGUAAACAACCAAUGUUGAAUCAGGGUCAGCUGCGUGUUCUGCUACAAAUAAAGGAUCUGUUCCUCCUUUCCUUGAAUGCCCCGUCAGAAACCUAACACUGUUUGCAACUCCGCGAUGAGUCAAUGGUAUUCCAAGCUCUGCUGCAAUUCCGGAGGCAGCAGUUAUGCCUGCAUAAUCAGGUAUACUGGUUACAUUACCAUUACAAACUUGACCAAUUGAGUCUCAGUGACUGAUUUUACAUAACUGUUAACAUAUAUACCUGGAAUAACUUUCACUUGAAUCCCUUGUUGUUGCAAGAAGUCCAUCUCCUCUCCACCCCUCCCAAAUACCUUACAAAAGGAAGAGCUAUUUCAGAAAAAAUCCACGAGGAAUGCAUAUGCCACUAUGAAUUAAACUAGAAUGCAAUUUAAAGUAGUAAAACAGUACACACAUACCAGUGGAUCCCCUCCUUUAAGCCUCACGACUGUAGCGCCAACUUCGGCAAAACUUAGGAGCAGCUCAUGAAUCUCCUCCUGAAGAAAAAAAAAAGCUCAUUUCAAUUCAAAAUGAAGAUUCCUUCUAUGAAUUCAAUUGCAAAUCACCACAGCCCCUAUCGAAUAAACCUCAUCUACUUGACAACCAAUAGAAAGACGAGAAAUGAAUAAACCCCAAUUACUAAUUACUAAAAAUACUCUAAAAUGAUCAACUGAUAUCUCAAUCUACUUAUUAGCUUUCAUCCUAUACUAACAAACUUUUAUCUAAUUUUCGUUUUAAUAUUCGUAAUGCAACCAUACCAAUAUCAAUUUUAAACUUAUCCGUGACUAUAAAUUGCGAAUAUGUUUUUAUUCAACAUUUAUAAGAAAAAAUGCUACAAAUUGAUAUCAUACCUGAGUUCGACUAUGAUAUCCAGCAGUCUUGCCAACAUACAAAAGCCUAGCAUCACCUUUAACCAAUUCCAAAACAUCAUUAGAAACCAAUCGAUCAUACAACAAAAGAUCUGCGCUUUCGAUAACCCUCAUUGCUUUCAAAGUCAAUAAUUCUGGGUCUCCAGGUCCAGUACCAACCAAGAACACAUUCCCAAGUUUUCUCUUCCCAUUCCCAUUUCCACUUUCCUCCCCUCUUUUAUUUCUCAAAACUUGAAGCAAUUUCUUCAACUCAGGUAAUUGUAAAGCAAUAUCAUUUUCUCUAAUGGAUGUAGAAGAAUUAUCAUCAGGUUGAUUUGAACAAAGAGAUGCAGUAGGAUUGUUGUAUAACCAACUAUCUCUUUGAUAUCUUUCAAAAGAAUGUUUUUCAGUAAAAGGGGAGGAGGAAAAAGGAGGAGCAGAGUUGUUAUUAUUAGAGAAGGAGCAGGAAAUGUUUAGAUUAAAGAUAUGGUGGGAUUUUUUAGUGCAGGGUGAUGAAGAAGAAUAAGGAGUAGGAAUAGAUGGGAGUUGCUUGACUAGAUUCAUUUCUCUUCUUCUUCUUAAACAAUUUCUGUUGAAUGAAAUGAACACAAACUUAUAUCAGAGACAGAGAGAGAUAAAAUAGAGUUUGGGGUGCCCUUUUGGAAGAUUGAGAAGACAUUAAACAUAAGACAAGUGACUUUUUAAUGAUGGAGAGAGUCAGAAAGAAUCAGUUAGAUUCAUAUUUUGAUUGUUAUGUACCUAGACUAGUAUUGGUGCACCAGGGGAAAGCUCAUGCUUGCUGCAGCCUGCAGCCGCCAAGGUAAGGUCAGUUUGACUUUUUUUUUUUUUUUUUACUAGAAAGGAGUUGCACUGUGCAACUCUUGAUGCAAAUAAUUUUGACCAAAACUAUUGGUCAAAAUAGGUCAAAUAGUGAUGACUUAGAGGAGAUGCACAAGAAUAUGCCCAACACUCCAGUUUAUAUAUCCAACGGACAUGUGGCAAUACACCAUUCACUCACCUUAAUUUUCUGGGCCAGUUUACUUAGCCACAUAGACAGAAACAUUGCCAGUGGAUAGUGAAGACUGAAGAUAGAUAGUGAACUCUAUAUACUCAUCAUUGCAAUUUGCACUUGCUUUAGAUUGGAGUUUGAAAUCAUGGCAAGUCUAAGCUUCUGUGCUGCUCUUUCUCAUAGAAGGUAAGUAAAGUCAUCAUCAACAUCAUGUGUUAUUUCUACUUUCUUUUAUGUUCUUUGGGGGGUGAGGGGUCAAAUUAUAAAUUUGCACCAUAAAGAACCAUAAUUCAUGAGUUCUUAGUAAAAGUAACUGCAAUUUGUUCAUGCAAGCAAGAGAUGGAUGCUGACAUUCUAAAUUUUGGAUACAACAUGUUGAUUUUGUUUUUUUUCAGGGGGGUGACUUGUGUUAGAUAAAUUUAUGUUUUCUUGCCAGUUUUCUUAUGAUGAAAUGAAGUAUUCAGCUUGUCGAGGAUUAUUUAGUAUCGGUUUAUGAAUUAAAUUAAUUUCAGGAAGCCAUGGUUGGUACUGGAGACGACCAGUCCCUGCAAACCACUUCGGAGUAGAGUUUCUGUAAUACGAGCAGAAAUCAAAUUUGUAAAUGCUGAUGAGGCGAAGGAACUCAUAGCUACCGAAGGGUAUGCAGUGUUGGAUGUACGCGACAAAUCUCAAUUUGAACGAGCACAUAUUAAAUCAUGUCAUCAUGUUCCCAUCUAUGUUGAAAACACUGACAACGAUAUAGGUACACAACAUUUCACGCUUGCAUUUUGUUGUACCAAAAAGUUCAUUAUGUGCAGUGUGACACUGUGACUAAGUUUCUGCUGCUUUUGUGGAUUUCUGCCAGGCACCAUUAUAAAGAGGACUCUACACAACAAUUUUUCUGGAUUAUUCUAUGGAUUGCCAUUUACCAAACCAAAUGAAGAAUUUGUGCAAUCUGUUAGAAGCCAGUUCUCACCUGACAGUAAAUUGCUAAUUGUUUGUCAAGAAGGAUUAAGGUGAGUUCCAUACUUCGUUAACUUCCAUUCAUCCUCGAUCUCAAGCCUUUAGACAGUUGAAAAUUUCUACCUUUCUGAAUUCAAAUCUACAAAAAUUAGCCUUUCGGACAUAUGAUCCAUGGAAUUCAAAGGUCGUGUGGGGAUAACAUAGACAACAGUCCAACCUGCAUGUCUUUGUUACUUAAUACUAGUACUGAGUUUUGUCCUGAUAGUAUUAAGAGUUUGCUUAAUAGCUUCAUAAUCGUAAGUACAUUUUGUUAUCAUCCUCGCACCGACACCCUUAUGUUUUCUUUCCUUUGUUUUGUUGGGUGAUCAAGAUCGGCUUCAGCGGCAAAUAAGCUAGAUCAAGCAGGAUUUGAAAAUAUAUCCUGCAUGACAUCAGGGCUUCGGUCCGUAACGCCAGGUUAGACCCCCUAAUUCGUAACAUCGUUUUACUUGGUGAAGUUUACUAAUUUCAUUCAGAGCAAUGACCUUGUGUCGUUUGCAGGAACAUUUGAGUCAGUUGGAUCCACUGAGUUGCAAGAUGCUGGCAAAGCUGGUCUUGUGACUGUUCAAGGCAAGAUUUCUGCUGUACUCGGGACCGUACUUGUCUGUAAGUUUUUCGAAGUUCACAGAUGUAAUGCAUUCCAUUUCCAUAUGUUUUCCAGCCAAUAUGUCUUGUGUUGACUUCAUUGGGUGUGCAGGUGCAUAUCUAUUCAUACAAUUCUUCCCAGACCAAGCAGAGAAGAUACUACAAAUGGUUCCUGGAAGCUAGCACAUAUAACCAGAAUUGAGAUCUUUCUGAGUAUUGUGGUUGUCAAGCUUCAGAGAACUGUUGUUGCCUCCCUGUUCAUUUUGUACAAGAUCAAUCCAACAGAGUAACACCAAUACGGAAGGAAUUCCUCUAGGGGAAUCAAAUUACGAAAAUCCAUUUUUCAAGUGUAUGCAUUGAUCUGGCCCGUGUACUCUUCCUGCAAAGUUUCCUUGAUAUGUCAGAAUAGCCUAUUUGUAUGUCAGAAUAUGUGAUUAUUUUGACUGAAAUUUAACUGGUAGUUCCAGUAGGUAGAAAUGUGGCAUGUAAGAAUGCCAUUUUAUAUGAUUAAGUGCUGCAAUUUUUCAGGCCAAGUAUACAUCCACUAAUGUCUAGUAAGCUUACGGCGAGAAAUACUUGUCUGGGAAAACUAAUACCACCGGAAAUAUUUGCUGGUGAAUAAUUAACUAUUUCUUAUUGGAAAUAAAUAUAAACGGUUCUACAUUGACCAAACUCUCAAGGUAAUAAACAUUAAUUCCUCAAGAUUAACAAUGAAUGAAAGCAGUGAAGUAUUCUACAAGCAAUGAAAUCAUAUAUGUUACAUAAUACCUUGGGGAAAAACGAUUCUAUCCCAGAAUGUUUUCCAUUUCCAGGUAGCCAUUGAUCUUUUAAAGCCUAACUGGGACUUAAUAUCAUGUAUUAACUAGAAACCUCCUACACUCGCAUGUAAAAAAGACACAUGCCAAGUUGAAGAAAGAGCUCUUCUGCAGCGACUUCGCACUGAGCAAUGUUCAUUCCAUCUUGUCACAUAAAGAUUGAUAUGCUGCGCUGCAAUGUUUGAACUUUUCUUCUGCAUCGGCCUGUUCAUUGUAUUAACUAGUUAGUUUCACAUUUGGACGCCCAUCUGUCGCUAACAGUAAUAUGCCAACUAAAUCUACAAGGGAAAAAUCAAGAAUAUUUUUGCAAAGUUCAUUCAGGGAGAAGUAGCAAAUGCUUUAUUUUCAUGAAAGAGUGUAACAAACAAAAAUAUCAUUCAUGCGAUUAGAUAGAAGAGGUAACUAAAUGAAAGUAAAUGAUUAUAAAAGCCAAAUGUACCUUGGAAGAACCCUGAUGGCGGUCAGGAUGCCAUUUCAAGGCACAGGUUCGAUAUCUGAAAACAGGAAGCCAUGCUAGAUACUUAGACAUGCCCCCAGCUGUAAUAAUUCUUAUAAAAUACAAGAACAACUCUUAAGAGAACUUACGCAUUUUUUACAUCUUCAAGUUUCAGAGGACCGGAAGCACUCAAUCCAAGUGCAAGUCUAUCUGAAGUUGAGUCUGAUUGGGAGUCAUCAUUAUACUCCUCAUAAGUGUCAUACUCAUCUUCAUCUCUGUAUUUUGAUUUCCAAGACCUGUUCCGGCUGUUAGAAUAGUUUGAACUCCUCCACCGAAACGAGUCGUCAUCAAUGAAGGACCAAUAGGUACAUCUCUCCCCACCAAAUGCAGAUCGAAAUAUGACCUCUACAUCAUCGUCAUCGCAAAAGCUGAAACCACCUUUAAUUGAACAAAAAAGAACAAAGGGGAAUAAGCCUGAGAUGGAUUUUCAAUAGAGAAAGAUGUUCGAUUUUGAACAUAUCAGUCCGGUUCACUUUUGACAAGGAAUUUUUAUAAAAAUUAGAACCCUACUGAAAUCUGGCUUGUAUGACUCUGCAAUUAGGACUCUGCAAUUAGGAACCCUACCGAAAUGUUUCAUAGAAAGUGAAAGUUAAGGUUUGCAUAUACAAGCAUCUUUACCUCUGCCCCUAAAAUUUCCCCACUGAGGCCCUUGAGGACUAGAGUUGGUCUUUUUCUUUUGCUUUCCCCAAUCUUGCCCUUUGAACCAAGAAGUGCCUUUAUUUGAAGAGGAGUCAUCGAAAUCAUCAUCACCCUGCCAGCUCUAGAGUAUCAUAGAAGGGCACUGUUAGAACUUUAACAUGCAGAUUCCUUCUAAAAGGAUACUAUCAAUCUGAAACUUGUCAAUCACUACUUAGUUUACCACUAUUUUGUGAUAGAUAAAGUAAUACUGCAAUGCCAUGUAGAAUACAUGAUUGAGCUCUGUCUGAUCGAUGAUACACUGGAUAAUGCUUGUUAUUUAAUUGGACGUAAUACUAUCACAUUCGCAUGACUCAUGAGGUCCUAUACUUCUAGAACUUUCUACGUACCAAAGAGGAUGAGAGAUCAACCUAUCUACAGAUGUUGAAGCUAGCGAAAUAACUAGACGAAUGAACUCAAAAACAUGCAAAAUUUGAGACAAUAUGUUCAGUAAAAGUGAACGUUUAAAGUCUUAAUUUGAGAAGGUAGAAAUGGAACCUGAAAAAGGCACUCUGCAAAGUCACUGACAUUUCUCAACAGUGUAUGCUGUGAUUGCAUCUUUCUGAAUCUUCUUGAAUAAUUAUAGCUUCUCUGGAGAUAACACAGUUCUUAACUCUUAAGCAUGAAUUCAUCAGGGUUAACGUUUAAGAUUUUGCUUAUCAAAUUAUAAAUACAUUAUAACACAGUUCUUAACUCUUUAAGACCUAUUUGCACAUAUCACCUAGUUUGCUAACCAACUCGAUUUAAAACUGAAUAAAACAUGGUUUAUGAUUAGCCCCUCCUUCCUCCUCUCUCUUUCGAAAGACCCGUCAUUCAAAAGACCCACAAGUCCACUCAGUUUGACACAAACAAUUGUUCUUAUGUUCAACCACGUUUUUGCAGAUUUGAAAAUCCAAUAACUAGUUUGUCUGACGUAUACAGUUGAAUAAAGCUUGAAAAUAGUCAAAUACGGUCGUACAUUAUUAUGCUAUUUUCCCUGACUUUCUUCCAUCUUUUUCUUGUGUCCUUGUGUCAUUUGGAGACUUGUGUCAAUACAUAUUUACAUGGAAAUCUUCAAUGACAUUGCUUCCCAUCUAUUUCUUCUAUUACUGUAAGUUGCAAUUAUAUCAUGAUUAUUACAAAAUCUUCAAGUUGUAUAAGGUCAGGCAAUUGUAUACUCUUACUAUGUGUUUGAUACACACUCUAAAAUGUAUCAUAUAUAUUAUGAAACAACCUUUGGUGGUGUAACAGUAUACUACAUUUACGUUUACAACUCUGUUCUCCUGAAGUUUCUUAAAAGACUUGUGUGGUUAGUGACGAGGCCGCUUGAUUUGGGUUUUGCAUUAGAGGAAAUAAGAGCCUUUCUUUCACUGCCGAAUGCAGAUAAGAAAGAGCACUGCUCGAAAGCUAAUGCUUGAAAUCUGGACUAAAAUGAGAUAAACUGCUUGCUUGAAUCAAAGUUAAUCUACUACCAGAUUUGGUUGAGGUAUCGGUUUAUCCGUUUGCAAAGAUUAAAACCCUUCUGACAAUUACUAGCUUAUUUGGACAAACAAUCUGUAACCAUAUGUCCUGUCUCUGUAGUGAACUGACAAUCUGAUUAUCUAUAAACCAAGCAACGUUCCCAUCCAAUUGUGAAUUAGGACAGUCAUUGGGGAAACUAACAUAUCAAGAGCGACUUCAAUAGACAAUGACAUAUGUAUAGUAAUAUAGUAUAUCCCGAAAAAAAAUCAAAUGACUCAACUUCAAAUCUUAUACAGUUUAUCUUCUAAACCCACGCAAAGACUUUUGGCCUGUUAGGCAUUCCACUCCAACAUGACUUCUACAUAAUUAUGACAAAAAUCAUUUUAAUAGCAACUUCAAUACAAUCACAGCUCUUGAACGAAGAAAAAAAAGAAAAGAAUGUGAAGCAUAUUAUUAGCUUGUACCUUUGAUGAACCUCUGGAAGGACCUCCACCCUGCAUGAAAAAGUACACCAACAAAGUUAUAGGUUAUAUAAAGGACUCACAUGCUCACUCCCAAUCUAAUACUAAACAAAAAUAUAUUAAAAACUUAUCUUAAAGACUUAAACCUAACCAUUUCCUAUUAUUAAAAACUAGCAUUCCAAGUGCAUAGACCUUAUCAUAUGACCUCUUUUUUAUUUCCCUAUGUUACAAAUCACUGAAACUCCAUUAAACCUAAUUCAAAGUUUAUUACUUUAGAUGAUACAUAGCAGGAAAAUCUACUUCUGUACUUAUAUAUAUAUUCUUCCUAGAAAUUGCAUUAACACAAUCAACUGUACAGGGACAACAACCAUGAGCACUCAACUCCUCAGUCAUCUUCCUAUAUUUUUUGUUUUUCUAUAUUGGAGUAGUUGCAUCCGUAGUAAAAGUUGCAGGUCACAAUGUAGCAAUAAAUUUUUAUAGCAAAUAAUAGUAAGAAUGGAUUUGGGUUGGGUUCCCAUAUCCGUACCAGAAUUACGCGCAAAAGCAUUAAAAAAAUAAAAAAUUUGACAUGAUUUUGUGUUCUAGUAGUGUAUGCUAAAGCACUAACUUGUAAAAAUUCAAUCUAUAAUACACAUUAGGAGACAAAAGAUUAUAGCUUUCAUCCAUUUUAUAGUGAAAUGUAAUGUAGGUUCAAGUUCACACAUAAGCAUGAAAAAAUGAUUUUUAAUUCUUCCUUUAAUUGGCAAAAUGAAUGGUGUUUUUUUUUAAGUAGCACAAACUGAAAAUUUCAAUAGAAAUGAAAAUAAUUACUCCAUAUAUAAAAACUUACAGAAUCCCAAUGAUUACGCCUUCUUCGAUCCAAAACUGGGGUUGAAUGAAAGAAAGCUGUUUUUAUGUAUAAUCGAGUAACCAAAGAAGUAUUGCUCGUUGAAGCUGAUUUGAUGGCAAAAGCCAUACUCUUUUUUUUUUUUUUAGAAAGAAUGAAAUGAAUGAGAGAGAAGAAGAAGAAGAAAGAGAGUCCUUUUUCUGUAUUCUCUGUUCUGAUUUCUGAACGCUGCUGAAUGCAGCGAGAUGGAGGACCGCUCGAAAGCUAAUUAGUCGGACGACUCACUACUAAAUUUGAGACUUCCCACCCCAACCCCAACCCACCUGGUUCGCUACGCUUCACUCAGUAGUACGACUCAGUUGAGUUUGAGAAAUGAAAUGACAAUACAGUACUAAAGAGGGCCCGUUGGGUAGUCUGUGAUUGAGAAAUGAAAUUACAAUACUAAAAAGCCCACAAUAGGCCCAUAAUGCUAAUGGAACAGCUUAGUAGCUUACUACUUAGGGCCCGUUCGGAAACCAAGUAGAAGUUACGAAGUAAUUUCCUAAAAAGUAGCUACCGGGCAGGAGAAAGAAGAAAGGAGAAAGCUAAUGUUUGAAACUUCCGUGAAAAUGAAUUUCUUAACUUAUCAUUAAUUACUUUCUAAAUCUGUUUUAAGAUUUACCGAACAGACUUACAACUUCUUGCCUUUCAAGAAACCCAAAAAUAAAUGCAUUUCUGGGCCUUUGUCGAAUGGGCCUUUAGUACUUACAGCCUUGCUUGAUAUAAAAGUUGGUCAAUGGUCAUCAUGCAUUCAUGCUGCAGACUGAGACCAGCUUAAUUACAUCUCUAAACACAAAAUGCAAUGGCAUUAUGGCAAUGUGGUGACUGUUGAGACUUGAGAAAAAAGAAAAUAAAACAUAUAUUUCUUAAGUACGUACAAUUUCUUCUUCCUCUUAUGUACAUAGUUAAUUAUGACUUAUGAUUCAAGGAUAAUUAAACAUAUAUGUAUUUCUUAACUCUUAAGCAUUUUGGCAAUUGACACCAUAAUAAGCACGAUAAGUUGAAAUGUAUGUAGCUGUACAUGUAAUUGCUCGGCUCGAGAACUGUUUCGAUUGGUAAUAGAAAUCUUUUUACUUGAUAAAAAAUUAUAUAACAAAAAAUAGAAAUCUUUUUAAUUACUUGAGGAAAGUAAAAUUAUACAUGAACCAUAUAUGGUGCCUUGGUCUGGUUAACCCAUACAUACAUACAUACUGGCAUAAUGCAAUAGGUUGGUGCUUAGUACAAUAUCUUUCACAAAACCAUCUAUAUAUGUCAAACCAAGAUGAUGAUAAAAAAGUUCAGUUCAGCAGUUAACCACUCUACAUUGGUCCCCAUUAAAGACCUGGUUACUGUUCAUUAGAAGGUUUCAGUUCUUAAGUUCGUGAUUCACAUUCCCAUUAUUACUACCACAAUCAAUCAAAAUUUACAGUGCUUGAGAUUUUACAACCCAGCUAGUACCUAGAUAUCAAGUAAAACCAACCUGGUCGAGCUCUCCUUUCAAGAAAAGAAAUUAUAGUUUGUCUUCCCCAUUGACAAACAAAUUUUUUCAUAGAAAAGAAGAUCUUCACCAACCAAGUUUUGGAGUACCUAGUGUCAGACUGCAGCCUAAUAUCUCACAUCCCUGGAUAUUUAAAGUGAUUUGUGAAGGACUCAACCCUUUUGAAACACUUACAGCUCCCUUUUCAGGUUUAAUUUCUCUCUUUUAUUAUUUUUUUCUCUAACAUUUUUAUGUGUUCACAUUAAAUUAUAGGGAACAGCAGGAGUUCUACCAAACAUGUGUUAGCAAAAGACUUUUCAACUUCUUCCUUAGAGCAACACCUGGGUCUUACAACACCAACACCUCCAAGAGUUGUACAAUUUACAGCUACCGCCACCACUUUCUCUUACCCUAUAUCAAUCAACUACUAUAGCACCACUCCAUCACCUCUCCUCUAAAGAUCCCACAAUCUUUCUUCUCCCUUAAUCCGCUUGCAACUAAGACACCUCAUCAUUUUUACCUUUUUUAACCCAUUUUCAUGUCAAAUCAAUAUAAUUUUUGGGAAAACAACUCAAAAUUGUACAAAUUCAUCAUGAUUCUCAUCCAAAUUAAACCCAUUUUAAUUAAUAGAAAUCUAAACCAUCUGAUCCUUGAUAUCUACAUCUACCAAAUUGCUACCUUUACUAAACUACCCCAUACUUGUUCUCAUUUGAUGGAAGAUGAAAUAAACUCCCUCACAAACUCUAUCAAAACUGGACUCAAACUUCCCAAAACAAUGAUUAUCCCUCAAGACCUUUUGCUAAGUAACCAAGCCUUAUGGAAGUCUGCUCUCUUAGUCACCUUUCUGCAUGGUGAUCAUCUGAAUCCUAGCAUGAUAAUGCGUACUCUUGCUUCAAAAUUCCAUAUUAGGAAUCCUUUGGAUGUUAUUUGGGAAGCGCCAAACCGAUUUGCCUGUCGUUUCGAUAAUGAUGUAGAUCGAGCAAAGGUUGAAAACUUGCAACCAUGGUUGCUUCAUGGAUGCACUGUCCUAAUGCUUCACUACAAGAGAGGGAUGGCUCCAGCAAAAGUGGUUUUUUCUCAAAUUCCAGUCUGGAUAGCAUUCUUUGGGCUACUUCUUGAACAUCAAAGUCAUACAGUUAUUGCCAUCAUCGCUGCUGCUGGUGGUGAAGUUAAAAAAGUGGAACUCCCACAAUCUGCAGAAGGUUUCAAGGCAAGGGUAGCUGUUGACAUCAAUAAUCCUUUGAUUCAAGGCACUCCGGUCAACACUUGUGAAGGAGGAACAAUUUGGGUUACAUUUAUCUAUGAUGACUACCCAUGCUUCUGCAAAAUUUGUUUGCGAAUGGGACCUGAAAGUGCAAAUUGUAUGUUCCUUGAUAAGAUCAUAAGUCCUACAAUGCUGGAAAUUGAGUACACUGUUCUUAAUAAGGAUGAAGACAUCAAUUCUGGAGAUGCGUUUGGAAUCGAAGGUGAAUUUGAAGCUAGGAAGGACGAUCAGGUCAUGGAGCCUGACAAGAGAGCCUUCCCUGAAGGCCCAACUACUGAUACUAAUAAGAUAAGUGGGCCAAUUGAGAAAUGUCUCUUUGAAAUGGUCCAAAAUUUUCUCGUUGGUUCAGGAUCUGGUACUAUUGAUGGGCCACUUACUGCAAUGGAUAAUGCACAAAACUUGGGAUUGAGUAUUGCGGGCCAUGAUAUCAUUGGCACCACUUCUUAUCUGCUACCUCUUCCCGAUCAGAACAUUCAUCUUCCCCAUCCCUGAUGAAGAGCUAUGGCAAAAUAGGGUACCAAUAGUGAUCGACCACACUGCUAUGCUUCAAUCACAACUCCCCUCUGCAAUUACAAUUGGAUUGAAGAAACGUGGGCGACCUAUUGGUGCUACUGAUACAAAACCCCGCAAGACAAAAGUAAGGAAAAUUACGGAUUUUGAAGAACUUACUCUAGAAAAUCUUGCUCAGAUCGUGAGUGCAGUAGCAGUGGGGGCAAUUACAAAUGGUAAUCAGGAGGAAGCUCUCAGACUAGGGUACCCUGUAGCAGCUCCAUUUGUUUGGGAUUUACUCUAGAUUCCGAUAAUUGCAAGUUUCUUUGUACAACAGGGUGUUCUCAAUCCUGCAGUUGUUCCAUUCGUUAUCGCAAACAUGCCACAAAUUCCACCCAUUAUUACUGAUGAGAAUCCUAUCAGCAUGGGCAACAAUUUUCCAAAUUCAGUGUUUCAGAACCCUGGCCUUGAGGAGGACUCAGAAACUGAGCUCUCCCCUAUCAGUGACAUUCACCAUACUCAUGACCCCUCUGGUGGGCAUGAGACUCGGGCGAUUCAAAUUGGUGAAAGCAAUGGCAACACACAUGUUUGGGCAGAUCAAAACUCCGUGCUUUCCCCUGCUUUAAGUGCAUCACAUACUGAGGUUAGUCUACAAAAUAAUUUAAGUUUUGAAUUAAAUUCUUUUCAAUUCCUUGUCUACCAUUCUAUUUUAUAUCUAGAACAUAUUACCACUUUUCUGUAUUUUAGGAAUUGUCCUUCUCACUCAACUCUAGACUUUUACCUCCUAUUGCUACUUAUUUGUCAACUCACUACCACCAUAAUUUUGCGACUGUGCUCUUACACAAUCCCAUCGCUACUACUCGUAACCUGUUUACUAUUUUAUCCACUACUACUACUAUUGUUUGCCAUUGGUUAGAGAUUGGGUAUUUGAAGGUUUAUGUUAGCCACAUCUCUGUGCUAAUAAAAACUGUUAAUAGAACUAUUUUUCACCUAUGCACCUACUCUACUGAUCAUUACUACUGGUGUUGUGUUAGUUACUGGAAUGUGUUGAACUGGGUAUUGACUUGUUCUAUCAGCUACUUGGAUGACUAUGAUUAUGCUUGUGUUACUGUAAUACUAUUGGUUAUUGAAUUGUUUGCCUUUGAUAAUUUUCUGAGUGUGAUUGGGAUUGUUGAAAGAACUACUAUGUCUGUGUUAUCUUGGAAUUUGAGAGGGUGUGGGAACAUUCAUACAAAAAGAGCUCUAAAAGAUUUAGUUCAACAUCAUAAACCUGAUAUAAUUUUCUUAAUGGAAACUAAAGCUUCUCAGAAUUUAACUUUAGAUAUAAUAAAUUUGUUACCUCUCUAUAGUUAUCACUUUGUCGAACCUAUCCACCAGGCUGGAGGAUUGCUUCUCCUUUGGAACAACUCUCUGAUUCUUGAAGUUGUUUCUUCUAUCAAGUACAUUAUAAAUACUCUCAUCAAUCAUAAUCAUCACCAGCAAGCCUUUGCGAUCUCCUUCUUCCAUGGUAGUCCUUACCCUAAUCUCAAAGAUCUAAGUUGGUAUUUUCUUAGAACUGCUGGUGAAUCUUCCCCUCAUCCUUGGAUGACCUUAGGAGAUCUCAAUGCCAUCUUCCUCCCCUCCGAAAAACAUGGAGGCCUCCCUUUUCUUGAGAGCGAUAAUAGGGCUGCUAUUGACACUAAAGAUGCUUUGGGUCUUAUUGAUUUAGGGUUUGUUGGAGAACCCUACACUUGGUGCAAUAAAAGGAGUGGAUCUCAUAAUAUCAGGAAAAGACUUGAUAGGGCUCUUAGUAAUCCUGCUUGGCAACUGGUCUUCCCUAAUGCUAUGGUUCGUCACCUCACGGCCAUAGCCUCUGACCAUUGCCCUAUUCUUCUCAAUUUGAGCCCAACUCAGAUUAAUGGGCCUAAACCUUUCAAAUUCCAAAACAUGUGGACGAGAGACGAAAACUACAACAUGGUUGUAGAUAUGGCAUGGAAGAGAGUUAUAUGUCAACCGAAUGAACAAUCCAUCUCCCUCCACCUUUCUUCCACCAAGAAAGCUUUGAAAGUAUGGAACUCCAAAGUUUUUGGUAAUGUGUUUAGGAAGGUUGCCUUGCUAAGAGACCAUAUUAGAUACAUCCAAUCCCUUAGAUUUUCUUCUGCUAAUAAAUCCUUAGAACAACAGCUCAUCAAAGAGCUCGAUGAAACUCUGUCGAGAGAAGAGAUGAUUUGGCAACAGAAAUCGGGUGACCAAUUUAUUAAGGAAGGAGAUAGGAACAUGAAAUAUUUUCACAUUUCUGCCCUUAUCUUGAGGAAUCAUUCCAAGAUUGAGUCUAUUCGGGAUUCUACUGAUACCUGGAUUUUCGACAAAAAUGACAUUAUUCAAUGUUUUGUUUCCUUCUUUCAAAACAUGUUAUGUCCUACUAUCUCUCCCCUUUCUGUUCAUCAUAGAGAUAUCAUCUCCCACCACUUUCCCCCUUGCAUCACUAGUGGGGAUAAUGAGGACUUGAUAAGAGAUGUCUCCCUUCAAGACAUUAAGCACUAUGUCUUCAGUAUAGGUCCCCUCAAAGCUCCUGGACCUGAUGGUUUUACUAGUUUGUUUUACCAAAAAUCUUGGAAUAUAGUGCAUAAUGAGUUGGCUCAGCUGGUUAAUAGCUUUUGGAAUGAGGAUGCUAACAUUGACCACAUAAAUCAUACUAACAUUGCCCUUAUUCCUAAAUGUGACAACCCUUCUCUUCCCUCCCAUUAUAGGUCCAUUAGUCUUUGCAAUGUCACUUAUAAAGUCCUUUCCAAAAUCCUAGCGGAUAGAAUCAAAUAUCAUCUCUCGUCCAUCAUCUCCCCCCUCCAGUGUGCCUUUGUACCUCAAAGACAAAUCUCUGAUAAUAUAAUCUUGACUCAUGAGAUCAUCCAUACCCUCAAGAGGAAGCAAGGGACUGGAGGACUUAUGGCCAUCAAGAUUGAUAUGUCGAAAGCCUUUGAUAGUCAAUUGGGAUACCUUGAUUGUUAUUCUAAAUUGCAUGGGCUUUCAUCCUAAAUUCAUUGGUUGGAUCCAUAAAUGCGUUUCUUCUUUACAUUCUUCCGUUAUCAUAAAUGGGACUCCUUGCGGUUUCUUUAAGCCCACGACUGGCCUCAGGCAAGGGGACCCCAUCUCCCCUUCCCUGUUUAUUAUAUGCAUGGAACUCCUCUCCAGAAUGAUCCUAGAAAAAUGUAGCUCCGGAAAAAUUCAUGGGAUCAAAUCUUCUAGGAACUGUCCUCCUAUUUCUCACCUUCUCUUUGCUGAUGACAUUUUCAUCUUCAGUAAUGCUAAUAUCUCUGAAGCUAAGGAGAUAAUGGAUGUUCUCCAGCUAUUCUGCUCCAUUACUGGACAACAAAUCAACUUUGAAAAAUCUGGUAUAUUGUUCAGUAAGAAUACUUCCCUUACUCUCCAAGAUCAAAUUCUCAACACCCUCAAUAUGCACCGUAUUGAUAAAGGAGACCUUUACCUGGGAACCCCUUUAUUCCUGGGUCAGAAAAAAUCGAUCAUUUUUAGUUCUCUCACUACUAGGGUGGCAAAAAGGCUUGCUGGCUGGAAAAGUAAAGUUCUCUCUCAAGCAGGAAGAACCAUUCUCAUCAACUCUGUCACUUCAGCCAUACCUUCUUACCAAAUGUCUUGUUUCAAAACUCCUAAAGGCGUUACGGAUAAUAUUGAUAGACUUCAAAGAGACUUUUGGUGGGGGACUAAGGAAAAUAAUAAAAGGAAAAUGCAUCUCAUUAACUGGAAGCAAAUUUGCCUACCCAAACGAUAUGGAGGUAUUGGAAUCAAAGACCUACAACUGCAAAAUGAUGCUCUCCUCUCCAGGAUUGCUUGGAGAAUGAUUACUAACCCUGAUAACCUGUGUUCGAAAGUCCUCAAAGCUAAAUAUUUUAGGAGUCCUCCUGCUAUCCAACAUCAUGCGAAUUUCUCCUCCUCUUGGACUUGGAAAUCUAUCAGUACCAUUUUAACAAAGAUGCUUCCUCACAUCUGUUGGGAUAUUGGUGAUGGCUCUUCCAUUAGAAUUUGGGAUGAUGCCUGGAUUCCCUCAUCCCCAACCCACACUCCUCUCCCUUCCACUUCUCUGCAGCCGCAUAACUCCAUUCUUACUCAUGUUAAUCAGUUGUUUCUCCCUAAUUCCUCGUCUUGGAACAUCAACCUUCUUCAUCAAAUGUUUCAUCCGACUUGUGUUCAUCAAAUAAAAAACACUAACAUUAGAGGUAGAAAUCAUAAGGAUAAUCUUAAGUGGAUGGGCACCAAAAAUGGGUGUUUUACUGUUAAAUCUAUGUACAAAAUCCUUGCUACUAGUGUUUUAAAUGCUUCUAAUAGUUUAGUUAACCAGAUUACUCAGAAAAUCAACCUUAAGCUUUGGAAAGUCGAUGUUGCCCCCCGUGCUAUUCUUUUCGCAUGGAAAUGCUUUCACAAUGCGACCCCUACUAGAGAAAAAUUAGGAAGACACAUACCUAUUCCUACUAAAAAUUGCCCUUUGUGUGACUGCCCUUUAGAGACUCUAAGGCACAUGCUGAUUGAAUGCCCUUUUACUCAAGCUGUUUGGUACCAUAGCAAACUUCAUUUUAGACUAACACACUUUCUUAACAUGCCCAUUGAAUAUUGGUUUGUUUUUUGGUUAAAACCACCCUUAAAUUGGUUAAUUGAAUUAAACUGUUAGAGCUCUUAUUGCCUGAAUCUUACUUGGGAAAUCUAGAAAGCUAGAUGUUGUAAAAUCUUUCAGGACAUCAGAGUGGAUCCCAUUCUUAUAGCUACCAAAGUGGACAGAAUAGUAGAGAAAUUACAAGGUUUUCAUUCUGCUGCACAUCUGGAUAACUCCACAUUGACCACAAUGAGUAUUUGGAUCCCACCUGAACCAGGAACUGUGAAGAUUAAUGUUGACAUUGCCUUUUCAGCAGCUGACAGCAACAUUGGCAUUGGAUAUCUAAUGAGGACAUCAUCUGGUAACUUUAUCUUUGCAGGAUCAGAGGCAGGAACAGCAGGGAACUCUGAACAAGGGGAAUGUAGGGGCAUCCUUUCAGCCAUCAGGCGAGGGCUCGAGCAGCGCCUAAGCCAUGUUGUGAUCGAAACUGAUCACAAGGCAGCUGCUGACUAUCUGAAUGGGCGGCAUGCUAACUUAUCUUGGACAGCUACUAAUGUCCUCAACUAUGCAAAAUAUCUAUCUAGUUUUUUUAUUUCAGUAUCCUUUUCAUUCUGUAACAGGUCUGGGAACCACUGUGCUCACAUCCUAGCACACAAUGCUGAUAGAAGCGCAAUGGUUCCUACCUCCUAUCGUUCUCCUCCCAACUGGCUUCUGGAUCAGUUGAAGUUAGACUUAUGUAAUAUUGCAGACUUUUAGCUACUAAUCAAUAUAUUGACUAUUUAAAAAAAAAAAAGAUGAUGAUCAGUAGAGUAUCCUUUGGCAAUACUACUACGUAUCACAUUUUGCAGAAAGUACUGAUACUGAACUCAAGGGCUAAGGUGGCUAGCUAGGUGCCUUUGUGAUCCACAUUUGCAUUUCGUCCAACCCUUCUCGAUCAACUACCCCUCAAAGCAAAGCAUGGGUUGAAAACAAAAACAAAAACCAUGCAAUUGGCAAUUGGCAAUUGGCAAUUGGAAUUCAUUGAUCGUAUUGGUAGACACGAAUCCAAUAGUAGAUCUAGUUAAAAACAAGGAACGGCUAAGAUUGGAUUGAAUGGAAUUUGUGGUUUGAUAGAUAUACAAGUGGAUUGAUUUGAGGUGAGUGUAUUUUCCUUUUUAAGAAGAAAGGCCGACCGAGCAACUCUCUCACUCACACAUAUUACAUAUAUCGAGAGAGAUAAAAAGAGAGAUUAUUAUUCUCCUUAAACUCUCUCUCUCUUUAUUUGUUUUCCUCCAACGCGAAUUCUAGGGUUUCAGUUGAGAGGUAAUUUUUCAGAUCGAAAACAAAAUUUUCUCUCUGUUUUAUUUGUUUUUAGAUCGAAUUUCGUUGUAAUUUGAUCUACAUUUGCUUUUAAUCGGUUUAGGUUUUAGUUAUUAUAUCAGAUUGAAGGUGUGUUAUGUUUGAUAAACGUUAUUCUUUGAUUUGAUCUUCGUUUUUUUCUUGUUAGAAUUGAUCUUCGAAUUUCAUGUUUGUUACAAAUCAUUGUGGUUUACAUGGUUUUAUUAAUGUAGAUCUUGUUUGAUCUUUGAUUUCAUCCUUCCCAUCAAACAUUUCAAUCAUGUGUUGUUAUUGAUUACCACACCAUAUUGGUUAUAGGAAUGAAAUGUUUAUCUGUUUGAGAUAUAAUGGCUAUUCAAAGGCUUCUAUUGUUUUAGGUGAAAUGGAAUGCAUUUGUUCAAUCAAUGUUGAUGUUGAUAGUGAUCACUAUUGAAUAGAUUUGUUAUAUUGGAUCCAUGAAUGUAUCGUAUCAAAUAUUGUUUCAAUGUGGUCAUCCCUAGAUAGAUUUGUCCAUCAUUCAUAAGAUAAUCUGAUUUUGUUCGUUAUGGCCAAAUUGUCAUUCUUCAUCAAUUUUUUUCUAAUUUUUUUUCUUACAUGUUUACCGCAGAUAAUAGAAGAUGGCAGACGCCGAGGAUAUUCAGCCUCUUGUUUGCGACAAUGGAACAGGAAUGGUCAAGGUAAAUGAUUAUGGUUUCACAUCUUUGAGAGUGUACUUUUACAUAGUUGUAAGCACUGUAGAGGAGCAAAAGCUUGUUUAUCUGUCUUCCUAAGAAUAUUUUUUUCUACAAAGAUUUGAAUUUGCACUUUGUUCUUUAUAUUGAAUCUCUAUGUUAGGCUGGAUUUGCUGGGGAUGAUGCUCCUAGGGCUGUUUUUCCCAGCAUUGUUGGACGCCCUCGCCACACAGGUGUGAUGGUUGGUAUGGGUCAGAAAGAUGCUUACGUUGGAGAUGAGGCUCAGUCCAAGCGUGGUAUUUUGACCUUAAAAUAUCCUAUAGAACAUGGUAUAGUAAGCAACUGGGACGACAUGGAGAAAAUCUGGCAUCACACCUUCUACAACGAACUUCGUGUAGCUCCUGAAGAGCAUCCUGUUCUUCUCACUGAAGCACCUCUCAACCCCAAGGCUAACCGAGAGAAGAUGACUCAAAUCAUGUUCGAGACUUUCAAUGCUCCUGCUAUGUAUGUUGCUAUCCAGGCUGUUCUGUCUCUUUAUGCCAGUGGUCGCACAACUGGUAAGCAACAUAACUAAGUGCAUCAAUCUUUUUGUUGUUUGUCAUAUUCAAUAUAUGCAUCUCUGGUUGGAGUUCACAAGGAUAUUUGUCAUUAGAAUUGCUCAUUGUGCAAUAAGGAAAACCUGAGGUGCUUAUCCCAAAGGUUGAGAGGUUAAUUAUUAUUAAUAGGAGCUUUAAUAGAUCACAAAAGUUCAUCAGCAAUUAUUAAGGGAUCAAAAGACAUGGUCUGUAUAUGUGGGUAUUCAUAACAUAUUUGACUAAUUAAUCAUGUAGUUGUGAUAUCAUAUGAACGAGAAUGAUGAUUUCAAUGUGCAUAUUGUCUCUUUUAUAGGCAUUGUUCUCGACUCUGGCGAUGGUGUGAGCCACACAGUUCCCAUCUAUGAAGGUUAUGCUCUUCCGCAUGCCAUCCUGCGUCUUGACUUGGCAGGUCGCGAUUUAACAGAUGCCCUGAUGAAAAUCCUGACUGAACGUGGCUAUACUUUUACCACUACGGCAGAGCGUGAAAUUGUUAGAGACAUGAAGGAGAAGCUGGCUUAUAUUGCCCUUGAUUAUGAACAGGAGCUAGAGACAUCCAAGACCAGUUCGUCUGUGGAGAAGAGCUAUGAGCUGCCUGACGGACAGGUAAUUACCAUUGGAGCUGAGCGGUUCCGGUGUCCGGAGGUCCUUUUCCAGCCAUCUAUGAUUGGUAUGGAAGCUGCUGGCAUACAUGAGACUACAUACAACUCUAUCAUGAAGUGUGAUGUUGAUAUCAGGAAGGAUCUAUAUGGUAAUAUUGUCCUCAGUGGUGGGUCAACUAUGUUCCCUGGCAUUGCUGACAGAAUGAGCAAGGAGAUCACUGCUCUUGCCCCAAGCAGCAUGAAGAUCAAGGUGGUGGCUCCUCCCGAGAGGAAGUACAGUGUGUGGAUCGGAGGUUCCAUUUUGGCAUCCCUCAGCACUUUCCAGCAGGUAUUGUUUUUUUGUUAGUACAUUAGAAAUGCAUUUGAAACAGAUUGUAUUAGUACACAGAGUAAGCACCAAGCUGCCUCUGCCUCACCCCUUUACAUGACUUGGUUUUGUGGAUUUUCAGAAUAUAGUUUAGAAUAUUUUGUUACAAUACAUGAUCACAAGUAACAACUACCAUUAUAGGGUGUUUUACUGGCUCGUGUGUUUUUUAUUUUGGCUGCAGAUGUGGAUUGCAAAAGCGGAGUAUGAUGAGUCUGGGCCAUCUAUUGUUCAUAGGAAAUGCUUCUGAUCAUAUAUCAUCAAGGAAUGGAUGAAGAGCAAUUUUACUUAUUUUGUCUGGAAAAUUUCGCUUUCAUUUUUCCUGUUUUUUCCCUCUCAUUAAUGAAGUUAUUGCAUCUGGAAUCUAAUUUUUUUAAUGUUUGUUUCACCUAUAAAGUUUCUUCAAAUGCUAUCUUUUGUUGGGUUUGAUUAGCGGCUUCAUCAUUACAUUAGGAGCCUUUUAAUUAAGUGAACCCAAUGCAUACUGUUUCUGUAUUCACUUCUCUGUUGUUGGGGGAAUUGCGUUACAUGAUAGGUCACCACCACCUGGAGGUAGUGAGGUAAAAAUGCACUGCUCACAUCACAUAAUAUACUAGAUUGCCUAGCAUCUACCGUCAUGCCAAUGUUUUUCAGUGUUUUUCUUCAGUGCUCUAAUGGUGCAUGCUUUAGCCAUUAGCUUAAUCUUGUUUGCGCAAUUACUUUGAAGGAUUGCAAGACUUUACUCUUAAAAUGCUCUAACCUUAGCCUUAAUAACAAGUAUCUUUAGCAAGAAAAAACCAACAGGAAAAAAACCUUGGCCUUAAUACACAUCUAUAGGGGGUUAUAAUCACUCUAAGUUACCAAUUUGAUAUAGCUUGCUUUUGCUUGGGCUAGUCACUAAAUUUCACAGAUUUGACGCUAGUACAAGGAGCUAUCCCACAUUCCCACCUAUUAUAAGCACCCUAAAAAAAUUACUUGGUUUUUUUAUGUAUUUUUUUUUGAACUGGUCACUGGUGUCUUCUCGUCUCCUCUCCAAAUAGAAAUUUGUGUUCUUAUUUUUCUUUUUUCUUUUUUCCUUAUUUACCUACACUUAAGUAUUAAUACUUCUUGUACUUUGUUCUUAUAACCAUAAUAAAUUCGCAAGAAACAAAUAAAAAUGAGUCUAUGAAAAUAAUCAAGUAUUAAUUCACACCAAGAGAAACAUGUUUCGAAUAAAACCAAAAUUGAAAGAGAAAUUACUUAAAAAGUGGGUCUCAAAAAAAUUGGACAUUUAUUUUAGCAAGUUCUUUCAUAGAAUUGGUGUGCUUAGAUAUAUAUUAUUUUCAAUGGGAUGAGCUUAAAAAAUGGGAAAACUCUUUGUAAAUUGCCGAGGUGUUAGUAUGAUUUCCUGCAAAAAAAAAAAAAAAAAAAUAACAAAUUGGAUUAUGAGUUUGUAGACAUAGUUUACCCUCCAAAUUUAAAACAUCAAUUUAUAUUAAUAUUGUAUGGACCAACAAAUUCAGAAAAUAAAUUCUAAAAAAACAUUAUAAAAUAAUAAAGUAAUUUAUUAUUACUAUGAAAAUAAAAAAUAUUACUACAUAAGUAUUAUUUUUUUCUUUUUUUUAGGCUACAAAAUUAAUAUCCAUCAAGUAAAACUUAUCACAAGUAAUAAACAUAUGUAAUAUAAAUUCUACUUACAAUCAAUUUCAAUAGCAAGAAUUUAAAAUUAAAUUACAACAUGUAAGACUUGUUACAUUGUAACUAGUUGAUUACUGAUUUUUAACCAUUUCUUUCUUUCUCUCUUUUUUUUUUUUGGGUACAAACUAUAUAAUUGAAUAUAUAAACUCAUUCAUUGGUGUAAACAUGCACAUGAGCGCAUGCAGGCACAUAGUAUAGUUAUAAACUAGGAAGCCGAAACAAGUCUUAAUGCCUCAAAAAAUAUAAAUACAAGUGUUCAAUUAUAAUCAAAAUGGAGCAUACACAAUAAUUUUGCAAAAGUACGUAUUGAACAGACAAGCAUACAGAUAGUACCCCCCCCCCCCCCCCCAACCCCUUUUUUCCCUUUCCACAACCCCCCAAAAGAGUAUCGAGAAUCGUAUACCACCAGUUCCUACAAGUUUGUAGAAGUCGAAACCUCAGCACUGCAAACAGGACAGACCUGCAAAUGUCCAAUUCGAACGUCAUUGUGAAGGUUGAAAAAGAAACAUGUUACAUGGUAAGUUUAAGUGCUUAUGACGGGUGUACAUCAUUAUUCCGACUUCACGCGGUCCUAUACGUGUUAGCCAAAAGGACAGAUCCGAUAUCUUUUUGGCUAAUGUAUUUUCACUAAAUAGCUCUAGAAUUAAACAUGCUAUACAUACUUAACAGACAAAAAACCAAACAUGCCCAGGAGAGGACUCAUUAUUGAUACUCUGUGAAUCUAGAACACGUGCACGUGCUCUAGAUUUUUAAUUUAUUUAAGUUUGAGAUUUUUGGACAUACCCCCCAUUUGAAAGUCGAAAUUUGAGAUACCCCACCAUUUGAAUUUUUUUUUGAGAUACCCCCCAUUUCAAGAUGUGGUACUGUUAUCUUAGCCGUCCAUCAUAAAACUAACUUACGGCUGUAAAGCUCUUCUGUCUUGAAAUGGGGGGUAUCUCAAAUUUCGACUAUCAAAUGGGGAGGGGGGGGGGGUUAUGUCUUAAUCUAACUUUACAGCUGGAACACAAAAGGAAGUUAUUCUGGACUUCUGUGUGGAUCCUAUUGUCUAUCCUUGUAUUUGUACCCUUCUUAUUUAGUGUAUAUAGUCAGUGUACAAGAAUGAAACCAGAAUCUACUAAUUAAACUGGACAUGUGGCAAAAUAAUCAGAUGACAACGAAGGCUUCGCAAACGCCUCGAAACUGAGGCGCGUUUAUAAAGUAGUAGAGAUACAAAAAAAAAUUAAAAUGGGGAAACAAGCUAAAAUUGAGAAGAGUAAGGCCAUUUAUUAUCCAUGAGAACUGAAAAGCAAGUAAAAAACACUUGCCUUGUUUAUUUGAAGCCAGUUGUUUAUGCACUCAGAGUGGUACGAGUGCUUGCACGAAAGAACGGUAAGGGUGUCUUCAUCCUCGUACUCUAGUCGGCAAAUGACACAUCUGUAUAUUACCAGCACAAAUCACAAUCAGAAAAAAACUCUCAAUCUUAUAGACCUAGCGAUGUUUGUUGUGCUUACUGUUCAGCGCUACCAUCCUGAUUGCUUUGUGCUUUGUAAUUUAUCGAGGGCAAAGAGGCAAUUGUGUCUGCAGAAAGUCCUCUGCUUUCAGUUCCAACGACUUCACCCAGUGCAAGCAAUUCCUGUAAUCAUAGAGCCAAUCUACUUUUAAGUGAAAGCCAUAGAACUCUUAUAGAAGAUAGCAACAGGCAGAUAUUGCUAUACCUCAUAUGACAAUUCAUCUGGAUCGACCUCCUCCCAAGUGUCCUGAGAACACAAAAUGAUUUAAGAUGGAAACAAGGAAAUUAUAUACCAUACUACAGGGGUACAUUAAAUGAACAGAUGUAACAUGUGCCUUAAAAUUCGUAGACGUACAGCAGGCAAUAAUCAUAACAACAACGACAACAACAACAACAACAACAACAACAACAACAACAACAACAAUAAUAAUAAUAAUUACAGAUCCACAAAGCGGCGUUGUUAUUUACUUAUUUCUAAAAAGCAACCUUCAUUACUUAAUAAAUUAUUCAAGUUAUAAUCUCUUUCCUUUCAGCUACUUGCAAUCAAAUCCCUGUAAUGUACUAAAUUGAGUUUAUGAAUAAGUAUAAUGCAGCAAAAUACAAAUGUGUUAGGAUAUAGGUAUAUAACAUAUGUUCUCUUCAAAUUUAUAAAUACGUACAAACCAGCACUUUUAUAGCAUUUAACUGAUAUCAUAUUGAUUUCGGGAUGCUCAAAAACCAACCGACAAGAAGAAGAAAACAAAUAUAAAGGAAUAUACAAAAGAACCCAUACAAAAAGAUCCAUCCUAACAAAACAAUACAUCCUAGAUGAUAAUCCCACGACACAUCGUCAAUAUAUAUAAUGGUCCAGAAUGCACCGUGCGGUUUAUCAUUUAGGACCUAGAUUUUUUCUCUAGGACAACAAUAUACUUUAGGGUGGUUCACUUACUACUGCUAUAUGUGUAAGGUUGCUCUCUAUGCACGACAGUUCAUAAAUUAUGCAGGGAACCUAACUGAAAGAUAUUCAAUCAUCAGUUCCUGAGUUUUUAAAUGUGAUGCAUUGUAUUAUUCAAAAGAAAACCUAAGGUAUAAUGGCAGUCUGGCACUCUUAUGAAACUAGCUACUAACGAAAGCUAACAAGCCUACAGCGACAGAGAUUCCAGUUCUCAUUGAGUUUGUAAAUCCAAGGGCGAUAACUUGCAAAUGGAGGCUCUUCCAUUGGGUCAGAUGCUCAACACUGAUGGAAGGCUACAUGGGGCAGAUGAAGCUUGUGCUGGUCUAUCUAGGGACUGUAAUGGAACAUUUCACUAUGCAAAAACCAAAGGAUCUAGAGGUGUGACUAUUGGGUAUGUGGAGAUGGAGGGUAUCUUGCUUGACAGGUGUGCAAAUAGUGAAAGUCUUACUACAAGAAGCUUACAGUAGCAACUAACUCAAAACAAGGCCUCCGCUGAUGGUCUAAAGGGCAUGAAUAGAGAGGUGUAGAGAACGAGACAGUUAGUGAGUGGUAUCAUAUCAAAGAAACUACCAGAGACAAGGAGGUAUACAAAGUUCAACACAUAAUAAGGGAAACUAAUAGAAAGGCUGAUUGGCUAGCACACAGGAAUGAAGUACUUGUAAAUUGUAAUCCUUUUAAUAAGGAACUAGUCAUCAUCAUCCAUGAGAAUGGCAUGGCAAAAUGUGGUACAGUUUGUAACUGUAAUCGUUUUGUUCUAAUCAAUAAAUCUUGCUGAGUCUUGCCUAAUAAGCUUGCUUCCUGCAUAUAUAUCCGGCAGAAUCUAACAAAAUAAUAUGGAAGUAGAUUGUGGCUCAAAAUGUACUCUGUUGGGACUGUAAUUAUCCAUCGUAAAGUCAGCAUUUGCACACGUGCAUAUCACUGAAUUACCAUGAAUUGCAAUUUGCAGCAAAUUGAGAAAGUCGUAGUUUGGAAGUUGGAACGUAAACAUACAUAUGAAGUUGAAAAAAUGAAGAGAAAACCAGCAUAUUCAAGUAUAACAUUUGAGUUUAUACUAGAUUUAAUACUGUGAUAACUGAUAAGGGUCAACAAGAGAAUCUCUAACGUUGCAAAUAAACAGGCCUGCUUUUAUUUUAUUUUUUUAAUAAAUUGGGGGAAGGGGUUAGGCAGAACUAAACCUGUAUUGAUUAAACCCUUACAGACACAGUUCCUUUAUUAUCACGAGGCAAAGCAUAAAAAAUUGUCAGCUGCUAAAUGGAAUUUUCAUGUGAAGAUGGUUUUAGACAGAGUAUUGGCAAUAUAAAUGGAAACAUCUGUCUUGCUUAAAUGGAAGUUUAUGUGAUAUAAAAUAAUAUCGCAUUAACAUAUUCAACGAUGAUGAUUAUGUUGUUAAUGACAGAAGUAGAAAGAAUUAAAGACGAAGAAAAUGAUUACUUGAGAGUUGUUGUCGUUCUCGGUGUCCUCUGCAGUCCCUGUAUAAAUAAAUGGAAACAGAAUCACAUAAAGGUUUUUAGUUGUCCAGAAUCAUAUAAAAAGGAAAAAUAAAAGAAAGAGAACACUAACAAUCAGUUCCUCCAGUAAGAGCCAUAAGACGAGCAGCCAAUUCUCUUUCUUCAGCAUCCUGAAGAGCUCUAGCAAAGGCUUCAUCAUCGUUAACAAAAGCUGAUGGAUCAAUCUCAACUUCCGCAGGACUAGCAAUAGCAUCUUCAUCCUCUAAAUUUUGAUGGAUAUCAAAUGCAUCUUCAUCAGCAUCAGUCCCAAUAGCAUCAUCAUCAUCAUUCAAAUCAUCAUCAUCAUCAUCAUAACAAUCGUCUUCUUCUUCUUCUUCUUGCAAAAAACUUCCAGCUUCAGAACUUCCAAAAUCACUACUACCCUCACCACCACUCAUUCUCAACAUCAUAUAAGCUCUCUCCUAAAAAUUAAAAAAGUUCAUCAAAACCCUAACAACCUAGCGAAUUGAAUUGAAUUGAAUUGAAUUGAAAACAAACUAGUCUACUACUAAACAUCUUGUUUGUUCUUGCAAAGUGAAUGAAUUUGUAAUAACUACUACUAAAAAAAAAAAACAUACCUGUUCUUGCAAAGUGCGGGCAAGAGCAAGGUCAGCAUCAACCUGACCGAGAUUAGUGAACGGAGUCCUCGAGAUUGGUUGUAAUGAAUCUGAUGAAUUAUUAUUACUAAUGCUGCUGUUGUUGUUGUUAUUGUUAUUAGGGUUUUCUUCGUUGCUUGAUGAUUUUGCUCCUCCGCAACCUUCCUUAACGUUCUCCAUUCCAGGUGAAGCGGUUCAGUUCCACUGUAGAGAGAGAGAGAGAGAGAGAGAGAGAGAGAGAUUUGGUUUUAAUUUUGGGCCAAACUACAGGCUAAAAUACCCCUUAACCGGUUUAUGUUUCUUCUUUUUAGGUGAUUUCCCUCAUUUCCCAUUCAGGCACCACCAAUUUUUUUGGAGCAUCUCCAGUCAGGGUAAUUUCCUGAUCAGGACCACGAUUAUGGGAAAUACAGUAUACCUAAACCUGACGAAAGCAUAGGUGAAAAAUAUCGAUGAAUAUAUCCAUUUUCUAAAAUUCCAAUAUCAAAAUAUUAGCGAAUAUUCGACGAAUCAUAAUAUAUAGCAUAGGUGAAUAAAUUGAAAAAAAAAUCAUAAAUAUUUGAGGAAUAUAUCUAUUUUUCUAGAAUUUAAAUUUUGGGAUAUUCGCGAAUAUGAUCUUAGUCACAUCACACAAAUCUCCCAUACACCACAUUUUUAGAUAAAUUUUGAAUAAUUGUAUUUUUACAAAUUUAUCUUUAUUAUUUUAUUUACCACACCACAUUUAUUUUUUGUUUGUUUCUUUCAAAAAUUCUACUUGCCAAAUAAAAUCUAGUAAAUAAAGAAACGUUGCUAAAUUAAAUCUAGCAAAUAAAGAUACAUUUAUUUUUGGGAGAUCUUGUUGGGCAGUAUGUUAGUAAUGAAUAAGUAUAAUUCUAAUUGAAACAGAAUAAACAGAGUAUGCAAACCAGAACAAAAACUAAGGACAGUAUGAUGUGAUCGAGUCGAGAAAAUCUCUGUCCUUAAGACAUAAUUUGCCCCAACAGGUGAUGUAUGGGUGUAAUGCAAACUGUCUCCCAGGAUACAACGAUCAAUACCUUCGUCGUGCAGCAGCACUUCAAACAAAACGAAGAUGGCGAACCAGUUCAGUGAUGUAACUCUCUCAAGGACACACAGACAAUGAAUGAUAUGAUAAUGAGUAUGAGGUUUUCGAAUGAAUGAACAAUGCAGACACUGACAAGGUAUUUAUAGCAAGAGAAAACCAAGUGAACAGACACUUGGGCCGAAACAGUUCUUUGAACAGACACACCUAAUGGGUCGAACCAGUUCUAUGAACAGACACACCCAUUUAGGCUGAACAGACACUUUGGGCUUGAAACAGUUUCAUCAAGGGACACACCUUUUGGGUCCGAAACAGUUUCAUGAAAGGUUGCACCUAUCUGGGCCGAACCAGUAGCAAACCGGUUCGGAAUAGGUAUGCACCUAUUGGGAUUAAUUCCAAUGGACCUUUCUACCAAAAAGAUUAUGUUGGAUCCCCAAGACCCAGACCAAGCCCGAGUCCGAGCCGGGUCGGUCGGUCGGUCGGCGCGCGCGUGUGUUUUUCAAGCCCAAGCCCAUGUAAGGUUCCGCCCAACGCGCGAAAACAUUGUAACCCCAAGGGCCACACCCUUAUUGUGUAUAAGGGGUUUUUCUAGACAAAACCUUAUCUACAUGGGUCAAAUGUGGGACUAUCACAUUUUCCUUGCUUUGUCUCAAGUUGUUUGGAACUUGGGACACCAAUUUCUCAUUCAAUAUGGAACAGUUUUAGACGUAUGAAUAUUCUGCGAGCAUCUACUCGGAACGAGGAUUCCAUACGUACCAAGAUCUCACUCAAUAGAGCUCUAGAACACAUCGAAAUGUCCAGCCAAAGACCUUGUCAGAUUUCUGUCAGAUUUCUGACAGAAUCUGUUCAAACUGUUUCCAACAGAUCUUAGUCACACCACACAAAUCUCUCAUACACCACAUUUGUAUAAGAUAUAUUUGUGGUAAGUUAAGAUUUAUGUGGUCAGGGGUGGCUCAAGCAAAUGGGGGGCCUCAGACAUAAAAUUUUUUAGGUAGUUUGUAAUACUAAUAUAAAAUUUUUAUUUAAUUACAAAAAAUUAGAUGAAUAAAUGAGAUAUAGAUAAACACCUAAAAAUUAGGGAAAAUAUUUGAAAGUUAGGAAAAAACACCUUAAAAAUAGAAAAAAAUCUUAAAAAUCAGAAAAAAUAGCAAAAAAAUAGCAAAAAAUACUGAAAAAAAGUACAAAAUGUGGCCCCGAGAUAUAUUGGGGGCUUAGGCACCUGCCUUUUUUGCUAAACUGUAGAGCUGCUACCUAUGUGGUGUAACUAAGAUCUCCCAUGUUUUAUUAUCCACCUCAGAAUAUCAAAAGUACUUAACUGUUCAUACAGUUUUACCACCAAAAAAAGUCUGUUCAUAACUUCAUACACUCCUACUUUCAUGUGUGCUGAGCUUUCAAUAUCUACUUUGUAAUGGCCGAAGGCCGAUCUACAGUCCCUGCCCUCCUUCGUUCCUGUCUUCUUGGUAAUCCCCUCCCUGUCCCAACUUCAGCGGUCAAACAUUCCGGCUCCCAUACAACUAAGCCCUCCACUAAGCCCACUUCAACUCAGUCUGGCCCAUCAUAGAGACCUAAAUUAAGCCCAACUUUAAUGAAGCCUGAUUUAAGCCCAUUUCAAUCUACCCCACACAAAUAGCUGAAUUAAGCCCAUCUUGAGUGAAGCCUGAACUAAGCCCGUUCCAAACCACCCCAUUUUCAGGCCGCCACUGCUCUCUGUAUCCUGUCCUUUCCACUGUUCGAUCUUCCAAGUUCUCACCAAAAAAAUAAAAAAUUCCCACUGUCCAUUUCAUUGCUGCUUCUCAAUCUAAUAUUACUCCCCACCGCGUCUCUUUGAUAGUUUGAUUGCUGCUACUCAAUAUCAAAUUGGGUAAGUUCCCCACUGAAUUUGCUGCCACUCAAUAUCAAUUUUGAGGUUUAGCUAAUUUGCAAAGCCAAAUUUUCUUGCUGUUGUACUCAUUUUCAGGUUCGGUUCCUUUUGAGGUUGUUCUUACCUCAAUCCAAUACAAAAAAAUUGCUGCUUUUGUUGCUGCUCACCCCAACUCCCAGGUCAGACUUUUCGGCUUCCAUCCCGGCCCAACACAGAGAUCUCCAUUACAUCGAAUGAAGCGUAAGGUAAGCCCAUUCUAAUUCUAAUCCAUCCCUUAAGCCCACCUCAAACGAGGCCUGAAGUAAGCCCAUCCCAAUCCACCUCCUUCCGGACCGCCACUGUUCUGUUUCUUCCUCCCCACCCAUCCAGUCCAACACAAAGACCUUUAUUAAGGGAGCCUACCUUCAAUGAAACCUUCAACUAAGCUCUUCGUUAAGCCCAGAUAAGCCCACUUUAGCUCUAAACUUAGCCCCUUUUUCGCUCCAACCAUCCAGUCCAAGCCAACCCAACCCAACCCAACCCAACCUAAAUGUCUAUUGUGCAAUGACCGCCUUCAAUGAAGUCGACCACUUACCGCCUUCACAUCCUUCUAUCUACUGUUCCAUCUUUCCCUCCCUUAACCCUUUGAUCGCUGGUACUCAACCUAAUACUACUUCUCACCAGACCCCUUUGAUUGUUGCUACUCAAUCUAAAAUUGGGUAAGUUCCCCACUAAAUUUGCUACUUUUCUCAAGCCAUAGCUUAGGUUUACUUAAUUUUCAAAGCCUAAUACUUCCAAUUUUCGUACUUAUUUUCCAGUUGCCUUAAUAUCCAGAUUGUUCUUAUCUCGAUAUAAUACCAACAAUUGUUGCUCCCCUUUUAAGGUCUAUACAAUUAAGUAUAAAUUCAGUCCUAUGGCCACACGUCACUCUCUGUAAAAUUUAUACAGGCAAUUAGCGUAACCAGUCCGUCCCAUGAAAUGUUCAUCAUGUAUACAAUCAAGUAUGAAUUCAAUCCUUUGGGAUUUUCAGUUCACUCAUGGAAGAAAUGGUCAUUGUAAGCCCUUUUUCCUAAUGAGCUUUUUAUGCGAUUCGAGAGGUUGAGUCUUCUGUAUUCUUUGACUGCUUCACCGUUAGUACCUGCAAUGACCACCGGGUAAUGACCGGUGGAUAAAGCUCCAACGAUCAAGUCAGUAAGCGGCUAGGUUUAGAAAAAUAGGUUUUAGCAAGAAUCAACAGUUACCUCAUGCGAACCCUAACGUUCUCCUUUUAUAGCGGUAUCCACCGCUUUCCUCUAACCGUAGGAUUCCUCUACGCAUCCUAUGGUUCUCCGAUCUCCUACGUGUUUCAUUUUCCAUCACAUGCUAUGGAGUGAAUGCUUGACAGCCAGACAUCACGUGCUUUCUCCGUGAUGCCCUAGAAUGUUCUGUACUUUGAUUGGGUACUUCACAGCUUGCUUUCCUUACCUAGCUCCUAAGCUUCAAGUGCUCCACCUGGCACAGUUUGGUACUUACAGUCAUCAAAUAGACAAACCACAUUUUUUUUUUUUUAAGAGCAUAUAUAUUCUCUACCAAGUAGGUAAUAGGCAAUAGUCGCAAUACAUACAAUCAAGCAUUUCAUAGCUACACCACUUCAUUUUGUACUCAUUCUUUACUGAUUGAUGCCCUUAUAUCUACUUUGUAAUGAAUCCAAAAGGACUACACGUCUCCCCCACUAUUUCUCGCGCCAUACUUGAAGUCAUAAUUGAUACUAUUAAUCUCUUAUCCGUCUACUGCAAACUAUUUGUUUAGGUGAAUUUGUGGAGGGGGAAACAGUAAAAAUCUUGCCAGAAUGUACACAUUGUUUUCAUGCGUAUAGAUACAUGUAUACACUAAUACACGUGCCUCUAUCGUCAUUCUACAUAUCCUGGUUUUUGUUAAGAUAAAAGCACGGAGAUCACAAAGGAAUCCUAAACUUCACAGACAAAGGAGAUCACAAAUGAAUCCUAAACAUCUUGCGCUUGAAAGAGAACGUGCUCGCAAUCACUAUAGACGAUGUCUUUUCAUUUUCCUGAAGAGUUUGCCAUCCGCAGAGAGCAACUAAGGGCAUUCCUAAUGGUUUUUUUUGUUUCGGUGGUCCACCUAAGCACAUUUGAUACCCAUUUUGUGUUUUAUUUGCUACCAAAAAUCAUUUUCUCUAAUGGUUCAUCAAACUUAAGCGGGCAACAGAGAACCGCUUUAGUUAAGCGGUCAUUUAAAACCCGCUUCUUUGGGGCGGGCUUUUAACACCCACUUGCAGUUAUGGGGCGGGCAAUGGGGUGCCGCUCAACGUAACGUUUGGUUAAGUUGAACUUGAGCGGGCAACCAAGAGCCGCUUAAGUUAGUUUGAACUUGAGCGGGUAAUGAAGAACCGCUCAAAACGGGUGUUCAUGAGCCACUUAACUUGAGCGGUUCUCUCUUGCCCGCUCAAGUGUGGUAUCAAAUUUCUUCAAAAACACCAAAUUUUCACCAAAUUUGGUGAAAAUUUGAUAAAAUUUUGCUACCAACUCAAAUUUGAUGGUCCAUUAGAGACGAGUUUUUUGUUUUUUUACCAAAUUUGAGUUUGAUACCAAGUUUGGUGGUCCAUUAGGGAUGCCCUAAGACACUAUCAAAAGCAACGAACCCAAAAUAUGACUGAUGCUCAAAGAAAUGCGAAAACAGAAGGGCAACAAAUAUAACUGAAUCAUUUUGGUUUCUCCAUGCUUCAUAUAUUAUUUGAAAUGCAUCAAACACAAUGUAAGCAGAAAGAGCCUCCUUCCUUCUGAUAAUUUACAUCCUCCAUUAGCUUCACAGUCUCACGAAAGGAUAUCACCAUUCUCUAAAAUUACAGUGAGGGACGAAUCCAGAUCGAACUUUUGAUAACCAAAGACAAAAAUGAAACUGGAUCACAUACAAAAAAGGUUAGUUCACUUUCAAUCUAUUUCAUUCUUCUAUAAUUAUAAAUGAAACUCAACUAAGUUUAAUGUUGAUAUUGCAGCUUGGUUGCAUAAAUUUUGAACUAUGUCAACAUACACACCACACUAUUAUAUCUCUUAUAAGCAAUUGAUUGUUAUGCAUACUAUACUAAACAGAUGUUGUUGUCGCGAGGGCAAUGGGUCUUAAUCUAUCAUGUUAAAUCAGUAGAAGCAUUUUUGGCAUCUUUAACAAUGUUGUUGUAAUUCAACUUGGAAAUGAAGAUUUAGCAAUUCUAAAGUGUACUUUAGCAACUGAAAAAAUUCGCCACAUAACUGGUACACAUACUUUUGUAUACAUUUUCUUUCUCUAAAUGUUGUGUACUCAAAAUUUAUUGGUACUCUAACACAUAAAAACUAUACUACUAUUAUAAACCUGAAUAAAAUUUAAGGAUAAGUCCCGGUCACGAGAAUUGAGCUUUAGAAUUUUUUUUCACCUAAUUCUGACUAAAAUACCCUUUUACUCAUGGGUUUUUGGUAAAUUUAUAUAAUAGCCUCACAAUUAGUAGAUGUCCUGGAAUAUAACUGAUUAUUAUCAUGCUUAGAUAAAAAGGUAAUUUCCUAAAUAAGUACAAACUUAUGAUGCCAUGACCCAAACUGGCACGAAAAUGAGCCAUUAUACCCAAACAUGCAUAGGAAUGUACUUUUUCAUUUUUUUCUAUACCAUUCUUACCUUUCUGUCAUUAUUUCUCUCACUUACACAGUUGUCAUGUGACAAUGACAAGUACUUACAAGAUAAAGAAAACUAACUUUAAUUUAGACCGUUGAUUCAUAGUUUUGACUGCUGGAUUUAAAAUUGGUAUAUAAUUUAUUUGGGCCUGUUAGUGGGCUUGUUACAGGUGUGGAACAAAUAUACUAGGACCUCUACUUCUUUUGAUUGGUCAACAGACAUACCACACUAUUAUAUAUAUCCUUUAUUACCAAUCAAUUGUUAUGCAUACUAUACUAAGCAGAUGUUUCUGUCGCGAGGGCAUUGAAUCUUAAUCUUUUGGAAAUUAUGUUAAAUCAGUAAAAAAUUUCUCGCAUCUUUGAUAAAGCACAAUGUUGUUGUAACUGAACUUGGAAAUGAAGCUUCAACAAUUCUGAAGUGAACUCUGACAACAACAAAGUUCUAUUGUAGAAUGAGAACACAAUAUAACAAUAAUGGUCGUAUAGGAAAGACUUCUAGAAAACAAAGUAAAAGGGUUCAUAUGCAUACAUUAUGUUUCAAUGGCAAGGGAGGUGCAAAAUGUUGGUGCGAAAUUAGCUACUGUCGUGGUAGUUCACCACAUAAUUGGUAUGCGUACUUUUGUAUACAUUUUCUUUCUCCAAAUGUUGUGUACUCAAAAAAUUUGGGUACCUAAUACAUCAAUAAAAACCCUUCUAUUUGGUAUACAAGAAUCCUAACAUGUCACGCAUAAGUAACAAAAUGAUUUAUGCAAGCUCCGAAAACAGAUUAAAGAGAAAGCUUAUUGUUAUUCGUGUAAAACUGCAAAUAACAGAUCCUUCAUGUACGUGAUCUGCAACAAUGAUAAAAACAUGUUCCAACACAAUUGUCUAAUAUACUUCAUGUAAAAUGUAAAUACUUUUUUUUUAUUGGAAUCUUAAUGCUAAAUGACUCCUAUUUUCAGUUCUUCUAUGCUCCUGUACUAUAAGAAAACCAGUUCAACAAAUAUGGUUCUCUUUUAUUUUUUGAGACUGGUCCUAACUUAAAUACUGUUCCCUUUUCAGUGUCCAAUAUUGCAAUGUCAAAUAUUGCAGUGCCAAAUAUUGCAAAAUUGAAUUUUCCAGUCAUAAAGGAACCUACUUUUUUUUUUUCUCCUCAAACAAAGUAAACUUCCAAAUGCAACUCAAUAUUUGUCUGAUUUGUUUAUAUACACGUCUAAUUUUUUGCUAUCUUUUGUUCCUACUUGAUCGGUUCUUGGAAAAACAAUUAGUUGCAUAUCGACAAACAUGUACAAUAACCUCUUCUACAGACUAAACUAACAAAAGCAACCAGAGGACUUCUCUUCUUUUACUCAAAUUUCAAAUAUAAAUUUGUCCUUUUCUGUUUUCAUACAUCAAUAUAAUCUGCCCUCUUCUCAAUUUCAACUUCAAGUAAUAGACAUGCCAACUUACAGAAGUUCAAACAAUUAGUUCAACUUCUGCAAAAAAAAAAAAAAACAAUUAGUUCAACUAAUGAAUAAUGACAACAUACAAGUAUACAACAUACCUUCUUUCGCAAACUAUAUUAUCAACCACAUCAUUCGAGUCUUCUCUACACUUGAAUUCUCCUACCUAUACUUUGCUUACAUUCUUCACUCCCAUGUUGACAAAGAGCUCCUACCUACACUUUACUUAUAUAUUCCCCUUUAGUGUUAAUAUUGAAUUGUUCAAUUGCAUCAUUAUUGUCCCUUUUUAAGUAAGAAACACCCCUUGGCGAUAGACUAACACGGCCCGGGCUAUGCCCGGGCAUCUCCUGCUAGUAUUUUUAAUAAACAUGUCAAGGAUGUACAUUUGACAUGAUUUACUGCAAUUAUCAUUUCAUUUCUGCAGUAAGCAUUCUUUCUAUGACACAUUACAUUAUUAAAAUAAAAUACAAAUACAAAUAGUGGAAACACAGAUUACAAGCACCUGAAAUAAUCUUGUCGAUCCACCUCUCACAUCUCUGAGUUAUAGUGGAAACACAACACGGUGUUCGUUUUUUGAAAAUAUACAUAUAUUCUCAAUUGAUUAUGUCUUCUUUUCGAAGAAAGAUUAACCAUUUGGACUUUUAAAAGCCGUUUCAAAUUAUAUGAUUACAAGGUUGAGGGUUUGUAUAUGUAUGUGUAGGAUGGUGGGGGGUGUGGCUGGUCGUGUUUCUCAUGGAUACAUUUCUAGUGUAGGAUGCACACUGAGGAAAAGUUUUCCUACCAUGUUCCUUAAUGCUAUGGAUUGUUUCGUGAAAUGCACACACCUGAAUUAGGAUUUAACUUUAGAGGGAAUAAUCUUCUUACUUAAAGUUUUAGAAUGAUAGUAGAAUUUUUUGUUCUAUAUUUAUUUAUUUAUUUAAUAUCUUAGUUUCAUCACUUAUCCUUCCUUGCUUAUGAUCCUUCAUUCCAAAUGUAUGUAAAUGUAAAAGUGAUUUCAACUGCUAGUGAGCAUUCCCAAAAACAUGUAUGCAUGCAUGCAACCAUUUGUUGCAAUGCAUAUUGAAUUUCAAAGAGAUCCAUCUGAACUGCAUAGACAUUAUGUUGAGGUUAGUGCCUGGUGGUCCUAUACAAGUUUUCUGCAAGACUGCAACUCAUUAAACAGGGUUGCUUGUAAGUGUUCAUGUUAUUAAAAGUUUGCACAGUUGCAGAACUAUCAGGGCUUUUAAACUUUAAAGAACCAUCAGGGCAUCAGGUGAGUGCAAUUAUUAUGAGUUGUGGUUCAUAUUAAUCCAACGGUUAAGAUUCAUUCUAAUCUUAAUUACAUCGAGAUUAUCAAACAAUACCACUCGCGUGUGCACUGUGCAGAUUCUUUUUAUUUUUUCCUCGAAAGAAGACCAAAAAAAAAAAGGCAUUUUCGAUAAUAAAAGAAAUAAAAAGGUGAAUUUUAAGGGGUGUGUUCACAUGAUUGGUUAUGUUGGUAGAAGUAGGAAAGAAGAAAAAACCAAAACAAAGAACAUGCCAAACAGGGCACAAAAGUACUCCUACUUGUUUCUUUAUCCAUCCGUUGGAUGUACCUCGGGAAUUGUGUCCAGUCAUUCUUAAAAAAGAUAUAUCAUUAUUGUAUAAUAAUUUUGGUCAAAAUUUGACUACUUUGACUGCCAACUUUUUUUUACCAUCAACAACACACACACACGUAGACAACAGAUUGCAUAACCUUAACUUGGGCUGUGUGGAAGGCCAGAUGUAAUAAAAUAUUCCACAACGUACACCAAAAUCCACAGUAUACUGCUGAUGUUCAUACCCAAAGAUACAGGUUACUUCAGAACCAAAGAAAUGACAUAAGUGCAGGAUAAUUGUCGCGAUAUUCUAAUGGUAAAUUACUAAGUGCAGGACAAUGCUCAGGUUCAGCUGGAACAAGCGAGCAAGCUGAGUGGGCAGGGAUUCUAUCAGCCACUAGAUGGGCCCUUGCACAAGGAGUACGACGCAUGGAGCUGAAGACAGACUGCAGAUCUGCUGCAGAAUUUUUGAAUGACCGGCCAACCAACAUUGCUGGUCUUCUGUCUCCCUACUACAAGAGGACUCGGAUUUGUUUAAGUUAUUUGAAUUCGUAUUAGUCAAGUUCUGUAACCGAAGUGGUAACCAGGCUGCUCAUCUUAUAGCGCAACAUUCUGGUGUAACUUUAUUAGUCUCUAUGCAGUUUGUUUCUAUUCCUGGCUACUAACACGUGGACAAUUAGACUUUGCUUUGACUGAACAAAAAUGUGGGACCAGACAGAUUGGGACAUGAAAUGACCAAAAUACCCUCCACAUGCCGGCAAAAAACAUGAACAUGAAAAAAAAAAAAAUUCCUGCCUGCAACAUUUCUUAACUCAAUCGACUUCAACUAGAAGAUUAUGAAAAUCGUUUCGAUGAAUAAUGUAUAUGGUUUUCUAGCUAUACAAUGUACAGCUUGCAGUGCGCAAAGAAUUAAGAACAUGAGCUAGGCUAGUUCAGAUAUCAGAACUCUUGGCAUAAAUUUAGUUCAUAGAGCUGCACUCGGUAUAAGCCGAGUGAGGUCACACCUUAGAUGCAUAUGGCAGAAAUAAAAGUGAUGAUAUACAGAAAAAGAAAACAAAAAUGCCUAUACAGAUCCCAUGGAUGAUAAUUUGAGCAUGAGAACACAAACUAUGUAAGAAAUAUAAGAAAAAAAAGGAGAAAUUUUUAAUAGAAUAUAGUGACCAACAACCAAGCCAAGAAGGGGUUGCUAGUGAGUGUAUUGACCUCUAUGAUUAAGCCAGGGUUGGGCAGACCACAAAUCUGACAUGAUAAUAAAGAAGUCCAAAAGUGUUCUGACUGCAAGUUGGGAUGAAUAAUUCUUGUCUGCAACUAUGUCAGGCAGUUGGUAGUUGGUACAGAGCAUAUGUUUGUACUGCACUACUCAGUAUCUCACAGUGUUUGGGAAAUACCUAUACUGCUAAGUUCUAGUUUGAGAAAAGCACAUCAACUGAGAUAAUAGAGAAAAUCUAUAUGAAUCUGUAAAAUGCUGAUGGCUAGAAAAUUAUAAUGGAAAUUUGUUGCAUCAUAUGCAUCAGAGAACCUCUAUAAUUAAACUUCUGCUAGUACAUGUCUCCAUUAAACUUUGGGAUUACUAGACUUUUAUCGACUCACUGACAGAUAUCAACACACCAUGGAAAUAAUUCCCUUGGCGAUGGUCAUGAAAUCCUAUUAGAACAUGUAGUGCAGAUAACAAAGUCCAUCUGCUAAGAGCAAUACAUGUUAUCUAAACUCUGAGGUGUUAACACUAUUCUCCUAAUCUAAUUUUAAUACUAAACCACCACUUCUGAGUUCUGACAUGUCCUUCAAGGUGUCCAAUGGUCCACCAGUCAAACUUCGUGGGUUCAGCCACAAGGUCCUGGCACCAGAACUCCCUCAUUUACCAGGGAAGUGGGGGCUUCAGGGAUAAAGUGUUAAUGAGUCGAGUUGUACUCUUUUCUUCUGACAUGCCUAUCUUGAUGACAAAAACAAGACCACCAUCUUCCAAAAUUUCGAAUCUUUUUCAUCUAUACACCACCAUUCAACUUGUAAUCAUUCAACUUGUUACGAAGAAACCCAACUUAGCAACAAUUCUUAUCUUGAGGACUAUGACUCUACCUCAGCAUAUAAUCAAGCGCAAUCAUUCAGAAGAGGGCAUAUAUACAUAUUGUGCAUCAAUAAGCCAUUAUAAACGAAAUUUUAGGCAAAAAGGGACCUACAAAGAAAAGAACUCAACAGAACACAAUCAUUCAAUUGAUUGAAACUUGAAACAACUGUACAAAUUUAUGAACGAAAUCUCAGUCUCCAAAAUAUCCCGGACCUACAAAGAAGAAAAAUGUGACAUGACACGUUACAGACUAUGACAUCGCAAAAAAGUUUCGGCCAGUGUCUGACAAAAUGUAUAUGUUUCACUGAAUAGUAUCCAUGCUUGAAGCUAAUAAUGAUAUAUGAGUGGGUUGUAAUAGCUGGUCGCAUACACCAUCAUUCCAUUCGACUGCGACAACGCAUAUAUUGACUUAUUGUUUGUAAGAGCCUAAGAGGAUUGUUGAUUUAAUGGUGAAAUAAAGAGGUAGACUUGACUGAACGAGAACUCUCCAACAAAUUUUGUGGAGGAAUCACUUUUGAAAGUAGAGAGUAUAAAUAAAUCAUUUCCAUGAUUGUUUUGCUACAAAAAAAGUUUACAAUAAUGCAUGAGUUUUAGUUGGAAGAAGACCACACCAGAGCAAAACAAGACGAGCUCCUUCAAGAGGUUAAAGAUAAAAACAUUAUUCAGGAUACAAACUGCUGAGGGCCAUCUCACCAGCACAUAAUGAUGAUUAUGAAAACUGAACAUUCCAACGAAAACUGAACCUAUGAAAAUUGUUUUGAUUUGACUUUGAUAACUAAAUAGUGAUGGAAAUGCAUCAUCUUUUCAUCAAUGAAAGUAGAAGUUAGAACAGUAAACCAUGAUAUUAAAGGAAAAAAUGUGCCUCUCAACAAUAGUGCAAAAUUCUUUGACGAGUUUUCUACAAGCCCAAAAACAAAAAGUUCAAAAACUCAACCCUUUCAACAAGCCCAAAAACCCAGAUUGGCACAAAUAAUAGAAUUGGAUACUUUUUCACAGAUGCCUAAUUAUUUAAGAUCUCGGUCUUUUGUCAAAAUCAUUCAUGAAAGUAAUACAAAGAAAAAAAUUUAGGUGAACUCUACGUACCCAAAAUUCAAAGAAAGAAGAAAUAUACGCUAAAGAAAGGGAAUGGAAAAUAGCUCGGUGUCUUGCAGAUACGUGAAUAUAACGAGAAAACUGAUCAAACUGUAGGUCUUUAUGAGAGAUGGGGUGAUGGACAACUUCCAAAUUCUAGAUAGCUAGUCUUGGUUUUGGGAAUGCUCACUAGCAGUUGAAAUCACUUUUACAUUUACAUACAUUUGGAAUGAAGGAUCAUAAGCAAGGAGGGAUAAGUGAUGAAACUAAGAUAUUAAAUAAAUAAAUAAACACAGAACAAAAAAUUCUACUAUCAUUCUAAAACUUUAAGUAAGAAGACUAUUCCCUCUAAAGUUAAAUCCUAAUUCAGGUGUGUGCAUUUCACGAAACAAUCCAUAGCAUUAAGGAACAUGGUAGGAAAACUUUUCCUCAGUGUGCAUCCUACACUAGAAAUGUAUCCAUGAGAAACACGACCAGCCACACACCCCACCCUCCCUCCCACACAUACAUAUACAAACCCUCAACCUUGUAAUCAUAUAAUUUGAAAGGGCUUUUAAAAAUCCAAAUUGUUAAUCUUUCUUCGAAAAGAAGACAUAAUCAAUUGAGAAUAUAUGUAUAUUUUCAAAAAACAAACACCGUGUUGUGUUUCCACUAUAACUCAGAGAUGUGAGAGGUGGAUCGACAAGAUUAUUCCAGGUGCUUGUAAUCUGUGUUUCCACUAUUUGUAUUUUAUUUUACGUUCUAACUUCAAAUAAUAUCUUCCAAGUUGUAUUGGCUCUAUUCAAUACUUCCCUCUAGUGUAAUGUGUAUUUUAUUCUGCUCUGUGACAAUAUUUUCUAAUCAUAUGCUACAAUCGAUGAAACACUAAACCCUACCAAAUCAAAAGCACUCUAAGCUGCGCUCUAAUGCAGUCGACAAUUUACUAGAAUGAACUAAAACUAUGUCAACCUACAAAACGUCCUAUAUAUAUGUUGUCAAAUGCGAGAAAAUGGUUUUCAAGAAGAGAAGAACACAACACUUUUCCUGUAUAUCUACGGAAUAGGCAAAACAGCACAAUGGAAAUGGACCCUUGUCAUCAAAACAUUACUGGCUCAUAGAAUCCACAAUCGUCAAUUAUUUGUAAUCUAAGCCUGAGUUCAUUCCCAUAAACCUAAGAUUGAGGAGUAGAAAACAUAAUAUUAGUCCUAGAAUCCUAGCUACCACUUUAUACUGAUGUAUCACCAUUUAUAAUAUGUUUGCCUGUGUCAAUUUUGGGUUCACGAAAUAAUACGUUUGGGGUUCUAAGUAAGUGCAACUGAAACAUCAAUUUAUAUUAGUCACUUCUAUCAUCAGUCUAUCACCGAUUCUCUAUUUCUAUUUCUUCUUCUCAUUGAAAGCUAUCUUUACAUGUUAUAAACCACCAGAUAACUACAAGUUUAUGUUACUUAAGUUUAUUGCCCUCCAUGUUACACCUAAAUUUUUGCAAUUAAAGAUUCAUUUUACAUUAGUAGAGUUGCUUUCACAAACACCUUGUAUAUAAAAUAUGGAGAUGAUCUUCCCUAUCAGGCACUUCAGAUUUUAAGUUAAAAACACCAUCACAACUGCACAAAGUGAGGUCCUUUAUUACUGAGAAAAGCAGCAAAAAAAAACAACAACAAUGCUUCUGUCUAUACCGCACUUCUUCUCCUAACGCCCAUACCUACUUAACAGUUAAGACCAUUGCUUGACUUAUAUAAGUUAUAGUUUCGCUUGAUAGUUUGUUCUUUCAUUAACAUAGUGUUAGACAUGGUUCAUAAACAAUUACGCAUAUAAAACGAGACAAACAAAUCUUCUGUAAAUAAAAUCCUCUUAUUCAUUGAAAAAAAAUAUAUAUCUAGUCUCACAUUCUUUGGGAUUUAAAAUUUAACGAAUAGAGAAGGCAUAUAUUAUCAAUGCCGCAUUACAACAACAAAAAUCAAAACUAAAGUACUCAGAUCAAUUGUUUGCAUAUGCCUCUCCAGCAUGAAAAUUAUAAUCAUCUAAAACCUACACUAACAUACUAUACCAAUUUUCAAUUCAUUCUGUAAGACAAUUGUAUUAAAAAAUCAUUUAAUUAAAAGAGAUCAAAAUUUACCAAUCACCGCAAAAGCAUUCAACUCUUUCUCGACUUCUCCUCCUCAGAAUCGGCUGAUGCAUUAAUUUUCUGCGCUUCAUUCUUUUUCAACAUCUCCUCCUCAGAAUCGGAGGAUGUUUCAACUUUCCCCUCUUCAUUCUUUUUCAACUUCUCCUCAACAGAAUCAGCUUCAAUUUUCGCUUUAUUCCUCUCAAGUGCAGCCGCAACUUCAGCUGGCAUAUACUUCUCAUCAUGCUUAGCUAAAACUUCCGUCGCACAAAAAUAACAAUUCAAUCCCACAGCUUUUUCCGCAAUUUUCUUCCCUUUGGAUGCACACCCAUCACGAUUUUCAUCACUAUAAGGUUUAAUAAAACCCUCAACAACAACAGAAUGACCUUCUCUAAAUAAAUCAGGUAAUGAACCAUCAUAUUUAACCAAUAUAUCUGUAAUCAAAUCAGUAACAAUAAAUUCCAUUUCUGGCGACGACGCGGGUUGUGUUACACUUCCUUCAAGUACUAAUCCACCUAAUCUAAACUUAUUUUUUGAUGGGUUUUCUCUAAAUUUCUCCAAAGCAUCAGUUGGUGUAACAUAGAACACUAAUUGAUCUUGAAAAUUAUUCAAAACAAUUACAAUAAACCCAGCUAUGCAACUAAAUGUUAAUGCAUAUGUCCAUAAACGACGGUUUUGAAGUUGACGAGCUCGAGCACCAAUAUCAGUAGUUUUAGAUGAUUUAGAAGAUUUGGGACGAAGGGUAGAGAGAAAUCGAUGAAAGGGUGUGGUGGGAAAGUUGGAAGAGAAAGAAGGAGAAAAGGGUUGAGGAGUUGAGAAGAGUUUAGGGAUGAUUUGAGGUUUUGGGUAAUGGUGAAGAUGAUGAGAAGAUUGAGAUUUGAGAGUAUGGAGAAGACGAGAUCGAAGAUGGCGAGAGAUUGAAGCCAUUAGUGGUGGUGGUAGUAGUAGUGGUGGUUGUGAUGGUGGUGGAGAAAGUGUAAGUGGUGGUGGAAUUUGAGUUUGUGGUGGCUUGAGAAUGAUUUUUCUCUUAAGCUUCGCAUAAAGCAAUCGAGAUAGAAAUUGGGCUGUUAUCCUAAAAGGCCAGGCCCAAGAAUUUUUAUAUAUACUGUAUAUAUGUAUGUAUUACUGUAUUAGUUUUAAAAACACAAGGUAUUCAGUCAAGUUAGUUAGCUAGAACAAUCCGUACUCUCCACAUCAAGAACAUAAGAAUGGAAUAAGAGAAAAAGAUAUGAAAGAUAUAUAUGGGAGAGUCGAGAGUGAUUUCUCUUAUAUUUCUUAUACGUGUACAUCAGUAUCAAUAUAUAAGUAUACAACCUCAUAAGUCAAACUCUUUCUUUGCUUACUACUUAGUAUAGUUGAGUGCCACAUCCAUUUGCUUCUAACACCUGUACAGAUGAUUAAUCAAUCAAUCAUUAUUUGCUUCACCUAAUCACAUGUGACUGUGGGCUUGGGCCUGAACUUAGGACUUUAGGAAUAUGGACAUCCAUAUUUUACAACACUCCCCCUUGGAUGUCCAAUGUCCACCAUAUCAAGAUCAUUGCCUCAUUAAAACCUUGCUAGGAAAACCCAGUGGGAAAAACCAUAGCGAAGGAAAAAGAGUACAAUAGUUGAUAUCUUGACUGGUAUUGGACGCGCUAUAUACUGCCUCGUUAAAAACCUUGCUAGGAAAACUCAGUGGGAAAAACCAUAGCCAAGGAAAAAGAGUACAGUGCGCUUCAUGUCCUGGCGGCUCCCCCUGAAGAUAGCUCCCCCUUAUGAAAAUCAGACUAAGCUCGACUUUCGACGCAUCCCAAUACCAUAUGCCAUUUUCUCAAAAGCUGGUGGAACUAGUGACUUAGUGAAUAAAUCAGCGAGAUUCUCAUCAGACCAUAUCUUCUGGACAUUGAUCUCGUUACUCUGCUGGAGUUCAUGAGAGAAGAAGAAUUUUGGAGAAAUAUGUUUUGUUCUAUCACUUCUGAUGUAGCCUUCUCUGAUUUGAUCAAUACAUGCAGCAUUGUCUUCAUAAAUCACCGUUGGUGUCUCUGUAACUGAGGGGAGUCCGCAUGUUGAUUGGAUAUGGUGUAUCAAGAGCCUCAACCAUACACACUCACGAGUUGCUUCAUGGAGUGCAAGUAUCUCCGAGUGGUUGGAAGAUGUAGCAACCAAUGUUUGCUUAGAAGAUCGCCAAGAAAUUGUUGUACCACCAUAAGUAAAUACAUACCCGGUUUGCGAUCUUUCUUUGUGUGGGUCAGAUCUAUAUCCAACAUCUGCAUACCCCUUUAGUUGGGAGCCAUUUGGUGGUUCUCUGGAAUAGUAUAAACCCAUAUCAGUCGUUCCUCGAAGGUAACGCAUAAUCUCCUUUAAUCCAGUCCAAUGUCGUCGGGUUGGAGCUGAGCUAAACCUGGCUAACAAAUUCACUGCAAAUGAAAUGUCAGGUCUAGUACAUUGGGCUAAAUAUAAAAGAGCACCCACAGCACUUAAGUAUGGUACUUCAGGACCAACUAAAGAUUCAUUGUCCUCUUUAGGACGAAAUGGGUCUAAUUUCACAUCAAGUGACCUUACGACCAUUGGAGUGCGACUUGGGCGACAUUUGUCCAUGUUAAAACGCUUUAAAACUUUUUCAGUAUACGUUGACUGGUAGACAAAUAUUCCAUGCGUUGUAUGUUCGAUCUGCAGGCCGAGACAAUACUUUGUUUUACCGAGAUCUUUCAUCUCGAACUCAUUCUUUAAAGAGUUUGAUGCUUUGGUAAUCUCUUCAGGAGAUCCAAUUAUAUUUAUGUCAUCGACAUAAACCGCAAUGAUGGCAAAUCCUAAAUUUGCUUUCUUAAUGAAUAUACAUGGGCAAAUGGCAUCAUUCUUGUACCCUUCCUUCAGUAGGUACUCACUGAGGCGAUUGUACCACAUACGCCCGGACUGUUUCAAUCCAUAUAAUGAUCUCUUAAGCUUAAUAGAGUACAUAUUACCUGGUUUUGCUUCAGGCAAUUUUAAUCCUUCAGGGACUUUCAUAUAAAUAUCAGUAUCCAACAUUCCGUAAAGAUACGCAGUAACCACGUCCAUGAGAUGCAUGUCGAGUCUUUCAGAGACUGCCAGACUGAUUAAAAAUCGAAAUGUAAUUGCAUCCAUCACGGGAGAAUAUGUCUCUUCAUAAUCAAUCCCAGGUUUCUGCGAGAAACCUUGUGCCACGAGACGAGCUUUAUAUCUCACAAUCUCGUUUUUCUCAUUGCGUUUCCUUGCAAAUACCCAUUUGUAACCUAUAGGGCUAACAUUCUUGGGGGUUAGGACUGCAGGUCCAAACACAUUUCGUUUUGCAAGAGAAUCCAAUUCUGCUUGAAUUGCAUCCUUCCAUUUUAGCCAAUCAUGUCGUUGUCGACAUUCCUCAACAGUAUGUGGUUCAAGACCAUCAUCAUCUGCUGCAAUCUCAGCAGCUACGGCAAAGGAGAAUACGUCAUCGAUGAUAAUUUACAGAAAUUUCAUCAUUUUCAGGUACCUGGGCCACAUCUGGGGCUUGUGUCACUUCAGGUACCUGGGCCACAUCUGGGGCUUGUGUCACUUCAGGGACGACCACUUCAGGGGCUUGUGCCACUUCAGGGACAUAUUCCUCUUCAGGAGGUUUUUGUUUAGAGAGAGUGUGUUUUCCUUGCCUUAUAGCCUCUCCAAGAGCGCUAUUUACUGGAGGUUUUGUUUGGUUUUUCCUCUUCCGGGGAGACCCAACAGGUCGUCCACGCUUCUGGCGUACUUUAGACGAUUCAUUUGCUGCCACAUUCGCGGGUUGUCUUUCAGAGACGUGUCGUCCUUCAGGGACAGAUUGUCCUUCUGGGACUUCAAUUCGCGCAGACGCAUUAGCAGCUGGUACAUGUGACCUUGUCACUUUUGCUGCGUUUGUAAAACCAUCAGGCAAUUGCCAAGCAAUUUUCUGAAGGUAAAUGAUCCUUUGUACUUCAGUUUCACACAAAGGAGUACGUGGAUUAAGAUGAGACAAAGUUGGUGUAUACCAAGUCAAUUUAGGUGCUUCUGCGGGAAGCCACAAUUCACGCCGUUCUCCAGGAAUAGGCGAAUUUCCUCCCCCUAACGGCGGGAAGACUGUCUCAUCAAAAUGGCAAUCCGCAAAUAUUGCGGUAAAAACAUCACCUGUCAAAGGUUCAAGAUAUCUAAUAAUAGACGGAGAAUCAAAACCAACAUAAAUUCCUAAUCUACGUUGCGGUCCCAUUUUUGUGCGUUGGGGUGGCGCAAUUGGAACUUGCACCGCACAACCAAAUGUUCGUAGAUGAGAAAUAUCUGGUUGAUGACCAAAAGCAAGUUGUAAAGGAGAAUAUUGAUUAUAUGCAUUUGGUCUAAGUCGAACCAGUGCGGCGACAUGCAAUAUACCAUGUCCCCAUGCAGAAACAGGCAACUUUGAUUUCAUAAGCAUGGUGCGUGCAAUCAUCUGAAUAUGUUUGAUAAAGGACUCUACUAAUCCAUUCUGUGUGUGUACAUGAGCAACUGGAUGCUCGAUGUCAAUCCCUAUAGACAUGCAAUAGUCAUCAAAGGUCUGUGAUGUGAAUUCACCAGCACCAUCAAGGCGGAUGGAUUUAAUAGGGUAAUCAGGAAAAUGUGCCUGUAAUCUAAUGAUUUGAGCAAGAAGUCGUGCAAAUGCCAUAUUCCGUGUAGAAAACAGAGACACGUGAGACCAUCGUGCAGAUGCAUCAAUUAGCACAAGAAAAUAUCUAAAUGGUCCACAAUGUGGGUGUAUGGGUCCACAAAUAUCUCCUUGAAUUCGUUGUAGGAAUGUAGGAGACUCAGUAGUGACCUUAGUCAGAGAUGGUCUUGUGACCAACUUACCUUGAGAACAAGCAGUACAGACAAAGUCAUUAGAUGCAAGAAUCUUCUGGUUCUGCAAACUAUGCCCAUGUGAAUUUUCAAUAAUUCUUCGCAUCAUACUAACCCCAGGGUGACCCAAACGGUUAUGCCAUAACAUAAAUGUCUUAUGGUCAUGGAACUUCUGGCCCAUUACUGCAUAAGAUUCAAGGGGCUUGAUGGUUGUGUAGUACAACCCUGAAGAGAUAGCCUUAAGUUUCUCUACAACCUGCUUUUGUCCUGAAACUUCAGAUGUUAUACACAAAUACUCAAUAUCAUGAUCAUCCAUAGUUUCGAUGUGGUAACCAUUAAGACGUAUAUCUUUAACACUAAGUAAAUUUCUUGUGGACUUUGUGGAGUAUAAAGCAUCCACAAUGUUGAACAUGGUACCACCAGGGAGCAUGAUAUGGGCUCUGCCAGAGCCAUCAACAAGACUUGAUGUACCAGAAAUAGUGUCCACAUUAGCCUUCACAAAUUUUAUUUGUGAAAAGUACCUACGGUCUCGUAAAAUUGUGUGUGUCGUGGCACUGUCUACGAGGCAUACAAUUCUACCAUCCGCAAGACGAUUAUGCAUGCUAUAUGCGGGAUCCAUAUCCCUUCAUAGUACAAGAAAAUUAAAGUGAGUACGAGUUAAGAUAACAGACACUUAUUAUUUAUUAACAGACACAAUACCAAGUAGUACAGAACAAAAGUACAUAUAAACAGAUACAUGAUAUAAAACGAUAGAUAUAGACUUAAUUGGUGGGGAAACCUCCAUCAAAGAAGUCAAGAUUAUACUCUGGUUCCACAAUGAAAUCAUCAACAUUAAAAAGAGUAGAGUCUUCUGGCUCAGACUGAUCGACAAAGUUUGUUUCCACUUUCUUUCCUUUGUCAUUCUUUGAUGCUUGAUAAAGCUCAACCAAGUGUUUGGCCGUACGACAGGUACGCGACCAAUGUCCUUCCAUGCCACAACGAUGACAAGUGUCAUCACCAGUCUUACGGUAAUGAGUGCUACUGGCACCUUUCCUUUUAUCCUUUUUAGGCUCAGUGUCAUCCCACUUCUGGUGGUAUGGGGUACUUCUAGACCCUUUGUGGUUGGAAUUGUUGUGAUGAGGACCACCACUCUUGUGGUAUCAGCCACUUCUGGGGCCUUUGCCUCUUUUGGGCCCAUUCCACUUUUUACUACCACGAUAUGAUGACGCAUGUGCUUCUGGUACAGGAGCAGAGCCAGGUGGCCUUUUGUUAGCAUUGCUCAUCAGGAGCUGCUUACUUUGCUCGGCAGAAGUAAGAAUUUCAUUUAACUCCAAGUACUUCUUAAGUCGGCAUUGCCGAUACUGUUCGUGUAGGACCAUAUUUAUAGGAUGAAAUGUAGAUAGUGUUUUAUCUACCAUUUCUUCCUCAGUAACAGGAUGCCCACAUAACUUCAGGGUGGACGCGAUUUUCAACAACUUCGAGUUGUAUUCAGAAACAGUUUUGAAAUCCUGAAACCUCAAGUGUGACCACUCAUAUCGAGCCCUUGGGAGGGAAAUAGUUCUAUGGUGGUCAUACCUUUCUUUGAAAUUCUGCCAAAGAAUCUGCGGGUCUUUGACAGUGAGGUAUUCAGUUUUCAAUUCCUCAUGGAUAUGGUGGCGAAGGAAAAUUAGUGCUUUAGCACGGUCCUGCUGGGACAGCUGAUUUCCUUCUUUUAUGGAGUCUUCCAGACCCAUUGAAGCAAGAUGUAAUUCGAUAUCAAGUACCCAGGACAGAUAAUUUUCACCAGUAAUAUUCAAAGCAGUAAAUUCCAACUUGGUAAUGUUAGACUUGAUUAUAAUACGAAAAUCAACAAACUUACCCAAAUACUUACACUGGUAACACCUUGUUGUAAUAACACCUUAUUGAUAUAUACAUUUCUUGUAGUUGUUGGACAAUAGAGCAAACUCGUGCUGAUAACGUUUUAAAAACACAAGGUAUUCAGUCAAGUUAGUUAGCUAGAACAAUCCGUACUCUCCACAUUAAGAACAUAAGAAUGGAAUAUGAGAGAGAAAAAGAUACGAAAGAUAUAUAUGGGAGAGUCGAGAGUGAUUUCUCUUAUAUUUCUUAUACGUGUACAUCAGUAUCAAUAUAUAAGUAUACAACCUCAUAAGUCAAACUCUUUCUUUGCUUACUACUUAGUAUAGUUGAGUGCCACAUCCAUUUGCUUCUAACACCUGUACAGAUGAUUAAUCAAUCAAUCAUUAUUUGCUUCACUUAAUCACAUGUGACUGUGUGCUUGGGCCUGAACUUAGGACUUUAGGAAUAUGGACAUCCAUAUUUUACAACAAUUAGUAGUUUUAAUACAAAAUUACAAAGUAGAUCUUUUCGUCUUUAUAAACUUCCUGGUCAUCUCCCAAAAAUAAAGAAAAUGUAUCUCAACAACAAAGAGUCUUAAAACCAUGAUCCCAAGAACUAAUUUACAUUUGGGGAACCUAGUAAAUGUGCAAGGGCAUUGAAGAUCCAGAGUAGAUUCAUUGGAGCUAAUCUAACACGUUAGAUUAGAUCUCAAAAAUGUCUAAAGAUCUAAGAACUAAGAUUAGAAGUAAAUCUAGAUGAUUCUAGAAGGCCCUAUACCGCCUUGACGCUCAAACAAUGAAUCCAGAUCCAAUGAGAAAUAAGGAACUGACCUCUUUCAAUCACUGAUUCACAACUAGGUCUUUUAUCUCUACAGUGAAAUUUCUCAAGAUUCAUGGUAUCAGACAAACCUGCAACGCAAGAAUUUUUUUCCUAUAGGUGAUUAGUUUGUAGAUUUUAUUUGAUAAAUGACAAGUCACCACUGAAACAAAAGAACAAAAAUUAUGCUAUCCAAAAUUAAGUAUUUAACACUUUUAAGGCUUGCAUAUGCUGGGUGAUAUAAUGCUAAAUGCUUUCACCUAUAUGGUAGCAUCUGGGGGCACCGUGUCACUGGAUGGAUGUUUUCAAACAGAUCUACAAUGAAAAGAGCUUAAUAUUUGCACAUAAAUUUUGACAUUUGCAAUCACAUCAUUAGAGGCGCAUAACUGAAGUAUAUCAAUGGAUAUAAAAAAUUACGCGUGUAAUUGCAAACUCCCUUAUGAUCACAACAAGCCAUUCAUUCGUUACAAAAAGAAGAUAGAAGUACUCUGAUCUAACACGAAUGCUAAAUAGAUACAAACACUAUUGUCAUGUGUCUAUGUCAACUCCCUUAGGCUCACCACAAGCCAUUCAUUUGUUACAAAAAAAGUACUCUUACAGUCUUGCCUAACACUAAUGCUACAUGGAUACAAGCACCCUCUAUUAACCUCCCAAACCCACAGUAUAGAAAUCCUUUGAUUCACAGCAUAGUUCGUGUGCAUAAUUUCUUUUACAUCCCCAACGUAAGUCUGGUAUAUACAACUAGACGGGAAGGGCUUUCCUCAAUACAAAAGACGGUAUUGUUUCCUUCCGCUAUAACGCAGUGUUGGGAUUGUUUCCUGCGAGGAUAAGAGAAAUCUCCAACCCACGGCUGAACGCCUGGUUGAACAUGAGCCUGGUCUGGAAUGUCGACACAAAUGGGAACCAUGAGAAGAAUGCGAUAGGUAUGAAAACAACCAUCCCCAUUCCAGCAUCAUAGAGACGGGCAAUUGAACGAACAGAUUUCCACAACCCAAGCUGCUUCAUCAAAGGCUUCCAAGCAGAAGCGAUCUGAACCGCACAACCAUAUCAUGUUCAGUUAGACACACAUGACAGCAAAUUAAUAUGAUGUCAGACAAAUUUAAAGAAACAAAAUCACUCCUCAAUUAUAAAUGCAACUUUCCUACGACUUCAUUAGAGGAAUUUCAUGUCAGAGUAUGUUUUCAGUUAGCAGUUCAUGAUCAUAUUCUUAUUAAGAAAAUGAUCCCUGCUUGAAUUAGGAUUUUUAAAGAAAAUAUAGUCAUUUUGCAUGCGUAAGCAUUGAGGCUCAAAUAGAAUAUAUGGCAAUAGCGUAAGAAGAUAUUCUUGUAAAAAGUUUGAAAAACUCACACAAAGAAUGCCCCAACCAGUGGGUACAAAAGCUAGGAUGCAAGCAAAGAUGUCUGGGAUGGAUAGGUUUGUAAGUAUAAUUGCAACAAUCAAACCAGCCAUAGCCAGCAUGAAAGAAACACCUUGGAUAAAGCGCAACAGUAGCUGAAAAUUUACAGAAAUUUUCUGGCUGAAGGUGAACACCUGCAAAGUUGACAUAUAGUAGACAAACGCAAUAAGAAAUAAAAAUGUUUUCACUCUUAAAGUAUUGUACAACAUUUGGUCGAUAGUUUUCUUACACACCUUGAAGAGAAUUAUCAGUACAACCAGAACAAUCCAUGACAGGCCAUACACCUACAAUAAAGUUCCAACAGUUAGUAUGUUUCAACAAGAAUCAGGUCCUCACUGGGUAAGUAUCAAAGUUCCCUGCAAAAGUAUUCUACCGUUAAUGAGGUGUCAGUUCCAGACGCAUCCAGCUUGUAGACAACACCAUACUGAAAAAUAAAAAAUCUUAAGCUGAGAAUUGUUUCCACUAGUCUUCCCCCAAACGUCCGUAUAUGUGCCUGCAAAUAAGAUUAUGAUUGACUAGUUAAGCAAAAUAAUGGGGAUUACUAUGUGGGACAUUAUAAAGUUUAAUAUAUAAGAAACUAGGUUUACAAAAAAGAUGUGAUCACUUACAUGCCUGACAGCCUUUAAAUGUUUCGAACAUAUUUCCUUCUAAUAAGUUCUAUAGUUUUCAUUAGAAAUAAAUAAAAUUACAACUAACUGGGUAAGCAACAUAAUAUGGUUACUAUGCAAGACAUUAUAGACUUUAAUAUACAAAAAAGAUGUGAUCACUUACAUGAUUCGGAGCCUUUAAAUGUUUCAAACUUAUUUCCUUCUAAUAAGUUCUAUAGUUUUCAUUAAGAAUAGAUAAAAAGUAAAAACUUUAAUACCGUACAAGUAGUUUGACCUAGAAAUGAGUUGUUGCUCCUAGAGUGGUUGAUUUACUUAACUUUUAUUGAGGUUUAUAUCUAAUAAGAUGCUUCAUGAAUUGAUUGAUAUUGAGAAUGGUAUAAGAGUGAAUGUUAAUGCUUGUAACAUUUGGCUGUAUUUAGAUACACACAGGAUAAUCAGUACAUGGCAGCCGCCUAAGUCGUGCAAUACUUCUACCCAGUAGAGUAAAGCAAGAGACAUGUUUGGUUCCCCAAGGUACGAUAAAUCUGUGCGUCUUUUUCAAACACCUGAUACCCAAACUAUGUUUCUGAGUUGAGUAAUUUAGCUGUGUGUGAACCCAGAAGUAACAAACGAUGUGAACCAAACAACUUCACAACUUUUUGAAAUUGGACAAGUCACCUAACCUUGAAUAUGAGUUGCUAAAACUAUUGACAACCCAAAUUUAAGAUGCAUGAAUCUUCAAAAUGGUUGUUCUUUGCAAUAAUGGAGUUAAAGACGUGGACCAUCUCUUCAUUUAUUGUCUACCGAUUUGGGAGCUGUUCUUCAUGUCUAUCAACAAACCCUGGAAACUACCGGAUACAAUCAUGGUUUUAAGAACCGGUUUUUUCAAUUGAAUCGGAGUAGAGCGAUCCCGGUUCUACUCACUGAGUCAACCAAAAAUCGGCUGAUUCUUAUUUAAACUAAAUAUUAAUUUUUAAUAUUAAAAUAUAUUAAAAAAUUAAUUUAGUAUUAGUUUUUAAUAUUUUUGAUAUGAAAGAAUGGUAAAUUUUUUGAAAUUAUUAGUUUGACUCGGCGAGUUUUCCGAUUCUAUAUAAAAAUCGGCCGAUUCAACCGGUUCUAACACCGAUUUUAUGUUGAUCCGAGUCAACAAAGAAUUUUUCACCCAGUUACCUCCGAUCCCGAUUUGACUCGGCCGGUUCAAACAAAACUCGGCCGAGUCUUAAAACUAUGGAUACAAUAAAGGAUGCUUGGGCAAGAGGCUUCUUAUCCAUUCUUCUUCCAAUGAAAGGCAAGUGGAUAGCGAACCAUCUUCCCAUAGCCCUUAUACAGGUGUUAUAAUAGCUAUGAGAACCAAGCAAAGCACCACAAACUUCUAAUUUAAGGAGGUCUCGUAUGAUUGGACUUCAAAUGUAGGGCUCCCUCUGAAAUGUGGAAUUUAAGGAUUUCAUUCAUAAAUGGGAUAAAAUAUUGUUGUAAGAGGUAGGAUCAUGCUUUAUAAGGGGUGGGAGUGGACACCGGUACCAUUAGCUUUUUGCUAAUUGUGCAUUGUCUCGUACGGAAUUUGUAAUAGUUUGAUAUUUGAAAUUUUUUUUAAUUUUUUUCUUUACUGAUAAAAAGAAAAUCCAGUCAGCCUAGAUAUUCGAAGUAAAAAUCUUCAUCACGCAAUCAAUUAUGAAGAAAAAGCAAGGAAAGUUCAAGGGACAAUCUCAAUGAUCUAGAAAUAGUAUUACCAAUUCCUCAUCCCACCAAGCUUCCCAACUUUCUUCUCCCUUGACUCCUAUUCCACCUCUAUAAAGCAGCCAAUUCGUCCAGUCUUUGAAGUCCUCCACUGUCCUGAGAGGAACAACCAUCAUUGUUUAAUUAUAUCACCAUAGUAGCAAGGACAAUCAAUUAAAAAGACGAUUGAGAAAUAGGCAUACUUCUGCCACUCAAAACCAGCUGGAUUGAACAGAUAGGGAGCGAAAAGCCAAGAAAGUGCCAUGAACCAACUGCUAAUACUAAGAAGGAUAUAGGAUAAUGCGCCACCUUCAUCAUAUCCAUAUGCAAGGUACACUACCAGCAAAAGCACAACUUCUAAUCUACACAUUAUGAAAUCAUACAAAACAUGUUCAAUUCCAACACGUGCACUAAUGAUGAAAAUGAAGCCAAUUACACUAGGAAAGUAAAGAGAGAGAGAAUACAAACCCCUUAACAAAAUGACUACGAGAGUAAAGCCUGUAAUUCUCUGUAAACUUUAUAUGACGCACAACAAACCCCCUGCCAGUCGCUUGAUACUGUUCAGAGUUUAAAAAUAGGAAAGGAAAGAAAGAAUCGAAGUCAUUAUCCUCUACUUUGACAAAAGUUGUUAUCCUCAUCUAUUAUUGAAACGAAACAAAGAGCAAAAAUAGGAUAGAACAUUAAUAACUUACCCUUGCACCACCAUGCAGAAUAGUACGACCAAAGUAGUGAGUCCUUGUGCCAAGGGAAAAUGUGAAAAAAACAGAACAAAGCUGAAGUUGCAUUGUAAUAAAAUUGACUACGGCCUGCAGGGUGGAUCACUUCACAAUAUUAGUUGUACAUUCAAAACUAAGGGAAUGCAGUAGCUUUAACACAAAUGCCAUUUUAUUGAAGCCCCGAUAAAUUAAAUUUUAGCAAGUGGAUAUUGUGAAUAUGCAGACGUCGAAGUUUUGAUGAAACUCAUCAAAGACACCAGUUCAUUGAGGUACCUCAAAGACACCAAGUUCAUUUAGCUACCUCAAUAAUACUUUCACGGAUAGGUUACACUGACCAGACUGUAUUAGUAUGAUAUCAUUGGCCAGUGCCAAAACACUAAAAUCAUUAAUUCUCAAGAAUUAUGCUUCCGAUCAUGCAAAAGUGCUGAUUUGUUUCAGAAUAUGUGCGCAUGAGUCGGACAAAAUUCUUUACAUUAGGUCAACCACCAGAAGUAAAUGUGCACUGCUCCCAUAUUUGAUCCUUGUCCAGGGCUCCAGGCCCAAUAUUUUGCAUUAUUAAAGUGUCUUCCCUUACUAAUACAUGGAGUGACUAAUGAAACAAUCCAUAAUAACUAACUCGUAAAGUAGGAUGUUUCCAAAAAAGAAGACGACAGGGAAUGGUAUUUCCGGACAACAGAAUCAUUAAAAUAGCUUUCGAAAAGAACACAGAUAAAAAAAUACCCUCAGAAAACCCUGCUCCAAAAUGAAGCCCAGAACCAUUGGGACGGCAGUAAAGAUACCAAUCUGAAAGAGAAACUGUGUAUUGAGGGCAGUACUCAAAGCAGCAUUCUGCAACACAUCAGCUUUCUCCUGUAUGGAUGCACCAACUCCAGAGAGUGCCUAGAAAAGACUUCGCAUUAGCUCAAUAUGCUACUCAAAAGAUGCAAUCUAUAUCACGUAGCAACUCAGGGUUCGGGCGCGGGGGGGGGGGGGGGGGGGGGGGGGGGGGGGUUUUGGGGGUUGGGGUUUGAGUUUGGGUUGUGGAAUCUCUGCUCCUGACCAACAAGUGUGGUGAGAGGCAACACUGUGCAAAACCAGGAUUUAAAACAAUUACUCUAUUCAAAUUGCAUGAGAAUAAAGGAUUAAAACAAUAAAAUUCCAACUCACCAAAUAUGUUUUCCCAUAAAGAAAAAUGUACACAGUCAACACUGUCAGCUGCAAAAUAACAAAAGAAGAAUGGCAGGUAAAUAAUACUGAUAGUUAUUGAUAAUGUAUUUAAAUCGAAUACACAAAUUGUGGCGCUAAGUGUAGGUUUCUGGUAGGCCCAGAUGCACUAGGCUGGUACCCAGGAUUUCCUAUAUUUAGCUUGAUCAAAAUUUGUGCAGAGAGCGAAUAAGCACAGGACUUAAGGAUCGACUUUCUUUACAGUUAUAUCACUUCCAUAGUUCAAUAAGCACAAAAGUCUAGUGAAAUUGAUAUUUUUCAUAUAUAUCAGUUCAAAGUCAUAGACAGGGUUUAGUUUUCAACCUCAUGUUCCAAAGAAACAAAAGAGAAAAGGGAAAGAUACCAAAAAUAAGCACAAAAUUUGAAUGAAGCUCUAGCAUACUGUUACGAUUGUGGCAUACCAUGGUACAAAAAUAAAAACCAACGGUGGUGAAGUAGAAUGACAUCAUCCGGAAGAAAUCGAAGAGUUGCCCAAGUCUGUAAAUGUCCCUACUAAGAACUUGUUCACCAUUGCCACCAGCAACUUUCCCCUCAAAUAAAGCAAUUUGAUUAAGCCCAACAUCCCGUCCUUUUCCAACCUGAAUGUACUCGUGAUGAGUAACAUUGCCUUGUCGUAGCGUAGAAUUGAACCCUGCAUGAAAAUUUAAUCAAUUAGCUUUCUUAUUAAGUGACUAAAUAAAAGAUUUAUUCAUUACCACCAAAAAGGAAUACAGUAAUCAUCGGUCUGCUAUGAGCUAGCAAAUGUGUGGCCUUCAAAUCACACACACACACAUGCGAGCACUUGCCCGUGCCUAUACCACUACCCGCAAAAUUCACACGUGAAACAUUAGUAUAAUAUGCAUGCCUCCUGUUAUUAGCAAAAAUUGGCAUGCCUUCAGAACAUCCUCAGCCUUUGCAUUGUCUAACUUUAACGCAAAUUUCAUUCCUUUGGCAUGUGUUGGCAAGCCUCUGGCAAUGGUAUACGAACUUUAAACAAUUAUUGGGAUUUGGGAAUGCUUUCGGACGUUCUUUGUUGUUCAAGCACAUAGGGUUCAACUUGACAUGUGUCAUACGUUUUUUAAGGCACAGAGAAAGAGUGUGCAUGUAUUUUCCAGUAAUUUUGGUGUUCAUCACCAGCCUCAGUAAAAUAAGUCUCAUCAGAGCUCUCUAAGAAAAUGAAUUUUGUCGAAACCAAUUUGUGGAGCAAAAGUUGUUAUUUUUUAUGCUCUCCACUAAAAGUCAAGAAUGUGAAAAAACCCCUCUCUACUUAAAGUACUCCAGAUCUCUUCUCCACAUGGCCUAUGCUUCAUUUGUUUUUGCCAAUGGCCUAUGCUUCCUUUCACCCUAGCUGCUCCAUAUGAUCUGUAUUUACACAACAUGCCAAUGUUAUCCUAUCCCAAGUUGAAUUUCCAAUUACUGCAUAUCAGAGAGGGCACAAUCAAGCAUUUUCAUGGAGCUAAAACAUCUAAGCUAUAUUGGCAUCCUGCCCCAACUCAUCCUUUACCAUCGUACCUAAUGUAACAUUCCUUGAAAGGCACUAAAGAUGGCAGUACACCCCAUCCUGCCUCAUCCCCUAUGGCCUUCAACACAUAUUGUGUAUCAAACAUGAAAAAUCGAAAAUAUUUAUGACAACUUCUCCACGAGAAAAAAGAACUUGCAAUAAUAAGAUUUUAGUAAGCAAAGUAGCUUCACCUGCAUAAAUAUCUUCACUAAUGUUAAUAACACGAGAAGCCUUGCUAAUACCACCUCGUGUUAUAUGAAAAACUCUAUCAAAAACAUCAGGAUGUCCAUAAUGCAUGCGCACCCUAAAUAUUGAAAACCAACUCAUGUCAGCCACGUUCUGAAAAUUUACAGAGCCCGAUAAAAGGAAAAAAAACAUAUUCUGAAAGUUUACAGAGUCCUACUUGAGAGGAUUUGCCAAUACUCGUUGACCUAAAGUAACAAAACUUGUUUCUUGGUUGGACAUGAAUGAAGCUAAAGAAGAGACACUGCAAAUAAUUUUCAAAGUUUGUUCAGGAUGUGACAGAAAAAUGCAGAAACACGUUGAAAUAAAGAUGACAUAAACAAAUCAUAGAUGCACACCUGCCAGUAAAAACAUGCUCUCUGACACCGAGAAUUGUUGGAGGACGAAGACCAUGAUCACGAUGGAAUUCCUCGAGAAGAUUUCUCAUCUUUAAGGCUUCCUCAAAGUAAUUGUCCUGCAAAAUAUAGUAAGUUAAAGAAAACAUGCAUGCUGCAUAACAACCAGUUGAUUCUACUAUGGAUAAAGUUUUUGUUUUAUUAAUUAAGAAUGUCGCUUGUACAUCUAUAUAUAUCUAUAUAAUAGCUGAACCCAGUGGGUCCCACUUUCUCUCUCCUAUGUGGCAUUCUCUAUGAUCUCCAAGCUCUCACAAAUUUUCUCCCAAAAAGUAAGAGAAAAUUUAUGAUUGGUCAAGAAACAAUUAUUUAUGAUUGGUUCCAUAACUAAUUCUCUCACACUUUCUUCACUCCCACUAAAGUCUAAACACAAAGAUCUUUCUAAAAUAAAAUCAAAACACAAAUUAAUCAAAUAUAACUAAAAUAAUAAUUUAUUAUACAUAUAUAUAACUAAUUUUAUUUUUAUUGUACAAAUAAGUUGAAUAUAUUUUAAUUUUAUAAGACUUCUCAUGCCCUGGUGGGUAGCACGGGUUCCCCAGCUUGUAUACUUAAGUUUUAGUUUCUCCAAACGAAAUAUUUUUAAUUUUCAUCCACUUAAAAAACAAUGCCAAGUCCCCUAAUCCUAUAUUAUGCCAAGUCUACAAUUCCAGUUCCUGUUCUGCGCACCACAGCAAUUCACACUCCAGAUAACAUUGAAUAAAUUAAGACUACUAAGCAUAUACAUGAAACAAACGAUAACAAAGCGAACCUGAUUCAUGUCAAUCGUCUGAAUCGCAUUUCCACGAGUGAAGAUGAUGGCAUGGUUCUGGUUUUCAGGUUUUCCUUCGCCAAGUUUUGGAUUUCCUGGUAACUUUAUAGAAUAUAUUUCCUGAAACAUGGGAAAAUAUUUUUAAUAACCACUAAGAAACCAACAUAAAAAAUACCAUAAGUAGAGCUGUGGUGGUGGAUGAAAAUAUUCUGAACUAGGAAAACAAUUGUUCUGUUAAUUUAUUAUACUACAGAAGAUAAUUCCCAAGACAUCAAUUGGGCUAUAUAAUUUAUGCAUGAACCUAAUGCAAUUUGCUCUGCUCAAUAACAAAAAUGAAAUUGAUCAUGCAAUUAAAGGAUGAAGUGAAUUCCAGUGCAAAUAUAAUAACAAGAAAAUGAGUCUCAAGAUCAAUUGGGCUAUAGAAUUUAAACACGCAUGCAAUUUGCUAGAUAAGAAUUCAUACAUUAUUCUGGGCACAUUACAGGAAACGAUUACCCAAGAUGAGCUUAAACUGUAUGUGCAUCCUGCACUCUCUUAACAAUACACGUUCAAGAUAUAUGCAAAAUAGUUUUUCUAAUGCCGACUCAUACCUAUACGAAAGCUACCUGAUCCAGAUAAGCAUUCUUUUUGGACACCAUUGCGCGUUAUGUGACUCUGACUCUCUAACAGAUUGUCCCUAUUUAUGCCCGAGACGGCCUACAAUCCAGUGAUAAAGAGCUUGUCCAAACCAGUGUCUCUUUGCUCUCACUGCAAGUGCCUUCCACACACUUGCCAUGCCAAGGAAUUUUUUUCUUAAUAGUGAAGAGAGUGCUACUUCAAUCGUGCUCCCUAUAAUAUUUCAAGAUUAACCAUAAUGUUGAAUUCAAUUUUCCAAGUGCCUAUUUUAUUAUCCCCCGGCUUAUUAGUUCUACAAAUCAUUUCUGUGGAAUGCAAAUGUUAUCUAUUCACAAAGUAGUUUUUGAGCAAAAUAUGCAAGCUCAUGCAUUCCAAAACCCAUUGUUGUGGCUUACGGUACACAAAAUCCCAUACCACAAAUUGUGCAUAAUCAUGAAUACUAGAGAAAUAGAGAAUAACAACUCCUAUAAGAAAUAACAAAUAUCUUUAGGCAGAAAAAGAAGGAUAGGGUGACCUUAUCUUUCCCAUUGACAUCAGCCUUAACCAGUUUUGAAUAAAACUCCAUUUGAACUUUACCAUCCUUUAGAGUCUCGACAACAUCAAUAAAAGCAACUCUGAGAGCCUCGUGCCUGUUCAAAGAAAUGAUGGAACUUUGUAAAAUAUCCGUUUCAUUUGAAGCAUAACUGAUAAUGUAAACAAGUGGAGUAGAGGGACUUGAUAAUGAAAAGAAAAUACUAACUGUUGCAUUAAUAAUGCAAUAUCUGCAGCCUCUGGUUUUUGUUCUUCUUUUUGUUUUCCAUAAAUUUGACAGGUAACGACAUAUGUAAAUUUAAGAUCUGCCUGAGCUCGAGAUUCAGGUGAAAGCUCAAACCCUUUAGUUUCGGUUGAAUCACUUCCAGAAAGAUUAGCUUCCACAUCUGUGUCAUGUCCACCAAAUUAUAAGUCAUUGGAACGCAUGUUGAAACUACAACAUAAUAAAGCUGACAGUUCCAACCUUGAGUAACUCUUUCCAAAUAGCUCUGAAGCAUGAGAGCCUUUCUGUAGUACAUCAUUCCGCGAACUGUCCAACCACCAAAAGUUAUACAGUAUGGGUCGAAAACAAGCAAAAGUUAUACAGUAUGGGUCCAACCACCAAAAGAAAAUAAUGUAAGGCCAGAAUAGAUAUACAUAUAUCUAUACAAGCAUAAUGUCCGAAAAGAGUCCAAUGGUAUAUAAAAACACGCAUCUGAAUCUCUAAGCAAUUACACGCAUAACAGAUGAAGUUGUGUUUUAAGGAAAAAAGUUCACACAGUUAAAAAAAAAAAAAAAAAAAAAAGGAAAUGCCCUUUUAUAAGAAGCCAUCUUGACCUAGCUAUGCCAAAUAAAUACUAGUAUCCAAAAUUCCCAUAAGUUGACAAUAAAACUUUCCUAAAUCAACCAUAACUUCUGAGUAGGUGCAUGAUAGGCAGAAUCCAUUCUGUAGACUCCACUAUCCAAAAGUAAAUCUCUACAGUCCACAAUGAAUUAGGAGCUAAAUCUUUGCUGAGAUGCUCUCCCCAUAACCCCAUUAUGGAGAUCAUUCUCACAGCAUUUAUCACAUCCGAAAAUUUUCAACCUUAUUGAAGUAUGUUCCAAACUAAGGACAAAGUUAAAUGUUGAAAUUUCAUAACUUUAGCAUGGGAAUGAAAUGCUUGCAUGAUCUGAGUAUUUUGUGCGAGUGGCCACCAUGGUGGGCAGAUCAUCUCCGCAUAAAGUCAGCAACUAAUGCAUUGUGUAGGUCCACUUUUGGACAAAUGGAAUCCAUAUCGUGUAGGUUCACUUUGGAGGGGGUUGUCCUACUUUUAAGGACAUCAAAGUUGAGAUUUCUGGAUUUCAUAGUCAUCCUUGGGGGUUUUUUUUUGUUUUUUUUUUUUUACCAGCAUAAAUUUUGUAUUUGUAAUUAAUUAGGCUAUCAGAAACAAACCACAUUAACCCAUCCAUUACAGCUAAAAUCAAUCGGCAGAAAAAAUUACAUAUCAGCGAUUUUUUUUACCAAUAUAGAAAUAGGUGUCUCACAUGUGUGUCUGUGUGUACAAGGAAGACAAAACGAAAGGAACCAAACAAGAACUGAACAAGCAAAGGCAGCUAAAACCAAACAUUUCUGGAAAAGUAUUGUUCAUCAACUAAGAGGUAAAUCCUUUCAUCUUUUUUCUCAAACAUUUCAAACAACUGGGUGAGGAGAUGAGGAGGAUUUAGGGUAAUAUUCCUUCUGCGAUACUGUAGGGCAUCUGGCUGGAUGUGGCACAUAUCAUUUUUGGCAUCAUGGUUCUCUUACGGAUUUGGACUAAGAUAUGGACGUACUACGGAAGAUACCUUAUGCUUCCUUUGCUUUUUCUUGGAAGUCUGCCCUUUCUGGAUUGUGAUGUAGGCAUGUAGCUUUCUUUGCUGUUAUAGUUUGUUUUGUUUUGCUUUGAUUUAUUGUUUACCAAGGGGAAUCUCAUCCCUCGGUAUAUCUUGUACUGACUCUUUUAUCAUUAUAUUAUGCUCGUUUACCUCUCAAACAAACAAACAACAACCAACAGACGUAUAAAUCCAAACUUUAAACCCAAUGAUCCACAUCCAAAGCAGAGCAAGAGAAAGGGUUUACCUGUUCGAGCCAAAGUUUGUCCACGAUAUGAAGCCCAAAAUCGAAGUUCCAAGAUAUCAUUAGGAUUAUCGAAAAGUUCCACAUCUAGUGCAUUCUCGUCUCUCCCUAUUCUAGAAAGAAAGUUCUUCCACUCAUCUGCAUCAAGAAACAAAAUGCACUGUGAAGUGGAAAAAAAAAACUUUAUCCUAGGAUGGCAAAGGAUACAAAACACCACGCAAGGGAUUAAAAUCAAAAUUCCAAAAUGUGCUCAUAAAAUGGAACUCCAAAGUGUACAAGGCAAUACAUUUACAAUUUCUAUCUCAAGUAAAUUUUUGAAAUUUUAAAACAUACGCACUGUGCCAAAACAAAACUUCUUAAAAGGAAUGUCUUGUACAUCAAGACACUAUUAAUUUUGUGGUAGAUGCUCCUGUUAUGCAGACAGUAGAAUAUACCUGGAUAUAUCUUUUGGAGGUAAAACAAUAUAGAUAUUCCAUCUUCAUUUUUCUUUUGGAGGUCUGCCAGACUAUAAAGUACAACCUCGGAAUAGUAUGGAGUAAAUACACUGCAGCUCAACAAUAUCAAUAAAAUCAAACCCCAGCAUGACUCUAAUAUUACAUCAGCACGCAAGUAGAAGAUUCACAUUAAAAAUAUAUAUUUAUAUCACCUAAAGGACAACAUCUCACGAACUGCUUUAGCUGUGGGCAUUUCCAUGAAAAGGGAAUUUGUGAAGAAUUCCAGCCUACGUCUUGCCUCAAGGUUUCUGGGAAUAUUUGCAGCGGAAUCCUUGAUUGUUAGAAGUGAAUGCAAUCUCUUAACCUGUGCUCUCUGCAUUUCAUAGGCAAACUUACAUUUUUUAGGCAUCCAAAAGGGAUAAAAAAGAUUUUUUUUAACAUGUAUGUUUACAGGGAGAAGAAGAAUCCAGUAUACCAACUCAGAAUCCAGAGGCCAUUUCAAGUUAGAAAAGAGAUGACCUUCAGUUCUUGCUUUCGAUAGAAUAUUCCAUGUUUCAUAAUGUUCCCUGCAAAUAUUCAACAAAGAAAAUGAGACACUUUAUAAAAAACACAAUGGCAUAGAGAGAGAGAGAGACGCUCAAAAUAACGAUGGCAUGGUUGGUGUACCUCAUAUUGACAGAAAGAAAAUCAUGCCUCACAACAUCAUAGAGAUCUUGGAGAGCUUUCACUGCUCCCUUGGCCAAUUCAGGUGAUUCUGUCUCUCUCUGUUGUAAUUAACAAUUUCAUUGUUAAGAAGAGAUGCUUACAUAUAUACUAGUUGAAGAUAAAUAAAUUCAUGUAUAGUUAAUGACAAACUAUUGCAAAUGAUGAUAAAUGUGCUAAUAUCCAACAAUUAUAUAUUCAGAGCUCUUAAAUGCCCACAUGUUUUUCAUAAAGAAAGAAGGGUGGUAACAUAAAAUAAAUAAGAUUUAGGGGGAGGUCUUGGACUCUUGGUACAAGGGAGGUUUGGCAAGGGCUGGUUAUUAAAAAUGUGGGGGGCUGCAACAGCAUUGUCCAAUAGGACUACGACUACCCAAAUUUCGGGAAGAAGCUUAUGGGGAUUGUUACCUACUUACCUGCGGCAGUGUUCGGAGUGUCUGGAAGCAAGAAACGGUCUUAUUUCAAGAACAAGUUAGUAAAAGUGGCCCAGGUAAACAACAAAGUUGUGUGUUGGUGUGGAUGGAAUAACAGUAGAAGAGGACACGGGGUUGAGGCAUUGGUGAUCUGUUGAGGUUGAUGUAUUUUUCUUUCGUGGUUUUCUAGUUUCUCUUAAGAAUUGGUGAGGUGCUCCCUCACUAGCCUACUUUAGCUGAUGUAAAUUUCCUUCUUAUAAAUAAAAAGUCUUAUCCAGCUAAAAGUAAGAAUUAGUAUCUUAUUAUUUGUAAACACCAUAACCAAACAAAAAAGAUAUAAGGGUCGCAUCAAAGUCAAAGCUAUUAUUUGGUGUUGGUAGAACUAUAAUAUAAGUUCUGCUUAGCCGGAAAGUUAAAGAUAAUGACUAGUAACAGGAAAAUCAGAAAUACUUCUUAAGGAAAAGGAGUGGGUUUUUACUAUGCUGACAUAACUACAGAAGCCCAAUUACUAGGCCCUAUGCAGGACAUCAACAAGAGAUAACAUAGCAAUAUGUUGGUACAUAGAAGGAUCUCCGACGGAACAAUAUCACAUCAUUCCAACACCAUCAAUAAUCAAUUCAUCAUUACCUAGAACCGCAGACCAGAAUGUCUAGGCUUUGAGUCCUGAUCCCCAAAACCCAUCUAGAGAGAUCUCCUCUGCCUAUGAAUUUCAGGGUUUUUUCUCAAACCAAAAAAUUCUAUAAAAGAUUGAAGAAACCAACAGUUCCAGACUGCCAAAUUUAUUAGAGGGGAGAGGCAUGCAGAUCUCCUGUGUAUGUAUCCUGUGUACAACCUUUUCGUCAGGUGCCCAACUCCCCCUAAGUUCUGGAACGGGUUAGUGCCACAUGUUGUGGAUAACCUCUCAGGUGAGAUCUAUACGGGAAUGGCUCAGCAGGUAACACCCGCAUCAACCUCGUGUAUCAGUGGUGCUGCUAUAUAGCAGCAUCCCAGCUGAUCAGGACCCUGGUGGUUGUGCUAGGACUCUAGGAGGUCCUGGGAUCGGAUUCACACUUGCACCAGGGUUGGAAGGUUUUCAUUUCUUCUUACCUAGUUUCUUGGGUUUGUAAGCAAAAACAUCUAUUUAUAAAGAGGAUUUUCUUCAUUUUAACAUAAUCCAUAUGCAGUAAGGUGGUCCAUUUGGAGUGUAUUACUGUAUUUUAAGAAAUGGUCCAGUUGAAAUUGACAAGAUUUUGAAAGAGCAGAACUUUUCAUGAGUUUGUAUUUACUGGUGCGAUGAACUUAGACCAGUGUUAGCCUCUUGCAUAAAGUGAUUUCCUUCCCAAUAAAAAGAUCUACUCACAAGGGAAAAAUAAAUGUGCAAAGAUAAUGACAAAAACUGGUCAUUAGAAAUGGGUAAGUAUACUAACCAGUAUCCCGGUCAAUGCAGUAACUCUAGAAAGAACUAAAGACAGCUUGGAUAGCUGGAAGUCCUCAUGGAUACGCUUUCUUAAUAUGCUUCCUUGAAUAUCCUCAUAUAUCCUUUCAACCCUGUCAGAUAACAUAAUGUCAACUCCAGAGACUUCAUCUAUUAGUCAAGUUGUCACACAAAAUAAAGCUAACCAACAGUGUUCUACAAAACCUACAACACAUCCCUACAGGAACACAAGUCAGUAAAUUCAUACUUACCACAUCCGCCCCACGUCAUCUAAAAUUUCUGUCAAGAUGAAUUUAAUAUUGUGGUAGCACUCCUCGACUGCGUACAUCAUGUAAUCAUCUCUUACAAUUCUUUCCCACAGUUCAUCUUGUGAGUCUUUACUUUCUACUGCAGUAUCUUUAGCUAGAAAUAUCUGAGAAAAGGAUAUCAAAGUAAUUAAAAAAAUUGAACGAAGUGACUGGCACUCUCUUACAAUAACGUGAACGAGAAACAAAAUGGAAGAAAAUAAGUCAAUAACUGCAACAUGUAGGGUUUACCUUGCUAGCAAGAAGAAAUAACGGCCAUUGAACCAGAGGAAGAUUUCCAGAAUUUUUUGGCAUGAGAAGCAACUCCAUCUCCCUAGUGACAUAGACGGAAACAGAGAAUAAAAGAUGAGUGCAAUUAACUCAAUAAGAAGAAAGUGGUAAUGAGUAAGAGGAAAAAAAAACAAAGAAGGAUUGGGCCCUUACAAGUUGGUAAUAUAAUCUUCUUCGCGCAAAUUCUUUAUCAGUUCAUUCCAAAAGGGAGAAAACCGAGAAGCAUCCGCUUUAUUCUUUUCCACAACCUUUAGAUAUAUAGGGAAACACUUUCUAAGACAUGGGAUAAUAGACAAAAAGCAACUAUAAAAAAUAUAUGGAAUCAAGUAACAGUACCCAAGUUGAUGGUCUUUGGUAAGUUCAGUUUUACAUUAUGGUCUUAAAUUCCACAUUUCAAAUUUUUUACUGUUUCUCCGAUCCCUGUGUUUUCAAGACCUGACUACUAAAGAUUAUCAAGCAGCACCUCUACUGUUUCCAUUUUCCAGCAUCUAGAACUAAGACAUAGGUUCUAUUGAUUCGUUCGUUAGGUUGACUAUGUUGAUGUGUGAAUCCUUUCGUUGUUUACAUCUUUGGGGGCUAAAUUAUGGUACAUUUGUGCAUGAUCAAUCCAAAUUCCAAUAUCACGUUGUGCAUAUGGUUUACAUUUAAGAUGGUAUACAUUUACAAAACAAUCUGAAUGGGGAAAACACUUAAGCAUACACUAAAUAAACGGGAGACUACAAAAUCCUACUAAAGAAUUGUGCAUAACCUAGGUUCAGUUCUCCAUUAAUUCAACCAUCUUCAGGAUCCAACGGUCUUAAGUCAAUCAAUUUUCAUUAUAAAUUUUCGCCAAUGUCCUACUGUUUAGGGUACAAUUUGGAUAAAUAAAAAUCACACUUCCAAAGUAUAAAUCAAGUAUCUCACCUGAUUGGAGCCUUGGAGAAAAGUCCUGCAAGACAGAACUCAAAUAAAAAAGAUUGACCAACCAAACUCCAAAGAAACCAACACAAUGCUACAAAAUAUAAACUGUACAGUCAGAAAUAAAUAUCAAUACCUUUCUGGAAGAGGAAUAUGGAGAGUGUCCAUAAAAGCACCAGGAAACUUCUCAAAAAGUUUGUGGACAGCUUCCAAUGACCUAAUCUGAAGAACAAGAAAUACUCUGAAAUAUUAACAGGAGAAUGAAAUUGAGGCUGUUACACAAAAUGUAUAAAGAUAAAACUAUUUAGAUCUUUCAUGAGAAUACUGUUUAGUUUCUAAUGUACAAAAGGGUACCCAAGAAUACUAAUUGAAAGUUAGUUACCUCCCCCAAACGAUCUCUUGCCCCAAGCAAGAACCCCACAACUGAUGAUAUCAAGGUGUAAAACACGUGAAUAUCCAAGAGGUAGAUCUGAAGAAGGAAAGAAAGAGAGGAUCUGAUAAGUUCCAUAAUCAUCAUGACAUGCUGCUUAGGAGGUAUUAAUUCAUAAGAACUAAAAACCAAUAUGGUCAACAUAUAUAUUCAAACACAGCGCAAUUAGAUCAACAUACAUGAGCAGUUUCUAACCAAAUGGGCUGGACAACUUUCUAAUAUCGCAAAUAACAAAAGAAACAACUUAAUGAAAGACUCUCAAUAAUCUUUGCAUAAGCAUCAAUUAACAUCUUAACUGCAGUUAGCUAAACCAAGCAAACUAUUUCAUAUAGACUAUAUAGUAAACUUAACAAUAGAAAAACAUAAAAAAUGUAAACCAAGCAUUAAAAAGGUGGUAUACGAUCAUACUUACAGCAACCACUGGUGCCCAUAAGCUGGCAAUUGUCAAAGCGUUAUGGUUAUCUGCAAGCACAUUUAGCAAUUUAAUCAUCUAAAAGAUCAAUCUAAAGAGAGACAUUUGAUAUUCCAUUCAACAUGCACCAUGAGCGAGGAGAAUAUACAACAACAAAUAACACGUAUAUCCAGUGAAUGAGUGUAUAGUCCAUGACAACUAGGCAAAGUAUAGCCUUAACAUUAAUCUGCUUUAAUUGUUGUAGACUUGUAGUUGUAAUAAGGUGAGAUUGCCAGGAACAUUAUACUAAGUGCAUAAUAUUCACAAGUAAAGAAUCAGACAUCCCCUUGAAAAGUGUAGACAAGCUAGUCAUGUGCUUACUUUUGGAUACAAAAUCAUGCCAUGAAUAUUCUAUUACUCCGCCAAGAUCUACUAUGAUUUGUGUGGGUUCCACCAAUGGCUUAAUCUGCAUCAAGUAAGGACAUUACUAAAUCAAGAUAUCAAGGCUCAGUUUAGGCAUCACUGUAAGAAACAAAAAUGAAAGAUAAAAUUCAAACUAGAAGGUAAACGCACGUCACCUGGAGAAAGUAUGCAAAUGAAAAUUUACAUCCCAAAACGACAAGCCAGAAGAGCAUAUACCUGCUCCAAUAUCAGAAUUAGCAAGCAUGUUUGGGAUAUCAUUACAAACAAAGUAAGGACCAGCAAUUCACAAUAUACUCAAAUAGCCAACAUAGCAGUAAUGAAGAGCAACAGAAGUCUAGUUUAAAAUCGAUAGCAGCAUAAGCAGUUCCACAGUUCUUUCUCAAAGUUAUGAUCAUGUGCUCUUUAUGGAUAUAAGCUUAUUCAUAUGGAGCCGUAACGAAGCAUGGGACAUUCUACAAACCAUUCCAGUUCCCAUUACUACUAUUAUCAGAUUACUAAAUAUAUUUUAGUUUUCUCCAUAAUACUUUGAUUGGCGUCUACACAACAAGAACUUGGCAGUACAAAAGUAACAUCACAAACUUGUUAAACUAACAAAGCUAAAAAUGCAAGAGUACUGUAAAAUAAUCCGGUUUAAAAGAUCUCGUUGAGACUGCAAAAUGAAUUUAUGUCAAUCUGUAUCAAAUGGCAGGUUAAAUAUUAAUAUCAUUAAAUUGUACCCCUAUGUUUUGCUUGGAGACACCACUCCUACACAGAUACACUCUUGGUAAAUUAAAGCAGAUAAUGGGCAAAAAGGAUUAUGAUAUUAAUGUAGAACUUAGAAGAAAGAGAUAAGAAUCUCUCAAAGAAGAUGAGAAGAUAGGGUUAGGAACCUAGACGAACGUGAAGCUUGGAAUCCACCAAGUAAAAAGAAGGAAUAGAUGAAUAAUCUAGCAAGAAAACAAGGAUAACUCAAGAAGCAAUUCUUCUAUUCAAUUCAAUAAUAAUCAACCUCUCACUAUUACAAUAAUCUAGGGCUUCUUUUAUAGAGCAAGAAACUUGUUUAACAAGUAAAGGACUUCUAAAUUAAACGAUUUCUAAAAACAUAAUGAUUCCUAAUAUAAUAUACUUAGACCUAAAACAAUAUAUUCUAGAACCUAUUUCAUACUUAGAAUUAAAAUAGUAACUCCUAACAUGUCCUACAUCAGUCUCCUCUUCUUUAAAAUAACUCGCCCUCGAGUUAUGCAUUGGAAUCACAAGGGAGUCACUUCCUAAAGACGAGAGUAUAAUGCUUCCAUGAUCCCCCCACUUCUUCUUUUGGCUUCGAGAAGGAUAAUAAAUCCAAGGAUAGCAUAUCAAUUUGAAGUGUGUGUCGCCAAACAAAGCUUUAACAUUCCCUUUAUAAUUAAUGGAUAUCGAACAAAAACACUCAAAAGAGUCUUCAUAAGUAGGAAAGGUAGAACAUGCAAUAAACUCCUCUUCUUUAAAGAAGUCAGCUAGGUUAAAAUCAACACUCUCCUCUUGAGAAAAAGACGAAAUUGGUUGGAUGGUGGACGGAACCAUAGGUGUAGAGGGGAGAGAGAUAAUGGUGGCUGGAAUAUUGGAUGUAGAUACGGGGAUCUCUUCAUCUAUCUUGUCUUUACCUUGAAGAAAUUGAGAAAUUUGGCGGGUGAGUUGAUCAAUAGAAUCUUUCAACGAAAUUUGAGUAGCUUGAAAAGAAUCUAGUGAAGCUUUCAUCUCUUCUUGAGUUUCUUUAAAAGAAUUGAUGGCUGCAUCAAAAUCUUUUAUUGAAACGAAAUCUUGUUGAUUAGGUGCCAUUGGAUGUUAAGAAAAGUGUUGCUGCAGAAAAACCUGAUUCGACACCUUUUAGUAGAAGGUGUGUAUCUCCCUACUCAGAAUUCCGAAUUACAAACCGUUGAUUGGGUUAGAAAGAAGACUCAAAGAUCUUUCCAACAAGCUAUAGCAUGCACACUAGUUCAAAGUAUUCUGUCUUGUAGAAGCCUGCAAAGUUGACCAAAUUCCUGAAUCUGGAUGGACGAAAACUGCUUGAACGGAAGGUGACGACGGACCGCUUUCUAGAUAAGGAUCUAGAAAGUGAAGCUUUGAUACCACUUAAUGUAGAACUUAGAAGAAAGAGAUAAGAAUCUCUCAAAGAAGAUGAGAAGAUAGGGUUAGGAACCUAGACGAACGUGAAGCUUGGAAUCCACCAAGUAAAAAGAAGGAAUAGAUGAAUAAUCUAGCAAGAAAACAAGGAUAACUCAAGAAGCAAUUCUUCUAUUCAAUUCAAUAAUAAUCAACCUCUCACUAUUACAAUAAUCUAGGGCUUCUUUUAUAGAGCAAGAAGCUUGUUUAACAAGUAAAGGACUUCUAAAUUAAACGAUUUCUAAAAACAUAAUGAUUUCUAAUAUAAUAUACUUAGACCUAAAACAAUAUAUUCUAGAACCUAUUUCAUACUUAGAAUUAAAAUAGUAACUCCUAACAUGUCCUACAUCAGAUAUUCGUCAAAAGAAGCUAAUAGGUGCGCCAAGAUGAUGCCAAACAUAAAGGUAGGGUGAUUCCCAAAGAUUAUUUAAACAUAUAAACUAAUAGAUAUACCUUCUUUUUUUGUAAGUACUUGUAAGUUGUGAUUCGAAAUAUUCUUCACAGCGAGCAUUGAUUUAGUCUAGGGGUAAAAAGUAUGAACUUACUUGAUAUAGUCACCAGUCCUUUCAUACAUUCCACGUCCAAGGUAGUGACGCUCCUUCAAAAAAUGAAUUAAAAAAUAUCAUCAGUUCAACCAUUGUGUAAUAGAUAGGUUAUAUCAAAUAUUCAUUACUUCUGAGAUGCAAAAAUAAAUAAAAUAACCCUCUGCUUGUAGAGAGAGGUUGACUCGAACACAAGAAAUUAAAUUUCAUGAACAAGAACACUAUAAGUCUAUACAACUAGGUUACAAUUCUAACUAAAGCAAAAACCUUUCUUUUAUAGUCUUCCAACCAAUAAAACAAUAUGUUGUAUCAAAAAGUAUGAAAGAGAUGGUCACACUAAUCCAUCAUUACAAGCUAAUAGUCAGUAUUGCAGCUACACGGCUAGACCAUACCCAAAACCAUGUGUAACCUUUCUAGGCAAAUGUAAUCCCAAAGGAGUUUUAGUUGCAGCUACACCAAGUCACCAACCAACCCCAAAGCUAACUCUAAGUCUCUAACUUUUCUAAACCCUCUAGUGAAAAGAUCAAUCAGUAUCAAUAAGAUGCCGAUUUAUAUAAAAAAAAUGCUAAAUAGUUGCCUAUGUCAAUUCUGUGCUAACCGCAAGUUUGAAUACUGUAUAGUUAAUAAUGCGGAUAGUGAAAAGGCUCGCCUUUUGUAAUCAUGGACUCUGAGAACUAAAAAUGUCAUCAAGAAGUUGGAUUACCCAACAUAACUCCAUUUUGGCUCACCUAAUGGAAUUAGACGCCAAAAAUGUAUAGGUAAGUUUGGCAUAAUCUUAAAAGACGUAUGGUUAUAUCGUAUUCAUGUACAUGCAAUGGCAUAGGGUGUGAAUACAAACUCUUUUGAUUGAAAAAAGAAACUAUGAAUGGACAAAAGGUAAGUAAUAGAGAGAAUGUUGUUCAUUGCAUAGAGAACUAUUAUAUAAAAUUUUGAAGGACAUAACCAUUGACCAAUGGCUACUUAUUGGAAACACCAAUCUUUAGGCAUGUUAACAAGCAGUAUAAAUUCAUCUGAUAUAAAGAACCAUGGAGUAACUUCACAAAUCACAACAACAAAACCAAGCACUAACCUGGUGCAUCCACUUCAAGAAGCGGAUAAUGGGCGACCGAUCACAUUUAUUAGUCAUCCUGUGGCAAGCUGGUAUUCGCAUGAGCAUGCUAAGCAAAAGUUGUACACCAGCAUAGAUGCCUAUAACAAAAUAAUAUAUCUUGAAAACAACUGAAUUUGAAUUUGGUUUGCUUUCCUCCUGAAGAGCUUUCCUGAAAUGUAAAUAUGUACAUCCACUGUAACAACGCAGCUUAACAAGAUUCUUUGCUAUAAAAAGAGAAACCCAAAGAAAAGGGCUUGACAGCAAUUUAACCGACACUAGGAAGAACUUACACAUAAAGGUACGAUACGACAACAGAAGCUACAGUAAACCAAAGAAAACGAAGAAAUAUACGAGAAACAGCAAGAUGUCGUGUUGUCGAAUAGGCACCACACAUCAUCAGAAUGUCGAGUACACCUAAAUCAUACAGAAAUGAUAACAACAAAAAUAUAUAACUAUCAGCAUUUACACCUCUGCAUUGAAUGAAGGACAUCAAUUAGGGAUCAUAAAUCCUUGAUUUAAUUCAAUAUGCAUAAUAGAUGGACUUUGGAAGGGCAUAAAAACUUACUCUGGAAAAAUUUCAUAAUAACAAAUGUUGGGCCAAGACUGAGAACUUCUCUUAACGUCUUUGAGUUGAGGUUUCCUUUGUUGAAAGCAAUGAUGGUCAGUCCCUGAACAAGAAAAUUGAAUAGCCACAAAAUAAUGUCAUACAUCCAUGUGUAGAAACACGUAUACACAUGCAAAGAUAGAUACAUAUACAUGUUAUGAUACAUGCAUAUGCAAAAAUUCAUGUAAGUGUGCAUUUAUAUUAACGUCAUUCUUCUCGAUUUCCAAUGAUUUUACUAACAAGAUUGCGGCAUCAUUCAGCUUCAAAGUACACCUAAUUUGAGCUUGCCUAUACUCACACAGAUAGUCAGGCACAUGCUCAACAGCUUCUCUAGAAAUAGAAGUGGUACAAGCUCCCUUAAAGCACAUUCAAGCUUCCAUAUAUUCUAUUUUCCUAAAGUACAUGCACAACCUUGCCUUAUUAGUCGUGUUUGCCACUUUGCCUAAGUAAUGGAUAUGCUUGAGGUACAAGGCAAUCAAAAUUCCCAAAGCACCUAAAGAACCUCGAUACAUGGACUUCACCAAGGCUUGGGGGUGCAUUUUGUUCGUGAGAUCACCUUUUUAGCAAGAUCUUUGUUUUCUCUGUGUUUCUGGAUGUCAAAAGAAAAAUGAAGGAAAAGGAGCUGCCAUCACUCAAACUAUUUUUUCCUUCUUUUUUUUUUUCCUUCUUUUUUUUCAUGCUCCACAUGUUGUAGUACAUCAAACAUGCUCUUGAUAAUAGUUAUUUGUUAUUAGUUGGACUUCAUUUCACUCAGACUAGCAUGCCCCCGGCGAUGGGCCCCUAGUGAAGAUCCAACCAAACACUACGCUUUAUGCUUCUUUUCUUCAGUAAGUUGUGUAGCCUAUUGUUGUUUUGAACAAUGUUUAAAAAGGCGAGGCGUAAGGCUAAAGCGUUUUCCUUAAAAAAAGCGAGGCGUAAGCCAUAAGGCGUUAUGGCUCAAGCUAUUUGUGCACUUAUUUUCUUUAAUUAAAUAAAUAUUUAAAAAUAUAUCAAAAUAAUUCAUACAAAUCACAAAAUUAUUGAUAAUGUCAUAAACUCAUAAUUCAAACAUAGGUUCAAAAGGCUACAUAAUGUCAUAAACUCAUAUUCAAACCACAACAUGAUAAUUAACUAAUUACGACUUUUUGAGGUUCUUCAAAGUUCAAACUUAAAUCAAUAAUCAGCCCUUAAGUUGUUAGGGACUUGGGGUUUGUUUGAUUCAACAAUCGGCCUAAGUUGCAACCUUUUAAUCCAAACUAUCCAUAUCCGAAAAACAUGAAGUAAGGGUUUAAAAGCAAAAGCACAAAUAGCGUGAGUGUUUUAUAAAUAGCGUAAAUAGCGUGAGCUUUUGCCCAAUAGCGCAAUAGCGUGAGCUUUUGCCCAACAGCGCAAGUUUUUUGUGCACCAGGCUUUUACUAGUAAGCCUUAAGGCGUUUUUGGGUCAAAACGCCUUAAGGCGAGCCUUAAAACGAGCAUUUGCACUCCUUUUUAAACACUGGUUUUGAAUACUUCUUAACGUGAUUUCAUAAUGACAUCCGAAACAGAAACAGAACUCAUGGUAACAUGCUCACAAGUCUACUGAGAUGAACAAGAAAACCCUUGAAAUGCAAUCUCACACCUGGAACAUCAUAAAAAGAAAUAUCCAAAGACGAUGGAAACUAUGGUAAAGAUGGAGAAAUGUCCGGUGCUCAACGAAGGAAGUUUUCCCACGAUGCUGACUGCCACCACAUGCAAGAAAAUCCUGUGCAAGUACAAGAGAAAUGAAAAUGUGCAGAAAUACAGAUAUGAAAAACGGGGACAAUUAAAUGACAACAAUACGAUAAAAGGAAGACAUCUGCAGAAACAAAACACGUAUUAAUUGGCUUUCAUGGCUAAGAGGCAGAGUAGAGAUACAACACAAUUUUAAUUGCAAACUAGAGAUACCCCACAAUUUUUUACUUAAUUAGUGAUACCUCACGCUUUUUCAAUUUCGUGUGGGAUAUCAGCGUAUCAUAAAUUCAUAAGUGGUUUUUUUGGCAACCCAACUUUUACAGAAAAAAAAAGGAAGGGGGGAGGGGGUUGUUAAUUAAAAAGCGGUGGGGUAUCUCUAUUUCGCAGGAAAUAUCUGUGGAAUAUCUCUGUUUUGCCUUUUUUAAAAGGAACAAAAAAAAUCUAUCACAUUAAUAUGCACAUUAGUGUGAUAACUCUCUUCCCUACCCUCCUAGUUGACCUCAUCUUUGCUUUCCUUGGAAGUAUUCUUGGAUGGCUCAAGUGCCUCCCAAGGCCUCUUUUUCACCUGGUAUAUACAUCUUAGGAAGGUUUUGGCCAUAGCUAACUUUAGGAAGCAUCAUAGGAUCAUUAUUAACUUCUGUUCUCUGAGUAUAGAGUCAGGACAAUUUGCUGACGAUGCGCUGAUUCAUUGUUGCUUCUCUUAUUUCAUUUGGAGUUAUUACAUCAGAUCAGCAUCUGUAGUGGAUGGGUAAUGAGUCAGCUGGUGAUCUCUUUUGGUGUGGCACCAUCUAAGAGCAACCUCACAUGCUAUGACGAGAAUAUUGAGCCUCAUACAUUUUGUGAUCCUUUGGGGUAUUUGGUUGAAGUGGAACCGUAUACAUUUCAAGGAAGAGAUGUGGGAUGUUGCUAUUACCAUUCUUAAGUCUUGAUAUCAAAGGGUUGAUAUUCCUUCCGUGCAAAAGGUGAUAGGACUGCAAAUACAUUUAGUUCGCCUCGUUCUCUUUAUCCUAUGUCUGUUAUUAUGGGUCCUUCAGCUCCUACAUUGUUGCCUUCCAGUAAUUUUCUUGAUCAAUGAUAUCUCAUCCAUUGACACUUUUGUACGCCUUUCUUAUCCUAUCCAUGUAUUGAUCAUAUACCCCUCCAAAGAAAAAUUCAUGAAACUUUAGAUGCGCUACUGUCUAUUACUCAAUACAUUAUAAUAUUCUGUCACACCUCAAAAGACCAAGAACAUUUUAAGAUUACUAUCAGGCAUCAGCAAAGAAAUUUCUCAUUGGCCAUUAGUAUACAUUUAUAAGCUGCCCGUGACCAACAGCACACACACUCACCACAAAAUCUAGCCUAGGGAGAACACCUGAAUUUAGAAAAUAUUGCUGUCAGGGCUUGGGAAGUGGAAGGCAAAAAGGUUGUCCUUCUACCGCCUUGGCAACACAGCGGCGUUGCCUUUGGAAACAGAUGAUAAAAAUUAACAAGGGCCUUUUGGGUACUUUUGCCUAUCUUAAAGCAGGGCACCUUAGAGAAACCUGGCCACCUUGGUGCCACCAUUUGCAACAUAGUUAAAGAUACAAACUAGAUAGUCUUACUAAACAGUUAUAUCAAUAAAAGAUCUGGCAAUUAUAGUGGUCAGAAGAACUAUAACCUUUCCCUUUGGUUUGGGCUUCAGAAAAAAUGAUGAACUACGGCGCCAUGGCCAACUAAGUUCGAAGCAAUGAAGAGACCUGGCAAGAAAUUUAAGUAAGAAAAACAUCAGGAGCCAUAAUUUGUUUCCUGCAAAGUAUACACUCAAAAACAGACCCUUACCAGAAGUACUCAUUGAAAUCAUCAUAGUUUCUCCAUGCAGAAUGAGGUGCUCGACCAUUGUUGUUGUUUGCAGCUUCCUGUAUGUUCAGAGCAUUUGAGUCAUUGCAAUUUUGAAUGGAUCUAUCAGAGAUGAAGUUCCAAAAAUUUUAUAGAUAACUAAUGAUGGCCUCAAUUCAGUACAACCAGCGAAUGGAGGGGUGGGGUGGAGGAAUAAAUAAGGUGUAUUCAUUGAUAUAAAUGAUGUAGGACCAAUUGGUUUCCUAUUUGGGUUAAUGUUUAUUUAGAAGUCAUUAUAAGUUUAGGAUUUCUAUUUUAGAGUCUAGAAGUUCUAGAAUAGUUGGUUUACUAUUAAGUUGAUAUUAGUAAUACAAUUCAAAGUAGGAUUUGUAUUUUGAUUUAUUUGUUUAGGAAGUCCUAGUGCUAGUUGGUCUAAGUCUUUAGUCUAUAUAAAGAGUCAUGCUUUGUAGAACAAUUAUUCAACCAAUUCAAUUAUUCAAUCAAUACAAUUAAGAUUUGUCUCUACAAUUUAUUUUUCUUUAGUUUUGUUUUAGUUCUUCCUUGUUUCAAGGCAAUCCUCCCCAUGGGUUAUUCAAGGUUUGAUUUUUAAUCACUUCUGCUACGCCAAUUGGUAUCAAUAAUACAUCAAGAAAAUUAAAGCAAAAUUAGCUAAAACCAAUUAUUAUCAGUAGUAAUAGGAUCUAAAAUAGGCUAAAAAUUGUUGAAUUCAAUUCGGCUAUUGAUCGUCUCACCGCUUUAAUCGACAAUCUUACUCUUCGAUUUGAUAAGUUGGAAGGUAAGCAAAAAGAGUAAAUCGGUAGCCCAUGGAUCUUUGUAAUGAUCACACUAAGCAUAUCCCAUAACAAAAUCAAAAACAAAAAAGAGUAAAUUGAAUCAAGCCCCUAUCUCUAAGGAGGUGCGCAUACAUCUCUUUUUUAAUGUCCUUUCUAUUUGUUGGGCGGGGAGAUUGUGCUAAAUAAAACUUUUAUUUAUUUAUUUUUACAACCCAUAAGAGAAGGUGUUGUGCAAGAUAAAGUCACAACUCACAAACAUGUCCAAACAAAAAAGGAACUACAAUAACCAAAAUUAAAGUAUGUUCUUGAAACUCAGUGUGACAAAAAGAGCUAUUGCCAAGCAAAUAUUUGGCUUUUUUUUUAUCAAGGAUCAAAACAGCUUUUAUAGAGAACAUUGGGAACUCAGACACACUGUAGGCCGGAUCAAGGAUCUCAUUGGGCAGGUAGCGCAGUUUGAGAUCAAACAUAUUUAUAGAGAAUGUAAUAGUUUAGCAAAUCCAUUAGCCUCUACUAUACCCACACAUGUAUGUGUUGAUAUAAUGCCUAGUUCCUUCUCUGAGGACAUUAGGAAGACAGUCUAUGAUGAUGCUCAUGGGAGAAUAUAUGAAAGAUUAUAACAAGCUUUUUAUUAUUAAUGAAACAGGGUGAGGGACCCUAGAUAAAACUCUGCUUGCCUACCAAAAGAAAAAAAAAAUAUUUGGCUUUUUUUCUAUUCGAUGGCACGUCAAUAACAAGAUGUGAGACAAAUUAGGGAGGGUGGGGGUAAUUAGUUAUAGAUAACCAUACUGAUGAUCCAGAUAGUUAUAACGGAAGAUUUUUGCAUCUAUCCACACACUAAUAAAGAUUAAUACCCAGGUGACUUCAGGAACCAAGUACAAAAACAUACCGCUGCAAUAACGUCAUAUAAGGGUGAAAUAACUUGAUCAAGAAAUGAUGUGCCAUUCUGAGAACUGCAACUAUCAGCUGGCUUUGCGACACGUUGCCGUAAUAUCUCAUCCAGUUCUCUAACCAUCUGAAAUGUGUUUUGUGAACCAAAUUAGAAUGAACUAUUACCUAGAAGUUGGAGCAAGCAGACCAUUGCAACUUUUCUAAAGGUAAAAUGAUACUUUCAUAACAUAGAAGAUACAUAAAAGUACAAAAAGAUUAGAAGAAGGAAUAGGAUACCCCACAAAAAGAAAACAAAUAAGCUACAAGAAACAACCACAAAAAGUGAAUGACGAUCCAACUCAACUACUUGAGGCCCAAAGAAGAGCUACAUCAGCAUUAAUGAACAAGAUAGAGCAGACGUAGAUACAUCAGCAUAUAGUUCCACUUACAUGAUGAAAUAUGUAGCACAAGCAUUCUGGAAGAAAUCUGAUGUUGCCAGCUUCACCCCAUAUCAGAAAGUAUAAAGAAACAAACAACAUUCUUUUUUCCUUGCUCACGUUCUCUAAACUGCAAACAAUUAAUUGACUAUAAGUAAUUUGUCUCACUAUUAUUUGGACUAUUAUUUCCUUUGCUCUAAAUCAGCAGAAUGAAAAGGCGGUUAAAGAAAAAAAUUCCAUACUUGCUCCAUGCCGGCUGAAUACACAAAUAAUUACACCAUUUGAUAUAAUUUUCGAGGGAUUUCAAAAAAACUUUCUGCACAGCUGCCUCAUCAAGCCUCUGAGGAAGAAACAAAGUAUCAAUUCGUCAUUAAGUGACAAGCAAAUAUAAGUGUAACAGAAAAGGAUCCUUAUAUACUAUUACAUGUUCAACACAUCAAUCUAGUUCAUAGAAUGCACUUUUAAUAUAUGAUUUCAUCCAAGUCACGUCAUAACUCAUAAAAAUCUAUAGCAGUAAGGAUUUGAGAUUUUAUCUGAAAUUCCACCCAGAUUAGUUCCCAAUAUCUGGUAUCCAAAAAAACUUUUAAGCACCGAUAUUUCACCUUGGAGAAAAGUAAAGAAUAACUAUACUUAAUAAAUUUUAUGUUCCCAUAAAGUUCAGUUUCUGCCUUGUUGACGAAAGAAUACAUUAUUGAAACUAGGGUCCUCCCCAUUGGUGACCAUGUUGGGUUCUGUGGAGUUAAAUAGUUAAUCACCGCAGGCUGUUAUGGUCAUUGACCUUUUCCAUGAAAAUGAAACUGUUGUUAGAGAUUCCACCUACAGAGUUAACAGCACUGACAUUGUUUUGUCUUGUUCUUAUUUUUGGCCAUUGAGAAUGCUACUAAAGUUUUCAAAGAAGCUGGUGGGUAAAAUUGUUUUAAACUAGGGGUGGCAGUUUUGACACGGACCCAGUGACCCGACACGAACACGACCCGGUUUUUGCGUGUUUGGGUUGAGAUGUUACCUGCUCCGUGUUAUAAACGUGUCUGACCCGCUAAACCCUCUACAUAAAUGGGUCGUGCUCGUGUCUGACCCGCAAACACAAUUACACCCAUUUACAACCCGCCACCACCAUCUUCUCUCCUCCUCUUUCUCUUUUACUCUCAAUCGCCACCACCAUCUUCGCAGCCCAUCACCAUUAAUCAGGAUCCAGACUCGGUUUUAAUUUCUUACAACAACAAAGCUUCUUCACUAGUCUUCAUCUCCCAUUGUUGGUAAAAGUAUAAUUUGUUUUGUUUCUUCCACCACUCUGAAAUAUGUUUCUGUUGUUGCUGCCUCCAUCAAAAUACCUUGUUGUCCACAAUUUCCAUCAACAUUCAACACAAAACUCUUAACUUUUUUAAUAAAACUAUUAUUAAUAAAGAAAAAAAGUUUACUAAUUAUUCAUUCUCUCUUGUUGGAUUUCUUCUAAUCUAACCCAUUUUCUCCUUUUUCUUCUUUCCCAUUCACUCAAAGUCAAAUAGCAGUACUCCUUCACAAUUCACAGUCCUUCAUUAAAGAAAAAAAAUAAAGAAAAUGGAGAAGAUGGGUUACUACUCAGUUGAACCAGAAAGAAAAAAAAAAAAAAUUUAGCGUGUCAACCGUUUAACCCGCUAGAGAAAUAGGGUCGUGUUCGGGUUGACACGUUCCAUAACCGGGUCAUAUAUGGGUUGACCUGUUUUAACCCGUAACAGGGCACCAACCCGAAACGUAUGCGACCCGACACGACCCAUCUGCCACCCUAUUUUAAACCAAGACCGUAUCAGAGAAUAAUUUUCACCUCCACUGUUACGAUAUCCAAGAAAUUGAACAUCCAAAUGAUGAAUACAACUGUUGUUUGAGAUGUGUCUUACCAAGUGGGAAAAAAAAUAAAUGAUAAACCACAUCAAAUUUGUACAAACAGAUACAACAAUGCAGCCUAAAAUAAGUGUGUAAUGGUUAUCUUGAUUAGUUAGUUAAGGCUUGCAGCUAGAAAGUAACUAUAAUUCAUAUUUGGAAUAUAUUUUAUGCAUUCAAGUUAUAUGAAAGCAUGAGAAGAUCUGUAGCAGACUGAACAUUUACCACAAAGAAAUAGGGUCAACAGAGCACUUAUAAAGUGACCUGCUUAUAUUAUAGAAAGCAACACAAGCAUCACACUUACUGGUUCAAUUUCUUCAGGAAUGCCUAAACGGGAUUGCUCAUUUGCAAGAAGGUGAACAAUAUGUUCCCUCUGGUUAGAAACAUUGUCCUUCUGCAAAAGAAAAUUUCAUUUGAUAAGACUUCAGCAACAUGCCAUCAUCAAUAAGGUAUUUAAAGAAUCCAGUGCAAUUCUACGAGUACUGAUAAAUACAUAAAUAUCUUCUUCUUUUUUCUGUUUUGUUCAGCAAUGCAAAGAAUAUCAUAAUAAUACGGCGACGGAAAAUAUCACCUUUCAGCCACAUGAGUACUAAAAAACCAUAAGGUAUCAUUUUGGUUGCUAACUAGAAAUCUUGAGAUCUUAUACUCGCCAAUCAAAGAAAAAGGUUCGGCAUACACUGAAGCCAAAGAGGGGUGUCAACAGUACAAGAGAUCAUCACCAAUUUGAUUUUACCGAUUCAUAGGAUUUCAAAUUACCAAUUGGGUUUGACAAAGGUAAACUAAAAAAAAUUGGUGAUGUCGGCAGCAUUUUUUCUCAAACAUUUAUAGAAAAGACGAUUUUGCAAAUUGGAAAUGAACUGACAUAAAUUUCAUGGUGGGACAGAGUGAUCUAGCGUAUUAAUUUUGCAGAACAAACAAAAAAUUGUGUAAAACCAGAAAACACGAAUUGUGUAGAACCAGAAAAAACUGCUGGCAUUGUGCGACCAAAGCACCCUAUCAGCUUAUGAAUUAGAACGUAAAGAAAGACACGUACACAUGUCAGUUACUUUCUAAAACGUAAUAAGAAAAACAUAUUAAACGCUUAUCAAAUAUCAUAAGUACUGGUAAGAACAAGAGACAAGAAUUCAAACCUGCAUCAUAACUAAUGUACCUACCAGAAAAGAAGAAUAAGAGUUUAAGACAAUUUUUAUCAUGUGGACGACUUACAAUUAAAAUUAUAACAGUUCUUUGACAAAUGACAUAUUGAUCAGUUUGAUGUACAGUUUGGGUUGAUUUUCUACAGACUUGGGGUUACUCCAGCACCAUGACCAACUCAGAGACGAAAGAGGGAGAAAAGAAUGAAUAAUAGUCCAAUACAUUUUGAUUAACUAAUAAUCUUAAACUACUUAAUUACCAAAGAAAUAUUAUACCAAUUCAGCAAACACAGAACUAGAUCUCUUUUUGAGUAUGCUUCUUCUUCUUAGUAUCUAUGAAUGGAAACCUAGCUUCACCCUAUCACUUCUGUUUUUUCUUCAAAUUUGGAUUCUUACCUUUUUUCGCUUUUCUUUUUUUAGAUAUUCUUCACUUUUGUGAAGUAAAUAUACGAUCACAAGGGACAUAACCAAACGUGAACAAACAAGGACAAACAGUACAUUAACAGGACACGAUGCUCUCUUCCCCCUUUCCAAAGGAACUACAAACCUGAAAUCCAAAAGUGUAAUGUAGAAAGUCAAGCAUGUCCGCAUUCCUGGUGGAGGGGACAGAAAAUCCAGCAGGCAACUUAGGCAGAUCUCUGAAGUACUUUAAUGCUGAUAUUGCUGCUCGUACCUGAAAAAAUAAUUAUUGAUGUAUGAGUUAGUUUUUUAAUUUCUGCAAUUUUCUUUCAAGUUAUUUAAAUUUCAGCUUUUAAUUCUUGAAUUUAUUUCUGUUCGUUCAAUUCAAUUCUAGAUUAAAUUUAUUUAAGCUUCUGUUGGAGUCCAGAAGUAACUCAAAGAAAAAUGUAAGACCUAACAACAGAAACUAUCUCACCUCAGGAAAAGAAAUGAUUGCAUUUGUUAUAGUUGGAGCAUCCAAAGGUAUAAUAUUAUACGGAAUUAGGUCCUCCGACAUUGAUGCAUCAGCUUCAAUCACUCGUUUCAGCUGGAACAUUUAGCAAAACAAUCAGUUGAAGAGAAUUCUGUGGAUCAAGUCUAAGGCACAAUAAGGUUUAUUAUUUGUUAGUAUAAGAUAAACAGGAAUUAAUGAAAAAAAUUCAAGAACGUAGAAGAGAGUGACCAAUUUCAAAUGUAAUAUCAGAACUCAAAACCAAACCUCUUCUGGGAUCAAGCUCUCUGCACCUUCCGGAGAAAUCUCCUUGGUAAGCUCCUCUAGAACUUCACCCAAAACCUUUAGAGUAGCAAAUACCCUCUUCCUUUUCACAGUUUUUUUCUCCAACCUAACAUAUUCAUUGAAAUAGUAAACAACUUGUAUGCAGUGUAUAUAGUUGCCUUUCCAGGCCAAGAGUAGGAUAUGGAGCAUCAUAAAAAUAGAAAAGUGCUAUCAGAUUUCUUAGAAAAUGAAUAAUGAUGGCCAAAAGAGAUGUACUUCCAUGACUGAAGACAAAUGAUAUGUUCACUCCUAAAUCAGAGAACUGACAUUUAGCAUUCCAAUAAUAGCUUUACGUAAAAUUGAUAUGACAAAAUGAAGGAACUUGUGCCAAGCAAACAAAAACAACAAAGACCAGAACAAUUGAAUGACUAAAGAAAAGGGGUUAAGCAACUUAUACAAAAAAUUGGGGGAGAAAGACCGAGGUGUAAUCAUAUGUUAUAGCUACAAAGAGCUAAAUGUUUUUCUAUAUUACUACUAGCUUCACGUAUUGCAGAAAAUGUCAUAAGUGUCCAGUUACAUAGACAAUCCUAACCGUUCAAAUUUCUACAUUACUUCACCAUCAUAUAUAGAUAAUUAAAGGCAAAAUAUAAUUCUCAAGAUGAUAAUGCAAUAUUACGUACUCUCCAAGGUUACCACUGAAAGCACCUGACUCCCUCAACCUCAUUUCAUCCUCACGAAGCUCGUCUACCUUGUGCUUGUCUCUGUAAAGCUUGUAAAAUUCCUGUAAGCGAGCAAUAUCUUGGCUCCUAUCUAUGCUUCCACUUUCUCUUUUUGCAAGCUUUUGCUGAAAUAUUGCUCAAACCACCAAACAUGUUUCAGAAAUAGUUUCAUCCUUCGUGCAUAGAUAAGACGAUUGCAGUUCAAAGUAAGAGUAGAUGCGCUCAUAGAAAAUUCAUGGAGUAACAAAAUAAAUAUGUCUAGCUGCCCUAGAACCAUGUGGUCAUGCAGUAAUAAGUGCUUAGUUUCUAGAGGAUCCAAAAGAACAACUUGCCAAAGUAAAGACAUGAAGACACACCUUAAUGACAGACAUUAGGCCGGUCUUGAAUUGUAACACACCUCUUCCUUCGCUGUUGGGAUCCAAGUUUUGUGCUAGUGAGUAAGCGUGCUCACAUACUACAAGUAUAAAAGAUCUCAGUUAAUAUAUAUAUAUAUAUAUAUAUAUAUAUAGAAAUGAACGAGAAAAAGAAUAACGCUGGUAGAUGAGAUCAAAUCCACACAAAUAUCUAUACAGUAUUUGCAGGCAGUUUGGUGCUAGGUUAUCGAAUAUGUCAAGCAAGGUUCUUAAUUGUAUCCACCUUAACUAUCGUUACUGUAACCAGCAAAGUUUUAUAAGAUUCAGAAUUGAAUAUUAUAUCUGUAUCAGCGACAUCUGAUUUGAUAUUAACACGUAAAUUUGUUUUUUAUGUAUAAUAAACCUUUGUAUUCAAAGCAUGUCUUUAAAUCUCAAGAAACAUUAGCAGAUAGUAAUUACCAUUUACCAACAAAAAUAAACAACGAUUAAAUUCUGAAAUAUUAUAAAAUAUUAAAACCAGCCAUCAGAUAUUAGCAAGUUUCAUAAAAGCUCACGAAACGGUUUGCAUAUUAUCCAAUAUCUGAUAUGAAGUUGUUGCAUCUAGGGAAAAAAUAGGGACAUACAAAAAAAAAUCAUGAAUGUAUGUUGAGAUAACCAACAAUUACAGGGAGAUAUAAAACCUACAAAAACAAUAUAAAAACCUUCCCCUCACCAGACAACCUUCCGAAAAUAGGAUAUGUUCGAAUUUCAAACUCAAAAAUGCUAUUGAGUAUUCACUCGAGUCAGGAUUUCUUUCACAUACCAAGUAUCCUAACCUAUUAGGGUAAUAUUGUGUAUGCUAAUUCAACACAGCUACCUUCUUACACUCCUUUGUUCAAGUGAUUACUUGAGUUCAAAAUUUAGUGGUUCCACUUUAAAUACUCACUUAGCUAGUCUUAAAAGCAAAUUCAGCAAUCAAAACUACUAAUACAGAAACUAAAAAAUACAAUGAAGUGUGUUCUGAGCUAAGAAGAAAAAAUUAACUUACGUAUUCUAGCAACAUUUGGAUCUUCAUCUUGAAUUUCAUCGGCAGCUCUUAAAAUUGCAUCAAUAUCCCUAUUAUUCUCAAGAGAAGAUGGAACAUUGCCAGCAAUACCAGUAGCAUGACGCCCUAAUGCUUCAGAUCCAGUUCUUUCUCUUCGUAAUACCGCACGCACUAAACGCUCCCACUUCUCUUCUACUCGAGACAUACUAUUAAAAACAAGAGAAUUAAAAUUAAUAACUCAUCAAUUCUAACUGCAAAUCUGAAGAAACAAGCAUAACUUUUAAAGUAACUGAAAGCUUAAAACCCUAGAUAUGUAAAGAAAUUAACAAAAACGAACCCUAAAAGUAGAAAUGCCGAAUGCUUCGUGAAGUAAAAACAAUUGUAAGAACUACACACAAAGAAGUGUAGUUAGUUGUAUUAGUUAUAAAGAAACCCUACAAAGCAAGAAUUAUUAAGAAAUGGUGAAACUGAACCCUAGAACUAGAUCGAGAUCGAUAUGAUGCUCGCGAUUAUUUCAAAUUAGUGAGUUUCGAUAUGAAUUUGAGAUUGGAAAAAAAAAAAAGUGAUUUGAGUUGAAAAGGUGAAGAUCGACAGAUGAAGAAAUGAUGAAGAAACGAAGAAAAUUCUCUCAUGUGAAGUCGUGUUUCAGGAAAAAUAGCGUAGUUGUUCCCGCGCACCUUUAUUAGAAAGUUGUUCAACAGAUGAGAUGAGAGAAUCUUUUUGUCUGAGAACUGACAAGUCCUCUCUCAAAGUCUCAAGUGAUCGAAUCGUGUAGGCUCUUGACUAUUUAGACCGAGUGCUUGGACCAGGUCCGUAAUUCAUGUACGUACGAGUCCAUAUGAAUUUAGUCAUUCAGACCAUGAAGUUCCAAGCUGGGGAACCCGUGCUACGAAGCGGGUAUAAGAAUUUUUAUAAAAUAAUUUAUAUGUUUAAUUAAUUAAUAUUUUUGUUAUAUAUAUUUUUUAUUAAAUUUUUAAUUUUAGGAUAUACUUGUGCUUACGGAAAGCAAAGCGGAUAAAAAGUGUAGAGAUUUUAGUGGGAAAUAGAGUAAGAUGGUAAAGAAAUAUUAAAAAUAAUUAUAAAACCUAUUCAUUUUAACCAAUGAGAAUUUUGUUAGGUUUUUUUUUUCUUAUAAAAGGUGAGAAAAAUGUGAGAGUUUGAAGAUCAAUUUAUUCUAGACACAUGUUGUUGAGGCACAAGACACAACAAACAUGGUUUUUGCACUCUGAAACAUAGUUCAAAACACUGAUUUCAAGCGAAAUUUCGAAUCUUAGAAAAAUGGUGUAUGUCAAGAUUUAUUCGACACUAGAAAAGAAUUUGGAAACUGAGUAUUCGUAGAUAUUCACGAAUAUUUGCGGAUAUUUAUAUAUUCGAUUUUUUAAAUAUCGGUAUAAUUCGUGGGAUAUCCGUGUAUAUCACCGAUAUGUUGAAUUAUGCUCUUAAACAUCCAUAUACACUGAGUCGGUACAAGAGGAAGAGCAUCAAAUUAUAAAUACUACACCACCCACAUAACAUGAGAAAGCCACUUUGUGGUCGAUUGUUAUACACAACAAACCAGUCGACUCGGUCUCAAAGGAAAUAGAUUGGCGAAGGACCAGCCACGGUUGUCUCUUCAUCUAGACCGUGUAUCAAUGCAUUGCAUGGUUAAUACAAGCCGAUAUUUUUACGUUAUAUAAGGUGAUAGACUCUAAGCGUUAGAGGUAUGUUGUUCACUCUAACCCUACAAAGGUCAGGAUCGGCUCAAGCAAAUUGGAGGUCCUAGGCAUCUGAAACUGAGGCUUUUGUAAUUUACAAUAUUAAUAAAAAAAAAAAAUUAUCAAAUAAUAAUUAUCGAUGUUAGUUUUAUUUUGUUAAAUGCAAACCCACUAUCCGCUAAUCCAUCUAACAACUUUCUUGAGAAACUUGAUUGCAUUUAAUGAAGUAUAACAAUAAAACACCUAAAAAUUAGGAAAAAUAUAUAUAUGUUUUUUCAAAAAAAAUUCUUCAAAAUAGGAAAAAAAUUCAAAAUCACAAAUAAUAACAAAAUAUGAGGAAAAACUAUGUAUAAUUCCACAAAAUGGGGCCUCGAGAGAAGUGGGGCCUAGACACAUGUUAUGUCUAAACUGUAGAGCCGCCUCUGAAUAAGGUGAUAAACUCUAACCGUUAAGAGGAAUGUUGUUCACUCUAACCCUACAAUCUGACAUUUCUACACUAUACAAGGUGAUAGACUCCAUACGUUGCUACGUUGAGAGGUAUGGUAUUCACACUAACUGUACAGUCUUUGUUAGUUCAUUUUUUUUUCUCCAAACAUGCAAGCACACAUUGACUUGGUCGUUGGAAGCUCAUAAACCAAAAAACCUUCCAGCAGUAUUAUCAAACCCAACCCGGACAUCAACUCGGUAAAGGCACUGGGUCACUGAAUUAGUGGUCCAACCAUUGGGUCAACUGGUUGGACUAGUCACAUCAAUAUUCCUUUACAAAAUAUAACUACUAAGAGCAUUCCCAAUGCAAGGUGGAUUUUGGGGGUGGGGUGGAUAAAUCCACCUUGUAGCAGAAAAGAAUGUCCCAAGGGGAGGUGGAUUUUGGGGGUGGGUUGCCCACAGGUGGAUUUGAAGGUGGAGAAUCCACCUUCAAAUCCACCUGUGGGUGGUAGAACCGGACGACAUGUUACAUGCCGUCUGUUUUUUUUUUUUAAGUUUACGUAGUGUUGUAAAAGUUUUGGACUCUCGGACGGCAUGUCACAUGCCGUCUCCCUAUUUUUUUGUAAAAAAAAAAUGGGACGGCAUGUCACAUGCCGUCCGGUUUUUCUAAAAAUCCACUUUCUCUAUACAAGAGUCCACCUUUCCUUGGGAACUCUCCACCUUGUAGAGUUUCACCUUGAAUCAACAAGGUGGAUUUUGCCUAGGUGGACCUACGUGGCGCCUACGUGGCGCCUACGUGGAGGUGGAUUUAUCCACCCUGCAUUGGGAAUGCUCUAAAGUAUGUAGUUCUAUGUAAUAUGAAUAACAAAUAGAAAUUACUUGAGACUUUGAGAGAGAGAGAGAAGUUUGGAGAUGGAGUAUGGAUAAUAGGUUAGUUAGAAGUUUUUAUGUUAUCAUCUCUUCAUAUUCCUUCUUCUUGAUAUAGAUUUAAUAGACAACAGUAAUUGCCAACUAAAUAAUUAGUUUAUUUAAGUAUUUAAAUUUUAAAGGUUAUUGACUUAUUGGGUUAACUGAGUUGCUGGUUUUGAAAAGAAAUCGCCCAGGUUAAUAGGUUUGGAACAGUCCAAGUGCAAAAAUGAUCUUUAGACUAACCCAACCCGAUUAAGACACCGGGUCAAGGGCCGGGCCGGGUUUGAUAACAUUGCCUUCCAGUGUAUUGGAGGUAGCUGAAAAUGUGGGAGCUCACAAAGGAAAGGUGAACGAUUUGGUGUUUUUGUGCAAUUAAAGCAAGUUGUCAUUUAAAUUAAAGCAAGUUGUCAUUUAAAUGGCUGGUUUCUAACUUUCUAUAAUUUUUUUUUUUCGUGCGUAGUAAUUGAGAGCAGUAAUAAUCUCAAUUCUCAAACCCUCCAGUGGAGUGGAUUGUGGAAAGACUCAAAGACCCAGGAUGGCCUACCCUUCCUUUAAUAGCCCAAAUUGUAUGACACAAGUUGGCUAUGGGCUAAUCAAUACCUUCAGAGAAACUACAAAUAAAAAUCAAACUAGGAGCCCAAGCCUAUGGCCUCGCUUAAAAUGUUAGGUGGAUCCCUGGACCACAACCUAUGCCCAUUGCCCAAGCCCCAAGGUGGAUCUUGGUUAUUAAAAAGCCUUGACUCGUUAGAAAGCAAAAUGCAUUAGAGUACAGAAUACAGAUUGAAGAAUUGCAAUUGUUGAAAUAAGAUUUUAUUACAAAUACAAGUCAGAUGAUAAGGAUUUUUCUGGGUGAACAGAUAAUAAGGAUCAAGGAAAGAGCAAGGGAAGUUUGAAGGAUUUGUAAUUUAAACUGAGCCAAGGAUAUACUGAUAACUGAUCCAUCUUUACUCAAAUAAAAUGACUUUUCUUUUAAAAGUCAUGUUGAGGGUCAACAUAAAUUGCUUUUCUUUUUCUAUAUUAAAAUCCAUCCAUUUCCACCACUGUGAAAUGUGUGACUGAGCAGUCUAAGUGUGCAUUAAUUUUACUAAACUCAAUGGUGACAAAAGUCACACGAGAUGAGAUGUAUAUAUACAGUACAUGAGUACACCACAAUUUUAAAACUGAUGACUCAACCAGAUUGCUGAUUGCCUGAUCCCUUUUUAAAUUUGUCAACUUUCGGCAGUUUCUAACUACAAUAAUUUCUGAACAAGAGAUACUGCUAACUGAACAGUUGUCAUCCAGCAUAAAUGUUAAAAGUGUUUCAGGAGAUCUACUCUUUGUUGCUAGCUGACCGCUCUUUUUUCUGCCCUCCAAGAAUACGUGAGAUCUGUAAACCUCGACUAAAUGCUUGGUUAAAGAGCAUGCGAGUUUGGAAUUCGGAAACAAAAGGGAACCAGGCCAGAAAUGCAACCGGCGUGAACAAAAGCAAACCCAUGAUAACUUCAUAGCCACGAGCCAGUGUUCGAACUGAUCCCCAAAAGCCAGCCCGCUGGACAACAGGUUUACACGCUUGUGCAAUCUGAAAUACACAAGGAAGUUACUAUAUAUUUGGUUGUGGAAGGGAAAUGAAGCUAUUCAUGAAGGAAAAACACUUUUACUAACCAAAAGAAGACCCCAACCACUAGGCAUGAAUGCAAGAACACAUACUACAAUAUCUUGAGGAGUCAUGUGCGGAACUGCCACCAAAGUGAUAAGAAUACCAAUAAAUGUCAAGAAAAUAAGCCCCUUGAUUAAUCGAAACACAAGCUGAAAGUCAGCACUGAAUUUUCGUCGUCCAACAGAAACCGUCUGCAGUAUACAACAACAUCCUCGUCAAUAGCAAGCCCAUAAAUAAUGCAUACAUAGUAAACCCCCUGACCAAUUGCAAUUGAGUAGCACACACCCAAAUGACUACUUGGUCAAAACAUCUUAUAUAUACUAUAUCGAUAAAACUAUUGAAAAGAAGAAAGAUCUUCACAGGAUUACAAUCAAGGAACAGUGGCGUCCCUAUUACAGAUAUCUAUACAAAUAAUUACACGGCAUCCCUAUUACAGAUAUCUAUACAAAUAAUUACAUGGCAUCCCUAUUACAGAUAUCUAUACAAAUAAUUAUAACUGCACGACUCUAUAUGUGUAUUGAUAUUCUUACCUUCAUUACAAGCAAAAUAACAGCAAUCACAAGCCACGAGGCACCAUAAACCUGAAAUCAAAAGUUAAAAUUAAUGUUUAAUUUUUUAACAGAUGGUUAGGGGUAACUAUAAUAAGUAAAAAUAAGAUACAGACAAGAAGAAUCAGCAGAGGGCCAGAGGCAUACCAAUACACUUUUGGUGUUUUUUGUCAAAUUCAAGUGAUAAACUAGUCCAUACUGAUAGAUAAAAAAUCGCAGAGCUAACACUAUCUCAGCAAUAAUACCACGUUUUCCAGAAUGACGAAGAUGUUCCUGCUCUUUCUCCCACCACGACUCCCAACUUUUCUCAGGGAGGACACCAAUCCCUCCUCGAUUGCUUAUCCACUUGUUCCAGUCAGUCCAGUCAUCCACAAUCUUUUGCCAUUCAAAUCCAGAAGGAUUAAAUAGGAAGGGAGCAAAAAGCCAAGUUCCCACCAUAAACCACAUAGAUAUAGUGAUCAAAACAUAUGCCAAGGCACUUCUAUAUGUAUGACCAAAGAUCUGGUACACAACAAGUAGAAUCAUAAUCUCAAUUCCUUUCACAAAGUGACUGCGAGAAUAAAACCUAUAGUUGUCUGCGAAUUUGGCAUGGAACACAACAAAUCCACGACCUGUAGCUCUAUAUUCUGCACCACCAUGAAGCAGGGUCCUUCCAUAAUAAUGGGUUUUUGUGCCAAGAGAAAAUGUGAAAAAUACAGGGGCUAGCUGCAAUUGCAUCAGAAUAAAUUCACUCAGAGCAGUUCGGAAUCCUCUCUCCAAGCCAAUUUCCAUCAUCAUAGGCAGGGCCAUAAGAAAUCCAAGCUGCACGAUCGACUGAGAAGCAAGAGCAACUUGUAGAGGUUUAUUGUCUCGAAUUGCAGGUUGUGUGCUCAAUCCUUCUUCUAGUCCGCUUAGAACAAGGUAUAGACGACCAUACAAAAAUACGUACACUGUGAGCACUGUCACCUGUGAAAAAUAAUAAUUAUUACAUGUAUUGCAGCCAUCCAGGUUAUGAAGAAGGGAAUAUAGAGAUAAAGACACGCGCACGCACACACACGCACACGCACGCGCGCACUCACACACGCACGCGCACACUCUUUACAAUAAAAAAACAUACAUAUAUCAUAUCAUACCAGGGUGCUAAAGUAGAAACCAACUGUGGUGAAAUAACAUGAUAACAUUCUGAAGAAAUCAAAACGAUGCCCAAGCCUGUAUAUGUCACGGCUCAAUGUCUGCUCGCCAUUUCCAUUAGCUAUUUUUGCUUCAAACAAGGAAAUCUGAUUAAGGCCCACAUCUCUCCCUUUACCAACUUGCAUGUAUUCAUGGUGAGUAACAUUUCCUUCACGAAGUGUAGAAUUGAAACCUGAAAGUCCCAACCAUAGGAAGAUUUGACUACAAGAACGAUCACAGGAAAGCUAUCAACUUAAAGCUAAAAAGUUUUGACACUAUAUAUCAUGCCUGCAAAAAUGUCCUCGCUUAAAUUGAUAAUUUUAGAAGCUUUGCUGAUACCCCCUCUCGUCAAGUGAAACAACCUAUCAAAAACAUCGGGAUGACCAUAGUGGAACCGGACCCUAGGUAGGAAGGAAAACAACUGGAAGUCAGUAACAAACAAUCUGUUUGAUAUAAUACUCAACGGAAAAGAUAGAAAAUGAAAGACAUGCACACAACACUAGAAACAAAGAACUGCCUCACACUUUCCCUCCUAUCAGGGUCCUUCAUAUAACUUAAUCCAUCAGAACAGUGGCAAGCAAACAAAAAGUUGAAGCAGAUGAUAUCUCAACACCAAUUUAAUUUUGUGAUAUUUUGAAAAUAAAAGUACAUAUUUAUUUUCGAAGGUAGUGUUAAGACUUACUUCAAAGGAUUUGCCAACAAUCGCUGCCCAAUAGUUACAAAACUUGUCUCCUGAUUUGACAUAAACCAGGCAAGAGAAGAAACACUGCACAUUAUAAGAUAACAUAUAAUGUUAGAAAUUGUGUUACUAACUAAAGCAGUAUUAAGUAAGCUUAAUCUCUUUCUCGGCAUCUGGAGUCUUGCAUCAUAGUGGAGAGAGUCAUUAUUAUUGAUUUUUGCCCAGUUUCAAUUGUUAAGCUACAACCAAGGAAAGAUCUCUGAGACCCUGAGACGUUUUAUUCCAGAUUCAAAAGAAUUAUCUUAGUGCAACGAAUCAUCCUAAACUAAACCAAUUUAACUAUAAAGGGACAACCUAGAACUUAAAACUUAGUUGCCACCAUAACUGCUUCAAAGGUUAAACAAGGUCAUCAAAAGAAAUUAGGUAGAAACAUGACAGCAGAUUAUCAUGAACACAAUACUCGUGGAUACAAUUCGAUCUAUGUUUAGUACUUCAGUAUCUUGUGUUUGAUCUCAAACCUAUUGGUGAAAAAGUGUGUUCCAAUGUUAUCCAACCAUUUUUAUACCAAUGGUACUCAAGAUCUGCAAACAAGCAUACCAUGUUCAAGACUAACUCAAUACUAGCUAAGUAGCUAAUCCUAGAAAGUUACUUUUCUAUCGUUUAUUUUAAAACUCAAAAAGGAGUAAUUAAAAAGUUGAUAAUCACAAAUUCAAUAUGAUUUACAACCAGUUCCAUCCAGGUGUCAAUUUUUUAUAUAGGUUGUCACUUCUCACUACGGACAUCCCAACAAUUCACAUGUACCUGUACCACUCUAAUUACUUAGAUGGUUAGCACUACUAGGAGAAUAAUCUACCUGCCAGUAAAUAUGUGUUCCCGAAGUCCAAGAAUUGAUGGAUAGCGCACGCCGUCGUGUUUUUUAAGAAAUUCAUCCAGCAGGUUCCUCAUUUUGAAGGCUUCUUCCAUGUAGUUAUCCUGUUGCAACAUGAAGUCAAUAAGCAUACCAUUAUGCAUUUAAGCAAAGGGAAUAGGACAACAUUGAGAGCUGACAAAACACGAAAUUCAUAUUACCUGGUUCAUAUCAAUUGUUUGCAGCCCUUCACCACGUGUAAAAACUAUAGCAUGAUUUUGAUUUUCUGGUUUCCCUUCACCUAAAAUAGCAGGCCCAGGAAGCUUUAUGCGAUAAAUAACCUGAAAGAGCAAUAACAUAACACCCAGGUCAUUGCUUGGAAUGGUAGCCAGUGAAUAAUUAGGUUGUAGAAUGCCAAAGUGCGUACAGGAAAAGUUUGAGUGUUUGUAUCACAAAUUGACAAAGGAUUACCUGGUCUAAAUUCUGUACUGGUUGAGGUUCCGAAGAAUUAAUGGGCUUGGGAGCAGCUUUCACAAGAGCAGAAUAAUAGAUCUUCUGAUUACCCUUUUUGGAUUUAUCUUUGACAGUCACAUCAACCUCAUCAAUAUAAGCAACACGGAGAGAUGGGUACCUAACACAUGAAUGUCAUAUCACAUUCUGAAGGCUAUGAACACACAAACUCUGUAGAAAAAUAACUUUUGUAUAUAUACAUACGUUGACAUAAGCUUCAGAAUGUCAUGGGCACGAGGAUCUCCGGAUCGUUUGUGAACCCCAUAUUGCUGGCAUGAAACAACAUAUGAGAACUUCAUAUCAGCAACAGCCUGACACUGUGUCCACAAUGAUCUUUCAUCUUUUGAGUGUUCCUCAGUAGUAAAUUCAGCAGCCUUGUAGCCUUUCAUAAGAUCUAAAGCAACAUAUCAAAGAAUAUAUGGACAACAAAGUCAAGUAAUGUUAAACCUGGAUUAAGCAUACCAUAAAGGUCAGUGGAAAAAAAAUGUGUACCUUCAUCCUUUGCCAUAUCAAGAAACGCUUGGAGCUCCAAAGCCUUCCGGUAAUACAUCAUGCCCCUCACUGGGAUACGGAAAAGUUUAUCAGGUAAAAAUCCAGGAAUACUCGCACUAAAUGUUCGUUUUCUAUAAAUAGAAGGUGCAUAUCAUGUGUAUUCCCUAUUACAUCAUUAGGCCAUUACCAGUUCGAGACAACGUCUGGCCUCUAUAAGAUGCCCAGAGACGGAGCUCUUCUUCUAGCGCAUCAGCUUUUCUGAGUUCCUCCUCAUUGCUACACCCGAUCCGCUCAAGAAAGUUGGUCCAUUCAUCUGUACAUAAUAGAUCCAUUGAAAAAAUUACUUGGACAAUGGAAACAUAUUAUUACUCCAUAGCGUAAAUUUCUACUGUGGUGUGACUGGGAAAGUACAAACCUGGAAAUAUUUUCUGCAAGUAAAAAAGAAUAGAAACACCAUCUUCAUUCUGUACUUCUAACUCAUGUAUGGAGAAAAGAACGUCUUCCGUAUAGUAGGGGGUUAAGACGCUACAAAAGUAUCACAUAUUAGGCAUUGUAUUUGUUAAAAAGUUUCAAUGAAAUAACAGCAUGAACAUAUAUUACAUUAUAAAUAUGAGAACUAUAUAUUAUUUUUUAUAGAAAUGUUGGUGAUUACUGAUUAAUGUAGAUUUUUUUACAAGAGGUCAAAAUAUAGACCUUGUCGAAAGAAUGGCACAAUCGGACUUGGGACAUUCUAAUAAAAACAAUAAAGCAUUAGCUGGGUUCAAACUAUAUCCAGCUGGUCUAAAAAAGGGAAGACAAAGAUCAGAAUAGUUUAUGAUAUCUCUAAUAAUAGUUUUACACUACAAAAAGUCAUUUGACUAGGAUUAUAAAAAAAGUCAUUUGACUUGCUUAGUGGAACCAAAUCAAUAUUCAUCAGGCCAUCCUAAUCCAGUUACACUCCAGGUCAUGUUAAAAAUCAAAUCAGGUGCUUGCAGAUAAUAUUGCAUCAUAAACCUAGACAUGUCAAAUUUCUACUGGAAGUAGUUCAGUGACCAAGGAUUCUUACGAAAAUGAAAGCAUGUUGCGGACUUUUGGUGCUGCAGGCAUCUCCAUAAACAAUGAAUUUGAGAAAAAAGAAAUUCGCCUUCUAGCCUCCAAAUUGGACGGCACAUCCAUUGCUGACUCCUUCACAGUAAGCAACAGAAAAAGCCUUUUGAUCUGCCAAUAAUGUAAAAUAAAUUAGUGUGAGAGACUCAUUGGAAAUACAAACUUUAUCCAUGAUAUAUUGAUACCAUUUUGAAAUGACACUUACCUUCUCCUUCCACGCUUCUGUUUCUUCUAUAGGGAACUUGAUGGCUCCAGGGGAAGCAAAUAACUGAACUUGUUGAUCAAGGGGCGUCAUUCCCUCAUACCUUCCAUAGGGUCCCUGAUGUAGGACAUCCAACCUACACCAAUUGGUUUCCUAUUUGGGUUAAUGUUUAUUUAGAAGUCAUUCUAAGUUUAGGAUUUCUCUUUUAGAGUCUAGAAGUUCUAGAAUAGAUGGUUUACUAUUAAGUUGAUAUUAGUAAUACAAUUCAAAGUAGGAUUUGUAUUUUGAUUUAUUUGUUUAGAAAGUCCUAGUGCUAGUUGGUCUAAGUCUUUAGUCUAUAUAAAGAGUCAUGCUUUGUAGAACAAUUAUUCACUUAUUCAAAUUAUUCAAUCAAUACAAUUAAGAUUUGUCUCUACAAUUUAUUUUUCUUUAGUUUUGUUUUAGUUCUUCCUUGUUUCAAGGCAAUCCUCCCCUUGGGUUAUUCAAGGUUUGAUAUUUUUAAUCGCUUCCGCUACGUCAGUCCCCCAUGGAUUGAAUCUAAGAUACUAAUCACAGGAGGAAUACACCAACCAAUGAGAACAUAAUUUAUAUAGCAAUGCAGUUUAAUAAUAAUAUUAAAAUGUUGAAUGCUUUACGUAGAUUCUUCGUCCUCCAUUAUAUCUCGAGUGACAACCUCAAGCAUGUCCUGGAAAAGAAUUACCACCUGAUCCCUGUCCUCUUGCUUGUUUUCCAACUUUAAGAAGUAAAAACGAACCAAGUUAGAUGGAUGAACAGACAAGCAAUCUUACCAGUGCAUGAAAAGUAUUUGAGUCGCAAGUAUUUACCAAAAUUUUGAUGAGCUUAACAAAGUGUUCAUAAAGGCUAGGCAGGGCACUCAUCUUCAACUGACUUAUUAGACUGUCUGCUUCUAUAUGUUUGUCAAUCUCAUCAAACAUAUGCUUUAUAACACUGCAAUAAUUAGAAAAACAUCACCAAACAAGUCUAGAUAUGGUUUGAAUACAAAAAGCAUAAUUAUCAUCAUAACAUGAUAAUAUCACAACAUGGAAUAGUCUAGAUAAUCAUUUUCUUCUUAUUAUGCAGGGAGAGAAAUCCUGCUUGGGUAUAGGUCACAUCCGAGACAGAGAAGAGAGAGCAUUCUGUAAAUUCAAAUACAAAUGGUGUUUCAAGCAAACAGAAUGAACAUGGGUUUUAUGCUGAAGAUAGGGCAACCAAAAGCAAAAACCCAUUGCACCUAAUGACAAACCAUAAAAACAAUUGUUGAAAAGGGAAUGACUCACUUAAUUGCAUUAUAUAUAUAUAUAUAUAUAUAUAAGAGACAAAUCCUUACGUUUUUUCAGGAUCUCCUUCAACUAAGAAAUUUAUAAUGUUCCUAAAUGACGCAUAACAUUCGCGCACUGCACAAUGCAUAUAGUUGUCUGCACUGAUUCUCUUCUUCAGCUCUCGGUCCUUACCAUUGCUGUCUUUGGCCAUAUCUAAUGCAAUGGGGAUCUAGAAAAGGCAAGGUAGAGCAAGUGAGACUAUGGCACAAAGUGCCAAACUAAACAAGUCAAGUAAACACAAACCUUGCUAGCAAGCAAGAAUGGAGGCCACUGGAUAAGAUCCAAAUCACGAUCGGCCCAAUAUGGGACAAGCAACAAAUCCAUUUCCCUGAAAUUUCGUAUGAAGUCAACAUCCUCAAAUAAAAAUAUCAUAAUAUAUAUUAAAAAUUGUUCAAAAUGGAAUUAAUAGCUCUAAAGAAAUUACUUGACUUUAAAUGAAGUACUGUCACUUGUUUACACAUCCCUCGCGUUGAUGAAGUAUACACUAGUAGCAAGCAUAGAUGCUUACCACUUGUCUCUUCUUACAGUUCUUUGCAUUAUCGCAUACAAUUGGUGAGGGGAUUGCUAUGGGGUUUCAUGGGCGAAAUUGGAGUGCCAGUAGUUUCUUUUUCUUUCUUUUUUUCUUUUUCUUUUUCUUUUGGCCAAGAAAAACUUUUAUUUAUAGUUGAAAAAAACCAGUUUUUAUUUAAAGGCCAGUAGUCAAUGCCUUCAAACAGCUCUCUGAAUCUGGAAUGAUGAGAAAUCUGUUACCUUUUCAUGGCAUCUGGUUCUCAUAAGGACCCUUGGAUCCUUUAUUUUUAAAAAUAUAUAUGCAUCCAUUACUGGAUGCAUAUUCAUUUAUCCAUAAGAACCUGUUCACUUCCACUCUGCGUUAAUAGAUCAUUUAUCCAGUGGUAUAGUUUGUUGAUACAGAGUAAACUUGCAUCACUUAAUCCUAUAUUUGCUAUAGUUUUAAUGAAAUGGAUAAUCACCUAAGCCGAAUAACCCAUUUGCACACUCAACUAAAUCCAACAAUAACUAACAAAAAGAAUUGAUAAAAGAGACACCAUAUGAUUACCUGUCACUUAUUAAAUCUUCCUCUCUGAAACUGCUGAUUAUUCUGUUCCACAACUGAGCAAACUUUGCUGCCUCCUUCUCUUUAUUGGAAGGAAUCUGAUAAAAACAAAGAUGAACACAAAUUUUAAAGCAUACCAAAUUAUCUCAGCCAGAGCUAAGUGAUACUAAUGCAAAGCAGGAGUGUAGGACCUCCUCAAAUUUGCGAGAGAACGUAGCCUUUAGCCCUUUCUUCUUCUUAGCUGCAGUCUUAUCCACUGGAAUCAAGCGCGCAUUAAAAGCACCCGGCAAUGAUUGAAAUCGGGAUCUCAGCAUUCCAAGUGUUCGAAUCUGGGAAAAGAAAAUUACUGAAACACAUGCUACAAAAACCAACUACAAUUAUAUAUUCUAUUCUUCUAACAUGCGGCAUGUGAGCCACUCCCACAUAUGCAUAACCAUAUUACAAUAGCACACAUGUGCCCAGAAUGCACAAAUAUAUUUUCAAAUUUAACUAUCCAAGAUCUCUAUUACACCUACCACGCUCCCAACCUCUUUUCCUGUCAGACUCCAUGCAAAUAAAUUGAAUGAUAUGAUGUAACAUCCUUUAAUAAAAUGGCCGAAUACUACCUAUGAUGGACUUAAUAGAUGAUGGACCACACUAUUCAGUGCUCUAUCAUGCAGAAGGGAAUAAAAGGCAAGGGUCAAAGAACUUGAGAUGAGCAAAAUUCUCCCUAAUGGAAAAAAAAGUAGGAUUCAUUCCACCUGGCAAAUAUUCUCUCAAAUCUCUCAAAGUUGAUAUUUCAAAUGAUUAUAGCAUCUUUACUCAGCAUCCAAAGGUAGCCUAUGCAAGGGAAUAAUAGGGAACUGUUAAACAGUACAAGUUGCUGAAUAAAAUAUCCACGUUGGCAUAUUCACCACAUUAAAACCCUUGAACGUACUAAAUCUAUUCAUGUUCUAUUUCUUUAGUUGAAAUAGAAUAGGAAAAAACAAUAGAUGGCGGCACAAUCCAUAAGGACCCCUUAUUCUUGUGCCUUUAACUACAGACCCAAUUAGCCGCAUACUAUUCCUUCAAAACAUAACACCAAAAGAGAGCGAGCACCACCGUACAACCAAAUAGCCAGUAUACACAUACAAUUCAGGAAUAUAUGAUUUACCUACCUCUCCUAGACGACGGAAUGCCCCGUAGAUACCACCAAACAGUGUUGAAAAAAUAGCAUACCAUAUCUGUAUAUCCAUGAAAUAUACCUAGAAGCGUAGAGAUGCAUUAGAAUCUAGAAGCCAAGAGGGAAAAAAAAAAUCAACAAAUAGUAGCAAACCAGGAAAAGAAACUGGCCAGCGUUCUGGAUACAUACAAGAAUAAUUGGAGCCCAAAGUGCAAUCACAACACCAAGAUUGUUCUUCGCUGAAAAGAGAAUAUGGAAAUAUUAAUAACUACUCCUUAAUAAGAAAAGGCAGGUCUUCUGCUCCCAUUAUUACCUCGUGGAAAGAAUUCAUGCCAUUGGUAAUUUGUUAUGUGAGCUUUCAUGAUUGUUUUUGUUGGACCCACAAGCGGCUUGAUCUGUGGCCGACAACAAACACAUUAAAACCAUGAAUAUCAGUGUCAUGGAAUUCUUUUUUUGAUAUCAACUUUACCAAAGGAUUUUUACUACAAAUACCCCUUGGUUAAACAAGAUCAUUAUCAAAGGCUACAGUUAUCAAAAACUAAGUUGAAGCAUAUCACUAAAAGUAACCAAGAACGGAAAAAUGGUGUGGCGGUUGGGUUUGUGAGGGAGGGAGAGAGGGAGGUUUGUGAUAUAUUCAAAGAGAGGAUAUCUCUAAGAAGAGUAGAUUAAAGUACUCAAAUAAUUUCCUUCCAAAUUCAACAAAAAUGUAUUGUACCCAAAUGUUGUUUGUACUUUGUAACUACGAGCUACAGUCAAUUUUGAUAUUACGACAUUAUAUCAGAACCUCACACAUAUAAAUGGAUGGUGGCAACAGUGAUACCUCAAUGUAAUAACUGAACGCCAACUUUGUUAUUAUAAGAAGAACCCAGAACAUAGUAUACCUGAGAUCAGAAAAAUGACAAGCAAAUUAGUGUUUAUUUAUUAUUAUUAAUUUCCAAAACUAAGAGGUAUAUUAUUUAAUACACAACCUAACAAUUUCACAAUCAACUACCUUACAACAAACACCCAAAUAAAAAAACAAGAACCCUCAAUUAACACAUCCCACUUACAUACAUUUUUCAGCUAGAUUUGAGCUUUGGUUCAGAUGACUUGUAUCAACCUACCUGACUAUAAAAAUUCUGUUUUGAGUUUUAUGCAAAAAUUUGAAAUUUAAAGGUUUGGGUGGAAAUUUUUGAUAGGUAGUAAAAGUAUCCCUCAACAUUUCAAACAUUGUAUAUUUUGUCCACAAAAACAAAACCAAAUAAUAAAAAAAAUGAUAUCUUACUUGAAAAGGGAAAACGCGCUCUCAUGCAUUCCCCUUCCUACAUAGAGUCGAGGCUGCAACACAUCAAGGACUUCUUUCAGACAGACUAUAAAAUGACUAAACACAUAAAAUAUCCACCGUAUCAAAGUAGCUAGAUUGCUGCAAACAGGAAAAUCCUAACACAUCAUAAGCAUACCUGAGACCACCACAUCAUAAACAUCACAAUCCUAUAGUCUGUCUUCUCCAAAAAUCGUCUAAUGAAGGGGAACAAAAACAAUACUCCAGCAAGCAUGUUUGGUGCCAGGUAUAUGACAACAGCCAAUAUAUAUAAUGUAGGUGAACUUGGACUGUUCCCAAACAAUUUCCUGAUCUUUAAUGCAAAUCCAGGAGGAUUCUCCCAAGUAUACGCAUACGUUACUGGUAAAAUAAUCACCCACGCAGCAGCUGAAACAACCUUCAGAAUAUAUCGUAGCUUAACUUGGAAUGACAUGCUCCGCCUAGCUUUCCAGCUCAGGAUUACAUCAAGGACAGCUGGGAAGCAAUAGUAUGAAAGAGUCAGCACAGAGUCUAUGUAGAUAAGCAACUUUUUGUUUGAUCAGUAAAUAACAAAUUAUUAUCAUGCCAAAGAAACUUCAGUCUCAUAUAUAUCAAGCAACAAAACUAACAAAAGGCUACUCAAUUCACAUGUUCAAGUAUCGUUGGAUUUAAAUAUUAGGGAGCAAACCGAAAACAUCGACAAACUGUUUCAGAUUUCUCCAGCAUCCUCAGUAGAAUGGAAAUGUUUUAGGGAAGACAAUGUCGUAUAAAAAAUGUUUUCCUUGAGAAUAUAAAAUCUUUCUGACAUCUUCUACAUAUUUUGGCAAGAAAAACUUGAACCACAUAGAUGGAAUAGGAUUUGCAGUGACAGGACAUGCUGUAAGCAUGCAGGAUUUGAAAAAACCUCCACAGCAAUAUCUGAAUCUAUAUGGCACAUCCAACUCCAUUUUCAGAAUUGAUUUUUUCCAUGUAGUUAUGGCUUUCAAAAAAAAAAACAAAAAACAAAACUAGGGAGCUGUAUGAAAAUCAUACUACUUUUUUAAUUAUUAAAAUAACAAAAAAGUAAAUGGAGGAUGAUGAGGGUGAAAAUGCAAAAAGCGAAGACAAUAGUGGGUUGACAUCAAUGAUAGAGCGACAGAAACUAAAAUCAACAGUAAACAAACCUUGUCCAAGCUUCAAGAUCGCCGCAGUGAUGAAGAUGCUCAAGACUUUUUUGAUAACAUCAGCCUCAAAGAUAGCACUUGGUUGUCCGGAUCCAUUCCAACCAAUAAUUAUCAUUGCCUUGAUAAAAAAAAGACAUAAGGUUAACUAUUAUAUAUAUAUUUAAAAUAUAUAAAAAUGAAGUUUUACGAGGAUGAAAGGGAGUAAAAAAAAUCAACAAUUUGAGGAUAUACCUGUAAACACAGUAUGAAAAAACUCCACAUUCUAUCAAAGCUUCUGAAAAUAUGCCAGAAUGAGCGAAUUUCCACAAAAUUAAUUUUUCCCACCCAUCGGUCCCUUGCCGCUGGUUUGCUCUCCUAGAUAUCAUGAUAUACACAACAAUAUUAGCUUUUUGUUGACAACUUUCAAGAACUCAAGACAAACUUAAGUAAACGAUAAAGGAGGUCCUAUUUGGAGCCUAAUGGAUUUUAUGAAUAUGUUCUGCAACAGAAACAAUUAAGCACUAAGAGAAUGAAUAGCGGGGCAUUUUAUGCCCUUAAAUUCAAUUCAGGAAAGAAAAAUAUAUCAAAACAUAGCUAACCCCAUUUUUGUCCAAUCGAAGCUGGCUUGAAGGCUCGCAAAAGAAAUCCGAGUCAGCACGCAUGGGCCAUCCUAGCCGGAAACAGUCAACCGACCUACAAUUUUCACACACAAUUUGGUAUCAAUAAUUAAUGGGCCAUAGAUAAUAAACCAUAUAAAAUAUAUACAUAACCUACCAAAAGUACUCGUUCAAAUCAUCGUAGUUCCUCCACUGGGAAUGUUUGGAUUUGCCUCUUUUGCUCCUUUCAGCUUCCUGUUAAAAAGGCAGAAUAUGAUUUAGAAAAUAGGGAGAUACAAAAAAGACUUUAAGCAUAUACUAAUGUAAGUGCAGCGAAGAGCUUGAAAGCUCCACCUUGGCUAUUGUUUCAUAAAUUGGAGUUAUAACUUUUCUCAAGAAAGCCUCUUCCUCGCCCCCAUAGGCUGGCUUCACAUUUUCACCAGUCAUGGGACUGACAUUGCCAGCUAGCAUACCAUAAAGUUCGAACGCCAUCUGGAAAGUAGAAUAUACAAAGGCAGAUAAAAUUGAUUAGGCUCACAACAUGUUAGCUAAAAAUCAGUCCCCCUAUUAAAACAAAAAAAGAAGACUCUGGAAUACAUAAGGAUAUCAAUGAAUAAGAGAAGAAAUGAACGAGGAUAUAAUAUAAGUGAUAUCUACACAACUAGAUAACUUCUUAGAGAAACACUAUUCAACGGUGAACCAAUGGCAACUUGAGAACGACAAGGUUAAAGAUGCAUUUUAGAAAUCAUUUAUAUAAUGGAACAUAUAAAAAUGUGAAAAUACAAAGAACCACAUACAGGUGCAAAUCACAGACAAGCAUAACAUACAAGCUAUUCAUAUAUAAUAUAGUAAGUUUUGUCAAUCUGAUCUACAAUUCUCCUCAACAUUUUCAACAAAAAACUCCUGAAUUCUGAUGUCCUAGCCUGCAAAAAUAGUCCUCGUGACACCUAUGCUGCAAGCAUCUCAACCUAAUGCUUUACCCUUGCUUUGGUUGAUUUUAAGCCAAAUGCCAAAUAUAGAAGUAAAUUUUGAGGUUUGCUUGAAACAACCAAUAGUUGUUCCCUCCUAAUCCGAAAAAUAUGCCAAAAAGAUUCAUGUUUUUGGAUAAGAUUUUGAUAUCACACUAGAUAUGUAUUUUUAUCAAGACUCGAAUGUAAAAAGUUUCAAGAUUCUGACAGAAAGGAAACAAUAUACAUUUUUGUAGAACUGUGAUAUGGUACCUUUAAAUAUUCAUGAAGAAAACGUGCAGUCUCACAAGAAAGUAUAUUUUUCUAUUUAGCUCUUAAAGAAAUAUAUAUAUAUUUCAUGGCAUUUCAAGACAUGUUACUGAUGUAGUGUGCUUUAAUGUGUGUAAUCAAUAGACAUAUUAAAAAAACUUGGAAAUAUUUAAGUAAGCAUGACCAGAAAUAUAGUGUCUAUAUUCCUCAUGGUGGUUAAAAACAACAAGACAAAUGCAUCCUGAAGUCCAAAAAAAAAAUAAAAAAUAAAAACAUUAACAGCUAAACACAGAUACAAUUGAAAUUGCAAUAUUAACUGUAGCAAUCAAUUAGUGGUAAUAAUAAUAAAGGAUGUUUUAACACUACAAUUGGACAGUUCAUGUAAAAUAGUGAAAUUGAAAAACAACAAAUCAAAGCAUACAUGAUGAUAGAUAUAGCACAGGCACUCAGGCAUGAAUCUUAAGUUUGCAGCUUCCCCCCAAAUGAGAAGAUAUAGACCCAUGUAAAGUAAUUUGCGCUGCUGCACCUCCUGUUGUAUAGUUGGCAACCUGCAGUUACAAGUUGAAAAGAAGACAGAAAAUUAUAUUAUGCGGGACAAAAGAAUAACCCUGGAUUUUUUUCUUUUUGAGAGGAUUUAGUGAUCAUGGUCAAAAGUAAUCAUGAGGACAUUUGGAAUUGACUGUACUUUUUAACUAUAUAUAUUUCGAAAUUAUUGUGAUCACAUUAAUCGACAAGAAACAUUGUCUAUCGAUCAAAGACUUAUUUGUGAUUUGCAUACAUGUCACCUCUCCCAUUGUACAACAUCUCACAAGAUCUGAACAACCUCUUUCGCAGUAAGUUUGAAGUACCCAAAACAGUAUAUAUCUGUUUUUUUUUUCUCAAACAACAAGAUAUUCCACAGAUAUCUGAAAUAGUGAUGUCAAGGUUUCAAAUGUUUUUUUUUUUUUUUUUUUUUUUUUUAACUACUGAAAUCUCGUCCAAAUUAAGCUUUUGAAAUAGGACCUGACUAAAAGUCGCCAGGUGCAUGCAAGUCACAAAUGAGUAGCAUAUUAACAUUUCUCUUCACUUAAUAAUUCAUGAUACAUUGAAGCAUACAUUUAUUAUACUGGAAGGCCUUACCAAAGACUACUCUUUCGAUCCAAAUACUUGCACCACUUCUUGUAAUUUUUGAAAAGCUUUUUCAUGACUUCAGUCAGGGCCCUCUCAUCCAGCUAAAAAGUAAAGACAAGUAUUAUUCAAAUAAGAUACAUGAUAGUUUAGGCAAAACAAAUAAUAAUAAAAAUACCAGAAAAUAUACUAGGGCACACACCUUGGGUUGUUGGUCAGGCUUUGGGAAUUGUCGUAUGUGCACAUUCGCAAGAAGUAAAAUCAAAUGUUCCCUUUGGUUGGCCACACUAUCUUUCUGUGCAUCAUAAUGAUAAUUGUCCCCAUCAACAAUAAUACUAACAAUUCACAAUCCUAAAACUUGUCAUCCAUUUAUAUAACAUAUUUUGAGCAAAUAUUCUUAAAAUUAUGAAUAUUUGAAAUCUUUAAGCAAUAAAAAAGUGUGACAACAUCCGUAGACUUUGUUAGGAAAGAACAUAUUUUAAGCAAAUAUCCAUAAAAUUAAGAUAACUACUGAAAAAGAUGUUGUAUUAUUUAGUUAUUCACCUGAAAUCCAAACAUAGCCUGCAGCCAAUCAAGGAUAUCUUCAUCUGGUUUCUUUUUAUACCCUGUUGGCCAUGGAAGACCCCUGGUAUUACGAAGCGCAACCACAACAGCUUGAAUCUGCAAAUGUGGUAGAACCAAGAAUUGUGUAGAAGGAAAAAGGGACAAAUAACAAAUAAAUUGCAAAUUAUGCAAGAUGAAAAUGGACGCAAACCUCGGGAUAACGCAUGAUAGCCUGAUUUGCACUAUCAGGGUCUAGAGGAAGAAUGUUGUAUGGCACAUAGACCUCGGUCUUUUCAGCAACUUUGUUAUGAGUUUCCAAAACCUACAAAAGGGUAGUGUUAUAAUAAGUUUUACAAGGAAAAGUGGAACACGCAGCACUGAAUUUUUUUAACCAAGUCACAAUGCCAGAACCAUAUGAUAAUAAUCAAUAAAUUAUUGGUUAAUUGAGAUACAGAAUAGUAAUAUUUAUGAUUGAUUAAGGAACAUACCUCACGAUCAACUUCAAGAGAUUGUGUCAGAUUGACAGCUUUCAAAACCUCAAAAAGGACAGCAGCCGUUUGAUAGGCUUUGGUAAGUUGUGCACUGAAAAGUUAGACACAUAUAACUAAAAGAUCCAAAAACAUAGCCAUAUUUUCAAGAGACACUCGAAUUUGUAUAUCUCAGAAACUAACCGGUCAGCUUUAUCUGCAGCAUUCUGUAACGCUUGGAUAUAUUUUUUAUAAUAAUGUUGAUAAAAACUCUGCAUUUCCCGAGCAUCACUCUUCUUUACUCUGCCCAUUAAUGUUGGGUCAUUCUCCUGAUAAUUGGUAAGAGACAAGAGAGGUGUUAAAUACAAACAUAAUGAAAAAAAGUGAGAAGCUUAGAUAAGAUUUUUAUUCUCACACACACGCACAAGCCUCCAUACACAAAAGAGCAUAUUUAAUUACAGAAUAUGGAGUUCGGCAACAGACAAUACAAUAUUUUAUUGUUUGUUGCUUGUGUCACUGUGCUAGUAUGUCUAUAUACCAAAAGAGACUGCGUGCAGUCAUAUUUACUCCUCCGUACAAAAAAGAACAUAAUCUUUACCCUUUCCAGACCGUUGCAGAAGUGCAGUCUUGAAUUUGGCGAACCACCUCGUCCCACUAGAUGUAGGGUCCAACCUGUGUGCUUUCUCGAAGGCGUAGAAUCGACCUGUUUCCAACACCCACAUUAAUAAGAACCAAGCACGCAAAUUAUCCAGAAGGAAUGAACCUAGCUAACAGCAUUAAUUUAAACAAAAACUCUGGAAACUCUUAGUUAAGAAAGUGUUUCUACAAUAAAAGACGCAACGGAAUCAACCCAACAAAGAUAUGCAUCUAGGCAGGGUGAAUGAAUAUCCAAUAGUUUAAAACCCCUAAAAUCUUCAUAAAUAAGCAUUAAAUGUAUGCAUAAUAGGUCUAAUAAAUUUAACUUAAACAAGCUACUUUAGCAUUAUCAUUUAGUACUAGCAACAGUUUAUUGAAUGCUCAAACCACUUCACUUGUUUAAUUUGUUUUCUUACUGAACCAAGAAGUCAAGAACCCCACUAAUUUCCUAAUAUUCAAAAUAGCCAAAUUGGAAAAAAUAAUGGAAUCUUUACUUCGAAAUCACUGAAAUCUAAAAAUGGAGAAAAAAUACUUACAUAAAUAAGCAACUCUAGGGUUACUAGAUUCAACUUCAUUAGCAACUCGAAGAAUUGGAGCAAUUUCAACAAGAGAAGAUGGUACAACUUCACUAUCAAAGAUGGUUUCACCCAGAUUUCCAGCAGUUUGAGUUCUCAUAAUCCGCCUCUGCGGAGGCGGUUCGCCUCCAGGUCUUCUAGAAGACAUCUUAACAAACACAAAAACCCCUCAAAACAAAGAUUUUUUUUUUCUCUUCACUCUUGUUUACCUAAUUAAUCUCACACAUUUAACUUUAGAGAAAUGAAGAUCAACAGAUCAAAUCCGAGAAAUGAAGAUCAACAGAUCAAAUCCACCAUCCAAAAGAAACAACUUUUGAUGGUCGGUUUAGUGAAGAAGAAAACCUAAACCUAGCUAACUAUGAAAGAGAAAAGCAAAAGGUGAACAGAGAAGAAGAAAGGAAAUGAAAGGAAAGCUGCUGCUUUAAGCUAACUAUGAAAGGGAAAGAGAGUGGAGCAACAUAAGAGAGAGAGAGAGAGAGAGAAACAAGUUAGCGUGAAGAAAAACACAAACAAACAAGAUUUUUACUGACAAGUGUGUACUAGUAUUUUAUAAAUACCUGUAUCUUUAGUUUAUAUUACGAUAAAGCCAUUAUAAUUUUAAAUGUGGAGGGUAAAUUCCAAAAUUUGAAAAACUGUGAACGUUACGGUUUUAUAUUUGAGCCUUAUCUUUCGGCUUAUACGAGGAACACAUCACACACAUGAACGAACUUUGAUUAUUUUGAUUUUGACAUUUAUGACCUUAGAAAAUAUACUGAUACGUUUUUCAUUGAUAUGUAUUUAAAGUGAAAAGAUUAUCCUCUGUGAUUAUAAUUUGUAUUAUCUUGUAGUGAUGGUGAGAUUAGAAAGUGUAAACUGAUAAGGUUGAAGGGUAGAUAGUGGAUAAAAUUAAGUUAAAGUUUGAUUAAAGAGAUUGAACUAUUGAAGUGAAAUGAAUAAAUGUCGUUUUGUUUGUAGUAAUCCAAGAAAAAACUUACUUUAUUGUAGUGGGAUCCACAUGAAAGAGAUGGUAGUCAGUAGUCACACACUGCUCAAAGUAUUUUCUGAUACAUUCCCAAAUUUCUUAAUGGUAUUCUCAAGAAUAGUCUUUAUGGGUCAUGUAGGAAAAAGUUGUGCAUUUCCCAAUUUAGUCCAACUGUAAAACCAACAUUAAGCCCAAGACACUCAACAUUAAACCAUUUUCGGUCAGAACUCAGAACACCCUCCAUCCAUGGUGCACCUAAAUUUAUUUCUUAAGAUGUGUUAUCCUUGUAUCUCACAUUCUUGGAAUAUUUUGAGGGACAAAACAGUUGAGGGAUCUUAUUACCUAUGAUAUGAUAAAGUUACUUCUGCUAACAAAUGAAACCUCAAGUUCCCAAGAGGUAAUUUCAACAUUCCUAGCAAUGAGAACCUUCUUUUACAAACAUGAGAUUAGCCAUUAGGGAAAAAAAAAUAUCCAAGUGGUUGAUUUAUAACUAAGCAUUUAACCAGAAUUAGUUUCUGUAUGCACCUGUAUGAUUUCUCAUUAUAACUAUAUCUAAAGAUCAAAUCCAUUACAUCCGGAAAAAUGACUAGCCAUCUAUGGAGUGCACAAGAGCAUAAGGGAAUCCACGCUUAAAGUUGAAUGGUAUGCUUGAAAUCUUGAAUAUCUUUGGGAUCAGCCACAACUUCAUUUUCGAUUACCAAAAACAUAAAAGGGACAAGCUAGCGUCGAUUUGAUGCAGGAAGAAGACAGUCAUACACUCUUUCCAAGCGUGAUGUCAAGGCAAGCUUAUGUGUCAUAGGAAGCUUGGGGUUCCCCAGGUCGAUGAUGUCUUGUCUCAAACUGUACAUAACAAUAUGUCAUAAGUGCGGCUGAAUUGCAUGUUACAUUGAGAGCCAAACAAAUACAGAUUCCAUUUUAAAACUUUAUCAGAUUUCUCUUGGGAGUGAAGUUUGUUGAUGGAAAAAUACUACUAACCUUAUCCAUUCGCCUGUUCCCUUUGCAUGCCUUUCCACAGCCCUGUACAAGCGAUCUAAACUAUAUAGGACCAAUCCGAACAAGGAUUGAGCAUCUUCUUCCUACAACAUGUGAGAAAGACAUUAUUCACUGCAUGUGUAACCAACUGAUUAUACCAAAAAUGAUUGGUGGUAAGUAGUGAUUAGUGAAUUUGAAAUCCAUUCUUGAUCUUGUCUAGCAAGUUGACAAGAAAUUGGUAUAUCAAAGAAGAACGAUAAAAAUGUAUUAGGAAAAUAUAAUGGAGGCUUUGAGCACUUCAAAAAAAGACAAAACCGACUGGAACAGUAUAUCUAGUCGCGAAAAUAUAUGUUACUAAAACGUCAUCUCUCAGAUUGCUUACAUAUUAGAUUAAAUCAUGUUGAAGUCACUGGAGAAAAGAAGGAACUCAUAAAGUCUUUCUAAUUAUUUGUACGAGUAGGCCUGCCUGUUUGGCAGUAUAGUUGUGAAAAGGUAAGACACAAACCCUUACAUGGCAGUUAAGACUAGAACAUAAGAGAUCAAAUUACUAUUCGCAAACAUUACAGCACAGAGAUAAUCUUUGCAAUACAAACAAUCUGAUUUGAAUGGAUAUAUUGCAUAUAUAUUAAAAUUCAUCAUCAUUAUGUCAGGUGCCUGGAUAAGCGAGACUGACACUUUACCUGUCCACAGUCGACAUAUGCUUGAAAUUGCAUAAUUCGUUUCUCAACUUCCACAACCAGCAGUCUUCUUUGAAUCCUGGCAAUUCUUCCUCUGCCUUCUGCCCCUUUAUCCUGAUUAAUGAUAUAAAUGGAUUAGAAACACCAGAUAACUUGAAGGACUGGGAUAAUUUAUGCUAACCAACUACACACAUGCACACACUGAAAGAACCAAAAGAUACACCAGAUAUUAUAGGACUGUAUUUUAGAGGUGGAUUUUGUUUUAGAAUGCUUUACAGGUCCAGGUCCUACUAAUGCAUUAUAUUCAACUUUGUAUGAACAAAUUUUUUAGUCAUGUAUGUCCACUAUAGUAGAAGCCUACAUUCAUCAUUCAUAUACAUUCAUCGCGUAAUUGGAUAGGCCUUCGUGACCCUAGAGGCCUAGAAAGAUUGUGUUUUGAAUUUUAGUUUUUUGUGAUUUCUUUUUUGGUUGUAGUUGCAUCUCGUCAAUAGCUGAAUAAGAGGUUUACUCAGUGAUGAUACAAAAUUCAUAUAAAGUUUUCAAUAAACAUGACUAUUAUUACCUGUUUUAACCAUGCUCGGAUUAACACUAGCAAACCAAGCGACAGAAAGAAAGCUGGUAAAGCAGCAAGAACAGCAAAAUUGAUUUCGUUGGCCUUCAGAAUCUGGUCAAGCUCGAGCAUUGCCCUGUAGAAUAGAAAAAAACAUUAUGGAACUUAACAAGUAUUUUGUGUAAAUUCCUACCAGGAUCAUCGCACCAAACUUACGUCUCAAUAUCAAGUUUCAGCUUUUGAAUCUGCAAAGACAAUCCAUAGUUAGACAAAAUUGAAAUUAGUCUACCCAAUGCUCUGAAAAUAGAUUUAUGGGCACCUGAAUGAGCAAAGCACGAACGAGCUCUCCCCCUACAAGAUUUUGGAUGGGAUGCAUAAGGUCCUUCUCAUACCUGCAUAUGAAUCUAAAAAUUAGUCUACCCUCACAUACUAAGGUUUUUGGCACAAGAUUCCAUGCAACACUUAACAGCAUGGGAGAAACUUCAAGUUACAGACUGAAGAUAUAACUUUUUAGGCAUUUAGUUGGAUCAAAUUGAUAAUAAGAAUUGAAAGAGUGGAGUAUCAAAAUGAAUGGUGUUGCUUUGAAUAACUUUAGUUCUAACCUCUGCUGCAUGAGUACUUGCCACAAUCAGUGUCACAUAUCAUUUUUCAACUGAAAUGGUUGUGUCCAUGGCAAGUCCAUGCUGUAUCCAUGUAACAUAAGUUUUAAUGUAUAAGAUAUGUGGCUGCAACAAUUAAUCUUUGCUAUCUAUAUCUCGUUCUGUAAACCUGUAAUUAUUUAAGCAUUCAUUUUUAACACAGGUCAAGGGUCUUAUACAAAAUUAAGUAUAUAUUGCGAAUAAAUUUUCAGUGUAUCGUUUUGAAUUGGCAACGAAUGCUAUGAUUUUGGUACAAGGGGUAUGAGUAGGCCCAAGACAUUCCCCUUAGUCAUUUUGUAUUUCGAUAGGAUUCCAUGACGAGAUGAGGGUGUAUUGGGUUUUAAGGGACUUGAGUUGUGAUUGUCACUCUGUUUCUUGUUUUGUGCUAUAUUCGCAGGAAAUCACGUCCUAAAAUUUCCUUUUGUUUAGGUAUCUACAAUUUGCCUUUAUCCUAUACUAAUUAAAGAAUGAGAUACUGUAGGUGUCAUAUGAAAACUUGUGUGAAAGGAUUGAGUUACAUUCCACUAUAUUGUCUAAACUCUAAUCUCUAUAUACAACUCCAAAAGUUUGUCAGGAAAGAGAUGAGUUCUACCUGCUACAAAAUUCUAUAUGAUAAGAUGUUGACUUUUGGCGUAUAUGUCCUUAUUUAUUGUUCAUGUUGGGAUAGUAAAAUGUAAUGUGUCAAGCAUUCCUUAGGCAUGAGCCUGACAAGUCAUUUGUACAGAACACUAUUACGUCCCACCUUCGUUGUUAACUAAUUUAUGCAAUUAAUGAGUACUCUCAAACUCUGCGUCAAUAAUGUAAUCCAUCUCAACAUUUUCCUAAACAGAGUUUAUAAUAAAUAAAUAUUAGGGAUCAAAUAGGAAGUGAUGAAGAUAAUAGAAAAAAACAGUCAGCAAAUAGAGAUUAUUACAUGCACAAAUCGCAUAAUAGGCUAUCAAAUAAAGUUGUAAGAAAAGGCAUGGAAGAUCAUCCCACCUGGCCAUAACUAUUUCCAUCAUUUCCUGAUCUGAUGCAUUUUCUGAAAGUUUCUUCCCGCUUGUUUGUUCGCUAAAAGCCAACAACAUUCUGCAAACAAUAGCGACAAGGUUGAUUAAGUUUUCAUUUUCCAACUUAGACGUCCAACAUGUAACUUAUUCAAGCCUAUGUAAUUUGCAGUUACAUAGUACCCACAUACCAUAAACUCCAACACAAUAGAUAGUGGUUCCAUACAGACACAGGACUUAUAAUAGUCAAUUGUUUGAUUUUUCUUUCUCAAGGUUUUUUGUUGUUCUUGCAAUGGUAUAAAGGCAUGGGCAUAACUCUUGAGGUACAUAUAACAUACUCAGAAGUCACACAAUUGCAGCAGUCCAAUACUAGCCAAUUGAUAGUGAGAACUGAAAACGAACGGUACUGUGUAUGUUCAUUUUACACCUAUGAUCUAGACAAAUCAGGGCUUACACUCAAUUGCUUAUAAACGUUAACUGGUUUGCAUGAAUACAGGAGCUUUGAACAAACCAUAGAAUACAUCAUGGACUUUAAUCUCUCCUUAAAUUUGAGAAUUAAACAUCAAAGACCACAUAAACACAUAUAUCUUGAUCGUUGCAGACAAAAUAAGUUUCUAAAUGAUAGGAGUUAUAAAACAUUACUCAAUGAUAAGAACUUAAGCUCCUAGCUAGUUGCCCGGGGUUUAAUGUACUUCUUGAGUUUUUUCAUUACUAAUAAAAACUUUCAUUAUUUAAAAAAAAAAAAAUUAAGUAUUUGGAAAUGAAGGUAGUAAGUUAUAGGAAAAAAGUAAACAAACUUUUAAUUGGAUUAUUAACUAUUACAUAUGUUUGAAGAUAGUGUCAGCGUUGUGCAGUUCUAUACUAGAUAAUUAUGUGCUUAUUCUUGAGAUGGUAAAAGAGCUAAAACGAAGAGAGAAAAAUGAGCUAUUUAUUAAAGACAAAUCAAAUAGGUAGAAAACUUUUAGCAAAUGCACAUGCUGUAGUAUGCCCAAUACCUAGAUUAACAAAUUAAAUAGCGCAUUCACAAAUCUUGGGAAUAUGACAUUAUAACCUUUGUGAAUGUCUUUAUGACUCCAUGAACUCUUUUGUCAAAGUAUCCAAAAAGUUAUAAGUAAUCCACAAUAACAAAUGAGGCUACCAUUGAUUCCUAAUCCAACAGUCAAUAAAGCAGCAAAUCAAUAUUCAUAAGCACCCUUUACUAUGUUAAUCAUCUCCAUAAUAAACUGAGCUAUUCUCCAUCCACUUACAUAAAUACUCAUGGUGCAAAUUUCUACUGCUAAUGUGUUGACGUACUCUUACUAAUAUUAUAAAUCUGGCGAUAUCGAUGGCAAUGGAACCACAUAACACUAACACAGCUUGCAUUAUAAAAAUAAACAUGUGCAGAUGUAGGAGCGUUACUUGUGAAGUGAUUUGGCUGUUAACUGCACUUCUUCGAGCUCCAUUACACCUUUGUGCCUCCUUCGAAAUGUCUCAAAAAGUUCAUCUCUGAUUGCCAAGAUCUGAAUGAUAGAAGCAUCAUUUUUUAAAUUUAUGCAUAACAACGACCACUAACCAAUAAAAGUCCAAGGAAAAAAAAAUUUACUGGUUCAAAAGUGCCAUCCCAAAAUGAUGGGCUAUGAUAUGAAAAAUAUAUGCAAGCCAUGCCCCUUAAUAUAACAGCAUGUGGAAAGAUAUUCGAAAAACAGAAAAUAAGUACUAAAUAAGAAAGGGCUAAUAUACAUACUGGCUGUUCUACGUGAUCAUUCCAAAAGCUGAUUGUUGACUCCUGUGCUUCACGGACCCAGUUGUCAAUGUCAGAACUUCCCAUCAAACUACUAUGGCGGAGGAGCCAAACUGAACAUACUGAGAGGCCAACUGCUCCACAAGUAUAGCGAAUCCAGUACUGAGUCAUUUUUCUUGGUUUUCGGAAUUUGGUAACCUAUCAGAAGCAGAGAAAGCAAUGCCUCAAACUUAAUUGUAUAAUUUAGCACCUGGGGUAGUCAUUCACUCUUAUUGAGAAAACAGGAUAGAAGCAAAGGUAUAAGAAGGUAUUGCAUUUGAGAAUCCACCUACCCCUAAGGUUACACUCCAACAUAUUUAUAUGAGAUUGAAACUUAAAAAUCUAAGGACAUUGAAGCCAUCCUAAGGAGACUGGAGACAUGUAUACUGAAAAAUGUGAAAUUGUGAAGAAAAUAAAGCAGGAGGACACCACACAAGUUAACUUUGGCAAAAAGGGGGAAUAUGUACUUUAUGAGAACUGAGAAGUGAUUUCGUAAGUAAAAAAAGAACCACACAACAGUAAUUUUGGGUGCAAAUCUCUACUAUGCAUGUAAUCGACGACGCAUGAAAAAAACUUUAUUGCCUUCUCUGGAGUUGAUAUAUCUCAGAAAUAGGAGUAUACGACAACUGUAUGAGAGUUCCACGGCCCAUAGCCACAGUCAAGCUUCAGCCCGUCCAUAGAGCUAAACAGCUGUAGGCCUUUUGCUAAGAGCUGCAUGAUAUGCAGCUCUCACAGAAAAGAUACUCGGAACUUUCAGGAUAGUUUUGGGCAUGUUGACAACCGCAAUGAGGUCCAUAUGUUACCUCCCAUCUCCCUAAAGUAAUUGGCUUAUAAUAUAAAAGAUUUAAAGCUAUAAUACCCACAAAGAAGUGAUUCGAAACACCCAGACGUCAGAUCAUGAUAUUCAGUCUAAAGAUAAUCCUUCAUGGUCUAUUGGUCCUCGGACAGAUUUUUACAAUCUACUUUAGGAAAGGAUUAUUCCAGAACAUUACUCACUAUAUAUGUAAAAGGAAUAUCGUAAACAAAAAUUGAGUUGUUCUGCACCAAUUUCAAUGGUAAAGGGAUGAACCCUAAUUGUUUUCUAUAAAUUGAUGUUUCAAUCUCAAAUUUGCUUCCGCUCAAAAUCCCCAACAGAUUUGCAUCAUUUGUUUAUAGCUUUACGAGCGAAAGUUAACAAGAAUAUUUGUUGUCGUGUCAAUACAAGGGUUCCCGUUUUAUUUAGAGGGGGGGGGGUAAAUGCUCAAAAGAGGUUUGUAGUGGCAGCUUCGGGGCAAAACAAGAUACUCUUUCUUUUUAUUAUACGUUCGCAAAACAAAAUACAAUCAGCAAUCACAGUGCAUGUGAUUUGAUCUGAGAAUUUACUUACAACGAGAGAUAAGUAAGAAUCAAGUUUGUGGAGAUUCUGAUAUAUCAGGUUGAUAGCAUCUCUUAUCUCACAAUCCGUCCACUGAGAGCCUUCCUGAUUAAUCUCUGGCAAUUUCUCAAACAUCAGAUGAAAUGUGCUGCUCCCAUCCUCACAAACAGAAGAAUCCCUCUGUAACACCAUUGCAUUGACAAGUUCAAAAUUCAUACACGAAAUAACACAGAUGUAUAGCUAAAACAUCGAUCAUUUCUUUUAAUAAUCAGCUCACACCACGUAACAUAUUGAUCAUGAAACGAAAAAACACUAAUUCUUUAGAUAUUAUUUAAUAAGUUACCUGAUAAAUUGAAUGUAUAUUGGUAACUGAUGCUUCCAGUUUUGAAAACAAACUAUUUAUGGUCACCAAUAAUGACGGCAGAGAUUUUUCGGGAUCCUUGAUCAAAUCUUCCGCAUAUUUAUCAACUUCCGUGUAUACCUGCCAAGAACAUCUAUGAAUCAGUGUAUAUGCAUGGAGAGAAAAAGAAAGAUGUUAAACACCCAAAGGCAGGGUAGGCUACUUAAGAUGUAGAAGAGGAAUUUGACAGAUUAAUUGUCUGCUCAGUACGAAACUUUGGAGACUAAAACAAUCAGCUUAGCAAACAUGCAAUGGGAGUAUACAUUAUAAGGUGUAUCAAAAGAACAUCAAAUCAACAAAAACAACAACAACAACGAAGAUUAACUAGAUAACACUCUGACUUGCAAAGGGAGUAGCAAUUUUGGGACAUGCAGACAUAUAUACAUUGACCAUCUUGGGGAGUACAAAAUGGGCACUCAGUAAACGUAAUUGCAUCACAAUUAUGAUAUCAAUGAUAAUAAUGAUAACAAUCAAGAUCAGGCUACAGAGAGGAACAUUUUCUAGCAACUUUGGAGAUACCUGGGCAAGAAAAGUAGCCAAACAAUGUCGUAGAUUGGUUAAGAUGGUUAUCCUCUCAGUUAUAUGUGCAGCUGCAGAAUGAUAAAGAUACUGCAUACGAGAACCAUUCGUCUCACAUCCAUGCAGCAGUUGACGAGCCCCAUCAAUAAAGGCACGUGGUCCUCUUUCAAAGACCAUAAAAUAUACCUUCUGAGCAUUAGUUCCCUAUAAGAAAGAAAAAAUUCCAAACCACAAUAAUUUAAUGAAAAAUAGAAACCUUGUAACUUAACAUAUACACGAAUGCGUAGAUGGCUUUGUUGUUUUAGAUGACAGAUUUUUACCAACCUCUGCUUUACACUGCCAGAACUGUAGAUUCUUCUGAAUAAUGUGCAGACUUGAGAAGAUGUGAUCCAAAAUAUCUUCCAAAACAUCAAAAAUUCUAGAUGCUUCUGUCAAAACCCUAAAACAACGAAAACUUUUAUUCUUAGAGAACUUACUAACAAAAUCCCCUCUGAGUCACAUCGACUUUUAACAAACACAAUCUUCAAAUAGACUAAAAAGCUUACUGUAACUUUGUUAAUAAUAAUUUAAAAAAAAAAAAAAAAUCAUUUCCUUUCUUUCUUUUUCCCUAAUUUAUUGCAAUGAGAUAUCUUAGAAGAGCAAAUCAGCUGAACGUUGCAAAAUAAUUGAAAUCAAAACAAUAAACUCAGCUAUUUGUAAUAAGUAAAGAAAAGCUUACACAGAUGAUUCGAGAGAAUUAGAAGGUAAUGGAAGUGGAAGACCAGGUUUUCGUUUCCAAGAUCUAGCACGAGAAGUUCGUAAAUAGAAAUUUGAAAGUUUAGCUAGUAAAUCCGAAUCGCGCGUUGGAAAUAAGCCAGUAACCCUUCGCCAAAGCUGACUUGAAUAAAAGUUUACUAGUGUUAUUAUAUCCAUCGAUGAUUCACUUUUAGGGUUUACAAGCGAAUCCGCCAUUAAUGUUACCGGCAAGCUAAAGCUCUCUCUCUCUCAACAACAAAUUACAAGCGAAAUUGUAUCGCUCCCGCCCAAUGCAUCGUCUUCUUCAUUCGCGAAAGACACUGAUUUCGGAAUGUAAACUGGAUCCUGUCGUGUGGGCCAAGAGAAAAAAAGUAUCAUUCUUAUUUGGCCCAAGGUUUGGAUCCAAAGGGCCCAAUACUAGAAACAAAUUACACUAUACUCUCGUAGUCUAUUUAAGAAGUUCACUCUACUAUUUUCUUUCUGCACAGAGCCACAAACAAACGACUAGAAGAAACUGAAAACCUUGAAGAAUUGAAUAACAAUGGUGAAUGGUCAUGAUGUGUUAAGAAGAGAGAACGAUCUGACGUGGAGAAAAGAGAUUGUUCCUCGUGUGUUUCAGAUUGUUAGUACGCGCAUUAGUCUACCUCAACGAGACCUCAUCACUCUCUUACUCACCAGCCCAUGGUUGAACCAAGCCCUAGUUUCUUGCUCAUCUCUCUGGCAGGUUUCAUUUCUCUCUCUGUCUCUCUCUCUGAUGAAGAUUUGUUAUUUUAGUUGAUAUUGAUGAUCUACAGUUGUUGUACAGGUGCUUGAUUUUCAUGAGGAGAGUAAUGCUGGUGACCGACUGAUUCGUGCUCUUAAACUGGUAAUUUCGAAAUUCAAGCAAAGCGUGACACUUCUUUCUUUCAAUUUAUUCAAUAUUGAAGUUUAAUUACCAAAACAAAACUUAUUUGAAUAAAACUCUACAAUUUUGUCCAAUUAAGUCCAAGAAAACAUGUAUCAAAAGUAUAUUCAUACACUUGCGUACAAUACCUAAAAGACGGUGUUAAUUGCAAUAUUCUCUUCCAGUUCUUUUCCAUGUUCUGUUGGAGCAUUCUAUGAUAUUAUUGUAUAUAUCCUGCACUAUUAAUGCAGUACUGGUGCAUGUUUGAGUUGAAACUAGCAUCACUUCUACAUUAGCAUUAGUGGCUUUAUCGUAUUUUCAAACUCCCUAUUUACCUAUUACUAUUGCUUACCUGUGCGUUAUGUAGGCAUGCCUGUAUGUGAAGUUUGUAUAAAGUGGUUUAGAUUGAAUGCUCGUUCUAGACUCUCGAGAUGCUUAUUUUUGUCAUUUUUCGUUGGUUCAUUCUUAGGGGAUUCAAUCUGGCAUGUAGUUGGUGAUAGAAAGCAUGUGAAGAAUUGAGAACAAUAGGCACAUGUGUCCACAAGACGAGAUAAUUUGUUAAUUAUUCUUCUACCUAAAUAUCAAAUUGCUUUAAUGUUUUGCUUGCUUUUGUUUAUGAAAAUGAUGAUCAUUUUUUGGUGAUGUAUAUAUAUGCAGCCGAGAUACCACCAUGUCAGGCAUAUAAAUCUCGAAUUUGGACGCAUUGAAGACGAACAUUUACAUCUUCUUAAAAAUAAGGUGAGUUUUUGGAUUUGAACUAAAAGUGUUCCUCCACUCCCCUGGUCAUUUUAUUUUACAUGUUAUAAAUGUACUUUCUUAUUCAAACUUGUCCUUUAAAUAUGCAUGCAUAUAAUUAAAUAUCAAUAUUAUCAUUACUUUUUUGGAUUUAUAGAGGUCAGAAUCACUGCAAGAUCUCGAGACUCUAAAUCUAAAUGUCUGCCAAAAGAUCUCCGAUAAAGGAAUUCAAGCUGUAACUAGUGUUUGUCCGAAUCUCAAGAGCUUCUCUAUCUAUUGGAAUGUAAGGUAAUUCAAUACUCCUUUAUACAGUAUUGUUCACUGUUUGGGUUUUAACAUAGUUUCUUGGAUUUAAAUUGCUCAUUUGUACAAAUAAUAUGUUGAACCUGUACUGAUUUACAGGGUAACAGAUCUAGGUAUAAAGAAGCUGUCCCAGAACUGCAGACACUUGGUUAAUUUGAAUUUGAGUGGCUGCCAGGUAUAUAAUCUGUACUUUGAACAAGGAAUUUGUCAAUGAUACACUCCUAUUGGUGUUAGAAACCAUCCUUUCUUUAUUAUUUAUUAUCAUCUUUAACUUAUCUAAAAAAAAAAAAAAUCUUUAACUUUUCAUUGUUAUUGCUACUGGCACCAUACAGAUAUCUUGAUGUGGGCUAACAGCCGUUUUUGCUUUAUUCUUUGUUUUUGUAAUACAAAACACUUUUUUGUGUGAGUGUGUUCAUCGCCAUCAAGUUUUUCUCCUUAGCACCAUAUUAACGAAAUUCAGAAUUUUGUGUCCUUGUGAACUAGACAAUAAGAGAAGAAAGACACAAGUAACAGUUUUAACUCUCAAAAAGAGCUGGUUUUCAUGCAUAAGUGAAUUGUUGCCAAAGUUUGAUUUUCAUGCAUAACUUUCAACGAUAGCUGGUUUGUAUAUUUAUUCUCAUCCAAUUAACACAACUUAAAGAAUACCAAUAAAUAUCAAAAUUGUAAAUAAACAACCAAUUCUCCAACAGUUUUGAAAGUGGAGACGUGGAGUUCUAUGCAAUUUGUUUUGGACAGUCACCUUCAACAUCCCUUUUUGAGUUGUUUUUUUUUUUUUUUUUUUGAAAUGCCCAUAAAUCUGGCUUGACAAAAGAGUGCAUUCCCAAUUCACUGCAAAUACUUGUGCAGUCAGAAGCCAUAUUUUUAUACCACAUCCAGAAUCUGAAGUUUAUAUAUUUGUGCAGUCCCUUGUAUUUGAAGCUUUUUUUUUAAUAUGAAACUGCUAUUAUUUUGUUUGUGUGUGUGUGUAUUUGGGGGUGGGUGGGUGGUGUAAAGAGGUAUGUGGGUAUGUCAUUUCUUGCAUUUUGUUUAUCUUUCAUGAUUAUUCCUUAAUACAUUUCCUUUGCUCUUGCAAUCGCAGAGUAUUACAGAUGUAGGAUUAAAUUCAAUCGCUGACAACUACCCAGAACUAGAAGUUUUGAAUUUGACAAGGUACAGUAUGUAAAUUCCAGUAUUUGUUCUAAAUGAGCAUCUUCCCAUAAUAUUUUUGACAAAGACAUUUCAUAUCCCAGAGAUUGCCAUUUUUGCAUAGUGCUGUAUCAAUGUGCUAGAUCUCUAUCUCACAGGUAUUAAAUGUGGUGCAUGAUAGCUUGACACCAUUUUCUUUUGGUUGUCUGAGCUUUUUUUCGUUUGUUUUUUGAAUUGCUUCAUCAGUAUAAAGGUGAUUUAAACAUUAGGCAUGCCUGAACAAAUCAAGUACUUAACAGCUAUCAUCAUUCUGAUAGCUAGUGUACUAGUAAAAUUUGGAAAUAUACUGAGGCUGAGAACUUUAUGGAUUAAAAGCAGUUAAUACUUCUCAUCUAGUUUGUGGACCAUCUUACAGUACUUGUUGCUCUGAAGCAUAGGAAAACAAACAAUAAGUAUUUUUCUAGAUCCAGAGCUGCACGUUCCAGAUUAUCUAAAUCAGUAAAUGCUCCUUUUUUUAGGUGCACGAAGCUUACAGAUGAUGGAUUGCAGCAAAUACUGCUGAAGUGUUCCAAGCUGCAAAGUCUAAACCUGUACGCCCUUUCAAGGUACACAUUGAACUUUCAACAUUUGGAUUUUAUCAUCGAGUAUAGAUUUCUUAAGUUAUAAAUGGCAGCCUUUCUAAAAACGCACUACCUUUCCAUACAGAUUUACUGAUGAAGCCUAUAAAAAGAUUGCGCUUCUACCUAAUCUAAAGUUCUUAGAUCUCUGUGGUGCCCAGGUAACUCUUACGACACGCUGGAAAACUUCAUUGUGACAUUUUAAUUGUUUCAAGCUGUUAUUAACUGUAGUACUUUGAAUGAUAGAAUCUUUCCGACCAAGGACUUUCCUGCAUAGCCGAAUGUAAGAAUCUGACAGAUUUGAAUUUGACGUGGUAAGUUAUUAGAUGGGACCUCCAUAUCAAAUAUGACCAACAUAGGAUUAGGGGCAGGAAGUUUAAUGCCUUAUGGAUAUGAUAUUGCAGGUGUGUUCGUGUCACUGAUGUGGGAGUCGAAGCCAUUGCACAAGGUUGCUCUUCGCUUGAAUUUCUCAGGUAAGACCUUGGAAGGAUUGUGCGUUGUUGUGUUAUAAAAUGCAAUUUGAUAGUCUAUCCCCCCCCCCCCCCCUUUUCGCCAUAUGGGUUUGUGAACACACUCUUCGAUUUUGCUAUUAUUAUGUUUAGGAUAUUCUGAAAAUUGAAGUGAUCAUUUUAGCUGUCCAGUUUAUGUUCAUCAUCUAGAUGAAGACUCUGUCAUUGAUGAUAGUUUGCAUAGACAUUGACUAACUGAAAAUAAGGACGUGGAGAUCAAAAUUUCUCCAAAAUUGAUGAUAUCCUUGCUUGUAUCUAUUGUUAUUGACCUGCUGGAAGGAGAUGGUGCAGUUUGUUUGGAAUUGUUGGGGUGACUGAUAAUUGCUUGGAGGCUCUCUCAAGGUUCUGUUCAAACACGCUUACGACCCUUGAUGUAAAUGGAUGUAUCGGUAUUAAGGUGCAUGGCUUUAUUGAUCGCAUAUGUGUAUUUUUUUUAUUUACUAACACUUUCCUCUUACAACCUUAACCACUAAAAUUCCUUGUUUCUCUAACUUUCUUUCUAGAGACGGAGCCGUGACGAACUGCUUCAAUUGUUCCCCAAUCUGAAAUGCUUUAAAGUACAUAGCUAAUGCUUUGCUCUGUGAAAUUCUGCUAACAAUAUCUCCUGGAGCUUAAGUGAGUUUUCUGUCUCCUUACCCUUGUUUCUUCAAUUGAUUUGCUCCAGAUAAGUAAUGUAAGUAUGUGCACGAUCACGACUUAAGAGUUAUAUAAUUGUGGAAUUGCGAUUGAUGUUUGUAGUCUUUAUACUAUAUUUAAUGGUUCCACUGUAUUAUUGAUCUCACUUUUCGUACCUUGGGCAUAACUGAAAAAUAAACGUAGGUCAUAAGACAAAUUUGCCUAAAAUUGCAUGUAUACUUCACCUGUUAGUUUAUGUUUAUCUGAGUAAACCACCAAUCUUAUAUUGUAACUUUAAUAAAAUUUCCUUGCUUUGGUUAUUACCUUCUAUCUCUUAAUUGCUUGAAAACUGUAAUGUUGAAUCGUUCCUUAAGGGCCAAACUUUAGUUGUAUCAGCAAUGGUUCUGCAUCUUCUCUCUUCUUUGUCAGCCAUUAGUACUCAAUAAUAAACCAAUUCCUUUUAUCUAAUUUCCCUCAACCAAGAAUUGCUCCAAUCAAUUAAUACAAGACAUAAUUUUUUGUAACAACACUUUCUAAAUUUACCGAAACUAAAAAAUAAUCCUUCUGCUGCACUUUUCCUGAAAUUCGGAACAGAUAGUAGAAGGAUUAUUAGAUUACCAAAUUUAUUGCUCCAAACCAUUAUCAUAAAAAAGCCCGUUGUAUGUAAAACGAGCCAACAUGGAUACUAUAUGAACACCAGUGGUAGGGAAGCGCAGAUACAAUUCAAUAUAAUCUGAAAUCUGAUUGGAAUAUGAAUUAGCAUCCAUCAUAGUUUAGGCUUACCGACGUACAACAAAAUAUAAUGAAAAGUUGAUAAAGGCGGCCUUAAACUUUAAAAGAGCCCACGAUGUCAGCAUUGAUAGCUGCUAUAUUGUUAUUUGUUAUAUGUCUAAUAAUAUAAAUCAUGAAUUUCCCGCAGUUGUUUUUGAAUUGAUUUCCUAGUAUGUACAAGAGUUGUAGCAUCUGAUAGUUUGAUUUAUAUGUUUGUGCCUCUUUCAUUUAUUCCAGAAACAAAAAUGAAGCAGCUGUGAAGGAAUCAUCUGUUAGUACUGCUGAAUUUAUAGAUGGAUCCAAAAGCAUUCCUGUGACCAGCUGAAGUUAAAAUCCUUUGGAAUUUGGAAUGUAAUCCCCAUUUAGUACAUCAGUGGAUAAUGUUGAGCUGAAGGGGAAGCCAUAUGACAAACACUUGGUUUUAUAUAAUUGAACAACUUUCUGCAGGAAAAAAUAGCAGAGCCCCCCAAUUAUUGCAACAAUGAUGUUUGUGGAAAAUCCCAGGGUUACUUGCACCCACAUGUUUAUCUACUCAUUGGGGUUACAGAAUAAUCACUUUUGUGUUCGACUGCCAUCUUUAAACUAAUCAUGGGAAGUGGUUACUAUUCAGUGUGGGAAAUGCCAGGUCUUCCAAUGAAUGAAAUGGAGAAUUACAGAAGCAGGUGGCGUUUGAGUAAACUCGUAAGCAUGAUUUAAUUGAACUCAGUGAGUUGCGGCAAUGUGUUCUAGGGGUUGGUGAGUCAUUCUCAACUAGGAGGAGUCAGGGUUUGUGAUCCAGCUUGCUGAGGGUCAGUGGUGCUAGUGCAACUUAAACCUGUAUGAAAUCCUGGCUAAUGUGGGUUCUAGAUUACUUCAUGAUUUUCGUAGACCUAACUAACAUGAAUACCAUAUAUAUUCUUAGAAUAAACCAUAAGCAACUUCACAUUCUAGCAAACAGGAUUUCAAACUUUGAAAUUAUUUUAGUUAUACAUUAACUUGAAAUUCAAAAAUUGAUGUCAAAUACCACAAUACAAUGCCAACGACCGUCUUCAUUCCCAACAGCGUCUUUGUCCUGCAACCAUGGUUCCUCUCCUUCUCAUCUAAUCCAGGUUUGUCAGAAAUUGCUGGUUUUCCUUCAAUUGAAACCAUUAAUAUAAGAUGUAUUAGGUAAAGUAGAUAAAUGUCAGUAUAAGGAAAGACAUGCCAUGCAAUGGGAGGGUAAUUAUAUGAUUUGGCCUACUAUCUGUGUCAUGGGUGCUAUUUUGUUUAGGAUAGGUAAAGCUGUAACUAGUCGGCUGGCUAGUGACUAUCCCAUGUGUGGUGGGGCUGGACAUUUGAAUGCUCUGAAAAAGCCAUUCCAUUGAGAUGUUUGAUCUGAAUGGUUCUCUUUCUCAUAAUCCCCCAAUGGCAUCAUUGGGUAGUUGCUUUAGAGAGCACUCUUUCCAUAUUUUAUUGCAUCAUGGGUUGAAUUUAUACUUUCUAACUAAUGGUUUGAUCAAGGAGCGAUUUUAAAAAAGAAGAACAGUAGAGAUGUAAUUAAGUUACCAUUAGAGGCUGUGACAUUCCCUUUAUUGGCAUUCCCGAACUGAUGGAAAACGUUGGCAUCAGGUGAAUUAGGAGGCAAGUUCAAAAGAGCUGAUCCAGAAAAUGCAGCCAAACGUUAAAAAACUAACAAGUCCAAAGAACAAGUGACUCCAGAUCAUCAUAAUACAAAUGAACCUUGGAUCUGGUGUAGUUAAGUAAGAAAUUAAGUUGAAAGAAAUAGAUCAUAUUGUGGCCAAUGGUGGGUGCAUUCAAUUAUGACUACUUUUGAUAUUGAACUACACUUAUAUGAUUGAAAUGUUAAGUGUAAAACAAAUGGUUGACAUACUAUUUUUAUGUACAUGUUCACCAAAAAAAUGUGUGUGUGUGUGCAUUGUAUAAUACAGUACGAAGAAAACAUACCAUAGCACUCGGAUACAUUGGUCUGAACUUUGCAAGUAGUGGGGAGGCUAAAAGCAAGAGUAGCAUUGAUCUUGGAACCAAGUAGAGGAUCAUUUUGGUCUUUAAUAAGUACACAGAGACACUUCUUGCUCGUCAUAAUCAGUUGGUUCAAACCACUACAACAUUUUGGUGGAGGUUCCUUAGCUGUUCCACUAAUAUAUGGUAAACAAGUUUGUAAUCCAACCAAUUGGCUUGCACAUUCAUCUCUAUCUUUAGAUAUGUCUGGUUUUACGAAUGUAACCAUUGACAAAAUUAUCAUCACUGUAAUCAUACAGUCAAGGGAUCCCGCCAUGAUCAUAUACAGAAGAUCUACAAUGCAAGUCUAGCUAGAUACAACAAAGGAAGAGAGCAGAUCUGCAGAUGCAAUGUAGAAGCUUUUUCUUCUUAUACAGAAAGUGGAGAGCUUGGAAUAACUUGGAGAGAGCAGAUCUGCAGAUGCAAUGUAGAAGCUUUUUCUUCUUAUACAGAAAGUGGAGAGCUUGGAAUAACUUGGAUUGACAUAAAUAGAAGAGAAAUAUAGAAUAGAUGUUAACUUGGAUUGACAUAAAUAGAAGAGAAAUAUAGAAUAGAUGUUCUUAUGAUGUGGGUUUCAAUAUAAUUAAUGUAGUGGUGAUGAUUAUAGUGUUGGUUGUUGAAGUAAUAAUGCUUUGAUGUACGUGUGAGUGGAAGGAUAAUAUGUACUCCUAACAAGAGAUAUGGCUCAAUGGAAAAAAGCCAAGCUGUACUGCAAAAUUUUCCCAACAGCUCAAAUUAAACAAGCAUUUGGGAUUCAUGCUGUUAAGAUCAGGCAGCAAGUGACCCCUAAACUAACUCUCAGUAUAAUGUGUUGUGUGCUAAUAACAGCAAUGAGAUAUUGAGAAGCCAUUCUUUUUAAUACCAAAAGUCCGAAACCGAAACUGAUAACAACAAAUUGCAAGAUGAUAUAUGGUACAGAUUUAGGAGAGCAGACUUAAAAGAAAAAAAUUGACAAGUCAUAGCUCAUAACUUAUGAUGUCCAGGAUUUGUUUAAAAUGUGCAAAUGCCGGGUAGAUUUACAUAUCAUUUUACACAUAUUUGAACAUUGGUUUACACAUAACUUACAUGAUCUGUCUUAACUUUUAAACACCAACAAUUGAUGUCAUGGUCAAGUACCACAAUACAAAACCGACAACCAUCUUCAGUCCCAACCACUUCUUUGUCCUGCUACCAUCACUCUUCUCCUUUGCAUCUGGUACAGAAUUGCUAGAACUUGAUGGGGUUCCUUGAGUUAAACCAUUGAUGUCAAAUAUGUAAAGUAGAUCAAUGCAAUAAUGAUUAAUGAGAAUAGCCAACUACAUUAUUUCGGAAAUAUACUGUAUGUUGUAAUGAGAGGGAAAUGAGCAUGGAUUUAAAAUCCAAGAGACAGGACAUACAUAUGAUGGUGGAUUGGUGGGUGCUGUUGCCUGUUGGUGUAGGGAUAUAUAUCCCAUAUUCCCAUGUGUGAUGGGUCUGGACUUAUGAAUGCGCCCAAAAAUCUGUUUCAUUGAGAUGUUUUAUCCCUUCAAAUAACUUUCCUCAAAAAAGGCACUGGCUAGGUGCACACUUGAGAGAACACUUUAUGGGGUGAGGUGUCAAGAAGCAAUAUUCUUUUCCAUAUUCUUCACAACACAAGAUGUGAAGAUACUGUAUUAUGUCAAAUGCAUGUUUGGUUUUACUUUACAAAUUAAUGAACAAAAGGUACAGAAAGAAAGAAUUAUGUUACCAGUUGAGGCUGGAGGGACACUCCCUUUGGUGGAAUUCACAAACUGCUGGAAGACUUUGGCAUCAGGUGAAUUAGGAGGCAAGUUCAAAAGAGCUGAUCCAGAACAAAGUACAUACCAUCCGAAUUAAUUAACUGAACGGUAACUAGAAAAGCAUGCAACAUAAGUAUAGGCAUAAUCAAGAUCCCAACCCAAGUACACAUUAGAUCAUUGAUCAUAAGAUAAAAUUUCCAAAGGAAAUGGUCAAUGGGUGGGGAUUGUUUAAUUGUGAUUUGUGACUGCUUUUAUAUUCAAAUACAGAUGGAAAUGCAAGCCUGAAAUUACAAUAAAUAGGUCAUAGCAGAAUCAAAACCAUGAAAAUAUAUCAAUCAAGUAAAUAACAAAAUGAAAACCAAGAAAAAAUUGUUUGUUUUCAGGUAAAAGGACACAAAAGAAGAACAUCCUCCCAAGCAUCUUAGCGCAUAUGUAUACCAUUUUACACCAAUAUAUUUCAGGAAUAUACGUUUAUCGAUUACUUUCACUAUAUUGUUCAUGUGUCUAUGUAUACUACUAUACAUGUGCAUGUUAUUUAUACAAAUGCUACAAAUAACGCACACAUACAUACCGGGGCACUCAGAGGCGUUGGACGGAAGUUUGCAAACAGCUGGGAGGCCUAAAGCAAGUGUAGCAUUGAUCUUGAGAUCCAAUUCAGGAUCAUUUCUAUCUUUGACAAGUACGCAGAGACACUUUCUGCUCUUUCCAAGCACCUCUUUUAAACCACUACAGCACUCUAGUGUAGGUGCCUUACCUGUUCCACUAACAUAUGGUAAACAAGUGGCUAGUCCAACCAAUUGGCUUGCACAUUCAUCUCUAUCUUUAGCCACAUCUGAGUUUACAAAUGUGACCAUCAUCAACAGUAUCAUCAAUGAAGUAGUCAUAUAACAAUAUGAUCCCAUGAUCAUAGAAGAUUAGAAGACACAAAUACACAAGUUACAAGUACAACAAAGAAGGAAAAAAGCUGCAAUAAAGAAGAAAAGUUUUGUUCUUUUAGACAGAGAGUGAAGAUAGAGGAUGGAAUGAAGAGAUAUUGAUCCUUUUUAUGCUAUGGGUUUUACUGUAUUUAAUGUAGGAAGAAGGAUGCCAGGCUAGGAGUGGUGGAGGACUAUGGAGGUGGUGGUGUGUAGUGGUGAUGUGAUUAUUGUGUUGGUUGUUGAAAUAAUACUUUAUUAGUGUUGUAAAGGUAAAAGAUUUCACAUGUGAGAGGAUAAUUUGUCCUGACAGGAGAUGUGGCACUAUUUGUUCAUUAUUCAAUUCAUCACAUAUUUAGCUUGAAAGUGAGAAUUUUCUUUUUUCAAAAGAAGCACAAACUGAACCACCUUACCAUUAAUCAAAUGGUAGAUGCAAUUUUGCCUAGCCAGAAUCAAAAAAUAGACCUUGAUCUGCCCAGCCCAGCUUCAGAUGACACCCAAAUUACUAUUAUUAUUGAAUAUAAGCUAUAAGAAGUGAAAACUUUGUAAGAUUCUGGGCUGUAGCACCCCGUGAUCGUUUUGCUAGUCCUUGAUCUGAUCCUCUGUUUAAUCAUGUUUGCAAGUAGGGUCGGUGAAUCUCUUGUUCUUUUCUAUAAUAAAGAGAAAAAUUAUGUUUUCUUGUUCUCAUCCUAGGGUAUAGCACGCUCUGGUGCUAGUAGAUGAAUGUCGUCGUUUAUACAGAGCACACAAGCAAUCAAGGUUUCCUAUUGCGUGAGAAUUCUGACUUUAAUAAGACACAAAACUGUGUUACAUGUGACAAGGAGAGUAAUCAUGCUCAAGUCACUUUCUACUUCAUCUCAAGGUCUAUGACUUCAUCUUGAGGUGUAUGUCACUAGAAGAAGUCACUUUCUACUUCAUCUCAAGGUCUAUGACUUCAUCUUGAGGUGUAUGUCACUAGAAGAGUUACGAGGCAGUUUAAAGAAACUAUGAACGGAAACGACUUGGCUGUGCAAUCCAGAACAAGCAUACUUGGCUGUGCAAUCCAGAACAAAGCAUUUUAACAACAGGUACUAAACUAAAUAGGGCAACCACCUUGUUCCCACUGGAAGAUGACCAAGGACAACAAGACCUCCUGCAAAGCACAAAUCAGAAAGCAGGGGCAAGGCCAAGCACUAUUUCUAUGAUACCAUGACAUGGCUUCAGUUGAGUGAAGUCACAAAAGCCUUCAAGAUUCAUAUCAAUACUGUUAAUCUUCCUUCUAGAAUUGCCUCAGCAAUUAUCCAAAAUACUAUUUGCCGCAGUAUUUGAACUUUUAUGUCAAGUUGAAGCCGAGAAGGGGUGUUCAAGUAAAGGUUGAGAAAUUAAAUUACAUUAUCAGUAUCUGGUCACACAGGAGGCCAUAACGAAUGCAUGUCAAAAUGGGCAAUUAAGAUUUGGGAUCAGAAACUUCACAACCGGAAAAGAAAAGAAGGGAACAAACAAUCAGUCUGAUCUUUUCAUCAAAACCUCCCAAAACUGAUCUUAUCAAAGAUAAAUGCCAAAUUCCCACAUGGCACUAUGUAAAUUCAUUGUCCAAAAAACUAAUCAUUGAUUCAUAAUGGUGUUGCAAAUGCCACCAUUCUUUCACUCUGAAGUUCAACAAUGCCAGUUAACAUAGUAAAACCUCUUGUUUCUAAUCCUAUAUGUAAAACUCCAGAAAAAACUAAAUUUAUCUAGUCCCCCAAUAAACACUGGUGGAGGACAAUGUUGAAAAUGAGAUCCAAAAUGGUACUAUAUUUUCCUUCUUCUGUCUGAUAAUGAAGAUCCAUAUAUCGGUGGGUAAAUCACAAUGGGUGAAUUUUUUUUCCUAAGACCUGUAACUUUUCUAUGAAACAGAAGUAGCAUAUUACAAGCAGAUCAUGAUGGGCCAGAAAAAUGAGAUAACAUGGCGACGAUGACAUACUUCUGAUGAUGACAUCCAUUAAAAAACCAACCAGAAGUAUCAGUCAUGAGCUCUUCCUCCGCAAUCCAUCCUGAGGAAUAAAUUCAAGUAUACAUGUCAAUGGCCAAAAAAUAAUAACUAAAUAAGCCAUGAGCACCACAAUUCAACAAAAGGUGUGCAUAACCGUGGGACUAUGUAUUUCACAUUCACACCCAAUUUUAAAUUUCCAUUCACACAAAGAUUCAUAUAAGGAUAUGAAGAUCACGUGGAGUACUAAAUGAUUAUUAGCCGAUCAAGUGGUAUGCUUAGGGUUCAGCAAAAAACUUCCAGCAGAACAUAAAUAAAGAUUCUUUUCUGAAAUAUAUACAACAGAAAGAAGUUGGUCGUAUACGAACAUCAGAAAUAAAAUAGGAAUGAACAAAAUCAAGUCUUAAUAACAAAUUACGCUUUAUGAUUGCUUUAAUGUUAAUCUUUCAAUAUAAAUCAUUCAGAAUAUUUGGGCUUAAUGAGGUAAACGUUUCCAAGGGUAAAUUUAUUAGCAGCAUAUUCAUGAUAGUGUAUUUCAAAUUAAAAUAAAUCAAGGAUAAAUGAAGAAAUAAGUUGUAUAAUUUAGGUCAAUUAAUUGGCAGAAUAUAUGAUCUAAUUGAUCUCAUAUCCAGUGCAUGUCUCUUUUUUACUGGUAUGAAACUCCUCAUGAAACCUACAGAAGCAAUCAUUAAAUAACUAUAAAUCAAAGGCACAUCUGCAAUACACAUCAUUCCGAAUCCCAAGAAUACCAUGUAUACAACUUCAAAAAUUGGUAUCACUCUUCUGGCAUACACUCAUAUUAAAAUAAAAUGUUCACUGAAAAGAGGCCAACUGUUUACCUUGUAGUCUCAACGUCUUGGCCUGGACACACUGGACUUGCAGCGGAAUUCAGCUAAUAGUGCUAUAUGAUCAGAAGACCACUCUGGAGACGGAAGUGCUGUAUCUUUCCUUAAGUUUUCCUCGUCCAAGAGCUCCAGUAAGGAUUCAACAGUCAAAGAGUCCGCUGAAACCAAAAGCUGGUCUAUUAGAAUAUCCAAUCGAAAGUCAACAUUUAAUGCCUACUGUUGAUUCAGCUUCUGGAUGGGGUUUAGGCAGAACCCCACCAGAUAUUCAGCCUUUAAACACACUCGUAAUAUUUGCAUGGAAACUACACAUGGAAAGAUGCAGAAGAUGUUCAUCUUCUAGUGAGUUUACCUGUGUAGAAUAUGUAAUCAACAGUGCAAAAAAAAUCUCUAGAGCAAUAUGUAAAUAGAGGUUCAUUUGUUGAGGGGUCCAUUCUCAUUUGCUGCUGUUCUAGACCAAGACCACGACCCAUUCUUGCAAAAGAUGAGUACGCACUGACCUACAACAAGAAAGAUAUCCUUAUCAGCAGUCAUCACAUAUACAACUUAUUUUAGUACAUGCACUUUGGGAAUAUAAGAUUACCAAUGGUAGCUGAUGAGUCAACUUGCUAGGAGGGCGCACUAUUCCAAAGGGAUCUAUUGAUAAAUCUGGAUGCAUAUGAUCAACCUUUCCCAAUGCAAGAAGUGAAUGAGGAGCACUGCAACAAAGCCCAACAAUAUAUCAAAGUCCGUGAGAAAACGUCCAGUUCACAUUAAAGUUAUAUAUUACACGUCAGAACGGUUAUCUAGUGAGAAAUGGGCAAACCUUCCAGGAAUAGAAUUAAAAUCCCCACAGACUAACAUUGGAAUGUCUGCACUGUUUGCAAUUUUUUCUAGACCUUUCAAGAGAGUAUGCACCUAAUAGAAUAGAUAUAAACAGAAAGAAAAUAUCAAAUAACAACAAAGAUGGAAGUAUUAAGAGUUACACAGCAGAAAAUGCCCAGAUGAGAACCUGCCAGAGCUUAACAUCCUUGAGAUCUUGGUUAACAUUUACAUGUGUAUUGGCCUGUAAAAUAAUGCAUGAAAAGAACCCAGUAUAAUUAGAUAAGACUCCCAUUGAAGAAAAAAAUCGCAAGGUUCUGUAUUAGUGCAAAUGGACAGAUUCAAUAUGAAAUUGUUUCUGACAGUGAUCCACAGUUACAGCCUGUACUUUAACAGAGAGUAAACUAUUGUGCAAGUUCUUUAUCAACAGGUCAUCUAUAAUCUAAGUUUCGUGAUACACAGAGGAAUAGAGGACGCACGAAACGCUGCCUUAUUUGUUAGUGCAAGUAGAGAGCUCGUCACACAUAUCCUUUCUCAAAUAAUGUCGUAAAGCCUCUCUGUUUCAGUACCAAUUUGGGGUACCCCCUCAUUUAUCAGUGUUUAUUUUAAAGGUAAAAAUAACAAUAUAUGUAAACCUAUCACAAAGGCAUAUGGAAAACUGUAAACAUCAUACUAUAUUACAUCAGAUCAUACGUUGUUAUCUAUUACAGACAGUGAACUGUCCUUGCAUUAUGAUCAUAGCCCAGUUACAAGACAAAAAUAUUGAAGCCAGACCCAAGAAUUCCUAUAAUCUAUUUUUUGUCUUCAAUUUUUCUCUUCCUAUCUACAGUAAUUAUACUGCAUUUAUUCUUAGUUUUCAUCAUCUACAGCCCCAAGAAUAACUUUAUUAUUAGUCUCCAUUAUCAUUUUUUAUUUUAUUUAAUUUGAAUUUCAGAAAUAGUAGUGCUAGAUCCUUCAAAUACAUGUAGAUAACAUCUGAGAAACAAAAAACUGGAAAGGACGCGACUCAUCAAAAUGCAGUACCAAAGUUUCUUUUCUUUUUAAAAUGUCAAAAAGCAUGCCACUAAAUUAACCCUAUAUAAAUUUGAAGUUUGAACAUUAUCAAUUUGACGCACGGAAAAGUUAAGAAGGAUGUUAUUUUCCCAUCUUACCACACAUAGCAGUUGUCGUUUUCCAGGAGUAUCAGCCACAUGAUUACUAAACUUUGCUUCCAGAACUGCUAUUAGGGCAAUAUUGUCCUAAAGCAAAGCCAAUGGUUCAAACUGUCAGCUGAAAAGUAACAACUGGAAUAAAAGUCUAAAAGUAGGCUCAGAAAGCAUGUGCAUUUGAGUUACCUUAAGUAAUCGACUUAAGCAGUUUUCUUUGGGACAUUUGGACCCAUUGCAUCAGUCAAAGAUUGUGCAGCCUUGUUAAAUUCAACCUGUAUGCAAAAACAUAUCUCUUUAACAGGUGAAGAAACAAUAAGAAAAAGGAUAAAAAUGUAUACAACAUUUUCAAACCUCAUAUUUUUUGACAUGGGAAAAUCUGUCUCUGCGGAAGAAAGUUGCACAACCAUCAAUUGCAUGGGCGAUUCCAUUAUAAACCUGCAAGCCACAACAUAAAAUGAUGACAUAACAUUUAGGGAAUUUCAAAAAUAACACUCCAAAUAAAACGAAUAAAGAAGCUAACCUCAGUUGUCUUUUUCUUGUAGAGUGCCUGAUAUCCAUGUUUGUCCAACUCAGGUGCGAAAAAUUCCUCAAAGUGGUCACUUUGAACCUGAAAGGAAGACAUCCUCAGCUAAAACGAAUUCACAUAACUCACAAAUAAUCUAGAUGUCAAGCACCAUACAGUCAUCCAUACCAUUACUUUCAGUAGGUAGGCAAGUUAGACAAAUAGACACUGUAUGUCUGUAUCAUACUCAGCCAUUACAGCUGCAGUUCACCAAGGUAAAUGUAUCUUGAAGCUUUGGCCAUAUAGCUUAUAGCAUUACAUUACAAUACACAAGCUCAAAUACAUAAUUCACACAUCCAUAUGUAUUGCAGCCCAAAAAAAUGACUGUACAAAGACAAUCACUUCCUUCUUCAAAUAACGUUUAAGGAAUGCAAUCUAGAUACAUUACAGUCAACUAAUGAACAGGGCGUCACCAAAAUAGUUAAAAAAGACAAACAGCUUCUUAUUUCAGAUCAACAAAAGAACCCAGCCUUAUUAUCAAGUUCAGACAGCAGCCUGUCUACAGUUUUUUUUUUUUUUCCCUUCUCUAAUAAACUCAAUCAAAAGUCCAGAUUUCACUCCCAUAUAUACUUCAAACGGAUGGACGACACUUAUCUGAACAGUCAGUAUUCUUCAUUUGAAAACAGUCCCUCCCUCAGUUUCAGCAUCUUUUAAAACUCACUUUGUUUAAACAGGAGAUCAAAUAACCCGAGGACUCCAUGCGAACAAUGAGAAGACUGAAAAUGUGGUGAAUGAGAUAGGCCGAUCAAACAGAAGGCCCAGUCAAUGAGAGGUCGUAUGAAUUAAUUUCUCUUGCAUUAAGCACUCUUCCAUUCAGUUCCACCCCAAUUUUAGAUAGAAUUGAUUGUCAAACUACAGCAAGGUGAUAAAAAAUACACAAAAGUUUGGAUUUUUAGGUUUAUCAUGUCUUCUUUGAGGGAGAAAGGGUCAAGAUUUUUGGAAAGAUAAACAGCCAAUAUCAAUGUCAUAUCUACGAUUGUAACAAUAGAAAAAUUUCUAACAAUCCACAUCUGAAUCGAAUAUCACAAAAUGUGUAUGCAUUGUGGCAUUUUAAUAUGUUCUGUACAACGCCAGGUCAAGUUUGCGGCAUUUUAUCCUAAGGAAAUGGAAAUAAUUGCGGUAUCAGGUCAACAUUUUAAUGUUCAUGCUUUGCGGUUUUAUUAUAAGAAAAUGGAAAUCUUUUAAAUGAAAAACGAAUAAUUGUGUUCACAGGUCUUACAAUAUACUCUAGAAACAGAUAAUCCAGACAAAAUCUUAAUAUUUGGCAAUCGAAUUUUCAUUUGCACUUUGAGAUUUUGAAUUAUGCAUAACACAGAUGCCACAAAAUUAUAUACUAAGUUCUUAAUCAAUAUUUCUAGCCCCACAGAAAGCAUACAAGUAGGAUUAACUGCUAUGUUGAAACCAAAAUAAAUAUCAAGAUGUGUGUGUGUGUAUGGAAUACCUCCUGAAGACAAAGAAUGUCUGCUCGAUAGCCUACUAUCUCUCGCAUCAAAUUCUGCCUACGGUAAGGCCAAGAAAGAGCCCAAGAAGGACAGUAACUGUAUGAUUCACUUGUGGCAGACCCCUCAGCAAGAAUGUUAUAUGAAAGCACAGUAAAAGUGCCUGAGGAUGUACGUCCAUCUAAAUCCGAACGACCCAUCAUAUCAACCCCAUUAACUGAAAGUAAAUGCCGAGGAGUAGGUGUGGGAGCUGGAAUCACGCGGGAGGUCAGAAUGGCUUUAACCUGUCCCACUGGUAACUUGGUUUCUGCAUCUACUGCUGCACACUCAAACUUGAGAACAUGCCCAACAUCAUCUAAUGUUGGUGUAUAUUUUUUGGACCUUCCAAUUUCAAAUGAGAUUUCGCCGCUUGUUCUUUCCACAAUAGCUGCAGGAUAUACGGAUGUAGAGCCAUUGUUCAUGCUUGUAUUUUGUCCAUAUAUCUCUUCCUCUUCUGCUCCAUUUUCAUUGAUGGCAUUGGCUGCUCGGUCAUGUAAAACACGAUGAUGCUGCCAAGCAUCUGAAAAACACCUAGAAGAGCAAUGGUAACUUUUGGAAGUGGGCACUUUAGCUUUAAGACAACCCAAGCAUUGGAAGGUAGCUAGCUCUAAUGGAUGUACACUGCAAACUUUUUUAUCACUUUGGAUGCGAUACCUGCCAAAAAAAGGAAUAAACAUGUAGUAAGCAUAUAUGUUAGGAUAAAACUUCUUUCCAUACCAAAUCCGUGAAUGAUAUAAAUAGAAAUUUAAUAAUGGAACCCCCAUCAUGCUAAGCUUCUUGUCAACAGCAUUUCCGCGUAACUAUCAUGUGUAACUGGCUUGACCAAAAAGUGAGUACAUAAAAAUCUACUCUAAUAGUAAUUAGAUAAAAUAUGACAAAGAAAUUCAAUGAUCUUAAUGCAUUAGUGAAAUCAUUUAGUAAGGAUUUUUAUUUAUUUUUCCUAAAACUUGGUAAUGAAAUUUUGUGUGUGUGUGUGUGUGUGUGUGUGUGUGUGUUUUUUUUUUUUUGGGGGGGGGGGGGGAGGGGGCGAGAUUCUUGUAAAAGUGGAAAACAUAUACACAUUACAAAUUUACAAUAUAUCCAAACAUAAUAAACUAUGAAAAAAUUGUCCAUCCCAUGAGGACCUAAUUUAAGUUACUUCACAAAUAUAUGACAGAUCUAUGGAGACCAAAACAGAGUUACUUCCUUAAAGAGAUUAUCAUACUAUUACAAGAAAAAACAAUAGUUGAUAUAUCAUGUACAGCAAUUGAGUUUACUAAUGUCAGUCUCGCAUUAGAUAAACCGAUUUUUACAGGGUCAAAAAGAAGAAUUAAGUUGUAAAGAAAUUUCCCACAAAAGAAAUCCAAACAAGAAAAUCAAAAAAUAAAUAAUGUAUAGAAAGCAGGAUUUCCAAUGGGUAAGGAAUUCAAUAGAACUUUGCGCAGUUUAUCACAUGAUGUGUAUUCAUGAAAAAAACACAGACCCAAACUAGAACCAGCUAAUCCAAACUCUAACAUUAAUCAAUCCUCAAAAAUCCCACCAUUUCAACAAUAUGUUUAUACUCAAAUCUUAAAUACGGAAAAAGAAAGUUAAAAAGAAUGAAUCUUUAUUAACAAUUACACAAAAGAAGAAGCAAGAACAUAACUUACCACUUGUGCCUCAAGUAACAGCGAUCAAUUGGGGCUGAUUCAGGAACAUCAUCAGUAAUAGUUGAAUUAUCAGAACGUUUCAAGACAACAUAAGGCGUAAGUUCACAACCAACAAUCGGAAUGUCAGAUGGAAGAUGAACUCUAACUACACUCAGCAUUAUUCCCAAUCUAAGAAUUUCACAAAAUCACAGAUAAACCCUAACCCUAAUAAUAAAACUGCUUCAAUUUUGAAUCUUAAUAAGAGGCGGAAACCAGGCGAAUCCGCCAUUACAAAACUUUGAAACUCGCCAGCCUUGCAGAAUUCAACUUGAACCAAUUUUACUACUAAUUUGGUUAAAGAAUCAGUAGAGUGACGAGUAGAGAAAUUAGUUGAAAUGGAAGAAGAAGAAGAAGAAGAAACCAAGAGAGUAGAGAGAGAAAUUAGAAUGGUGAAGUGUUUUGACGAAUUAAUGGAAUGGAAUCUUUAUAAUAGAGGUUUUUUGAUUUCAAGAAAACUUUCAAGGGAAGGGUUUUUACAGAGGCAGGUUUUUAAUUUCUGUUUUGGGGUAUUCUAAUUUCUAAGCUUUAUCGCUCUUCCAUAUUUUUUUGCAUUUUUGCCUAUUCUGUCGUCCAAUUAACACUCUAUUUUUUAAGUACCAGUUGUACCACUACACUGGGACUGGAGGACAAUUCCAAUUUCCAACACAACACAACAUGGAUUAAUGGACCCCUAUCCCUCCCCUGUACAGAAGUGUGUGUUACCGCCUUGGUAUACUCAAGUUUGUGCAACAUGGCAGUAUGGCAACAUUUAAAUUUGUUUCCAUUUUACGUAAUAGAAGUGGAGAGAUGCACAUAAUAUAAAUACACAAUGUUUUGCUAAUGAGGAAUGCUAAAUAGGUAAUAGGUAAUGGACUUUCUAACAUGGACAUAAGAUACAAACUUGAAUCACAUGGUAAACUCUGUAACAGCAAAUCAGCUCCAAUCUGUCCUGAUUAUCAUCAUCUAUGGACACUACUGAUAAGAAUUGAUGACACCUAUCAAAUGUCCACUCAGUGGAAAAUUAUGUUUAGAGUGAUAGGGUGUCCAGUGUCGUAACACACUAGAGACCUUAUACAGUACAUACAAGGCCUCAAAUAUCAACCUUACUAAGACUUCAACUAGUACGAGCAUCUGAAGAUUUACUGUACAAUAACCCUUCAGUCAAAGAAAAACAAAGCUUUAACAAUUUGACAUCUGUAUUAACCUAUUUCUAGAUUAAUGCAUCAACAGGGUCAGGUCGCUUGGAGGACUUGACCAAAUGGAAGUGUUGGGGAUCGGAGUGGCUGCACCUCGUUGAGAUUGAGAUUGCCUACGUACUCUAGCUCGGGGGAAUUGAACUUAGAGAUCAAGCCAUCGUAGUUCUGUUUAAAUAGAAGAUGGAAGGGCGUGGAUCAUGGAUCUUGCAGAUUCUCCGCCAUCAUAAUGAGGAUUGAUUGUGUAACGCAUGAGGAACGUCUCUAUGAAUUAAUUAUGUAACUGACGAAGAUAUUCUGUGCAUUGAAUGGGAGCACAUGUGUGUGGGCAGAACGCUACUGGUCUGGAGGUCGAGUCGUUGUGAUCGGGGUGAUGAGAGGUCGUAUGCGUAGCGACCUGAUGAGUAGUUGACUGUGCCACGUGGCUGCUUUUGAUUGGCUGGAGUAUGUAGUACCCCUACAUAAGCCCCCUCUUUUUAGGUUGGCUGUGUAAGGCGGGCUGAAAAGAUCUAAUUCAUCGUUCGAUGCUGGUUUGAGGCAAACUAUUUUGAAUUUUGGCACGUGGCAGUCAUGCAGCGCUGCUUGCGGUAAUGAUGGCGUUAUUACGGGGAAGUGGGAGAGUUUCCUCGAGCAGUUAGCCGUGUAGUUAUGGCAACUGACGCACGUAUAGCUUGAUUGAAUAUCUGUCUUGCACGUGGACUGAUCCAACGGUGGAUGCGAACCGUUUUGUGAGUGGAGAAUAACUGCAAUUGUUAUGGUUUCUAUGCUCGAUCUAAAUCGAACCGAUCUAGCCCCCAAGAUGAAUGAAAUAUGGGGUUCUUUAACGAAGUCGAUCCGCCCCAAAUUUUGAUGAGCUUGAUCAUUGAGAUUUGCAGGACGCGAUGAAGGUCCCUUGUGGUAAUGGCAACUUGAUCAUGACUUUACGUAUAGCGAGCUAGUUAGUUCCAGGGAGACCUGGUAGCUCGUUCAGAAGGCAUGUAGACGAGAUGGACAGCUGCAAGCAGGUCGUACUGAACUGGGUCUUCUUGCAUACAUGGGUGGUUGCCUUUUUGUGGUCGAGUUGCAUAGACCUGAUAAUGUUAGCAUGUGAAACAUUAUAAAAUUAAAUAAAAGACUUACAUGGAAUUGUACGUCUUCCUUAUGACUUGUAUGUACUAUCUUUGUCGCCUUGUGAUUGGACACUUCGAUAGAUGUGGCACUUUGGAGUGCAAAUGUAGCUCGUUUGAGAAAGAGCAUUGGUUGACCAAGUGUUUUGAGAGUUACUUGGAACCUUUUGGUGCCCGAUCUAGUGAAUGGUCGCAGCGUGGAGACCUGUUUGACAAUUCUCGGGCACGUGGCCUUUGUGGGUCUGCAUUGCGUUGAGAGUGAAUGCGUUCGACCAGGCGUGUGGCUAGAGAAUUGUGUUCGAGGUCGUCCCGCAUACGAGUGACUCACUAGUCAAUGAGGGUGGCCGUAUUGUAUAUCAAGCAUUUCACUUGUAAAGAGUUCAGUGAAAGCAAUGUGGCACAUUUGUGCAAAAAUAGCUCAUGGGGAGUGAGGUCGUGUUCAUGUGACCUGCACAUAGAGAGAGCUACAAAAAAUAUCAUUAAUAGCUAAUUGUGCUAAUAAUAAGUUAAUUUCAUUAGAUAAAGUGAGAAUAGCCCCCUGUAUGGCAUAAAUAUUCUUGAGGUCGAUGAAAGACCUGUAAUUUGAGGAGGUCGUUGAUAGACCUGCCUGGUGAGGUCGCGAUGAAGGACCUGGUGAGGUCGCGAUGAAGGACCUGGUAUGAAGGACCUAGCAUGAAAGACCUAGUGAGGUCGUGACGAGAUCUGAGAGGUCGUUGGCUUAGGGACCUGAUAUGAAGUGAGGAGGUCUCUGGAAGACCUUGCUACUGCUAAGUCGUCUGCUGUCCACUGGGGGCGCACAUGUCAUGAGAAUAGCGCAGCGUGGAAGGCCUAUUGCGACAAUCUGGAGAAGGCUCUAAUGGGGUCGCCCGAAGGAGAGGAGACGCGAGGUGGUGCUGAAGAAGCUUUAGUGCCAGCUCAGGACACCUUGAUGGGCCCUAAUGAUGAGGUCGCAAGUGGCCAUAUGUAGAUUGAUUACGAUCGAUGUCUUUAUUUGAAGAGCCUGCAGCUAAGUCGUUCUGAUCAGCUAGUUUCCAGGGAGUCCUGGUAGCUCGUUCAGAAGGCAGGUAGACGAGAUGAAUGGCUGCAAGUAGGACGAACUGAAACAGUUCUUCUUGUAUGCCUUAGUUUAACUUUGCUUUUACCUUUAGGAGCCAUUCAUGUUUGAGCUGAGAUGAAGGCAAAGAUGAAUUUAUACAUUGAAAUGUUUGAGCCAUUCAGUAACUCACCCUCUCGCUGCUUGACUUUAAAGAUGGAGUCGAUGGUGAUGGGGCGCUUCUUGUUGUGGAUGUAGAAGAUAACAAACUGCUUUUCGAGCUCGGCAAACGAGCUGAUGGAUCCUGGCUUCAAUGAAAUCCUUUGAUGUGGUCGGUUGGAUCUCCGACUCCUUCGUACUGGUCGAACUUGGGAGCGUUAAGCUUCCUCGGCAAGUCAUGGUCCAGGAUCUCUUUGGAGAAAGAAGAUUCUUGAAAUUGUUGGAGAGACUGGACAGCAAGUUGCUCCGCGGUAUGGCUCUUGGGAUGGUGUAGGCUGGCCUGAGAGGCCUUGAACUCUGCCAGCUGCUGACUGAGUUGCUCGUAUUUCUGGUUGAAAUCAUCAGCAGGGAUGAUUCCAUGUCCACCAUUUUCCACUUGCGUGGGGUUUGGUUGUGCAGCCUUCAAUCGUUCGUUUUCUUCCUGCAGACGUGUAAUUUGUGCCUGCAGAUCUUGGAUAGUCAUUUGAGUAUCCAUUUGAGUGAUUUGUUGAUUUCGGGUGGGGGGGUUUGGGUUUUUCGAUUAUAUCGAAUUCCUUGCAGUCGGCGCCAAAUGUAUUAACCUAUUUCUAGAUUAAUGCAUCAACAGGGUCAGGUCGCUUGGAGGACUUGACCAAAUGGGUGUGUUGGGGAUCGGAGUGGCUGCACCUCGUUGAGAUUGAGAUUGCCUACGUACUCUAGCUCGGGGGAAUUGAACUUAGAGAUCAAGCCAUCGUAGUUCUAUUUAAAUAGAAGAUGGAAGGGCGUGGAUCAUGGAUCUUGCAGAUUCUCCGCCAUCAUAAUGAGGAUUGAUUGUGUAACGCAUGAGGAACGUCUCUAUGAAUUAAUUAUGUAACUGACGAAGAUAUUCUGUGCAUUGAAUGGGAGCACAUGUGUGUGGGCAGAACGCUACUGGUCUGGAGGUCGAGUCGUUGUGAUCGGGGUGAUGAGAGGUCGUAUGCGUAGCGACCUGAUGAGUAGUUGACUGUGCCACGUGGCUGCUUUUGAUUGGCUGGAGUAUGUAGUACCCCUACAACAUCCAAACCCUAAAGUACAUAAAUAAUUGGGAAUAGGUGAAAAUGGGAAAUAGAUUUUAAAAGCCCAAAUAUUACAAAGAACAAUGCAAGACAAAAGGAGAAAACACAAUGACAUAACCAGCAUUAAACAUGGCGACAGGCAAGCCCACUACCAGACAGAACACUAUCCAUCCUUUGUAAUUAUCCAUAGAGAAUUACUACUAAAUAAAUUCCUAUUCGACAAAGGAAAAUAGCAAUUCCAUUACACUCAUCUGCACUACUCCCCUGUUCCCUUGUUUCAUUCUGAUGUAGCCCCCAGUGAAUAGAUCUCACUUGGCCAUCAUUACUUUGACAAACUCCUCAUAGUUAAUCUGCCCGUCACCAUCAACAUCUGCUUCACGAAUCAUCUCGUCAACCUCCUCAUCGGUGAGUUUCUCUCCGAGGUUGGUCAUGACAUGGCGCAGCU